AGUUGGUACCUUGUGCGCCCCAGCAGACUUCGUGAUGAUAGAGACUGGUACUGAUGAGAGGGCACCCAUCAUCCUAGGGAGGCCAUUCCUGCACACCUCGGGAGCUGUCAUCUACGCUAGUGCUGCUAAGAUCAGUUUCUACAUAAAGGGAAGGAAGGAGAUGUUUUCCUUAAAGAAUAAGACUACACAAAUCUCAGAGCAAUCCCGACAGGAACCAAGGAAGAGGACCAACAGGAGGAAUAGGAACAAGCAAAUGUGGACCGAGUCAGCUAAGAUGAUCACUGCAGCUCAAGGAGGUCAAGAUCGUCAACUCAAGUCACCUUUCUUGAUCAAGAAGGACGACCCUGGUGUUCCAAGCAUCGAGUGCACAAUCAACGGAUAUUCUUUUCAGAAGACACUCUACAACACCGGAUCUAACGUUAACAUAAUGGCCGCAGUCACUUAUCACCUCCUUCAUGGAACCAUGUCCCUACAACCAAUAUACAUUCAGCUCUAGAUGAUUUUAAGGUUAUUGACAUGGGAGAAGACAAGUAUGAUCCUCCAUCAUCCUUAGGGGACCGUUCCUCAGCACCGUUAAAGCAAUCAUCUACAUUGGAACCGGAGAAGUCCACAUUCACUUCCCCUCAGAGAAGGUACGCCACUGUUUUACUGACCCUAACUAUAUAGUUGAAGACUCUAAGCAGGUCAGGACAAGAAGACGACGACGCAACCGCAACCAGAGGAGGCAAAUCAUCAAGGACGGAUGGGUAGACUAUGAAGGAGAAGUUGUAAGGUCUGAAGACAUAAAGCUUGAACAGAACUGUCCUGAGGAGACCGUAGCACCGAGUCAGGUGUGGAGAGAGAAGAUAUUUAUACGCGAAGACCAGGCACCGCCGGAACCACCGACUACGCCAUCCACCGAAUCCCAGGACGAUUGAGAAAACAGAGAGUCUCGUUCGGAGGACUUGAAAACACCGAACGCCUUGCCAAGAGGUAAACUUGGUAGUUAUCCUUUUCCUUUCAAUUAUUUAAAAUAGUUUACUUAGUUAAUCAGGUUCAUGCUAUCUUGAAAAGAAAAUAAAAAUGUUAAAAAUAGUAAGCCCCAUGUGAGUAUGCUCAUGGCAUAAAACCCAUAAGUACAUUCACUGUGGUGGCGUAAAAAUAAAUAUAUAUAUUCCUGUCCUAUAAAAAUGAAAAUAUAAAAAUAAAUUUAUGAUCCUACUAAAGAGAGUAACAUUUAUUGAGGAGGCUCAACAUGAUAAAGGCUAGAUAUUUAUGCUAACACUUAACUAGUUCCACAAAGCUUUGUUGUCUAUUUGAGCUCCACAGAAUUAAAGGAUCAAAGAAGACUAGUGGACGGAGGACAUCCUAAUCAAUGUCAGGGUGCUGCCGACAUUCAAAUACACCUCCGCCACCUGCUACAUCAAAAGGAAUUACGUCAAAAUCCAGCUUGGGGGAGAGCACCUCCAUUUAUCCAGCUAAGUAUUCUACUCACGUUUAUAUUUUACUCAAAUAAUAAAAAGAUGCAUAAUCAUAAAAACCCAAAUAAAGAUUUUGUGCUUAUAUAUAUAUCUUUGCUUAGUUUGCUAAAUAAAUAAAUAAAUAAAGAUCGCUAUGAACCCUCAUGAUAAGCUCUCACAUGGAAAUAAUGAAUAGUUGCUCUGCCAUGACUAAUUCUAAAAAUUGAAAUCUCUCUCAAGUUUAGGCAUGACUGUUAUUAAUUAAGAUUUGCUCUAAACCUGAACUUGUGGGAAGAGUACUUGAUCUAAAGUCUAAGUCGUUAACGGAUAUGAUAUGGGAAGGUUGAGCUGCUGUUUAUCUGUUCCUAGAGAUGCUAGAAUUCUGGAGAAUUUUAUCUUUAAAAAUAUUUAAAAUGUUGCAUGAUGAGUUUCUGUAUGAUGAGAGUUUAAAUUCCUACCACAGCCAUAUAUACAUGCUUGUUAGACUAUAAACCACACAUUUACUUUUUACUGCUUAUGAGCAUUGAGUGUGGUCAAGCUGUGUAGACCCUUAGGAGCUUGUCAUGUGGUUAAAAUCAAGAUUCACUUGCACGUUCACUCAUACAUGCUGCUUCUACUCCGGAAGUACGCAUCCACAUAUAUCCAUCCAUUUCCAUCUCUAGAACCACCCAAAAAUAUUCUCCUCCUAAUCCGGGAGAGAAUAGCCAAAAACAUUCUCCUAUUUCUGUUUUUCCCUGUGAAAUAAAUGCUCAAGUUAUCUUGGUUACUACCACUUGCUAUAUUAUCUCAUGAGAUGAGUGCUCUAAAAAAAGAAGAGAGAGAAAAAAAAGUGAAUACGAGCAAAUAAAAAGGGGCAAGUGCCCGGAACCUCGAAAGAAAAAAAAAGUGAGACGAGAGGUAAAAAUGGACAAGUGUCCGACAGUAGAAUUAGGGAUACAAGAUACUCACCUGAGAGAAAAGAAAAAAAAAAGAAAAUAUAGAGCAUCUCAUUCUCCUCAAAAAGUUUCAAAACAGCAAGAAAGGUAUGUAUCCCCUCAAAAGAGCACAAGUAGAAUUAGACUUUCACCAUUGUUAUCACCAUCAUCACCAUACACCAUUCAUUCGCCACACAUGCACAUCUUGAUUUGACUUAUUGACUUGAUCUUCUAGAUCCAUGGUUUGACUAUGCAAUAAAUGUCUUGUAAGUAUGUAUUAGCUGUCUCCCACCUAUGAGCUCCAGAUAUCAAAACCUUAUUAGAGUAGGGUGAGAGAGAAGGCAAUGUCACUAUGCCUCAUACCAAAAAUACCACAUACUUUGAGAGAAGGCAUACACCUUUACUACAUUGGUAAGGAUCCAGAAAUACCACAAAAGAGAGACUAGAGAGAGUCAUACAAGGAAUCUCUGAGUUUUAUUUGAAAAUCAGCAAAAACCCCAGAGCUAUAGCUGAUCAAGAAUAAGAGACAUGGUGCUUGACUAGACUGUUCUAUCUUUUAACUACUCAAGAUAGAAGUGACGGUUACAAGUCCCAUGGUGAAAGGUAAAUGAGUAAGUUUUAAGUCUUAACAGUUUACUCUAACCAGAGAUGAGAUCUUGUUUAUGUAUCUUUAAGUUAUGAAACCACUGUAGAAACUCUUGAGUUCAUCUUUGCUCAGGGACGAGCAAAGGUUAAGCUUGGGGGAGCUUGUUGACGGUCCUUAAUGCUCACAUUUCACCAUCAACUAAUCAUGGAAAAGGAUCUAAAUGCAACCAACACCUAGACUUAGGGUUUUAUCUAACAGAAUUCCACAAGUUUUGGUGUUUGUCUAUUUCUGCAGGGGGUUAUCAGGAAAUACGGAAGAAAGGCCCACACGUCGGGUUUACAUAGAGAUAUUAACGUGCCGCACAAUUAUCUACCAUCUAGAAGACUCCAGAAGCCACGGGACCGAAGCGGAGGCCGAGAGGGCUCAGGCACUGGGCGCCCGCCCUAGUCCUGAGGGCGCCCGCCCACCUCUUUCCACCAAUCAGGGUGAAGUUCGAGGAUCGUGCUCCACCGACCUAAUACUUCAAGGAAAACCACACGAUCAAUGUCGGUUUGAUCCGACGGCCCAGAUUCACUUGAAGGGACUAUAAAACCAGACCCCCUGGCCCCUGGAGAUCAUACCUCUUCUACAGAAUCAAAGUUAGGGUUUCAAUUCUUCAUCCAAGUAGAGAGGAUCCCUCUAGUUCUUCUAGUUCUACCUCUAGUUCAUCUAGAUCUAGUUCUAGUUCAUCUAGUUCUAGUUCUAGUUCCUCUAGUUCUAGUUCUAGUUAGUUCUAGUUGUAAUCUAGAAAAUAGGGAGAGAGAAGAGGAGAGCGGAGGAGGAGCCGGAUCUGUCGGAUCUUCCUCAACAUUAUACUUUUGCAGCAUCUGGUUCGUUCUUCAUCAUUCUCCAGGUUCUUCAACUCAUAACUCCUGAGUUCUCUAAUUACUUUUAUUUACAUUCAAGUUAUUUAUUGGAUUCCCGCUUGCAUCAAGUGCUCUAGUCUUUGAAACAUUAGAGUAGUAAUUAAUAGAUUAGACGUGGUGUUUAGUCUUGCGAUUACCUGGAAUUGCACCCAAUCCUACGGAUUGUUGUGGUAGCCCUAGGGUAGUGACAGCCCUAACGGUCGACGUAUUCCACCACGUUCGGAUCGGUGUUUGUAGGACCGUAGUCAGACCUUCCUAGUCCCCUUCUCAUCUCUUUCUGUGGUUAGUGCUCUCAUGUCCCGAUAUAAAUAAUCUUUAAGUAAUUCAUGAUUCUUAGAUCAACUAGAGAACUCUCUGGAAACUUCCUCUCUUCCCACCAAAAAUAAUUAUAUAGCUAUCCUUGGGCGAUCUUGGAUCUUAAUUAGUACACUCACGUUCCCUGUGGAAAAUCGAUACUCUAGAAUACUCCCGGGUGAAGGCUACAUCGGUAUCCGUGCGCUUGCGGAUUUUUCUGUUUGCGUUUAAAAUACCCAACAAAGUCGUGCACGUCGCGACUGCCUUUUGCGUCACGGACGACGGAUCAGUAUGGGUAUAGGGCCCAUGAAGGCGGAUGGAGAAAUAUUAAACAAUUACGGUUCAAAUAGAAAAUACAUGUGUCAUAUGAACACAAAAGCUUGAAUACUCUGAUGGUUAGAUGCGGGCGUGUCUACCGGCUGGUCGUGAGUUCGAAGCUCCUCGGGAGCAACAUUUUGAAGUUUUGUCACAUAUUUUAACUAAACAAAUAAAAAAAUAUACAAGGACAGACCAUGAACCAGCUCUUGGUCUAGUGGUAACGCGCUUGUGUCUCCUGGUAGUGAGUUCGAAGCUCCUCGGGAGCAACAUUUUGAAGUUUUGUCACAUAUUUUAACUAAACAAAUAAAAAAAUAUACAAGGACAGACCACGAACCAGCUCUUGGUCUAGUGGUAACGCGCCUGUGUCUCCAGCAGGAGGUCGCGGGUUCGAAGCUUCGUAGGAGCAACUUUUUUGCCAAAUAAAAGAUGGAAGGCGAAUUGCAAUGCCUGGCCACGUCAGCGACGCCGAUCCCGCUGGUGGGACCAUGCCGCCACGUCAGCGAGGCAGGGACUAGUGGUGGGACCCAGUCGCCACGUCAACAGGGUUGGGACCCGGACGUUGGGACCCAUUGGUGGGACAAUGGCGCCAAGUCGACAACACGGGACCCACUGGUGGGACCAUAGCGCCAAGUCAUGCCAAUGGGACCAUGUCGCCACGUCAUGACGGUGGGACCUACCUGUGUGGGACCAUGGCCCACCUCAUGAUUGUGGGACCCACCUGUGGGACCUGAACGCCACGUCAACUGGGUGGGACCCACCAGUCGGACCAUAGCGCCACGACAAAAAAGUGGGACCCACAGAUGCCACCAAGGUGUCAUGUCAGGACUGUGGGACCUACUAGUGGGACCCACUGGUAUGUCUAGUGCCCUAGAAAGAAAAAAUGGCGCCAUGUUUUCGAUAGGGUACGUCCAAACAAUCAAUGAAGAUUCUGUUUUCCCUUUCUACGACAAUUAUUUCGCUUUCGUCAUAAUUCUUUGGGUCAAAGCACCGUCACUUAUAACUAAUGACGAAACUGUACCAAUUUGUCAUGGAAUGCUCACUUCCUAUGACGAAAAUAGAAUCAUCACUAGAUAAUCGUCAUUGAUGAACACAUUUCUAGUAGUGACACUUUGCGACACCGGAUCGGGCGUCAACAUAAUGGCCGCAGUCACCUAUCGGCUCUUGUUCGGAACCAUGCCCCUAAAACCAACAUACAUUCAGCUCAAGAUGGCAGAUCAGACAUUCCGAAAGGUUGAAGGUAUAUAGUAACUGAUGUCCCUGUCAAAAUAUACGAUCAUUUUGUCCAUACAGACUUUUAGGUUAUUGACAUGGGAGAAGAUGAGUACGAUCCACCCAUCAUCCUUGGGAGACCGUUCCUCAGCACUGUUAAAGCAAUCAUCUACAUUGGAACUAGAGAAGUCCACAUGCACUUCCCCUCAGAGAAGGUACGCCGCUAUUUUACUGACCCUGAUUAUAUAGUUGAAGACUCUAAGCAGGACAAGAAGAAGACGACGCAACCGCAACCAAAAGAGGCAAAUCAUCAAGGACGGAUAGGCAGACUACAAAGAAGAAGUGGUAAGGUCUGAAGACAUACAGCUUGAACAGAAUUAUCCUGAGGAGACCGUAGCACCAAGUCAGGUGUGGAGAGAGAAGAUAACUAUACAGAAGAAGAGGCGCUGCAGGAAGCACCGACUACGCCACUCAACAAAUCCCAGGACUACUGAGAAAACGGAGAGUCCCGUUCGGAGGACUUAAAAACACCGAACACCUUGCCAAGAGGUAAACUUGGUAGUUAUCUUUUUCCUUUCAAUUAUUUAAAAUAGUUUACUUAGUUAAUCAUGUUCAUCUAUCCUAAAAAGAAAAUAAAAAUGUUAAAAAAUAGUAAGCCCAUGUGAGUAUACAAGUGAUAUAAAACCCAUAAGUACAUUCACUGUGGUGGCAUAAAAAUAAAAUAAAUAUUUUAUCUGCUCUAUAAAACGAAAAUAUAAAUAUAGAGUAAUAUUUAUUGAGGAGGCUCAACAUGAUAAAGGCUAGAUAUUUAUGCUAACACCUAAUCAGUUCCACAAAGCUUUGUUAUCUAUUUGAGCUCCACAGAAUUCAAGGAUCAAGAAGACUAGCAGACGGAGGAUAUUCUAAUCGCUGUCACGGUGCUGCCGACUUUCAAAUACACCUCUGCCACGUGCUAGCUACAUCAGGAGAAAUUACAUCAAAAUUUAACUUGGAGGAGAGCACCCCCAUUUAUCCUGCUAAGUAUUUCUAUCUAUCUUUAUACUAUAUAUAAAUAUACAUAACUAUGAAAAAACCAAAUAAAGAUUUUGUGCUUAUAUAUAUAUCUUUUGCUUAGUUUGUUUAAUAAAUAAAUAAAGUGGCUAUGCUAAACUGAAUCUUAAUAAUAAAACUCUAGCAUGGAUAUGAUGAAUAGUUGCUCUACCUAAUUUUCAAAUUUGAGUUCUCUCUCAAGUUUAGACAUAACUGUUAUAAUUUAAAGCUUGCUCUAAAUCUGAACUUGUGGGAAGAAAACUUGAUCUAAAGUCUAUGUUGUUAACCGAUAUGAUAUGGGAACGUUGAGCUGCUGUUUAUCUAUUCCUAGAGAUGCUAGAAUUCUAGGGAAUUUUAUCUUUGAAAAUCUUUAGAAAUAUCACAUGAUGAGUUCCUAUAUGAUAAGAGUUUAAAUUCCUACCAAAGCCAUAUAUACAUGCUUGCUAGACUUUGAGCCACACAUUUACUUUUUACUGCUUAUGAGCAUUGAGAAUGGUCAAGCUGUGUAGACCCUUAGGAGCUUAUCAUGUGGUUUAAAUCAAGAUUCACUUGCACGUUCACUCAUAAAUGUUGCUUCUACUCCGGAAGUAUGCAUCCACAUAUAUCCACUCAUUUCAAUCUCCAGAACCACCUAAAAAUAUUCUACUCCUAAUCCGGGAGAGAAUAGCCAAAAACAUUUCUGUUUUUCCCGUAUGAAAUAAAUGCUCAAAUUAUCUUGGUUACUGCCACUUGCUAUAUUAUUUCAGGAGAUGAGUGUUCUAAAAAAGGAGAAGAAAAGAGAUACGAGGAAAUAAAAAGGGCAAGUGCCCGGAACCUUGAAAGAAAGAAAAAGUGAGACGAGAGGUAAAAAUGGUCAAGUGUCCGACAGUAGAAUUAGGGGUACAAGAUACCCAUCUGAGAGGAGAGAAAAAGAAAAUAUAGAGCAUCUCAUUCUGCUCAAAAAGUUUCAAAAGAGCACGAAAGGUAUGUAUCCCCUCAAAAGAGCAAAAGUAGAAUUAGACUUUCACCAUUGUUUUCACCAUUAUCACCAUCAUCACCAUACACCAUUCAUUCACCACACAUGCACAUCUUGAUUUGACCUAUUGACUUGUUUCUUUGGAUCCAUGGUUUGACUAUACAAUAAAUGUCUUGUGAGUAUGUAUACUUUAUCUCCCACCUAUGAGCUCUAGAUAUCAAAAGCCUUAUUAGAGUAGGAUGAGAGAGAAGGCAAUGUCACUUUGCCUUAUAUCACAAAUACUAUAUAUUUUGAGAGAAGGCAUGUACCAUCACUACCUUGGUAAGGAUCAAGAAAUACCACAAAAGAGAGUUAUGAGAGAGUCAUACAAGGAAUCUCUGAGUUUUAUUUGAAAAACUGCAAAAAACUCCAGAGCUAUAGCUGAUCAAGAAUAAGAGACAUGGCACUUGAUUAGACUGUUCUAUCUUUUAACUACUCAAGACAGAAGUGACGGUUACAAGUCCCAUGGUGAAAGGUAAAAUAAGUAAGUUUUAAGUCUUGAUAGAUUACUCUAACUCAGAGAUGAGACCUCAUUUGAAAGCAUGUGUAUCGUAAAAUUUUUAAAGGUAUUACAGCAACUUCUGAUCCAUCACUAAGAUUAUCCUUGCUCAGGGACGAGCAAGAGGUAAGCUUGGGGGAGUUUGUUGACGGUCCUUAAGUAUCAAAUAUAAUCAGCAAAUAAACAAAGAAAAGGAUCCAAAUGCAACUGAUAUCCAGACUUAGGGUUUUAUCUGAUUGAAUUCCAUGAGUUUUGGUGUUUGUCUAUUUCUGCAGGGGGUUAUCAGGAAUUAUGGAAGAAAGGCCCACACGUCAGUUUACAUAGAGAUAUUAACGUGUCGCGCAAUUAUCUUACAUCUAGAAGAGUCCAGAAGCCACGGGAACGAACGGGAGACCGGACCGGCUCGGGGGCAGGGCGCCCGCCCUCCCCCCUUGGGCGCCCGCCCUGGCCUCGGGGCAAAUCAGAGCCAACUUCGUGGAUCAUGCUCCACCAACCUAAAUGAUCAAGGAAAACCAUGCGAUUAAUGUUGGUUUGAUCCAACGGCCCAUAUUCACUUGGAAUGACUAUAUAACCAGACCCCCUGGCCCCUGGAGGAGAGGACCUCAGACCCCUAAUUCAUUAUUCAUCUUGGGAGAAGAAGCCUCUGAUCAAGCCCUAGAGCCACCACAACAAUUAGAUCUCUAGUUUAGCAUAGCUACAUAGGAUUAGAACUAGAAGGAAUCAAUCUUCGAUUGGUUUCCGGAUCUGUCAAGAGGAUUCUUGGUAAUUCCUCUCUUGUUCUUCAAUUGUUCAUCUUUGUUCUUCAAUAUUAUGAAUAUGACUUUGUUCUACUUCAAUAUGUUGAUUAUGACUUUGCUCUACUUGUUUAUAUUCGCAGUUAUAUUGUUCUUAGUUUAUCACAGUUAUAUGCUUGGCUUAGUUAGAUUGGAAUUAUAUACAUGUUUAGGAUCGUAUAGCAUUUAUCCAUGUGUAGAGUGGGUAAAUGAUAAGUAUAGUGUAGGCGUGGAGCCUAUACCGUAUUUAUGUGCGAUUGUACCCUAUAUGCCAGAUCGCGGGGUAGUUCGUGGUAGUGACAGCUCCAUUGAUUCUUAUAUAGUCCCCCUCUCGUGUAUAGGGCUGACAGAGCAACAUUAUUACAGGAGAGUGAUUGCGAUGUUUCUCAUAUUCCUUGAUAAUAUCACUAUGCAUGGGUGUAGACCUGUCUCGCAAUGAUUGCCAAGUAUAAUUGCACUAACUAUGAUAUGCUAGACUGCAUAGUUAAGAAUAACUUAGGAAAUAUUCUUGUAGUUCAUCCUAAUUUCAUGCUAAUGACUUGCUAGAAUAUCUAAUUGAGGUGCUUAUCAUAUUUAUAUGUGGCUAAGUUAUGCUGAUCAGAUUAAUUAUCUUUGUCACCAUUUAUACUUUAUCUAUCUUUUAUGUGACACUUACCCCUGUAUGAAAGAGAUAGAUAAAUACUCUCAAUUAUACAUGCAAUGAUAGAUACUCAAUCUUAUAUUCCAUUCCAUAUUCAACAUUAAUGUUUAGCAAUCCCUUCCCAGUGGUAAAAAUAUAAAUAACGAUAUAUGGAAUACUUCCCGGUUAAAAUGCUACAUCGGUAUUAAUUUGUGCGCUUGCAGAUCUCAUUUAUUAAUUAUACAGAAGAGCAAUUGCAUAUUUCAAUACCGCGUCUCUCAUGUCAUGUUGGGGAUGACAACUUGGCUUAAGUGGCAUGAGGGAUAGGUUUGGCAUUUUUGGCGCCGUUAUCAGAAUUAGAGAACUAAGUCUAUUUUUGGUAAUGACGUUAAGAAUGCCCAACACCUCGCAUGGCAUGGAUAGCUUAUGCAUUCCUUCCUGGUUUGUCUUCCACUUGAGUACCAGAUCACCGACUACGAAGGAACGAUCCUUGACGUUCUUGUUGUAGUAUCGUCUCAUAGCCUCUAGGUACUUUGUUGUUCGAAGGCAGGAAACCAACCUUUUCUCUUCUGUGCAAUUGAUUUCAAGUUCUCUAGAUUAGUAUGCUAAAGACUGGUCGAAAUGCUCGACUCUUGGGGAUCCGAAGGCUACAUCCGACGGGAGCACCGCCUUAGCCGCAUAAAUCAUGAAAUAGGGAGAUACACCCGUGUUCCGACUAGGCUGUGUUCGGAGACCCCAGAACACUUCUAGUAAUUCUUUCAUCCACCGCCCCGGUGUCUUGUCAUUUGCCAUGUACAUCCUCUUCUUCAAUACGUCGAUAAUCAUUCCAUUGGCUCGCUCGACAUGACCGUUGGCUCGAGGAUGGGCUACCGACACGUAUUUUACGACUAUGCCUCUGUCAUCACAGAAAUCCCAGAAUGUAGUGCCGGUGAUAUGGGUGCCCAGGUCGGUGAUUAUACUGUUGGGAACCCCAAAUUUGUGUAUGAUUUGGUUAAGGAAUUCUACAGCCUUCUCUGAAGUUGCUUUGACCAGUGGCAUAUACUCGAUCCAUUUGGAGAACUUGUCAAUCAGCACGAACACGAACUUGAAAUUGCCGGGGGCUGGUUUGAAUGGCCUGAUCAUGUCAAGACCCCUGCACGCGAAAGGCCAGGAUGACGAAAUUGUCUGAAUCUCAUGAGCAGGUACGUGAGUCCUUUUGGCAAAGAACUGGCAUCCUUCACAAUGCCGGAGCAGCUUCUCAGCGUCAGCCACUGCAGUUGGCUAGUAAAAACUGCUCGGAAAGCAUUUCCGACUAGUGUUCUAGAGGCGGCGUGAUUGCCACAGGAUCCAACGUGUAUGUCAUCUAGCAGCUUGAUGCCAUCAUCUUGAGUUAUGCAUUUCAACAAGACUUCUGAGUUUGCGUUCUUGCGCAUAAGUCUACCGUCUACAGAUAUAUAGUUUUUGGAUCAUCGGAUAAGACGUUCGUUUUCUGUUUUGUCUUGAAAUCCUGAACCAUCUGAGAGGUACUUAACGAAAGGUGUUCGCCAGUCAUUGCUGUUGGUUGUUGGAGUUGCAUCUUGGACAAGCAGUGUCUCGUCGAGUGGCUUGCCGACCAGGUCCAUUCCGACGCUUGGUGUGUCGAUGUUUUGGACAAGAACGCCUUGUGGAAUCUGGGCCCAGAUGAUCCUAUCUUUGACAGCCCAUCUGCUGUGUGAUUCUUGUCCCGGACCACGUGUAUGUAUUCUAUGCCAUAGAAAUUUGAUUCCCACCUCUGUAUUUCUUUGCAGUACAGAUCCAUUUUCUCAUGAGUCGUGUCCCACUCCUUAUUUAACUAGUUAAUGACCAGUGCAGAAUCGCCGUAGACGUAAAGGCGCUUGACUCCUAGUUCAACUGUCAUGGAACCGUUCAAAUUAUAAGAGCACAAGUACAAAAGCAAUCACCGAAGCGAUCAAUUUAUUAUACUUGAGCCCAUAUAACUCCGUAGUCCAACAAAAUCAUGAGGGAUUUCGAACCAACCAACAUACAAGCCAAGAUCAUAGUGAUUCAACAUAACAAGUCACACGUUACAUAUAUUUCACAAUUAGUUCAAAUACAUCGGAGUUCGAUAAGGUUAUUACAACUCAAGUUUACAAAUAGCGGAAGCAAAGUAAUUUGAAACCAAUAUCACUUUUAUUUCAAAUACAUGCCAGUACCAUGGUCUAUUCCAACAAAAGCAUCAUAGAUGAGGUAAGUAGGAACGAUCAUGCCCAUGAUCUUACUCCUUCCCUAGAGCAGGAGUCAUCCAAAUCUUGUAGUAUCUAUGAUACAUCACAACCUGCAACAAGUGGGAAUAAACCCUGAGUACGAGAAUGUACUCAGCUAGACUUACCCGUCAUAAACCAGAAAUAAAUGACACCAAAGAGUAUGCAAGGCUGAUAUAUAAGUGGAGCUUGUUGGACAACAUUUUGCAUAAAAAGCAUAAGUAUAAAUAGUUAAACCUUUCUUAUUUAGCAUCCAUUUAAUUCUCAUUAACCUAUCAACUAGAUUAGCACCUAUACUAUAGCAAUCACUUGAUUAAUAUCAAUCAAUAAUAACCAUAUCCGAUUUAUCAAGGCCGUGAUCAUCAUCAUCAUCAUAGAACCAUUAAGUUAUUUAGUGAAUACUACGUUUGCCGCUGCUCUGUCAAGUUCUCACUAUCCGGGAGAGACGUCAUCGGUGUUUUCACCCUAGGGGUCACACCAACGAGUAAAACUAGUGCGUGUCCCCCUUUCCAGAUGGUGAUGCAAGAAAAGAUACAAAGAUUUAUCCUAGUUCGGGCAAGAGAAGGCCCUAUGUCUAGCGGGGGGAGAGUGUUUGUAUUAUCUUGCACCUAAGUGCUUGUACAGGGCUGAAUACAGGCGUGGAUGGAUGGAGAUGGAGUAUGGGUGCUCUACUAUGUAUGUCUUGUGUCCCCUGUAUCUGCUCCUGCGCCUCCCCUUUUAUAGUUCAAAGGAGAGGCCUAGGUUACAUGUAUAGGCGACAGAGUAGGGGUCGAUAGGGGUAUGGCGCGCUGACCUACUCGAGGCCACCGUACCGGCGUGACCUCGAACCGUCUUGUCUCAGUACCUUGAUGAUGAUUACGCGUGCCCCUGAAUCCUACUCCUGUGCGCCGUCCUAGACCAGCUUAUUCGUCGCACGCUUGUACGUCGUGACUGCAGCCACGUCUGAGUGGUUGAGGUGCUGUCCAUCGAUGCCCGACCCUUUCCUGGGAAGGAACAUGCCUGCUCGAGGGUCCGGUACCGCACAAAGCCUCACUUAGCAGAACUAUGACUUCGGGCGUCUCGAGGGGGUCUUGACGGAAAAUUCCGACUGUCUUCCUGCGCCCUACUACGCUCUGGCUCGUUUGGUGGGUAAGGCUGCAAAAAGAAUGAUUGGACGAGUGCUGGUUUCCUAUCACGCUUCCCGUGACUGACGGGUUAGGUAAGAACGUGGCAGGCGCAUUAAAUGCCCUGGUUCCCCGUGCCCGCGUUAGGCGGCGGGCGGCGUCCUUGCGCUCGAGGCCUUUCGAUUCGUACGAGCCUGUUUUCGUAUUCGACAGUAGCCGGUGCUCGAGCCCCAGUCGAUUCGCACGAUGCUCUUUCUGUGUUCGAGGCUACGUACGUCGAUAACCGUGAGUGCGGCCAGGGGGCGUCGAGUCAGGAGCCCUCAAUUUGUGUACGGGAGCUCUCGUCAUGUGCGUCAGUUAGGGUAUCCCUUACCGAUACCCUCGACAGUAGCCCCCGAGUCUCUAUUCGAGCGCUUGCACUCGAGUAGAGGCUCUGCUCAUUGGUCGAGAUUUCGUGGGGGCGCGCGAGUGACCCCGUGGGGGUAGCCCCCGAGCCCUUGGAGGAGUUUUGACUCCUUCGAGGGUUAUGUUGCCCAAUCUACAGAAGCGCUCUUGACGUUCGUUGCGGAAGGUGGGCUAGAGGCUUUGACUAGUUGAUUUCGCGUUGGGGUUGCGACGUACUCCCGGUGGAGCGAACGCCAUCUUCCCUAGAUUGAGCUCCUAGCGGGUAAUCCAAGUGAGAACCUGUGCCCCGUUCGAGGGGGUCAGCUGUAGCCCGGAGGCAUUCUCAUAAAGCGGGGUUGACGUGGUCGGGGUUACUGGUCUCGUUCGAUAGAGCCCGGCGGCUCGAUGCCUCCCCUCAGGGGGAUUCCUCUCGACCGUCUAGUCCUCGCCUUGGACAUCCCCAGCGAGUCCUCGAGGCUAGCCUCGUUUUUCGACCGCUCGUUGGGCAUCCCUGACUCGGGUACUCGAGAUCGGCUGUUGAACCCGUUCGGAGGGCCAGCCUGCGACCUCUCGAGAUUCUCAACGUCAUGAUUACGUACCUUGACUUACAGAGGAAGGAAAAGGAUCGCGACAGUUCACCUUUUUGCCUGUUGGGCGCGCCAUUUUAGGCGGGAGCCGUUGCGGCACUGUACCGGCGCAGGAUUCAUAGCGUCUCGUCUGUGAGAGAUAUGGACCGUAAGGCGGCGCAUUUAUUAGAUGAGUUACCGUAUCCAUCGGAUCUGUCCGUUGGUGGGUUGCCGUCUAUAAAUAUCCCGUGGUCUCCCUGCCAUCGCUCCUUCCGCCUUUCGUCCUUGCUCUUGCCUCUGCCUCCCUGCCAUCUUACGUGCGCGCGCGCUCGAGCAGUAGCAAAGCCGCUCUUCUUCCUCCCAAAGAUGCCGGUGAGACUCAUCGCCACCGAUGACUGGCGCCCGUCAUCGAUGACGGAGCGCCGGUUGUUGGAGCUCGAGAAGGAAGGGCUUCUGCGUCCCUGCACUUCGUCGUCGCGGCCAGAGUGGAUCGCGCCGGCGGCGGACCACCAGGAACAAAGGCCCCCCAAGGGCUAUGUGGUUUCCUUCGCCAAGUUUCACCGCCACGGCUUGGGCUCCCCUCCGAGCCGCUUCAUGUGGGCGCUCUGCCACCACUACGGCGUAGAGCUUCAACACUUUUCGCCAAACGCCAUCACUGUCGCGGUGAUUUUUGCUGCGGUGUGUGAGGGCUACCUCGGGAUGAUGCCACACUAGGAGUUGUGGCUUCAUCUGUAUCGAGGUGAGCUCUUCCAUGCCCCCAGCGGGACCACAGGGGUGAGGAAGCCGGUCUGGGCCGGGUGCCUCAACCUGGUGUUGAAGACCGGUAAGGCGGAGAAGCCGCGUGAGUACGUCCCAGUGGGAUUGACGUCAAACCACACCGGGUGGGACUCCCAAUGGUUCUAUCUGUGGAACGACGACGACCUCCUCCCUGCAUAUACCGGGCGUUUGAUUUCGGAGUGUCCAGAUCACUGAAAGUACGGUGUCGUCCAGGCCCAUCAGUCACGGCUCGACCCCAUCCUCGACGCCCUGAAGAAGCUACGCGAGGAAGGCUUGACAGCUACCCUCGUCCUCUCGGCCGUACAUCAUCGACGAGUGCUCCCGUUGAUGUCUCGGCCAUUGAGGAUGGACAAGAUGGGCCCUGGCGUCUCGUCUCGCGUUCUCGUGGCUUGCUAGAUGUCUAAUGAAGCGCCUGCGGAUGAUGAGGUCGCCGCUAGAGUCAGGGCGGCUAAGCACGUCAACGGCUUCCCUAUGAGGCCCGAUCAGGGGUCGAUUGACUUGGUAAGUCCUUUUCCUAUUUAUGGUCCCGAUUCUAGAUUUUCUUCUACCUUCUUUAAGACUUAUCUUUGCUCAUGCAGGGAUUGAUCGACGCUCGAUCCUCGAAGCCUCCGGUGAAGGAGGAUGACGUGGAUCGCGACAAGAGGCGCGAGUCCGCGGAGAAGCUGAAGUUCGCAAAGGACUUAGAAAAGAAAAAGGAAAAGAUGAAAAAUCUCGCGCGACAAGCGUUGGAGACUCGUCGAGCGAAGUCUAGGCAGAGGGGGAGCCUGAGGAAGAAUCCCCUGAUGAAGACGAUGGCGGCGAUGGUGACGACGACGGCGACGAUUCCGAGGGGAUGGCGUCCCGUCUCGACAGGAUCCUCGAGGGCCCGCCUCAAACCGGCGUCGACGUCCCGCGGACGGGAGUCCCCAAGGGUGCGCCAAGCGGGCCUCGUGAGAGUCAACAAAGGGAGUCAUCUCUACGCCGCUCUCGCACCAACACCCCCCAGCACCUGCGCAAGGUCAGACCGUCUCCCGCCCCAAACCUCCUCCCGCAUCUAAGGCGGGCCACCGGGUUAAGUCACUGGCGACGGGGCCACUGACCCAUGGCCACGCCGUGGCCUCAAGUAAGGGGGAAACGGGUCGUAGGAGUACCGGUCCAGGCGCUGGCCAGGCGGGAGACAUCGAGUCGAGACUUGCGCCCGUUCGUGAAGGGCCCGGGGUCUCGACGCGCGGUGGCUCGAGCCCGGCUCGUCGAGGCGCUGGUAGGCGGGUCGCUCUUUCUGUGGGGUAAGAUCUUUGACAUCGCGAUUCUUACCUUCUGAUGUCUUUGCAUUUUCUCGGGUAACAGCUUCUCUUACUUUUAUUACUCUUUCGUCAGGUUGAAGCGGCCGCUCGAACAGGCCCAGCCCUCAAUGGCCAAGAAGCUUAAGGUGGGAGGGGCCUCCAAAGACUCAGGUUAGCGGUUCAUUUCUGAUACUAUGGGAGUCGAGUUAUCCCUGUGUCGAUCAUCAUGGUGACUGACUUUUUGCUUUCGAGCGCUUACAGGCUCCUCCGAUCCUCGGCCGUCGAUGGGUGUCGAGAGCGCCCCGCCUCGUCCAUUGGUGGGGGAGUCCACCCCACCGAUGUCGAAGCGGGUCGAGGCGCCUCGCCCCCAAGAGCAGGAGGAAGCCCCCGAGCCUCCCCGAUCUUGGGUCGAGGGGGAUCCUAUCACUAUAAGUGACGGGUCCGACGGUGACAGGCUUCUGAAGGAUGCCCACUCCAUGGACGAGGAGGUCGAGGCUUCCCCUGUCGCGAAGCGGACGCCUUGGCCCAUCGAGCUCCACUCCGUCGAGGAGAAGAGGAAGAAGAAAGAGAAAGAGUGCGAGCGGGAGACGCAGCAACAGCUGCAGGAGGGGCAGCAACAGCCGUGCAACAGCCGUAGCAGGAAGGUGAAGAAGAAGAAGAAGGGCGGCGGCAACAAGGGGACCAGUUUGAGGAGCUGCUGGAGCAGGAUCGGCAGUAGGAGCUACGGGAGCUCCAGAGGCAGCAGCGGCAGAAGAGUCAGCAGUUAGAUGAACUGCUCGAGCAACCGUCACGCAGCCCGUCGCAGCCAGUGCCGCCGUCGCCACAGGGGCCUGAGACCGGGGAGGAAGGGCUACCGGUCUAUGGUCCGCCAACCCCUGCGUGGCUCUGUCUGGGAGCGCCCGCUUCUAUCCCGGCUGAGCCAGGGCGGGCGGAUGGCGUGGUGGCGCUCGCUUGCAUGAUGCGCACCCCGGUGGACCCUCAGUCCGAGAUCAAGGGCACGAUCUACGGCAUUGAGGGAAUCGCUCCUGGAUUUCUCCGAGAACGACGGCCGUGGUUAGAUCACAAACCCACCGAGGAGGAUGAAGCCGGGACGUCGGUUGGUGGCGCUACCGACGAGACCGGGACCUGGAAGAUAGUGGAUGAUGACGGGUGAUUCCCCUCCCUUAUCGACCUAUUUUUACGUCACGGGGGGUCGCUCGAGACUGUCCAAGAGCUCAUCCGGGGUGUCAAGGCGCGCACGGAGGAGGAGAUGGAAAACUGGUGCCCGAUCAGAUCCGCAUUCGGGCCUCCACCGACCCAUCCGAGCCUAACAUCUUUAUGGAUGAUCAGAAGGAGGCCGAAAAGUGGGAACAUCUCGAGGAGCUUCGCCUCUAGAUGAAGCAUGUGGUGGGGCUCUUGUCUGACAUUGUCAACAGCAGGUUCCGUCCAGCUUACUUUGUAAGUGUCUUUGGGCAUUAGUUAUCAUAGGACGUUUGGUUUUGUGUUCUUACUGUUCCACGGCUGGCUCGCAGGAUCUGAAAGAGACCUCCCGCAUAAAGUCGAGUUUUAUCCAUGCGACGAGGGGUGGCUAGGAGCAACUCCCUCUUCUCAAGGACCAACUCCUGGAGUUGCAGGAGAAGCUCCUCAAGGCCUACAAAGAGCUUUUGGCGCUCGAGGAGGAGAAAAAGGAGAGGGAGGCCGCUCUGGCUGAGGCUCGGGAGACCUUGAGGAAGGAGGUGGAAGAGGCUACGCGGCUGAGGGAGCGGAUCAUGACGGUCGAGGAGGCUGCAUCCAAGGCCCGAGAAGAGGCCGCAUUCUAUGAGGAAGUCGCCGCCGAUCAUGACAAGGAAAAGGUCCUUAUCAAGGCUGACCACGCCUCUGCCCGAGAAGCCUUCCAAGAGAUGAAGGUGGAGUGCGUGAAGGGCGAGAUUGCUCGGACGCCGCAGAGGAGGCCAAGAAGAAGGCCCUCGAGGAUGUCGAGGCGGAGUGGGCUCGAUCUCGCAGCCUUUCUGAUGACGUCGAUCAUCUGAAGAGGGCGUUACUGGAAAAAGAUGGAGCUAUCGCGCAGGCGGGCAAGGCGAACGAGGACUUGCGGGUCGCCAACACCGACCUGGCCCGCUCUCACAGGGAAAUCGAGAGGGCCAAUACUGAUUUUGUUGGUCAAAACACUGCUCUGGAGGAGAAGAUUCGUGGUAGGCUUCUUUAUAACUCUUUUUUGCAAGGUAUUUUUUGGUGUCGUCUAAUUUCCAUGCAUCGGUCUCCGUAGGGCUUAAGGACGAGAUUUUGGCUGCUAUGGUCGAGGCCCACUCUGCCAAGGAUCGGCUCAAGGGGUGAAAGUGCAUCUAGGCCCCUAAGUGAUUUCGGUGAUUAAUGACAUUGUUGAUUAUUAUGACUAACGUGAGUUUUGCAGAGGCAAAGUCAUAGGUAAGGUCAUGGUAAACAGGGACUCGAUGAACAGGGACGUACAUGCCUACUUAAUAGUGGAAAUCGUUUCGGUUUUUAAAGGAUGGAUGGACAUCGUCGAAACUAGACUAGGUCUAAGUGCCAUAUGGUGAAGAAGGGCACUUAGAGUAGUUUAGGACUUUGUUUUCCUUUGACCGUACUAUUAAGAGGGGCUUUGAUCUAGUAGCUUGACUUAGGCAAGGCUUUAGGUUUAGGUGUGGUGCACACUUGGUAAACCUAGCACUAGGCAGCUCAGAUAUAGUCCUUAGAUCGAGAGGAACAAACUUCGUGUUGAAGCGAUCACGUUUCGACGAAGUUUGGGUGCCCAAAGGGGCACAGGACGCUGCACCGGACGCUCUGUGAGUGCGUCCGGUGAGGUCCUUAGCCGUUAGAACAGUGCCGUGCUUAGGGUUAGGCACCGGACGCUAGCACCGGACGCACCGGGUAGCGUCCGGUCCCUUACCCAGGGAGCUUGCAAAGUUCCCCUGAGCACCGGACGCUAGCACCGGACGCACCGGGUAGCGUCCGGUCCCAUGCGCAGGGAGCAUGUAAAGUUUCCCCGAGCACCGGACGGUGCACCGGACGCUGCUAGUUAGCGUCCGGUGACCUGUCAGAGUAAAACGCAGGUAGCCAUUAUGUCACACCGGACACUCGGUGCAGUGCCUCCGGUGCAACAUAAUGUGCGUCCGGUGACCCCGUUUUCAGUGGAAAAUGGUUGGCCGACCCUUGGACUUGGUGGAUAGUAUUUAUACUCCUCCACCUCGUCCAUGAGAUCUCUCUUGCCCAUUUGAACAUCAGAGAACCUUGUAGUGGAGCAAGAGAGUUGCAAGAGCUUAGAGAGGAUUGAGAUUUGAGUGAUUUCUUGAGAGAAUCCUGUUCUAGUGAGUUCCAAGAGUCAAGUGUGCAUCCACCACUCUCUAGUGCCUUGUUUGGGUCAAGUGAGAGUUCGUUGCUUGUUACUCUUGGUGAUCGCCAUCACCUAGACGGUUCGGUGGUGAUUGGAGGCACGAAGAUCACCCGGAGUUCUUGUGGGUGGCUCGUGUCAAGCUUGUGAGCGGUUUUGGGUGAUUCACCGCGACGGAGUGUCGAAGAAUCAGACCGUAGAGAGCACUUGGUCCUUGCGCGGACCAAGGGGGAGCAAGACCCUUGCGCGGGUGCUCCAACGAGGACUAGUGGAGAGUGGCGACUCUCCGAUACCUCGGCAAAACAUCGCCGAGCACUUUCUUCACUACUCCUUUACUUUCUAGCAUUUACUUUGUGCUUUUACAUUCUUAGAAUUGCCAUGCUAGAAUAGGAUUGGAACUAGGUUGCAAAACUUUUAUCCGGUAGCUCUCUAAGUCACACUAGGCACAAGGGGUUGAAUUGGAGCUUAUAGGUUGGUUAAAUUUUUAGAGAAGCCCAAUUCACCCCCCCUCUUGGGCAUCUUGAUCCUUUCAAUUGGUAUCAGAGCCUAGUGCUCAUUAUUUAUGCUUCACCGCCUAGAGAAAGAUGUCUAACGGGGAUGGACCGCCACCCAUGUUUGAUGGGGAUGACUUCCCGUAUUGGAAAAUACAGAUGGAGUCAUACCUUGAGGCAUGCGAUGUCAAGUGCCUAAAAGCCGCGACCGAAGGGUUUGCCCCUCCCGAAAGAGCCACCGCUCUUACUCCACAAGAGCAAGAGAACGAGAAGUGGAAUGCAAAGGCCAAAAACCACAUCUUUAGAGGUCUUUGCAAAGAGGUGUUCAACCAUGUUCGGAGCCACAAAACCGCCAAUGAACUUUGGAAGGAACUUUGUGCGCUCCAUGAGGGAACUAAGAGUGAACGCGAGGAACGCUAUCACCUAGUGAUGAACAAGCUUAAUACAUUUGAAAUGCUUCCUAAAGAAAAUGCUAAUGAAAUGUACUCUCGCUUGAAUGUCAUUGUAGAGGAGCUAAAUGGACUUGGGCUUACACAAAUGAGUACGGCGGAUGUAGCAAGGAAGAUACUAUGUGUGCUUCCCAUUGAGAAAUAUGGGCACAUAGUAACCAUGCUUCAUCAAGGCGAUCUUUCCACCGCUACACCAACCACCAUAUUGGGGAAGAUCAAUGCUCAUGAGAUGUACAUGCACAUGAACCCUCAAGAUGGCUCCUCGUCGGCCAAGAAAGAAAAGAAGGACUUGGCUCUCAAAGCUUCACAAAAGGGCAAAGCCAAGAAGAUUGAAGUUGAGUCAUCAACUUCAAGUGAUGAUGAUGCAUCUAUUGCCCUCUUGGUGAGAAGAACCACAAAGAUGUUGAAGAAGCUCAACAAAAAUGGAGUCAACUUUGACUCCAAGAAGAAGAAGUUCUUCACAAGUAGCAAGAGGAAGCCCAUCUCCGAGAUGGAUUGCUACAAUUGUGGUGAGCUUGGUCAUCUUGCCCAUCAAUGUCCAAAGCCCAAGAAGGACAAGUACAAGAAGAAGAACAAAGAGCAAGAUGAUUCAAGUGAUGAUGAGAAGAAUGACAAGAAGCAAUACAAGAAGAAAGGUGGUAAGAAGAAGGAGCACUAUAAGAAGAAGAAUGGCAAGGCUUACAUUGUUGGUGAUUGGCUCACCGACAUUGAGAGCUCAAGUGGUGACUCCUCCAGCAAUGAAAGUGAUGAUGAGAAGGUUGCCGCCAUCGCCAUCGACGCUCCAUCACCAUCAUCUUCACCACCAUCUACAUCCUCUACACACCUAUGCCUCAUGGCUAAGGGUGACCGGAAGGUACAAAGUGAGGAUGAGAGUAGUGAGAGUGAUAGUGAAUAUGAAUCACCUUCUUAUGAUGAACUUGUAAAAUUGCUGAACAAGUACACUAAAGUCAUAAGAAAGUCUAGAAGUGAAAAUGAAAAGCUUGAACUUGAAAAUGAAACACUUCUAGCAAAACUUAAGUCUAGUGAUGAGCUUAGAGAUCAAAAUGAAAUUAUGACCACUAAGCUCAAGGAGCUCAAACUCUCUCUAAAAGAGCUCAAAGAAAAACAUGAUAAACUUGAGAGUGUUCAUGAUGAGCUUAUCACUAGAUAUAGAGCAAUGAAAGAAGAGCUAACAACUCUAAAAGCAAACUAUGACAACCUUGAGAUUGCUUAUGAACUUGCAAUUGAUGAAACACAUGUUGCUACUAACAAUGUUGCUAAGCUUGAUGUAGCAACAUCUUGUGAUGACUUACUUGUGGAGAGCACAAGCAAAUGUGUUGAUUGCAAGGGCAAGAAAGUGGUAGUGGCCGAGAGUUAUGAGGACACUAUCAAGCUCAAGGAUGAGAUUGUCAUGCUCAAGAAAUAAUUGCAAGAACAAGCCAAGCACAAGACAAUUGUGAUUGAGUCACUUGAUCAAGACAAGAAACUAGCAUAUGAGAACAAGUUACUCAAAGAAGAAAAUCAAUAUCUCAAGCUUGGUUUGAUGUAUGACAAGCAAGAAGAAGAUGAGACAUUCAUCUUGGAUGAGUUAGCUAGCAACAAUGACCCAAUCAUCAAGAAGCUAACUCAAGAGAACAACAAGCUCAAGAAAGAGAAGGAACACCUAACCAUGGGGUUAGCAAAGUUCACAAAGGGAAAGGACCUUCAAAGUGAGCUUUUUAUGAACAUCGUCAUGAAGAUGGACAAGAGUGGAAUUGGCUACAAGGCUCAUCAAACAAAGCUCAUCAAGUCACUAGCCACUCAUGAUCAACCAAGCAAGACAAAGCCCAAGAGAUGCUUUGAGUGUGGUCAAGAAGGACACUUUGCUCAUGAGUGCAAGGCACCACUACCACCACCCUUGCCCAAGCAUGCAAGACCAUUUGCCUUCAAUGCUCACUACAUUGUAAGGAAAGACAAGAGUGGCAAGGUCAAGGUUAGCUUCAUGGGGCCACCAAACAAGCAAAGGCCAAAGAAAAUUUGGGUGCCAAAGCAACUAGUAGAUAAGGUCAAGGGCCCUAAGCAAAUGUGGGUCCCAAAAUCUCAAGCUUGAUCUCUUGUGUGUAGGUGAACUACAAGACCGGUGGAUCACAUUGGGUAAUUGAUAGUGGUUGCACUCAACAUAUGACCGGAGAUCCCCGGAUGUUCACCUCUCUUGAUGAAGAUGUUGACAACCAAGAGAAGAUCACAUUUGGUGACAAUUCAAAAGGGAAAGUCAAGGGACUAGGAAAGGUUGCUAUAUCAAAUGACAACUCCAUCACCAAUGUGCUCUACGUGCAAUCUUUAAGUUUCAAUUUGCUCUCGGUUGGACAAUUAUGUGACCUUGGAUUUGAAUGCCUAUUCAAGAAGAAGGAAGUAAUUGUGACCAAGGAAAAUGACAAUGAAGUGAUAUUCAAAGGCUUCCGGCACAACAACUUAUAUGUGGUUGACUUCUCAUCCAAUGAAGUUAAUGUCAAGACUUGCUUAUUCACCAUGACCUCUCUUGGGUGGUUGUGGCAUAGAAGGUUAGCACAUGUUGGAAUGGGCACACUCAAGAAGUUAAUGAAGAAAGAAUUGAUUAGAGGCUUGAAGGAUGUAACAUUUGAAAAGGACAAGCUUUGUAGUGCAUGUCAAGCGGGCAAACAAGUUGCAAACACUCAUCCAACCAAAGCCUAUCUCUCUACUUCAAGAGUGCUUGAGCUACUUCACAUGGAUUUGUUUGGACCAACCACAUAUGCUAGUCUUGGAGGCAACAAAUAUUGUUUGGUCAUAGUUGAUGAUUACUCUCGGUACACUUGGACAUUCAUUUUGCAAGACAAAGCCGAAGUUGCAUCAAUAUUCAAGAAGUUUGCAAAGAAUGCCCAAAAUCAAUUUGAUGUGAAGAUCAAGAAAAUUAGAAGUGACAAUGGCAAAGAGUUUGACAACACCAACAUUGAAGAGUAUUGUGAUGAAGUGGGAAUCAAGCAUGUGUUCUCCUCAACAUACACACCACAACAAAAUGGGGUUGUAUAAAGAAAGAACCGGACUUUGAUUACCUUGGCAAGAACAAUGCUAGAUGAGUAUAACACUUCGGAGAAGAUGUGGGCCGAGGCAAUCAACACCGCAUGCUAUGCGUCAAACCGACUCUUUCCUCACAAGUUCCUAGAGAAGACACCAUAUGAGUUGCUCAAUGGGAAGAAGCCCGAUGUCUCAUUCUUUAGAGUGUUUGGGUGCAAGUGCUACAUAUACAAGAAGCGCCAACACUUGGGAAAGUUCCAAAGAAGAUGUGACAUUGGCUACUUCGUUGGCUAUUCAUCAAAGUCCAAAGCAUAUAGGGUCUUUAGCCAUGCCACAAACAUGGUUGAAGAAACAUUUGAUGUUGAAUUUGAUGAAACUAAUGGCUCCCAAGGAGCAAGUGAUAAUCUUGAUGAUGUAGGUGGUGAACCAUUGAGGGAUGCCAUGAAGAACAUGCCGGUGGGAGACAUCAAGCCAAAAGAAGAUGAUGAUGAUGUGCAAGUCAUUGAGCCACCAUCCACCUCACAAGGACCACAAGAUGAAGACAAGCAUGUGAGAGAUGCCCAUGAAGACACUCAAGUCACUCAUGAGCAAGCGGUGGCACAACAACAAGAUGUUGAUGCUCCCCAACCAACCCCUCAAGUGGCACCAAGAAGAACAUCACAUCUCCUCCAAGAUCACUCUUAAGAUCUUAUCAUCGGGAGUCCAUCACGUGGUGUAACUACUCAUUCUAUACAUGCUUUAUUUAUUGAACAUCACGCUUUUGUGUCUCUUGAAGAUGAACCAAAGACUAUAGAGGAAGCUCUUCGUGAUGCGGAUUGGAUCAUGGCCAUGCAAGAGGAGUUGAACAACUUCUCUCGCAACCAUAUGGACACUUGAAGAGCGACCCAAAGAUGCAAGAGGGAUUGGAACAAAGUGGGUCUUCCGGAACAAGAAGGAUGAUCAAGGAAAAGUGGUGCGCAACAAGGCAAGGCUUGUGGCAAAAGGCUUUUCACAAGUGGAAGGUCUUGACUUCGGUGAAACCUUUGCACCCGUGGCAAGACUUGAAGCAAUCCGUAUCCUACUUGCAUAUGCAUCAAGUCAUGAUAUCAAAUUAUUUCAAAUGGAUGUGAAAAGUGCCUUUUUAAAUGGUUUUAUUAAUGAGCUUGUCUAUGUUGAGCAACCACCCGGUUUUGAAGACCCUAGGUACCCCAAGCAUGUCUACCGGUUGUCCAAGGCACUCUAUGGUCUCAAGCAAGCUCCUAGAGCUUGGUAUGAGAGGCUUAGGGACUUCCUCGUUGAGAAGGGCUUCAAGAUUGGGAAAGUUGACACAACACUCUUCACCAAGAAUAUGAAUGGGGAAAUCUUCAUGUGCCAAGUUUAUGUUGAUGAUAUUAUUUUUGGCUCUACUAAUGAAGAUUUUUGCAAGGAAUUUGGUGAUUUGAUGUCCAAGGAGUUUGAGAUGUCCAUGAUUGGCGAGCUAUCCUUCUUCCUAGGAUUUCAAGUCAAACAAAUGAAGGAAGGGGUCUUCAUCUCUCAAGAGAAGUACAUUCAAGAUCUUCUCAAGAGGUUCAAGAUGAUGGAUUGCAAGCCAAUCAACACUCCCAUGGCAUCAAAUGGGCAUCUCGACUUGGAUGAGGGAGGUAACCCCAUUGAUAAGACUCUCUAUCGCUCCAUGAUAGGAAGUCUACUCUACCUCACCGCAUCUAGGCCCGAUAUAAUGUUUAGUGUGUGUAUGUGUGCAAGAUAUCAAGCAAUGCCUAAGGAAUCUCACUUGAUUGCGGUCAAGAGAAUUCUUAGGUAUCUAAAAUACACACCUUGCCUAGGCUUGUGGUAUCCCAAAGGUGCAAGAUUCCAAAUUGUAGGCUAUUCCGAUUCGGAUUAUGCCGGGUGCCGGAUUGAUAGAAAAAGCACAUCCGGAGGAUGCCAUUUCCUAGGUAGAUCACUUGUCUCUUGGAUGUCAAAGAAACAAAAUAGUGUUGCUUUGUCAACGGCCGAGGCGGAAUACAUAGCCGCCGGUGCUUGUUGUGCACAAAUACUCUACAUGAAACAAACUUUGCUAGACUAUGGAGUAGUACUAGACAAAGUACCUUUGUUGUGUGACAAUGAAAGUGCCGUAAAACUUGCAAACAACCUGGUUCAACACACCCGCACAAAACAUAUUGACAUCCGCCACCACUUCCUUAGGGAUCACGUUGCAAAAGGUGACAUAUCCAUAGAGAAUGUGGGAACGGAAAAUCAAUUGGCGGAUAUCUUCACAAAACCCCUAGAUGAAGCUAGGUUUUGUAUGUUGAGAAAUGAACUUAAUGUGCUUGACCUAUCCAACUUCGCUAAAAGAUAAAAGUUGUGUGUUGAAUCUUGUAAAUAACUUUUGCUUUGCCUAUCAUGCAUGCUAAAACUAAAAAUACAACUUGCAUGUAGGGCUUGUCUAACAUGGUUAAGAUAACCCCAUUGAGUGUGUGAAAAAGCUUAACCUUGGAUCAAACUUGACAAGCAUUAGUUUACUUUCAAGUAUUGCAUUACAACUCAUAUCAUAUGCAUUCUUGUUAGUUGAUCUUUUUCUUUUCGGUUAUUCGUUGAGCAUCCGCUGUGUUCGUCCAUAGAAAGGGGGAGCAUUCCAAGCUCAUUAUGAUUUAAACCCCUAACUUUAUGGCCAUACGAUGCUCCUUGGUGAUUUUCUCGAACUAUUUUCAUAAAAAUCUACUAAGCCUAUGGCUAAAUAUUUGUGAAAAUUUGAGGGUUUGAGAGAAGUCACUCAUACCAGUUCCAUUUGGUAUUCAUUUGUGUGCUUUUGAAGAUGGAACUUGGUUGGGUCAAAGUCGGACGUGGUGCUUAGUUGAAAAAGUGCUCAGAGGAGCACCGGACGAUGCACCGGACGCUGCCUCUGAGCGUCCGGUGCGGUGUGUGUGCCAGAUUGCACGCACCGGACGCAGGAACAGUGUUCUUGCAGCGUCCGGUGUGGUGCGUCCGGUGCUCACCUGGCGUGACCUGAAGCACCGGACGCUAAAGCCAGCGUCCGGUGCCCAUCGUCCGGUGCAAAGCCAAAAUGCAAUCCUCUCUGCGCAUGAGUCCGGUGGUCACCGGACGCGUCCGGUGCCACAUAAAGAGCGUCCGGUGACCCGUGGCGGGCGCAUAAAACCCGCGCCCAGGGGUAUCUCGCGGGCGUUUCUAUUUCCUCUCCCGUCAUCUGUCCGAGUCCGCGCCUUGCCCUAGAUCUCCAAGCCGCCGCCGCCAUUGAUCCUUGGUGAAUCCACGGCGCCCUCGGCCUUCCCUCACGCCAGAUCUGCCCCAGAUCUUCUCCUCCCUCUUGUCUUCGCGUGGUUCUCCAAAUCCCGCAGAGAUUCAAGGGUGUGGGUGAGUUCUCUGAACUAUGCCCGCAAGGUGCUCGAGCUUUUGUGUCAAUGACUUUCGAGUUAGGUUUUGAUUCCAAUCUCGAUGGUCUUCUCGUUGCAGCACCUCUAGGAGAAGAUUCGUGGUCUCCGGAGGUUUCCGAUCGCGACUUUUCAAUCCGGAACGCGUCUCGUUAGUCGAUCGUAAGCCGUUCGUGCCCGUAUCUUAUCUUUUCUUGCGAUCCAUAGGUUUAUCUCAUCUCCAGUCGAUGUAUCUUCUUAUAUAGUUCCUAUCUUGUCAAUUCUCUGCAGUACAUUGUUCUCCAUUGCCAGUCAGUUGCUUGUCGGACGCUUGAUUUGCUAUGGCUCGUACCAAGAACGUCAGUGGACCGACAGCCGGCUCAGGAGGUUCCCCAGGAGGCGAUGGUGGAGGUGAUCCUCCUCGUCGUUUCUCAGCGGUAGAGAAAGGCAAGGGAAAGAAGCUGGCUACCAAGAAGCGCAAGGCCAGUGACAGAGAUGCAGAGGUCGCAGAGGCAGUUGCAGCAACAGCUGAGGCAGCCGAGAGGGGUGGUCGUUCUGGUUCUCUGAGGAUUGGGGAUGAUCUUACGCCGCGUCAGAGGCGUGCAGUGCUUGAGGCAGAGGCUUUCCAUGGAUCCCCUCCAGGCACCGUGACGAUUGGAGGACAGAGGGUUAGGCUUGUGGUCAGGGAUCCAGCUCAGGAGGAUCCAGACACUGAGACAGAGACCCAGGCAGAGGGUCCAGCACAGGAGCAGGAGCAGGAGCAGCCACUCAGGAGGUCGACUCGUGCUCGUACCCAGGCCGUUCCUCGGACCGGCACGCCGGGUCAGUCCACUUCCACAGCUCGUGCCACACCAGCGAGAGGUACACCAGCUUCACGCCCGAGGACAGUCAGGAUCCACAGGGAUCUUUCUCUUGUGUCAGCCAGAGAGAUCCAGCAGCUGAGGUUCGUUCCGUUUCCCACCUGGUUUCCAGCUGCCAGGGAUCCUAGAGCCGGUGCCAGGUUCUACACAGUCAUCCAGGAGGACAUCUACGAGGCACUGGUUCGCUCUCAGGCUCAGUUCAGGGAGCACAGAGUGAUCGACCUGGAGAUACUGGGGAACAUGGUUGGAGCUGAUAUUCGCCAGUACUUUACCUACCUCCACGGACUUCUAGAGUUACUAGCACUCCCCGGGACUUACUGUGAGCAGUGGGUCAGAGAGUUCUACGCGUCAGUGUGGAUUUCUCCAGAUCACAGCUAUAUCCACUACGCACUGGCGGGGACAGACUACAGAGUGACAGCUCAGAGGGCCAGAGAGGUGCUUGGACUGCGAGCCUCUUCCACCAAGAUUCACCAGCUGUGCUACGGGAACGUGGAUCCCCCUCGUCGUCCUCACGGUGGUGAUAUACCACCAGUUGACUUCGUGGCUCCCUGUUUCCGUGCACCUUUUGGGGAGGGCUCCAGCAGGACAGUGGCAGACUUGACACGCCCAGCCAGGAUCCUUGACUUUGUGUUGAGGAAGACUCUUCUCCCCAGGACAGGCUACAGAGAUGGAUUCACUCGUAUGCAGCAGUGGCUCGUCGCUCACCUUAUCUCCCAGACGCAGUUUGACUUGUCGGAUCUUAUGGUCUCAGAGAUAGAGGACACCAUCUCAGAGAGCUUCAGGGGACGGCGUCAGUUGCCCUACGCACAUUGGAUCACCCUGGUUAUACUUCGUGCUAGGCCACUGCCCCUGCCAGCUCACUUGCAGAGGGAGUUGACAGAGUCAGACACCGUCCUCCCCCACUACGACCCCCGGCAGAUGUUGAGAGCGCACCACGACCUUCGCGGUGCACCUCCUCCUCAUGCUCCACGUGGACCGGUGCCCCCACCUUCUCCUAGGGGCACCCGCAGUACAGCAGCAGUUGCUGAGACAGAGGAGCAGCAGGAUAUAGCUAUUGGGGCUUUCGCCGAUGCAGAGGCAGAGGGCGAGUUUGACUUCGCCUCAGACAGUUCAGACGACGACUAUCAGCCGUCAGUGACAGAUCUCCCUCCCAGAGCACACGACCACGAGGCAGGCGGUUCUUCGAGUGCUUCAGACCCUGCCCUGCUUGCUAUUCUAGAGGGGAUGAGGGCAGAUCAGCGUCGUGCAGCUGAGGAGCAGGCGAGGCGCGACAGGGAUCAGGCUGCCAUCAAUGCCGCCAUGCAGGCCAGGAAGGAUGAUCUCCAGCGUCAGCUUCUCACAUUUCAGGAGCAGCAGCUUGCUUUCCAAGCCCAGCAGACCGCGAUGAUGGCCGCUCUCAUGGCCACCUCCGGGAUUCAGCUACCACAGAUUCAGCUCCCAGGCACGUCGUCAGUCAGGCCCCCUACUCCUGCGCCCCAGACUCAGAGCCCGUCUCAGCAGCCGCUCCAGCUACCAGCUCAGAGUCAGCCGUUUUCGACGCCACAGCACCAGCUCUCUCAGGGUGCCAUCUCUUUAGGCUUUGAGCAGGUACCGCAGUUUACCCCUCUCCGCUCAGGUUUCACACCUCAGUCAGCUUCAGCGUCACAGCUUGUGUGGGACUCGCAGACAGAUCCGCACCUCAGCUUCACCUACAGUGCUCUGACUGGUGACCCUAUGCCUCCUCCUCUGCAGGCUCCUGCAGUCUUUACGGCGCCAGGUACCACUAGAGAGCUUCUGUCGUCGUCCGUAGCGUCGUCCGAGCAGCUUGCACCAUCUACUACCGUACCAGAGACGACAGCUACAGCGACCGAGUCCGUGCCAGCCUCGUCCGCCGGACUUGAGCAGCCAGCACAGCCUGUGACAGCGCCAGAGCAGACCCGGACCGCUUCUCCAGCACCUGCGGCUUCAGAGGGUCACUCCACCUCCUCCGCCUCGACGGCCGAUAGUUCAGAUGAUGCAACUCGCUUCGUGGCCGCGCCAAGGGACUCUUCUGCUCCGCCUCCUCCGCCGACUUCUUAGGUUUUUGGCGCUUGAUGCCAAAGGGGGAGAGAGUGCGUAUGAGAGAGUUAGAAGUGAGGGGGAGCUAGAGAGGGAGUUUAUUCUUUUGAGAUACUCUUUAUGUGUGCUACUUUAUCAUGCAUCACGUUUACUUUUAUGCAGUGCACUUGUGUGAGAUACUAUGGUUCUGAGACAUGAUUUGUGCUUUAUGUGAUAUCAUAAUGUCAUGUGUUUUGGCUCAUUCUACCUUUGCUUCCGCGUUGUACUCCGAUAUUCUUAUGAGCCUAGUGUUUAUAUCCUGUCGUAUUCCACUCACAUAUUUGGAUGCAGGGUAUUGGACUUGGUUGAUAUAAGCAUUACUAAUCCUUUUGUUCUUAUUGUAAUAUGCUUAUUGAAACCAAGUCUCUUUAAAAACCUCAACUCUUUUCAUACUCGAGGUUGUCAUCAAUCACCAAAAAGGGGGAGAUUGAAAGAGCAUCUAGGCCCCUAAGUGAUUUCGGUGAUUAAUGACAUUGUUGAUUACUAUGACUAACGUGAGUUUUGCAGAGACAAAGUCAUAGGUAAGGUCAUGGUAAACAGGGACUCGAUGAACAGGGACGUACAUGCCUACUUAAUAGUGGAAAUCGUUUCGGUUUUUAAAGGAUGGAUGGACAUCGUCGAAACUAGACUAGGUCUAAGUGCCAUAUGGUGAAGAAGGGCACUUAGAGUAGUUUAGGACUUUGUUUUCCUUUGACCGUACUAUUAAGAGGGGCUUUGAUCUAGUAGCUUGACUUAGGCAAGGCUUUAGGUUUAGGUGUGGUGCACACUUGGUAAACCUAGCACUAGGCAGCUCAGAGAUAGUCCUUAGAUCGAGAGAAACAAACUUCGUGUUGAAGCGAUCACGUUUCGACGAAGUUUGGGUGCCCAAAGGGGCACCGGACGCUGCACCGGACGCUCUGUGAGUGCGUCCGGUGAAGUCCUUAGCCGUUAGAACAGUGCCGUGCUUAGGGUUAGGCACCGGACGCUAGCACCGGACGCACCGGGUAGCGUCCGGUCCCUUACCCAGGGAGCUUGCAAAGUUCCCCUGAGCACCGGACGCUAGCACCGGACGCACCGGGUAGCGUCCGGUCCCAUGCGCAGGGAGCAUGUAAAGUUUCCCCGAGCACCGGACGGUGCACCGGACGCUGCUAGUUAGCGUCCGGUGACCUGUCAGAGUAAAGCACAGGUAGCCGUUAUGUCACACCGGACGCUCGGUGCAGUGCGUCCGGUGCAACAUAAUGUGCGUCCGGUGACCCCGUUUUAAGUGGAAAACGGUGGGCCGACCCUUGGACUUGAUGGAUAGUAUUUAUACUCCUCCACCUCGUCCAUGAGAUCUCUCUUGCCCAUUUGAACAUCAGAGAACCUUGUUGUGGAGCAAGAGAGUUGCAAGAGCUUAGAGAGGAUUGAGAUUUGAGUGAUUUCUUGAGAGAAUCCUCUUCUAGUGAGUUCCAAGAGUCAAGUGUGCAUCCACCACUCUCUAGUGCCUUGUUUGGGUCAAGUGAGAGUUCGUUGCUUGUUACUCUUGGUGAUCGCCAUCACCUAGACGGUUCGGUGGUGAUUGGAGGCACGAAGAUCACCCGGAGUUCUUGUGGGUGGCUCGUGUCAAGCUUGUGAGCGGUUUUGGGCGAUUCACCGCGACGGAGUGUCGAAGAAUCAGCCCGUAGAGAGCACUUGGUCCUUGCGCGGACCAAGGGGGAGCAAGACCCUUGCGCGGGUGCUCCAACGAGGACUAGUGGAGAGUGGCGACUCUCCGAUACCUCGGCAAAACAUCGCCGAGCACUUUCUUCACUACUCCUUUACUUUCUAGCAUUUACUUUGUGCUUUUACAUUCUUAGAAUUGCCAUGCUAGAAUAGGAUUGGAACUAGGUUGCAAAACUUUUAUCCGGUAGCUCUCUAAGUCACACUAGGCACAAGGAGUUGAAUUGGAGCUUAUAGGUUGCUUAAAUUUUUAGAGAAGCCCAAUUCACCCCCCCUCUUGGGCAUCUUGAUCCUUUCAAGGGGGAGGUCACAUUGAACGGUCGAUUAAGGACCGCGAUAAAUGACCUCUUGGCCUCCUGGGAGCUCGAGCCUUCGGACGAGUCGAAGGAGGAGGUUCGAGGCGACGCGCUGGUCGAUCAGCUGUGCUACCUAGGCGCGACGCUGAGGGAUCGAGCGCGGGACGCUCUUCAUACCGGGGUGAAGCGGGCAAUGGCGGUUGUCUGCUCAAGCUUUUCUUACGAUAUGGAGGUGGUGUCCCACGGCUUCGUCACCGACAUCUCCAAAACUGACGCAGAGAACGAGGACAGGCUCCACGUCUUGAUCGACGAUGCAGAGGCCCCUGGGGAAAGGUUGGCAAAGUUGAUCGAGCCGGAAGUUCUUCCUCCCGAUGCGGAGGCCCCUGUGAAUAUCUGCUAACUUUUAUGCUUGGAAUUCCUUUGCUUCCUCGUUUGGUUUUUUGUUGAGGCGACCUCAAUUGCCUCAAGGGUGAGGGAGUGAGUAGAGUUACCGUAGCCCGAGGGCGUAGGUGUUCUCAGGCUCGUCAUCUCUCGGCCCUUAAGGGGUUUGAGGUGCCUUUACUACUCGACCGUGUGAGGCAUACUUAAAGGAAAAAAUCGUUCGGUUUUUAGGAACCUGGGGGGUCCCCCCUGCUAGCCCCCGAGGGGGUAUCGACUAUGAUGGGUCAUAGUUGGUACUCCCUUUGAACGUCGAGAUUUUGACCAAUGGAAAAGUAAAUUACUCAAGGGAAAGAUCUCAUUCGUUCAUGCAUUCAUUCAUAAAAUAUUGGUACAGAUUGUACAUGAGAACAUAAAGCUUUUAAACUCUAGGGGUAGAAUCGACGUAGCUGCUCGAUGUUCCAUGCGUUGGUGAAGACUGCCCCUUUUUCGUCCGCGAGCUUGUAUGUCCUUGGCUUCAGGACCUCGGCCACCACGUACGGGCCCUCCUAGGGCGGAGUCAACUUGUGGCGCCCUUGGUUGCUUUGCCGCCGCUGUAGGACAAGAUCGCCCACGUUCAGAUCCCUUUUACGCACGUGAUUGUCAUGGUAGCGUCGAAGCUUCUGCUUGUAUCUGGCGGAGUUGAGGAGGGCCAUGUCUUGAGCUUCCUCGAGCUGGUCGACCGUGUUCUCUCGAGUCUCCUUAUUUAUCUGCUCGUUGUAGGCUUUGAGUCGAGGGGACCCAUAUUCGUGGUCUAUUGGAAGCACGGCCUCAGAGCCGUAGACCAUGAAGAAUGGGGUGUAUUUGGUGGCCCUGCUAGGCGUCGUCCUUAAGCUCCAUAGGACCGAAGAGAGAUCUUCGACCCAUUUCUUGCCGAAUUUCUUCAACCGGUUGUAGAUUCUUUGUUUGAGUCCUUGCAAUAUCAUGCCAUUGGCACGCUCGACCUGGCCAAUAGUUUGGGGGUGGGCUACUGCGGACCAGUUCACACGGAUGUGAUGCCGUUCACAGAAGUCCAAGAACUUUUUGCCGGUGAACUGGGUGCCUUUGUCAGUGAUGAUGACAUUGGGAAUCCCAAACCGGUGGAUGAUGUCAGUGAAGAAGAGGACGGCCUGCUCAGAGUGGAUGUUCGUGAUGGGUCGAGCUUCGAUCCAUUUGGAGAAUUUGUCGAUGGCCACCAACAAAUGGGUGUAUCCUCCUACUGCUUUCUGUAGAGGCCCGACGAGGUCGAGACACCAUACCGCGAACGGCCACGUGAUGGGGAUCAUCUAGAGAGCAUGGGCGGGAAGAUGCGUCUGCUUGGCGUAAAAUUGGCACCCGUGGCAUGACCGUACGAGCUCGAUGGCGUCGGCUAUGGCCGUUGGCCAGUAGAAGCCUUGUCGAAAUGCAUUCCCCACGAGGGUCCGCGGAGUAGCGUGGUGGCCGCAAGCCCUCGAGUGUAGAUCCUCGAGGAGUUUUCGGCCUUCUUCUAUAGUGAUACAUCGCUGUAAGAUUCCUGUCGGGCUUCAUCGGUAUAAUUCCUUAUUUUCGCCGUAGAUUAUGUAUGAUUUGGCUCGUCGAGCGAUACGGCGGGCCUCGGAUCGGUCUUCUGGUAGCUCGCAUCGAAUCAGGCAGUCGAGGAAUGGCGUGCGCUAGUCAAACAGUCGACCCGGUCGCUGUUCCGCUUCCAUCACUUCUGCCGCUUCCAGCAGGGCGUUGAUGGAGUCAGUCUGUCGGAGGGUGGUGGUUUCGACGUCGGCCCUCGAGCCUAAGUCGACCGAUGGUUCGUGCAAGUCCCUCGAGAACACGUCGGGCGGGACCGUGCCUCGAGUCGAGGUGAUCUUGGUGAGUUCGUCGGCUGUCUCGUUGUAGCGUCGGGCGAUGUGGACGAGCUCGAGGCCGUGGAACUUGUCCUCGAGCCGACGUACUUCCUUGCAAUAUGCUUCCAUUUUCGGGUCGUGGCAGUUUGAGGCUUUCAUCACUUGGUCGAGGACGAGUUGGGAGUCACCUCGAACGUCGAGGCGUCGAACUCCUAGCUCGAUGGCGAUCUUUAGCCCAUUGACAAGGGCCUCAUAUUCCGCGACGUUGUUGGAUGCAGCAAAAUGUAUUCUGAUGACAUAGCUCAUAUGGACACCGAGGGUCGAAACGAAUAGCAGUCCCGCCCCAGCUCCCGUCUUCAUGAGAGACCCGUCGAAGUACAUCGUCCAUAGUUCCGCUUGAGCUUGAGCUGGGGGGAGCUGCGAGUACGUCCAUUCUGCGACGAAAUCCACCAGAGCUUGAGACUUGAUGGCUUUGCUGGGUGCAUAAGUGAGGGUCUCACUCAUGAGCUCGACCGACCAUUUGGCGAUUCUUCCCGUGGCCUCCCGACUUUGGAUGAUCUCACCCAAGGGGAAGGACAAGACCACCGUGAUAGGGUGGCCGAGGAAGUAGUGCUGCAGCUUGCGUCGGGCGAGGAUCACUGCGUAGAUUAUUUUCUGGAUCUGUGGAUACCGUGCCUUGGUUUCUGAGAGUACCUCGCUGAUGAAGUAGACCGGCCUCUGGACUGGCAGCGCAUGCCCUUCUUCCUGUCUUUCGACCACUACUGCCGCACUGACCACCUGGGUCGUCGAGGCAACGUACACAACCAGAGGUUCUGCGAGCUGAGGCGGGACCAGGACCGAGGCAGAGGUCAGUGUUUUCUUCAGGUUUUCGAGGGCUUCCUCGCCUUCAGGGGUACAAGAGAAACGCUCGGCUUUUUUUCAAGAGCCGAUACAGUGGCAAUGCCUUUUCUCCCAACCUUGAGAUAAAAUUACUUAGCGCUGCCAAAUAUCUCGUGACUUUCUGCACUCCCUUGACGUCUCGGAUCGGCCCCAUUCUCGUGAUGGUCGACACUUUCUCGGGAUUGGCCUCGAUGCCACGCUGGGAAACUAUGUAUCCCCGGAGCAUGCCUCGAGGUACGCCAAAGACGCAUUUCUCGGGGUUGAGCUUGAUCUUAUUGGCGCGCAGGCAACUGAAAGCGAUCUCGAGGUCCCGGAUCAAGUCUCCUUGUUUCUUUGACUUGACGACGAUGUCGUCGACUUAUGCCUCAACCGUUGACCCUAUAUGUUUACCGAACACAUGGAGCAUGCAUCGCUGGUAUGUCGCUCCCGCGUUUCGAAGCCCGAACGGCAUGGUCACAUAACAAUACAUCCCAAAAGGAGUGAUAAAAGAGGUCGUGAGCUGGUCGGACUCUUUCAUUUUUAUUUGAUGGUAACCAGAAUAUGCAUCAAGGAAAGAAAGGGUUUCACAUCCCACGGUAGAGUCAACACUUUGAUCAAUGCGUGGCAAUGGAAAAGGAACUUUCGGACAUGCUUUAUUUAAACUUGUAUAAUCGACACACAUCCUCAUUUUCUCAUUCUUUUUCUUUACUAAUACAGGGUUUGCAAACUAGUCGGGAUGGUGAACCUCCUUGAUGAAUCUGACCGUCAAAAGCUUGUGGAUCUCCUCACCAAUGAUCUUGUGUUUCUCCUCGUCGAAGCGACGCAACCGUUGUUUCACUGGCUUGGAACCGGCUCGAAUUUCCAAGGAGUGCUCGGCUACUUCCCUCGGUAUGCCUGGCAUGUCCGAGGGACUCCAUGCAAACAUGUCGGCGUUUGCACGGAGAAAGUCGACGAGCACGGCUUCCUAUUUGGGGUCGAGGUCGGCGCUGAUCGUCAGCACCUUGCCAUCGGAGCCACUGGGGUCGAGCGGGAUCUUUUUCGUUCCUUCUGCUGGCUCGAAGCUGCCUGCAUGACGCUUGAGCUCCGGAGCUUCUGCGGCCAGGUCCUCGAGCUUGGAGGCGACCUCGUUGGAGUUCUCGACAGCUUCCCCGUAUUCGACGCACUCGACGUCACAUUCGUAUGCGUGCUCGUAGGAGGAGCUGACGGUGAUAACCCCCUUGGGCCCGGGCAUCUUCAGCUUUAGGUAGGUGUAGUUGGGGACAGCCAUAAAUUUGGCGUAGCCUGGACGUCCGAUGAUGGCAUGGUACGUGCCUCGGAAUCCCACCACCUCGAAGGUGUGGACCUCCUUUCUGAAAUUGGCUGCCGUACCAAAACAGACCGGUAGGUCGAUUCGUCCUACCGGCAACGCCUUCUUUCCAGGCAUGACACCAUGGAAACCGCCCGUGCUUGGCUGGAGCUGUGUCCUUUUGAUGCCGAGGAGGUCGAGGGUCUCGAGGUAGAUGAUGUUCAGGCUGCUACCACCAUCCAUCAGCACCUUCGAGAGUCUGGCGUUGACGAUGAUGGGGUCGACGACGAGUGGGUAGACGCCAGGGGCGACUACUUUGUCGGGAUGGUUGUUUUUAUUGAAGGUGAUGGGGGUGCUCGACCAGUUAAGGUACUGGGAUACCGCCAUCCCUGCCGCAAUGACCUCACGGUGCUCCCUCUUGCGCUGCCUUGCAGUCAGCUGUGUCGAGGGUCCGCCGUAAAUCAUGUAGUUGUCGUGGAUAGCCGGGAAACCCUCGUCUUCUUUGUCGUCCCCCUUGUCGCUGCUCUUUUCUUUCUUCUGGUCGUCCUUCUCGAACCCCAGGCCGUCGAAGUGCCUCUUCAGCAUACGGCAGUCCUCGAGCUUGUGGUUCGCCGCUCCCUUAUGGUAAGGGCAGGGCUCCUUCAGCAUCUUGUCGAAGAUAGCUCCUUCAGAGGGGCCUCGAGGUCUUUUACGAUCUAUGGCAGCGACGAGGUCGUCGUCAAGGGCCUCCCGUUGGAAUGGCCGUGCUUUUUUCUUCUUCUUAUUCUUCUUAGGUCCUCGAUUGGGGCCCUCAUCGUCAUCAGCUGGCGACUUGCCUUUGCCCCCUUCGCAACUGAAGAAAGCACCGACCGCUUCCUCCCCUGCAGCGUAGUUUGCCACUACGUCCAUCUGCUCGUCGACGGUCUGAGGGCGAUUCUGGCCUAACUCCCGCACUAAAUCUCAGCUGGUGGUGCCCGAGACAAAGGCCAGGAUGACGUCGUGGUUUGAGAUGUGUGGCAGCUCGGUGCGCUGCUUCGAGAAGGGUCGAGCAUACUCUCAGAGAGUUUCUCCUGACUUCUACUUACACUUGCUGAGGUCCCACGAGUUACCGGGCCGUAUGUAGGUCUCCUUGAAGUUACCCUCGAAUACUCUGACCAAAUCGACCCAAUCGUGGAUCUGGUUGGCCGGGAGCUCCUCGAGCCAUCUACGGGCGGUGUCGGAGAGAAAAAGCGGUAACUGUCGGAUGAUAGCUCGAACGUCCACUCGAGCGCCUCCCAACUGAUAGGCUAACCGGAAGUCCGCCAACCACAGCUCUGGCUUCGUCUCGCCGUUGUAUUUAGCAAUGCUAGUCGGGGGUCGAAACGGGCUGGGCAGCGGCGUGCUGUGGAUUGCUCUGCUGAACACGCGAGGGCCCGGCGGUUUCGGGGCCGUCCGGUCCUAGUCGCUGUCGUACCGCCCGCCGCGGUGGGCGCUGUAACCGCAUUCCUCUGCGUCCCCAUAUCGGCGACGGCGGUGCUCGUCGAUGUCGCGUCGUGCGUUGUGCCGCUGUUGAUUGUCAACAGGGUGGUUGAGGACAAGCGCUGUCUUCUUUCCUCGAGGGGGUGGCUGCUGAUGGACCGAUACCUCCUUUUCGUUCUGGGCCAGCUCCUCACGCCUUUCCGUGGCUGCUCCUCGACGUCGAGAGGCUGAGCUCUCGGCCUACUGAACCGCCGCUACUUGGAGUAGAGUCUGCACCUCGUCUCGAAUUCGCCGCGCCUAGGAGUUCGAGGGCUCCGGCAUGUUGCGUAGCAGCAUCGUUGCUGCGACGACGUUCUGGCCCGCUCGGGGGAAAUGGCUGACGGGCUGCUCCGGCUCCUCGUCUCUGACGAUCUGUCAAUGCACUUCUCGGGCCCGUCUGCGGACACUUCCGCCAGGUGGGUAUGGUUGGUCCUGCUCGAGAAUCUGUUCGAGCAGGACGAGGCGCUCGCGAUCUUCGUCGAGCUUUGUUUUGAGCUCCCGUAGCUGCGCGAGUUGCGCGGCUCUGUCUUCCUGCGACGGGGGGUCGACUUGACCAUCAUUCCCAGGCGUCCUAGGGUCCUCCCUUGCCGCAGGGGCUCGAUCACCGGCGACAGCGUCUCGUGUUUCGUCGGUGGUUUCCACCGCCCCGUCGAUGUGGAAGCAUUCCCUAGUAGGGUCGUAGCUAUCGGACUCUGAGUCGGAAUCUGGCUCAGCGGCGUAAACGCAUCCCCGUCCUUCCUCCAGCAGUCGUUACCUGAGCAAGGUGAUUGUGUAUCGCCCAGGUCCUAAGCAGCGGAGGCCUCGUACCUAGGAGAAAUCCGGCAGCUCGGACGCUUGUUGCCGUGCUUCUGCGUCGCAUGGGAGGACCAUUGGUCGCUCUACGUACGUCUGGGCGUUUGGACAUAUUGUCCUGGCAAACGAUGUUGCGGCGUUGUCCAAGCCAAACGGCGGCGCUCUUCUUGGGGCGAACAACCCAUGCGGGAGUAGCGUCGUGGAGGACGAGGGCGCGCAAGGCGCGCGGUCUCCCAAUGUUGCCGCGUGAUCUUCGUGGCGUCGGGCCGUCAUACCCACGGUUUUGGCGCGCAGGUCUGUCGGCUCCUGCGUCACCCCCCGCCUAGCACGAACUGGCGAUCGCGAGGAGGCGAAGGAGUGGUGGCGGCGCUAUCCACGCCUCUUCUUGGGCGGGGAGGCAUGGUGGCGAGGCCGUCUCGGAGCCCUCAACCGUGCGGGCGUAAUGCGAGCUCCUCCCGGUCCUUUGACUGAGAGCAGGAUCAUGUCAUAGCCGAAACCGGUAGACAUGAACUCGAGGCUCCCGAACCAAAUCACCGUGGAGCGCGGAAUCGGCGAAACAAGAGUGGCCAUCUGGAAAGAAAUGGGAAAUCGGUGAAAAACACGCAGGACCCUUACCUGGCGCGCCAACUAUCGGUGUUUUCCCCCAGGGGGUCACACUAACGAGUAAAAGUAGUGCGUGUCCCCCUUUCCAGAUGGUGAUGCAAGAAAAGACACAAAGAUUUAUCCUAGUUCGGGCAAGAGAAGGCCCUACGUCCAGCGGGGGGGAGAGUGUUUGUAUUAUCUUGCACCUAAGUGUUUGUACAGUGGUGAAUACAGGCGUGGAUGGAUGGAGGUCCCCUGUAUCCGCUACUGGGCGUCCCCUUUUAUAGUUCCAAGGAGAGGCCUAGGUUACAUGUAUAGGCGACAGAGUAGGGGUCAAUAGGGGUAUGGCGCGCUGACCUACUCGAGGCUACCGUACCGGCGUGACUUCGAACCGUCCUGUCUUAGUACCUUGAUGAUGAUUACGCGUGCCCCUGAAUCCUGCUCCUGUGCGCCGUCCUGGACCGGCUUAUCCGUCGCACCCUUGUACGUCGUGACCGCAGCGACGUCUGAGUGGUUGAGGUGCUGUCCAUCGAUGCCCGACCCUUUCCUGGGGAGGAACAUGCCUGCUCGAGGGUCAGGUACCGCACAAAGCCUCGCUGAGCAGAACGUUGACUUCAGGCAUCUCGAGGGAGUCUUGACGGGACAUUCCGACUGUCUUCCUGCGCCCUACUACACUCUGGCACAUUUGGUGGGUAAGGCUGCAAAAAGAACGAUUGGACGGGUGCUGGUUUCCUAUCACGCUUCCCGUGACUGACGGGUUAGGUAAGAACGCGACAGGCACAUUAAAUGCCCUGGUUCCCGUGCCCGCGUCAGGCGGCAGACGGCAUCCUUGCACUCGAGGCCUUUCGAUUCGUACGAGCCUGUUUCCGUAUUCGAGGGUAGCAGGCGCUCGAGCCCCAGUCGAUUCGCACCACGCUCUUUCCGUGUUCGAGGCUACAUACGUCGAUAACCGUUCGUGCGGCCGGGGGGCGUCGAGUCAGGAGCCCUCGAUUUGCGUACGGGAGCUCUCGUCAUGUGCAUCAGUUAGGGUAUCCCUUACUGAUACCCUUGACAGACGGCAAUUCGAAUUGAUUCCUAUCCAGCUGGAGGGUUAUUCCUAGCACUCACCCAAGCAUCCCCCGUCGGAGAGCAAGCGGGUCACCUUUGGUACGACUUAGGAAUCACGGCUCCGAUCAGCGCCGCACUCCCAGGGCUGCCACUCUGCCAGGGAGGUCAGGACUUUUAACUCACCUGCCUUUGGUCUUACGCCAAUGCCCCCUGCACACCGCACUUCCUCCGGUAGUGCGCACUUUAUACUUGCCGGUCUUCCGGCCUGAGUCAUACUACUAGGCUUCACGGUCGGAACGACUUAUCCAGCCAACUAAGUGUUAGGCAUGCGUUCAACAUGACAAGAGGACGUACAGCGAUCGGUCCUUAAUCGACACAGACGAGGAUAGAUCCACACCCAAGACCUCCAUGCCUUGUUGUGUCACUAUCAUCAUCCCGCCCGGUCUCCUUUCAUAUUAUUAACACAUGGAUCUUUUCCACGAUAGCAAAUAUAGCCAACCGUGAUCUAGAAUCCACCUAUAUCCUGCAGGUGAUAGGAAAUCACCUGGCUUCUACCGAGCUAAGCAUGGCUAAGCAUAGACGUGAUCCUGACUAAUUAGGAUCCAGGUUAUAUAUAUACUGGACAAGGAAGGGUAUAUAUAUGUAGCAAGGGUUUCAUCCAACUCCUAUACUUAAUGCAACAAUACAUAUAUAACAUAUAUAUAAUAAUUCACUUUCAAAAAGUAGGAGGCUUGUCAUGCUCCGGGGCUUGCCUGGAAUGUGACACCGAGUCAGAUUAGUUAGCUUGCUCCGUCUUGGUGACAUCUAAGAUCAUAACACUUGCUUAAUAAUUCCAUCUUCAGGAUGAUCCACCAUCACGUCCUUCACAUGGUUCAUCUAGCGUACCUAGAUGACAUGCAAGAUGCAAGUGCACGAACACAUGGAAGUGCAAUAGACAAAGCAUUACACACAAGAAGCAUGGCAAGAGCAUGGUUACACUAAACACACUUAAGCACAUCUCAUUGCUCAACUUAAUGAUUACACAACCAACAUACUAAGCCAACAAGGAAUGCAACACUAAACAUAUUAGACAUGGCAUACAUGUUUCACCAGGUCUCAGGUAUAUUAACUUGGCCAAUACCAAAGACAUGAGUCAUACAUAGCAAUAUACCAAGCAACAGAAAUACAAGGAAUCUGCCAUUUUUAGGACUGUCAACAGCAGUUGAGAAAAUAAAUCAUAACUAGAGUUACACAACUCCAAAAGACAUGAAUUAAGACAUUCUGGAAAGAUUAAGAAAUUAUCUACAUUUUAUAUUUAGACAUCAAAGCAUGAUUCACAACUUAAGCUUGUCGAAAUUAUAAAGUUCCACAAUCUGUCCCUAACAAACAGAGAGCAGCCAUUUCUGGAAUUCAACUUUGAACGGAAAUAACUCACAAACCACAAGGCCAAAUACUACCAAAUUUUAAAAAAUGGUAGAUAAAUGAAUUAUCUACAACUUUGAUAUAAACAAGAUUCCCAGAAAACAACAUUUACAUAUUGUAAAUCAAACAGUUCCAGAAACAACAAUUGCAAACAAUUAAUUAUUAACUUAUGUUUCAAACAUGCAUUUGAGCAAAACCAUUAUUACCAAGAGUUUGCACUUAUCUAAAGAACACCAGAAAACAUAGUGGUCAUUACCAAAUAAAUUUAUUUAAUUCCUUUCUUAAUUUAUUUGUAUAAUAAGGUGAAUUAAAGAACAUAUACCAAACUUGCACAGUAAAUUCUACAAACAUUACAGUAGCUACUACAUACUAUCAGUAGUCUACUGUCCAAAUUUCAUUGCAUUUGAAUAAGCAUAGCAACAUCUAUGAAAAAGAUAAAUUGCUAUUGCAAUUAACCAUGUGAGAAUAAGAUAAAUGCACAAAUCAUAUUUUCUUCAAACACAUGACCAUAUUAUAUGUCAACAUGAUACAACAAUAUCAUAUAAUUGUACAGGACCAACAUUUUCCAUUUUCACAUUUUUAUUUAUAAUUAUAAACCAUUUAUCAAUCCCCAUGAAGACAUCUCUGUUCAAAACAUGGACAAAAUCUGUCAUGCCACAUUAAACAGCUAUAACUUGAGGUUCACAUGUCCAUAAUUUAUGGUUGUGUACUUUCUAGAAAGCUUAUGAAAUUGUGAACAACUUUGUUAUAACAUCUAGAGCUAAAUCUACCACUAACAAGGUCUUACAUUACAAACAAUGCAAUCUAGUCUGGGUUUAGACAGAAACUGGAACCGUACUUUAAACCACUAUAACUAAAUAUGUGCUUAACCAAAAAUUGUGCUAUUUAUCUUUUUGGAAAUCUUAUGAAAAGUACUACAACUCAUAUAUUUUCAUCCAGGCAUGAUUCACAACCUAACUGAGCCAAACAAUAUAAACAUGCAGAACUACUCAGAACAUGAGCAAAGCAACAUAGGGCAAUUGUUAUUUUUAUAACUCUUAAUCUGUCAUUCCUAAAUUCAUGCAAAUUUUACCAGAUAUCAAGUAUUAUAUGCAAAGCAUGUCACAAUAUUUUCACAUUUGUUGGAGCAAUAAUACAGUGGUUAUGAAAACGACAAAUAUAACAAGCAAUUGAAACCUAACUGCACAAAUCUAUUUUUACCGUUAAAACUUCAAACUAAAACAUGCAAUAAUAUAGAUCUACUGCGUAGAGAUUUUCACAGGGAUUCCAAAAAGUCCACAAUUGAUAUUUUACAACGUUUCUACAAAUUACUAUGCAUUUCUAAAUUUUAUCCAUGAAAUCUACAAAAACAAAAGAAAAGGAAAAUAGAUCUUGCACCGGGGACCCUAGAUUUUCCAUGAAUCACGCCACAGCCCAGUAACAAUAUUCUUAUUCUAACCCGAGGUCCUUUCUUCUUCCUAUUAGCGAACAUAGACCGAAGUGGAGAUGGAGAAUGAGGACUCCGGCCGGCCGACGGUUGCUGCAAGGGAAGGCGUGGCCAGGCCCUGGCCAUGUCCUUACGGUCGAAGCAGCAGCAGCACAGUGGGGCGCAGUAGCUUCUGUAGCUGGGCAGCAAGGCACAGAGCAGAGCGCCGGCAGCCAUGGUGGCUCCGCUCUGGGAGGCGCUGGGUUGGAGAGAACGAGCCAGGGGGUGGAGAGGGGUGAGGAAGGCGCUGGGGUGUUUCACCACUUCGACAGCCGGGCGUGGGGAGGGCUCUGGGCGAGCAGCAGAGGAGGAGGGGGCGCACUCGGGCAUGGCAGCCACGUCCUCGCCACGCGUCGUCCAUUGAAGCUUUUCGACGAACAGGUGGCGGGCAUCGAAGUAUCCAAGGUGGGACGCCGAUUCAGGCCUCUUCCAGGCCAAAUUUGGACAUGGGUCUUUAAGCAAAGUUGUCAACCUCGGUUUGCUCUACUAUUUUUGUUUAAGUCUCAUGGUCAUUAGGAUUAUAGAUUAGUAGGUAAUUUGAUGCCAAUCUAUGAGUGUCAAUGAAUUGAUAGUGAUUAGCAAAACCAAGAAUUGAUGGUCUAAACCAUGCCAAACUUGAUGCAACUUUUUACAUGACCUUCUCCAAGUAAUUGUCCACCACUUUUAUUCUUGGACCAACUUUAGUUGCUUAACAAAAACACGAGAACGCGGCAUGCAAACGGGUCGAUGUCCGUUUAGCGAUAAAAUAACUUUUUGCUGUUUUGGGAGCUAAUUUGAAAUAUCCAAAUGAACUCCAAAUUUGAUGAUACUUGAUCCAUUAUUUCCAUGAAAAAGGGUACUCCAACUCAUAUUAAGGAAUCCAAUUGAGUUACCAUAUGAAUUUGGAUAAUAAAAUGUCACAAAGAAGCUAACUUGCUGCUGUCACUUUCCAGGGACUUAGAAUUAUUUCUCAGGGAUAAAAAACAGCAGCUGAUUCGAAUUUGGAGCCUCUGUUUGAACUAUUAGCAUGCUGAUUUGGUUCCUGACCCUUGAAUAAAGUUUCUUCUACAGAAGCAACGCUACAACUUUCAUUUAGGGUCAAACCUCAUAACUGCAAAAGAAGUCAAUCUUUCACUUUGGUCAAAGCAGUAACCCGAUAAAGCUCCAAACUAGGGUUUUAGAGCAAAUAAAACAUUUUCUUGGCACAAGCUCAACAUGAACUCUUCAUGACCUUUGUUGUAGAGUUCAUCUAGAGUCACUUGGUCAAGAUUGCAAGAUUAGGUUAGUAACCCAAGGUUCCAUUCACUUAAUAAGGUCAUUCCAACAAUCAUGUAACUUAUCCUUUCAUUUGACCUUUUGAAUCCAAACUUCACGAAACUUUUUGAGUGAUCAACCUAGGUAGAGAUGGAGAUGAUACACAUGAAGGAAGCACCAUCAGCACCCACAAGCUUUAUUGUGCAGGAUCAUCAAGCAUUCACUUGUCGCCACAUCAAAGUAUGUUUCAUACUAUUAUAUAUGAACAAAUGAUGCUUAUGCUCAUGAAUGUAAGUGCCAAAAUGCAAGUUAAACACCUGGGGUGUUACAGCCCUCCCCCCUUAAAAAGAAUCUCGUCCCGAUAUUCGGUGAGAAAGACUUUCAAGGGAAGAGAAACAAUGUCAUGCAUUUCCCAGCCUCAAAGAUAGCAUUCGAACAUCAGAGAAGCUAAGUUGGACCAAAAGUUUUCUAAUACUUAAUUUUCAUAGUAAACAUUGGUCCGAAGAUGAAGCAUUGUUACUUUGGGAGGAAUCCAAGAAAGCAUUGUCCUGUGCAGUUUGUUCUCAAUGUUUGAAGUGUGGUUCAGAUCAUAAGCGGAGCUACGCGUAUCAUCAGUCUCUUUAGUGAAACUAAUUCAAGCCAUAAGAACCUUGCACCAAGUCACAAGCUUCUAAGGGUUGCUCAUUAUAGAGGUUCUAGGCUCAUUCAUAACAUUUGAAAAGUAGUCUUCUACCAAAAUGGUUGGAGUACAACUUUCCAAGCAUGCAGUUCUCUUUCUCUGAUGACAAAAUUGUACUUACCAACCUGGUUAAGAGAUGUUGAUGCAAAAAGUGGAUCUGCAAACACAAAGGGCUAAUACUCGAUUCAAACGUUAAGGCGUGCCAGCCGAUUUGACCUUACUAUCGACAAAGGUGAUAACUCGAAUACUUUGGUCCUGACAACAGCGAUGCGCCCGGAUGCCACGGCCAAGAGGUAUUCACGCGGAACUCGAGAAUACGCCGAGCUUAAGUCGACGAACUCCUAAGAACUCGUAAUGAAAAGGAAAAUCUGACGAAGUCAUCGAAAAAGUAGAUGCUUGAAUAUGAGUAAAAACUCGUGUUUGAUUGAUUGAUAGAUUCCUCAUUACAAGGCCCUAGGGUCUACAUUUAUACCCUGCUCAAAGAGCUACAAUCAGACAUGACUAGGACUAAAAUUCCAAAUUAAACAAAAUCCGUAUACAAAACAAUUUAAAUAACUAAGGAAAGCACAAAACUAUCCUCCCGUGACAAACUGUGACACCACCAUGGGCCAAUCGGCAACCUUCAUGUCCUCCUUCUGAGUCAUCGGCAGACUCCUCAUCGUAGCCAUCGACAAAGGCUAACGCUGACCAUCGGUAUGAACGCGUCACCACUCAUGGACUUAGUCACAUUCAGUUGUCCCUUCAUCGGCAACCACCUUCAUCGGCAACUCCCCUGCAGACCAGUUACUGUUGCCUUAUCUUGCCGAUCUAUACUCUACCGAUCCUGGGUACGUGUCCAAAAACGGUGUCAACACAUGCCCCCCAAUUUUGGAGUAUAAAAUCAUUAAUGCUCCGAAAUUCUCUGCAGUAAUGAUGACUUUCCGCAAUCAAUCCUCUCAAUUUGGUAACCGACCGUUGAAAUCGAACAACUCUGGCCCGAUUCUCCCGCAGAUUCCUCGAAUUCCUCAACCUCCCAAACUGGACAUCUCCACUUUAUUCGCCCAUCGGCAAUAUUACCGUUAGAAGGAGAUGCCGAUGGACCGACCAGAAAAUCCUUGCACAGUGAAAUAUUUCCAAAAUCAUGACCGCUUGCUGUCAAAUCACCUGGACAAUCCCUUGAUUACCGUGCGAACAGUUGCCAUAUCUACCUGAACACCCUCGGGUUUCACGGAUGCGGCAAAGAGAUAAGUCAGAUCUGCCCCUACCCGUUUUGUCCUAUAAAUACUUCCUUCUCGGGUACUCCUUCUUCACCUGUCAUUCUACAACCCCAAAAUCCACUUCCUUGGCUGCGGCACCGUUCGAGGACUCCAAGAAUUCUAGCAAGAACUUCCUCCAACAACCCUCGAGUUUUCGACCUCCUUCCCUGCGAGAAAAUGGCCAUCAAAUUCAACGUGCCUGAGGUCAGUUCUACUUCUCUCCUGUAUUUUCACUGCACUCCUGUUCAUCCGCAGUUCAUCUUACUGAAUACUUUUUUCUUUCUUUUCCUCUUCUUUUUACCCCCAAAAACUUCUAGGAUCUGUCCAAUAGAAUCGUCAUCCCUACCGAUCAACCACACCUCCAAUGUCUCGGUCCACUAGGGAACCCAGAUCCUACCGAUAUGAUCAACGCAGAGACAAACAGAAUCCCCUUUAGAACCGAGAAUUUUUCUCUAGAUCUGUGGAAAGACGCCUUCCGUUCCUGGCCCAGUCCUACCAAGGGAUGGAAGGAUUGGUUCUUGAGAGUCAGCCAUUCAAAUGAAGUUCAAUGGGGCGAGCGAAAACUAGACCAGUGCAUUAGACUGUCUCUUGCCGAUAUGCAUAGGAAUGAAUCACUACUGAUUGCUGCAUCAUAUUUCUGGUCAGACACACUUAAUGCUUUUGUUUUCGGCCAUGGCUACUUCUCCCACUCUUGCCGAUGUGCUCAUGCUCACCGGCUUAGAUGUAUCCACUGCCGAUAGUAGUCACAUAUUUGACACCACACCUAGUGCUAAAGUGGAAACCCGCUCUAUCGGCGGUUGGUCUGAGUACAUUCAGAAUUACCGUCGAACAGGACCUGUCAACAUAAAGGAACAAACCACCUCCUGAACAUGUGGCUGGACAAAUUUGUAUUAUGUGGUCGAUCAGCAGGACCAACCUCUAUCUACCUAUCGGCAGCAGAGAAAUUAGCUAAUGGUGGCCAAUUUCCCCUUGCCCGAUACCUGCUUGGCUCUGCCUAUCAUCUUCUCCACCAAGUAGCCAAGAAACUUCUGCUCGGUGAACCCAUCGGCAACUUAGGGGGCCCUUGGUGGUUCAUCAACAUGUGGCUUAGUCUCCAUAUGCAUAAGCGACUGGAAUUCGACCUCUUUGCAUAGCGUUUCCCCAGGGAUAGAGCAGAGGAUCAUGAGUUAGAUGAAGAAGAAUCGGCAACCCGUCCUCCCUUAAACUAUGGCGAAGCCGUCAUUGUCUUGCCUGGUACUGGAGGCAAUAGAGAUCAAGUCAGCCGAUUCUUUCAGACUCUUUGUGAGGGUCUGACCAAAGAACAGCGAGCAUGGAUGCCUUAUGAAGAUCCAGACACAAGAUUUCCUCUGACCUUUCACCCCUUCGACAAUGCUCUCAAUAAAGAUCAUGAUGUGAUGAUAGCACUCAUUACUCAAAGAGCCAUACCAGUAAACUUCUUCGGCAGUGGGAAAGUCUCCAACCAGACCUAUGAAUUUUACAAUCCAUCAGCACUAGCCCGUCAACUAGCUUUCGGUCAGCUGCCGAUUGCACUUUGUUAUGCCGAUGUGACAAAACCUAGGGAAACCAUCACUAGUCUUCUCGAGUGGACCAAAAUUGCUCAACUGCCACCAAAUGCCAAUACAGAUGCCGAUCUAUCAGAUUGGAUCCUGGCCCUCUUCAUUACUUAGGCAUACAAACAAUGGUGGGAAGAAUGAAAAGAGCAUUUGUUCUGCAAAUCAGCUCUCACAUACCGCGGCAUGAUCGACCCCCAGUACAAAGUCCCCGAUAAUACUGUAAGUAUUUCCAAACCGAUGUUUCAAUCCUUUCACUUUUACUUCCUUCGGUAACUUACUUUCUGUGUUAUAUUACAGGUUGAUAACACACCCCCAUCAGUCAGCAGGAGUGGUAAGCCGAUUGAGCUCCUUCCAUCGGGUUCGAUUUCUUUCAUCGGCAACAACUCUCCAUCCCUGGCCGCUAUAAUGCAUCGGGGUGUACGUCUCAAGAAAGUCACCACCAAGCGGACGAAGGCAUCUCCAUCGGUAGCUUCCUCUACUUUAGCACAAGCUUUCAAGGUAAAUUUUCAAAUUCUUUUACCCGUACCGAUUCCAUUCUUACAUCUGUUAUACUUGAACUCACAAAUUUUCAUUGUUGUAUCAGCAAACCGGCACAUCGGCAAAGACCACAGGUGUGACUGCCGAUGCCCCCCAGUCCAGCCAGCCAAAGAUUAAAAGCUCCAGGAGUACCAGAACCCAGGCGAAGCGCCAGAAAACAGCAAUACCUCCCCCCAGUGUCUCCAAUCCCAGUGGAAUCUUCUCUUUCUUCUCCAGAUGUCCAGAUACAACAAGCACCAUCUCCUCCUCAGCCACAAGAAGAACCUCAUGCAGAAGAACCCCAGCCAGAGGAACCUCAGCCAAAAGACACAUCGGCUGACGUGCACGAGCAAACUGCCGAUCCAGCAAGUUCAAUCAUAGCAUCGGUAGUUUCCUCAAUCCAAACAAGUAUUGCUCCCCUUCAAGGUAACAUACUCUCUAUGAAAUCAUUGCCGAUGAACCUACUUUUCCGUCAUAUAAUUGUCUUUGUUAAUCUUUCAGCUGACAUAAUCUCAUCGGCAACUCCAGCCGAUCAGCCCGUAAUUCCAUCGGCUUCAACCGGUCAGAGGCGAGAGAUAGCUCUGAAACAAGUAAGUUACCUGAUCUCUACCCGUAUUGUUUACUAGUGCUUGAUCAUAGAAUAACUUAUUUUAUUUUCCUUUUUAGGAACAAGACUCUCCAGACAGCUUGUUCUCCUUUACCAUCAACAUCUCUGAGGAUGAAGGCGAGGAGGCAAGUUCUUCUCGAGCAGUUGGAAUCACAUCGGCAGGAAUCAGGGCAAAGUUAGAAGAAUUAUCAAGCCUCCUCCAUCAAGACACGGCCCAAUUGGUCGAUGACUCCGAUGAAAGCCCUAGUUUGGUUUUGGAUAAUUGAUGAAACCCUAGUACUAACCUCUAUGCUAAGUGUGUGUAGACUUAAUGAGGUUGGUACAUGCCAAGUGAUGGAGCAAGUGAUGAUCAUGGUAAUGAUGGUGUUGACCGCAAGAUGAUCAAGUGCUCAACUUGGAAAAGAAGAAAGAGAAAAACAAAACCCUAUGGAGAUCAAGGCAAAGGUAUUGCUUAGGGUUUUGGUUUUGGUGAUCAAGACACCAUAGAGGAUGUGAUCACAUUUAGGAUAGAUAGCCGUACUAUAAAGAGGGGAAUUCUUUGGCUAAGCGGUUAUCAAGUGCCACUAGGUGUCAUUGUUCAUGUGCAUGCAUUAGAACCUAGUGAGCUAACUUAACUCCUUCAAAGAAAAUGAUUGUGAAAUUGCUAACACACGUGCACUUGUUGGUUUACGCGUUGUGGUGUCGGCGCUUUUCGAGAAAAUGAAGUGUAUAUUUUCUAUUGCGCUGGUGGGAAAUUUGGAGAAGUCACGGGAGUGUUUCUCGCUGAGGAACACUCACUGGACGCUGGCUCAGAGGCACCAGAUGCUGUCUCUGAGCGUCCGGUGCAGACAGUGCCUGGCCCAGCUAGGGUAAGGCACCGGACGCAGGCCUGUGCGUCCGGUGACCCUGCAAGUUUGCGGAGCUCUCUGCGCAUGGGUCCGGUGUGCACCGGACGCGCCCGCUCAGCGUCCGGUGCUCUGCAGGUUACCGUUAGACUCUUACACGUGGCUGACGUUGGAGCACCGGACGCUGGUGUUGAGCGUCCGGUGCCCCUUUAAGAGCGUCUGGUGACCCCGUAUUUCACCCUGUGAAAGAGCCAACGGCUUUAUUUGUUUGAGGGGCUAUAAAUACGUGUUUGGCCGGCUUGGGGCUCACUCUCUUGGCAUUCUUGACUACUAUACAUCCUUGUGAGCCUAAACAAACACCUCCCACUCAUCUCCUUCAUAGAUUAUACAUCUUUGUGAGAUUGGGAGUGAUUCCAAGUGCAUUUGCUUGAGUGAUUGCAUGUAGUGGCACUUGGGGAUCGUUUUGGCUGCGGUUUUCUUGUUACUCUUGAUGGUUGCCGCCACCUAGACGGCUUGGAGCAGCGGACGAGGAUUGGCACGAGUUGGUGAUUGUUCGUGGCCAUCUCCCAGUAAUUGUGAGAGGUUUGUGCCUACCUCGGUGGAGUGCCAAAGGCAACAUUAGAGGAUUGCUCGUGUCAUUGAGCUACCUCACUUGUGGGUAGGUUCUUGUGGUGUCGUAGUGAGGACGAGGUUCGUGCUACACCUCUUAGCCACCGAACCACCAAGUGUUGGUCGACACAACGGGGACGUAGUGUGCUGGCAAGGACGUGAACCUCGGGAGAAAAAUCUUGUGUCUCCAUUGUGUUUGUUGAUUGGAUUUCUCCAGGUGAUUGGACUUCAUAAUAUUGUGAUUGGUUCAUCCCCUCUAGGUGGUGGUAUAAAAGAUCAAACUCUCCCUCUUACUUUCUUGCAAACUAGAGUAGGUUACUUCUUGUAUAGAAACUUUAGGUAGCUCUCUAGUGUAAGUAGAGACAUAGUUCUUGUGUGCAUAGUGAUCAUAGCAACUAGAAUUGUCGGGUAGGUGGCUUGCAAACACCCCAUUAGAGCUAGAGCAAAAAGCUUCGCUUUGUUAUUUACUAACCUCUUGCUAUAGUGUUUUUGUAUAAUUUUUAAAUAGGCUAUUCACCCCCCCCCUCUAGCCAUAUUAGGACCUUUCAAGUGGUAUCGGAGUCGUGGUCACCGUUUGUGAAGGAUUAACAACCUCGGUGCUCAAAUUAUGGCUCAAAUAGUGUUCAACCAUGUUGGGGGCAAACCACCAUUCUUUGAUGGCACAAGUUCCUUUGACUAUUGGAAAAGAAAGAUGAAAAUGUACCUUGGGUCAAUAAAUGAUAGAGUGUGGGAAUUCACCGAAAAUGAUUUUGUGAUUCUUGAUCCGGCUAACCCCAUCGACAAUGAGAGAGCAAACAAACAAUGCAAUACUAUGGCUCUCAACACAAUCUAUAAUGGCAUUGAUUCAAAGGUAUUUGAACAAGUUAAAGAUCUUGAGAGAGCAAAUGAAGUGUGGACAAGGCUAGAAGAAACAUAUGAGGGCACUACAACGGUAAAAAGUGCCAAAUUGUAUAUGCUUAAGGACAAGCUAUCCAACUUCAAGAUGAAGGAUGAUGAGUCUAUACCGGAGAUGUUCUAUAGGCUCCAAGUCAUCAUCAAUGAUCUGAAGGGCCUUGCUGAGAAAGUGAAAGAUGAGGACUUCAUUCACAAGUUCUUGAUGUGCUUGCCCAAGAGGUUCAAGACAUUGAGAACAAUCAUCUUUAGCGGUGGAUUGACCGGUGUAUCUCCCAAUGAGGUACUUGGAGAUGUCAUGACCGAAGAUCAAUACAAUGAUAAUGAUGAUGAUGAUGUCAUGAAGAAGGAUGAGGGUGAUAAGAAGAAGAGUGUAGCAUUCAAAGCUAGCUCUUCAUCCAAGAGCAAGAACAAGGGCAAGGCCAAGAAGGAAGAAUCAAGUGAUGAGGAGUGAUCCAAUGAUGAUAGUGAUGAUGAAGCACUAGCACUCUUUGUCCGCAAGUUUGGCAAGAUGAUGAAGAAAAAGGGCUAUCACACAAGAAAGAGAAGAGAUCACUUCAAGAACAAGGAGCAUGUGAGGCUAUGCUACAAGUGUAAAAGCCCCGAUCAUAUUGUGGCGGAUUGUCCUUACAAUAGUGACAAUGAUGAGCAUGACAAGAAGAACAAGAAGGAGAAGAAAGAAAAGAAGGAGAAGAAGAUGGUCUUCAAAAAGAAGAAGGGUGGAUCCUAUGUUGUGACAUGGGAUAGUGAUGCCUCUUCGGAUGAUGAUUCAAGUGAUGAUGACAAAGCAUCCAAGAAAAAGGCACUUGCUAGCAUUGCUAUCAACAACAAGCCAUCACUCUUCAACACUCCUUCAUGCUUCAUGGCCAAGGGCCACAAGGUACAAUAUGAUGAGAGUGAAAUUGAAAGUGAACAUGAACAUGAUAGUGAUAGCGAUGAUGAAAAUGAAUUCACUAAUGAACAACUCAUGGACAUGUUAGAACAAGCCGAUUCUCUUAUUCAAUCUAAAAACAAGAAGUGCAAAGAAUUGGCCAAGAGGUUAAAAGCUCUUGAGCAAUCCUUUGAUGAGCUCAAUGCUAAUCAUGAGAGGCUAGUGGAAGCCCAUGAGAAGCUUGGCAAGGCUCACACCAAGCUUGAAAAAGCACACUCCUUGUUAUUAGAAGAGAACAAGGAAAAUGUUGUUGUAUCAUGUGAUGUGGGCACAACAUAUGACCUAACUAAAGAAUCACCCAACCCACCUAUUGUUGUUGCCACUAACUCUUCAUGCAGGUCUUCAUCCACCACCACCAACUCUACCUCUACUUCUAGUGUUAGUGUCACUUGUGAUACCUCACUAAAGGUUGAGAAUGAGACUCUCAAGAGAGAGGUGGAUGAGCUCACUCACGCCCUAGGCAAAGCCUAUGGUGGUGAGGCCCGCUUGCUAAAGUGCUUAAGUAGCCAAAGGUUUUCUCUCAAUAAAGAGGGAUUAGGCUAUACCCCCAAGAAGGGCAAGAAAGCCUUUGCAACUCACAAGCCUAGCUUUGUGAAGAGCAAUGGUCGGUAUUGCAACAAAUGCAAGCAAGUUGGGCACCUAGAGCAUAAUUGCAACAAAAUAAACAAGAACAAGAAAAAUGCUAAUGUGUCUUACAUUCCUUUUGAUUCUUGUUAUGUGCUUACCAAGGGUGAGAAGGGUGUGCAUGCUAAGUUUGUUGGUACACCAAUUGUGGGUCCAAAGAAGAAGGCCAUUUGGGUACCAAAGAGCUUAGUCACUAACCUCCAAGGACCCAAACAAGUAUGGGUACCUAAGAAACAUUGAUCUGUUUUGUAGGUAAACUAUAAAGCCGGAGGAAGGCAUUGGGUGCUUGAUAGUGGGUGCACACAACACAUGACCGGUGAUGCAAGAAUGUUCAAUUUAAUCCAAUCAAAUGAUGACAAUGGUGUUGAUAGUAUCACUUUUGGUGACAAUGGCAAAGGCAAGGUCAAAGGGCUUGGUAAAAUUGCUAUAUCCAAUGACUUGAGCAUCUCCAAUGUGCUACUAGUAGAGAGCUUGAACUUCAACUUGCUAUCCGUAGCUCAACUUUGUGAUCUUGGUUUCAAAUGCUUAUUUGGAGUUGAUGAUGUAGAGAUCAUAAGUGUAGAUGGCUCCAACUUGAUAUUCAAAGGCUUAAGAUAUGAGAAUCUAUACUUGGUUGAUUUCAAUGCUAUUGACGGUGGAUAUACCAUAGAAAUCCACAUACAAAACACCGUCAACAUGCCUCGGUUGCAAGGGGAAACGACAUGACAUGAACAUAUUUUAUCCAUAACUAGUUCCACUUGUACUCUUAGCUUGUUUAUGCAGGAACAACAAAUUCAAGACAUUAUUUGACAAAGCCAACAUCAGAAUCAUCAAGAGGAGAUCGAGGGGACAACAGGUGACACCCUGGGCCCACAGGGAGGGGGUCGCCCGACCCCUCUUUGGUGGGACCCAGGUGUGCCACCUAGUCCACCGACAUAAGGGACCCCUGUGGACACUGCUGGUGGGCCCAGAGGCCCAGAAGUGGGGUCGCCCGACCCCACAUCAAAGGCGGUUCCAGGGUCGGUGGCCUCCCACCGACCUUCCCCACAUGUCCCACAUGUUGAUUUGCCCCUGCCGUUGAUCAAAUGGCGGUUGUGAGGUCGGUUUGAUCCAAGGGUGGAGAGAAGAUGUCACGCGGAUCGAUGACGUGGCGAUGGAGUAACCCCUACUUCAUCUCCCUCUAUAAAAGGCAGCCUCCAUCCUUCAUUUCAAGUGUGCAAUUCCAAGGCCAAGUGCAUUACAAGUUCCAAGCGUACAAGUAGAGUAGUAGUUAGUCUAGAGUGGGAGUUAGAGUCGAGUCGAGCGAAGCUCGGGGUCUCCGGAGUCGUCUUCUGGAGAGUCUGGUAUAGCUCUUGUACCUUUCUACUUUUGUAAGACUUUCCUUUUAUUAAUAUAUUAUUCUUACUUUACUUUACUGAGUUCUUACUUAGUGCAAGUCUUUUAGUCUUGUUGUGCAUUUACUUUAGUAAUAUAGUUGUCUUAGUGAAGUUAGUGACCUGUAACCACUCCUGUGUGUGCAUCAUCGUCCUAUCUUGUAUAGGAGCUCUAGCUAGCUGCAACUAGUUAGCGUUGUAGGAUUAAGUGUGAGCGUGGUGCUCAUACUUAAGAUUACCUUUGAUUACCGCUGGCUUGAACGGAAAGUAGGAGCGCACUCCCUAGUAGGUGACAGAUCGUGGGCGGCAUUAGGUUCCCCUCACGUACAGGCUAGUUCUUAAAAGGUAAGGCGUCCAUAAGCCCAAUAGUCGCUUUCGGUAAGGGGUUAGGUGAAAAACCUUCUAAGCGUCUUACCAGCUCGGCUAUCCCUCGCACACAGUUAGUAAGGCUCUAGCGUAGUUAAGGCAAUUAUCUAUUAAAGUAAGUCACAGAAGUCAAGUUAGAUACAUAGGAGUCCUUUACUCACUCGUUGUCCUCCCACCUAGCUAACUCUACCAUUUACCUUUAGCAUAGGACCUUGGAUUCACCACUACCCUUCCUAUUUGUUAUUUACCACCCUUAUUCACUAGUUGAUACUAGAUAACUCAAGGAAUCUCAUUCCCCUUUUUGUUAAACACACUUAGCCGCUUUCCCUUGGGAAAAUAUAAAUUACGAUACCUUGGAAUACUCCUUGGUGAAGUGCUACAGCGGUACAUUCUGUGCGCUUGCGGAAUUAUCCAAUAGUAAAUAGAGUUACCCUACCAGGGCACUUCUGGCGCCGUCGCCGAUAUCCGGUGGUUGCGUUAAGAAGUGUCAACAAGCAUUUCUGGCGCCGUUGCCGGGGAGAGCGUCUGUCUAAGAGUUUUAACAAAAAGAGAAUCCAGAGUUUGCUAGUUAUCAAGUAGUGAUAGGGAUAACCCAUCACUUGUCUUGUCUUCCUUUAUUGUGAAGCCUGACAGUGUAUGAGCGGUUUCCAAUUGCCGUCAAACUUCGUUGAAGAUCCUGAGCAACUGUUGAGGAGAACUAGACGUCGUCAAGUUCCACCUCAAAGGUUCAUCUCGAACCUGAAUCCGUUAGAGGAAGGAGUAUCUGCACCGGUUAUCAAAGAAGCUAUGGCCCAGAAGACCAUCUCUGAGUACUCUGCGCCGUCGGCUGACAAUGUCGCCACGGGUCCGCAGCUUAACUUGGGGGAUGCGACUUUUGAGUUGAAGCCUGUGCUUAUCAAUAUGGUGCAAGCUAAUCCCUUCUGUGGAAAGCCACACGAGGAUGCCAAUGCCCAUCUCCAACACUUCUUGGAGGUGUGCGGCACCUUCACCAUCAAGAAUGUCGCCGCAGACGCCAUCCGUCUUCGCCUCUUCCCAUUCUCGUUAUUGGGGAAGGCAAAGCAAUGGUUCUACGCCAACAAGGGUGAAGUGACCACGUGGGAGAGGUGCGCCAAUGCAUUUCUCAAGAAGUUCUUUCCGAUGGGCAAGACCAGCGCCCUUCGUGGAAAGAUUUCCAGCUUCCAACAGCAAGCAGAUGAGACGAUUCCCGAAGCAUGGGAACGUCUGCAGGAGUACAUUCGCGCCUGUCCUCAUCAUGGGAUAGAGGAGUGGCUCCUAAUCCAAGGUUUCUACCAUGGCCUGACCGGUUUGGCCCGUAGUCACCUUGAUGCUGCCGCUGGAGGAGCAUUCUUGCAACACAAUGUCAAGGAUGCCAAGGACCUCAUUGAAAAGAUGGUUAUAAACCAAGGAUGGAAUGAGGAACGCCUCCAACCCAAGAAAAGAGGUGUCCAUGCCUUGAAUGAGGUGGACAUGCUCUCUGCUAAGAUGGACCUCUUAAUGAAGAAGAUGGAAGAAAGUUCCAAGCAAGAGACCAUUCAACCUUACGCCACUGCACGGGCCAUUGAAUCAGAUUCAUGGUGCGAAGUGUGCGGAGGAGAUGAUCAUUCGGGAAACAAUUGUCCCGAAACAAAGGAGGAAGUGAGCUUCAUCAACAACAACAACAAUGGGUACCGGCCCCAACAACAGCAAUGGAACUCGCGCCCCUUCUACCAAGGUAAUCAAGGUAAUGGUUACAAUCAAAAUUUCAAUAAUUCUUUUGGUAACCAACCUUCUCUUAGAGAUCUUGUCUUAGGCCAAUCUAAAAUCAAUGAUAGCAUUAACAAGAAAAUGAUGGCUAAUGAUAAGAUCCUUGAAAACUUAAGUGAAAAGUUGGAUAGCUUUAACUCUGCUAUGAAAAAUCAGUUGAGCUUUAACAAAAUGCUAGAAACACAAUUAGCUCAAUUAGCAGCAGCUGUCCCAUCCUUCGAGCAAGGUAAGAUCCCAGGGAAACCUGAGGACCCAAUUGAAGGAGUUAAACUAGUUACUACGAGGUUCGGUAAGCCUCCGGUACAAUCCAACUGGAGCUAUCUUCUGGAUUCGCCCUUCAUCACCAAGAAGGACGACCCAGGCCUGCCGACCAUCACCUGUGAGAUCGGACCGCAAAUCUUCCACAACGCCUUCUGCGACCUUGGAUCGGGUGUCAACAUCAUGGCCAAGGUAACUUAUGAUAAUUUGCUAGGGGGGCCUUUGCACCCCACAUUUGUUCGUUUGCAGAUGGCAGAUCAGACGAUCAGGUUCCCUGAGGGGUUGGCAAGGGACAUACUGGUAAAGGUCCAAGACGACUACGUCCCUGCCGACUUCAUCAUUUUGGAUAUGGGAUCCAAUAAUGAUGUCUCGAUCAUCUUGGGAAGGCCAUUCCUCAACACGGUCAAUGCAGUCAUCUAUGUGGGGUCCGGCCAGAUUCACCUCCAAUUCCCAGGAUGGAAGGUAAAAUGCCCAUUCAAUGGUUAUAAAGCUAACAUGCAGGUGAAGGACAAAGAACCUCCGACUAAGCCUCGCCACAUCUGACGCCGAAGGGACAAGAGAGGUAAGUCGGCCAAAAGGGCCGAAAAGAAAGAAGAGGAACCCGCUGAACCAAAAAUCAAUACCAAGCAAGUAUGGCGGGAGAAAGAGGUGCAAUCAAGGUCCACGUCUCCGGGACCAUCUGAUGCACCCGAAGGAUGAACAAGAUGGAGAGGUCCUGCUCUACGGACCUAAAACAUGGAGCCCUUGCUGAUAAGGUAAAUCAGUAGUUAUCCCAUAUUUAUUUUCUGCAUUUCAAUUUCUACUAUUCACUUUUCAAUUGCAUUCUUACUUUGAAUUUUGCAUAUCUUAUUUCGACAAAAUGUUUAGCCAUAAUAAAUAAAAUCUUGAGAAUAACUUGUCAUAAAAAUUUGAGCUGCUGGAGCUCCCAAAGGGGGGUCGCCCGACCCCACCUUGGGGCCCACUUCACCACAUUUCAACCUUGCUAGUCAUAGAGGUUCCAACCCAGCACUUGGAUGCUCUGGGAGCUCCAAUGUGGGGGUCGGCCGACCCCCAUAUUGGCCCCACUUGCCUCCUGCUGGCCACCAUUUGAAUCACAAUGGAGUCCUAUGCUUGUAACACUAGCUAAAGUUUGAAAAAGAGUGGUCCCUUGAUCCUUUACUUUAGUCAUAAGAUGCUCCUUUCAUCUUUGAUUCUUUUGGGACCACUCCACUAGCUUAAAUUCUGCAAAGUGGUCACCUAGGCAUGCUUGAGUGCUCCCAUGGUCCAUAGGAAUCACUUUAGACAUGUCUCCACUUUUGCCAUUCAUCUUUUACCUUUCACAAAGCACUAAAACAGGGAAUCUCAUAAACAAUUUGAAAACUUUUGGUCCACACCUAGCCUUUACUUUUCCGGACAAUCAAUGACACAAUGUUUAAAGUGGAGGAGGGGCUAGGAUGGGGGUCGGCCGACCCCCAUUUUGGACCAUCUCUGCAAAAUCUUGAAAGCAUGCAGAAUGGUUCCCUGUAUAAAGCUAAACUCAAAUUCAAAGUGCUUCUAGGGGGGGGUCGGCCGACCCCUAUAUUGUGGGUCCACUACUUGCCCUUCUCCCCCUAUAAAUAUCACAGCAUUGUGAGCUCAACUCCACACCCAAAACCACCAGAACCAUUUCGAGCUCACAAUCCUUUCUCUUCUCUCUUUGUUACAAGCCAUUUCUCAAGUUUAGUUUAGAAAUAGUCAUCAAAACAAAAACCCAAAAAGAUUCCCCUUGCAUAGUAGUAGUAGUAGGAGCUUGGUUUGCCUCACUUGUGUAGGAGGAUGAAGAAGCAUAUCUUCGGCAAGUUCAAGAAAGCAAAGGGUGAGAGCUCUUCUCAAGGCUCUCACCAUGCUCAUGGAAGGGAGGAAGAAGAAGGUUACCAUGGGAUGGUACCCUACGAGCCUCCAUCAAGGAUGAGAGAGCCCGAGAGCGGCCUCAUGUUAAGCCAAGAAGAGUUGCAAAGGUACUACAUCAUCCGAGAGGGUCUCUUCCUACACACUAGCAUCAUCGAUCCGGACCUUUUGGCCCGCACAGGUAUGGAUGUUGAAUUCGAUAAGGUGUUUAGAGCAAUUGGUUGGAGUAGUUUUUGGCAAGUGCCUGAAUUUGGAAAAGAAUUGCUUGCUAAGGAAUUUCUAUGCACCCUAAAACUCACAAAUAAUGGAAUAUCUUUUCGCAUGUGUGAGCAAGAACAUCAAUUAAAUUGGAGUUUGCUAAACACUGCUUUAGGGUGUGAACAUGAAUGUGAACUUGAUCUAGAUCAUGCCACUAGAAUGUUCGAUAAAUUUAGAUUCUGGAAAGCAAUUUCUUUCUCUAAUGAUUGUUCAAAUCCUACUCCCAUUGAAAUCCAUAAUCCAACCUUGCGCUUUCUUCACUUCUGGAUCAUGUGCACUCUAUAUCUUGGCAUGGGAACUGAUACUUUAAUUGAUGAUGAACUUAAAAUUCUCUAUGCCAUGGUUAGUAAAAUCAAGGUCUCCCCUGUGAAACUGCUAGUGAACUAUUGGCUUAACUCUAUUGAGUAUGGGAAGCCCAUCUAUUUCACAUCCUUUAUUACUCGAAUAGCCGAUGCUUUUGGAUUACUUGAAUCACAUUAUUUUGAAGACAUUGGCUAUGUUAGAGGAGUGGUAGAUGAGAACUUCUUUAUCAAUGAUAACAUGCUCAUAAGAGAUCCAAAUGGUGAACUUAAAAUGAUUUAUCCGGGCUAUACAACCGAAAUUCCUCUCCCAUGUGCGAGGCGCCGGUUGUAUGGGGUCCGCACACUUACCAUUAGACUAGCCCAAGUGGCAAGUCCAGAUAUUGCAGGGACACGCAGGGUGACAAGAAGGAUGAUGCAAGCCGCCCAGAUGGAGCAAGGAGGAUCCUCGCACCAUGACGUUGAAGAGGGCGAUGAAGCGAUGUCAGUGGAUGCUUCAGACUCCAUGGGUCUACCUCCACAACGCACUCCACGCCCAAGGGGACAGGGCUAGGGGUCACCAGCCCACAGGUAUGGACAGUCUCAUUAAUGACAUGGGCGAAUUGCAAAUUGGGCAAGAAGCAACAUUGCAACUGGCGUUACAAAACGGCCAACAUAUCCGACGUGUGCGAGAAGAAGACGCACAACGCUGGGCUGGAUGGUACCAAAAUUUCCCGCCACCACAGUGAGCGAAGAUCUAGCUUGGGGGAGAUCCUCUCCCCCACUAAGGUAAGUAUUCUAUCCUAUUUAUUUUCAUGCAUUUUAUCAUUCUUACUUAAAAAAAAAUAAAUAUUUAUUAGCAUUUCCCUUUAGCAUAUAUGCUUCAUGUAUGUUUAUAUCCCUCAUGGAAAUUAUGACUAGUUGCUUGUUAAUGUUUCUCUAGUGCCUAGUAUACAACUUAGUAUUUCUCUAAGUAUGGAUCACUUAGCUCACUUAAACUGCCAUGAACCUAAAAACUUUGUGGGUUGCAAGUGCUAGAACUAAGUCUAAGUUGUUGUGGGACAUGAGAUAGUAAGACAAGAGCUACUAUAAUAUUUUUCUAAGCAUGCAUGAUGAUCAGAGAUUUAUUCUUAAAAUGAUCAAAACCUUAAUUGUUCCUCAAUGGUGAUGAAUUCCUACCACAGCCAUAUCUACUUUACAUAAUUGCAACCUUUCCACAUAAGCUAUUUGCUUUGUGUUGAGUGUCGUCAAGUCUUGUUGACCCUUGUUAAGAGACUUUUCAUGCUCCUAAGAUUAAGAUCACGUACACACCACAUAUAUAUAUGCUGCUUCUACACUGGAAGUACGCAACCACAUGUAUUUUGCAUCCACUAAAUAGGUUGCUCCAUACUCUAAAUGUUAGAACAUCUCUCUAAGCAUUAUUUGGUAAAUGAGACAUCAAAAGGCUAGGCAAAAUGAAAUAAAAAGAUGGACAUGUGCAAGUCCACAGAAAAAGAAAAUUGAGCACAUGAACGCUCAUAUAUAAAAAAAAAAGAAAAAAAAAAUGCUAGCCAUGUCUCAAUACAUAGAGAGUCUAUCAAAUAAAGGAGCAACCUAGUCCACCAUAUAUCACACUUGCACAUCUUGAUCUGGGAGUAUGACACUUCUCUUCAAGGAUCCGAGCUUUGACUUCGCAAUACAUGCAAAGUAAGUAUGCUAUCUCCUUUCAUCCCUACCUUGAACUCCACAUAAGCCUUUUAGAAAUAGGAUGAAAUAGAGAAGGCAACUCUUAUCAUAUGCCUUGGUGAGGAAUCAUACACCAUUUGAGUGACAUGAGAGAACCAUAAGAGGAACAUUUAAGCUUUCUUUUGAAAAUAUCACAAAACCUCUGAUAUGAAACUUGCUAAGAAUGAGAAAGUUAGUGCUCAAGUCAAACUGUUCUGUCUCUCAACCACCUAAGACAAAGGAAAAGCCAUAAGCCCCAUAAGGGACUAAGGUAAUAGGGGUAAGUUUACAUAGCUAAAUUUUUCAUGCAAAGAGAAGAACUUUGUUGUACACAUGGUACUCUUGAAAUGUGAACAUAGUAACAAUACCUGAUCCACCGAGGCUAAGUUUGAUUGUUUGCUCGGGACGAGCAAAGGUUAAGCUUGGGGGAUCUUGUUGACGGUGGAUAUACCAUAGAAAUCCACAUACAAAACACCGUCAACAUGCCUCGGUUGCAAGGGGAAACGACAUGACAUGAACAUAUUUUAUCCAUAACUAGUUCCACUUGUACUCUUAGCUUGUUUAUGCAGGAACAACAAAUUCAAGACAUUAUUUGACAAAGCCAACAUCAGAAUCAUCAAGAGGAGAUCGAGGGGACAACAGGUGACACCCUGGGCCCACAGGGAGGGGGUCGCCCGACCCCUCUUUGGUGGGACCCAGGUGUGCCACCUAGUCCACCGACAUAAGGGACCCCUGUGGACACUGCUGGUGGGCCCAGAGGCCCAGAAGUGGGGUCGCCCGACCCCACAUCAAAGGCGGUUCCAGGGUCGGUGGCCUCCCACCGACCUUCCCCACAUGUCCCACAUGUUGAUUUGCCCCUGCCGUUGAUCAAAUGGCGGUUGUGAGGUCGGUUUGAUCCAAGGGUGGAGAGAAGAUGUCACGUGGAUCGAUGACGUGGCGAUGGAGUAACCCCUACUCCAUCUCCCUCUAUAAAAGGCAACCUCCAUCCUUCAUUUCAAGUGUGCAAUUCCAAGGCCAAGUGCAUUACAAGUUCCAAGCAUACAAGUAGAGUAGUAGUUAGUCUAGAGUGGGAGUUAGAGUCGAGUCGAGCGAAGCUCGGGGUCUCCGGAGUCGUCUUCUGGAGAGUCUGGUAUAGCUCUUGUACCUUUCUACUUUUGUAAGACUUUCCUUUUAUUAAUAUAUUAUUCUUACUUUACUUUACUGAGUUCUUACUUAGUGCAAGUCUUUUAGUCUUGUUGUGCAUUUACUUUAGUAAUAUAGUUGUCUUAGUGAAGUUAGUGACCUGUAACCACUCCUGUGUGUGCAUCAUCGUCCUAUCUUGUAUAGGAGCUCUAGCUAGCUGCAACUAGUUAGCGUUGUAGGAUUAAGUGUGAGCGUGGUGCUCAUACUUAAGAUUACCUUUGAUUACCGCUGGCUUGAACGGAAAGUAGGAGCGCACUCCCUAGUAGGUGACAGAUCGUGGGCGGCAUUAGGUUCUCCUCACGUACAGGCUAGUUCUUAAAAGGUAAGGCGUCCAUAAGCCCAAUAGUUGCUUUCGGUAAGGGGUUAGGUGAAAAACCUUCUAAGCGUCACCAGCUCGGCUAUCCCUCGCACACAGUUAGUAAGGCUCUAGCGUAGUUAAGGCAAUUAUCUAUUAAAGUAAGUCACAGAAGUCAAGUUAGAUACAUAGGAGUCCUUUACUCACUCGUUGUCCUCCCACCUAGCUAACUCUACCAUUUACCUUUAGCAUAGGACCUUGGAUUCACCACUACCCUUCCUAUUCGUUAUUUACCACCCUUAUUCACUAGUUGAUACUAGAUAACUCAAGGAAUCUCAUUCCCCUUUUUGUUAAACACACUUAGCCGCUUUCCCUUGGGAAAAUAUAAAUUACGAUACCUUGGAAAACUCCUUGGUGAAGUGCUACAGCGGUACAUUCUGUGCGCUUGCGGAAUUAUCCAAUAGUAAAUAGAGUUACCCUACCAGGGCACUUCUGGCGCCGUCGCCGAUAUCCGGUGGUUGCGUUAAGAAGUGUCAACAAAUGCUAGUGAAGCUCAAUUGUCAACAUGCUUGCUCACUAAAUCUAGCAUGGGUUGGUUAUGGCAUAGAAGGCUUGGUCAUGUUGGAAUGAAACAGUUGAAUAAGUUAGUUAAACAUGAUCUUGUUAAAGGCUUGAAAGAUGUCACAUUUGAGGAAGACAAGCUUUGUAGUGCAUGUCAAGCCGGAAAGCAAGUUGGCAACACUCAUCCAAAGAAGAGCAUCAUGAGUACAUGCAAGGCGUUUGAGUUGUUGCACAUGGACUUGUUUGGACCAACCACAUACACAAGCAUUGGUGGAAACAAAUAUGGAUUUGUGAUAGUGGAUGAUCUCACAAGAUACACAUGGGUGUUCUUUCUUAGUGACAAGAGUGAUGCUUUUGCAACCUUCAAAUCAUUUGUCAAGAGAAUACACAAUGAGUUUGAAACAAAAAUCAAGAAAGUGAGAAGUGACAAUGGAAGUGAAUUCAAGAAUACAAGAGUUGAUGAGCUUUGUGAUGAAUUUGGCAUAAGGCAUCAAUUCUCGGCCAAGUACACUCCACAAUCAAAUGGUCUUGUUGAAAGGAAGAAUACAACCUUAAUUGACAUGGCAAGAUCAAUGUAGAGUGAAUACAAUGUGAGUCAUUCUUUUUGGGCCGAAGCAAUCAACACGGCUUGCUACUAUAGCAACUGACUCUAUUGUCACCCAAUGAUGGAGAAGACUCCAUAUAAGCUCUUGAAUGGAAGAAAGCCCAACAUUGCAUAUUUUUGGGUUUUUGGUUGCAAAUGCUACAUAUUGAAGAAAGGCACUAGAUUGAGUAAAUUUGAAAAGAAAUGUGAUGAAGGUUUCUUGCUUGGUUACUCCACUACUAGCAAAGCUUAUAGAGUUUGGAAUUUGGCUAGUGGUACUCUUGAAGAAGUGCAUGAUGUUGAGUUUGAUGAAACCAAUGGCUCUCAAGAGGAAGAUGAGAAUCUAGAUGAUGUGAGAGGCACUCAAUUGGCCGAUGCAAUGAAGAAUAUGGACAUUGGUGAUUUAAGGCCUAGAGAAGUGAUUGAUGUCGAAGAUGACAAAGAUCAACUGCUUCCUACCUCUAAUGUGCAAGCUAGUGGUUCUCAUGAUCAAAAUCAAGCUAGUACAAGUGGUGCACAAGUGCAAGAUCAACAAGCUAGUACAUCAUCUCAUGAUCAACCAAGUGCAAGCAAUCAAGUGCAAAUACUCCAACCAACAAACAUUGCAAGAGAUCAUCCAUUGGAUCAUAUCAUAGGUGAUAUUCAAAGAGGAGUGCAAACUAGAUGAAGAUUAGCAUCAUUUUGUGAGCAUUUCUCCUUUGUGUCUCACAUUGAGCCAAAGAAGAUUGAUGAAGCAUUGAGAGAUGUUGAUUGGGUUAAUGCUAUGCAUGAAGAGCUUAACAACUUCAAGAGAAAUCAAGUAUGGGAAUUAGUUGAGAGGCCUAAUGAUCAUAAUGUCAUUGGUACUAGAUGGGUCCUUCGCAACAAGCAAGAUCAAGAUGGGAUAGUUGUAAGAAACAAAGCAUGAUUGGUAGCACAAGGCUAUACUCAAGUUGAAGGUCUUGACUUUGGUGAAACAUAUGCCCCAGUUGCAAGAUUGGAAGCAACUAGGAUCUUGUUGGCCUAUGCUUGUGCUCAUAAUAUCAAGCUAUACCAAAUGGAUGUCAAGAGUGCUUUUCUCAAUGGCUAUAUCAAUGAAGAUGUCUAUGUUGAGCAACCUCCCGGUUUUGAAGAUGACAAGAAACCCAACCAUGUUUACAAGCUUAGAAAGGCAUUGUAUGGUUUGAAGCAAGCACCAAGAGCAUGGUAUGAGAGAUUGAGAGACUUCUUACUCUCUAAAGGUUUCAAGAUGGGCAAGGUAGACACCACUCUCUUCACCAAGAAGAUUGGCAAGGACUUGUUUGUGUUGCAAAUAUAUGUUGAUGAUAUCAUAUUUGGAUCAACCAAUCAAGAAUUUUGUGAAGAGUUUGGCAACACGAUGGCUAAUGAAUUUGAGAUGUCAAUGAUUGGAGAGCUUAGUUACUUCCUUGGUCUUCAAAUUAAGCAAUUGAAGAAUGGCACAUUUGUGAGUCAAGGCAAGUAUAUAAAAGACAUGCUCAAGAAGUUUGGAAUGGAUGAUGCAAAGUCAAUUAUCACUCCAAUGGGAACAAAUGGAAGCCUAGAUAAUGAUACAAGGGGAAAUAUGGUGGAUCAAAAGUUAUAUUGGUCUAUGAUUGGAAGCCUACUCUAUGUGACCGCAUCAAGACCGGAUGUCAUGUUUAGUGUAUGUAUGUGUGCAAGAUUCCAAGCCUCACCAAGAGAAAGUCAUUUGAAGGCAACAAAGAGAAUAUUGAGGAACUUGAAGCAUACACAAAAUGUUGGUCUAUGGUAUCCCAAAGGUGCAAAGUUUGAACUUGUUGGAUAUUCCAAUUCGGACUAUGCGGGAUGCAAAGUUGAGAGAAGAAGCACAUCGGGCACAUGUCAACUAUUGGGUAGAUCACUUGUCUCAUGGUCAUCCAAGAAACAAAAUAGUGUUGCACUAUCAACCGCCAAAGCGGAGUACAUUGCGGCCGGUAGUUGUUGUGCACAAAUCCUAUGGAUGAAGGCAACUCUGAAGGACUUUGGAAUCAACUUCAAGCAAGUGCCAUUGCUAUGUGACAAUGAAAGUGCCGUGAAGCUCACCAACAAUCCGGUUCAACACUCAAGAACAAAGCACAUAGAUGUCCGCCAUCAUUUCAUUAGAGAUCACCAACAAAAAGGGGACCUUUGCAUUGAGAGUAUAGGCAGCGAUGAUCAACUUGUCGAUAUAUUCACCAAGCCACUUGAUGAGAAGAGGUUUUGCAAGCUAAGGAAUGAAUUGAACAUACUUGACUUCUCAAAUAUGUGUUGAUGCACCCCCACUAUAUGACAUGCCUCUCCUUCGAGCAAAGCAAGGUAAAAUUGUUUGACAUGUCAUCCAUCUUUGCUAAGGAUGUGUUUAGUGCAUCUAGUCAUUCCUUACAUGUCUUAGGCUCAUUCAUGAAAAUAAAAUGAAUUUGAUGCUUGUAUGGUACCACUACUGCUUUUAUGCUUGACUUGAUCUAGUGGUAGCAUAUGACACGUUUGUGGGCUUGCAAUCCUAGUGUUUGAUCUAAAAUAUGAGCUAUAAGUGUUUAACUCAACAUGGUACAAGAUAACCCUUAUUUGGAGGUGUGAAGAAGCUUGUCCUUGGAUCAAACCGAGUUAAAUAUCUUAGGUAAGUAAUCUAGAUUGGACCAAUUUGGGAAAAUGAUCUCACUUCACAUGGUUUCACACUAACCUAUCUAAAAUUUUAGCUCACCUUUUGUGGUCUUUGAUGACAAAGGGGGAGAAAAUUUUCCAAAGAUUUAAGAUAAGGGAGUAACAUGAUAAAAGAAGGGGAUCAAUUAAAAUUUUGAAGCACACAAGUAGGGGGAGCAAGCUCAUAAACUUGUAUGUUGCAUUUGUAUGUGCAUCACAUAUGGUUGCUUGCAUUUGCAUUAGCUUUAGAAGCUUUCUCUCCAAUGCCUUGCUUGUGUGGUGUAUGCUAGUUGUAGGCUUGAUUGUUGAAAUAAAGAACUACCAUGCAUAGGUAGUGUAACUAGACUUUUAGUUGUUUCACAUGUGGUACUAAAACCUUGUUUAUAAUGUUGAUCUCACGAGGUGUUCUAGUUUUUGUGAAUGUCUAGUUACUAAUGGUGCUAAGUAUGGUAUACAUUGGCAACUCCGAUUGGUAUCACGCUUCAAAGGUCCAUUCUUUACACCUUAGCAUCAUUUGGUAGAAAUUGACUCCUAUAUUUCCUAUUCAAGCAUAUGUGCAAGCUUUCAAAUCCAAACUCUUAGGACAUAUGUAGGGGGAGCAAUUGCUACCAAUUUGGGUUUAUGAAACUUCUCCAUAACCUUUGCACAAGGUAAAAUGCUUGGACAAGCAACAUGAAUCCAAGAAAAUUUUAUUGAAAAUCUUUGUAAAAAGGGUUGUCAUCAAUUACUAAAAAGGGGGAGAUUGAAAGCCCUAGUUUGGUUUUGGAUAAUUGAUGAAACCCUAGUACUAACCUCUAUGCUAAGUGUGUGUAGACUUAAUGAGGUUGGUACAUGCCAAGUGAUGGAGCAAGUGAUGAUCAUGGUGAUGAUGGUGUUGACCACAAGAUGAUCAAGUGCUCAACUUGGAAAAGAAGAAAGAGAAAAACAAAACCCUAUGGAGAUCAAGGCAAAGGUAUUGCUUAGGGUUUUGGUUUUGGUGAUCAAGACACCAUAGAGGAUGUGAUCACAUUUAGGAUAGAUAGCCGUACUAUAAAGAGGGGAAUUCUUUGGCUAAGCGGUUAUCAAGUGCCACUAGGUGUCAUUGUUCAUGUGCAUGCAUUUAGAACCUAGUGAGCUAACUUAACUCCUUCAAAGAAAAUGAUUGUGAAAUUGCUAACACACGUGCACUUGUUGGUUUACGCGUUGUGGUGUCGGCGCUUUUCGAGAAAAUUAAGUGUAUAUUUUCUAUUGCGCUGGUGGGAAAUUUGGAGAAGUCACGGGAGUGUUUCCCGCUGAGGAACACUCACUGGACGCUGGAUCAGAGGCACCGGAUGCUGUCUCUGAGCAUCCGGUCCAGACAGUGCCUGGCCCAGCUAGGGUAAGGCACCGGACGCAGGCCUGUGCAUCCGGUGGUUAGCGUCCGGUGUGCGGACGUUUUGCGACCCUCUCUGCGCAUGGGUCCGGUGAGCACCGGACGCUACCGGACGUUAAGGGUGCAUCCGGUGGCUUGCGUCCGGUGACCCUGCAAUUUUGCGGAGCUCUCUGCGCAUGGGUCCGGUGUGCACCGGACGCGUCCGGUGCUAACCUGCUUAGCGUCCGGUGCUCUGCAGGUUACCGUUAGACUCUGACACGCGGCUGACGUUGGAGCACCGGACGCUAGUGUUGAGCGUCCGGUGCCCCUUUAAGAGCGUCCGGUGACCCCGUAUUUCGCCCUGUGAAAGAGCCAAUGGCUCUAUUUGUUUGAGGGGCUAUAAGUACAUGUUUGGCGGGCUUGGGGCUCACUCUCUUGGCAUUCUUGACUACUAUACAUCCUUGUGAGCCUAAGCAAACACCUCCCAUUCAUCUCCUUCAUAGAUUAUACAUGUUUGUGAGAUUGGGAGUGAUUCCAAGUGCAUUUGCUUGAGUGAUUGCAUGUAGUGGCACUUGGGGAUCGUUUUGGCUGUGGUUUUCUUGUUACUCUUGGUGGUUGCCGCCACCUAGACGGCUUGGAGCAGCGGAGGAGGAUUGGCACGAGUUGGUGAUUGUUCGUGGCCAUCUCCCAGUGAUUGUGAGAGGUUUGUGCCUACCUCGAUGGAGUGCCAAAGGCAACAUUAGAGGAUUGCUCGUGUCAUUGAGCUACCUCACUUGUGGGUAGGUUCUUGUGGUGUCCUAGUGAUGACGAGGUUCGUGCUACACCUCUUAGCCACCGAACCACCAAGUGUUGGUCGACAUAACGGGGACGUAGCGUGCCGGCAAGCACGUGAACCUCGGGAGAAAAAUCUUGUGUCUCCAUUGUGUUUGUUGAUUGGAUUUCUCCCGGUGAUUGGACUUCAUAAUAUUGUGAUUGGUUCAUCCCCUCUACGUGGUGGUAUAAAAGAUCAAACUCUCCCUCUUACUUUCUUGCAAACUAGAGUAGCUUACUUCUUGUAUAGAAACUUUAGGUAGCUCUCUAGUGUAAGUAGAGACUUAGUUCUUGUGUGCAUAGUGAUCAUAGCAACUAGAAUUGUUGGGUAGGUGGCUUGCAAACACCCCAUUAGAGCUAGAGCAAAAAGCUUCGCUUUGUUAUUUACUAACCUCUUGCUCUAGUGUUUUUGUAGAAUUUUUAAAUAGGCUAUUCACCCCCUCUCUAGCCACAUUAGGACCUUUCAUCCGAUCCGGCCAAGGCCUUGUUCAAGACCCUCAGAGGCCAAAUUCCUGCCGAUGCUGAAGAAAUCCUUUUUCAAGCUGCACACCUAGAGAGUCACCAACUACAGUACCAAAAGGCUGCCCAGCGUCUUGCCGAUAGAGCUGCUCACGCUCAGCUCUCUGAGGAGAUGAUGAAAAUAAAGCUCCUUGCCAAUGAGAAGCACAAGAACAUCGGCAUUUUGACAUCCUCAGGAGAUGUAUUGAAACAAAAGAUUUAUGAUCUAUCGGCGAGAAGGGAAGCCCUGUUGGCAGAACUCAAAUAGGUAGAAGAAGCCUUAUCUCAAGCCCAACAAGAAGAAAGCCAACUGCCUGAAACGAUCAAGCUUCUUGAACAAGACCGAAAUAUCCAGGCUCGCAAAGCACUGCAUAUGAAGAAGAAGCUGAAACCAGUCGAAGGUUCUGCAGAUGAUGACGUGAAGGAAAUAGAAGAAGCCAAACAGAUCCGACUGCACGCUAUAUCGACGAUCCAGGCGCUGUUGAACAUGUGAACUCUUCAUCGGUGACAUACCCUGCUCUCUUCUUUCCAAUCCUCCUGAUAUUUUGGUCUAGCCGAUAGGACUGUUAUCGGCACCUUUUAAAAACAUUGAGUUUAGCCCCAGACACACUUUGAUCUAGCCGAUGGGAAUGCUAUCGGCAUUUUAAACUCUUAUGCAUCAACCCAUAUGCUUGGGUGAUACUUCUUUAAAUACUUGCCAUUCAAUGCUCUGGGAAAUUCAACUCCUUCGAGAGUUUCUAAGAUAUAGGCAUUGCCAGGAGCAGACCGAUUUACCCGAUAGGGACCUUCCCAAUUGGGAGACCACUUCCCAAAUUUUGAACUUUUAGUCCCGAUCGGUAAGAUUAAUUUCCAUACUAAGUCUCCAUCGGCAAAGUCCUUAGCUUUUACCUUCUUAUCAUACCAUUUGGCAACUCUCUUCUUAUUCUCUUCUAUACUCAUCAAAACUCUUAGCCGAUGCCCUGCUAGGUCAUCCAACUCGUCUGUCAUCAAGGUAGCAUAAUCAUCGGUAGCCAAUUGAUCUUGAAAAGAUAAUCGCCUAGACCCAGUCUUAAUUUCCAAAGGUAACACUGCAUCAUGUCCAUACACCAACUGAUAAGGUGAAACUUUGAUCGACCCAUGACAAGCCAUCCGAUACGACCAUAAAGCUUCAUUUAACAACGUGUGUCACAUCCUAGGAUUUUCUUCAAUCUUUCGUUUAAUGAGCUUGAUGAUUCCUUUGUUAGAUGCCUCGGCCUGCCCAUUAGCUUGAGCAUAAUAAGGAGAAGAAUUUAAUACUUUAAUUCCCAUACCGAGUGCAAACUCAUCAAACUCCCCUGACGUAAACAUAGUACCCUGAUCGGUAGUAAUUGUUUGAGGAAUUCCAAAUCGGUAGAUAAUAUGCUCUUUCACAAAAUCAGUCAUAUUGGCCGAUGUAACUCUCUUCAAAGGAAUAGCUUCAACCCAUUUGGUGAAAUAAUUGGUAGCAACCAAAAUAAACUUAUGUCCUUUGCUGGAUGGCGGAUAAAUCUGGCCGAUCAAGUCAAUAGCCCAUCCUCGAAACGGCCAAGGUUUAAUAAUGGGAUUCAUGGCCGAUGCGGGUACCCUUUGAACAUUGCCAAACUUCUGACAUCCUUGACACCCUUUGAAAUACUUAAAACAAUCCUCAAGUAUAGUUGGCCAAUAAUACCCAUUCUUCUGAUCAUCCACUUCAUCUUAAAUGCCGACUGGUGUGCUCCACACACUCCUUCAUGGAUUUCCCCCAUUAAACUUUUAGCCUCAUCAUCACCUAAGCAUUUGAGAAGAACUCCAUCAAUUGUUCGAUAAUAUAGUUCAUCUUCGAGGAGCACAUACUUGGUGGCUUGAAACCGAACACGUCUCUCAACUUUCUUGGAUGGAUCCUUUAAAUAAUCAAUAAUUUCUUUUCUCCAAUCAUCGGCACUGAUUGCCGAUACUGCGUUUAUCAUGGGCUGGUAUCCCGAGGCAUGCUAAGCCAACCGAUUGGCCUCUUCAUUAUGCAACCGAGGAACAUGCUCCAAUCGGAAAUCCUUGAAUUCCUUUAACAGUUGCACACUCCUUUCGUGAUAAGUUAUCAGGACUUCGCUUCGGCAUUCAUAGCUUCCAGAUAAUUGAUUUAUAACCAGCACAGAAUCCCCGAAGAUUUCAACAGCAUCAGCAUGAACUUCCCUUAAUAAUUCCAACCCCUUUAUCAAAGCUUGAUACUCAGCUUGAUUAUUUGUUGAUGUGGCAACAAUCGGCAAGGAGAACUCAUACACGCCCCCCGGUCACACGUGGAUCCAUCAAAGAAGAGCGUCCAAGGUACAAUUUCCAAAGUCUCCACUGUACCGCAAUGUUGAGUUACAAAAUCGACCAUAAUCUAUCCCUUAACCGCUUUAGCCGAUUCGUAACGCAAAUCGAAUUCCGACAGUGCCAAAAUCCACUUACCGAUCCUGCCACUUAUAAUCGGCAUAGACAGCAUAUAUCGGACCACGUCAUCUUUGCAUAUGACAGUGCAUUCAGCCGAUAACAAAUAGUGUCUCAACUUAAUACAUGAGAAAUAAAGACACAAACAUAACUUUUCAAUGGCCGAAUACCUGGUCUCAGCAUCAACCAAUCUCCUGCUUAAAUAGUAAAUCACACGUUCCUUCCCUUCAAAUUCUUGAAUUAAAGCCGAACCGAUGACCAUCCCAUCGGUAGACAAAUACAACAUGAAGGGCUUUCCUUGCUGAGGUGGAAUCAGAACUGGAGGAUUUACCAAAUAAUUCUUGAUUUUAUCUAAGGCCAGUUGUUGCUCUUUCCCCCAGACGAUCUCUUGAUCGGCUCUCAACUCUAGUAAAGGGCUGAAAGCACGAAUUUUACUAGACAAAUUAGAUAUAAACCUCCUGAUAAAAUUUACCUUGCCGAUCAAGGAUUGGAGCUCAGUCUUAUUGUUAGGAGCAACUAUUUUGUUGAUAGCAUCAAUGGAUCUUCGACUAAUUUCAAUCCCCCUUUGAUGCACCACGAAACCAAGGAAUUGUCCUGCCGAUACACCAAAUGCACACUUAUUGGGAUUCAUCUUUAAACCAUGCUUCCUUGUACAUUCUAACACCUUUCGCAAAUCGGCAAGAUGCUUUAUGAAGUCUCCUGACUUAACCACAACAUCAUCAGUAUAAAUUUCCACCAGCUUGCCGAUGAACUCAUGAAAUAUAAAAUUCAUAGCCCUCUGAUAAGUAGCACCAGCAUUUUUCAAGCCAAAGGUCAUGACUAUCCAUUCAAACAACCCAACAUGACCAGGACAUCUAAAUGCAGUUUUUUGAAUAUCCUCUUCAGCCAUGAAUAUCUGAUUGUAUCCUGCAUUGCCAUCCAUAAAGCUGAUGAUCCGAUGCCCAGCUGCAGCAUCCACUAGUAGAUCGGCAACUGGCAUUGGGUAGCCAUCCAUCGAUUUAGCUUUAUUAAGAUUUCUGAAAUCAAUGCAGACCCGAAGCUUCCCAUUUUUCUUCUAAACCGGAACAACAUUGGAAAUCCACUCGGCAUACUGACACUGCCGAAUAAAUUUAGCUUCAAUAAGUUUGGUUAUUUUGGCCUUAAUAUCAGGAAGAAUAUUAGGAUUACAUCGGCGAGCUGGCUGUUGAUGUGGCCGAAAUCCAGACUUGAUAGGCAACCGAUGUUCAACAAUUGAUCGGUCCAAACCAGGCAUCUCAGUAUAAUCCCAAGCAAAGCAAUCUUUAUAUUCCUUUAACAAAUCAGUUAACUGUUGCUUACACUCAGAAUUUAACUUAGCACUGAUAAAAGUAGGUCUAGGCUUAUCACCACUACCUAUAUCCACUUCUACCAAAUCAUAGGCCGAUGUGAAUCCCUGGCCCAAUUUUCCAUCAUCGGUGAACCUAUCCAUUAAAAACCUUCAUCAGAACCGACUGCUUGGAUCGGUGGAAUUUCAUAAUCGGCAACUUUGAGAAAAUCCUUCUCCCAAAUUUCCCCCGAGAUGCACCUAGUCCUUUCAUAAGUGUCUGCUUCUGCCGAUGCGAUGACAUAAGAAGAAUCCCCCGGGACGAUCUCAAUCUUGUCACCUACCCACUGGACCAAGCAUUGGUGCAUUGUAGACGGGAUGCAACAAUUGGCAUGAAUCCAAUCUCUCCCUACCAGCAAAUUAUAAGCACCUUUUCCGCUGAUCACGAAGAAAGUUGUCGGCAAGGUUUUGCUGCCGAUGGUCAACUCAACGCACAUUGCCCCCUUAACUAGAGACACAUUUCCUUCAAAUUCUUUCAGCAUCAUAUCGGUCUUGGUCAAAUCUUGAUCCCCUUUUCCAAGCUUCCGAUAUACUGCAUACGGCAUGAUGUUGAUAGCGGCUCCACCAUCAAUUAAUAUCUUUGUCAUUGGCUGACCAUCAACCCUUCCUUUGACAAACAAAGCUUUAAGAUGCUGCCUUUCAUUGUCGGCAGGCUUUUCAAAGAUAGCUGUCAUCGGACCCAGAGCCAACUGAGCUAUCUGGUCGGAAAACUCCAACUCCUCAUCAUCGCUGGACGAUGCAAGGAAUUCCAUCGGCAACAUAAAUACCAUGUUGACAUCUGCCGAUGGCCCUUUUCCCUUAGGAUCUAAUCAUUGCUGAUCCCCAGAUUGGCCAGAAUUCUCGCCCUUGCUUAGCUCUUCUCGUCUUUUGCGCUGCAGUCUUCUUUUCUAUGUUUUAGUUAACCCCUCUAGACACCAUGGGGGAAGUGGUGACUGCCUUGCCGAUGGACGACGAUAUUCCCUUGACUCCAUCCGAUGAGUAUUAGCAUCUCUGCAAAAUAUGAAUUCAUCGGGAACUCGUGCAUUAGCCAUCUCUUCAAGCUCUUCCUGAUUCCUGGGAAAAUAUUCAACACGAUCACCAAGCCUAUCUUGCAUACUGAGCCUGCCCCCCAUCCGAUCAUGAACGGACGCUCUCCCCCUAAUCGGCCCAUUAAUUCGUCGAUCAUCAUUGUGAUAGCGCCGGUCGGAUCGGUCAUUCUGAUCAUAACCAUUGCACUCAGGACAAUCUCUAAUAGUGGGCAACUUGAUGUUCUGCUCCCAGCAAUGGAUAAAGAACGGGCAGUUCAAGUGAUCCUUGUGCCAAUUCCACUCCUGUCGGCGUCUUUCUUCUUCCCGAUUAUCGUAUUCUUGCUGGCGCCGAUACCGAUCCUCACGUUGCUGCCAAGUUUCCCGAGGCCUUCUAUGAGUUAUCACAAUACCAGAUCGGGGAGGCCUUCCCGAGUUAGUUCCCUCCUGGAUCAAGCCUUUUCCUUUUGCAUCGGCAGUAGUGAUCUGAUGCUGAGGAUCCACCGAUACACUUCUUUCAGCUGCUUCUGAUGUCAAGACCUUGGCCUUUCCCUUAGCAUCUAGCAUGUUUGUUGGGAAAGGAUGUUGAUCAAUCUUCAUUGGCUUCUGAGUUUUGGAGCUGUCAAAUUUGAUCCUCCCAGAUUCUAUAGCCGAUUGCAGCUGUUGUCUAAAAACUUUGCACUCAUUGGUGCUGUGAGAAGUUGCAUUGUGCCAUUUGCAGUACUUCAUCUUCUUCAAUUCUUCAGCCGAUGGGAUUACAUAAUUGGGUGACAAUUUGAUCUGACCUUCCUGAAGUAGAAAGUCAAAUAUCCUAUCGGCUUUGGUGAUGUUAAAUGCGAACUUCUCUGGCUCUUUGUGCCCAAAAGGGCAAGACAUCGGCUUCUUAUUCUUUACCCAUUUUGCCAAGCCGAUGACUGGCUCUUCAUCAGAAUUUUAGCUUGCUGCCUCAUCAACAAAUGACACCUUUUUGUUCCAAGCUCUCUUGGGUUCAAAGGGUUUGAUAUCCUAGUCGGAAAUCCUCUGGACCAAGUGACUCAGGCUCUCGAACUCUUGAGAAUCAUAUUUGUCCCUGAUAUGUGGCAACAAACCCUGGAAAGCCAAAUCGGCUAGCUGCCGAUCAUCCAAAACCAGACUAUAGCAUUUGUUAUUGACUUCCCGCAAUCUCUGUACAAAACUUUCAACCGAUUCAUCGUUACGCUGUUUCAAUCUGACCAAAUCAGUAAUCUUCUUCUCAUGGACUCCAGAAAAGAAGUACUUGUGGAACUGCUUCUCCAGAUCGGCCCAAGUAAUCACUGAAUUAGGAGGCAAUGAUAUAAACCAAGUGAAAGCCGAUCCAGACAAAGAUGAUGAAAACAGUCGAACCCUCAAUUCAUCCCUGUUAGCAGCUUCUCCACAUUGGAUGAUGAACCUGUUGACAUGUUCCAUGGUUGAUGUGUCAUCCUGUCCAGAAAACUUAGUGAAAUCUGGUAUCUUAUGCCGAUUUGGAAGUGGAAUCAAAUCAUAUGCAGGAGGAUACGGUGUCCGAUAAGAGUAAGUGUUGACCUCGGGUUUUAUCCCAAAUUGAUCCCUCAUUACUUCAGCAGUCUUAUCAGCCCAAUAAGCAUCGGCAUCUUGCCGAUGGGGUGGUUGCAGAUCUGGCGCCUGCUGAUACACUUCCAUGUGUCGUUGAGGCGCACGAUCUGCAUGGAACAUGGGGUUGAUUGUCUGACCACCAAACUGUUGACCAAGAUUCAUCGGCUGGUUGGGCAACCCUUGAUUCUGGAACCCGGGGUAGAUCUGGCCUUGUUGAAACCCUGUAGCCUGAUGGUUCUGUUGGGGCACUUGUGGAAAGACUUGUAGCCCAGGCCAUCCACUAUUAGCAUUCAUCGGCAUAGACCCUACCGAUGUCUAGUAAUUAGGCAUCAUCAUUGAAUUGACAUACCCUGGUUGAGUCAUAAACCUCUGUUGCGUCGGCUUUGAAUCUGCCGAUGCAUUAGGCAUCUGGAACGUCGGAGCUUGAGAAUUCCCAGUGUAAGGUCUUGCAGUAAUAGUCGUAGUAUAUUGGGGACUCUGAUUCAUCGGCAAAUUUGGAGGUGCCGAUGCAAUAGGAGCUUUGCCUCUCAUAUCAGCCGUGUGAGAUGUACUAGGUGUCUUCAACAUGAACUCUGGGGGCAUACCAAAACUCCACUAGUUAGGAGGGACAGAUCCCGACAUUGCCGAUGCCAACAGGUCUGUAGUGAGCUUGAUCUGCUCAUCUAAAGUUGAUGGAUUAGUCAUCAUCGGCGUGGAUUGCGCAUUAGUGACUCCUAACGUGCUUAGAGGAACAGCUGUUUCUGCACCUGCAGCGGCUGUUGCAGCCGAUGGAGCUGUGACAACUGGUGCUGAUGAUGAGAAGGACCAAUAUAAUUUGGUGGCAAUUGUCCCUCUUUGAAUGUUCUAGCCACGGCAUUGAAACCCGUAUUGGACAGCACACCAGCUUGAUUGAUCAAGGCACGGUUAAUAGCACUAUCAACCAUGUCUUGAAGUUUACCAGGAUUGGCUUCAAAAGUAACCUGCUGAGGCAUCGGCAGUGCUUCCUUCUGGAUCACCUCGCCACUCCUGUUUAUACUGAAGGACUUCAAACAUUGUUGCCUGUAAUCCUCCAUAGCCUUUGCAAUAGCUUGCUUCUGCUCAUCUUUGAGAUUAGCUUCCGUCACGGGGAUGACAUUCUCCAAGUUGACAUUGCUAGUCGCCAUGUCAAUCUUGGUCUUGAAUCAGGUCCCACUGGGCAUGCCAAAAGAUGUGUUGAUGCAAAAAGUGGAUCUGCAAACACAAAGGGCUAAUACCCGAUUCAAACAUUAUGGCGUGCCAGCCGAUUUGACCUUACUAUCAGCAAAGGUGAUAACUCGAAUACUUUGGUCCUGACAACAGCGAUGCGCCCGGAUGCCACGGCCAAGAGGUAUUCACGUGGAACUCGAGAAUAGGCCGAGCUUAAGUCGACGAACUCCUAAGAACUCGUAAUGAAAAGGAAAAUAUGACAAAGUCGUCGAAAAAGUAGAUGCUGGAAUAUGUGGGGGUAUAAACCCCUAUACCCUUACGGCUAGACUUCGGCCAGGAAGCUUGGCCCAUUACGAGACGAGUUCAAGGCUUGAUCCGACAACCUGGAGUUUCGCGCAAGGAAACAAGAUGGGGAGAUCAAGCAGGAUUCUAGUCGGUUAGAAUAGGAAUUGAUAUCGAAUUAUCCAUGGCAAUUGUAACCGACUAGGAUUAGUUUCCAGAUCUGUAACCCUGCCCUCCAGACUAUAUAAGGAGGGGCAAGGGACCCCCCUAGGACAUCAUAUUCUCUCAACACAAAUCAAUACAACCAGACGCAGGACAUAGGUAUUACGCCAACUCGGCGGCCGAACCUGGAUAAAAAGCUUGUCCGUGUCUUGCGUCACCAUCGAGUUCGUAGUUUGCGCACCGUCUACCGAUAAACUACUACCGUGGGUAUACCCCAAGGUAGACUGCCGACCAGCUUUCGUCGACAGUGGCGCGCCAGGUAGGGGGUGUGCAUACAGCUCUGCCGACGAACAAGAUGGCCAUCAUCCCCGACUUCGCGGCCAUGGCGGGCGACUUCACGUUCACCGUCAGCUUCAACAACUUCACCGCCAUGACCACGGAGGAGGUGUAGAUCCGAUCUGCGCCAACCACUUCUUCAUCGACGUCGGCGGCGGCUUCAACCACGCUGGCUACGACUCCGACUACUCCAGCAACGUCUCCGACCACGCCGACAACGCGUCACCCGCUUCCCUGCUACAAAGAGAGGCAGAUCGACAACACCGACCUGCUCGGGCCAUCGACCAAAUUGUUUAGCCUACUUGCUCUGACCACCAGUCGCAAUAAUAAUCGCCGCGAAGAACGACGCUACGACAACAGCGACCACCGUCAUGACAAGUCGAAAAGCUCGAGGGCCGGACAAUUUUGUCGUCACCGACUAGACUUUCAUGCAAAGAUAAGUACACUUCUAAUAUCUUAUUUAUUUUUGGCAUAAUAUUUUUUAUUAUCAUUCAAAAAAAACUUUUUGUUUAGCCACACUAGUUUUUUCUCCUACACGAGCUUUCCAGAGCCGGUACUGUCUCCGACUCCUCCCUACACGUGCACGAGAUCCGCCCUCUGCGUUCCGGGUGGUCGGCAGUAGCUCUCUAGCGAGGCUGGCAAUCCCACACGUGUCUAGGUUCCGCACCUCAUGCUGAUUGUUGGCUAGACCAGAGCUGGUACAAGCUCUAGGAUGAAUUAACUACUUGUGCUAAUUUUAUAACAAAAAAUCUAAAACUUAUCUCAGUACUGAUUUUUAUCUAAAGUUUAUUUAUACAUCAUGUACUACCUAUUCUUUAUAUUUAUUUUUCAGGGGUUUGGCCCAGUCGACAAGCUACGCUCGGGGACUCGUCGACUAUUCCCUACGCUGUGCCCUGGGACUGCUCCGACCACCGAGCACGUUUACGUUCCCAACCACGCUCGGGGACUUGUCGACUACUCUCUAUGCUAUGCUCGAAGACUGUGCCGACCACCGAGCACGUUUACGUUCCCAACCACGCUCGGGGACUUGUCCACCGGUCCCUACGCCGUGCUCGGGGACUGUGCCGACCACCGAGCACUAUACGCUCGGGGACUGGUCGACCAGCUCACCAAUUUACGAGCUUGGGGACUGCACCGACCACCGAGCACUAUACGCUCGGGGACUGGUCGACCAGCCACCAAUUUGAGAAUUCGGAGACUGUACCGACCAUCGAGUGUUCUAUACUCGGGGACUGGUCGAUUAGUCUAUUCAAUUGCAUACGAGCAUGAUAUGCUCGGGGACUGGUAAAUUCAAUUUUUUAGACCUUGCUACAAGGCUCAUACUUCGCCUUCCAGCAAGCUCGGGGACUACAUCGGUACGAUGCAUCUAGCGAUGCAUCUCAGUCUCAAAACUACUUUGGGGAAUUUUCUUUUGACCCUGGCACCAUGUGCCUACGUCACCUACUACCAGGCUCGGGGACUAAGUGGGCACACUUCACCUUGCGGUGAAUAUGCUUGCUUUUUUGAUGUUUAUACCUUCCAAAAAAGUAAAGUGGGCACACUUCACCAGGAAACAAAUCUUUUUUAAUUUAGAGCACCAUGCAUUCUUCGAACAACUCGCUUCUUCGAUGUCAAUGUUGAUCAACUGUCUUUUGAGUUGGUCAAAGAACCGUUGCAACUGUUUGGGCGAUUUUCCCACUUAUUGAAGACGUCAAGUCUAACUGAUCGAAGAAGCUCAAGACGGCGUGUUACAUCACAAUACAUGGUGCUCGGGGACUAGCUGUGGGGGUAUAAACCCCUAUACCCUUACGGCUAGACUUCGGCCAGGAAGCUUGGCCCAUUACGAGACGAGUUCAAGGCUUGAUCCGACAACCUGGAGUUUCGCGCAAGGAAACAAGAUGGGGAGAUCAAGCAGGAUUCUAGUCGGUUAGAAUAGGAAUUGAUAUCAAAUUAUCCAUGGCAAUUGUAACCGACUAGGAUUAGUUUCCAGAUCUGUAACCCUGCCCUCCAGACUAUAUAAGGAGGGGCAAGGGACCCCCCUAGGACAUCAUAUUCUCUCAACACAAAUCAAUACAACCAGACGCAGGACGUAAGUAUUACGCCAACUCGGCGGCCGAACCUGGAUAAAAAGCUUGUCCGUGUCUUGCGUCACCAUCGAGUUCAUAGUUUGCGCACCGUCUACCGAUAAACUACUACCGUGGGUAUACCCCAAGGUAGACUGCUGACCAGCUUUCGUCGACAGAAUAUGAGUAAAAACUUGUGUUUGGUUGAUUGAUAGAUUCCUUAUUACAAGGCCGUAGGGUCUACAUUUAUACCCUGCUCAAAGAGCUAUAAUCAGACACGACUAGGACUCAAAUUCCAAAUUAAACAGAAUCCGUAUACAAAACAAUUUAAAUAACUAAGGAAAGCACAAAACUAGGAGCCUAGAUGCUCUUUCAAUCUCCCCCUUUUUAGUGAUUGAUGACAAUAACCUCGUGUAUGAAAAGAGUUGAGGUUUUCAAAUGAAUUGGUUUCAAUAAGCAUGAUACAAUAAGAACAAAGGGAUUAGACAUACUUAUAUCAACCAAGUCCAACAUCCUGCAUCCAAAUAUGUGUGUGAAGCACAAUAGGAUAUAAACACAAGGCUCAUAAAUACUUCGGAGUAAAACGCGGAGGCAAAGGUAAUAUGAGCCAAACACAUGACAUAAUGAUAUCACAAUUAAGCACAAGUCAUGUCUCACAACCAUAGUGUAUCUCACACAAAUGCAAUGCAUAAAGAUAAACGUGAUGCAUGAUGGAGUAGCACACAUAAGAGUAUAUCAAAAGAAUAAAAGCCCACUCUAGCUCUCUAGCUCCCCCUAACUCUCAUACUCAUAACUCUCUCUCCCCCUUUGGCAUCAAGCGCCAAAAACCUAAGAAGACGGAGGUGGAGGCGGAGCAGUGGAGUCCCUCAGCACGGCCUCAAAAUGAGCUGCAUCAUCUGAACCAUCGGCCAUCGAGGCGGAGGAGGUGGAGUGACCCUCUGAGGCUGCACGAGUUGGCAAAGCGGUCUGGGUUUGCUCUAGAGGCGCUGAAGCGAUCACUGGCUGUGUGGGCUGCUCGAGUCCUGCUGACGAAGCUGGCACGGACUCGGUCAUUGUAGCUGAAGUCUCUAGCACGGUAGAAGAAGGUGCUAGCUGCUCGGACGAUGCUACUGACGACGACAGACGCUCUGUAGUGGUGACUGGCACCGUAAAGGCUGCAGGAGCCUGCAGAGGUGGAGGUGUAGGGUCACCAGUCAGAGCACUGUAAGUGAAGCUGAGGUGCGGGUCUGUCGACGAGUCCAACACAAGCUGUGACGCUGUCGCUAACUGAGGCGUGAAUCCAGAGCGGAGAGGCAUGAAUUGAGGUACCUGCUCAAAGCCAGAGGAGAUAGCACCCUGGGAAACCUGGUGCUGAGGCGUCGAAAACGGCUAACUCUGAGCAGGGAGCUGUAGAGGCUGCUGAGACUGACUCUAGGGAGCUGGAGUAGAUGGCCUGACAGACGAUGUGCCUGGAAGCUGAAUCUGUGGAAGCUGAAUCCCUGAGGUGGCCAUAAGAGCGGCCAUCAUCGCUGUCUGCUGAGCCUGAAAAGCUAAGAACUACCGCUGAAGCUCAUCCUGACGAGCCUGAAUUGCUGCAUUGAUCGUAGCCUGAUCCCUGUCCCUCCGAGCCUGCUCCUCAGCUGCUCUACACUGGUCAGCUCUCAUCCCCUCUAGUAUAGCUAGCAGUGCAGGGUCCGUAGCACUCGAAGAACCUCCUACCUCGUGGUCAUGCGCCCUAGGGGGAGGUCUGACACUGGGGGAUGAUAAUCAUCGUCCGAGCUGCCUGAAACAAAAUCAAACUCUCCCUUAGCCUCUGCAUCUGCAACAGCCCCAAUGGCUAUGUCCUGCUGCUCCUCGGUCUCUAGUACUGCUCCUAAACUGCGAGUGCCCCUAGGAGAAGGUGGGGGCACCGGGCCACGUGGUGCACGAGGAGGUGGUGUAGCUCUGAGGUCGUGGUGUGCUCUCAACAUUGUUGACGGUUCUUAAGUAUCAAUUUUAAUUAUCAGAUAAACAAGAGAAAGGACCAAUAUGCAACCAACACCUAGAAUUAGGGUUUGAUCUGACAGAAUUCCACGAGUUUUGUUGUUUAUCUGUUUCUGUAGGGGCUUAUCAGGAAAUAAGGAAGAAAGUCCCACAUGUCGGGAUUACAUAGAGAUAUCAACACACCGCGCGAUUUUCUACCAUCUAGAAGACUCCAGAAGCCACGAGAACGAAGCAGAGGCCGAAAGGGGCCAGGCCCAGGGCGCCCGCCAUGGUGACCUAGGCGCCCGCCCCCUGCUGGAUCCCGUUCGGGACUCUCUUCGCACACGAUGUUCCACCGACCUAAUGGAUCAAAGAUAAUGUAGUGCCACCUCGCCUACCGACCCAAAAACACAUAGAGGAGAAGGACUAUAUAAGGAGACCCCCUGGCCCCUGGGGAAGACAAGAAAUUAUCAUAGAGAUUGAGGGGUGCCCUCGAAGGAAAACCUCUUCUCUAAAUAAUAUUUCUUUUUAGGCUUAACAACCAUUGUAAAGUAGAAAUAGAUCUUCUAGUUUUUACUAGAUUGAGAGAGAUAGAGUGGAGGUGUAGAUUGGAGGAAGCCCGGCCUGUCGGUGUCUACUCCAAGCUUGUACCUGCGGGAUCAAGUUCUCUAAACCCGAAGCUUGCUCCUAGGAUUCUUCAGUAUUUCGACUUCUAAAUUCUAGUAAGUUCUUGUUUUAUUGUUCUUCUGGUUUAUGAGUUUACUUUAAUCUCUUCGCGUAGAGUUUAGAGUAAUCAUUGCUGGCAUAAACGUGGUGUUUAGGCUGAGGUACUCAUAAAUAUUCCCUGACUAGCUAGACCGUGGUAGUAGUGAGGAACGUGACAAUUCCGAGUUACCUUUGCAGACUAUAUCUCGUUAGCAGGAAGGAUAGGGUUUAUAGGUGCGGGUUGAACAUCCUUUGUGGUGUCUAGAUUCCGUUAGCCUCCCCAAUAGAACAGUAGAUCAUCCUUACCAAGGUUAGAAGAAGACUACGGUUGCAGUCUUCUCUAUUUAUCACUGACAUCGAGAGACAUUCUUUGUUGCCUAAAGGGUUAGUAGUAAUAGACCGGUUAGUCAGAUGCACUCUUUCUCCUAGUGGUAAAAAAAUAAAUACGAUACUCUGGAUAAUUUCCCAGGUGAAGUGCUCACCGAUAUCCGUGCGCUUGUGGAUCAAUUCCUUAUUGCGUUCCCAAAUAUCAACAAGCAUUUCUGGCGCCGUUGCCGGGGAGAAAGACGGUUUGCUGAGAUAACCUUGAGUCUUACUACUAGCUUGUAUCUAUACUUUUAUCUUUUCUUAUCUUUUAUAUUCUUUAUUUAUUUUCUUUACUCUUACCUUAUGGAAAACCAAAAUUCUAAAUCAAUCCAUGAGUCUGCAAUCCCUUCAGUAACUGACCUUUUACCAUGGGAGUCAUCACAGCCUAUCCAAACAUCCCAGUAUAAGUUAAGUUCUAGGUUGAUUGCCAUGAUUUAAAACCUAUCUUUUUUGGGAAAGGAAGACGAAAACCCUUACCUUCAUAUUAGAGAUUUUGAGCAAACAUGUGAUUGUCUUCGCAUUGAAGGCAUAUCUGAUAAAACUUUAUGUUGGAAGCUUUUUCCUUUUUCCUUAAGGGGAGAAGCUAGACAAUGGUACAGUCAGAAGGUAAGUCAACAACGAGGUGAAUGGGGAGUUUUACGAGCCAACUUUUGUCUAGAUUUCUAUUCCCUCGACCGUAUAGCCGACCUUAGACUCGAAGUCCUAUCUUUUAAACAAAAAGAUAAUGAAACUUUGGGAAAAUCCUGGAAACGUUUUUUCUGAUCUUUUAGAAUCUGGUCCAAACCUUAAUCUUGAAGACCCUGUUCUUUUAUUUCACUUUUUUUGAGGUCUUCAGAAAAAUCACAAACAAAUGCUACACACAAUGUCUAGAGGUUCUUUCUUUCGCAUCCCUACUGAUGAAGCUAGAGUGAUCCUAGAUAGAAUCCUAGAAGCUGAGAUGGAUAAUACCCUUCAUGAUGAAACCAACGAAGCCGAAGUAGACACUCAGCCAAAUUCUUCAUCUACUUUAGCUAUCCCAAGUUCUGAGCCACAAGAGGAAGAAAUUCCACCACCGGACUUCAUGCUGGAUAUAGAAUCCGAUCUUUUUACCGAUUUUGGAAACAUUUCAAACUACCAUUCUAUUAACAAACCCCAAAACGGUCAGUUUAGCAAUUAUUUGCCAAGUGAAUAUCAAUUGAGAGAGCUUAUCUCAGUCAUGAGUAGCGAAUGGUUGGAGGAAUCUGAGCUUUCCUCUGAUGUGAUUCGUUUGGACACACCCUCUAUAACUAUAUGCUGUGCUUAUAAUUCUAAUCGAUUUAAUGCUCUUUAUAAUCCUUUUGUGGGGAUCAACAUCAUGUCUGAAUCUUUUGCACUUAAACUAUUUAAAAAUCUUGUCCUAACCCCCACAACAAAGGUCAUAAAGGAAUCUUCGGGACGAUUAGUCCCCAGUCUUGGAAUUAUUAAUGUCCUACCUCUUACGGUAGAAGGCUCCAUGGUUCAUUUGAACUUCUAUAUCUUUGAUACAUGGGACUUUGACCUGUUGAUAGGACAACCUUUUAGAAGACUCCUUUAUGAAGGUCAUACUAGAAAGCUACACAUUUCUUUUGGAAAAGCCUUUAAAUUCCCAAUAACAAUUUCACACUCCUUAAACAAUAAGGCCGAAUCAUAUCUUUUGCCUGAUCCUAUGGAGGAGGUAAAGGCUGCAUCUCUAGUGCUUUUAGAAGAAUCAGACUUAGAAGACGAAACUCCUUUCUUCAUAGAAGUAGAAGCCGAACCUUCUGAACCUAUGCUUUCCUAAACAAUAAUCCAGAGUUUCCUGUGAUCAUUAGCAAUAAACUCACUCAGGAGCAAACUCUGCGAUUAAUGACCAUUCUUGAGAAACAUCACUCAGUUUUCGGCUACUCACUCCAAGAUCUUACAGGAAUCAGUCCUACGAUUUGUACCCAUCGUAUUCCAACAGAUCCUUCUGUUUCACCCUCUCGAGAACCCCAACGUAGACUUAAUAACACUAUGAGAGAGGUAGUUAAAAAGGAAGUUAUAAAGUUGCUGCAUGCAGGGAUUAUAUAUCCUGUGCCGCACAGUGAGUGGGUAAGCCCAGUUCAAGUUGUGCCUAAAAAGGGAGGCAUGACUAUUAUUAUGAAUGAAAAGAACGAGCUAAUUCCACAACGCACCGUCACAGGAUGGCGGAUGUCCAUAGACUAUAGAAAACUAAACAAAGCCACGAGAAAGGAUCACUUUCCUUUACCUUUCAUAGAUGAGAUGCUAGAGCGGUUAGCGAACCAUUCGUUCUUCUGUUUUUUAGAUGGAUAUUCAGGGUAUCAUCAGAUCCUGAUCCAUCCCGAUGAUCAAAGCAAAACCACUUUUACAUGCCCAUAUGGAACUUAUGCUUAUCGUAGAAUGUCUUUUGGGUUAUGUAAUGCACCAGCUUCUUUUCAAAGAUGCAUGAUGUCUAUAUUUUCUGAUAUGAUUGAAGAGAUUAUGGAAGUUUUCAUGGAUGAUUUCUCUGUUUAUGGAAAAACUUUUGAUAGUUGUCUUGAAAACUUAGACAAGGUUUUGCAAAGAUGUGAAGAAAAGCACUUAGUCCUUAAUUGGGAAAAAUGUCAUUUUAUGGAUAGAGAAGGAAUAGUGCUGGGACACUUAGUGUCUGAAAGAGGUAUUGAGGUAGACAAAGCUAAAAUUGAAGUAAUUGAACAACUACCUCCACCUGUGAAUAUAAAAGGAAUUUGAAGCUUUCUUGGCCAUGCUGGUUUUUAUUGUAGAUUUAUAAAAGAUUUCUCAUUCAUUGCAAGACCACUUACUCUUUUGCAAGCCAAGGAUGCUCCUUUCGAAUUUGAGGAUGCAUGUCUAACACCUUUUAAUUUAUUAAAGAAAGCACUCAUCUCUGCACCAAUCAUUCAACCCCCUAAUUGGUCAUUGCCUUUUGAAAUUAUGUGUGAUGCUAGUGAUUAUGCUGUGGGGGCAGUUUUAGGACAAACUAAAAAUAAGAAGCAUCAUCCAAUUGCUUAUGCUAGUAAAACUUUGACAGGAGCUAAACUUAAUUAUGCAACCACUGAAAAAGAGCUUCUGGCUGUUGUCUUUGCCAUUGAUAAAUUUAGAUCUUAUUAAGUUGGAGCUAAAAUAAUUGUUUACACUGAUCAUGCUGCACUAAAAUAUUUGCUCACUAAAAAAGAUGCUAAACCUUGCCUGAUUAGAUGGAUCUUAUUACUCCAAGAAUUUGACUUAGAAAUAAAAGAUAAAAAGGGAGUAGAAAAUUCUGUUACUGAUCACUUGUCUAGAAUGUAUUUUAAGAGUCCACAGGAAACCCCCAUCAAUGAUUCACUCCGGGACGACAUGCUCUACGGGAUUAACAGGUCUGACCCCUGGUAUGCAGAUAUUGUUAAUUUUAUGGUUUCAGGGUAUGUACCACCAGGUGCAAACAAGAAGAAGCUUAUUCAAGAAAGUCGUUCACAUAUAUGGGAUGAGCCAUACCUCUUCCGAGUAUGCUCUGAUGGCUUACUCAGGAGAUGUGUGACCACUGAGGAAGGAUGGAAGAUCAUCGACAGAUGUCAUUCAUCACCAUAUGGAGGUCACUAUGGAGCAUUCCGCACACAUUCAAAGAUCUGGCAGUGUGGAUUUUCUACUGGCCUACAAUGUAUGAAGAUACGAAGCAUUAUAUGAGAAGAUGUGGGCCAUGUCAAAGACACGAAAACAUAAAUACAAGGGAUGCAAUACCACUCACCAACAACCUUCAGAUUGAGCUCUUUGAUGUCUGUGGAAUAGACUACAUGGGUCCAUUUCCUCCAUCAAAGAAGUGUGAGUACAUCUUCGUGGCAGUUGACUAUGUCUCCAAGUGGGUAGAGGCAUUACCUUGCAAGCAUGCCGACAACGUCAGUUCAAAGAGGAUGUUUGAAGAAAUUAUAUUUCCAAGAUUUGGAGUCCCCAGAGUAGUGAUAAGUGAUGGAGGAGCACACUUCAUCGACAAAAGCUUCAAGCAAUAUCUAUCAAAACAUGAAAUCCGUCACAACGUCGCUACCCCCUAUCAUCUGCAGACAAGUGGCCAAGCAGAGACUUCCAACAAACAAAUCAAGAAUACUCUUCAGAAGACAGUAAAUGAAAUGGGAACGGCAUGGAAAGACAAGUUACCCGAUGCACUCUGGGCAUACCGGACAGCAUACAAGACCACAAUUGGAAUGUCUCCAUACCAAUUGGUGUACGGGAAGACUUGCCAUCUACCCGUUGAACUAGAGUUCAAAGCACACUGGGCCAUAAAGAGAUGGAAUAUGGACCUAGAUGUUGCUGGAGAUUAUAGAAGAAUGCAACUAUCAGAAUUGGAAGAAUGGCGAGAGAAGGCAUAUCACAAUUCAAAGAUCUACAAAGAAAGAGUCAAAAGGUGGCAUGACAAGAGAAUCAAGAAGAAGGAGUUCACACCCGGAGAUAAGGUAUUGCUUUUUAAUUCUAGGGUGAAGCUUUUCGGGCAUGGAAAACUCUAGAGCAAAUGGGAAGGACCAUUUAAGGUAAUUAAUUCAUCAUCCCACGGAGCUAUCACACUUCAAAAUGACGAAGGUACGUUAUUCAAGGUAAAUGGUCAACGUCUUAAAUUAUUUUUAGAGCCCAAUAAAGAAUUAGAAGAAAUAGACGUAGUCCAUUUUCACCUUCCCAUGGAGAAUUAGAAGCCCGACCUUUUUAUUCUAACGUUUUCGGGUCAUAUAUAUAUUUUUCUAAAUAGUUUUGCAUCUAAUAACGCGCUCGAGGAAGUGGACCCACAAAGGGGCCAGAGAGAUGGCGGGCGCCCAGAUCAGGUGGGCGGGCACCCAGCUCGUGUUCCCCCUCGGUCCCAAUGUUCUCUGUUAUGGAAAAUGUACUUAUGGUAAUCCGAAUAAUCCCUCAGAUGGAAAGCUUCGCAAGGACAUCGACGGGAGCAACCCGAACAACCCAUAGAGGCACUUUUUGACCCCUAUAUAAACAGACCCCUGAUAUCACUUUUCAAACACCAAACCAUCAAGCCUUCUUUUCUUCUUCAAUUAGAGCUUGAUUAGUUCCUUGCCGCUCCAAUGGCCGAGAAGUUCCAUGAUGAUUGGGAAGUCGUUCCCUUCAAACUUCAACAUGGAGCCUGUGGAAGACCCCGACGCCCGUGCUCUCGUCCCGGCCAACACAGAGCGACAGCUAGAAGCCAUGCCAUUACACCAACGCAGCUCCACCCAAUCCUAUCAUGCUCAACCAGUUCUCACCGCACCGCCACAACCCCUACUCCUCAAGGGAUCAUCAUCCAAGACGAAGACCACCAUCAAGGUGCCAACCGGCACAAGGAUCCUUCUACCUAGACCCAAUGAGAGGGUCGUUGGAGUCAAGACCAACCGAAGCGGCGAGAUCAGCAGUAUUCACUACACUACGGAGGAGGAGAGGCCUUACUGCGAAGGGAUUAGAGCAGCCAAAGUCUGUUUCAUCCCUCCAAAGGCAGCCCCGAAACACGCUCUCAAUGCUUUUGAGACACCUCCCAAGCGUCGCAAGACUAUAGUCGAUAUUGAUGAGGACGUUCGCAGGCUAGAUAGAGUUAUCAUAGACCUCCAGUCCUCGAUUAAUUCCCUCACUAGGCAGCUCUCUAACCACAACACUAUUAUACUAGGCCUUAGGCAUGAUCUUGCCAGUGCCAACAAGAAGAUUAAGGAAUUAGAGCGCCGCUAAGUUAUCUAGAUUAGACCUUGAGGCAAUGCAUCUUAGUUAUUUAUCUUUAAAUUCGGUUUAGGUUUACUAUUAUCAUCAGUUUGCUACUAGUCUUUUGUAAUAAAUGCCACAAGAUUAAUAAAGAGUAUUACUAUUAUUAUGUCUUGUGUGUCUCUACUUUAUUUUUGUGCAAGAAAGCAGAAAACAAGUAUGGGGGAGAUCCCUCGACACGCCAAAUACACUUCGACUACACCACUCCACGAUUCAGGUACACACUCUGCACACUUUACUUUACACUUCACAUAUCUUGAUUAUGCAGAUUACUGUUUCCGACAUGAUACAUUAAAAAGAUUAAAAUAUUUCUAAUCAUGAUUAAUCUCAAUCUGUGAUAUUUCCUGAAAACUUGCAAUUAUUGAAAAUCAUUUUUAAAACCCUGUAUUACUUAAGUAAAUAUGGAAUAUGUAAUGGUAGAGUAUGAGUUUCUUAUUCUUGAUAUCAUUGUUGCUUGGUGAAUUUAUUUCAAAAUCUUCAAAAUUCUAGCUACCAUCCUCAGUGUUUUAUAUGCUUGAUAAAACUGAAAAUAUUAAUUAUGAUUAUAAAAGCUAUCUACUCUGUAUUGAGUUUGUUCAAAAUGAGCUAGACCCUUGUUGAGAGAUUUAUCAUACUCCUAAGAUCAAGACAUUUAUUCAGAAAGAUUCACUCUUCCGAAGUAUUGUUGCAUUAGAGGCAUGGGCUAUGCAAAAAUAAAGAUAUUUCGAGGAAAUAAAAAGGAGCAAGUGCUCGACAACCUUGCAGAAAAAAUGGACAAGUGUCCGGUAGUAGAAUUAGGGGUACCUCGGUAUCCACUUAAAAAAAAGAAGAAAAAGAGAAAAAAAGAGAGAGAAAAAGAAAAUGAUAGCCCAUGGUCCCUCUAAUAAGCAAUAUGCCAGCAAGAGUUGACAAAGUUUUAAUUUCCAAAGUCUUUGAUCUAAGAUUAUGACAUUCCCCUCCUCGGAUCCCGUUUUGAUCAGGCAAUAAAUGCAAAGUAAAUAUGCUUAAGAAUUUUUGCAAAUUAAAACAGCCUCAGUGAGAUAUAUAAAAGAUAAUGAGUGAUCUAAGAGAACCUAUGAGGAUAAAAAGGUAUGCUAGCUUUCUUUCAAAAUUAUACAAAAACUCCAAGUAACAGGAUUGAGAAGAAAGGAUCUUUACUCUUAAUCAUAUACUUCCCUGACUACAGUACACAGUGGAUUCUAAUACCCUGCAACCAACACCUAGAAUUAGGGUUUGAUCUGACAGAAUUCCACGAGUUUUGUUGUUUAUCUGUUUCUGCAGGGGGUUAUCAGGAAAUAAGGAAGAAAGGCCCACAUGUCGGGAUUACAUAGAGAUAUCAACGCACUGCGCGAUUUUCUACCAUCUAGAAGACUCCAGAAGCCACUGUUGAUAUUUGGGAACGCAAUAAGGAAUUGAUCCGCAAGCGCACGGAUAUCGGUGAGCACUUCACCCGGGAAAUUAUCCAGAGUACCGUAUUUAUUUUUUUACCACUAGGAGAAAGAGUGCAUCUGACUAACCGGUCUAUUACUACUAACCUUUUAGGCACAAAGAAUGUCUUUCGAUGUGAGUGAUAAAUAGAGAAGACUGCAACCGUAGUCUCCUUCUAACCUUGGUAAGAAUGAUCUACUGUUCUAAUGGGGAGGCUAAUGGAAUCUAGACACCACAAAGGAUGUUCAACCCGCUCCUAUAAACCCUAUCCUUCCUGCUAACGAGAUGUGAUGUGCAAAGGUAACUCGGAAUUGUCACGUUCCUCACUACUACCAUGGUCCAGCUAGUCAGAGAAUAUCAAUGAGUACCCCAGCCUAAACACCACGUUUACGCCAGCAAUGAUUACUCUAAACUCUACGCGAAGAGAUUAAAGUAAACUCGUAAACCAUAAGAACAAUAAAACAAGAACUUACUAGAAUUUAGAAGUCGAAAUACUAAAGAAUCCUAGGAGCAAACUUCGGGUUAGGAGAACUUGAUCCCGCAGGUACAAGCUUGGAGUAGACACCGACAGGCCGGGCUUCCUCCAAUCAACACCUCCACUAUAUCUGUCUCAAUCUAGUAGAAACUAGAAGAUCUAUUUCUACCUUACAUUGGUUGCUAAGCCUAAAAAGAAAUAUUAAUUAGAGAAGAGGUUUUCCUUCGAGGGCACCCCUCAGUCUCUAUGAUAAUUUCUUCAUGUCUUCUCCAGGGGCCAGGGGGUCUCCUUAUAUAGUUCUUCCCUUUUAUGCGUUUUUGGGUCGGUAGGCGAGGUGGUACUAUGUUUUCAUUGAUCCAAUAGGUCGGUGGAAUAUCCCGUCCGAAGUGAGUCCCGAACUGCAUCCAGCAGGGGGCGGGCGCCCAGGCCACCAGGGCGGCGCCCUGGGCCUGGCCCCUUUCGGCCUCCAUCUUCUUCCCGUGGCUUCUGGAGUCUUCUAGAUGGUAGAAAAUCGUGCGGUGCGUUGAUAUCUCUAUGUAAUCCCGACAUGUGGGCCUUUCUUCCUUAUUUCCUGAUAACCCCCUGCAGAAACAGAUAAACAACAAAACUCAUGGAAUUCUGUCAGAUCAAACCCUAAUUCUCCUUGGUUGUAUAUUGGUCAUUUCCCUUGUUUAUUUUGAUAAUUAAAAUUGAUACUUAAGAACCGUCAACAAAUACCCCCAUACUUAGGCUUUUACUCGUCCUUGAGAAAAGGAUGGUUAAGAACAAUAUCUGGGGUAAAACAUUUUAAAACAUUCUUUAUAUUUGCAGGGUGUUAAAAAUCCACUUUGUACCAUAGGAAGUAUAUGGUUAAGAGUAAAGAUCCUUUCUUCUCAAUCCUGUCACUUGGAGUUUUUGUAUAUUUUUGAAAGAAAGUUAGCAUACCUUUUUAUCCUCAUAGGUUCUCUCAGAUCACUCAUUAUCUUUUAUAUAUAUAUCUCACUGAGGCUGUUUUAAUUUUGCAAAAAUUCUCAAGCAUACUUACUUUGCAUUUAUUGCCUGAUCAAAACGGGAUCCGAGGAGGGAAAUGUCAUACUCUUAGAUCAAAGACUUUGGAAUUUAAAAUCUUUGUCAACUCUUGCUGGCAUAUUGCUUAUUAGAGGGACCAUGGGCUAUGAUCUUUUUUUCUUUUUUUUUCUUCUUUUUUUAAGUGGAUACCGAGGUACCCCUAAUUCUACUGCCGGACACUUGUCCAUUUUUUUCUGCGAGGUUGUCGAGCACUUGCUCCUUUUUAUUUCCUCGAAAUAUCUCUAUUUUUGCAUAUCCCAUGCCUCUAAUGCAAUAAUACUUCGGAAGAGUGAAUCUUUCUGAAAUAAUGUCUUGAUCUUAGGAGCAUGAUAAAUCUCUCAACAAGGGUCUAACUCAUUUUGAACAAACUCAAUACAGAGUAGAUAGCUUUUAUAAUCAUAAUUAAUAUUUUCAGUUUUAUUAGGCAUAUAAAACACUGAGGAUGGUAGCUAGAAUUUUGAAUAUUUUGAAAUAAAUUCUCCAAAGCAACAAUGAUAUCAAGAAAAAGAAACUCAUACUCUACCAUCCCAUAUUCCACAAUGACUUAAGUAACACAGGGUUUUAAUAUGAUUUUAUAAUAAUUGCAAGUUUUUAGGAAAUAUCACAGAUUUAGGAAAUAUCACAGAUUGAGAUUAAUCAUGAUUAGAAAUAUUUUAAUCCUUUUAAUUUAUCAUGUCGGAAACAGUAAUCUGCAUAAUCCAAAAUAGUUGUAUGUGUAGAGUAAAGUGUGCAGAGUGUGUACCUGAAUUGUGGAGUGGUGUGGUCGGAGUGUGUUUAGCAUGUUGAGGGAUCUCCCCCAUACUUGUUUUCUGCUUUCUUGCACAAAAAUAAAAUAGAGACACACAAGACAUAAUAAUAAUAAUACACUAUAUUAAUCUUGAGGCAUUUAUUACAAAAGACUAGUAGCAAACUAAUAGCAAACUGAUGAUAAUAGUAAACCUAAACCGAAUUUAAAGAUAGAUAACUUAGAUGCAUUUCCUCAAGGUCUAAUCUAGAUAACUUAGCGGCGCUCUAAUUCCCUAAUCUUCUUGUUGGCACUGGCAAGAUCCUGCCUAAGGCCUAGUAUAAUGGUGUUGUGGUUAGAGAGCUGCCUAGUGAGGGAAUUAAUCGAGGACUAGAGGUCUAUGAUAAUACUGUCUAGUCUGUGAACGUCCUCAUCAAUAUCCAUUAUAGUCUUGCGACGCUUGGGAGGUGUCUCAAAAGCAUUGAGAGCGUGCUUUGGGGCUGCCUUUGGAGGGAUGGAACGGACUUUGGCUGCUCUAAUCCCUUCAAAGUAAGGUCUUUCCUCCUCCGUAGUGUAGCGAACGCUGCUGAUCUCGCCGCUCCGGUUGGUCUUGACUCCAACGACCCUCUCAUUGGGUCUAGGUGGAAGGAUCCUUGUGCCGAUUGGCACCUUGAUAGUGGUCUUCAUCUUGGAUGAUGAUCCUUUGAGUAGGGGUUGUGGUGGUGCGGUGAGAACUAGUUGAGCAUGGUAGGAUUGGGCAAAGCUGCGCUGGCGUAAUGGCAUGGCUUCUAGCUGUCGCUCUGUGUUGGCCGGGACGAGAGCACGGGCAUCGGGGUCUUCCACAGGCUCUAUGUUGAGGUUGAAGGGGACGACUUCCCAAUCAUCAUGGUACUUCUCAGCCAUAGGAGCAGCAAGGAGCUAAUCAAGCUCUAAUUGAAGGAGAGAAGGCUUGGUGGCUUGGUGUUUGAAAACUGAGGUCAGGGGUCUGUUUAUAUAGGGGUCAAAAAGUGCCUCUAUGGGUUGUUCGGGUUGCUCCCGUCGAUGUGCAUGCGAAACUUUCCAUCUGAGGGAUUAUUCGGGUUACCAUAAAUGCAUUUUCCAUAACAGAGAAAAUCGGGACCGAGGGGGAACAGGAGCUGGGCGCCCGCCCACCUGAGCUGGGCGCCCGCCCUCUCUCUGGCCCCUCUAUGGGCCCACUUUCUCGAGCGCGUUUCUAGAUACGAAAUUAUUUAGAAAAAUAUAUAUAUGAUCCAAAAACAUCAGACUAAAAAGGUCGAGCUCUAAUUCUCCAUGGGAAGGUAAAAGUGGACUACAUCUAUUUCUUCUAAUUCUUUAUUAGGCUCUAAAAAUAAUUUAAGACGUUGACCAUUUACCUUGAAUAACGUACCUUCGUCAUUUUGAAGUGUGAUAGCUCCGUGGGAUGAUGAAUUGAUUACCUUGAAUGGUCCUUCCCAUUUGCUCCGGAGUUUUCCAUGCCCGAAAAGCUUCACCCUGGAAUUAAAAAGUAAUACCUUAUCUCCGGGUGUGAACUCCUUCUUCUUGAUUCUCUUGUCAUGCCACCUCUUGACUCUUUCUUUGUAGAUCCUUGAAUUGUGAUAUGCCUUCUCUCGCCAUUCUUCUAAUUCUGAUAGUUGCAUUCUUCUAUAAUCUCCAGCAACAUCUAGGUCCAUAUUCCGUCUCCUUAUGGCCCAGUGUGCUUUGAACACUAGUUCAACAGGUAGAUGGCAAGUCUUCCCAUACACCAAUUGGUAUGGAGACAGUCCAAUUGGGGUCUUGUAUGCCGUCCGGUAAGCCCAGAGUGCAUCGGGUAACUUGUCUUUCCACGCCGUUCCCAUUUCAUUUACUGUCUUCUGAAGAAUAUUCUUGAUUUGUUUGUUGGAAGUCUCUGCUUGGCCACUUGUCUGAGGAUGAUAGGGGGUAGCGACGUUGUGACGGAUUCCAUGUCUUGAUAGGUAUUGCUUGAAGCGUUUGUCAACGAAGUGUGCUCCUCCAUCACUUAUCACUACUCUGGGGACUCCAAAUCUUGGAAAUAUAAUUUCUUCAAACAUCCUCUUUGAACUGACGUUAUCGGCAUGCUUGCAGGGUAAUGCCUCUACCCACUUGGAGACAUAGUCAACUGCCACCAAGAUGUACUCACACUUCUUUCAUGGAGGAAAUGGACCCAUGUAGUCUAUUCCUCAGACAUCAAAGAGCUCAAUCUGAAGGUUGUUGGUGAGUGGCAUUGCAUCCCUUGUAUUUAUGUUUCCGUGCCUUUGACAUGGCCCACAUCUUCUGAUAUAUUGCUUCGUGUCUUCAUACAUUGUAGGCCAGUAGAAUCCACACUGCCAGAUCUUUGAAUAUGUACGGAAUGCUCCAUAAUGACCUCCAUAUGGUGAUGAAUGACAUCUGUCGAUGAUUUUCCAUCCUUCCUCAGUGGUCACACAUCUCCUGAGUAAGCCAUCAGAGCAUACUCGGAAGUGGUAUGGCUCAUCCCAUAUAUGUGAACGACUUUCUUGAAUAAGCUUCUUCUUGUUUGCUCCUGGUGGUACAUACCCUGAAACCAUAAAAUUAACAAUAUCUGCAUACCAGGGGUCAGACCUGUUAAUCCCGUAGAGCAUGUCGUCCUGGAGUGAAUCAUUGAUGGGGGUUUCCUGUGGACUCUUAAAAUACAUUCUAGACAAGUGAUCUGCAACAGAUUUUUCUACUCCCUUUUUUUCUUUUAUUUCUAAGUCAAAUUCUUGGAGUAAUAAGAUCCAUCUAAUCAGGCAAGGUUUAGCAUCUUUUUUAGUGAGCAAAUAUUUUAGUGCAGCAUGAUCAGUGUAAACAAUUAUUUUAGCUCCAACUAAAUAAGAUCUAAAUUUAUCAAUGGCAAAGACAACAGCCAGAAGCUCUUUUUCAGUGGUUGCAUAAUUAAGUUGAGCUCCUGUCAAAGUUUUACUGGCAUAAGCAAUUGCAUGAUGCUUCUUAUCUUUAGUCUGUCCCAAUACUGCCCCCACAGCAUAAUCACUAGCAUCACACGUAAUUUCAAAAGGCAACGACUAAUCAGGGGAUUGAAUGAUUGGUGCAGAGAUGAGUGCUUUCUUUAAUAAAUUGAAAGAUGUUAGACAUGCAUCAUCAAAUUCGAAAGGAGCAUCCUCGGCUAGCAAAAGAGUAAGUGGUCUAGCAAUAAAUGAAAAAUCUUUUAUGAAUCUACGAUAAAAACCAGCAUGGCCAAGAAAGCUUCGAAUUCCUUUUAUAUUCACAGGUGGAGGUAGUUGUUCAAUUACUUCAAUUUUAGCUUUGUCUACCUCAAUACCUCUUUCAGACACUAGAUGUCCCAGCAUUAUUCCUUCCCUAACCAUAAAAUGACAUUUUUCCCAAUUAAGGAUUAAGUGAUUUUCUUCAUAUCUUUGCAAAACCUUUUCUAAGUUUUCAAGACAACUAUCAAAAGUUUUUCCAUAAACAAAGAAAUCAUCCAUGAAAACUUCCAUAAUCUCUUCUAUCAUAUCAGAAAAUAUAGACAUCAUGCAUCUUUGAAAAGAAGCUGGUGCAUUACAUAACCCAAAAGACAUUCUACGGUAAGCAUAAGUUCCAUAUGGGCAUGUAAAAGUGGUUUUGCUUUGAUCAUCAGGAUGGAUUGGGAUUUGAAGAUACCCUGAAUAUCCAUCUAAGAAACAGAAGAACGAAUGGUUUGCUAAUCGCUCUAGCAUCUCAUCUAUAAAAGGCAAAGGAAAGUGAUCCUUUCUCGUGGCUUUGUUUAGUUUUCUAUAGUCUAUGCACAUUCGCCAUCCUAUGACGGUGCGUUGCGGAAUUAGCUCGUUCUUUUCAUUCAUAAUAACAGUCAUGCCUCCCUUUUUAGGCACAACUUGCACUGGGCUUACCCACUCACUGUGCGGCACAGGAUAUAUAAUCCCUGCAUGCAGCAACUUUAUAACUUCCUUUUUAACUACCUCUCUCAUAGUGUUGUUAAGUCUACGUUGGGGUUCUCGAGAGUGUGUAACAGAAGGAUCUAUUGGAAUACGAUGGGUACAAAUCAUAGGACAGAUUCCUGUAAGAUCUUGAAGUGAGUAGCCAAAAACUGAGUGAUGUUUUCAAGAAUGGUCAUUAAUCGUAGAGUUUGAUCCUGAGUGAGUUUAUCGCUAAUGAUUACAGGGAACUCUGGAUUAUUGUUUAGGAAAGCAUAGGUAAGACCGGGUAGUAAAGUUUUAAGCUCUAUGGGAGGUCUAGGUGUUUCUACAAACUCAUCUAAGGGUUCAGGCUUAGAAGGUUCGUCUUCUUCUUCAGUGAAGAAAGGAGUUUCGUCUUCUAAGUAUGGUUCAUCUAAAAGCUCUAGAGAUGCAGCCUUUACUUCCUCCAUAGGAUCAGGCAAAAGAUAUGAUUCGGCCUUAUUGCUUAAGGAGUGUGAAAUUGUUAUUGGGAAUUUAAAGGUUUUUCCAAAAGAAAUGUGUAGCUUUCCAGUAUGACCUUCAUAAAGGAGUCUUCUAAAAGGUUGUCCUAUCAACAGGUCGAAGUCCCAUGUAUCAAAGAUAUAGAAGUUCAAAUGAACCAUGGAGCCUUCUACCGUUUUGGAGUUUGUCAAUAGAAUGAUAGUUUGAAAUAUUUCCAAAAUCGGCAAAAAGAUCGGAUUCUAUAUCCAGCAUGAAGUCCGAUGGUGGAAUUUCUUCCUCUUGUGGCUCAGAACUUGGGAUAGCUAAAGUAGAUGAAGAAUUUGGCAGAGUGUCUACUUCGGCUUCGUAGGUUUCAUCAUGAAGGGUAUUAUCCAUCUCUGCUUCUAGGAUUCUAUCUAGGAUCACUCUAGCUUCAUCUGUAGGGAUGCGAAAGAAAGAACCUCUAGACAUUGUGUGUAGCAUUUGUUUGUGAUUUUUCUGAAGACCUCGAAAAAAGUGGAAUAAAAGAACAGGGUCUUCAAGAUUAAGGUUUGGACCAGAUUCUAAAAGAUCAGAAAAAUGUUUCCAGGAUUUUCCCAAAGUUUCAUUAUCUUUUUGUUUAAAAGAUAGGACUUCGAGUCUAAGGUCGGCUAUACAGUCAAGGGAAUAGAAAUCUAGACAAAAGUUGGCUCGUAAAACUCCCCAUUCACCUUGUUGUUGACUUACCUUCUGACUGUACCAUUGUCUAGCUUCUCCCCUUAAAGAAAAAGGAAAAAGCUUCCAACGUAAAGUUUUAUCAGAAAUGCCUUCAAUGCGAAGACAAUCACAUGUUUGCUCAAAAUCUCUAAUAUGAAGGUAAGGGUUUUCGUCUUCCUUUCCCGAAAAAGAUAGGUUUUGAAUCAUGGCAAUCAACCUAGAACUUAACUUAUACUGGGAUGUUUGGAUAGGCUGUGAUGAUUCCCAUGGUAAAAGGUCAGUUACUCAAGGGAUUGCAGACUCAUGGAUCGAUUUAGAAUUUUGGUUUCCCAUAGGGUAAGAGUAAAGAAAAUAAAUAAAGAAUAUAAAAGAUAAGAAAAGAUAAAAGUAUAGAUACAAGCUAGUAGUAAGACUCAGGUUAUCUCAGCAACCGUCUUUCUCCCCGGCAACGGCGCCAGAAAUGCUUGUUGAUAUUUGGGAACGCAAUAAGGAAUUGAUCCGCAAGCGCACGGAUAUCGGUGAGCACUUCACCCGGGAAAUUAUCCAGAGUAUCGUAUUUAUUUUUUUACCACUAGGAGAAAGAGUGCAUCUGACUAACCGGUCUAUUACUACUAACCUUUUAGGCACAAAGAAUGUCUUUCGAUGUGAGUGAUAAAUAGAGAAGACUGCAACCGUAGUCUCCUUCUAACCUUGGUAAGAAUGAUCUACUGUUCUAAUGGGGAGGCUAACGGAAUCUAGACACCACAAAGGAUGUUCAAGCCACACCUAUAAACCCUAUCCUUCCUGCUAACGAGAUGUGAUCUGCAAAGGUAACUCGGAAUUGUCACGUUCCUCACUACUACCACGGUCCAGCUAGUCAGGGAAUAUCUAUGAGUACCCCAGCCUAAACACCAUGUUUACGCCAGCAAUGAUUACUCUAAACUCUACGCGAAGAGAUUAAAGUAAACUCAUAAACCAUAAGAACAAUAAAACAAGAACUUACUAGAAUUUAGAAGUCGAAAUACUGAAGAAUCCUAGGAGCAAGCUUCGGGUUAGGAGAACUUGAUCCCGCUGGUACAAGCUUGGAGUAGACACCGACAGGCCGGGCUUCCUCCAAUCUACACCUCCACUCUAUCUCUCUCAAUCUAGUAGAAACUAGAAGAUAUAUUUCUACCUUACAUUUUUUGCUAAGCCUAAAAAGAAAUAUUAAUUAGAGAAGAGGUUUUCCUUCGAGGGCACCCCUCAGUCUCUAUGAUAAUUUCUUCAUGUCUUCUCCAGGGGCUAGGGGGGUCUCCUUAUAUAGUACUUCCCUUCUAUGCGUUUUUGGGUCGGUAGGCGAGGUGGUACUAUGUUUUCCUUGAUCCAAUAGGUCGGUGGAAUAUCCCGUGCGAAGAGAGUCCCGAACUGCAUCCAGCAGGGGGCUGGCGCCCAGGUCACCAGGGCGGGCGCCCUGGGCUUGGCCCCUUUUGGCCUCAGUCUUCUUCCCGUGGCUUCUGGAGUCUUCUAGAUGGUAGAAAAUCGUGCGGUGCGUUGAUAUCUCUAUGUAAUCCCGACAUGUGGGCCUUUCUUCCUUAUUUCCUGAUAACCCCCUGCAGAAAUAGAUAAACAACAAAACUCGUGGAAUUCUGUCAGAUCAAACCCUAAUUCUAGGUGUUGGUUGUAUAUUGGUCCUUUCCCUUGUUUAUUUGAUAAUUAAAAUUGAUACUUAAGAACCGUCAACAGCCACGAGAACGAAGCAAGGCCGAAAGGGGCCAGGCCCAGGGUGCAUGCCCUGGUGACCUGGGCGCCCGCCCCCUGCUGGAUCCCGUUCGGGACUCUCUUCGCACACGAUGUUCCACCGACCUAACGGAUCAAAGAUAAUGUAGUACCACCUCACCUACCGACCCAAAAACGCAUAGAGGAGAAGGACUAUAUAAGGAGACCCCCCUAGCCCCUGGAGAAGACAAGAAAUUAUCAUAGAGAUUGAGGGGUGCCCUCGAAGGAAAACCUCUUCUCUAAAUAAUAUUUCCUUUUAGGCUUAGCAACCAAUGUAAAUUAGAAAUAGAUCUUCUAGUUUCUGCUAGAUUGAGAGAGAUAGAGUGGAGGUGUAGAUUGGAAGAAGCUCGGUUUGUCGGUGUCUACUCCAAGCUUGUACCUGCGGGAUCAAGUUCUCCUAACCCGAAGCUUGCUCCUAGGAUUCUUCAGUAUUUCGACUUCUAAAUUCUAGUAAUUUCUUGUUUUAUUGUUCUUCUGGUUUAUGAGUUUACUUUAAUCUCUUCGCGUAGAGUUUAGAGUAAUCAUUGCUAGCAUAAAUGUGCGCUUGUGGAUCAAUUCCUUAUUGCAUUCCCAAAUAUCAACAAACAUCUGCCUGGGGUCGUAGUGAGGGAAGACCGUGUCGGAGUCAGUCAGCUCUCUCUGCAGGUGAGCUGGAAGGGGUACUGGCCUAGCACGAAGAAUAAGUAGGGUGAUCCAAUGUGCAUAUGGCAACUGACGCCGUCCCCUGAAGCUCUCUGAGAUAGUGUCCUCGAUCUCUGAGACUAUCAGAUCCCACAAGUCAAACAGAGUCUGAGAGAUGAGGUGAGCUACAAGCCACUGCUGAAUCCGAGUGAAGCCAUCUCUGUAGCCUGUCCUAGGGAGGAGUGUCUUCCUCAACACAAGUCGAGGAUCCUGGCUGGGCGAGUCAAGUCUCCCACUGUCUGGCUGGAGCCCUCUCCAAAAGGUGGACGGAAACAAGGAGCCACAAAGUCAACCGGUGGUAUCUCACCACCAUGAGGACGUCGAGGGGGCUCGAAGUUCCCGUAGCACAGCUGGUGAAUCCUGGUGGAGUAAGCUCUCAAGCCAAGUACCUCUCUGGCCCUCUGUGCUGUGACCCUGUAGUCUAAGCCUGCCAGUGCGUAGUGGAUAUAGCUGUGAUCUGGAGACACCCACACUGACGCGUAGAACUCUCGAACCCACUGCUCACAGUAAGUACCAGGGAGAGCUAGCAACUCUGGGAGGCCGUGGAGGUAAGUAAAGUACUGUCGGAUAUCUGCCCCAACCACGUUCCCUAGUAUCUCAAGGUCUAUCACUCUGUGCUCCCUGAACUGAGACUGUGAGCGAGCCAGUGCCUCGUAGAUGUCCUCUUGGACUACUGUGUAGAACCUGGCACCGGCUCGUGGAUCCAUAGCAGCUGGAAACCAAGUGGGAAAAGGAACGAACCGCAACUACUGGAUCUCCCUAGUUGACACAAGGGUGAGAUCCCUGUGUAUCCUGACCGGUCCCUGAUGAGGAGCUGGUGUGCCUCGAGCUGGAGUAGCACGAGCAGCGGAGGUAGACUGGCUUUGCGUACCAGUCCGAGAAGUAGCCUGGGUACGAGUGCGAGUUGACCUCCUGAGGGGCUGCUCCUACUGCUGUCCCUCUGGAGAACCCUCUGCCUGGGUCUCAGCCUCUGUCUCUGUGUCUGGGUCCUCCUGAGCUGUAUCUCUAACAUUGAUCCUGACACGCUGUCCUCCUAUCAUGAUAGUGCCUGGAGGUAAUCCAUGACGAGCCUUGGCCUCAAGAACUGCAUGCCUGUGACGUGGCGUGAGAUCGGCCCCUAUCCGCAGAGCACCUUGUAACACCCAAGGUGUUAAGCAUGCACUUAGUCUCAUCAAAACAUUCAUAAGCAUUCUCAUCAAGCAUAGCAUCACAUGAGCAUGUCAUCCAUUAAAAGUGUGAUUUUUUGUGCUUUAUUUUAUGUGAAUUAAAUGUGCUAAAAAUAUUAUGCUUGCUUCUAAAAUUGUGAAAUAUUCAAAUUAGGUUGAAUUGUGUGCUAAAAGGCUUAAGAGUAUUUUUGUGAAAUUGUUGGAGCCAUAGGAGUUGAGAAAUGGAAUUUAUACAAAAAUCCCUAAAAUGAAUUUAUUUAAAAACCUAGAACUAGUUUUAAUCUGUGAUUCAAAUUCUAUUUGGAAUUUGGCCUUGCUUAUUAAAACAAAGUUGUAGGGUUUUUGUUUUGGAACAACUUUUAUUUUGGGACGAAAAGGUAAAAGUGAUUUUUAAAUAGUCCAAAUGAAUUUAGAAAGAAUUUGAGAAAAGAAAUUAAAAAAAAGGGAAAGGGGACAGGCGCUGCUGGGCCGACCCGCCUCCCUUUCGGCCCAGCCGGACAACGUGGCCCGCUUCCCCUCCCCUCUCUCUCCCGCGCACGGCGCCCGCCUCGCUCCGGCGUUCGACGCGCCGCGGCCGACCGCCUUCACCUGGUCGGGACGCCGCCCCGCGCCCCCAGGCCACUCCACUCUCUCUAUCGCCCGCUCCUCCCUCUCUUCUUCCUCCACCCGCGAGCGCAGCAGCAGCCGUAGCAGCUCCGCCACCGCGCCAUCACCGGAGAAGCUCCGCUGCUCGCUGCCGGCCACACCAGAGCCCCAACCUCGAUGCCAAGAGCACCAUCGCACUCGCCUUUGCCGCGGUAAGAUGUUGCGUAUGCUCUACCGAGGUGAGAAGCCGUCAUACGAGAAUCGCUCGCCGGAGUUGCUCCGACCUCGCUGGAGAGCUCCGCCGCGUCAGAUCUCGCUAGAUCCUACCUCUUUUCGCUCGCUCUUUGGCGCGUUAGGUCCGAGGUGAGGAAGCUCAGAGGAGCUCUUUGGCUCCGAGGUGAGGAAGCUCGGAGGAGCACUUGUGCACGCUCUACCGCACCGGAGCAGCCUGGCCACGGCGAACAGCGCCGCCGUGCCGCCAUGCAUGCUCGUCGGGGGUGCUCCGGUCGUCCUCCGGCCGAUCCAAGGGCACCCUUGGGUGCGCCUCGCUGCGGGGAGCACGCUGGUGCUCACCCCAUGGCCGGAGACCUCGCCGUCGGCGAGAGCCGGCCGGCCGAAGAUCGGCCGGGGUGCUGCAUGGCUGACCCGUGGGGCCACGACCCCUAGAUCCCACCUGUCAGUGCCUCUGCGGGUGUGGAUCUGGGUGAAUCCAGCGUUUUUCGUUGAUUUUCUUAAAUAAAGAUUUUUCAGAAAUUGAUUUAAACCUUGUAAAAUCCAUAUCUUGAGUUAUAUGGCUCCAAAAUUGGUGAAACAAAUUUUGGUGUGCUCUCUGUUCUCAGAUCUGCAGUUUGGUGUAAUUGCAUGUCAAGUUUUAACAACUUUUCUGUAUAAAUAUAUUUUAUCCAUGUUUUUGCUAGAAUUGGAAAAUGCAUAGUAAUCAAAAUAUAACUCAGAAAAAUGCGAAACUUGUUUUACUGGCUCUGCAUGGAUGAUUAGUCACUGGGAAAAUUUUUGCUACACAUUAUUUGCUGAAUAAAUGAAUUUAUGGUGAUUUAAAUGCUUGCAUGGCAGUGGUUUAUGAUUUUUAAUAAAUAAUUGGAUCAUGCAAUUAAUCUGGAAAUUUUUGUGGGUGUUUCUUAUGAUAAUAAGCAAAUUAUAAAAAUAUGAAAUCUGCUGUUUGACACUUAUACCACAGUAGAGUAUUUAUACUUGCUUUGUGAAUUAAUCUUGUGAUUUUUGUAGCUCAAAGUAAGUGUCCAAAAAUUAUGAAAAAUUUAUGGUAGACUUUAUGUUUGACUGGUAGUCUACUGUAGUUUUUGUGGAAGUUAUAGAUAAACAGAAAUGUAUGCUAGUUUGGUAGGCCUAACAUUAGAUAAAGAAAUUAUGAAUUGUUAUAUAUAGAUUAAGUAGAAUAAAAGGGGUUUGGUGUAUCUUUGAAGCACCUUGUGAGUUUGCUGGUUACAUUUGAGGAUAAUUUUUAGAAAAGAAGGGAAUAGAUGAUUAGUGUAAUUGCAUGUCCUUGGAUGAUGUUGACUACCUUGUAAAAAGCAUGACCAAUUAAAUCAUCUAUGCAUCAUGUCAUGGUCAUUGGGUACCCUCUCAUACCAGCAUUCACCCGGGCAUCUCGCACUCCACUCAUGAGCACACAUGCAUCAUACAGUCUCCCAGGAGAACGAGGUGGGACCCGAGGAGCAGGAGGAGACCCAGGAGAAGGAACCUCUGGGAGGACCAGAGCCCGGAGAAGAACUGCAGGAGUGCCCGGAUCACAGACCAAGCACAUUUGAGAAAGGCAAGCCCCGGAGCAUUCUAAGUCUCCCUAUUCUCACUAACUUAAAUAAUAUAUUAUGCUUGUUCUACUAUGUUGCAUUUAAGUGAUAGGAAUUGCUUGAUACCGUUGAUGCAUAAGUACUCCUUGAUAUCACCACUUGUUUAUCUACCUUGUCCUAUAUAGAUAGGUGCAGAGUCUAUGCUUAGCUUGCCUAGUCCGAUAGAAGUCGGGUGAUUUCCUGUCACCUGCGAGAUAUAGGUGGAUACCUACUUGAUUAAGCGGUAAUUGCUUUGGUAGAGAAUAACCAAGUGUGGAAUGAAAUUUGAGACCGGGCAGGGUCUUAUGGUGGGUUGACUGUAGUGCCCCUGCUUGUGUCGAUUAAGGACCGAUCGUUGACGGCCCUCUUGUCAUGUUGAACGCAUGCCCCACACUUAGCUGGAAGGAUAAGUUGUCCCGACCGCGGUGCCUGAACACUAUUAGGGCCUUGAGUCGAGCCGCCAUGCGCUGUAUUGGUGAUGGUUGAGGAGAACGACGAGGGCGUGGCGCGCAACCUUGGUAUACCUUGGACCUGGAUAGUGUAACACGGUGACCUGCCGAACCUGCGAAUUGGUCCUGGAUAGUGUAACACGGUGAUCUGUAGCUCACUUGAUCAGUGAGUGUGGUUUGUGUGGGGAAUACCUCGCCAGCUGGUUAGAAAUCGAUUCAAAUCGCCAUCGCUCCUGGAUAGUGAGCACUUGACAUGAGCCCUGUCCUCGCAGUAAGGAUUAUGGAACACUUGGGUUAUAAUGAUAAAUGGUUUCAUGAAUGCUAUGAUGAGAUUCCAUCAUAUUACCACACUUGUUUGUAAUAGUACAGGUGCAAACCUAGAUAGUAGGUAAUGAUAAUAUUGAACUUCAGCUAAUUAAAAGAAGAAAGGUUUUUAGACUAUGUUUAGUGGAACAAUGCUUUUAUGCAAAAGUCUCAGCUACCCCACUAUCUAGCCUUCAUGAUCCUUGAAGAGUGUUUAUUUUUGGUUUAUGAUGGGUAAGUCUAGCUGAGUACAUUCUCGUACUCGGGGUUCUACUCCCAUGUUGUUUUGCAGAUGGUCAAAUGUACUAUGAUUAUUGCAUCCUCUGCUUGUACCCAGCUAUGGGCGAUGACUAGACCAAGGGCGAUGGUCACUCUGUCUUCUCUUUUGCUUUUGUGGGAAUGACCAAAACUAUGGCACUAUACCAGACUAAGUAUGUGUGUGUUAUUUUCGAACUAUGAAGCUUCCGCUACUUGUGAACUUGGUUUGUAAUAACUUUAAGCACUCCGAUGUAUUUGGUGGAUGUUUUUGAUCUGGAUGUAAUUGUGGAUGGUGUCCGCUAAACUUGUUAUGAUCUUGGCUGUAUGUACGAUAUGUGGUUUGAAAUCCUUCGAGAUUUCAUGGACUACCGGGAUUACAUGGGCUUAAGCUCGAUGGUUUGGCUAUGCAAAUGGUCGCUAUUAGGCUUAUUCUCUUAUAAUUUGGGCAGUUCUGUUACAGCUGGUAUCGGAGCAAGGUUUAGCGAGUUACUGUUCAUAAGUACGUUCUAAACUAAAUUUAAACCGGUUUAAUGAAAGGUUUUUAUUAAUUAAUGAUACUCAAGGUGUCAAAUUAAGUUUUUGGAAAACUAUCUAGUGUGCCAUGGUCAUAUCAUUUAUGCCCAGUUAAGGACUCUAAGGUGGCUAGUUAAGUACUGACUUGGGGGUUAAUGCAUCAUAUUUCUAUUUCGUCGCUCAUACGGCGUGCAAUAGUAUGAGUACCAUUCAUUUGAAUGGUAAUGUAUGGAUCCAUUUUUCCUCUACGCCUCGGUAAGUGGGAGCUGUGAGAGCAUGAUCGGAUACACUGCCGGUCUAGGGGAGUGUUGUUAGGUGUUGUGUCAUGCACACAUGUUUGGUGUGCUUGGGAAUAGUACCGCAUGUUGGGAGAUUCCGUCUUGAGAGGCGAUGCCGUCAUUAGGGCGAUGAUGUGGGUAGUAACACGUCAUAUGCAUGGACGGGGUGUCUGUGUAUGUGGGGUGUAUAGCUUUAAUUUCUUGUUCUGCAUGUUCAUAUUGUGGUUGGGCUGAAAUGAGUUUUCUGUAGGUACACUAACCACGUUCCCGCUUAGAAUGCUAGUUAUGUUAUGAGAGAACGAUGUGUGCCACUGCAUAUACCGAUUCGUGUUAACUUUUAUUUCUAAGUUUGUGAGAUCAUAAGUCCGUGCAUGCAUCAUGUUCAUUUCAUAUCAUUGCUUACUUUCCCCCUUAAUUUAAUCUGUCCCAAUUCCAAUUAUAAUAAUAAAAGAUAAUCCUCAAUCUUACCCAAGGUAUUCCAUUUGCAGCAGAUGGCACGCACUAGGCUCACCGCUCGCAAGUCCACUGGUGGGCGGGCCCCUCGCCAUCAGUUGGCAGCCAGGAGCUCGCUUCAUAAGAGCAAGUUCCUGGAGGAGUUUGGGAUGCCCACUUUGCUUUGGAGGGUGCUCAGUUCGAUGGGGUAUCCCGAAGGAAGGGAACCUCGCUACUAUUGGGACAAGGAGCAGCUUGGUGAUGGGACCCUGGUGGGGAUCAAGGCAGUGAUCCCUACCAGUGGAGGUGACCCCGCCUGGGGUGGCUGGGUGUACGAGUCCCGAGGUGCCACGCCUUUCCACGGUGCCAGCAGGGCAGCUUUCGCAGUUCUGAGGGACCUCAUGGAGAGGUUUCCACGGGAGCUGGCCCACGCCUUCGCUGGGGUGUUUCCCCGGGGUGACCCCUACACUUCGGUGUGGGAUCAGUCCGAGGUGAACGCUCUAGAGAGGAGUGCGGAUGAGGACCAGCAUAGUGACAAUGCAGCUAUGAGUGCUAUGUACGCCUUGAUGAAGACCUAUGGAGGCCUGGAGCGUUGUUUGGGUCACUUGUUCGGGUCUCUUCUCACAGUCUAGGAUGAGAAGCACCAGCUGCAGCAUGAGUUCGACACUGAGGUUGAGAGGUUGCAGGCAGAGUUGGCUCACGUGAUUCGAGAGAGGGAUCAGGCGGUCCAGAAGAACAGUGAGCUGAGUCAGGACCUACUUGCAGUUAGGGAGCAGAGGGACAGAGUGACUACUGCUCACAGAAACUGCGAGCGCAUGCUAGUUCAUGUUCUUGGUCAGAGGAAUGAAGCCUGGCACGAGGAGGAAAUCCUGAGGGCCCGACACCUAGAGCUUGAGCAGCAGCUAGCUAAUGCUGAGGAGUACAAUGAGAACUUGCAUGAGGAGAUCCACCAGCUGCAUAAUCAGCUCCACCCUCACCACCUGCCUGGAGCAGCUGAGUUAGACUCUGAGGACGAGAUGGAUGAGGAUCCAGAGAUAGAGGCAGCUGCUAGUGGAGAUGAGGACGAGGAGGGCUCCGGCAUGGACAGUGACCAUAGCGAGUAGAUGCUAGGGCUUUAGAGCUAGUCCUUCUUCUUUUGUUGUUAAUGUUGCAUGGCAUGUCUUGUACUUUUGGAUCUGGGCUAUGUAAAACUUUAUGAGAUGACGCUGAAGGUCCAUUGUAUGUAUGCUGGCAAUUUUGGAUGUAUGCGAACCUUGUUGCUUGAAUGUUGCAUAAUCUAUUAGUGAUGUUGUAUGCGGAUGACGAAUUGUUUUUCCUCUGUUUAUUGUGCGAAUUUAUUUCCUCAGUAAAUUCAGUAUGGCAUAAUUCUACACAUGUCUACCGUUGAUGGCAACUCGUAAUGAUUGCUUAUCAUUGACGCAUGCAGAUGGUGCAAACACGUGGCGGGGGUAACAUCAACCUCGGUCUUGGAGUAGGUACCUCCGGAGGUGGGGCUCGACGGAAUGAGGAUAGGGCACCAUCACCGCCACCACCACCGCCUCCUCCGUACACUGCGGACGUGUUUUUCGCUCAGUUUCUAGGGAGCCAACACAACAUGGAGUAGAUGCAGCGCAAUAUGGAAGAAGCUCUACGCAUCAUCGCUGACAAUACCCGCCGUGGGGAUAACCAGGGCGGCCGUGAAGCCAAUCAGUACAGCUCUUUCAAGGACUUCGUGGAUACCAAGCCACCGGUCUUCAAGGAGGCUUUGGAACCGCUCGAGGCAGAUGAGUGGAUUAACACCAUGGAGCAAAAGUUCUGUCUUCUUCGGAUGACUGAAGAACUUAAGGCUGAAUACGCAGCGCUUCAGUUACAAGGACCUACUGGGAUUUGGUGGUCCCAUCACCGUACCACCUACCCAGAGGGGACCCCGAUCACCUGGAACCGCUUCACCACCGCUUUCCGGGGAAAUUACAUUCCUCCGGGCGUGGUCGAAAUGAAGGUUGGGGAGUUCAUGAGCCUGUCUCAGGGAACGAAGUCCGUGAAGGAGUAUCUACACGCUUUUAACAAUCUCGCUCGCUAUGCCCCCGAGUUUGUGAACACGGAGGCCAAGAAGAUCGCUAGUUUCUAGAGAGGUUUGAGCCCAAAGAUGCUAAAAACCAUGGGUACAGGAACCCGGGGUACCUUCAAUGCUUUCAUCAGUGACUGUAUGACCCAGGAGAACAAUAACAACAACUAUAGUGCAUCCAAGUCCCGAAAGAGGGCUUUUGAAGCCGGGUCAUCUCAGUCUAGGGCACCGGUGGAAGGGCGACAACAGUAUCGUCCUCCUGCCCCAGGUGCUAGGUUUCGACCACUGCAGAGAAGGAACACCGGGAAUCCAACGCAGCAGAAGCCGUACAAGGUGGAGAUAGCUCCUGCCAAGCCAAAGGAAAUUCAAGCCAACAAUGCGACCAAGGGUCCGUCCUACAACUGCCACAAGAUGGGGCACUUUGCUAAAGAAUGUCCCUACCCCAAGAGGCAACAGACGACCUACCCAGCUCGAGUGCACCAUACCUCGAUAGAGGAGAUCCCAGAAGGAGAAUCGGUAACGGCUGGUAUGUUUCCUGUCAACAAACAUCUUCCAGUUGUUUUGUUUGAUUCUGGAUCAACGCAUUCAUUCAUGAGCCAAGCAUUUGCACAAAAGCAUGAUGAACCAGUUAUAGAUCUGGGUUAUGGCUAUCGUAUCAGCUCAGCAGGGGCAGAUGUGUUGACAAGUAGAGUGGUUCGAGGGGCAACCCUGGAUAUAAGUGACCGGGUGUUUCGAGUGAAUCUAGUAGUCAUGCCUGGAUUAGUUUUGGAUGUUGUCAUGGGCAUGAACUGGAUGAAGGAAUGGGAUGCGGUCAUAGAUACUGGGAAGAGCUUGUUAUCUCUCAGAGAACCCUAGGGUAGCGGAUCUUUUCAAGUACCUCUGCCCCGUCGCCUUGACUUUGCUAGCAUCUCUUGUGCAAUGCACGUGGUUCCACUACCACAGAUCCCAAUAGUCUAUGAGUUCCCUGAUGUUUUCCUCAGGAAUUACCAGGACUUCCUCCAGAUAGGGAAGUAUAGUUCGCAAUAGAGUUGAUACCAGGUACAACGCCGAUAUCUAGAAGGCCGUACUGAAUGCCGCCAAACGAACUCGCUGAGUUGCAGAAUCAACUGAAGGAAUUGUUAGAUAAAGGGUUCAUCCGGCCAAGCUCGUCAGAAUGGGGUUGUCCGGCGUUGUUUGUGAAAAAGAAGGAUCAAUCGUUGCGCAUGUGCGUGGACUAUCGUCCACUCAAUGCUGUAACAAUCAAGAAUAAGUAUCCAUUACCAAGGAUUGAUAUUUUGUUUGAUCAGUUGUCCAAGGCAAAAGUAUUUUCCAAGAUAGAUUUGAGGUCCGGGUAUCACCAAAUCAAGAUCCGACCGCAAGAUAUCCCGAAGACUGCUUUUUCCACCAGAUAUGGGUUGUAUGAGUAUCUUGUCAUGUCCUUUAGGUUGACAAAUGCUCCUGCAUACUUCAUGUAUCUGAUGAACUCGGUCUUUAUGCCAGAAUUAAAUAAGUUUGUUGUAGUGUUUAUCGACGAUAUUCUGGUUUAUUCAGAAAAUGAGCAAGAUCACGCCGAGCAUCUAAGAGUCGUGCUAACACGACUGCGAGAGCAUCAAUUAUAUGCAAAGUUCAGCAAGUGUGAGUUUUGGUUGAAGAAAGUUCCUUUCCUAGGGCACAUUCUGUCUGAAGAAGGGAUUGCUAUGGAUCCACCGAAAGUACAGGAAGUCAUGGACUAGAAGGCACCAACUUCUGUCUCGCAAGUUCGAAGUUUUCUUGGUCUGGCCGGGUGUUAUCGUCGUUUCAUACCCGACUUCUCCAAGAUUGCUAAGCCAAUGACCAGUUUGUUACAAAAGGAUCAUAAGUUUGUCUAGACGGAUGGGUGUGAACUAGCCUUCCGCACCUUGCGAAAGUUGCUAACCACCGCUCCCGUUCUGGCACAACCCAAUAUCGAGAAGCCUUUUGAUGUGUUUUGCGACACAUCGAAAAGUGGCUUGGGAUGUGUGUUGAUGCAAGAUGGUAGAGUUAUAGCUUACGCUUCACGGAAAUUGAGAAAGCAUGAAGUCAACUACCCAACUCAUGACCUCGAGUUAGCAGCAGUAGUGCACGCUUUGAAGAUAUGGAGGCACUAUUUGCUGGGAAAUAAGUGUCACAUCUACACCGAUCAUAAAAGUCUGAAAUACAUCUUCACUCAGUCCGGGCUGAAUAUGAGGCAACAAAGAUGAUUGGAGCUGAUCAAGGAUUACGAUUUGGAAGUCCACUAUCAUCCAGGCAAGGCUAAUGUGGUAGCAGAUGCAUUGAGUCGCAAACCGCACUAUCAAGUGGUUCAACCGUUGUUCGAGGAUGGUUUCAAUCUCAUGCAUCCUGAAGUCCUAUGUCACAUACAGCUUAGUUGUUCACUUGAAAGUCAAGUCAUUGAAGGUCAGAAAACAGACAAGGGUAUCUUCCACAUCAAGGAAAAGAUCAAAAACGACCCAAGGACUCAAUUCAGAGUUGAUGAAAGAGGGGUAUUGUGGUUUCAGCACCGGCUAGUAGUUCCGAAGAAUCGAGAAUUGAAGAAUCGCAUCAUAGAUGAAGCGCAUCUCUCCAAGCUUUCCAUUCAUCCUGGCAGUAGUAAGAUGUAUCAAGACCUAAGAUCUCACUUUUGGUGGACUAAGAUGAAGGAGAUAGCAACAUAUGUGGCCCGUUGUGACACGUGUUGCAGAGUCAAGGCUAUACAUAUGAAACCUGCAGGUCUGUUGCAGCCAUUGUCAGUCCCAGAGUGGAAAUGGGAAGAGGUUAGCAUGGACUUUAUUACAGGUUUACCGACGACAGGGAAGGGGAAUGACUCGAUUUGGGUUAUCAUAGAUCGAUUGACCAAGUUAGCUCAUUUCAUUCCUGUGAAAACUCGUUACCGACCACCCGAGUAUGCGGACAUAUAUAUAGCUGAGAUCGUCAAGUUACAUGGCAUUCCCAAGACCAUCAUAUCAGAUAGAGGGCCGCAGUUCACCGCUCAUUUUUGGGAGCGAAUGCAUAAGAGUUUGCGGACUAGUCUAAUAAGAAGCACAGCGUAUCAUCCCCAAACCUCGGGACAAACGGAAAGACUCAACCAAGUGCUAGAAGAUAUGCUGAGGGCCCGUGUACUAUCGUCUAACGGAUCAUGGGAAUCGUGGUUACCUUUGGCUGAAUUCUCGUACAACAAUAGCUAUCAUGAGAGUAUCAAGAUGGCUCCGUUCGAAGCAUUGUAUGGUCGCAAGUGUAGGACUCCGUUAAACUGGGUCGAACCUGGCGAAAGGAGAUACUAUGGCAUCAACUUCGUGAAUGAGGCUGAAGAAAAAGUACAAAUCAUACAACAGCAUAUGAAGGCGGCACAAUCGCGACAAAAGAGUUAUGCCGAUAAGCGAAGGAGGCCACUUGAAUUCAAUGUAGGUGACUAUGUUUACCUCAAGGUUACGCCAAUGAAGAAAGUUCAGCGUUUCCGAGUUCGAAGCAAGCUUGCCCCCAGAUAUGUGGGACCAUAUCAGAUACUAUAGAGGAAAGGCCCCGUGGCCUACAAGAUUCAGUUACCUGAAGAGUUGAGUUCAAUCUUUCCAGUUUUCCAUGUGUCCCAGCUACGAAAAUAUUUGAAAGUACCCGAGCAAAGGAUUAAACCCCGAGGAAUCAAAUUAAAAGCAGAUUUAGAAUAUCGGGAGCAACUAGUGGGUAUCGUAGAUACCAAGGAGCGGGUAACCCGGAACAGAGUUGUCAAAACAUACAAGGUGGUGUGGAGUCAUCAUGAUGAUAGGGAUGCCACCUGGGAAACCGAGGAUUAUCUAAAAACAGUUUAUGCAAAAUUUCAUAAGAAAUGGUUAGUAACCCAAAUCUCGGGACGAGAUUUCCCUAAGGGGGGAGGGCUGUAACACCCUAGGUGUUAAGCAUGCACUUAAUCUCAUCAAAACAUUCAUAAGCAUUCUCAUCAAGCAUAGCAUCACAUGAGCAUGUCAUCCAUUCAAAGUGUGAUUUUAUGUGCUUUAUUUUAUGUGAAUUAAAUGUGCUAAAAGUAUUAUGCUUGCUUCUAAAAUUGUGAAAUAUUCAAAUUAGGUUGAAUUGUGUGCUAAAAGGCUUAAGAGUAUUUUUGUGAAAUUUUUGAGCCAUAGGUGUUGAGAAAUGGAAUUUAUACAAAAAUCCCUAAAAUGAAUUUAUUUAAAAACCUAGAACUAGUUUUAAUCUGUGAUUCAAAUUCUAUUUGGAAUUUGGCCUUGCUUAUUAAAACAAAGUUGUAGGGUUUUUGUUUUGGAACAACUUUUAUUUUGGGAGCAAAAGGUAAAAGUGAUUUUUAAAUAGUACAAAUGAAUUUAGAAAGAAUUUGAGAAAAGAAAUUCAAAAAAAAGGGAAAGGGGACAGGCGCUGCUGGGCCGACCUGUCUCCCUUUCGGCCCAGCCGGACAGCGUGGCCCGCUUCCCCUCCCCUCUCUCUCCCGCGCGCAGCGCCCGCCUCACUCCACCCGGUGCCGGCCACGUGGCGGCCGUACGCUGGCGUUGGACGCGCCGCGGCCGACCGCCUUCACCUGGUCGGGACGCCGCCCCGCGCCCCCCAGGCCACUCCACUCUCUCUGUCGCCCGCUCCUCCCUCUCUUCUUCCUCUGCCCGCGAGCACAGCAGCAGCCAUAGCAGCUCAACCACCGCGCCAUCACCGGAGAUGCUCCGCUGCUCGCCGCCGGCCACACCAGAGCCCCAACCUCGACGCCAAGACCACCAUCGCACUCGCCUUCGCCGCAGUAAGCUGUUGCGUACGCUCUACCAAGGUGAGAAGCCAUCAUACGCCGAGAAUCGCUCGCCGGAGUUGCUCCAACCUCGCCGGAGAGCUCCGCCGCGUCGGAUCUCGCUAGAUCCUACCUCUUUUCGCUCGCUCUUUGGCGCGUUAGGUCCGUAGUGCGAUGAGGAAGCUCGGAGGAGCACUUGCGCGCGCUCUACCGCACCGGAGCAUCCUGGCCACGGCGAGCAGCGCCGCCGUGCUGCCAUGCAUGCUCGUCGGGGGUGCUCCGGUCAUCCUCCGGCCGAUCCAAGGGCACCCUUGGGUGCGCCUCGCUGUGGGGAGCACGCUGGUGCUCACCCCGUGGCUGGAGACCUCGCCGUCGGCGAGAGCCGUCCGGCCGAAGAUCGGCCGGGGUGCUGCAUGGCUGACCCGUGGGGCCACGACCCCUGGAUCCCACCUGUCAGUGCCUCUGCGGAUGUGGAUCUGGGUGAAUCCAGCGUUUUUCGUUGUAAAAUCUAUAUCUUGAGUUAUAUGGCUCCAAAAUUGGUGAAACAAAUUUUGGUGUGCUCUCAGAUCUGCAGUUUGGUGUAAUUGCAUGUCAAGUUUGAACAACUUUUCUGUAUAAAUAUAUUUUAUUCAUGUUUUUGCUGGAAAUGGAAAAUGCAUAGUAAUCAAAAUAUAACUCAGAAAAAUGUGAAACUUGUUUUACUGGCUCUGCAUGGAUGAUUAGUCACUGGGAAAAUUUUGCUACACGUUAUUUGCUGAACAAAUGAAUUUAUGGUGAUUUAAAUGCUUGCAUGGCAGUGGUUUAUGAUUUUUAAUAAAUAAUUGGAUCAUGCAAUUAAUGUGGAAAUUUUUGUGGGUGUUUCUUAUGAUAAUAAGCAAAUUAUAAAAAUAUGAAAUCUGCUGUUUGACACUUAUACCACAGUAGAGUAUUUAUACUUGCUUUGUGAAUUAAUCUUGUGAUUUUUGUAGCUCAAAAUAAGUCUCCAAAAAUUAUGAAAAUUUUAUGGUAGACUUUAUGUUUGACUGGUAGUCUACUGUAGUUUUUGUGGAAUUUAUAGAUAAACAUAAAUGUAUGCUAGUUUGGUAGGCCUAACAUUGGAUAAAGAAAUUAUGAAUUGUUAUAUAUAGAUUAAGUAGAAUAAAAGGGGUUUGGUGUAUCUUUGAAGCACCUUGUGAGUUUGCUGGUUACAUUUGAGGAUAAUUUGUAGAAAAGAAGGGAAUAGAUGAUUAGUGUAAUUGCAUGUCCUUGGAUGAUGUUGACUACUUUGUAAAAAGCAUGACCAAUUAAAUCAUCUAUGCAUCAUGUCAAGGUCAUUUGGUACCCUCUCAUACCAGCAUUCACCAGGGCAUCUCGCACUCCACUCAUGAGCACACAUGCAUCAUACAGGCUCUCAGGAGAACGAGGUGGGACCCGAGGAGCAGGAGGAGACCCAGGAGCAGGAACCUCUGGGAGGACCGGAGCCCGGAGAAGAACUGCAGGAGUGCCCGGAUCACAGACCAAGCACGUUUGAGGAAGGCAAGCCCCGGAGCAUUCUAAGUCUCCCUAUUCUCGCUAACUUAAAUAAUAUAUUAUGUUUGUUCUACUAUGUUGCAUUUAAGUGAUAGGAAUUGCUUGAUACCGUUGAUGCAUAAGUACUGAUUGAUAUCUCUACUUGUUUAUCUACCUUGACCUAUAUAGAUAGGUGCGGAGUCUAUGCUUAGCUUGCCUAGUCCGGUAGAAGUCGGGUGAUUUCCUGUCACCUGCGAGAUAUAGGUGGAUACCUGAUUGAUUAAGCGGUAAUUGCUUUGGUAGAGAAUAACCAAGUGUGGAAUGAAAUUUGAGACCGGGCAGGGUCUUAUGGUGGGUUGACUGUAGUGCCCCUGCCUGUGUCGAUUAAGGACCGAUCGUUGACGGAGCUCUUGUCAUGUUGAACGCAUGCCCCACACUUAGCUGGAAGGAUAAGUCGUUCCGACCGCGAAGCCUGAACACUAUCCGGGCCGGGAGUCGAGCCACCAAGCGUUGUAUUGGUGAUGGUUGAGGAGAACGACGAUGGCGCGGCGCGCAACCUUGGUAUACCUUGGAUACCUCGGUCGCCGGAACGGUCCUCGAGUACUGGCGGUGCUUGCCAAACCCGUGAAUUGGUCCUGGAUAGUGUAACACGGUGGUCUGUAGCUUACUUGAUCAGUGAGUGUGGUUUGUGUGGGGAAUACCUCGCCAGCUGGUUAGAAAUCGAUUCGAAUCGUCAUUGCUCCUGGAUAUUGAUCACUUGACAUGAGCCCUGUCCUCGUAGUAAGGACUAUGGAACACUUGGGUUAAAAUGAUAAAUGGUUUCAUGAAUGCUAUGAUGAGGUACCAUCAUAUUACCACACUUGUUUGUAAUAGUACAGGUGCAAACCUAGAUAAUAGGUAAUGAUAAUAUUGAACUUGAGCUAAUUAAAAGAAGAAAGGUUUUUAGACUAUGUUUAGUGGAACAAUGCUUUUAUGCAAAAGUCUUAGCUACCCCACUAUAUAGCCUUCAUGAUCCUUGAAGAGUCUUUAUUUUUGGUUUAUGACGGGUAAGUCUAGCUGAGUACAUUCUCAUACUCAGGGUUCUGCUCCCUUGUUGUUUUGCAGAUGGUCAAAUGUACUAUGGUUAUUGCAUCCUCUGCUUGUACCCAGCUAUGGGCGAUGACUAGACCAAGGGCGAUGGUCACUCUGUCUUCUCUUUUGCUUUUGUUGGAAUGACCAAAACUAUGGCACUGUAUGAGACUAAGUAUGUGUGUGUUAUUUUCGAACUAUGAAGCUUCCGCUACUUGUGAACUUGGUUUGUAAUAACUUUAAGCACUCCGAUGUAUUUGGUGGAUGUUUUCGAUCUGGAUGUAAUUGUGGAUGGUGACCGCUAAAGUUAUUACGAUCUUGGCUGUAUGUACGAUAUGUGGUUUGAAAUCCUUCGAGAUUUCACGGACUACCGGGAUUAUAUGGGCUUAAGCUCGAUGGUUUGACUAUGCAAAUGGUCGCUAUUAGGCUUAAACUCUUAUAAUUUGGGCGGUUCUAUUACACACCUGACCGUCCACCCCUCUUAGCUGCCUCUGCUGCUGCUGCAACUGCCUCGGCCACCUCUGCCUCUCUGUCGCUGGCCUUGCGCUUCUUGGUCGCUAACUUCUUGCCCUUGCCCUUCUCUGCCGCUGAUAGGCGACGGGGAGGAUCACCUCCACCAUCACCUCCUGGGGAACCUCUAGCGCUGGCUGCCGGUCCACUAACGUUCUUGCAACGAGCCAUCUCAAGAACAACUUACUGAACUAACUGUCGGCAAAUGACCAACUGACACAGGAGAUCAACGCGGAUCGGGUGACGAGAUGUGUUCCGGACGAAAGAUCACAAUCAGAUAUCACCGGACAACACAAAUCGACUCCUCAAGGUUCCAAAAUCUUGAAUCCUCGUGAGAUUGGAUCUGCACGCGAAGCGAAGGGAGAGGGAAGAGUCUAAGGCAGAUCUGGUGCGAGGGAGAAGAAGAUCGCCGGAGAAAUGGUCGAGGACGAUGGCGGCGAAUCCUUCUCUGAGACCUAGGGCACAUGGGCGGUGGACUGGCACGCGCGAUUUAAGAAAAACUGCCCGAGCCGAGACCCCAGGGCGCGGGUUAUAUCCGCGGUCUGCGGGGUCACCGGACGCACUUAAAGUGGCACCGGACGCGUCCGGUGACCACCGGACUCAUGGACAGAGAGGUUUGAAAUUUGGCAUAUCACCGGACAAUGGCCACCGGACGCUGGUCUUAGCGUCCGGUGCUCUAGGGAACGCCAGGUGAGCACCGGACGCACCUCACCAGACGCUGCAGGAACACUGUUCCUACGUCCGGUGAGUGCAAUCUGGCACACUCACCGCACCGGACGCACAGAGACAGCGUCUGGUGCAUCGUCUGGUGCCUCUUUGAGUCCUUUUUCGACUUAACACUACGUCCGACUUUGACCCAACCAAGUUCCAUCUUUAAAGACACACAAAUAAACACCAAAUGGAACUGGUAUGAGUGACCUCUCUCAAACCCUCAAAUUUUAACAAAUAUUUAGCCAUAGGCUUAGUAGUUUUUAUGAAAAUAAUUCGAGAAAUCACCAAGGAGCAUCAUAUGGCCAUAAAACUAGGGGUUUUGAAUCACAAUGAGCUUUGAAUGCUCCCCCUAAAUAUGGACAAACACAGCGGAUGCUCAAAGAAUAACCGAAAAGAAACGGUCAAAUGACAAGCAUGCAUAUGAUAUGAGGUGUAAUGCAAUACUUGAAAGUAAAGUAAAGCUUGUCAAGUUUGAUCCAAGGUUAAGCUUUUUCACACACACAAGGGGGUUAUCUUAACCAUGUUAGACAAGCCCUACACACAAAACUUGUUCAUUUUUAGUUUUAGUAUGCAUGAUAUGCAAAGCAAAAGCUAUUUACAAGUUUCAACACACAACUUUAUCUUUUAGUGAAGUUAGAGAGAUCAAUCACAUUAAGUUCAUUUCUCAACAUACAAAACCUAGCUUCAUCUAUGGGUUUUGUGAAGAUAUCCGCUAAUUGAUUUUCCGUUCCCACAUUCUCUAGAGAUAUGUCACCUUUAGCAACAUGAUCCCUAAGGAAGUGGUGGUGGAUGUCAAUAUGUUUUGUGCGGGUGUGUUGAACCGGGUUGUUUGCAAGUUUUACGGCACUUUCGUUGUCACACAACAAAGUUACUUUGUUGUCGGUGUUUUUCCCCUGGGGGGUCAUACCAACCAGUAAAUUUGUAUGCGUGCUCCCGUUUCUAGAUGGUGAUGCAAGAAAAGACACAAAGAUUUAUCCUGGUUCGGGCAAGAGAAGGCCCUACGUCCAGCGGGGGGGGGAGAGAUGUUUGUAUUAUCUUGCACCUAAGUGCUUGUACAGGGGUGAAUACAGGGAGAUGGAGUAUGGAAGCUAUACUAAGCGUGAAUGUGUUGGGUGAUGUUGUAUCGCGUCUCUUGUAUCCGCUCCCGGGCCUCCCCUUUUAUAGUUCCAAGGAGAGACCUAGGGUACAUGUAUAGGCGUCACAGUAGGGGUCGAUAGAGGUAUGGCGCGCUGACCUACUCGAGGCCUUCGUACCGGCGUGGUUUCGAGCCAUCUUGUCCUAAUAGCUUGAUGAUGCUUACGCGUGCCCCGGUAUCCCGCUCUACGCGCCGUCCUCGGCUGGUUUAUCCGUUGUACGCUUGUACGUCGUGGAAGCAUCUGCGCCGGGGUGGUCGAGGUGCUGUCACUCGUCGCCCGACUCUUCUCCAGGAAGGAAAUGUGCCUAUUCGAGGGUCUGGUGUCGUAUAAUGCCUUGCCAGCAAGAGCGCUGACCUUAGGCGUCUCGAGGGGGGUCUUGAUUAGGCGUUCCGACCCACUCCAUGCGUCCUGCCACGUUCUGGCUUGUUCGGUGGGGAAGGCUGCAAAAAGAAUGACGGGACGGGUGCCUGUUCCCUAUCACACUUCCCAUGACUGGCGGGUUAGGUGAGAACGCGACGGCCGCAUUAAAUGCCCUGGUUCCCGUGCCCACGUCAGGCGGUGGAUGGCAUCCUUGCGCUCGACGCCUUCCGAUUCGCUCGAGCCUGUUUCUAUGUUCGACGGUAGCCAGCGCUCGAGCCCUGAUCGAUUCGCAGGACGCUCUUUCCGCGUUCGAGACUAUGGCCAUCGAGGACCGUACGUGUGACUGGGUAGAGUGUCGAGUCGGAGGCCUUGACUAGCGUACGGGCAUUCUCGUCAUGCACAUCAGUUAGGGUACCCCUUACUGAUAUCUGUUGAUAUUUGGUAACGCAAUAAGGAAAUGAUCCGCAAGCGCACGGAUAUCGCUGAGCAUUUCACCCGGGAGGUUUUCCAGAGUAUCGUAUUUAUAUUUUUACCACUGGGAGAAAGGGUGCAUUUGACUAACCAAAUCUAUUGCUACUAUCCCUUUAGGCUACAAAGAAUGUCUCUCGAUGUGAGUGAUGUAUAGAGAAGACUGCAACCGUAGUCUCGUUCUAACCUUGGUAAGGAUGAUAUACUGUUCUAUUGGGGAGGCUCACGGAAUCUAGACAACACAAAGGAUGUUCGACCUGCACCUUUAACCCUACCCGUCCUGCUAACGAGAUGUGAUCUACAAAGGUAACUCGGAAAUGUCACGUUCCUCGCUACUACCACGGUCCAGCUAGUCAGGGGAUAUCUAUGAGUACCCUAGCCUAAACACCACGUUUACGCUAACAAGUGAUUACUCUAAUACUCAACCGGAAGAGGAUUAAAGUAAACUCAUAAACCAAAGAACAAUAAAACAAGAACUUACUAGUAUUAGAAGUCGAAUUAUUGAAGAAUCUUAGAAGCAAGCCUCGGGUUAGGAGACUUGAUCCCGUAGGUACAACUCGGAGUAGACACCGACAGGCCGGCCUUCCUCCGAUCCACACCUCCACUCCAUCUCUCUCAAUCUAGUAGAAACUAGAAGAUCUAUUUCUACCUUACAUUGGUUGCUACGCCUAAAAAGAAAUAUUAUUUAGAGAAGAGGUUUUCCUUCGAGGGCACCCCUCAAUCUCUAUGAUAAUUUCUUGUCUUCUCCAGGGCCAGGGGGGCCUUGCUUAUAUAGUCCUCCCCUUCUAUGCGUUUUUGGGUCGAUAGGUGAGGUGGUACUAUGUUUUCCUUGAUCCAAUAGGUCGGUGGAACAUCCCGAGCGAAAGAGUCCUGAUUUGGCUCCAACAGAGGGGUGGGCGCCCAGGCUACCAGGGCGGGCGCCCUGGGCCUGGCCCAAUUUCGCCUCCGCUUCGGUCUCGUGGCUUCUGGAGUCUUCUAGAUGAUGUAAAAUCGUGCGGUGCGUUUAUAUCUCUAUGUAAUCCCGACAUGUGGGCCUUUCUUCCUUAUUUCCUGAUAACCCCCUGUGGAAACAGAUAAACAACAAAACUCGUGGAAUUCUGUCAGAUCAAACCCUAAUUCUAGGUGUUGGUUGCAUUUGGAUCCUUUUCUUUGUUUAUUUGAUAAUUAAAUUUGAUACUUAAGGACCGUCAACAAACUCCCCCAAGCUUACCUCUUGCUCGUCCCUGAGCAAGGAUAGACUUAGCUAUGGAUCAUAAAUUGUUGCAAUAUUUUUAAAAAUUGAUGUUACACAUGCUUUUUAAAUAAAAUCUCAUCUCUGAGUUAGAGUAAACUAUCAAGACUUAAAACUUACUUUACCUUCACCAUGGGACUUGUAACUGUCACUUCUGUCUUGAGUGGUUAAAAGAUAGAAUAGUCUAGCCAAGUGCCAUGUCUCUUAUUCUUGAUCAGCUAUAGCUCUAGAGUUUUUGCAGAUUUUAAAACUCAGAGAUUCCUUGUAUGAUUCUCUCAGAUCUCUCUUUUGUGGUAUUUUUGGAUCCUUACCAAGGCAGUGAUGGUAUAUGCCUUCUCUCAAGAUAUGUAGUAUUUGUGGUAUGAAGCAUAGUGACAUUGUCUUCUCUCUCACCCUACUCUAAUAAGGCUUUAAUAUCUGGAGCUCAUAGGUGGGAGAUAAAAUAUACAUACUCACAAGACAUUUAUUGCAUAGUCAAACCAUGGAUCCAAAGAAACAAAUCAAUAAGCCAAAUCAAGAUGUGCAUGUGUGGCGAAUGAAUGGUGUAUGGUGAUGAUGGUGAUAACAAUGGUGAAAGUCUAAUUUUACUUUUGCUCUUUGAGGGGAUACAUACCUUCCUUGCUUUUGAAACUUUAUGAGGAGAAUGAGAUGCUCUAUAUUUUCCCCUUUUUUUUCUCAGGUGGGUAGCCUUGUACCCCUAAUUCUACUGUCGGACACUUGUCCAUUUUUACCUCUCGUCUCACUUUUUCUUUUCUUCGAGGUUCCGAGCACUUGCCCCUUUUUAUUUCCUCGUAUAUUAUUUAUUUUUUUUUCUUCUUUUUUUUUCUUUUUUUUUUCUUUCUAGAGCACUCAUCUCCUGAAAUAAUGUAGCAAGUGGUAGUAACCAAAAUAACUGGAGCAUUUAUUUCACAGGGAAUAACAGGGAUAGGAAAAUGUUUUUUGGCUUAUUCUCUCUCGGAUUAGGAGUAGAAUAAUUUUGGGUAAAACUGGAGAUGGAAAUGAGUGGAUAUAUGUGGAUGGUACUUCCGGAGUAGAAGUAGCAUAUAUGAGUGAACGUGCAAGUGAAUCUUGAUUUAACCACAUGACAAGCUCCUAAGGGUCUACACAACUUGACUACACUCAAUGCUCAUAAGCAGUAAAUAGUAAAUGUGUGGCUCAAGGUCUAGCAAGCAUGUAUAUAUGGCUGUGGUAGGAAUUUAAACUCUCAUCAUACAGGAACUCAUCAUGCAAUAUUUUAAAGAUUUUCAAAGAUAAAAUUCUCUAGAAUUCUACAUCUCUAGGAACAGAUAAACAGCAGCUCAACCUUCCCAUAUCGUAUCCGUUAACAACUUAGACUUCAGAUCAAGUUUUCAUCCCACAAGUUUAGAUCUAGAGCAAGCUUUAAAUUAUAACAGUUAUGUCUAAACUUGAGAGAGAACUUUAAAUUUGCAAAUUAGGCAGAGCAACUAUUCAUCAUAUCCAUGCUUAAGUUUUAUUAGAUACAGAUUAGCAAAGCCACUUUAUUUAAUUAUUAAACAUACUAAGCAAAAUAUAUAAGCAUAAAAUCUUUAUUCGGUUUUUUUUAUAGUUAUGUGUAUUUAUAUUCUAAUAUAGUAUAAGUAUAAAGAUAGAUAGAAAUACUUAUCGAGAUACAUGGGGGUGCUCUCCCCCAAGCUGAAUUUUGACGUAAUUUCUCUUGAUGUAGCUAGCAGGUGGCAGAGGUGUGUUUGAAAGUCAGCAGUAUUUUGACAGCGAUUAGAAUGUCCUCCGUCUGCUAGUCUUCUUAAUUCUUAAAUUCUAUGGAGCUCAAAUAGACAACAAAGCUUGUGGAACUGAUUAAGUGUUAGCAUAAAUAUCUAGCCUUUAUCAUGUUGAGACUUCUUAAUAAAUAUUACUCCCUGUUUUUAUAUUUUUGUUUUUAUAAAGCAGAAAAAUAUUUAUUUUAUUUUUAUGCCACCACAGUGAAUGUACUUAUGGGUUUUAUGCCACUCGUCUACUCACAUGGGGCUUACAGUUUUUUAACAUUUAUUUUCUUUUCAAGAUGAACCUGAUUAACUAAGCAAACUAUUGAAUGGAAAAGGAUAACUACCAAGUUUACCUCUUGGCAAGGCGUUCGGUAUUUUUAAGUCCUCCGAAUGGGACUCCUUGUGUUUUCUUAGUCGUCCUGGGAUUCGCUAGGUGGCAUAGUCGGUGAUUCCGGCGGCGCCUCUUCGUCGUGUAUAACUAUCUUCUUUCUCCACACCUGACUCGGUGCUACGGUCUCCUCAGGACAGUUCUGUUCAAGCCAUAUGUGUUCAGAUCUUAUCAUAUCUCCUUCGUAGUCUACCCAUCCGUCUUUGAUGAUCUGCCUCCUCUGGUUGCGGUUGCGUUGUCUUCUUCUUAUCCUGACCUGCUUAGAAUCUUCAACUAUAUAGUUAGAAUCAUUAAAGUAGUGGCGUACCUUCUUAGAGGGGAAGUACACGUGGACUUCUCCGGUUCCAAUGUAGAUGAUAACUUUGAUAGUGUUGAGGAAUGGUCUUCCAAGGACGAUGGGUAGAUCGUACUCGUCUUCUCCCAUGUCAAUGAUCUGAAAAUUAUCUGGAGCUGAAUGUAUGUUGGUUGUAGGGGCAUGGUUCCAUGUAGGAGCUGAUAAGUGACUGCAGCCAUUAUGUAGUCGUCAGAUCCGGUGUCGUAGAGUGUCUUCUUGAAAAGAGUAUUUGUUGAUUGUGCACUUAAUGCUUGGAACACCGGGGUCGUCCUUCUUGAUUAGGAAAGGUGACUUGAGUCGACGAUCUUGACCUCCUUGAGCUGCAGUGACCAUCUUAGCUGACUCGGUCCAUAUUUGCUUGUUCCUGUUCCUCCUGUUGGUCCUCUUCCUUGGUUCAUGUCGGGAUUGCUCUGAAGUUUGUGUAGUCUUGUUCUCGAAGGAAAAUCUCCUUUUCCCCCUUGAUGUAGAAACUGAUCUUGGCAGCAUUAACGUAGAUGAAAGCUCUGGUGUUUAGGAAUGGCCUCCCUAAGAUAAUGGGUGCCCUCUCCUCAGUACCAGUCUCUAUCACCACGAAGUCUACUAGAGUGUACAAGGUACCAACUCGGACGCAGAGGUUCUUCAAUAUUUCCUUUGGGAAACUGAGUGUCCGAUCUCCAACCCUGGGCAUAAUGUUGACGCUGGAGCCAAAGUCGCAGAGUGCUUCUGGGAAGUCCACCAUGCCGAUGGAGAUCGGGAUGACGGGGCGUCCUAGAUCACCUCUCUGAGUAAUUAGGCCUCUGUUGAUUCCAACCUUGAUGUUGUUGAGGACGGUUGUAGUAAUAGUUGUUAUUGUUGUUGAUGUAGUUCACGUCCUCAAGCAUCUCAGGGCAGUGAUUGCCUGAGCGUCCAGUAUCUCCAGUGUGUUUGUGCUCGUAGAUCCUAGUUCUUCACUUGGUGGAAUCUGGGAGUUGUAAAACUCCUUCAUAUUAUGCUCGAAGUGUUCCUGCUCAUAGAGACAAUGUAGAGAUCAAGUGCAUGGGCCCUGUUGGUGGAAAACACCAACAGAACCAAAAGUGUAUUUGUUCUUCUCUAACCUUAAGCAUAGUGAGCAAGACAAAAUUGAUGGAUCAUGAGUGUAGCAUUUGUCAGAUCAGAUGGCUCAACCUAAUGGAAAGAUAAUCUAUUUAUAUUUAUGUUUUGUUUAUAUCUUCCAAAGAUUGCAUGUGCUAUACUUUAGCUUAUAUGAUUAGGAGUGUGGGAUCACGAAGGUAGUACUAAGAACAAAGAUUAAAGGACUAAACAUGUUGAAUUAAUUGGUUUGAUUAAUUUGGAGCUACAAAUCAUACAUGUUUGUCUCUUUAUUUUAUGUGAAUGCUAGAACCAAGGAGAAGCUUAUAAAAGUGAUAGUCAAGUACCUUAAAAUGUUACCUUACUUGAAGAGUGACGGUACAGUAUCACCUUGUGGAAGCUUUCCUUUCUUAGCGGUUGUGCAUCGUGUUUGUGGCACCCUCCAUGGAUCAUCUCUUUAUGAUGAAUGAGCUAUGUCCUUCUUGUGCAAAUUGUUAAACUUCAUGUGUCUCCUUUACCUCCAAUGAGUUUGUAUCUCAGGACUUCCCAGGUUGAUAUUGAAAGUUUUCCUACAGGGGUUAGUCCAAUAAAAUAUCCCAUAUCUACUAUAGCAUACUAUCGGCUCAAAAAUCAACCUAGACACCAUGUCUAAUUUGAUUUAGGAGGGCAUUUUAACCUAAGCACCAUGCUUAAUUUAAAAAUCCUUUGGAAGUAAGAUCAUCAUUCCUAAACUAAGCACCAUGCUUGAUUUAAGAGAUAAAUGAAACUACUCCAAACCUAAACAUAUACUAAAGCAAAUAAAGGUAGCAUGAGAGCAUUUAUAGCGAUCUACUCAAGUGGAGGUGAAGUAGUGUAAUUAGUACUUAACAAAUUGAGCAUCUCUCAAAGGUAGGGACAACCAACGUAGCAACAUGGCAAAUGAUGUUUUUAUGUAAAGUACUCCCCCAAGCUUGAAUUUUACAAAAUUCAAGUUUGGAUGAAUUUAAUUCAAUGUUGUGUGAUGGUUGGUUGGACAUACCUUGUGCUUGUCAUUCAUCCGAUCUUCUUGCUCCAAUCCUGGAAAGGUUAGUGACAAGAAUACCCGAAGGAAUAUUUCUACAAUUAUCUUUAUAUGCUCAAUACACAAGGCAAUGUUGCAAAUAAUUAGAAGUGCUUGUUUUUGGACACUAAGCUCGUCCUUGGGAAACCAUCAAUUAACUCAACGAGAUCUGCAAUAUUUAUUAUAGACAUAUGCAUCGACAACCGCUCUUUUAAAGUUUUUAUAAAUAGAAAAGAAGAGAGGGUUGGAGAUCUCAAAUGUGAUAAGGAUGGAGAGACUAAUUGAUUGGAGAGAUGUUUUAUAUGAGCAAGGACUGGGUAAGGUAUUUAUGAAAUAACUUCCAUGCUCACUGUUGUUUCUCUCAUUCUCAAACUCCAAGGAUGAUUCUUCAUGAAUGCUAAAAAUUCCUCUAGGAUUGUCUCUCAAGUUUGUUUUAUCUAUCCAUUUAAUGGUGAUAGCACAUGGAUUUUUAAUGCCCUCUAGCCAUUGAUGUUGCUCUUCUCGAUCCUCCUUCUUAUGCAUGGGAUGUCUAGAGAGAUUUAUAGGAUCAUCGGGAGGUUCAAGAGAAAGAGAAUAGUAGAAAUUGUUAAGCUCAAGGAUGGGUUGGAUAGCCGAAUCAUGGGAUUGAAAUGUUUGGAAAUUGGCUAUUAAAACUUCCUUUCCUCGUCUGGGAGAUGAUUCCUUCUCUAUCUCUAAGAUUUUUCUAUGAAGACUAGUACAGGAAGGAUGUCCACAAAUGAAGACAUACCUUCCUUUACUAAUAGAUAAAGAAAGAAGGACUCUACCAAAGGUUAUAUGAUUAAGACCAAUGUGAAAAUAUCGAGAAAAAACAUGGUCUUGUAGGGCUAGGUCUAAACCAGAAUUUAUAAAAAGAUUAACAGAUUCCCUAGCUGUAGCUAAAAGUGCAUUAUCUUUUUGAUUAAAAGAUAGGACCUCGGCUAUAGAAAAGGGUUGGUUUUGACCUAUUGCAAUCAACUCCGGACACAGAUCAUAAUUAGGGGCAGGACGUGUUGACUCCCAUGGUCUAUGGCUGGUCUCCGAAGGUGCAAAGAAUUCAGUAAUAGGUAUGGAAUAUAAGUUAUCCAUAAAGAUAAAAAUAAAAAGAUAAAAGAAUAAAAGUAUAAAAGUAUAAUACAAGAUAAUAGCAAGACUCAAAGUUAUCUCAGCAAACCGUCUUUCUCCCCGGCAACGGCGCCAGAAAUGCUUGUUGAUAUUUGGUAACGCAAUAAGGAAAUGAUCCGCAAGCGCACGGAUAUCGGUGAGCAUUUCACCCGGGAGGUUUUCCAGAGUAUCGUAUUUAUAUUUUUACCACUGGGAGAAAGGGUGCAUCUAACUAACCAAAUCUAUUGCUACUAUCCCUUUAGGCUACAAAGAAUGUCUCUCGAUGUGAGUGAUGUAUAGAGAAGACUGCAACCGUAGUCUCGUUCUAACCUUGGUAAGGAUGAUCUACUGUUCUAUUGGGGAGGCUCACGGAAUCUAGACAACACAAAGGAUGUUCGACCCGCACCUUUAACCCUACCCGUCCUGCUAACGAGAUGUGAUCUACAAAGGUAACUCGGAAAUGUCACGUUCCUCGCUACUACCACGGUCCAGCUAGUCAGGGGAUAUCUAUGAGUACCCUAGCCUAAACACCACGUUUACGCUAACAAGUGAUUACUCUAAUACUCAACCGGAAGAGGAUUAAAGUAAACUCAUAAACCAAAGAACAAUAAAACAAGAACUUACUAGUAUUAGAAGUCGAAUUACUGAAGAAUCUUAGAAGCAAGCCUCGGGUUAGGAGACUUGAUCCCGUAGGUACAACUCGGAGUAGACACCGAUAGGCCGGCCUUCCUCCGAUCCACACCUCCACUCCAUCUCUCUCAAUCUAGUAGAAACUAGAAGAUCUAUUUCUACCUUACAUUGGUUGCUACGCCUAAAAAGAAAUAUUAUUUAGAGAAGAGGUUUUCCUUCGAGGGCACCCCUCAAUCUCUAUGAUAAUUUCUUGUCUUCUCCAGGGCCAGGGGGGCCUUGCUUAUAUAGUCCUCCCCUUCUAUGCGUUUUUGGGUCGAUAGGUGAGGUGGUACUAUGUUUUCCUUGAUCCAAUAGGUCGGUGGAACAUCCCGAGCGAAAGAGUCCUGAUUUGGCUCCAACAGGGGGGGCGGGCGCCCAGGCUACCAGGGCGGGCGCCCUGGGCCUGGCCCAGUUUCGCCUCCGCUUCGGUCUCGUGGCUUCUGGAGUCUUCUAGAUGAUGUAAAAUCGUGCGGUGCGUUUAUAUCUCUAUGUAAUCCCGACAUGUGGGCCUUUCUUCCUUAUUUCCUGAUAACCCCCUGCGGAAACAGAUAAACAACAAAACUCGUGGAAUUCUGUCAGAUCAAACCCUAAUUCUAGGUGUUGGUUGCAUUUGGAUCCUUUUCUUUGUUUAUUUGAUAAUUAAAUUUGAUACUUAAGGACCGUCAACAAUAUCCUCGACAUUUGUCUAGUACUACUUCAUAGUCUAGCAAAGUUUAUUUCAUGUAGAGUAUUUGUGCACAACAAGCACCGGCGGCAAUGUAUAUUGCCUUGGCCGUUGACAAGGCAACACUCUUUUGUUUCUUUGACAUCCAAGAGACAAGUGAUCUACCUAGGAAAUGGCACCCUUCGGAUGUGCUUUUUCUAUCAAUUCGGCACUCGGCAUAAUCCGAAUCGGAAUAGCCUACAAGUUGGAAUCUUGCACCUUUGGGAUACCACAAACCUAGGCAAGGUGUGUAUUUUAGAUACCUAAGAAUUCUCUUGACGACAAUCAAGUGAGAUUCCAUAGGCAUUGCUUGAUAUCUAGCACACAUACACACACUAAACAUGAUAUCGGGCCUAGAUGCGGUGAGGUAGAGUAGAGUUCCUAUCAUGGAGCGAUAGAGAGUCUUGUCAAUUGGGUUACCUCCCUCAUCCAAGUCGAGAUGCCCAUUUGAUGCCAUGGGAGUCUUGAUUGGCUUGCAAUCCAUCAUCUUGAAUCUCUUGAGAAGAUCUUGAGUGUACUUCUCUUGAGAGAUGAAGACUCCUUCCUUCAUUUGCUUGACUUGAAACCCUAGGAAGAAGGAUAGCUCGCCAAUCAUGGACAUCUCAAACUCCUUGGACAUCAAAUCACCAAAUUCCUUGCAAAAAUCUUCAUUAGUAGAGCCAAAAAUAAUAUCAUCAACAUAAACUUGGCAAAUGAAGAUUUCCCCAUUCAUUUUCUUGGUGAAGAGUGUUGUGUCAACUUUCCCAAUCUUGACGCCCUUCUCGAUGAGGAAGUCCCUAAGCCUCUCAUACCAAGCUCUAGGAGCUUGCUUGAGACCAUAGAGUGCCUUGGACAACCGGUAGACAUGCUUGGGGUACCUAGGGUCUUCAAAACCGGGGGGUUGCUCAACAUAGACAAGCUCAUUAAUAUAGCCAUUCAAAAAAGAACUUUUCACAUCCAUUUGAAAUAACUUGAUAUCAUGACUAGAUGCAUAUGCAAGUAGGAUAUGGAUUGCUUCAUGUCUUGCCACCGGUGCAAAGGUUUCACUGAAGUCAAGACCUUCCACUUGUGAAAAGCGUUUUGCCACAAGUCUUGCCUUGUUGCGCACCACUUUGCCUUGAUCAUCCUUCUUGUUCCGGAAGACCCACUUUGUUCCAAUCACUCUUGCAUCUUUGGGUCGCUCUUCAAGUGUCCAUACUUGGUUGCGCGAGAAGUUGUUCAACUCCUCUUGCAUGGCCAUGAUCUAAUCUGCAUCAUGAAGAGCUUCCUCUAUAGUCUUUGGUUCAUCUUCAGGAGACACAAAAGCGUGAUGUUCAAUAAAUAAAGCAUGUCUAGAACGAGUAGUUACACCACGUGAUGGACUCCCGAUGAUGAGAUCCUGAGAGUGAUCUUGGAGGAGAUGUGAUGCUCUUCUUGGCACCACUUGAGGGGUUGUUGGGGAGCAUCAACAUCUUGUGCUUGUGCCACCGCUUGCUCAUGAGUGACUUGAUUGUCGUCAUGAGGAUCUCUCACAUCCUUGUCUUCAUCUUGUGGUACAUGUGAGGUGGAAGGUGGCUCAAUAACUUGCACAUCAUCAUCAUCUUCUUUUGGCUUGAUGUCUCCCACCGGCAUGUUCUUCAUGGCAUCCCUCAAUGGUUCACCACCUACAUCAUCAAGAUUAUCACUUGCUCCUUGGGAGCCAUUAGUUUCAUCAAGUUCAACAUCAAAUGUUUCUUGAACCAUGUUUGUGGCAUGGUUAAAGACCCUAUAUGCCUUGGAAUUUGAUGAAUAGCCAACCAAGUAGCCAAUGUCACAUCUUCUUUGGAACUUUCCCAAGUGUUGGCGCUUCUUGUAGAUGUAGCAUUUGCAUCUAAACACUCUAAAGAAUGAGACAUCGGGCUUCUUCCCAUUGAGCAAUUCAUAUGGUGUCUUCUCUAGCAACUUGUGAGGAAAGAGCCGGUUUGAAGCAUAGCAUGCGGUGUUGAUUGCCUCGGCCCACAUCUUCUCCGAAGUGUUGUACUCAUCUAGCAUUGUUCUUGCCAAGGUGAUCAAUGUCUGGUUCUUUCUUUCUACAACCCCAUUUUGUUGUGGUGUGUAUGUUGAGGAGAACUCAUGCUUGAUUCCGACUUCAUCACAAUACUCUUCAAUGUUGGUGUUGUCAAACUCCUUGCCAUUGUCACUUUUAAUUUUCUUGAUCUUGACUUCAAAUUGAUUUUGGGCAUUCUUUGCAAACUUCUUGAAUAUGGAUGCAACUUCGGCCUUGUCUUGCAAGAAAAAUGUCCAAGUGUACCGGGAGAAAUCAUCAACUAUGACCAAGCAAUAUUUGUUGCCUCCAAGACUAGCAUAUGUGGUUGGUCCAAAUAGAUCCAUGUGAAGUAGCUCAAGCACUCUUGAAGCAGAGAGAUAGGCCUUGGUUGGAUGAGUGUUUGCAACUUGCUUGCCCGCUUGACAUGCACUACAAAGCUUGUCUUUUUCAAAUGUAACAUCCUUCAAGCCUCUAAUCAAUUCUUUCUUCAUCAACUUCUUGAGUGUACCCAUUCCAACAUGUGCUAACAUUCUAUUCCACAACCACCCAAGUGAAGUCUUGGUGAAUAAGCAAGUCUUGACAUCAACUUCAUCGGAUGAGAAAUCAACUACAUAUAAGUUGUUGUGUCGGAAGCCUUUGAAUAUCACUUCAUUGUCAUCUUCCUUGGUCACAAUUACUUCCUUCUUCUUGAAUAGGCAUUCAAAUCUAAGAUCACAAAGUUGUCCAACCGAGAGCAAGUUCAAACUCAAUAAUUGCACAUAGAGCACAUUGGUGAUGGAGUUGUCAUUUGAUAUAGCAACCUUUCCUAGUCCCUUGACCUUGCCUUUUGAAUUGUCACCAAAUGUGAUCUUCUCUUGGUUGUCAACAUCUUCAUCAAGAGAGGUGAACAUCCGGGGAUCUCCGGUCAUAUGUUGAGUGCAACCACCAUCAAUUACCCAAUGUGAUCCACCGGUCUUGUAGUUCACCUACACACAAGAUAUCAAGCUUGAGAUUUAGGGACCCACAUUUGCUUAGGACCCUUGACCUUCUCUACUAGUUGCUUUGGCACCCAAAUCUUCUUUGGCCUUUGCUUGUUUGGUGGCCCCAUGAAGCUAACCUUGACCUUGCCACUCUUGUCUUUCCUUACAAUGUAGUGAGCAUUGAAGGCAAAUGGUCUUGCAUGCUUGGGCAAGGGUGGUGGUAGUGGUGCCUUACACUCAUGAGCAAAGUGUCCUUCUUGACCACACUCAAAGCAUCUCUUUGGCUUUGGCUUGCUUGGAUGAUCAUGAGUGGCUAGUGACUUGAUGAGCUUUGUUUGAUGAGCCUUGUAGCCAAUCCCACUCUUGUCCAUCUUCAUCACGGUGUUCAUGAAAAGCUCACUUUGAAGGUCCUUCCCCUUUGUGAACUUUGCUAAUCCCAUGCUUAGGUGUUCCUUCUCUUUCUUGAGCUUGCUAUUCUCUUGAGUUAGCUUCUUGAUGAUUGGGUCAUUGUUGCUAGCUAACUCAUCCAAGAUGAAUGUCUCAUCUUCUUCUUGCUUGUCAUACAUCAAACCAAGUUUGAGAUAUUGAUUAUCUUCCUAGAGUAACUUGUUCUCAUAUGCAAGCUUCUUGUCUUGAUCAAGUGACUCAAUCACAAUGAUCUUGUGCUUAGCUUUGUCUUGCAACUCUUUCUUGAGCAUGACAAUUUCAUCUUUGAGCUUGAUAGUGUCCUCAUAGCUCUCGGCCACUACCACUUUCUUGCCCUUGCAAUCAACACAUUUGCUUGUGCUCUCCACAAGUAAGUCAUCACAAGAUGUGGCUACAUCAAGCUUAGCAACAUUGUUAGUAGCAACAUGUGUUUCAUCAAUUGCAAGUUCAUAAGCAAUCUCAAGGUUGUCAUAGUUUGCUUUUAGAGUUGUUAGAUCUUCUUUCAUUGCUCUAUAUCCAGUGAUAAGCUCAUCAUGAACACUCUCAAGUUUAUCAUGUUUUUCUUUGAGUUCUUUUGAAGAGAGUUUGAGCUCCUUGAGCUUAGUGGUCAUGAUUUCAUUUUGGUCUCUAAGCUCAUCACUAGACUUAAGCUUUGCUAGAAGUCUUUCAUUUUCAAGUUCAAGCUUUUCAUUUUCACUUCUAGAUUUUCUUAUGACUUUUGUGUACUUGUUAAGCAAUUUUACAAGUUCAUCAUAAGAAGGUGAUUCGUAUUCACUAUCACUUUCACUACUCUCAUCCUCACUUUGUACCUUCCGGUCACCCUUAGCCAUGAGGCAUAGGUGUGUAGAGGAUGUAGAUGGUGGUGAAGAUGAUGGUGAUGAAGCAUUGAUGGCAAUGGCGGCAACCUUCUCAUCAUCACUCUCAUUGCCAGAGGAGUCACCACUUGAGCUCUCAAUGUCGGUGAGCCAAUCACCAACAAUGUAAGCCUUGCCAUUCUUCUUCUUGUAGUGCUCCUUCUUCUUGCCAACUUUCUUCUUGUAUUGCUUCUUGUCAUUCUUGUCAUCAUCACUUGAAUCAUCUUGCUCUUUGUUCUUCUUCUUGUAUUUGUCCUUCUUGGGCUUUGGACAUUGAUGAGCAAGAUGGCCAAGCUCACCACAAUUGUAGCAAUCCAUCUCGGAGAUGGGCUUUCUCUUGCUACUUGUGAAGAAUUUCUUCUUCUUGGAGUCAAAGUUGACUCCAUUCUUGUUGAGCUUCUUCAACAUCAUUGUGGUUCUUCUCACCAUGAGGGCAAUAGAUGCAUCAUCAUCACCUGAAGUUGAUGACUCAACUUCAAUCUUCUUGGCCUUGCCCUUGUGAGAAGCUUUGAGGGACAAGUCCUUCUUCUCCUUCUUGGCCGAUGAGGAGCCAUCUUGGGGGUUCAUGUUCAUGUACAUCUCAUGAGCAUUGAUCUUCCCCAAUAUGGCGGUUGGUGUAGUGGUGGAGAGAUCGCCUUGGUGAAGCACCGUUACUAUGUGCCCAUAUUUCUCAAUGGGAAGCACACGUAGUAUCUUCCUUGCGACAUCCGCCGCACUCAUUUGAGUGAGCCCAAGUCCAUUAAGCUCCUCUACAAUGACAUUCAAGCGAGAAUACAUUUCAUUAGCAUUUUCUUUGGGAAGCAUCUCAAAUGUAUUAAGCUUGUUCAUCACUAAGUGAUAGCGUUCCUCGCGUUCACUCUUUGAUCCCUCAUGGAGCGCACAAAGUUCCUUCCAAAGAGCAUUGGCGGUUUUGUGGCUCCGAACGCGGUUGAACACCUCUUUGCAAAGGCCUCUAAAGAUUUGGUUUGUGGCCUUCGCAUUCCACUUCUCGUUUUCUUGCUCUUGUGGAGUAAAAGCGGUGUCUUUUGCCGGAGGGGUAAACCCUUCGGUCGCAGCUUUUAGGCACUUUACAUCGCAUGCCUCAAGGUAUGACUCCAUUCGUAUUUUCCAAUACGGGAAGUCAUCCCCAUCGAACAUGGGUGGCGGUCCAUCCCCGUUAGACAUCUUUCUCUAGGCGAUGAAGCCUAAAUAAUGAGCACUAGGCUCCGAUACCAAUUGAAAGGAUCAAGAUGCCCAAGAGGGGGGUGAAUUGGGCUUCUCUAAAAAUUUAAGCAACCUAUAAGCUCCAAUUCAACCCCUUGUACCUAGUGUGACCUAGAGAGCUACCGGACAAAAGUUUUGCAACCUAAUUCCAAUCCUAUUCUAGCAAGGCAAUUCUAAGAAUGUGAGUAGUGGAAGAAAGUGCUCGGCGAUGUUUUGCCGAGGUAUCAGAGAGUUGCCACUCUCCACUAGUCCUCGUUGGAGCACCCGCUCAAGGGUCUUGCUCCCCCUUGGUCCGCGCAAGGACCAAGUGCUCUCUACAGGCUGAUUCUUCGACACUCCGUCGUGGUGAAUCGCCCAAAACCGCUCACAAGCUUGACACGAGCCACCCACAAGAACUCCGGGCAGUCUUCGUACCUCCAAUCACCACCGAGCCAUCUAGGUGAUGGCGAUCACCAAGAGUAACAAGCAAAGAACUCUCACUUGACCCAAACAAGGCUCUAAGAGUGGUGGAUGCACACUUGACUCUUGGAAUUCACUAGAGAAGGAUUCUCUCAAGAAAUCACUCAAAUCUCAAUCCUCUCUAGGCUCUUGCUACUCUCUUGUUCCAAAACAAGUUUCUCAGAUGUUCAAAUGGGCAAGAGACCUCUCAUGGACAAGGUGGAGGAGUAUAAAUACACCCCACGAAGUCCAAAGGUCAGCCAACCGUUUUCCAAUGAAAACGGGGUCACCGGACGCUCUUUAUGUUGCACCGGACGCUCUGCACCGAGCGUCCGGUGCUCCAUUAUUGCCAACUGUACCUGCGUCUGACAGGUCACCGGACGCUAACUCUCAGCAUCUGGUGGCACCGCCUGGUGCUCCUGGGAGUUUUACAUACUCCCUGAGUAUGGGACCGGACGCUACCCGGUGCGUCCGGUGCUAGCGUCCGGUGCUCAGGGGAAGUUUACAACCACCCUGGGUGUGGGACCGGACGCUGCCCGGUGAGUCCGGUGCUAGUGUCCGGUGCUUAACCCUAAGCACCACACUGUUCCAACGGCUAAGGACCUCACCGGACACACUCACAGAGCGUCCGGUGCAGCGUCCGGUGCCCCCUUGGGCACCCUAACUUUGUCGAAACGCGAUCGCUCCAAAACAAAGUUGGUUCCUCUCGAUCUAAGGACUAUCUCUGAGCUGCCUAGUGCUAGGUUUACCAAGUGUGCACAACACCUAAACCUAAAGCCUUGCCUAAGUCAAGCUACUAGAUCAAAGCCCCUCUUAAUUGUACGGUCAAAGGAAAACAAAGUCCUAAACUACUCUAAGUGCCCUUCUUCACCAUAUGGCACUUAGACCUAGUCUAGUCUUGAUGAUGUCCAUCCAUCCUUUGAAAACCAAAACGAUUUCCACUAUUAAGUAGGCAUGUACGUCCCUGUCCAUCGAGUACCUAUUACCAUGACCUUACCUAUGACUUUGCCUCUGCAAAACACACGUUAGUCAUAGUAAUCAACAUUGUCAUUAAUCACCGAAAUCACUAGGGGCCUAGAUGCUCUUUCAGGCGGGUCGCGCUUCGCUUCUUCGUAUUGCUUCCAAACUCUAUCCUAUACCCUAUUUCUAUCCUAUUCAACUAUGAAAUGUCUCAAGGACAUAGGAGGAUCAAAUUAAUAAAAAGGAAUAAACUAGACUACAUCCAACUUAGCAGUAUUUUUAUCAUGUUCUAGAAAAAUCUUAAGGCACUGACCAUUUACCUUGAAAAGCAUACCUUCGUCAUUUUGAAGAGUUAUCGCUCCAUGCGAUGAAGAGCUAACCACCAUAAAUGGUACUUCCCACUUGCUCUGUAGCUUUCCAUGUUCGAAUAGUUUUACCCUAGAAUUAAAAAGUAAUACCUUAUCUCCUGGGGCAAAGUUCUUUGUAUUGAUCCUCUUGUCAUGCCACCUCUUAGUUCUCUCCUUAUACAUCUUGGCGUUGUGAUAUGCUCUUUCACACCACCCAUCAAGCUCUGAGAGUUGCAUCUUCCGUUUGACUCCAGCUGCUUCUAGAUCCAUAUUCCAUCUUUUGAUCGCCCAGUGAGCUUUGAAUUCAAGCUCAAUGGGCAAGUGACAUGCCUUCCCAUAGACGAGUUGAUAUGGAGACAUUCCUAAUGGUGUCUUCUAGGCUAUACGAUAGGCCUACAAUGCCUCUGGUAGCUUGUCCUUCCAUUGGGUUCCCAUCUCAUUGACUAUUUUCUAUAGAAUAUUCUUGAUUUGCUUGUUUGACAUCUUUGCUUGGCUACUUGUCUGAGGAUGAUAAGGAGUAGCGAUGUUGUGACGGAUCCCAUGUCUUAUCAAAUACUUCUGGAAGCUUUUGUCAAUAAAGUGGGGGCCUCCAUCACUAAUCACUAUCUUUGGAACUCCAAACCUUAGAAAUAUUAUCUCUUUGAACAUCUUCUUAGAGUUUCGGGAGUCUGCAUUUCUGCAUGGCAUAGCUUUGACCCACUUGGAGACGUAGUCAACUACCACGAGAAUAUACUCAUAAUUCCCAAAUUUGGAAAAGGUCCCAUGUAGUCAAUUCCCCGACAGUCAAAGAGUUCAAUCUGAAGAUUGCUAGUUAGUGACAUGGCAUCCCUUGAAUUGAUAUUGCCAUGUUUCUGACAAGCCUUGCAUAUUCGAAUGAAUUCCUUUGUCUUCAUACAUGGUUGGUCAUAAAAAUCCACUAUGCUAGAUCUUUGAAUGUGUCUGGAACACUCUAUAGUGUCCUCCAUAGGGUGAUGAAUGACAUCUUUCGAUAAUCUUGGGUCCUUCUUCAGUUGGUACACAUCUUCUGAGUAGUCUGUCUGAACAAAUCCUGAAGGUGUACCGAUCAUCCCAUAGGCGAACACGCUUCUCAUACAUGAGCUUCUUCUUAUCUCCAUUUGGUGGUACAUAUCCUGUAACUAUAAAAUUAACAAUAUCUACAUACCAAGGGUUAGAUCUAGAGAUUUGAUAAAGCAUAUCAUCACUAAGGGAAUUAUUUAUGGGUAACUCCUAUGGAUUCUCAACCUGCAUUCUUGACAAGUGGUUAGCAACAUAAUUUUCUACUCCCUUUUUAUCCUUGAUUUCAAAAUCAAACUCUUGGAGUAACAAAAUCCAUCUUAUCAAAUGAGGUUUAGCAUCUUUCUUAGUGAGGAGGUAUUUAAGAGCAGCAUGAUCAGUGUAAACAAUUACCUUAGCUCCUAUUAAAUAAGAUCUAAACUUAUCAAUAGUAAAAACUACAGCCAUGAGCUCUUUUUUAGUUGUGGCAUAAUUAAGUUGAGGUCCUAUCAGAGUUUUACUAGCAUAAGCAAUUGCAUGAUGUUUCUUAUCUUUACAUUGUCCUAGUAUAGCACCUACUGCAUAAUCACUUGCAUCACAUAUGAUCUCAAAAGAUAAAGAUCAAUCAGGAGGUUGAAUGAUACGAGCAGAAAUAAGCGCUUUCUUUGGCGUAUCAAAAGCUUUAAGACUAGACUCAUCAAAAUCAAAGGGAGCAUCCUUAGCCAACAAACUGGUAAGUGGUCUAGCAAUAUGAGAAAAAUCUUAUAAACCGACGAUAAAAACCAGCAUGGCCAAGAAAACUUUAGAUCCCUUUAACAUUAAUAGGGGGAGGUAGUUGCUCGAUUACUUCAAUUUUGGCUCUGUCCACCUCAAUUCCCUUUUUAAAAAUUAGGUGCGCUAACACUAUUCCUUCCCUAACCAUGAAAUAACAUUUUUGCCAGUUAAGGACUAAGUGUUUUUCUUCACAUCUUUGUAAAACUUUGCCUAAAUUUUCAAGACAAUCAUCAAAAAUUUUUCCAUAGAUAGAAAAAUCAUCCAUAAAAAUUUCCAUGAUUUCCUCAAUCAUAUUAGAAAAGAUAAACAUUAUACAUUGUUGAAAAGAAGUGGGUGCAUAACAUAAUCCAAAAGACAUUCAGCGAUAAGCAUAAGAUCCAUAAGGACAUGUAAAAGUGGUUUUGUUUUGAUCAUUCAGAUGGAUCGGAAUCUGAGGAUAUCCAGAAUACCCAUUAAGAAAACAAAAGGAGUGAUUCGCCAAACGCUCUAGCAUUUCAUCAAUGAAGCACAGUGGGAAGUGGUCUUUCUUUGUUGCCUUGUUAAGUUUUUCUGUAAUCAAUACAUAUUCGUCAUCCUGUGAGUGUUCGUUGAGGAAUCAACUCAUUCUUUUCAUUCCUAACAACAGUCAUACCUCCCUUCUUAGGCACAACUUGCAUAGGGCUGUAACACCCUAAAAAUUGUUUUCUGGGAAAUAGAGCUAAAAUGAUUUAAUUAUGAAUUUUUGGUGCUCAUGAAAAUAUAGGAAAAAUAAUAUUUUUCACUAAAUUAAAAUUAUCAUAGGAUGUAGAAACAUUUGUGUAUAUUCAUGCUGGUGCAUAUGAUUUUGAUAUGAGUGGUUUUACUAAGGUUCAAAAAUAAUUCAAAGUGAUUUUUAAAAUAGUUUUGAAUAUGGCUUUGGAAUAGAAGAAAGGAAAAUACAAAAAAAAAAAAACAAAAAAACCCCUCCCCCUUUCCUGGCCCGAGGGCCCAAACUUCCCCUCCCCUCUCUAUCUCGGGCUGCAAGCAGGCCGAGCUCAGCUCCCCUUUCCCCCUUCUUCUCCUCUGGGCCGAGCCCGUUUCCCCUCUCUCGCGGCCUGCCCAACCCCGCGCGGCUUUCUCCUCCCAGCAACUCGGCCGCCAGCGCACUGUUGACGGUCCUUAAGUAUCAAAUUUAAUUAUCAAAUAAACAAAGAAAAGGAUCCAAAUGAAAUCAACAUCUAGACAUAUGGUUUUAUCUGACAGAAUUCCAUGAGUUUUGGUGUUUGUCUAUUUCUACAGGGGGUUAUCAGGAAAUACGGAAGAAAGGCCCACACGUCAGGAUUACAUAUAGAUAUUAACGUGCCGCGCAAUUAUCUUACAUCAAGAAGACUCCAGAAGCCACGGGAAGGAAGCGGAGGCCGAACGGGGCCAGGGACUGGGCGCCCGCCCUGUUGCCCUGGGCGCCCGCCCUCCUGCCGAGCCCAAUCAGGACUCUGUUUUGGGGAAGAUCUCCACCGACCUAAAGGAUCAAGGAUAACCGUUAAAUCAAUGUCGGUUUGAUCCAACGGCCCAUAUUCAUUUGAAGGGACUAUAAAACCAAACCCCCUGGCCCCUGGAGGAGAGAGCCUCUCAACCCUAAUUCAUUAUUCCUCAAGGGAGAAGAAGCCUAUGAUCAAGAUUAGAGCCACCACAUCAAUUAGACAUCUAGAUUAGCUUAGCUACAUAGGAUUAGAACUAGAAGGAGUCAAUCUUCGAUUAGUUUCCGGAUCUGUCAAGAGGAUUCUUGGUAAUUCUCUAAUUGUUCUUCUAACUGUUCUUCUAAUUAUCUUUGUUCUUCAAUGUUAUGAAUAUGACUUUGUUCUACUUCAAUAUAUUGCUUAUGACUUUGCUCUACUUGCUUAUAUUCAAGAUUAUAUUGUUCUUAGUUUAUCAUAGUUAUAUACUUGGCUUAGUUAGAUUGGAUCUAUAUACAUGUUUAAGAUCGUAUAGCGUUUAUCCAUCGGAUCCAUGGGUAAAUGAUAGAUAUUGUGUUGGCGUGGUGCUUAUACCGUAUUUAUCUACGAUUGUACACAAUAUGCCAGAUUGUGGGGUAGUUCGUGACAAUGACAGCUUCAUUGAUUCUUAUAUAGUCCCCCUCUCGUGUAUUGGGUUGGCAGAGCAAUAUUAUUAUAGGGGAGUGAUUGCUAUGUUUCUCAUUUACCUUGCUAAUAUCACUAUGCAUGGGCGUAAUCUUGUCUCACAAUGAUUGCUAAGUAUGCUUGCACUAAUUAUGAUAAUGCUAGACUAUAUAGUUGAGAAUAACUUAGGAAAUAUUCUUGUAGUUCGUUCUAAUACCAUGCUAAUGACUUUCUAGAGUAUUUAAUUGAGGUGCUUAUCAUAUUUAUAUGUGGCUAAGUUAUGCUGAUCAGAUUAAUUAUCUUUGUCACUAUUCAUUACAUCAUAUAUCUUUUAUGUGACACUUAUCCCUGUAUGAAAGAGUUAGAUAAAUGUUCUCAAUUAUACAUGCAAUGAUAGAUACUCAAUCUCAUAUUCUAUUCUAUAAUCAAUAUUGAUGAUUGUUAAUCCCUUCCCAGUGGUAAAAACAUAAAUAACGAUACCUGGAAUAUUUCUAGGUUAAAAUGCUACAUCGGUAUUAAUCUGUGCGCUUGCAGAUCCCAUUCAUUAUUUAUUUAGAAGAGCAAUUGCAUAUUUCAAUACCGCAUCUCUCAUGUCAUGCUAGGGAUGACAACUUGGCUUAAGUGGUGUGAGGGAUAGGUUUGGCAUUUUUGGCACCGUUACUAGAAUUAGAAAACUAAGUCUACUUUUGGUAAUGAUGUUAAGAAUACCCAACAAGCAUUUUUGGCGCCGUUGCCGGGGAAGGUUGAUUACUAAUCAGGAAUGAAUAUAGGAUUUUGAGUUAUCAUUCCCAUCACUAAUAUGAUUGAGCUUGUCUAUUCUCUCAUACAGUUUUACCCUGAUAUUUUCUAUUUUAUCUUAUGCAGGGGAAUGUAUGAAUAGAAGACAUCUUCCAGGAAAUUUUAUUGACAAUCCCGAAGCAUUAUUCAGAAAAACAAGAGCUAAGCUCAAGAAGAGAUCAUCAACACUUCAGCAAGAAGCUUCAAUCAAGAAGAUCACCGGAACUUGUCUUUAGAGUUCGAAGCCAUGGCGAACAAAUCAAUCCGCGAGUUCUCAGCUCCCACUACGGACAACAUCCGCACUGGACCUGCUGCAGAGAUCGAUGGCAACUUUGAGCUCAAGCCUGGACUUAUCAACAUGGUGCAAUCCAACCAGUUCUGUGGGAAGGCACACGAAGAUGCUAGUGCUCAUCUCCAACACUUCCUGGAGAUUUGCAACACAUUUACCAUAUCAGGAGUCCCCAGAGAUGCUAUACUACUUCGCCUCUUCCCAUUCUCACUGUUAGGGAGAGCAAAGUAGUGGUUCUACGCUACAAAGGAGAAGAAUACUACGUGGGCACUCUGCUCAACAAACUUCCUGGCUAAGUUCUUUCCCAUGGGCAAGACCAAUGCUCUCCGUGGGAAAAUUACAAGUUUUCAGCAACAACAUGAUGAAUCUGUUCUAGAAGCAUGGGAGCACUUCCAAGACUACAUCCUAGAAUGUCCCCAUCAUGGAAUGGAGAGUUGGCUAGUGACGCAGACGUUUUAUCAUGGGUUCGGCAACAGUGCUCGAGAAACCAUGGAUGCUACAGCUAGAGGAGCAUUCCUAUCACUUACCAUAUCACAAGCCACAGCUCUUGUGGAGAAGAUGGCAUUCAAUCAAAGCUGGAAUGAAGAGAGGACCCAGACACGCAAGAGAGGUGGAGGUAUGCAUCAGCUCAAGGAGGUAGACAUGCUGUUUGCAAAGCUAGACCUGCUCAUGAAGAAGCUCGAUGAUAGAGCUGGAGAUAAGAAAGAAGUUAUGCACAUCUACGACUCUCACAUGACUUGUGAGGAGUGUGGAGACACUGGACACUCAGACAAUCACUGCCCUGAGAUGCUUGAGGAUGUGAACUACAUCAACAAUAACAACAAUAACUACUACAACCGUCCUCAACAAAAUCAAGGUUGGAAUCAACAGAGGCCUUGCUACUCAGGUAAUUAUCAAGGUAACAAUUCUUACAACAAUAAUAAUAAUCUUCCACCGUUGAGAGAGUUAGUGUCUAAUCAAGGAAAGCUAAUGGAUAACCUAUCUAAGAAAUUGGCAUCUAAUGAUAAAAUGCUAGAAAAUAUAAAUAAUAGAAUGGAUAAUUUCUCUACUGCCAUCAAGAAUCAAAUUAGCUUUAAUAAAAUGAUUGAAUCUCAGUUAAAUCAAAUAGCUGUUGUUGUUCCUACUACUAACCCCGGUAUACCAUCACAACCGGAGGGAUUAGAAUCUGCAAAUCUUGUAGACAUGUUUGAUGCAGGUAAUAAUUGGAGUAACCCCGUCACUGAAUUCACUACUGACCUUCUGCCAAUCAAGAGAGGCGAUCCAGGACGCCCCGUCAUCCCAAUCUCCAUCGGCAUGGUGGACGUCCCAGAAGCACUCUGCGACUUUAGCUCCAGCGUCAACAUUAUACCUAGGGUACUCUAUGAGAAAUUCUUUACAUAUCCUUUAUUAGAACAACCAUGUGUUUGUAGUUUGCAGAUCAGGCAUUAAGUUUUCGAAAAGGAAUAUUGAACAACCUUUGUGUCCGAGUUGGUACCUUGUACACCCUAGCAGACUUCGUGGUGAUAGAGACCGGUAAUGAUGAGAGAGCACCCAUUAUCUUAGGGAGGCCAUUCUUAAAUACCUCGGGAGCUGUCAUCUAUGCUAGUGCUGCCAAGAUCAGUUUCUACAUCAAAGGGAGGAAGGAGACAUUUUCCUUGAAGAACAAGACUACACAAAUUUCAGAUCAAUCCAGACGUGAAUCAAGGAAGAGGACCAACAAGAGGAACAGGAACAAGCAAGUGUGGACCGAGUCAGCUAAGAUGGUCACUGCAGUUCAUGGAGGCCAAGAUCAUCAACUUAAGCCACCUUCUAACCAAGAAGGACGACCUAGGAACGCCAAGCAUCUAUUGCUCCAUAAAUGAAUACAACUUCUACAAGAUGACUUGCGACACCGGAUCGGGCGUCAACAUAAUGGCCGUAGUCACCUAUCGUCUCUUGUUCGGAACCAUGCCCCUGAAACCAACAUACAUUCAGCUCGGGAUGGCAGAUCAGACAUUUCGAGAAGUUAAAGGAACAGUAACUGAUGUCCUAAUCAAAAUAGGCGAUCAUUUUGUCUACACAGACUUUUAGGUUAUUGACAUGGGAGAAGACGAAUACGAUCCACCCAUCAUCCUUGGAAGACCGUUCCUCAGCACCGUUAAAGCAAUCAUCUACAUUAGAACCGGAGAAGUCCAUAUGCACUUCCCCUCAGAGAAGGUACGCCGUUAUUUUACUGACCCUAACUAUAUCGUUGAAGAAUCUAAGCAGGUAAGAAAACGACGCAACCGCAACCAGAGGAGGGAAAUCAUCAAGGACGUCUGGGCAGACUAUGAAGGAGAAGUUGUAAGGUCAGAAGACGUAGAGUUUAAACAGAAUUAUCCAGAGGAGACCGUAGCACCGAGUCAGGUAUGGAAAGAGAAGAUAACUAUACAUGAAGAGGAGGCGCCGCCGGAAGUACCGACUACGCCACCUAACGAAUCCUAGGACAAUUGAAGAAAAUGGAGAGUCCCGUUCGGAGGACUUAAAAACACCGAACACCUUGCCAAGAGGUAAACUUGGUAGUUAUCCUUUUCCCUUUCAAUUAUUUAAAUAGUUUGCUUAGUUAAUCAUGUUUAUACCAUCCUAAAAAGAAAAUAAAAAUGUGAAAAAUAGUAAGCCCCAUGUGAGUAUACGAGUGGCAUAAAACCCAUAAGUACAUUCACUGUGGUGGCAUAAAAAUAAAAUAAAUAUGUAACACCCUAGUGUUAUGGUUGCAUAAAUCACAUGCAUAACAUAAGCAUCAUCAUCUACUCAAGCAUAUCAUGAUCAUCAUCUACCUUGAGUCAUACCUUUCUAUGCAAAAAUGUGAUUUAAAUUGUUUAAAUAGUCCUCCUAUGCUUAUGUAUGUGUGAACCAUGCUUGUGUUUGUGUGCUAUGCCUUGUUGUUUUAUGGCCAUCUCAUGAAAAUGAUCACAUGUAGCUCAAAAGUGACCCACAAGGCAGAUUUGGGUCUAUUUCCAACACUUAGAAAAUUUUCUAAGUCCUGAAUCGCAGCAGUUUGCUCGAGGGUGUGUUGUUCAUCUUCCAGUUUGAAUUCUAGCCUGAAUUAGACUCUGAUCUUGUAAGCAAUGUUGGAGUACUCAUGUAGCUCUCCAACACAGAGCAAUUAGCCAGCAAAAUCAUCGAGUGGAUUAGGAGUUAAUCACCGUGCAAAAUCGGGUUUCAGUUGGGUUUGGGAACUGAAUGAGGUCGCCGUCAGACAGGGGAGCUCGCCGGUGACGCCGCGUGUCUCGACCCGUGGCGUUCGUACGUCGCCGUUGGUCCCGCUCGUCAGUCCCCAGCGCGUCCUAUAGCUUGCCACGGCGCUCCCAGUCGCGUGGACAGCGCCAUUCCACUCCCAGCUCUCUCUCUCUCGCGCGUGCGCCUUCUUCUCCGCGUCGCCGCCGUUGCUUCGGCGAGCUCGCGCGCGUGUCUCCAUGUCUCCGGCCGAGCGACUCCGUCCAUCGCUCCGCCAGCUUCCCCAUGACCCCGUCGUCGAGUUGGCUGCAGCUGCCGAGCCUCGGUAAGCCCGCAUUGCCUUCUCCGUCGCGAGCUUACCUCGCCGAAGCUCCGCCAUGGUCACCGGCGUCGUGGCCAGGGCUCUGUAGUCCACCAUUCUUCCUCAUUCUUGUCCCAAAAGCUCCGCUAGGUGCAUUCUCUUCCGCUCUGUCUCCGGCCAGAGACACCAGCGGUCAGCCGCACACCACCGCCGUGCCGCCAUUCACGAGGGCAAGGUACGUAUGGUCCAGUAGAGUUAGAGUUUCGGGUACCGCUCGAUGCGGAAUGGAGUGGGGAGCAUGAUGGUGCCCUAGGCCAUCGCCGAGACCUCGUCGUCGACGAGAUCUCCGGCGGUCAAGUCGCGCCUCUGCUCUCGGGUCGCUGACAUGUGGGGUUGGUUGACUCGUGGGGUCCCUCUGUCAGCCUCUCUUUCCCCUUUGUUUGAUUUAGGGUUUGAGCUGUUUUUGCAAAAAUCAGAUCUCUGGUUCUGGUGAUCCAAAAAUUGUGAAAUCAAUUUUGUGGUAUUCCUUGAGAUGGCUAGUUUUUAAUAAAAAUAUAAAAUGAACCAUGUUUUCUUGGAAAAAUAUUUAUUAGGAUUUAAUCUUGUUAUUCAUGAGUAAAUUCUUAUCUCUUGUUAUACUGAUUGUUUUGCUAUGAAAAUUUUAUGGUAGCCUCUGUGUGGUACUAGGAUACUAUGACAAAUAUUUCAUGAUUUUUGGAGUACUAUAUCUGUGUUAUGUAAAUUAUGAUUGAGAUAUGGCUUGUUUUCUUAUUAAAAUCAUAGCAAAUAAUUGGUGCUUAUGAUGGUACUCUACUUUGGUGGCAAACUUGUCUAUGGUAUUAGUAACAUGUAAAUAAUCUGAAAUCUGUUGUUACACCAAAUAGGCCAUGUUUCUGAAUUUAUGAAAUAAACACCUUGUCACAUGUUAAAUGCAUAUCUUUAAUUUGGCACGUGCAAUUGCUCUGAAAUUUUUAUGGUGAUGUCACAAUGCCAUACUUGUGCUUCUGUAAUUUUUGUAGAUUUUGCUGAGCACUUUUACUAGUGUCUUGUAAUUAUGCUCCUUUCUAGAAUUAAAUUAAUAAAUGCCUUGUUAAGUAAAUGUUUGGAGGUUUUCAUAUGAUGUUCUGGUUAUCUUGUGGUGUGCUUGUGCUCAUAGGCCAUUUGGUUGGCACUAUUUAUGUUUUGGCUAUGUCACCAAACAAUUAAUUAAAGGGUUAAAGGCUGUUCUGAACAGCAAGGGAGUAAUACAACCUUUACUUGUUGAUAACUUGGUUUUCUGGGAGGCUUGUCUAAAUCAAAGUUGUUGUAAACUUUAUGAACUAGCUAUGGUUUAAAUUUGGGAUCAAUUGGUCCAGUAGUUUGAAAGUUAUGGCUGUUCCAAUUUGGGUUCCAGAAAUAGGUGCUCUCUGUUUUUCUGGGACAGAACCUGGAACUUUGUUUAAAUGACUUGGUUAACCUAUAAAUCUUGCUGUGAUGUUCAAAGAUGAUUUGUAGAUAAUUUCCUGAGCUUUCCAGAAUGUCCUCACUUAAGUUUGUUGGAUCUUUGUAGCAAUAGUUAUGGUCUGUUUACUGAGCUGUUCUGUUUUGUGUUGCUUGCUGUUUAUAAGUUGACUUGUCUAGUUCGAUUAAUUCAUGUGGUUUUCUUGUAAGUUAACUUAGAAGUUUACUCUGUAAAUGAGUGUCCAGUGAGUUUAUUUAUGUGUCAAGCAUUCAUCCCUUAUUAUGCACAUCUUCUUAUUCGUUGAGCAUGCAAUAGGUGCAUCGGACGCGACCGCUUCCUACGAGCUCCAAGUGAACCCCGAAGGCCAGGAGGGCAACCCGGAGGUGGAGGUCCAGCAAGUCGGACUCGAGAAGCCCGAAGAGGAAGUUGAGUGCCCAAAUCACGAGCCAGCUUCGUUCGUGAAAGGCAAGCCCCGAAGCAUUCUAAGUCUCCGUUUACUUUCGAAAGUUUACUUAAUAUGUUAUAUCUAUUGAUGCAUUAAGUAUAGGAGUUGUGAUGAAACCUUUGCUGCAUUUUACUCCAUCCUUGUCCAGAUAACUUACCAUACCCUGGUUAUAGAGUUAGGAUCGAGUAGCAGCUUAGCCAUGCUUUAAUCGGUAGAAGUCGGUUGAUUUCCUGUCACCUGCGCGAUAUAGGGUUAUGUCGGAUCAUGAUGGACUAUAUGUGCUAUCGUGGGUGGAACCUGAUUAAAUUGACUUAAGCCGGACGGAGUUUUGCAAGGUCGUAGUAACUCCGUCUGUGGCAGCUAAGGACCGACCGUUGUACGUCCUCUUGUCAUGUUGAACGCAUGCCUAACACUUAUAUGGUCGGAUAACUCAUUCCGACCGCGAAGCCGAGUAAUAUGACUCAGGCCGGAAGGUCGAUAAGUAUAAAGUGUGCACUACCGGAGGAAGUGCGGUGUGCGGGGGACCAUUGGCGUAAGUCCAAAGGCAGGUGAGUUAAAAUUCCUGACCUCCCUGGCAGAGUGGUAGCCCUGGGAGUGCGGCGCUAAUCGGAACCGCGAUUCCUGAGUCGUAUCAAAGGUGACCCGUUGGCUCUCCGACGGGGGAUGUUUGGGUGAGUGAUAGGAAUACCCCCCCCCCAACUGGAUAGGAAUUCGAUUCGAAUCGCCGUCUCUCCCGGUUAGUGAGAACUUGAUAGAGCAGCGGCAAACGUAGCAUUCACUAAAGAACUUUGGUUCAUGAUAAUGAUGAUAGCAAGGAAGAGUACAUGAUGAACUUGAUAUGGUUAUUAUUGCUUGUAAUAAUCAAGUGAAGUGUUUUAGUACAGGUGCUAAUCUAGUGGUAGACUGAUGAUGAAUAAAUAUGAUGCUUUCACAAUAAUUUAGUAUAAUUUAAGCUUUUGGAAAUGUCGAGUCAACCAGCUCUACUUAAAUUUUAGCCUUGCAUGAUCCUUGGUGUCUUUUAUGUUUUACUAGACGGGUAAGUCUAGCUGAGUACAAUCUCGUACUCAGGGUUUAUUCCCACCUAUUGCAGAUGAUAUCUUUUAUGAUGGCUUCUGCAAGACCUGUCUCCAUCCCGUUGGGGAUGAGGACUAACCGUUGGGCACGGUUCUCUAACUUCUUCGCAUCUGCUGCUUUUGGAUGGAUGGCAUGAGACCCUGGCUGAACAAGAACUUAUGAAAUGAACUUUGAAAAGUGUGUGUAAUUAUUUUGCUUCCGCUACUUCGAACAUGUAUUGUAAUAACUUAAUAACUCCGAUGUGGUGCCGCUUCGACGGCAAUGAAUGACUAUGUAACAUUCCCUGUGUUGUGCUAAAUUAUUACGAUCUUGGUUUGUUGCAAGUUGGUUUGAAGCCCUUCAUGAUUUCAAUUGACUACUGGGAUUAUAUGGGCUCAAGUUUGGAAACUUGAUUGCUUGUCGAUCGUUUCUACACUUGAACUCUUAUAAUUUGGUCGGUUCUGUGACAACUGGCAUCGGAGCAAGUUCAGCAUUAUAAAUGCAGCGUUUCUGUAUUUAAAAACAAAAGAGUUUCUAAAUAAAAUGGUGUAAAUCAAUACUUAAUUUAUGCCAGUGGUCGAAUCCUCCUUGCCCAUAUAAGGACUAUAGGUGGCUAUUUAAGUACUGACUUGGGGGGUUUUAUUUAUGCAUCUCCGGCAGUACUCAGGUAUGGAUGUGUGAUGACCGCACUAUGCUACCCUGUGGUGUAAUGGUAGAGGUAGCCUUCAUAUGUGAAUUAGCCACAUAUGUCGCUAGAUUUAAAUUAUGCAACGUCGCACCUACGCUCUAGUAAGUGUGAGCUGUGAGAGCAUUAUCGUCCAAACGGCGGUCUAGGGGAGUGUUCGCGGUGGUUUUCUAGAGUGGUUACAUGUCAAAACCAUGGAACCACGAAAGAAACUUAAUUGGGAAGCAUUUAAUUUCUCGAGUAGCUGUGGUGUCAUUGUUUGUGCAUGUUGGGCAUGUCCAAGCAAUGUGCACUUAGUUUACUGCUUUCUUGAGUGAUAUAUUGGGAACUGUUGGGCUGAAAUGAAGUUUUCUGCAGAUACUCUAACGGCGCACGUGUAAAUCGCUAGUUAUCGUAUCGAGAGACGAAUGUAUGCCACCGUAUAUCAGUUAGAAUAUUAAUUUUCUAAGUUUGUGAGGACGUACGGUUCGUGCAUGCAUCAUGUCGCAUUCAUACAUACAUUCUGUCUACUCCUUCCCUUACAAUGUCGUCCCUUUUAAUUAAAUAAAUGUUCCUUAAACUAAUCCUCUUUUACCCAUGGUAUUCCUAUUCCUUUCCACAGAUGGAUGUGCCCGCUUCACCCCGUCCCAGUGACACUUUCUUGAGCGAGUUUGGCACACCUACCUUGCUUUGGAGAGUGCUACAGUCGGUGGGGUAUACUGAGCCACCUCAAUAUUCUUGGUGGGAGAUGGAAAGGACAGGAGAGUUGCAAUGGUUUGCUGUGCAGGGAGUUGUCCCUCCACAUGGGGGCAGGCCUGCAUGGAUAGGAUGGACCUGUAGCUCAGAUGGGCAGACUCCUUGGGAAGCAGCUCAGGUUGCAGCCCAGACUAUGCUACUUGAUAUCUGUCAGAGGUGUGGCGAUGAGCUGAUAGGAGGACCAGCGGCCUCCAUUCCCCGUGCUGACCCAGUAGCAGCGGAAUGGAAGCAGGCCGAUGGUUGUGCGUUGGUCCGAGGCAGGGGUGAGUGAGCCGAGAGUUCUAGUCCUGCAAUGAGUGCUAUGAUGGCUGUGCUAAGGCUGAUCAGUCAGCGAGAGGACACCUAUGCACAGGUGAUGGUGCCUAUUCGCCAGGCUCAGGAGAUACAACAGAAGGCUGAAAAGCGUGCUCGCAAGUUUCGCAAGCAAGCUAGACUCCUGGAGCAAGCUCAGAAGGACCGCAAUGACUGGAAGACAUUGCGGAGUACCGUAGGCAGCAGUGGGUGAAGGCCAUUAGAGAGAGAGAGAUCAUAAGCAAGAUCAGAUGAGUCAGUUGGCUCGAGAGAGGGAGAUAGUGCAGGAGCGCUUGGUGCAGAUCACUCGUGAGAGGGAUACUGUGCUCCGUGUGUUGGAGAACAGGCGCCAGGCUUGGGAGAUGCAUAGGAUUCAGUCGCUUGAGCGGGAGAACUAUCUGCAGGAUCAGAUUGAGGCUGGUCUUGUGGAGAUUCACCGUGUCACCAACUUGCUACACCCUAUUGCUCGCCCUGUACCCGUGUACCCGGAGGUGGGACCUCAGGUGAUUGUGGCCGAUGAUGAUGGUAUGGAGGUCGAUGGACCAGCAGCGGCUGCACCACCCUUGCACGAGGACGUGGAGGACGAGGAGCUUGAGCUGGUUAGCGACGAGGAUGGAGAGGCGAUCUUCGAUGCUGACUCGGGCGACGAGCCUGGAGUGUAGUGAGUAGUGGGUAGUUGUUCUGUGAGGACCUUUUGUAGCAUGCCAGUUAGCAGUGGUGCUUUUGUAAUCAUGAUGUAUUCCGGAACCUUGAUCUUUGUCUUAUGUCAUGUACUAUGAUGGUGUAAUAGCUUUAUGGACCCAAUGUGUAACCUUAACAUGUUCGAUCUGUUAUGACGAUGUUUUCCGUUGUGGUGCAUAUUGCGGAUAUCUUUGUCAUGUGAUUGGAUUGGUGAUGUUGUUUUGUAGAAUUGAAUUAUUGUGCCUUUUUCUGUAAAGCUAUUCUCUCGAAUACUUUCAGGCAUGAAUAUAAGUUCUUCUACAGCAAGUCUUGUCAACAUCAAUGCUCACUGACUGUAUCUUUACAGAUGUCUCGUGGCACUCGAGGUGCGGAACAGCGUGCGAACAUGAACCCACCCCCUCCUCGUCCACCACCGAAUCCAGCUGAGCUGAUGCAAAUGAUGGUGGAAAAUCAGAGGAUGCUCACUGAGACCAUCAAUCGGAUGGCGAAUCAGGGUGGUCGUAAUGCACAUGAAGGGCCAGCUCCUAAUCAGUAUAGCAGUUUCAAGGAUUUCAUGGAUACUAAGCCCCCACCUUUCAGAGAGGCUGAAAAACCCCUUCAAGCUGAGGAAUGGCUGAACACGGUGGAACAAAAGUUCCGCUUACUUCGGCUAACUGAGGGUUUGAAGGUGGAGUAUGCAGCUCACCAACUGCAUGGUCCAGCAGGCAUCUGGUGGAAUCAGUAUCAGGAGGCUCUUCCAGCCGACACUGUGCUUGACUGGAAUCUUUUCCAUGAAGCUUUCAAAGGGCAUUUCAUUCCUCCUAGUGUCAUGGAAAUGAAGCAUACCGAGUUUAUGCAGUUGACUCAGGGCAACAAAACUCUGAAGGAGUACUUGCAUGCUUUCAAUCACCUGUCAAGUUAUGCUCCUGAGUUUGUGAACACCGAGAACAAGAAGAUUGCUAGCUUCAAGCGGGGUCUUGGCCCCAAAUUGCUGAAGACUAUGGGCCGCACUAUGUGUGCAACUUUCAAUGAGUUUGUCAGUGAUGCUCUUAUCCAAGAGAACUACAACACUGUGUACACUACGACUAAGACUCGCAAGAGGGCUUUUGAGGCCGGGGCAGGGGCAUCUCAGUCCAAGGCUCCAGUGGCAGCUAGGCCACCGAUCCGUGCUCCAACGCCUAACCAGCGGUAUCGCCCGCCUGUAUAGAAGAAUCAGGCGAAGACAGGUUUCCGCAAGGGUUACUCUAUUGCUCUCCCCAGAGGCAACACGGGUCCCAACUAUGCCAAGACUCCACCUGCCAAUCGUCCGUGUUGGAACUGCAAUCAGACCGGGCACUGGCAGAGCAAUUGUCCCUACCCGCCAAAGAAGGUCAACCAAGGGAACGUCCGCCAGGGGCGUGUUCACUACACAACUGUGGAGGCAAUCCCUACUGGUGAGGUAGUUACAGCUGGUAAGUUUAUGGUUAAUCAAUGUGAUGCACUUGUGCUUUUUGAUUCAGGAGCAUCGCAUUCUUUUGUGAGUUCAGACUUUGUGUCUAAGCAUAAUCUCAAGGCAUGUACACUUGAUAAGGGUAGUUAUUGCAUUAGUGCUGCUGGGAAUGAUAUUUCUACCAAUCAAGUGGUUUAUGGGGCAACUCUGGAAAUUGGAGGCCGUCAGUUUCAUGCUGACCUGGUGCUUUUACCCGGUGUGGGUAUAGAUGUAAUUCUGGGUAUGAAUUGGAUGAGUGGUAACGGAGUUCUUAUCGACACCACCACUCAUGUAGUGAUGUUGAGAGACCCAAAUACCAGGGAAGCGUUCUUAGAGCAACUUCCUCGAGAUAUCCAUAUCCAUAACACUGUGAAUGCAGUUACAGCUAAGGCCAUCCAGGAUAUUCCGGUGGUGUGUGAGUUCCCAGAUGUAUUUCCUGAUGAUUUACCCGGGCUUCCUCCAGAUCGGGAUGUGGAGUUCAAAAUUGAAUUGAUUCCAGGUACCGCUCCUAUCUCUAGAAGACCUUAUAGAAUGCCACCAAAUGAGCUAGCUGAGCUUAAGACCCAGUUAAAUGAGUUGUUGAAGAAGGGUCUUAUCCAUCCUAGUUCUUCUCCUUGGGGUUGUCCGGCUAUCUUUGUGAAGAAGGAUCAAUCCUUGCGCAUGUGUGUGGACUAUCGUCCCUUGAAUGUGGUGACCAACAAGAAUAAAUACCCUCUUCCUCGCAUUGAUAUCUUGUUUGAUCAGUUGUCUAAAGCUAAGGUAUUCUCCAGGAUUGAUUUGCGAUCUGGGUAUCAUCAGAUCAAGAUCCGUCCUAAAGAUGUGCCUAAGACAGCUUUCUCGACGAGGUAUGGGUUGUAUGAGUAUCUCGUCAUGUCCUUUGAUCUUACGAAUGCACCUGCUCACUUCAUGUACCUCAUGAACUCGGUGUUCAUGCCCGAAUUGGACAAGUUUGUGGUGGUCUUCAUUGAUGAUAUCCUAGUAUAUUCUUGCAAUGAAGAGGAGCAUGCCGAGCAUCUGCGUGUAGUGUUGUCGCGUUUGCGUGAGCAUCAGCUUUAUGCCAAGUUCAGCAAAUUCGAGUUUUGGCUAAAGAAAGUACCUUUCUUGGGCCAUGUCUUAUCUGAAGAAGGCAUAUCGGUGGAUCCGGCUAAGGUGCAAGAAGUGCUGGAUUGGAAGGUUCCAACUUCGGUACACGAGGUUCGUAGUUUUCUCGGUCUUGCUGGGUAUUAUCGUCGAUUCAUUCCAGAAUUUUCAAAAAUAUCCAAGCCUAUGACUCGUCUACUUCAGAAAGAUGAGAAGUUUGUGUGGACGCCUGAGUGUGAAGAGGCAUUCCAUAAGUUGAGGACAUUGCUGACAUCAGCUCCUGUCCUAGCUCAGCCUGAUAUCGAAAAGCCCUUCGAUGUCUUUUGUGACGCAGCGGGUAUUGGUUUAGGCUGCGUGUUGAUGCAAGAAGGUCGCGUUAUCGUGUAUGCCUCGCGCCAACUUCGAAAGCAUGAGGUCAAUUACCCUACCCAUGACUUAGAAUUGGCGGCAGUUGUUCAUGCUUUGAAAAUCUGGAGGCACUAUUUGCUGGGUAAUCUGUGCAAUAUUUACACUAAUCAUAAGAGCCUCAAGUACAUCUUCACCCAACCUGAAUUGUACAUGCGGCAGCGAAGGUGGCUUGAGUUGAUUAAAGACUAUAAUCUACAAGUGCACUAUCAUCCGGGCAACGCAAACAUGGUUGCGGAUGCCUUGAGUCGGAAUGCGCACUAUCACUCAGUUCAGGUGGAAGAUCCGUUGUUGUCACAUCUUAUGCAUCCACUUGUGCUCAACCACAUUUCUCUGGAGAGUACUCUUCGCAAUCGAGUCAUUGAAUUGCAGCAAACAGAUGUAGGCAUCCACCAUAUAAAAAGGAAGAUGAAAGAAGAAGAAACCAAGCAUUUCCGGGUCGAUGAGAACGGAAUCCUUUGGUUCAAAGAUCGACUCGUGGUCCCAAAAGACCGUGAGCUACGAAAUCAGAUCUUAUCUAAAGCUCAUUCAUCUAAAUUGUCUAUCCAUCCUGGUAGUAGCAAGAUGUAUCAGGAUCUGAAACCUCUGUUUUGGUGGACAAAGAUGAAAAAGGAAAUUGCUGCUUUUGUCGCUCGUUGUGACAAUUGUUGUCGUGUGAAGGCCGUUCACAUGAAAGCUGGUUUGCUUCAACCCUUGUCAAUUCCUGGAUGGAAAUGGAAAGAAGUCAGCAUGGAUUUCAUCGUUGGACUUCCAACUUCUGUUAAGGGUUACGACUCUAUCUGGGUGAUUGUAGAUCGUUUGACCAAGUUGCUCGAUUUAUUCCAGUUCGAACUGACUAUCGUCCACAUCAAUAUGCGGAAUUGUACUUCGAGCACAUUGUCCGUCAGUAUGGUGUGCCUCGAACUAUCAUAUCAGAUCGUGGACCAUAGUUCACUGCUCGUUUUUGGGAGUGUCUGCAUGAGCAGAUUGGUACUCACUUAGUCCGUAGCUCAGCAUAUCAUCCCUAAACAGCAGGUCAAACUGAACGUGUUAACCAAAUCCUAGAAGACAUGCUGAGGGCAUGUGCUCUCUCUUCAAAGGGUUCUUGGGUUAAGUGGUUGCCAUUAGCUGAGUUCUCCUACAACAAUAGUUAUCAGGAGAGUAUCAAGAUGGCUCCAUUUGAAGCCUUGUAUGGUCGAAAGUGUCGAACCCCGUUGAAUUGGGUGGAAUUCGGGGAGCGAAGGUAUUAUGCCAUCGAUUUUAUGAACGAGGCGGAGCAGCAAGUCCGUACCAUCCAGCAACAUCUGGAAGCUGCUCAAGCUCGUCAGAAAAGUUAUGCUGACAAAAGAAGGAAGCCGAUUGAGUUUGCGGUCGGUGACCAUGUGUAUCUCAAGGUGUCUCCGAUGAAGGGUGUACAAAGGUUCAGAGUCAAGCGAAAGCUUGCACCUCGUUAUGUGGGACCUUAUUGGAUUCUCGAAAGGAAAGGGGAUGUGGCGUACAAAGUUCGACUACCAGUUGAGCUUCGAGCUAUUUUCCUUAUCUUCCACGUAUCACAAUUGAAGAAGUGCCUUCGUGUUCCGGAGGAAAGAGUGGAAGUUCGGGAUAUCAAGUUGAAGUCAGACUUGGUGUAUGAAGAAAACCUGUAGCGGUUCUUGACCGCAAGGAACGGGUGACUUGUAACCGUGUGGUUAAGCUCUACAAGGUGUUGUGGAGUAACCACGGGGAGGAAGAUGCCACUUGGGAGAUGGAGGAUUAUUUAAAAGAAGUUUACAAAACAUUCUUCGAAAAUCAGUAAGCUUUCAAAUCUCGGGACGAGAUUUUUGUAAGGGGGGAGGGCUGUAACACCCCAGUGUUAUGGUUGCAUAAAUCACAUGCAUAACAUAAGCAUCAUCAUCUACUCAAGCAUAUCAUGAUCAUCAUCUACCUUGAGUCAUACCUUUCUAUGCAAAAAUGUGAUUUAAAUUGUUUAAAUAGUCUUCCUAUGCUUAUGUAUGUGUGAACCAUGCUUGUGUUUGUGUGCUAUGCCUUGUUAAAUAGUUUAUCUCUGCUUAACUCAACCUAGGGAACAGUGUUCAUGUUGAUCACUUCUCCAAAAAAUCACUUAAGUCAUACUUACACAAAUAGGCCCUAGAAAGCUCUUUUGCUUAGGCUUUUAAAAAGUGUUUCAUAAAAUAUUUGCAUGUCAAAACUUUCUACAGCAAAGUUGUCACAAAUUGUAUAAGGAACAAAAGUUGUUUUAUGUCUAUCUCAGGAAAAUGAUCGCAUCUAGCUCAAAAGUGACCCACAAAGCAGAUUUGGGGCUGUUUCCAAUACUUAGAAAAUUUUCUAAGUCUUGAAUCGCAGCAGUUUGCUCGAGGGUGUGUUGUUCAUCUUCCAGUUUGAAUUCUAGCCCGAAUUAGACUCUGAUCUUGUAAGCAAUGUUGGAGUACUCAUGUAGCUCUCCAGCAUAGAGCAAUUAGCCAGCAAAAUCAUCGAAUGGAUUAGGAGUUAAUCACCGUGCAAAAUCGGGUUUCAGUCGGGUUUGGGAACUGAAUGAGGUCGCCGUCAGACAGGGGAGCUCGCCGGUGACGCCGCGUGUCUGGACCCGUGGCGUCCGUACGUCGCUGUUGGUCCCGCUCGUCAGUCCCCAGCGCGUCCUACAGCUCGCCACGGUGCUCCCGGUCGCGUGGACAGCGCCAUUCGACUCCCAGCUCUCUCUCUCUCUCUCACGUGCGCCUUCUUCUCCGCGUCGACGCCGUUGCUUCGGCGAGCUCGCGCGCGCGUGUCUCCGUGUCUCCAGCCGAGCGACUCCGUCCAUCGCUCCGCCAGCUUCCCCGCGACCCCGUCGUCGAGUUGGCUGCAGCUGCCGAGCCUCGGUAAGCCCGCAUUGCCUUCUCCGUCGCGAGCUUACCUCGCCAGAGCUCCACCAUGGUCACCGGCGUCGUGGGCAGGGCUCUGUAGUCCACCAUUCUUCCUCAUUCUUGUCCCAAAAGCUCUGCUAGGUCUAGCUGAUGCUCGUCCGCAUUCUCUUCCGCUCUGUCUCCGGCCAGAUACGCCGUCGGUCGGCCGCACACGACCGCCGUGCCGCCAUUCGUGAGGGCAAGGUACCUAGGGUCCAGUAGAGUUAGGGUUUCGAGUACCGCUCGAUGCGGAAUGGAGUGGGGAGCACGAUGGUGCUCUUGGCCAUCGCUGAGACCUCGCCGUCGACGAGAUCUCCGGCAGUCAAGUCGCGCCUCUGCUCUCGGGUCGCUGACAUGUGGGGUUGGUUGACUCGUGGGGUCCCUCUGUCAGCCUCUCUUUCCCCUUUGUUUGAUUUAGGGUUUGAGCUGUUUUUCCAAAAAUCAGAUCUCUGGUUCUGGUGAUCCAAAAAUUGUGAAAUCAAUUUUGUGGUAUUCCUUGAGAUGGCUAGUUUUUAAUAAAAAUAUAAAAUGAACCUUGUUUUCUGGGAAAAAUAUUUAUUAGGAUUUAAUCUUGUUAUUCAUGAGUAAAUUUUUAUCUCUUGUUAUACUGAUUGUUUUGCUAUGAAAAUUUUAUGGUAGCCUCUGUGUGAUACUAGGAUACUAUGUGUCGGUGUUUUCCCCACGGGGGGUCACACCAACGAGUAAAUUUGUAUGCGUGCUCCCUUUCCCAGAUGGUGAUGCAAGAAGACACUGAGAUUUAUCCUGGUUCGGGCAAGAGAAGGCCCUACGUCCAGCGGGGGGGGGGGAGAGAGUUUGUAUUAUCUUGCACCUCAGUGCUUGUACAGGGGUGAAUACAAGCGCGGUAUGAAGUGUGGAGCUCUACUACGUAUGAGCAUGUUCCUGUCUUCUAUUCCGAGUCCUCCCUUUUAUAGUUCCAAGGAGAGACCCAGGGUACAUGUAUAGGUGUCAGAAUAGGAGUCGAUAGCAGCAUGGAGCGCUGACCUACUCGAGGCUUCCGUACCGGUAUGGCCUCGAGCCGUCCCGUCUUAGUAGCCUGGUGAUGAUUACGCGUGCCCUUGCAUUCUGCUCUGCGCGCCGUCCUGGAUUGGUUCGACGGAUGUACGCUCGUACGUCCUGGCGGCAAAUCCGGUGGAGUGGUUGGGAUGUAGCCAGUCGACACCCGACUCGUCCCCUGGAAGGGUCCUUGCCUGGUCGAGGGUCGGAUGUCGUAUGACGUCCUGAUGUUGAAGCGCUGACCUUGGCUAUCUCGAGGGGGUCUUGAUUAGACGCACCAUCUCUGUUUCCGACGUCCUGACACGCUCUGGGCUGUUUGGUGGGGAAGGCUGCAAAAAGAUCGAUGGGACGGAUGCCUGUUCCCUUUCACGCCUCCCGUGACCCAUGUGUUAGGUGGGGAAGCACCAGGCGCAUUUAAUGCCCCGGCUCGCGUGCGCGCGUUAGGCGGCGGCGGCGUCCUUGCGCUCGACGCCUCCCGAUUCGCGUGAGCCUGUUCCGUAUUCGACGAUAACCAGAGCUCGACGCCUGAUAGAUUCGCUCGACGCUAUAUCCGUCUUCGAGGCUACGACCGUCGAUGGUUGCGCGUAUGUAUGGACGGAGCGUCGAAUCGAAGAUCUAGUCUUAUGUACGGAUGGUCUCGUUAUAUGUAUUGGUGAGGGUACCCCUUGUUGAUACCCUCGACAGUAGCCCCCGAGUCUCCAUUUGAGCGCUGGCGCUCGAGUGGAGACUCUUGUUUUUACAGUCGAGGUUCCGUGGGGGCGCGCGAGCGACCCCGCGGGGGUAGCCCCCGAGCCCUCGAGGGAGUAUUUAACUCCUUCGAGGGUUAUUUUGCCUAAUUUGCAUAGACACUGUCGACACCAGUGGUGGAAGGUUCUGAUCGGCUUUGCCUUGCGAGGAGGUUUCGACGUACUCUCGAUAGAGCGAGCGUCUUCCACUCCAGAUCGAGUUCCUAGCGGGUAGUCCAAGUGAGAACCUGUGCCCCUUUCGAGGGGCUCAGCUGUAGCCCGGAGGCGUUCACAUAAAGCUGGGUCGACGUGGUCGGGGAUACCGGUCUCAUUCGAUAGAGUCCAGCGGCUCGGUGCCUCCCGUCAGGGGGAUUCCUCUCGACUGUCUCGACCCUGCCUUGGACAUCGCCAGCGAGUUUUCGAGGCAGGCCUCGAUCUUCGACCGCUCGCUGGAGAUCCAUGACUCUGGUGCUCGAGAUCGGCUGUCGAACCCUUUCGGCGGGCCAGCCAUCGACCUCUCGAGAAUCUCGCGGGUACGCCCCUUGGCUUACAAGGGAAGGAAGUGGCCAUGACGGUUCGCCUUUCUGCCCGUGGGGCGCGUCUUUUUAGGCGGGUGACGUUAUGACACUGUAUCGGCGUGGAAUUCGGAACGCCCGGCCUGUGAAGGGGGAAAGACUGUUAGGUAGCGCAUUAAUGGGGGGACGUUACCUCAUUUCCCGGAUCUGUCCGUUGGUGGAUUGCGGCCUAUAAAUACGUCGUGGCGCCGCCGCCGUUCCUCUUCCUUCCGCCUUCUCGCUUCCAUUCUCUCGUUGCCUUAGCUCUCUCGCCGUCUUACGCGCACACGCUUCCUCAUGCAAUAGUCGAUCCACCACCUCUCCGGCCAAGAUGCCUGUAAGACUCAUCGCCGCCGACGACUGGCGCCCGUCGUCGAUGACGGAGCGCCUGUUGUUAGAGCUUGAGAAAGAGGGAUUGCUGCGCCACCGUACCUCACUGUCGUCGCCAGAGUGGAUCGCGCCGCCGGCGAGUCACAGGGAGCCCCAGCCGCCCGAGGGCUACGUGGUAUCGUUUGCCAAGUUCCACCGCCAUGGCCUGGGUGCUCCCCCGAGUCGCUUCAUGUGGGCCCUCUGCUUCCACUACGGGGUGGAGCUCCAGCACUUCUCCCUGAACGCCAUCACCGUCGCGGCGGUCUUCGCUGCCGUGUGUGAGGGCUACUUGGGGAUGAUGCCGCACUGGGAGCUGUGGCUCCAUCUCUACAGGGGCGAGCUCUUCAACGCCCCCACUGGGACCACCGGCGUGAGGAAACCUGUGCGGGCAGGUUGCCUCAAUCUCGUGCUGAAGACGGGGAAGUCGGAGAGGCCGCGCGAGUACAUCCUGGUGCGACUGUCGACUAACCACGCCGGCUGGGACUCCCAAUGGUUCUACCUGAGGAACGACGACGAUCUGCUGCCUGCCUAUACCGGGCGCUUGAUCACGGAGCGACCGGAGAAUUGGACGUACGGCGUCGUCCAAGCUCACCAAUCUCGGCUCGACCCCCUCCUCGACGUCAUGAAGAAGCUGCGUUCGGAGGGCUUGACCGCCGCCCUCGUUCUCUCGGCCGUUCAUCACCGGAGAGUUCUCCCUUUGAUGUCUCGGCCGUUGAGGAUGGAUGAGAUGGGCCCCGGCGUUCCAUCUCGGGACCUCGAGGCGUGCCGGAUGUCUAACGAGGCUCCGGCGGAUGACGAAGUUGCGGCCCGAGUCAGGGCUGCAAUUGCCGGUGAUUUUCAGCCGGAGCAUGUUAACGGCUUCCCCAUGAGGCCAGAUGCCGGCUCGAUCGAUCUGGUAUGUUUUCUUGCGCGCAACCUCGAUUCCGGGUUCCUUUUCUUCCCCUCUCCUUUUCUUUUCUAAGUCUGCAUUCAUUUUGACAGGGACAGAUCGACGUCCGGUCCUCGAGGCCCCCGGUAAAGGAGGACGGGGUCGAUCGUGAUAAACGGCGCCAAUCCGCCGAAAAGCUAAAGUCCGCCAAGGACUCUGCCAAGAAGGGGGAGAAGAAGAAGAACCUCGACCGUCAAGCGUUAGAGGCGCGUCGGGCCAAAUCCAGGCAGAGGGGGGAGCCUGAGGAAGAAUCCCCCAACGAUGAUGAUGAUGAUAACGACGACAGCGAUGAUUCCGAGGGGAUGGCGUCACGUCUCGACCGGAUCCUCGAGGGCCCGUCUCGAGGCGACGUCGACGCCCCCCGGACGGAGAUGUCAAGGGAGGGUCCGAGUGGAUCUCAUCGCCCCCGGGCCGACACACCUCCUGCGUCCAAAACGGGUCGAGACGCACCGCGCCCUCCCCCGGCGCCCAGAGAGUGCGGUCAGGCUAGGCCCCAGGCGAAGGGGCCACUGACUCGCGGUCGCGCCGUGGCCUCCGAGAAAGGAGAGGCCGGCCGCAGGAGCGCCAGUCCCGGUGCCUGUCAGGCGAGAACCGACGCGCCUAGGCUGGUGCCUGCCCUCGAGGGACCUGGAGCCCUGACGCGGGGUGGCUCGAGGCCCGCUAGUCGGGGCGGCGGGAGGCGAGCUGUUCUCCCUGUGGGGUAAGCCCUUUCGAUGCUGUGGCUUCUGUUUUUCUGUCCCUCUGCCGAUCUUUUCUCAUAUACCGAUCUUUUCUCAGGCUAAAGCGGACCCUCGAGCAGGCCCAGCCGUCCAUGGCAAAGAGGCUCAAAACGGGCGCCGCCUCUAAGGAACCAGGUUCGUAGUUUAUUUUUGGGCCUUGCGAUGUUUUUGUGUCGGUUAUUAUAACGUCUGACCUUUUUACCCUUUGUUUUGUAGGCUCCUCCAGUUCCCGAUCUCUAGCCGGCGUUGAGAGGGCUCCGUCUCGUCCCGCUCCUACUCCGUCGCCGCCGACUUGCGAUGAGGCGCCCCAGACGCAAGCGUCAGAGGGAGCCCCCGAGCCCCCUAGAUUGGGGGUCGAGGGGGAACCCAUUACCAUCAACGAUACGUCUGAUGGUAACGAAGCUUCUGGGGGUGCCCGCCCUAUGGAGGAGGAAACGUCGACCCCUCACGUCGCGGGGUCGACUCCCUGGCCCGCCGGCCUCCGCACCCUCGAGGAGCAGAAGAAGAAGAGGGAGGAGGAUGAACAGCGGGAGCGCGAGGCGGCGUGGCAACCGCAGGAGCAUGAGGCGCAACAAUAGCAACAGCAGCAGCGACAGCAACAGCAGCAGCAGCAGCAGGAGCAACAGCAGCAGCAGCAGGAGCAGCAGCAACAGCAGCAGGAGCAACAGCAGCAGCAGGAGCAACAGCAGCAGGAGCAAUAGCAGCAGCAGCAGCAGGGGGGGCCAAGAGGAGGGACUGCUCGAUCCCCCGCCCCAAGGUCCGGCCUAGCCGGUGCCGCCGGAGCCGCAAGAGCCUGGUGAGCAAGAAGAGGAUCUGCCAGUGUACGGCCCCCCGACCCCAGCGUGGCUCCUCCCGGGGGCACCUGCCGCGAUCCGGGCAGAGCCGGGGCGAGCGGAUGGAGUGGUGGCGCUCGCCUGCAUGAUGUGCACUCCCACCGACCCCGAGUCCGAGAUCAAGAGGACGAUCUACGGCAUGGACGGUAUCGCCCCAGGGUUCCUCCGGGAGCGUUGGGCAUGGGAGGACCACUUUCCUUCUGAGGAGGAUGAGAUCGGGAUAUCGGGGACCAAGGACGGUACCUGGAAGACGGUGGACGAUGACGGGCGGUUCCCAUGCCUCGUCGACCUGUUCCUGCGCCAUGGGGGGUCCCUCGAGACCGUCGAGGAUCUCAUCCGCGGCGUAAAGGCGCGGGCCGACCGGGAGAUGGAGCAUUGGUGCCCUGAACGAAUCCGCAUCCGGGCCUCCCACGACCCGUCCGAGCCUAACAUCUUCCUGGACGAUCGGAAGGAGGCAGAGAAGUGGGAACACGUCGAGGAGCUCCGCCUUUGGAUGAAGCAUGUGGUGGGGCUCCUCGCAGACGUUAUCAACAACGGGCUCGGCCCGGCCUAUUUCGUAAGUGCUUUUCGAUCUUCACUCCUCGUGGAAUCUUUCGGUUUUGUGUGCUCUAACCGCUCGACCCCUGGUUCGCAGGAUAUGAAAGAUACCUCCCGCAUCAAGUCUAGUUUCAUUCACGCCACGAGAGGCGGCUGGGAGCAGCUCCCCCUCCUUAAGGAUCAACUCCUCGAGUCGUAGGAGAAGCUCCUUAAAGCCUACCAAGACCUCAUAGCGCUCGAGGAGGAGAAGAAAGCAAGGGAAGCUGCCUUGGCCGAGGCUCGAGAGGCCUCAAGGAGGGCGGAGGAGGAGACGACGCUGCUGCGGGAGAGGGCUCUGACGGUCGAGGACGCCGCGUCCAGAGCCCAGGAGGAGGCCCUGUCCUGUAAGAGCGUUAUUGCGGAUCUGGACAAGGAGAAGGACCUCCUUAAAUCCGACCUGGACUCUCUCCGAGAGUCCUUCCAAAAGAUGAAGGUGGAGCACGUGAACGGCGAGGUCGCCAGGGGCGCCGCGGAGGAAGCCAAGAAGAAGGCCCUCGAAGAUCUCGAGGCGGAGCGGGCUCGAUCCCGCAGUCUUUCUAACGACGUAGAGCAUCUGAAGGGAGAAUUGCUGGAGAAGAGUGGGGCCAUUGCUCAGGCUGGCAAGGCGAUCGAGGAUCUCCACGUUGCCAAUACUGAGCUGGCGCGCUCCAACAGAGAGAUCGAGAGGGCUAACACCAGGCUGGUCGGCGAGAACACGGCCCUAGAGGAGACCGUACGCGGUACGUUUCCUCUAUCAGGUUUCUUUUUUCGCGGUGUGCUUGGUUUUUCCUAAGGUUUCUUGUAUUGGCCUUUACAGGGCUCAAGGGCGAACUCCUGGCCGCCCAAACCGAGGCUCGCAACGCCAAGGCUCAGCUCGAGGCGGAGGUUGCUUUGAACCGUCGAGUGCGGACGGCCAUAAGUGAUCUCUCGACCUCUUGGGAGGUCGAGCCUAUGGAUGAGUCGAGGGAGGGCGCUCGAGGCGACGCCCUGGUCGACCAGCUGUGCUACAUAGGCGCGACGCUGCGAGAUCGGGUGCGGGAUGCUCUCCACAUCGGGGUGAAGCGGGCGAUGGCGGUUGUCUGCUCGGGCUUCUCCUACGACAUGGAGGUGGUGUCUCAUGGCUUCGUCACCGACAUCUCCAAGACCGACGCAGAGAACGAGGAGAGGCUCCACGCCCUGAUCGACGACGCGGAGGCUCCUGGGGAAAGGUUGGCUAAGCUUUUUGAGCCUGAGGUGCUCCCUCCUGAGGCUAGCUCGGGCGGAGGUGAGGGCGGUGAGGAUCGCGCCGCGGACUGAGGCCUGCGAGCCUGCUCAGGGCGUCUAGGGCCCCUUGUAUGAUACUUUGUUAAUUCUAUUGCUAAGUGAUACAGUAUCUUUUUGUAAUCGUUAAAUGCUCAUUUGUCUUUCCGCUCGAGGUUCUUUUAUUUCUCUUUGUUCCUACGUUCAUAUCCCUUGCUCGAUUCUUUCGUAGAAAACCACCUCGACCACCUCAAUGGUAGGGAAGUGAGUAGAAUUUCCGUAGCCCGGGGGCGUAGGAGUUCUCUAACUCGUUGUCCCUCGGCCUUUGAGGGGUUUGAGGCGCCUUAGCUACUCGAACCGUGCAAGGUUUAUUAAGUAAGAAAAGAGAACUUCUUGGUUUUUUCGACGCUUGGGGGGCGGUCGUCCCCCUGGUAGCCCCCGAGGGGGUGUUGGCUAUGAUGGGUCAUAGACGGCGCCCCCUUCUAACAUCGAGAUCGUGACUUGUGAAUCUUUUGGUGCAAAAAGAAGUUGCUCUAGGGAAAGACUUUAUUUAUUCAUGCAUUCGUUUACAAAGUCUCGGUACAAAAUGUACGUAAGAACGUAAGUUUAGAACUUCUAGGGGUAGAAUCGACGUAGCUGUUCGAUGUUCCAUGCGUUGGUGAAGACCGCCCCCUUCUGGUCCGCCAACUUGUACGUUCCCGGCUUAAGGACCUCGGCCAUCACAUACGGGCCUUCCCAAGGUGGAGUCAGCUUGUGGCGUCCUUGAUUGCUUUGCCGGCGUCGUAGGACAAGGUCGCCUACGUUGAGGUCCCUCUUGCGCACGUGCUUGUCGUGGUAGCGUCGAAGUUUCUGCUGAUAUCUGGCAGAGUUGAGGAGGGCCAUGUCUCGAGCCUCCUCGAGUUGGUCGACCGCGUUUUCUUGAGUCUCUUUGUUUGAUUGCUCGUUGUAAGCCUUGAGUCGAGGUGAUCCAUACUCGAGGUCUGUGGGGAGGAUAGCCUCAGAGCUGUAGACCAUGAAGAACGGGGUGUAUUUUGUGGCCCUGCUUGGUGUUGUCCUAAGGCUCCAUAGGACUGAGGAAAGCUCCUCGACCCAUUUCUUGCCGAAUUUCUUCAACCGAUUGUAGAUCCUUGGCUCGAGUCCUUGCAAAAUCAUGCCAUUGGCACGCUCGACCUGGCCGUUAGUUCGAGGGUGGGCUACUGCAGACCAGUUCACACGGAUGUGAUGCUGAUCGCAGAAGUCCAAGAACUUUUUGCCGGUGAACUGGGUGCCGUUGUCGGUGAUGAUGACGUUGGGGAUCCCAAACCAAUGGAUGAUGUCGGUGAAGAAAAGGAUGGCCUGCUCGGAGCGGAUGUUGGUGAUGGGUCGAGCCUCGAUCCAUUUGGAGAACUUGUCAAUGGCCACCAGCAAAUGGGUGUAUCCUCCUUUCGCCUUUUGUAGAGGUCCUACUAAAUCGAGCCCCCACACCGCAAACGGCCAGGUGAUGGGGAUCAUCUGAAGAGCGUGGGCGGGCAGAUGCGUCUGCUUGGCGUAGAACUGGCACCCAUGACACGAGCGUACGAGCUCGAUGGCGUCCGCCACGGCCGUUGGCCAGUAGAAGCCUUGUCGAAAAGCGUUCCCUACAAGGGUCCGCGGAGCGGCGUGGUGGCCGCAAGCCCCCGAGUGCAGGUCCUCGAGGAGUUUUCGGCCUUCUUCCACGGUGAUGCAACGUUGUAAGACCCCCGUUGGGCUCCGUCGAUAUAGCUCAUUGUCUUCGCCAUAGAUCACAUAUGUCUUGGCCCGUCGAGCGAUACGACGGGCCUCUGACCGAUCUUCUGGCAACUCGCCGCGGAUUAGGCAGUCGAGGAAUGGCGUGCGCCAGUCGAACGGUCGACCUGGCCGUCGUUCUAUCUCCAUCACCUCUGCCACCAUCAAGAGCGUAUCGACAGCAUUGGUUGGUUGGGCGGGAGCGGCGUCGACGCCAGCCCCCGUGCCUAGGUCGACGGAUGGCUCGUGAAGAUCUCUUGAGAAUGCAUUAGGCGGCACCGUGCCUCUGGUCGAUGCAAUCUUGGCGAGUUCGUCGGCUGCCUCGUUGUAGCGUCGAGCGAUAUGGACAAGCUCGAGACCGUGGAAUCUGUCCUCGAGUCGACGGACUUCUUUGCAGUACGCUUCCAUUUUCGGGUCGUGGCAGCUCGAGGUUUUCAUUACUUGGUCGAUGACGAGUUGGGAGUCGCCUCGGACGUCGAGGCGUCGAACUCCUAACUCGAUGGCAAUCUUGAGACCAUUGACGAGGGCCUCGUAUUCUGCGACAUUGUUAGACACGGCAAAAUGAAUCCUGAUUACAUACCUCAUGUGGACUCCUAAGGGUGAGACGAACAGCAGGCCGGCUCCGGCUCCUGUUUUCAGGAGUGACCCAUCAAAAUACAUCGUCCACAGCUCCGCCUGGACCUGAGUCGGUGGAAGCUGGCAGUCCGUCCAUUCUGCGACGAAGUCUACCAGGGCCUGCGAUUUAAUGGCCUUGCGAGGCGCAUAAGUGAGAGUCUCACUCAUGAGCUCGACCGACCAUUUUGCUAUUCUUCCCGUGGCCUCUUUGCUCUGGAUUAUUUCGCCUAAAGGGAAAGACGAGACCACCGUGAUGGGGUGGCCGAGGAAGUAGUGUUGCAGCUUACGGCGGGCAAGGAUUACGGCAUAGAUCAGCUUCUGGAUUUGGGGAUAACGUGCUUUGGUCUCCGAAAGCACCUCGCUGACGAAGUAUACUGGCCUCUGAACUGGUAACGCAUGUCCCUCCUCCUGCCUUUCGACCACUACCGCCGCGCUGACGACUUGGGUCGUUGAUGCGACGUAGAGGAGCAGCGGCUCUGCAGGAUGAGGUGGGACCAGGACGGGUGCCGAGGUCAGCGUCUUCUUCAGCCUUUCGAGCGCUUCCUCGGCCUCGGGGGUCCAAGAAAAGCGCUCGACCUUCUUCAGGAGUCGAUACAAUGGUAACGCCUUUUCUCCUAGUCUCGAGAUGAAACGGCUCAGAGCCGCCAGGCACCCCGUGACUCUCUGCACACCCUUGAUGUCUCGGAUCGGCCCCAUUCUCGUGAUGGCCGAGACUUUCUCAGGGUUGGCCUCGUUGCCGCGCUGCAAAACGAUGUACCCUAGGAGCAUGCCUCGAGGCACACCGAAAACGCACUUCUCAGGAUUGAGCUUGAUCUGGUUGGCGCGUAGACAGCUAAAAGCGAUCUCGAGGUCCUGGAUUAGGUCCCCUCGACGCCUUGUCUUGACGACGAUGUCAUCGACAUAGGCUUCGACCGUCGACCCUAUAUGUUUACCAAAUACAUGGAGCAUGCAGCGUUGGUACGUAGCUCCCGCGUUUCGAAGCCCAAACGGCAUGGUCACAUAGCAAUACAUCCCAAAAGGUGUGAUGAAAGAGGUCGCGAGCUGAUCGGACUCCUUCAUUUUUAUUUGGUGGUAACCAGAAUAUGCAUCAAGGAAAGAAAGGGUUUCACAUCCCGCGGUAGAAUCGACAAUCUGAUCAAUACGUGGCAAUGGAAAAGGAACUUUUGGACAUGCUUUAUUUAGACUAGUAUAAUCGACACACAUCCUCAUUUUCCCAUUCUUUUUCUUAACUAACACAGGGUUUGCUAACCAGUCGGGAUGAUGAACCUCCUUGAUGAAUCCGGCCGUCAAAAGCUUGUGGACUUCCUCGCCAAUGAUCUUGCGCUUCUCCUCGUCGAAUCGGCGCAACCGCUGCUUCACUGGCUUGGAACCGGCUCGAAUCUCCAAGGAGUGCUCGGCGACUUCCCUCGGUAUGCCUGGCAUGUCUGAGGGACUCCAUGCAAACAUGUCGGCAUUUGCACGGAGAAAGUCGACGAGCACAGCUUCCUAUUUGGGGUCGAGGUCGGUGCUGACCGUCAGCACUUUGCCGUCAGUGUUGUUGGGGUCGAGCGGGAUCUUCUUGGUUCCUUCUGCCGCCUCGAAGCUGCCCGCGUGGCGCUUAGGCUCUGGAGCCUCAGCGGCCAGUGCCUCGAGCUUCGCGACUAGCUCGGUGGAGCUCUCGACCGCCUCCCCGUACUCGACGCACUCGACGUCGCACUCGUACGCGUGCUCGAAGGAGGAACUGACAGUGAUGACGCCUUUGGGACCGGGCAUCUUCAGCUUCAAGUAGGUGUAGUUGGGUAUAGCCAUGAACUUGGCGUAGCCCGGGCGUCCGAUGAUGGCGUGGUACGUGCCUCGGAACCCAACCACCUCAAAGGUGAGGGUCUCCUUCCUGAAGUUGGCCGCCGUGCCGAAGCAGACCGGUAAGUCAAUUCGACCUACUGGCAGUGCCUUUUUCCCUGGCACGACGCCAUGGAAACCGCCGGCGCUUGGUUGGAGUUUUCCUCUAUCUAUGCCGAGGAGGUCGAGGGUCUCGAGGUAGAUGAUGUUGAGGCUGCUGCCACCAUCCAUCAGCACUUUCGAGAGCCGGGUUUUGACGAUGAUGGGGUCGACGACGAGCGGGUAGACGCCGGGGGCGACUACCUUGUCGGGGUGGUCCUUGUUGGGUAUUCUUAACAUCAUUACCAAAAGUAGACUAAGUUCUAAAUCUAGCAACGGUGCCAAAAAUGCCAAACCUAUCCCUCACACCACUUAAGCCAAGUUGUCAUCCCCAGCAUGACAUGAGAGCCGCGGUAUUGAAAUAUACAAUUGCUCUUCUAAAUAAAUAAUGAAUGGGAUCUGCAAGCGCACAGAUUAAUACCGAUGCAGCAUUUUAACCAGGAAGUAUUCCAGGUAUCGUUAUUUAUAUUUUUACCACUGGGAAGGGAUUAGCAAUCAUCACUAUUGAUUACAGAAUAGAAUAUGAGAUUGAGCACCUAUCAUUGCAUGUAUAAUUGAGAACAUUAUAUCUAACUCUUCAUACAGGGAUAAGUGUCACAUAAUAGAUAUAUGAAAUGAUAAUAGUGACAAGGAUAACUAAUCUGAUCUAGCCACAUAAUAAAUAUGAUAAGCACCUCAAUUAGAUACUCUAGAAAGUCAUUAGCAUGGUAUUAGAACGAACUACAAGAAUAUUCCCAAAGUUAUUCUUAACUAUAUAGUCUAGCAUAUCAUAGUUAGUGCAAGCAUACUUAGCAAUCAUUGCGAGACAAGACUACGCCCAUGCAUAGUGAUAUUAGCAAGGAAUAUGAGAAACAUAGCAAUCACUCCCCUGUAAUAAUGCUGCUCUGCCAGCCCAAUACACGAGAGGGGGACUAUAUAAGAAUCAAUGAAGCUGUCACUAUCACGAACUACCCCACGAUCUGGCAUAUUGGGUACAAUCGCAGAUAAAUACGGUAUAAGCACCACGCCUACACAAUAUCUAUCAUUUACCCAUGGAUCCGAUGGAUAAACGCUAUACGAUCCUAAGCAUGUAUAUAGAUCAUAUCUAACUAAGCCAAGUACAUAACUAUGAUAAACUAAGAACAAUAUAAUCUUGAAUAUAAGCAAGUAUAGCAAAGUCAUAAGCAAUAUAUUGAAGUAGAACAAAGUCAUAUUCAUAAUAUUGAAGAACAAAGAUAAUUAGAAAGCAAUUAGAAGCACAAUUAGAGAAUUACCAAGAAUCCUCUUGACAGAUCCGGAAACCAAUCGAAGAUUGACUCCUUCUAGUUCUAAUCCUAUGUAGCUAUGCUAAUCUAGAUAUCUAAUUGAUGUGGUGGCUCUAAUCUUGAUUAGAGGCUUCUUCUCCCUUGAUGGAACAAUGAAUUAGGGUUGAGAGGCUCCCUCCUCCAGGGGCCAGGGGGUCUGGUUUUAUAGUCCCUUCAAGUGAAUAUGGGCCCUUGGAUCAAACCGACAUAGAUUGUAUGGUUUAAAUUCAUCCUUUAGGUCGCUGGAGACUUCCCGCAAAGCAGAGUCCUGAUUGGACUUGGGGGCAGGGCGGGCGCCCAGUUGGACAGGGCGGGCGCCCUGUCUCGGGGCGCCCUGUCUCUGGCCCCGAUUCGCCUCCGCUUCGGUCUCGUGGCUUCUGGAGUCUUCUAGAUGUAAGAUAAUUGCGCAGCACGUUAACAUCUUUACGUAAUCCUGACAUGUGGGCCUUUCUUCCAUAUUUCCCGAUAACUCCCUGCAGAAAUAGACAAACACCAAAACUCAUGGAAUUCUGUCAGAUAAAACCCUAAGUCUAGAUCUUUAUUUCAUUUGGAUCCUUUUCUUUAUUUAUUUGAUAAUUAAAUUUGAUACUUAAGGACCGUCAACAAACUCCCCCAAGCUUACCUCUUGCUCGUCCCUGAGCAAGGAUAGACUCAGCUAUGGAUCAUAAGUAGUUGCAAUAUCUUAAAAAAUUUGACGGUACACAUGCUUUUAAAUAAGAUCUCAUCUCUGAGUUAGAGUAAACUGUCAAGACUUAAAACUUACUUACUUUACCUUCAGCAUGGGACUUGUAACUGUCACUUCUGUCUUGAGUGGUUAAAAGAUAGAACAGUCUAGCCAAGUGCCAUGUCUCUUAUUCUUGAUCAGCUAUAGCUCUUGGAUUUUUGCAGAUUUUCAAAUAAAACUCAGAGAUUCCUUAUAUGAUUCUCUCAGGUCUCUCUUUUGUGGUAUUUUUGGAUCCUUACCAAGGCAUUGAUGGUAUAUGCCUUCUCUCAAGAUAUGUGGUAUUUGGGGUAUAAGGCAUAGUGACAUUGCCUUCUCUCUCAUCCUACUCUAAUAAGGCUUUAAUAUCUGGAGCUCAUAGGUGGGAGAUAAAGUAUACAUACUUACAAGACAUGUAUUGCAUAGUCAAACCAUGGAUCCAAAGUAACAAGUCAAUAAGUUUAAUCAAGAUGUGCAUGUGUGGCGAAUGAAUGGUAUAUGGUGAUGAUGGUGAUAAUAAUGGUGAAAACAAUGGUGAAAACAAUGGUGAAAACAAUGGUGGUGAAAGUCUAAUUCUACUUUGCUCUUUUGAGGGGAUACAUACCUUCCUUGCUUUUGAAACUUUAUGAGGAGAAUGAGAUGCUCUUCUUUUUCUUUUCUCUCAGGUGGGUAUCUUACACCCCCUAAUUCUACUGUCGGACACUUGUCCAUUUUUACCUCUCGUCUCACUUUUUCUUUUCUUUCGAGGUUCCGAGCACUUGCUCCUUUUUAUUUCCUCGCAUUAUUAUUUUUUUCUUCUCUCUUUUUUUUUAGAGCACUCAUCUCUUGAGAUAAUAUAGCAAGUGGUAGUAACAAGAUAACUUGAGCAUUUAUUUCACAAGGGGAACACAGAAAUAUUUUUGGUUAUUCUCUCCCGGAUUAGGAGUAGAAUAUUUUCAGGUGGUUCUGGUGAUGGAAUGGAUGGAUAUAUGUGGAUGGUACUUCCGGAAUAGAAGUAGCAUAUAUGAGUGAACGUGCAAGUGAAAUCUUGAUUUAACCACAUGACAAGCUCCUAAGGGUCUACACAGCUUGACCAUACUCAAUGCUCAUAAGCAGUAAAUAGUAAAUGCGUGGCUCAAAGUCUAGCAAGCAUGUAUAUAUGGCUGUGGUAGGAAUUUUAAGCUCUCAUCAUACAGAAACUCAUCAUGCAACAUUUUAAAGAUUUUCAAAGAUAAAAUUCUCCAGAAUUUUAGCAUCUCUAGGAACAGAUAAACAGCAGCUCAACCUUCCCAUAUCGUAUCCGUUAACAACUUAGACUUCGGAUCAAGUUUUCAUCCCACAAGUUUAGGUCUAGAGCAAGCUUUAAAUUAUAACAGUUAUGUCUAAACUUGAGAGAGAACUUAAAAUGUGCAAAUUAGGCAGAGCAACUAUUCAUCAUAUCCAUGCUUAAGUUUUAUUAGAUACAGAUUAGCAUAGCCACUUUAUUUAUUUAUUAAACACACUAAGUAAUAUAUAUAUAUAUAAGCAUAAAAUCUUUAUUUGGUUUUCCCAUAGUUUAUGUGUAUUAAUAUUCUAAAAUAAUAUAAGUAUAAAGAUAGAUAGAUAGAAAUACUUAUCGAUAUAAAUGGGGGUGCUCUCCCCCAAGCUGAAUUUUGACGUAAUUUCUCUUGAUGUAGCUAGCAGGUGGCAGAGGUGUAUUUGAAAGUCAGCAGCCUUCUGACAGCGAUUAGAAUGUCCUCCUUCUGCUAGUCUUCUUGAUUCUUAAAUUCUGUGGAGCUCAAAUAGACAACAAAGCUUGUGGAACUGAUUAAGUGUUAGCAUAAAUAUAUAGCCUUCAUUAUCUUGAGACUCCUUAAUAAUUGUUACUCCCUGUUUUUAUAUUUUUGUCUUUAUAAAGCAGAAAAAUAUUUAUUUUAUUUUUAUGCCACCACAGUGAAUAUACUUAUGGGUUUUAUGCCACUCGUCUACUCACAUGGGGCUUAUAGUUUCUUCACAUUUUUAUUUUCUUUUUUUAAGAUAGUAUGAACAUGAUUAACUAAGUAAACUAUUUGAAAUAAUUAAAAGGGAAAGGAUAACUACCAAGUUUACCUCUUGGCAAGGCGUUCGGUGUUUUUAAGUCCUCCGAACGGGACUCUCCAAUUUCUUAAUCGUCCUGAGGUUCGUUGGGUGGCGUAGUCGGUACUUCCGGCAGCGCCUCCUCUUCUUGUAUAGUUAUCUUCAUUUUCCAUACCUGACUCGGUGCUUCAAUCUCCUCUGGAUAAUUCUGUUUAAACUCUACGUCUUCUGACCUUACAACUUCUCCUUCAUAGUCUGCCCAUCCGUCCCUGAUGAUCUGCCUCCUCUGGUUGCGGUUGCGUCUCUUUCUGACCUGCUUAGAUUCUUCAACAAUAUAGUUAGGGUCAGUAAAGUAACGGCGUACCUUCUCUGAGGGGAAGUGCAUAUGGACUUCUCCGGUUCCAAUGUAGAUAAUGGCUUUAACGGUGCUGAGGAAUGGUCUUCCAAGGAUGAUGGGUGGAUCAUACUCAUCUUCUCCCAUGUCAACAACUUGAAAGUCUGUGCAGACAAAGUGAUCGUCUAUUUUGACUGGGAUAUCAGAUACUAUUCCUUGAACUUCUCGAAAUGUCUGAUCUGCCAUCUGGAGCUGAAUGUAUGUUGGUCUUAGUGGCAUGGUCCCGAACAAGAGCCGAUAGGUGACUACGGCCAUUAUGUUGACGCCUGAUCCGGUGUCGCAAAUCGUCUUGUAGAAGUUGUAUCCAUUUAUGGAGCAGUAAAUGCUUGGCAUUCCUGGGUCGUCCUUCUUGGUCAAAAACGGUGACUUCAGUUGGUGAUCUUGGCCUCCAUGGACUACAGUGACCAUCUUAGCUGACUCGGUCCACACUUGCUUGUUCCUGUUCCUCCUAUUGGUCCUCUUCCUUGAUUCACGUCUGGAUUGAUUUGGAAUUUGUGUAGUCUUGUUCUUGAAGAAAAAUGUCUCCUUCUUCCCUUUGACAUAGAAACUGAUCUUAGCAGCACUGGCGUAGAUGAUAGCUCCCGUGGUGUUCAAGAAUGGCCUCCCUAGGAUGAUAGGUGCUCUCUCAUCAUUUCCGGUCUCUACCACUACGAAGUCUGCUGGGGCAUACAAGGUACCAACUCGGACACAAAGAUUCCUCACUAUUCCUUUUGGAAAAGUUAUCGUCUGAUCUGCAAACUGCAAACACAUGGUUGUUUCUAAUAAAGGAUAUGUAAAGAAUUUUUCAUAGAGUACCCUGGGUAUAAUGUUGACACUAGAGCCAAAGUCACAGAGUGCUUCUGGGACAUCCACCAUGCCGAUGCAGAUCGGGAUGACGGGGCGUCCUGGAUCGCCUCUCUUGACCGGCAGACGGUCAGUAGAAAAUUCAUUGACGGGGUUACUCCAAUUACCUGCAUCAAACAUGUCUACAAGAUUUGCAGAUUCUAAUCCUUCCGGUUGUGAUGGUAUACCGGGGUUAGUAGUAGGAACAGCAGCAGCUAUUUGAUUUAACUGAGAUUCAAUCAUUUUAUUAAAGCUAAUUUGAUUCUUGAUGGCAGUACAAAAAUUAUCCAUUCUAUUAUUUAUAUUUUCUAGCAUUUUAUCAUUAGAUGCCAAUUUCUUAGACAGGUUAUCCAUUAGCUUUCCUUGAUUAGACACUAACUCUCUCAAAGGUGGAAAAUUAUUAUUAUUGUUGUAAGAAUUGUUACCUUGAUAAUUACCUGAGUAGUUAGGCCUCUGUUGAUUCCAACCUUGACUUUGUUGAGGACGGUUGUAGUAGUAGUUGUUGUUGUUGAUGUAGUUCACAUCCUCAAGUAUCUCAGGGCAGUGGUUGCCUGAGUGUCCAGUGUCUCCACACUCCUCACAAGUCAUGUGAGAGUCGUAGAUGUGCAUAACUUCUUUCUUGUCUCCAGCUUUAUCAUCGAGCUUCUUCAUGAGCAGGUCUAGCUUUGCAGACAGCAUGUCUACCUCCUUCAGCUGAUGCAUACCUCCACCUCUCUUGCGUGUCUGGGUCCUCUCUUCAUUCCAGCUUUGAUUGGACGCCAUCUUCUCCACAAGAGCUGUGGCUUGUGGUAUAGUAAGUGAUAAGAAUGCUCCUCCAGCUGCAGCAUCCAUGGUCUCUCGGGCACUGUUGCUGAGCCCAUGAUAGAAUGUCUGCAUCAAUAGCCAACUCUCCAUUCCAUGAUGGGGACAUUCUAGGAUGUAGUCUUGAAAGCGCUCCCAUGCUUCUGGAACAGAUUCAUCAUUUUGUUGGUGAAAACUUGUAAUCUUCCCACGGAGAGCAUUGGUCUUGCACAUGGGAAAGAACUUAGCCAGGAAGUUUGUUGAGCAGAGUGCCCACGUAGUAUUCUUCUCCUUUGUAGCGUAGAACCACUGCUUCGCUCUUCCUAACAGUGAGAAUGGGAAGAGGCGAAGUAGUAUAGCGUCUUUUGAAACUCCUGCUAUGGUGAAUGUGUUGCAAAUCUCCAGGAAGUGUUGUAAAUGAGCACUAGCAUCUUCGUGUGCCUUCCCACAGAACUGGUUGGAUUGCACCAUGUUGAUAAGUCCAGGCUUGAGCUCAAAGUUGCCAUCCAUCUCUGCAGCAGGUCCAGUGCGGAUGUUGUCCGUAGUGGGAGCUGAGAACUCGCGGAUUGAUUUGUUCGCCAUGACUUCGAACUCUGAAGACAAGUUCCGGUGAUCUUCUUGAUUGGAUGAAGCUUCUUCGUGAAGUGUUGAUGAUUUCUUUAGCUUGGCUCUCGUCUUCUUGAAUAAUGCUUCGGGAUCGUCAACAAAAUUCCCUGGAAGAUGUCUUCUAUUCAUACAUUCCCCUGCAUAAGAUAAAAUAGAAAAAUAUCGGGGUAAAACUGUAUGAGAGAAUAGAUAAGCUCCAUCAUAUUAGUGAUGCGAAUGAUUACUCUAAAUCUUUUAUUCCAUUCCUGAUUGGUAAUCAACCUUCCCCGGCAACGGCGCCAAAAAUGCUUGUUGGGUAUUCUUAACAUCAUUACCAAAAGUAGACUAUGUUCUAAAUCUAGCAACGGUGCCAAAAAUGCCAAACCUAUCCCUCACACCACUUAAGCCAAGCUGUCAUCCCCAGCAUGACAUGAGAGACGCGGUAUUGAAAUAUGCAAUUGCUCUUCUAAAUAAAUAAUGAAUGGGAUCUGCAAGCGCACAGAUUAAUACCGAUGCAGCAUUUUAACCGGGAAGUAUUCCAGGUAUCGUUAUUUAUAUUUUUACCACUGGGAAGGGAUUAGCAAUCAUCACUAUUGAUUACAGAAUAGAAUAUGAGAUUGAGCAUCUAUCAUUGCAUGUAUAAUUGAGAACAUUAUAUCUAACUCUUCAUACAGGGAUAAGUGUCACAUAAUAGAUAUAUGAAAUGAUAAUAGUGACAAGGAUAACUAAUCUGAUCUAGCCACAUAAUAAAUAUGAUAAGCACCUCAAUUAGAUACUCUAGAAAGUCAUUAGCAUGGUAUUAGAACGAACUACAAUAAUAUUCCCUAAGUUAUUCUUAACUAUAUAGUCUAGCAUAUCAUAGUUAGUGCAAGCAUACUUAGCAAUCAUUGCGAGACAAGACUACGCCCAUGCAUAGUGAUAUUAGCAAGGAAUAUGAGAAACAUAGCAAUCACUCCCCUCUAAUAAUGUUGCUCUGCCAGCCCAAUACACGAGAGGGGGACUAUAUAAGAAUCAAUGAAGCUGUCACUAUCACGAACUACCCCACGAUCUGGCAUAUUGGGUACAAUCGCAGAUAAAUACGGUAUAAGCACCACGCCUACACAAUAUCUUUCAUUUACCCAUGGAUCCGAUGGAUAAACGCUAUACGAUCCUAAGCAUGUAUAUAGAUCAUAUCUAACUAAGCCAAGUACAUAACUAUGAUAAACUAAGAACAAUAUAAUCUUGAAUAUAAGCAAGUAGAGCAAAGUCAUAAGCAAUAUAUUGAAGUAGAACAAAGUCAUAUUCAUAAUAUUGAAGAACAAAGAUAAUUAGAAAGCAAUUAGAAGCACAAUUAGAGAAUUACCAAGAAUCCUCUUGACAGAUCCGGAAACCAAUCGAAGAUUGACUCCUUCUAGUUCUAAUCCUAUGUAGCUAUGCUAAUCUAGAUAUCUAAUUGAUGUGGUGGCUCUAAUCUUGAUCAGAGGCUUCUUCUCCCUUGAUGGAACAAUGAAUUAGGGUUGAGAGGCUCCCUCCUCCAGGGGCCAGGGGGUCUGGUUUUAUAGUCCCUUCAAGUGAAUAUGGGCCCUUGGAUCAAACCGACAUAGAUUGUAUGGUUUAGAUUCAUCCUUUAGGUCGGUGGAGACUUCCCGCAAAGCAGAGUCCUGAUUGGACUUGGGGGCAGGGCGGGCGCCCAGUUGGACAGGGCGGGCGCCCUAUCUCUGGCCCCGAUUCGCCUCCGCUUCGGUCUCGUGGCUUCUGGAGUCUUCUAGAUGUAAGAUAAUUGCGCAGCACGUUAAUAUCUUUACGUAAUCCUGACAUGUGGGCCUUUCUUCCAUAUUUCCUGAUAACUCCCUGCAAAAAUAGACAAACACCAAAACUCGUGGAAUUCUGUCAGAUAAAACCCUAAGUCUAGAUCUUUAUUUCAUUUGGAUCCUUUUCUUUAUUUAUUUGAUAAUUAAAUUUGAUACUUAAGGACCGUCAACAGUCCUCUCGGUCGAAAGUGAUAGGAGUGCUUGACCAGCUAAGGUACUGGGGCACCGCCAUUCUUGCCGCAAAGACCUCACGACGCUCCCUUUUGCGCUGCCUCGUGGUUAAUUGAGUCGAGGGUCCGCCAUAGAUCAUGUAGCAGUCGUGGACGGUGGGGAAGCCGUCGUCAUCUUUGUUGUCCUCCUUGCUGCCACCCUUCUCUUUCUUGGAGUCGUCACGCGCAUCUUUUUUGAACCCCAGACCGUCGAAAUGCUUUCUUAGCAUACGACAGUCCUUGAGCUUGUGGUUGGCACCUCCCUUAUGGUAAGGGCACGGUUCCUCCAACAUCUUGUCGAAGAUGCCUCCGUCCGGAGGGCCUCGAGGUUUCUUUCGUUCCAUGGCGGCGACAAGGUUGUCAUCGGAAUCCUCCUGGUGGAACUGCCGUGCUUUCUACUUCUUUUUAUUUUUCUUGAGUCCUCGACUGCGGGUCCCAUCUUCAUCGAUGGGCUGCUUGCCUUUUCUUCCUUCAGAGCUGAAGAAGGCGCCGACUGCCUCCUCCCCUGCCGCGUAGUUGGCUACUACGUCCAUCAGCUCGUCGACGGUCUGAGGUCGAUUGCGACCUAAUUCCCAUACCUAGUCUCGACUGGUGGUGCCCGAGACGAACGCCAAGAUGACGUCAUGGUCAGGGAUGUGCGGCAGCUCAGUGCGCUGCUUCGAGAAGCGUCGAGCAUACUCCCGAAGAGUUUCUCCUGACUUCUGCUUGCAUUUGCUGAGGUCCCACGAGUUCCCUGGCCGUAUGUAGGUCCCUUUGAAGUUACCCUCGAAGACUCUGACCAGAUCAACCCAGUUGUGGAUCUGAUCAGCGGGGAGUUCCUCGAGCCAUCGACGGGCAGUGUCGGAGAGGAAGAGCGGGAGUUGCCUGAUGAUAGCUCGAUCGUCUCCUCGAGCUCCCCCCAACUAACAGGCUAGCCUAAAAUCGGCUAACCACAAUUCUGGUUUGGUUUCGCCGUUGUACUUUGCGAUGCUGGUCGGGGGUCGAAACGGACUGGGUAGGGGCGUGCUGCGAAUCGCCCUGCUGAAAACCCGUGGGCCCGGUGGCUCGGGGGCCACCCGAUCUUCAUCGCUGUCGUACCUGCCCACCGCGAUGUGUGCUGUAACCGCGCUCUUCCGCGUCCCCGUAUCGGCGGCGUCGGUUCUCCUCGAUGUCAUGCCGUGCGUUGUGUCGACGCUGAUUGUCAACGGGGAGAAUGAGGGUGGUCUUUCUGCCUCGAGGAGGAGGUUGUUGAUGGACUGACACCUCCUUUUCGUUUUGAGGCUGUUCGUCGCGCUUCUCAGUGGCAGCUCCUCGUCGUCGAGAUGCCGAGCUUUCGGCUUGUUGAACUGCGCCACCUGGAGCAAUGUUUGUACCUCAUCUCGAAUGCGUCGGGCCUGGGAAUUCGACGGUUCUGGCAUGUUACGCAGCAACAUCGUUGCCGCCACUACAUUCUGGCCUGCUCGAGGGAAAUGGCUGACAGGCUGCUCUGGCUCUGUGUCGCCGACGAUCUGACGAUGUACCUCUCGAGCGCGUCUGCGGACACUUCCGCCCGGCGGGUAGGGCAGGUCUUGCUCGAGGAUUUGCUCGAGCAGGACGAGGCGCUCACGGUCUUCGUCGAGCUUCAUCUUGAGCUCUCGCAGCUGCGCGAGCUGCGCGGUUCUCUCUUCCUGCGGAGGGGGGUCGACUUGUCCGUCGUUCCCAGGCGUCCUGGGGUCUUCUUUUGCCGCAGGAGCUCGACCGCCCGCAGCGGCAUCCUGUGUCUCAUCGGUAGUUUCUACCGCUCCGUCGAUGUGAUAGCAUUCCCUCGUAGGGUCGUGGCUAUCAGUCUCGGAGUCGGAGUCUGGUUUGGCGGCGUUGAAACACCCACGCCCCUCCUCCAGCAAUCGCUGCCUGAGGGAGGUGAUCGUGUAACGUCCAGGGCCUAGGCGACGGAGGCUUCGUACCCGGGAAAGGUCCGACAGCUCGGACGCUGGCCGCUGCGCUUCAGAGCCACGUGGGAGGACCGUUGGUCUUUCCACGUACGUCCGGGCGUUUGGGCAUAUCGCUUUGGCGAGCGACGCCGCGGCGUUGUCCAAUCCGAAUGGCAGUGCCGCUCUUGGAGUGAACAACCCGUGUGGAAGUAGCCUAGCAGCGGUGGGGGAGAGCGCACGAGACGCGUCCCCUCCCGUCGUUGUGCGGUGCUGAGUCGUCGCGCUUGUUGCUCCGCCACACGGUGCUGCCGACUUGUGGCCCACUUCCUGCCUCGCACGAGUUGUUGGUCGUGCCGAGGCAGAGGGGCCACUGUGGUGCUGUCCGCGCCUCUUCUUAGGCGGGGAGGCGUGGUGGUGAGGGUGUCUCGGGGCCUUCAACCGUGCUGGCGCAACGCGGGCUCCUCCUGGUCCUCUGACUGAGAGCAAGAUCAUGUCGUAGCCGGAGCCCGUAGACAUGAACUCGAGACUCCCAAACCAAAUCACCGUGGAGCGCGGAAUCGGUGAGGCAAGAGUGGCCAUCUGGAAAGGAGUGGGAAAUCGAUGAAAAACACGCAGGACCCCUACCUUGCACGCCAACUGUCGGUGUUUUCCCCACGAGGGGUCACACCAACGAGUAAAUUUGUAUGCGUGCUCCCUUUCCCAGAUGGUGAUGCAAGAAGACACUGAGAUUUAUCCUGGUUCGGGCAAGAGAAGGCCCUACGUCCAGCGGGGGGGGGAGAGAGUUUGUAUUAUCUUGCACCUAAGUGCUUGUACAGGGGUGAAUACAAGCGCGGUAUGAAGUGUGGAGCUCUACUACGUAUAAGCGUGUUCCUGUCUUCUAUUCCGAGUCCUCCCUUUUAUAGUUCCAAGGAGAGACUCAGGGUACAUGUAUAGGUGUCAGAAUAGGAGUCGAUAGCAGCAUGGAGCGCUGACCUACUCGAGGCUUCUAUACCGGUAUGGCCUCGAGCCGUCCCGUCAUAGUAGCCUGGUGAUGAUUACGCGUGCCCUUGCAUUCUGCUCUGCGCGCCGUCCUGGAUUGGUUCGACGGAUGUACGCUCGUACGUCCUGGCGGCAAAUCCGGUGGAGUGGUUGGGAUGUAGCCAGUCGACACCCGACUCGUCCCCUGGAAGGGUCCUUGCCUGGUCGAGGGUCGGAUGUCGUACGACGUCCUGAUGUUGAAUCGCUGACCUUGGCUAUCUCGAGGGGGUCUUGAUUAGACGCACCAUCUCUGUUUCCGACGUCCUGACACGCUCUGGGCUGUUUGGUGGGGAAGGCUGCAAAAAGAUCGAUGGGACGGAUGCCUGUUCCGUUUCACGCCUCCCGUGACCCAUGUGUUAGGUGGGGAAGCACCAGGCGCAUUUAAUGCCCCGGCUCGCGUGCGCGCGUUAGGCGGCGGCGGCGUCCUUGCGCUCGACGCCUCCCGAUUCGCGUGAGCCUGUUCCGUAUUCGACGAUAACCAGAGCUCGACGCCUGAUUGAUUCGCUCGACGCUAUUUCUGUCUUCGAGGCUACGGCCGUCGAUGGUUGCGCGUAUGUAUGGACGGAGCGUCGAAUCGAAGAUCUAGUCUUAUGUACGGAUGGUCUCGUUAUAUGUAUUGGUGAGGGUACCCCUUGUUGAUACCCUCGACACUAUGACAAAUAUUUCAUGAUUUUUUGGAGUACUAUAUCUGUGUUAUGUAAAUUAUGAUUGAGAUAUGGCUUGUUUUCUUAUUAAAAUCAUAGCAAAUAAUUGGUGCUUAUGAUGGAACUCUACUUUGGUGGCAAACUUGUUUAUGGUAUUAGUAACAUGUAAAUAAUCUGAAAUUAGUUGUUUGACACCAAAUAGGCCAUGUUUCUGAAUUUAUGAAAUAAACACCUUGUCACAUGUUAAAUGCAUAUCUUUAAUUUGGCAUGUGCAAUUGCUCUGAAAUUUUUAUGGUGAUGUCACAAUGCCAUACUUGUGCUUCUGUAAUUUUUGUAGAUUUUUCUGAGCACUUUUACUAGUGUCUUGUAAUUAUGCUCCUUUCUAGAAUUAAAUUAAUAAAUGCCUGGUUAAGUAAAUGUUUGGAGGUUUUCAUAUGAUGUUCUGGUUAUCUUGUGGUGUGCUUGUGCUCAUAGGCCAUUUGGUUGGCACUAUUUAUGUUUUGGCUAUGUCACCAAACAAUUAAUUAAAGGGUUAAAGGCUGUUCUGAACAGCAAGGGAGUAAUACAACCUUUACUUGUUGAUAACUUGGUUUUCUGGGAGGCUUGUCUAAAUCGAAGUUGUUGUAAACUUUAUGAACUAGCUGUGGUUUAAAUUUGGGAUCAAUUGGUCUAGUAGUUUGAAAGUUAUGGCUAUUCCAAGUUGGGUUCCAGAAAUAGGUGCUCUCUGUUUUUCUGGGACAGAACCUGGAACUUUGUUGAAAUGACUUGGUUAACCUAUAAAUCUUGCUGUGAUGUUCAAAGAUGAUUUGUAGAUAAUGUCAUGAGCUUUCCAGAAUGUCCUCACUUAAGUUUGUUGGAUCUUUGUAGCAAUAGUUAUGGUCUGUUUACUGAGCUGUUCUGUUUUGUGUUGCUUGCUGUUUAUAAGUUGACUUGUCUAGUUCGAUUAAUUCAUGUGGUUUUCUUGUAAGUUCACUUAGAAGUUUACUCCGUAAAUGAGUGUCCAGUGAGUUUAUUUAUGUGUCAAGCAUUCAUCCCUUAUUAUGCACAUCUUCUUAUUCGUUGAGCAUGCAAUAGGUGCAUCGGACGCGACCGCUUCCUACGAGCUCCAAGUGAACCCCGAAGGCCAGGAGGGCAACCCGGAGGUGGAGGUCCAGCAAGUCGGACUCGAGGAGCCCGAAGAGGAAGUUGAGUGCCCAAAUCACGAGCCAGCUUCGUUCGUGAAUGGCAAGCUCCGGAGCAUGCUAAGUCUCCAUUUACUUUCGAAAGUUUACUUAAUAUGUUAUAUCUAUUGAUGCAUUAAGUAUAGGAGUUGUGAUGAAACUUUUGCUGCAUUUUACUCCAUCCUUGUCUAGAUAACUUACCAUACCCUGGUUAUAGAGUUAGGAUUGAGUAGCAGCUUAGCCAUGCUUUAAUCGGUAGAAGUCGGGUGAUUUCCUGUCACCUGCGCGAUAUAGGGUUAUGUCGGAUCACGAUGGACUAUAUGUGCUAUCGUGGGUGGAACCUGAUUAAAUUGACUUAAGCCGGACGGAGUUUUGCAAGGUCAUAGUAACUCCGUCUGUGGCAGCUAAGGACCGACCGUUGUACGUCCUCUUGUCAUGUUGAACGCAUGCCUAACACUUAGUUGGCCGGAUAACUCGUUCCGACCGCGAAGCCGAGUAAUAUGACUCAGGCCGGAAGGUCGAUAAGUAUAAAGUGCGCACUACCGGAGGAAGUGCGGUGUGCGGGGGAUCACUGGCGUAAGUCCAAAGGAAAGUGAGUUAAAAUUCCUGACCUCCCUGGCAGAGUGGUAGCCCUGGGAGUCGGCGCUAAUCGGAACCGCGAUUCCUGAGUCGUAUCAAAGGUGACCCGUUGGCUCUCCGACGGGGGAUGCUUGUGUCAGUGAUAGGAAUACCCCUCCAGCUAGAUAGGAAUUCGAUUCGAAUCGUCGUCUCUCCCGGUUAGUGAGAACUUGACAGAGCAGCGGCAAACGUAGCAUUCACUAAAGAACUUUGGUUCAUGAUAAUGAUGAUAGCAAGGAAGAGUACAUGAUGAACUUGAUAUGGUUAUUAUUGCUUGUAAUAAUCAAGUGAAGUGUUUUAGUACAGGUGCUAAUCUAGUGGUAGACUAAUGAUGAAUAAAUAUGAUGCUCUCACAAUAAUUUAGUAUAAUUUAAGCUUUUGGCAAAUGUCGAGUCAUCCAGCUCUAUUUAAAUUUUAGCCUUGCAUCAUCCUUGGUGUCUUUUAUGUUUUACUAGACAGGUAAGUCUAGCUGAGUACAAUCUCAUACUUAGGGUUUAUUCCCACCUGUUGCAGAUGAUAUCUUUUAUGAUGGCAUCUGCAAGACCUGUCUCCAUCCCGCUAGGGAUGAGGACUAACCAUUGGCCACGGUUCUCUAACUUCUUCGCAUCUGCUGCUUUUGGAUGGAUGGCAUGAGACCCUGGCUGAACAAGAACUUAUGAAAUGAACUUUGAAAAGUGUGUGUAAUUAUUUUGCUUCCGCUACUUCAAACAUGUGUUGUAAUAACUUAAUAACUCCGAUGUGGUGCCGCUUCGACGGUAAUGAAUGACUAUGUAACAUCUGCUGUGUUGUGCUGAAUUAUUACGAUCUUGGUUUGUUGCAAGUUGGUUUGAAGCCCUUCGUGAUUUCAAUUGACUACCGGGAUUAUAUGGGCUCAAGUUUGGAAACUUGAUUGCUUGUCGAUCGUUUCUACACUUGAACUCUUAUAAUUUGGUCGGUUCUGUGACAAAAUAUUUCCUUUCUACUUUAUAAAAUAAAAAUAAAAAAAAUUGGGAGCAAUAAUUAUUAAGGAGUCUCAACAUGAUAAAGGCUAGACAUUUAUGCUAACACUUAAUCAGUUCCACAAGCUUUGUUGUCUAUUUGAGCUCCACAGAAAUUAAGAAUCAAGAAGACUAGCAGACGGAGGACAUUCUAAUCGCUGUCAGAAUGCUGCUAGCUUUCAAAUACACCUCUGCCACCUGCUAGCUACAUCAAGAGAAAAUACAUCAAAAUUCAGCUUGGGGGAGAGCACCCCCAUUUAUCCCGAUAAGUAUUUCUACCUAUCUUUAUACUUAUAUUAUAUUAGAAUUUAAAUAUACAUAACCAUAGAAAACCAAAUAAAGAUUUUAUGCUUAUAUAUAUAUAUAUAUCUUUUGCUUAGUGUGUUUAAUAAAUAAAUAAAGUGGCUAUGCUAAUCUGUAUCUAAAUAAAACUCUAUCAUGGAUAUAAUGAAUAGUUGCUCUGCUUAAUUUUAAAAUUUGAAGUUCUCUCUCAAGUUUAGAUAUAACUGUUAUAAUUUAAAGCUUGCUCUAGACCUAAACUUAUGGGAUGAAAACUUGAUCUAAAGUCUAAAUUGUUCACGGAUACGAUAUGGGAAAGUUGAGCUGCUGUUUAUCUGUUCCUAGAGAUGCUAGAAUUCUGGAGAAUUUUAUCUUUGAAAAUCUUUAAAAUAUUGCAUGAUGAGUUCCUGUAUGAUGAGAGUUUUCCUACCACAGCCAUAUAUAUGCAUGCUUGCUAGACUUUGAGCCACACAUUUACUAUUUACUGCUUAUGAGCAUUGAGUGUGGUCAAGCUGUGUAUACCCUUAGGAGCUUGUCAUGUGGUUAAAUCAAGAUUCACUUGCACGUUCACUCAUAUAUGCUACUUCUACUCCGGAAGUACCAUCCACAUAUAUCCACUCAUUUCCAUCUUUAGAAUCACCUAAAAAUAUUCUACUCCUAAUCCGGGAGAGAAUAGCCAAAAAUAUUUCUGAUUUCCCCUGUGAAAUAAAUGCUCAAGUUAUCUUGUUACUACCACUUGCUAUAUUAUCUCAAGAGAUGAGUGCUCUAAAAAAAAGAGAGAAGAAAAGAAGAUACGAGGAAAUAAAAAGGGGAAAGUGCCCAGAACCUCGAAAGUAAAGAAAAAGUGAGACGAGAGGUAAAAAUGGACAAGUGUCCGAAAGUAGAAUUAAGGGUACAAGAUACCCACCUGAAAAAAAAAGAAGAGCAUCUCAUUCUCCCCAUAAAGUUCAAAAAGCAAGGAAGGUAUGUAUCCUCUCAAAAGAGCAAAAGUAGAAUUAGACUUUCACCAUUGUUAUCACCAUCAUCACCAUACACCAUUCAUUCGCCACACAUGCACAUAUUGAUUAAACUUAUUGACUUGUUUCUCUGGAUCCAUGGUUUCACUAUACAAUAAAUGUCUUGUAAGUCUGUAUAUUUUAUCUCCCACCUAUGAGCUCCAGAUAUUAAAGCCUUAUUAGAGUAGGGUGAGAGAGAAGGCAAUGUCACUAUACCUUAUUCCACAAAUACCACAUAUUUUGAGAGAAGCCAUAUACCAUCACUGCCUUGGUAAGGAUCCAGAAAUACCACAAAGAGAGAUAUAAGAUAGUCAUACAAAGGAAUCUCUGAGUUUUAUUUGAAAAUCUGCAAAAACUUCAGAGCUAUAGCUGAUCAAGAAUAAGAGACAUGGCACUUGACUAGACUGUUCUAUCUUUUAACCACACGAGACAGAAGUGACGGUUACAAGUCCCAUGGUGAAAGGUAAAGUAAGUAAGUUUUAUGUCUUGACAGUUUACUCUAACUCAGAGAUGAGACCUCAUUUAAAAGCAUGCGUACCGUCAAUUUUUAAAGUAUUGCAGCAACUUCUAAUCUAUCCUUGCUCAGGGACGAGCAAGAGGUAAGCUUGGGGGAGUUUGUUGACGGUCCUUAAGUAUCAAAUUUAAUUAUCAAAUAAACAAAGAAAAGGAUCCAAAUGAAAUCAACAUCUAGACUUAGGGUUUUAUCUAACAGAAUUCCAUGAGUUUUGGUGUUUGUCUAUUUCUGCAGGGGGUUAUCAGGAAAUACGGAAGAAAGGCCCACACGUCGGGAUUACAUAGAGAUAUUAACGUGCCGCGCAAUUAUCUUACAUCUAGAAGACUCCAGAAGCCACGGGAAGGAAGCGGAGGCCGAACGGGGCCAGGGACUGGGUGCCCGCCCUGUUGCCCUGGGCACCCGCCCUCCUGCCGAGCCCAAUCAGGACUCUAUUUCGGGGACGAUCUCCACCGACCUAAAGGAUCAAGGAUAACCGUUCAAUCAAUGUCAGUUUGAUCCAAUGGCCCAUAUUCAUUUGAAGGGACUAUAAAACCAGACCCCCUGGCCCCUGGAGGAGAAAGCCUCUCAACCCUAAUUCAUUAUUCCUCAAGGGAGAAGAAGCCUCUGAUCAAGAUUAGAGCCACCACAUCAAUUAGACAUCUAGAUUAGCAUAGCUACAUAGGAUUAAUACUAGAAGGAGUCAAUCUUCGAUUGGUUUCCGGAUCUGUCAAGAGGAUUCUUGGUAAUUCUCUAAUUGUUCUUCUAACUGUUCUUCUAAUUAUCUUUGUUCUUCAAUAUUAUGAAUAUGACUUUGUUCUACUUCAAUAUAUUGCUUAUGACUUUGCUCUACUUGCUUAUAUUCAAGAUUAUAUUGUUCUUAGUUUAUCAUAGUUAUAUACUUGGCUUAGUUAGAUUGGAUCUAUAUACACGUUUAGGAUCGUAUAACGUUUAUCCAUUGGAUCCAUGGGUAAAUGAGAGAUAUUGUGUAGGCGUGGUGCUUUUUACAGUAUUUAUCUGCGAUUGUACCCAAUAUGCCAGAUUGUGGGGUAGUUCGUGAUAGUGAUAGCUUCAUUGAUUCUUAUAUAAUCCCCCUCUCGUGUAUUGGGCUGGCAGAGCAAUAUUAUUAUAGGGGCGUGAUUGCUAUGUUUCUCAUUUACCUUGCUAAUAUCACUAUGCAUGGGCGUAGUCUUGUCUCACAAUGAUUGCUAAGUAUGCUUGCACUAAUUAUGAUAAUGCUAGACUAUAUAGUUGAGAAUAACUUAGGAAAUAUUCUUGUAGUUCAUUCUAAUACCAUGCUAAUGACUUUCUAGAGUAUCUAAUGGAGGUGCUUAUCAUAUUUAUAUGUGGCUAAGUUAUGCUGAUCAGAUUAAUAUCUUUGUCACUAUUCAUUACUUCAUAUAUCUUUUAUGUGACACUUAUCCCUGUAUGAAAGAGUUAGAUAAAUGUUCUCAAUUAUACAUGCAAUGAUAGAUACUCAAUCUCAUAUUCUAUUCUGUAAUCAAUAUUGAUGAGUGCUAAUCCCUCCCUAGUGGUAAAAAUAUAAAUAACGAUACCUGGAAUACUUCCCGGUUAAAAUGCUACAUCGGUAUUAAUGUGUGCGCUUGCAGAUCCCAUUCAUUAUUUAUUUAGAAGAGCAAUUGCAUAUUUCAAUACCGCGUCUCUUAUGUCAUGCUGGGGAUGACAACUUGGCUUAAGUGGUGUGAGGGAUAGGUUUGGCAUUUUUGGCACCGUUACUAAAAUUAGAAAACUAAGUCUACUUUUGGUAAUGAUGUUAAGAAUACCCAACACGCACCUCCCCUCCACUUUCUGUCACCGACAGCCCGGGCCCACGCGACAGCGUCUCAUCCCUCCUUCCUUUCUUCUUCCCAGCCGUCCGGGACUCUACGCGGGCAACGAAUCCCGUUUUGGAUGGGAUUAACCGCAUAGAAGAUCUUCCUGAACCCCUAUAAAGCUUCUUCUCCACGCCGCAGGUUUCCUUUAGCGCCUAGGCCGACUCAUCCGCACCAUAGCCGUCUCGGACGCAGUGUUUCGGAUCUCGCCGGAGAUUCUUCCGCCGCCGCGCAUAGCCACACCUUCCCGCUAGCCCUCUGCCCGAGAAAGCCCCCUUGGUGAGUUCGCCGCGGACUCCUAUACCUCCCGUGACUUUGGCGUGGGUUUUGGUGCACAGAACCGUGAAAACGGACGACGCCAGCGAGCUCGGCUCGCACAGCCAUGGCGCUGCCACGCCGGACCUCUUUCCGGUGGCCGGCUGGCCGGUGUUUUCCUCUAGGUGAAGCCUAAGUCGUUGGAUCGGGAAUCGGUGGCCGAGAUUAGAAGAUACCCCUUCGGGGGGUAUUUUUCUUAAAGAGUCCCUGGCUUAUUUAAGUAUUGAACCCGCGGUCCAUGGCGCCUUGAUGAGAAUACGCGUUUCGGGUCUAAAAGCGUAUUCGCCGUCGGUUUUGUUGAAAUACGUUUUCACAUAAUUACAGAAUUGCCACUGAUUUAUAAUGCUCAUAAAAUACUCGUUUUAACUCCGUUUUUGUCCAUUCAAAUUUCGUUAGAUUCGUAUUCACGAGCUCUACAUGUUAGAAGUAUUAGUUUACUGUUUUGAAACUUUUUAAUUCUGCCGUGGCAUUUAAUUAAUUAUUUUUCUAUAGGAAAUCUUAGAAAAUUCAUAUCUUCCACGUUUUAAUUCUGAUUUUUGUCAACUUUACGUUUGUGUGAUCGUAGCGCUGCGUAGAAUAUUUUCAUAAACUUUUAUCUUUGAUUUCUCACUCUUGGUGUAAUGUUCUAAUUAUAGCUUGUUUGCUUUGUGAAUGAUUGCCUACAUUGGAUUGCGUGUUGUUGAUUGAUGUUUGGGAAUAGACGGUGAGCCGUACGUUGGUGAUCAAGAUCAAUCUUUUGAAGACCAGCAGCAGACUCAGGAGAGCUUUGAUCAAGGCAAGUAUAACUGGGGAUCAUUCUUGUUACCUAUACACCAUUAAUACAAUAUUAAUCAUUUGCAUGUGUUCACCUUGAUGACCUUAGCAAAAUCAUAGAUGAUUGUUAUCCUGAAUUCCUUGUUACCUAUUUGGAUAUGCAUUUGGGUAGUUCUUGCUAGUGCUUGAUUAUUAAUCCAUGAUCUUGUAACAUGAAUAUUUGAAUAUACAAUAAACAAUAAAAUAAGCUUUCUAGCAACUUGAAUAUAAAAGGUGGAAAGAACUCUAGCUUUUGCUAGAUUGAUCUUGACCCUCCAUAAGAACUUAUCCCUUGGCAAAAGCUGGGACAACUCGUACAACCAUGAGGGCUACAUGGCUCUGGUUUUAGCUCAGUAUGAGGAUCUCUUUCUAGCUUGUUAGCGGUUACCUUAAAUGGCGUAAGAAUGGCUAGACACGUUGCGUAUAGUGUGGCCUCUGUCCAUGUGUAUAGGCUGCGGGUUACGUGCUAUGGAAGGGGGGAUCUAUAUCUGCCAGCCAAGUGAGUCUAAUGGCCCUAAUUUGUUAGACAAAACCUUUGAAAGGCUUCAUAGUGAACCCUGCCGACCUCCCUAGGAUGGGAGUUAAGAGACUUGCAACCUCGGGCGAAAGGGUAAAUCAUGACUUAUGGGUAAAGAUGUACAACCUCUACAGAGUGUUCAAUCUAGUAUACUAGCCGUUGUUGACGGUCCUUAAGUAUAAUAUUUAAUUAUCAAAUAAACAAACAAAAGGAUCCAAAUGAAAUCAACAUCCAGACAUAGGGUUUUAUCUGACAGAAUUCCAUGAGUUUUGGUGUUUGUCUAUUUCUGUAGGGGGUUAUCAGGAAAUACGGAAGAAAGGCCCACACGUCGGGAUUACAUAGAGAUAUCAACGUGCCACGCAAUUAUCUUACAUCUAGAAGACUCCAAAAGCCACAGGAAGGAAGCGGAGGCCGAACGGGGCCAGGGACUGGGCGCCCGCCCAGUUGCCCUGGGCGCCCGCCCUCCUGCUGAGCUCAAUCGGGACUCUUUGCGCACACGACGCUCCACCGACCUUAAGGAUCAAGGAUAACCGUUCAAUCAAUGUUGGUUUGAUCCAACGGCCCGUAUUCACUUGAAGGGACUAUAAAACAAGACCCCCUGGCCCCUGGAGGAGAGAGACUCUCAACCCUAAUUCAUUAUUCUUCAAGGGAGAAGAAGCCUCUGAUCAAGAUUAGAGCCACCACAUCAAUUAGACAUCUAGAUUAGCAUAGCUACAUAGGAUUAGAACUAGAAGGAGUCAAUCUUCGAUUAGUUUCCGCAUCUGUCAAGAGGAUUCUUGGUAAUUCUCUAAUUGUGCUUCUAAUUGUUCUUCUAAUUAUCUUUGUUCUUCAGUAUUAUGAAUAUGACUUUGUUCUACUUCAAUAUAUUGCUUAUGACUUUGCUCUACUUGCUUAUAUUCACGAUUAUAUUGUUUUUAGUUUAUCAUAGUUAUGUACUUGGCUUAGUUAGAUUGGAUCUAUAUACAUGCUUAGGAUCGUAUAGCGUUUAUCCAUCGGAUCCAUGGGUAAAUGAUAGAUAUUGUGUAGGCGUGGUGCUUAUACCGUAUUUAUCUGCGAUUGUACCCAAUAUGCCAGAUCGUGGGGUAGUUCGUGAUAGUGACAGCUUCAUUGAUUCUUAUAUAGUCCCCCUCUCGUGUAUUGGGCUGGCAGAGCAACAUUAUUACAACAGAGUGAUUGUUAUGUUUCUCAUUUACCUUGCUAAUAUCACUAUGCAUGGGCGUAGUCUUGUCUCGCAAUGAUUGCUAAGUAUGCUUGCACUAAUUAUGAUAAUGCUAGACUAUAUAGUUGAGAAUAACUUAGGAAAUAUUCUUGUAGUUCGUUCUAAUACCAUGCUAAUGACUUUCUAGACUGUCUAAUUGAGGUGCUUAUCAUAUUUAUUAUGUGGCUAGUUAUGAUCAGAUCAAUUAUCCUUGUCACUAUUCAUUACUUCAUAUAUCUUUUAUGUGACACUUACCCUGUAUGAAAGAGUUAGAUAAAUGUUCUCAAUUAUACAUGCAAUGAUAGAUACUCAAUCUCAUAUUCUAUUCUGUAAUCAAUAGUUAUGAUUGCUAAUCCCUUCCUAGUGGUAAAAAUAUAAAUAACGAUACCUGGAGUACUUCCCGGUUAAAAUGCUAUAUCGGUAUUAAUCUGUGCGCUUGCAGAUCCCAUUCAUUAUUUAUUUAGAAGAGCAAUUGCAUAUUUCAAUACUGCAUCUCUAAUGUCAUCCUGGGGAUGAUAACUUGGCUUAAGUGGUAUGAGGGAUAGGUUUGGCAUUUUUGGCACCAUUACUAGAAUUAGAAAACUGUCUACUUUUGGUAAUGAUGUUAAGAAUACCCAACAGUCGUGCCCACGGAUACGGGUGGCCCGAAAAACUGAUGAAAUAGAUGGACACUGAUGAACAUGAUUAAUGAUGAUAAAUGAUGGUUUAUUAUGUUGUUUAUAUGUGUUAUUCUUAAUUCUUGUAUACAUUGAUCAUGUGGUUAUGGGAUUUAAUUAUGCUACCAUGACAAUUGCUAUCUAAAUAUAAAUAUGCUAUCUACAUAUAAAAGCUAAAUGCAGUCAAACCAGUGUCAGCUAUUUGAGUCUCAUGAACCCCUGGUUAUACUUGUUGAGUACGAUAUGUGCUCACUCUUGCAAUUUCCCCCACACUUCAGGAGAUGUUUUGGGCUUGUGAUCAUUGAGUCAGUUUGAUCCUGUGGAGAGGAGUUAAUACCCAAAGUUUGGAGUUGUCUAUCCGCUAUUUGCUAUCAAAGGUUUUCUCUUUUAUACUAAGUAUGUUAUAUAUUUAUGCAUUGUCUUUUGAUAUUACCCCUUAUUUGUAGCUAUAUGUGAGAUUUGACUUCUAAGACUCACAUAUGUUGCAUAUCUUUUUUUAUCCUUAAAAUCGGGUAUUACAGAGUGGUAUCAAAGCAAUGCUGGUUGUAGAACGCAAGCCUAGUUAGAAACUAAUCGUCUUAAGGUUUUGGAAUUGUCAUAAAAUCAUUGCUCUAUAAACCUUGGUAUUUUCAUCCAUACUAUAUCUGUAUCCUUGCUAUUUGUCUCUACCUUGUUGCUUAUUUUAAAAGUACUUGUUCUCACCUUCACUCCUUGAUUUGGUGUGCUAUUAGAACCUUUUCUUACCACCUUCUUGCGUCUUUGAAAUAUAAGUUUUAGGAUCUUCACCCUUAAUACCAAGAGAACGGUAGUAUCGUAAGUUGAGUGAAGUGUGAACCUUUAAUGCUUAAUUGGUUGUUAUUAUGUUUAUGCUUGAUUUGGAUCUUUGUAAUGAUUGCAAUGAUCUUGUGGAUUUCCUCACAAUUUCAUUAGUUCAUAGGCCUAAGGCAUAAGGAUUAGUGAAAUAAGUAGUUGGGUUUGGCUAUCUCUUGUUUCUAUCCUUUGCUGAUUUCUGGAGCAGUCUGCAAUAAUUCUGAUGUAUCUCAAGUUCUGAUUGUGCAAAGUUUAUCAAAGUUUUCUAGAAACAACUAGACUUCAAGAUCUUUCUCUGACCACAAGAGUCACCCUCAUAGCUAUUAUGGUUUGGAAGUUACAAAAAUCACAAGAUGAUACAGACGUGCUGUCAGGAAUCUGGACCAGUUUUGGUUGCCUACUGUUUUAGACAAAUAUAGCUAUAGAAUUUGGAAAAGUGUUCUAUAAAAAGGUUGUAGACAAUUUGCUAGCUUUCCAACAGUAUAAGCUGGAAUUUAUUUGGACAAGUAGAACCUGAGAUAUGACAUUUACACUUGGAUGUUUCUGUUAUGUUUCAAAAUCUGGACAGAUCUGGUAUUUCCUAUUUUCAGACAACUUAAUUUCAGAAUAUGGGAAAAAGUUGUAUACGAAAGUUGUAGAGGAUUUCAUAAGCUUUUAAAAAAUAUAAGGAUCAUCUCUAGAUGAGUUAAGGAGCUCGAGAUAUAACUUCUGGAAGUUACUUCACCUUUGCUCAGACAUUGCCAGGAUGGAUAUUAAGUUUGGUUGUUUUACCUAAGCUUAAAGACAGAAUCUAAGGAAGUCUUCUACAUGAAAGUUGCAGGGAAUUUCAUAAGUUUUCUAACGGUAUAAGAUACAACUCUAUUGGAUUAAUAGAAUAAGAGUUAUACUUGUUUUACUACGCUGGUGUUUUCAUAUCAUGAGAAGAUUUCAGGAUACCUGUUUGUUCUCUUGCACCUAAGUUCUUUGGGAUGUCAGGAGUUCUCAAUGUUAGUUAACUUGUCUGGAAAGCAUGCAAGCUACUUUCUUGUUCCCUAGUUGACUUUUCAUAAGGGGGUAGCCUAGUUAAAGAAGUUACACGGAGAAUGAUUGGUUAAUGUUGGAUCAUAUGUUAGGAUCACAAAUGUUAGGUGAAUUUGGUUUUGAUUCAAGAUAUCAUCCCAUAUAGAGAAUAUUAAUGGAGAGUUAUGUUAUGAGGAUCAGAUGACACCAAAUUCUACAAAGCUAUAUGUACAAAGUGAGAGUGAAGCAACUUAACCGUGGUAAAGGUACCGAUAAUUAGAACUUAGUGAUGAAACUAACCUUGGAUCAAGAGACUCGGUACAACAAAUGUAAAAGACUAUGAUGUGUAGCAUACAAAAAGGAUAGGAGCACCAGUCCCUGUCCCCCAAUCAAUCUUGUCUUAAGGGGGGUUAGUACCCUGAUAUCACUGGGUGAUGCAUUUUUAAAACUAUCAUGAAGUGAUAACUGUCUUCAGAGAUAUCUCAUAGUCAUGUGCACACAAAGGAGUGAUCUAUGCUACUCGGUGGAAAAUUUUCUUAACCGCACCAUCAGGGAAAAGAAUCGAGUAUCAAGGUGGUCCACUCCUACCCGAGGAGGCAUAUCCAUGCUAAGUUAUCAUGUCUUCAAGUUGUAUAUGUCAAAAAGUUGGUAGUCAAGUUGGACCUUGAACAAUUACGAAUAAUAGACAUUUUAUGGAAGUUUUAUUCACAAGUUGUUAUCCUGAGACAUGAGUGUUUGCUUUUGGAAUACAUUUGGUGAAGUUGAAAUAGUUAUCAAGAUCUUUUUCGUGUCUCUCUUUUGGAAUCCGUGCCUCUUCCGAAUCUUGAGGACGAGAUUCAUUUUAAGGGCGGUAGAUUUGUAACACCCUAAAAAUUGUUUUCUGGGAAAUAGAGCUAAAAUGAUUUAAUUAUGAAUUUUUAGUGCUUAUGAAAAUAUAGGAAAAAUAAUAUUUUUCACUAAAUUAAAACUUAUCAUAGGAUGUAGAAACAUUUGUGUAUAUUCAUGCUGGUGCAUAUGAUUUUGAUAUGAGUGGUUUUACUAAGGUUCAAAAAUAAUUCAAAGUGAUUUUUAAAAUAGUUUUGAAUAUGGCUUUGGAAUAGAAGAAAGGAAAAUAGAAAAAAAAACAAAACAAAACCCCUCCCCCUUUCCUGGCCCGAUGGCCCAAACUUCCCCUCCCCUCUCUCUCUCGGGCUGCAAGCAGGCCGAGCUCAGCUCCCCUUUCCCCCUUCUCCUCUGGGUCGAGCCCGUUUCCCCUCUCUCGCGGCCUGCCCAACCCGCGUGGCUUUCUCCUCCCAGCGACUCGGCCGCCAACGCACCUACCCUCCACUUUCUGUCACCGACAGCCCGGGCCCACGCGGCAGCGUCCCAUCCCUCCUUCCUUUCUUCUUCCCAGCCGACCGGGACUCUAGGCGGGCAACGAAUCCUGAUUUGGAUGGGAUUAACCGCAUAGAAGAUCUUCCCGAACCCCUAUAAAGCUUCUUCUCCACCCCGCAGGUUUCCUUUAGCGCCUAAGCCGACUCAUCCGCACCCUAGCUGUCUCGGACGCAGUGUUUUGGAUCUCACCGGAGAUUCUUCUGCCACCGCGCAUAGCCACACCUUCCCGCUAGCCCUCUGCCCGAGAAAGCCCCCUUGGUGAGUUCGCCACGCACUCCUCUACCUCCCCGUGACUUUGGCGUGGGUUUUGGUGCACAAAACCGUGAAAACAGACGACGCCGGCGAGCUCGGCUCGCACAGCCAUGGCGCCGCCGCGCCGGACCUCUUUCCGGUGGUCGGCUGGCCGGUGUUUUCCUCCAGGUGAAUCCUAAGCCGUUGGAUCGGGAAUCGGUGGCCGAGAUUAGAAGAUACCCCUUCGAGGGGUAUUUUUCUUAAAGAGUCCCUGGCUUAUUUAAGUAUUGAACCCGCGGUCCAUGGCGCCUGUUGACGGUACUUAAGUAUAAAAUUUAAUUAUCAAAUAAACAAAGAAAAGGAUCCAAAUGAAAUCAACAUCUAGACUUAGGGUUUUAUCUGACAUAAUUCCACGAGUUUUGGUGUUUGUCUAUUUCUGCAGGGGGUUAUCAGGAAAUAAGGAAGAAAGGCCCACAUGUCAGGAUUACAUAGAGAUAUCAACGUGCCGCGCAAUUUUCUACCAUCUAGAAGACUCCAGAAGCCACGAGACCGAAGCGGAGGCAAAACUAGGCCAGGCCCAGGGCGCCCGCCAUGGUAGCCUAGGCGCCCGCCCCCCUGUUGGAGCCAAUUCAGGACUCCUUCGCUCGGGAUAUUCCACCGACCUAUUGGAUCAAGAAAAACAUAGUACCACCUUGGCUAUCGACCCAAAAACGCAUAGAAGGGGAGGACUAUAUAAGCAAGGCCCCCUGGCCCCUAGAGAAGACAUGAAGAAAUUAUCAUAGAGACUGAGGGGUGCCCUCGAAGGAAAACCUCUUCUCUAAUUAAUAUUUCUUUUUAGGCUUAGCAAUCAAUGUAAGGUAGAAAUAGAUCUUCUAGUUUCUACUAGAUUGAGAGAGAUAGAGUGGAGGUGUAGAGUGGAGGAAGCCCGGCCUGUCGGUGUCUACUCUAAGCUUGUACCUGCGGGAUCAAGUUCUCCUAACCCGAAGCUUGCUCCUAGGAUUCUUCAGUAAUUCGACUUCUAAAUUCUAGUAAGUUCUUGUUUUAUUAUUCUUAUGGUUUAUGAGUUUACUUUAAUCUCUUCGCGUAUAGUUUAGAGUAAUCAUUGCUGGCGUAAACGUGGUGUUUAGGCUGGGGUACUCAUAGAUAUUCCCUGACUAGCUGGACCGUGGUAGUAGUGAGGAACGUGACAAUUCCGAGUUACCUUUGCAGAUCACAUCUCGUUAGCAGGAAGGAUAGGGUUUAUAGGUGCGGGUUGAACAUCCUUUGUGGUGUCUAGAUUCCGUUAGCCUCCCCAUUAGAACAGUAGAUCAUCCUUACCAAGGUUAGAAGGAGACUACGGUUGCAGUCUUCUCUAUUUAUCACUCACAUCGAAAGACAUUCUUUGUGCCUAAAGGGAUAGUAGCAAUAGAUUUGGUUAGUCAGAUGCACCCUUUCUCCCAGUGGUAAAAAUAUAAAUACGAUAACUCUGGAUAACCUCCCGGGUGAAAUGCUCACCGAUAUCCGUGCGCUUGCGGAUCGUUUCCUUAUUGCGUUACCAAAUAUCAACAAGCAUUUCUGGCGCCGUUGCCGGGGAGAAAGACGGUUUGCUGAGAUAACUUUGAGUCUUGCUAUUAUCUUGUAUUAUACUUUUAUACUUUUAUUCUUUUAUCUUUUUAUUUUUAUGGAUAACUCAAAAUCCAUACCUAUUAUUAAAUUCUUUGCACCUUCAGAGACCAGCCAUAGACCAUGGGAGUCAACACGUCCUGCCCCUAAUUAUGAUCUGUGUCCGGAGUUGAUUGCAAUAGGUCAAAACCAACCCUUUUCUAUAGCUGAGGUCCUAUCUUUUAAUCAAAAAGAUAAUGCACUUUUAGCUACACCUAGGGAAUCUUUUAAUCUUUCUAUAAAUUCUGGUUUAGACCUAGCCCUACAAGACCAUGUUUUUCCUAGAUAUUUUCACAUUGGUCUUAAUCAUAUAACCUUUGGUAGAGUCUUUCUUUCUUUAUCUAUUAGUAAAGGAAGGUAUGUCUUCAUUCGUAGACAUCCUUCUUGCACUAGUCUUCAUAGAAAAAUCUUAGAGAUAGAGACGGAAUCAUCUCCCAUACAAGGAGAGGAAGUUUCAGUAGCCGAUUUCCAAACAUUUCAAUCCCAUAAUUCGGCUAUCCAACCCAUCCUUGAGCUUAAUAAUUUCUACUAUGCUUUUUCUCUUGAACCUCCCGAUAAUCUUAUGAAUCUCUCUAGACAUCCCAUGCAUAAGAAGGAGGAUCGAGAAGAGCAACAUCAAUGGCUAGAGGGCAUUAAAAAUCCAUGUGCUAUCACCAUUGAAUGGAUAGAUAAAACAAACUUGAGAGACAAUCCUAGAGGAAUUUUAAGCAUUCAUGAAGAAUCAUCCUUAGAGUUUGAGAAUGAGAGAAACAACAGUGAGCAUGGAAGUUAUUUCAUAAAUACCUUACCAAGUCCUUGCUCAUAUAAAACAUCUCCCCAAUCAAUUUGUCUCUCCAUCCUUCCCACAUUUGAGAUCUCCAACCCCCUCUUCCUCUUCAUUUAUAAAAACUUUAAAAGGGUGGUUGUCGAUGCAUAUGUCUAUAAUAAAUAUUGCAGAUCUCGUUGAGUUGAUCUUCAUAUAGGUAGGUGUUGGAGGGGAAACCACUUCACCAACAUAACUUGAUGGUUUCCCAAGGACAAGCUUAGUGUCCUAAAACAAGCACUUAUCAGAUUAUAACAUGAACUUCUAAUUAUUUGCAACAUUGCCUUGUGUAUUGAGCAUAUAAAGAUAAUUGUAGAAAUAUUCCUUCGGGUAUUCUUGUCACUAACCUUUCCAGGAUUGGAGCAAGAAGAUCGGAUGAAUGACAAGCACAGGGUAUGUCCAACCAACCAUCACUCAACAUUGAAUUAAAUUCAUCCAAACUUGAAUUUUGUAAAAUUCAAGCUUGGGGGAGUACUUUACAUAAAAAACAUCUUUUGCCAUGUUGCUACGUUGAUUGUCCUUACCUUUGAGACAUGCUCAAUUUGUUAAAUACUAAUUACACUACUUCAUCUCCACUUAAGUAGAUCUCUACAAAUGCUCUCAUGCUACCUUUAUUUGCUUUAGUAUAUGUCUAGGUUUGGAAUAGUUUCAUUUAUCUCUUAAUUAAGCAUGGUGCUUAGUUUAGGAAUGAUGAUCUUACUUCCAAGGGAUUUUAAAUUAAGCAUGGUGCUUAGGUUAAAAUGCCCUUCUAAAUCAAAUUAGACAUGGUGUCUAGGUUGAUUUUUAAGCCGAUAGUAUGCUAUAGUAGAUAUGGGAUAUUUUGUUGGACUAACCCCUGCAGGAAAACUUUCAAUAUCAACCUGGGAAGUCCUGAGAUAAACUCGUAUCGGAGAUGAAGAAAGUGACACAUGAAGUUUAACAAUUUGCACAAUAAAGACGUGGCUCAUAAGAGAUGAUUCAAGGAGGGUGCCACAAACACGAUGCGCAACCGCUAAGAAAGGAAAGCUUCCACAAGGUGAUACUGUACCGUCACUCUUAAAGUAAGGUAACACCUUAAGGUACUUGACUAUCGCUUUUAUAAGCUUCUCCUUGGUUCUAGCAUUCACAUAAAUAAAGAGACAAACAUGUAUGAUUUAUAACUCCAGAUUAACCAACUCAAUUAAUUCAACAUGUUUAGUCAUUUAAUCUUUGUUCUUAGUACUACCUUCGUGAUCCCACGCUCCUAAACAUAUAAGCUAAUAUGUUGCACAUUCAAUAUUUGGAAGAUAUAAACAAAACAUAAAUAUAGAUUGAUCGUCUUUCCAUUAGGUUGAGUCAUCUGAUCUGACAAAUGUUUCAAAGACUACACUCAUGAUCUUAUUAUCCAUGAACUUUGUCUUGCUCACUAUGCUUAAAGUUAGAGAAGAACAAAUACACUUUUGGUUCUGUUGGUGUUUUCCACCAACAGAGCCCAUGCACUUGAUCUCUGCCUUGUCUCUAUGAACAGGUACACUUCAAGCAAAACAUGGAGGAGUUUUACAACUCCCAGACUCCACCAAGUGAAGGACCUGGAUCUAUGAGCACAAACACACUGAGCAGGAUAUUGCCAACACCAUACUUCGAACUACUGGGCAAAGAAGAACAUGGGUAACACCGUAUCAAGAGGUGCAGACGUCAAGGUCCACACCUAAUUAAAUGAUGCACCUAAAGGAUGAAGAUGGUGGAAAGUCUUGUCUAGAAGACUUAAAACAUUGGAUCCUUGUCGGAAGAGGUCAACAUCGUCGACUCAGGUCACCUUUCUUGAUCAAGAAGGACGACCCUGGUGUUCCAAGCAUCGAGUGCGCAAUCAAUGGAUACUCUUUUUAGAAGACACUCUACGACACCGGAUCUGACGACAACAUAAUGGCCGCAGUCACUUAUCAGCUCCUGCAUGGAACCAUGCCCCUACAACCAAUAUAUUCAGCUCCAGAUGAUUUUCAGGUCAUUGACAUGGGAGAAGACGAGUAUGAUCCACCCACCAUCCUUGGAAGACUGUUCCUCAACACUAUCAAAGCAAUCAUCUACAUUGGAACCGGAUAAGUCCACAUGUACUUCCCCUCUGAGAAGGUACGCAACUAUUUUACUGACCAUAACUAUAUAGUUGAAGACUCUAAGCAGGUCAGGACAAGAAGACGAUGCAACCGCAACCAGAGGAGGCAAAUCAUCGAGAACGGAUGGGUAGACUACGAAGGAGAAGUGAUAAGGACUGAAGACAUACAGCUUGAACAGAAGUAUCCUGAGGAGACUGUAGCACCGAGUCAGGUGUAGAGGGAGAAGAUAGUUAUACACAAAGAGAGGCGCCGCCGGAAUCACCGACUACGCCACCUAGUGAAUCCCAGGACGACUGAGAAAACAGAGAGUCCCGUUCGGAGGACAUAAAAAUACCGAACGCCUUGCCAAGAGGUAAACUUGGUAGUUACCCUUUCUUUUCAAUUAUUCAAUUAUAAUUUGCUUAGUUAAUCAGGUUCAUGCUAUCUUGAAAAGAAAAUAAAAAUGUUAAAAAAUAGUAAGCCCCAUGUGAGUAUGCUCCUAGCAUAAAACCCAUAAGUACAUUCACUGUGGUGGCAUAAAAAUAAAAUAAAUAAGUUUUCAUCUUACAAUAAAAAUAUAUAUAAAAAAAUAAAUAUAUAUAAUAAUAAUAAGUGUAUGAUCCUGCUAAAUAAAUAACAUUUAUUAAGGAAGCUCAACAUGAUGAAGGCUAGAUAUUUAUGCUAACACUUAAUUAGUUCCACAAGCUUUGUUGUCUAUUUGAGCUCCACAGAAUUUAUGAAUCAAGAAGACUAGCAGACGGAGGACAUUCUAAUCGCUAUCAGAAUGCUGCUGACUUUCAAAUACACCUCUGCCACCUGCUAGCUACAUCAAGAGAAAUUACGUCAAAAUUCAGCUUGGGGGAGAGCACCCCCAUUUAUCUCGCUAAGUAUUUCUACCUAUCUUUAUACUUAUAUUAUGUUAGAAUAUUAAAAUACAUAAACUAUGAAAAACCAAAUAAAGAUUUUGUGCUUAUAUAUAUAUCUUUUGCUUAGUAUGUUUAAUAAAUAAAUAAAGUGGCUAUGCUAAUCUGAAUCUUAAUAAUAAAACUCUAGCAUGAAUAUGAUGAAUAGUUGCUCUGCCUAAUUUGCAAUUUUGAAGUUCCCUCUCAAGUUUAGACAUAACUGUUAUAAUUUAAAGCUUGCUCUAGAUCUAAACUUGUGGGAUGAAAACUUGAUCUGAAAUCUAAGUUGUUAACGGAUAUGAUAUGGGAAGGUUGAGCUGCUGUUUAUCUGUUCCUAGAGAUGCUAGAAUUCUGGAAAAUUUUAUCUUGAAAAAUCUUUAAAAUAUUGCAUGAUGAGUUCCUGUAUGAUGAGAGUUUAAAUUCCUACCACAGCCAUAUAUACAUGCUUGCUAGACUUUGAGCCACACAUUUAGUAUUUACUGCUUAUGAGCAUUGAGUGUGGUCAAGCUGUGUAGACCCUUAGGAGCUUGUCAUGCGGUUAAAUCAAGAUUCACUUGCACGUUCACUCAUAUACGCUACUUCUACUCCGGAAGAACCAUCCACAUAUAUCCAUCCAUUUCCAUCUCCAGAAUCACCCAAAAAUAUUCUACUCCUAAUCCGGGAGAGAAUAGUCAAAAACAUUUUUCCUAUCACUGUUAUUCUCUGUGAAAUAAAUGCUCCAAAUAUUUUGGUUACUACCACUUGCUAUAUUAUCUCAAGAGAUGAGUGCUCUGAAAAAAAAAGAGAGAAGAAAAAAAAAUAUAUAAACGAGGAAAUAAAAAGGGGCAAGUGCCCGGAACCUCGAAAGAAAGAAAAAGUGAGAUGAGAGGUAAAAAUGGACAAGUGUCUGACAGUAGAAUUAGGGGUACAAGAUACCCACCUGAAAAAAAAAGAGAGAGAGCAUCUCAUUCUCCUCAUAAAGUUUCAAAAAGCAAGGAAGGUAUGUAUCCCCUCAAAAGAGCAAAAGUAGAAUUAGACUUUCACCAUUGUUAUUACCAUCAUCACCAUACACCAUUCAUUCGCCACACAUGCACAUCUUGAUUUGGCUUAUUGAUUUGUUUCUCUGGAUCCAUGGUUUGACUAUGCAAUAAAUGACUUGUAAGUAUGUAUUAGCUGUCUCCCACCUAUGAGCUCCAGAUAUCAAGCCUUAUUAGAGUAGGGUGAGAGAGAAGGCAAUGUCACUAUGCCUUAUACCACAAAUACCACAUAUCUUGAGAGAAGGCAUAUACCAUCAAUGCCUUGGUAAGGAUCCAGAAAUACCACAAAAGAGAGAUAUGAGAGAGUCAUACAAGGAAUCUCUGAGUUUUAUUUGAAAAUCUGCAAAAAAAAACCCAGAGCUAUAGCUGAUCAAGAAUAAGAGACAUGGCACUUGGCAAGACUGUUCUAUCUUUUAACCUCUCAAGACAGAAGUGACAGUUACAAGUCCCAUGGUGAAGGUAAAGUAAGUAAGUUUUAAGUCUUGACAGUUUACUCUAACUCAGAGAUGAGAUCUUAUUUAAAAAGCAUGUGUACCGUCAAUUUUUAAAGAUAUUGCAACAACUUCUAAUCCAUUGCUGAGUCUAUCCUUGCUCAGGGACGAGCAAGAGGUAAGCUUGGGGGAGUUUGUUGACGGUCCUUAAGUAUCAAAUUUAAUUAUCAAAUAAACAAAGAAAAGGAUCCAAAUGAAAUCAACAUCUAGACUUAGGGUUUUAUGUGACAGAAUUCCACGAGUUUUGGUGUUUGUCUAUUUCUGCAGGGGGUUAUCAGGAAAUAAGGAAGAAAGGCCCACAUGUCAGGAUUACAUAGAGAUAUCAACGUACCGCGCAAUUUUCUACCAUCUAGAAGACUCCAGAAGCCACGAGACCGAAGCGGAGGCAAAACUGGGCCAGGCCCAGGGCGCCCGCCCUGGUAGCCUGGGCGCCCGCCCACCUGUUGGAGCCAAUUCAGGACUCCUUCGCUCGGGAUAUUCCACCGACCUAUUGGAUCAAGAAAAACAUAGUACCACCUCGGCUAUCGACCCAAAAACGCAUAGAAGGGGAGGACUAUAUAAGCAAGGCCCCCUGGCCCCUGGAGAAGACAUGAAGAAAUUAUCAUAGAGACUGAGGGGUGCCCUCGAAGGAAAACCUCUUCUCUAAUUAAUAUUUCUUUUUAGGCUUAGCAAUCAAUGUAAGGUAGAAAUAGAUCUUCUAGUUUAUACUAGAUUGAGAGAGAUAGAGUGGAGGUGUAGAGUGGAGGAAGCCCGGCCUGUCGGUGUCUACUCCAAGCUUGUACCUGCGGGAUCAAGUUCUCUUAACCCGAAGCUUGCUCCUAGGAUUCUUCAGUAAUUCGACUUCUAAAUUCUAGUAAGUUCUUGUUUUAUUAUUCUUAUGGUUUAUGAGUUUACUUUAAUCUCUUCGCGUAGAGUUUAGAGUAAUCAUUGCUGGCGUAAACGUGGUGUUUAGGCUGGGGUACUCAUAGAUAUUCCCUGACUAGCUGGACCGUGGUAGUAGUGAGGAACGUGACAAUUCCGAGUUACCUUUGCAGAUCACAUCUCGUUAGCAGGAAGGAUAGGGUUUAUAGGUGCGGGUUGAACAUCCUUUGUGGUGUCUAGAUUCCGUUAGCCUCCCCAUUAGAACAGUAGAUCAUCCUUACCAAGGUUAGAAGGAGACUACGGUUGCAGUCUUCUCUAUUUAUCACUCACAUCGAAAGACAUUCUUUGUGCCUAAAGGGAUAGUAGCAAUAGAUUUGGUUAGUCAGAUGCACCCUUUCUCCCAGUGGUAAAAAUAUAAAUACGAUAACUCUGGAUAACCUCCCGGGUGAAAUGCUCACCGAUAUCCGUGCGCUUGCGGAUCGUUUCCUUAUUGCGUUACCAAAUAUCAACAGCGCCUUGAUGGGUAUACGCGUUUCGGGUGUAAAAGCGUAUUCUCCGUCGGUUUUGUUGAAAUACGCUUUCAGAUAAUUACAGAAUUGCCACUGAUUUUAUAAUGCUCAUAAAAUACUCGUUUUAACUCCGUUUUUGUCCAUUCAAAUUUCGUUAGAUUCGUAUUCAUGAGCUCUACAUGUUAGUAGAAUUAGUUUACUGUUUUCAAACUUUUUAAUUCUGCAGUAGCAUUUAAUUAAUUAUUUCUCUAUAGAAAAUCUUAGAAAAUUCUUAUCUUCCACGUUUUAAUUCUGAUUUUCGUGAACUUUAUGUUUGUGUGAUUGUAGCGCUGCGUAGAAUAUUUUCAUAAACUUUUUUCUUUGAUUUCUCACUGUUGGUGUAAUGUUCUAAUUAUAGCUUGUUUGCUUUGUGAAUGAUUGUCUACAUUGGAUUGCGUGUUGUUGAUUGAUGUUUGAGAAUAGACGGUGAGCCGUACGUUGGUGAUCAAGAUCAAUAUUUUGAAGACUAGCAGCGGGCUCAGGAGAGCUUUGAUCAGGGCAAGUAUAACUGGGGAUCAUCCUUGUUACCUAUACACCAUUAAUACAAUAUUAAUCAUUUGCAUGUGUUCACCGUGAUGACCUUAGCAAAAUAAUAGAUGAUUGUUAUCCUGAAUUCCUUGUUACCUAUUUGGAUAUGCAUUUGGGUAGUUCUUGCUAGUGCUUGAUUAUUAAUCCAUGAUCUUGUAACAUGAAUAUUUGAAUAUACAAUAAACAAUAAAAUAAGCUUUCUAGCAACUUGAAUAUAAAGGGUGGAAAGAACUCUAGCUUUUGCUAGAUUGAUCUUGACCCUCCAUAAGGACUUAUCCCUUGGCAAAAGCUGGAACAACUCGUACUACCAUGAGGGCUACAUGGCUCUGGUUUUAGCUCAGUAUGAGGAUCUUUUUCUAGCUUGUUAGUGGUUACCUUAAAUGGCGUAAGAAUGGCUAGACACGUUGGGUAUAGUGUGGCCUCUGUCCAUGUGUAUAGGCUGCGGGUUAUGUGCAUGGAAUGGGGGCUCUAUAUAUGCCUGCCGAGUGAAUCUAAUGGCCCUAACUUGUUAGACGAAACCUUUGAAAGGCUUCAUAGUGAAACCUGUCGACCUCCCUCGGAAGGGGGUUAAGAGACUUGCAACCUCGGGCGAAAGGGUAAAUCAUGACUCAUGGGUAAAGAUGUACAACCUCUGCAGAGUAUUAAAUCUGGUAUACUAGCCGUGCCCAUGGAUACGGGCGGCCCAGAAAACUGACGGAAUAGAUGGACACUGAUGAACAUGAUUAAUGAUGAUAAAUGAUGGUUUAUUAUGUUGUUUAUAUGUGUUAUUCUUAAUUCUUGUAUACAUUGAUCAUGUGGUUAUGGGAUUUAAUUAUGCUACCUUGACAAUUGCUAUCUAAAUAUAAAUAUGCUAUCUAUAUAUAAAAGCUAAAUGCAGUCAAACCAGUGUCGGCUAUUUGAGCCUCAUGAACCCCUGGUUAUACUUGUUGAGUACGAUAUGUGCUCACUCUUGCAAUUUCCCCCACACUUUAGGAGAUGUUUUGGGCUUGUGAUCAACCAGUCAGUUUGAUCUUGUGGAGAGGAGUUAAUACCCGAAGUUUGGAGUUGUCCAUCCACUGUUUGCUAUCAAAGGUUUUCUCUUUUAUACUAAGUACGUUAUAUAUUUAUGCAUUGUCUUUUGAUAUUACCCCUUAUUUGUAGCUACAUGUGAGAUUUGACUUCUAAGACUCACAUAUGGUGCAUAUCUGGUUUUAUCCUUAAAAUCGGGUAUUACAUCGGCUCACCCACUCACUGUGUGGCAUAGGAUAAAUAAUCCCAGCGUGCAACAUUUUCAAAACCUCUUUCUUAACCACCUCUCUCAUCACAUUAUUUAGCCUACGUUGGGGCUCUCUAGAUGGUAUAGCAUCAGGAUCCAUAGGGAUGCGAUGGGUACUAAGAGCGGGGUUAAUUCCCUUAAGAUCUUAGAGUGAAUAGCCAAAUGUUUACCUGUGUUUCUCUAAGACUAUGAUCAAGUGGGAUGUUUCUUCUUGAUAAAGUUUGUCGCUUAUGAUCACGGGAGUGUUUGGGUCAUUGUUAAGGUAAACAUAACAAAGAUGAGAAGGUAGAGGUUUUAACUCAAUGGGAGGUUUAGGAGGUUCUUCAAAGGAAUCUAGAGGUUGCAAAGGUUGCUCAUUGUUGACAUUCGUUAGUGCAAAAAGAAAUAUGAAAGAUUCCACAAGCGCACAAAACAUCAUCGUAGAAUUUUACCAGAACUAUUUCAGGUAUCGUUAUUUAUAUUUUACCAUAGGGAAGCUAGGGUUAAAAAUCUGAUAAUUCACUAUUAUACAUCUACUAACUUAGAGUAUCAUCUAAACUAAAGCAGGGGUAAAUGAUAUACUAUAAGAUAAUUCAAUUAAGUGCAUAUAAGAGAAUUCAAUAAAUAUAUAGAUAGUCAUAGUAGGAGGACAAUGAGAAAGAUCAAGGUUCCUUUGUACUUCUCUAUUACUUAGGUUCUAAGGCAAUAGAAGAUAAAAAGAUAUUGCAGUCACACAAUAACACUUUGUAGCAGCAGGUCCUUUUUGACUCUCGAAUAAGACUAGGAAGAAAGUAGUCGAGAAAAGGCUACCAAAAGCUCUACGGAACACCAACCCGAACGUGGUGGAAUACAAAGGCCUAACAGGGCUGUCAUCCCUGGGGCUACCACAACUGUCCAUGGGAUUGGGUGCAAACUCAGGUAAACUAUAGCCUAGACACCAUGUCUACACUAGUGUUUACUACUCUAGUCACCUUGCAUAACUAGAGCACUCAAUACGAGCGGGGAUCCUAUGCUAAGAUAUAACAAUUAUACUAAUCAUAAACAAAAAACCAUAAAGUAAAUAGAGAAGAUAAUAUAUUAAAUCAUAAGUCUGACAAAGAAUAAAUAUGAAGACAUACCAAACCACUAAAGAAGACUCCUCUAGAACUGGACUGUAGCUCCACUCUCCAUAACUCCUGACUAAAACUAAUCUACUACAUUAGAAUGUCUAGCUCUAAUUCUCUAGAGAAGAGAGGUCAUCCAUUCGAGGGACGUCUCUACGACUCAUAAUGAUGGUUCUCCCUAGGGGGGCAGGCUUGUAUUUAUAGCCCUCUAGGAAGCACCACAGCCCUCGGAUCAAACCGACCUUGAUAGACGGCCAAGAUUACUCCUCAAAGACGGUGGAGGCAGGAUCCGCGAGGUUGAAGCAGAUUGGUCCACGUGGUAGGGCAGCCACCCAAGCCUUAGGCGUGGGCGCCCCUAGCUGGUUGCCAAAUUGGCCCUACUUUGCAGAGUUGAUAGAUCUUUUCAUUAGCUUUCCAAAAAGUCUAAGAUCACUAAAAACGGAGUCCAGAUGAGGGAGAUAUGCCCAAUUUACUCCGUACUGCUCUAGAAGCCCAUUUGCAAUCUUGCAGAAGGCGUAACUUUGUUGUGUGGAUCUGAUUUGGGUGAAUCAAAACUCUAUUUCAUAUGUCUCGACGAGCUCUUCGUAAUGGUGUACUCCAAUUCAUCAUUUGAGAUACUUCUAUUUGGUGAUUCUGGUACUUUUCUAGUUUAUCCCUUGUAAAAUAUAGAUUCACCAAAACUCAUGGAACUUGUUAGUUUCAAACCUUAUAUCUACUAGUUGUUUGCAUAUAGGUCCAUUUUCAUGUUUAUUUGAUAGUUAAAAUUAAGAGUUAUCUAUCGUCAACAAACUCCCCCAAGCUUACCUUUUGCUCGUCUCUGAGUAAAGAUAGACUUAGUGAUGGAUUAGGAGUUGCUACAAUGUUUUCAUGCCUCACAAGUGCACAUGCGUUCAAACAAGGACUCUCCUUCGGAUUAGAGUGAACUAUUCUCUCUCAAAACUCACCCAUAUUACCUUUCACCAUGGGGCUUAUAGCCUUCUCUUAGGUCUUGAGCAGUUGAAAGACAGAAUGGUUAAGUCGAACAAUAUGUUUCUCGCUCUUUGAUCAACUAUUAUUCCAAAGUUUUUGUGAGUUUUUCAAAUAAAGCUUAAAGUUUCCUGGUAUGACCCUUUCAAGUCUCUUAUUUAUGGUAUUUCUGGAUCCUUACCAAGGCAUGAAUGAUGUAUGCCUUCUCUCUACUCUCAUUAUAUGUGGUAUUUAUGGAAUUAAGACAGUGGCAUUAUAACCUCUCUCUCACCCUACAUCUAAUAGGCUUAUGUCUAGCUCAUAGGUGGGGAGACAGCUCAAACAUACUUGCAGACAUAUAUUGUAUAGUUAAAACGUGGAUCCAGAGAACUAGUCAUACAAUCAAGUCAUAUGUGCAUGUGGAUGAGGGGAAUGAAAUGAGUGAUAUGAAUGGGGAUGAUGAGAGGUGAUGACUGAUGGUGAAGAUCUAAUUCUACAAUUGCUCCUUGGGGAUAUAUACCUUCGUUAUCUGGAACUCUAGAAACUUUGGGGAGUACUUGGGCUGCUCAUUCAUUUUUUUUCUUUCUUGGGACAUUUGUCCUCUUCUCUCUCUUUUUUUUAAGAACAGGCAAGCCUCUUGAUAGAACUGUAUUUGUAGGGAGUAUGAACUAAAAUAACUGGAGCUUUAUUGGAUAAGUAGAAAAAGAAAUGAUGGCAAUGAAUAUUUUUUUGGGUGUCCUCUCCUAGUGUAGGAAUAGAACAUUUUCUGAGUGGAUAAGGAAUAUGGAUAUGUGGAUGGAUGAAUCCGUACACCUAGGGUAGGAGCAGCAUAGGUGUGUGUUUCUAGGGUAGAAACAGCACAAGAUGCAUGGAGCGUGUAUAUAUGUGGGUGGUACUUCUAGGAACAGAAGUAGCACAAGGAGAAUGUGUUGUGGAUGUAAGUGGUUGCAUACUUUUGAGGACAAAAGUAGCUAAGACCAAUGGAUGGAGGGCACAUAGUAUUGACUUUAACUGCAUGACUAGUUCCUUAGGGUCAACAUAGCUUAACUACCCUCAAUGCCUACAAGCAGUAUAUGGAAGUGGAUGGCUUUCCCAAUCUAGUAAGCAUGUAUUUUUGGCUGUGUUAGGAAUUUGAACUCUCGUCCAACAUGAAUCAUGCAGCAAUUUAAAAUUUUCAAAGAUAAAUUCUCUAGAACUCUAGUAUCUCUAGAAACAAGAUGGACAGUAGCUCAAAACCUUCCCAUAUCAUAUUCAUCAACUACUAAGACUUAGAUCAAGCAUUCACUACCCACAAGUUUUAGGAUCACAGCAAAUCUCAAAUCAAAACAGUUGUGUACAAAACUCAGGAGAGUUCGAGGUUAACAACUAGGUACUUGAAAGGAAUUACAGUAGAACAACUAUUAUCAUUUUCAUAUAAGAGUUUAUUCUAUGGAUUUCAUUUUAGCAGGAAAACUCUUCACAUACUCUCCUAUAAUUUAUUUAGCAAACUUAAUAUCAAACAUAAAGAUAGAUAUAGAUAUAAAUAAAUAGGGAAAUCAUUAUUUGGGGUUUCUAUGGUUAUGCAUCUUUUUAUUUGUGUCAAGAUAACAUAGCUUACUUAAUAAAUAAAUAAAUAAGCUAGUGAUACUUAGCUAGAUAUAAGGGGGGUGCUCUCCCCCAAGCUGGAUGUUGACGUAGUCUGUUGGUGUUGCUGACUAGCAGUGAAGAUGUACUAGUCCUCCUAGAGUGUUAGGGAUGAUGGCUGUUGGGACAACACUUGAUUGGUGAAGACUACACUCCGACAAGGGAUAGGACGUCCUUCUGUCUAUUAGCUCUUCUUGAUCCUUUAAAUUCUAUGAAGCUCAAAUAGACAACAAAGCUUGUGCAACUGAUUAAGUGCUAGUGGUAAAACCCCUAAGCCUUGGUUGUAUAGAACCUUCCUAAUAUAUUUAUCUUUUAGCAGGAUCAUAUAUUUUUAUACUUUUUAUAUUUAUGGUAUGCAGAUAGGAAAAUAAAUAUGCUAAAAUUUAUUUUUUGUGCCACCACAGUAGAUGAGUGUGUCGCGUGUUGCAUCACACAUCAAAUACAUGGGGCUUAGAAUUUUCUAGAUGCAAUACAUGACAUAUUUUUAUUUUCUUUUUCUAAUGCAGAAAUGGUAAAAUAGAUGUGCAACUAAUUAUGCAUUUAAGGGAAAGUAAAUAUGCUGAAGAAAAAUUAUGAAGUGCUAAAAAGGGAAAUGUUGAUAACUACCAAGUUACCUCUUGGCACGACGUUUGGUGUUUUAGGUCCUCCAAACAGGAUCUCUUACCAUAUUAAUUCCUUAGGUGCUUUAUCUAGUCCCAAAAGUAGAGACCAUGAUAGUUGCACCCCUUGAGAUGGUGUCACCUAUGUUUUUUGCUUUUCCAGCAAGUUGGAGUCAAGUACUAGUUCUGGGAGCUAGCAAUAUCUUAGCUCAGUGUGCAUGUUCAUAGGUCUAGGAUCUUCACUUGUAGGAUUCUCGGGGAGUUAACUAAAGUGUGUUCUGCUCAUAGAGAUAAGGCAGAGAUCAAGUGCAUGGGCUCUAUUGGUGGAAAAACACUAACAAAACCAAAAAGUUUGUUCAUUAUUGUCGAGGAUAUCAGUAAGGGGUAUCCCAACUGAUGUACAUAACGAGACUGCCCGUACGCAGGUCGAGGCCCCCAACUCGAUGCUCUAAUCAGUCACACGCGCUGUCGUCGACAACCGCAGCCUCGAAGACAGAAAAAGCGUCGAGCGAAAAGAUCAGGGCUCGAGCGUCCACUACCGUCGAAUACGGAAACAGGCUCGAGCGAAUCAGAAGGCGUCGAGCGCAAGGACGCCGCCCGCCGCCUGACGCGCGCACGGGAACCAGGGCAUUUAAUGCGUCUGUCGCGUUCCCACCUAACACGCCAGUCACGGGAAGCGUGAUAGGAAGCAAGCACCCGUCCCGUCAUUCUUUUUGCAGCCUUCCCCACCAAACAACCCAAAGCGUGUCAGGGCGCAGGAAGCAGGGAUGGAACGUCUAAUCAGGACCCCCUCGAGACAUCCAAGGUCAGCGCUCUGGAUACCAGGGCGUUACAAGGCGUCGACUGACAACUCUGCGACCACUCCGACAUAUCCGCCUCUAUACCGUACAAGCGUGCAACCGGUGAACCAGUCCAAGACGGCGCACAGAGCAGGAUACCGGGGCACGCGUAAUCAUCAUCAAACUACCAGGACGGGACGGCUCGAGACCACGCCGGUACAGAGGCCUCGAGUAGGUCAGCGCGCCAUGCCUCUAUCGACCCCUACUCUGACACCUAUACUUGUACCCUGGGCUUCUCCUUGGAACUAUAAAAGGGGAGGCCCGGGAGCGAACAAUCUUCACGACGUAGGAUGAACAUCGAUAACUAGCUGAAGAACAGCCGGAUAACUUGCUGCAAGCAGCGAUAACUAGUGCAACCUGGCAAAUAAAACUCGAAGCCAACCACCGUCUUUAACCGGUAACCUGAAUCGAGGAUUCGCCCAACCACACUCUCAAGAAACCAACCAACACAGCCUACAAUCAAUCAAGGAAUAUCUUGAAGGGAGUAGGAGCACCAAUUGGGAGCGGAUGAAGCCGUCGCCUAUGUAAUCCCGCGAGGAAAUCACAAGAGCAAAGUAGUAGAGAUCACUCUCUGGAUUUGUUAGCACGCAGCUGAACAAAGGGGUUCUGUAUUUCAAUUAUCAAAAGUCUUUCAAUUACAAUGAGUCUUAGGGGGUAUUUAUACUAGCAACAGUCCUUCUAGAUAGGUAUGAAAAUGAAAUAGAGUUUCUGAGGGAAGGCAAUGUGAAAGGUCCCCUCGAAAUGGAUUGCCGAAGUGGCUUCGCGUGACUGUUGGCCUCCAGAGCAGUUUCCAUAAACUGACCAUAACUUUUUAUUGCGAAGUCCAAAUGAUGAACCGUUUUUUGGGUGUGAAACUAGACUCCAAGUGCUUUGCAGCAAUGUAUGCCAUGCACCACGAAACGCUGUAUAUUGGUACAGUUUUCCUUGGCAAGUUGUACCAAUAUUCUGUCACGACAGACUAUUGACCUUCUGAGCAGUCUGUACUAAUUCUGGUCUACAGAAAAUAUAGAGCAUCCAAACUGGUCGCCACUAGAUUCAUUAGAAAGUAGACUUGUCAAGAUUUCUAACAAGUGCUCAUGCACCUUCAUAGCGUUUGUGAGUAAAAAGUUAUGAAGAUUCUUUGCAAUGGUCCGUUUUUGAAUUCCACUGGUCCGUUUUUGACUUCUUCUGGAACUUGCACUGGUCCGAUCUUCAUGGUCCGAUUCUUCCUUCUCUUCUUCGAUAUACCUGAGUACAAUCAAGGUACAACACUUAGGUAGUAUAUAAUUCUCAUUAAUGUUAAAAUGAAUCUCACAAAGUAGCGCGUGGACCUCUUGUUGUAGCGUCUUUGCACGACUACGUGUAAUCGGUCCAUCGAUGACUUCAGCUGGUGUCGGUGUAGGUGAAACUUGAGUGGGUGUAGCUUGACUUGGAGCUUGUGACAUCUUGCUUGGUGGCGUGGUCAUAUCAUCCUCCCCCCCUUGAAAAGGAGUCGUCCUUGACUCUAAAGUGUCUUCACUUGUGAAUGGUGAGAGAUCAGCAACAUUGAAGGAGUUGCUCAGGCCAUAACUUGCAGGAACAUCAAUCUUGUAUGCAUUAUCAUUGAUCUUCUCAAGAACACGAAAUGGACCAUCUCCUCAUGGUAGCAAUUUUGAUUUGCGCUACUGAGGAAAGCGAUCCUUGCGCAAGUGUAGCCACACCAAGUCCCCGGGUUCAAAUAACACCUUCUUCCUAUGUUUGUUCAUACUUGCAGCCUUGCGUCCAGCCUUGAGUUCAAUUGCUUCCUUGGUCUUCUCGUGUACCUUCUUGAUGUAUGCACCACGCUUGGAGGCUUCCAUAUUGGUUCUUUCCUGCAAUGGAAGGGGCAACAAAUCUAUCGGAGCAAUAGGUUUGAUCCCAUAUACAAUUUCAAAAUGACACAUAUUAGUGUUAGAUUGUACUUCCCUAUUAUGUGCAAACUCCACAUGUCGCAAGCAUUCCUCCCAAACCUUCAGGUUCUUUUUCACCAUUGUUUGCAGCAACAUUGACAAUGUGCGAUUCACUUUCUUCAGAUUGCAACAUUGAUAAUGUAUGAAAAUGUUUCGAUGAACUCAACCCAUUUGGCAUGACGACGGUUCAGUUUUGCUUGUCCUUUCAAGUAUUUCAAAGCUUCAUGAUCACAAUGAAUAAUAAAUUCUUUUGGCCAUAAGUAGUGCUAUCAUGUUUCAAGCACACGUACCAAAGCAUAUAAUUCUUUAUUAUACACAGAAUAAUUCAGUUGAGCACCUCCUAAUUUUUUACUAAAAUAUGCUACAGGUUUUCCUUGUUGCAUAAAAACUCCUCCUAUGCCAAUUCUGCUAGCAUCCCAUUCAACUUCAAAAGUUUUAGUGAAAUCAGAAAGAACAAGUAAUGGUGCUUCAGUCAAACGUUUCUUUAAUUCUUGAAAUAUAUUUUGUUGUGAUUUUCCCCAUUUAAAGUCAACACCUUUCUUUGUCAAUUCAUUCAAAGGAGCAGCGAUGGUACUGAAAUCUCUCACAAACCUCCUAUAAAAACCAGCAAGGCCAUGAAAACUUCUUAUUUUACUUACAUUCGUUGGAGUUGGCCAAUCCUUGAUGGCUUUCACCUUGCUUUCAACCACUUCUAUGCCUUUUCCUGAAACAACAAAGCCGAGAAACACAACAUGGUUUGUGCAAAAACUGCACUUCUCAAGAUUAGCAAAUAAUUUCUCCUUUCUAAGCUCUUCCAAGACUUGCCAAAUAUGAUUCACAUGUUCCUCAAAAGACUUGUUGUAAAUUAAGAUAUCAUUGAAGUAUACAACAACAAAUUUUCCAAUGAAAGCUCUCAAGACAUGGUUCAUUAAUCUCAUGAAAGUAUUAGGAGCAUUAGUCAAACCAAAAGGCUUAACUAACCAUUCAUACAGCCCAAAUUUUGUUUUAAAUGCAGUUUUCCAUUCAUCUCCUAUUUUCAUUCUUAUCUAAUGGUAUCCACUUCUCAAAUCAGUUUUAGUGAAUAUGGUGGAACCACUCAAUUCAUCAAGCAUGUCAUCUAAACGUGGGAUAGGAUGGCGAUAGCGAACAGUGAUGUUAUUUAUAGCUCUACAAUCCACACACAUUCUCCAAGAACCAUCUUUCUUAGGUACUAAAAUUACAGGAACAGCACAAGGACUUAAACUUUCAUGAAUAAAACAUUUAUCAAGAAGUUCUUGCACUUGCCUUUAUAUCUCCUUUGUUUCUUCAGGAUUGGUUCGGUAUGGUGGACGGUUAGAUAGUGCAGCCCCUCGAAUGAGAUCAAUUUGAUGCUCAAUCCCACGAAUUCGAGGUAGUCCCGCUGGUGUUUCUUCUGGAAACACAUCUCCAUAGUCCUGCAAAAGAUGAGACACAACACUAGGAAGAGAGGUCAUGUCGUUAGCUGAAAUUAAAAUGCCUCUGUUCACAAGUACAAAGAGCACUUGUUCGGGGUUGUUCCUCACUUCUCUCAUUUCAGAUUUUGUGGCUAGCAUGACUAAAUUCUCUCCCUCUCCUUUCUUUUUCUCCCUCAAAUUUGGCUUGUGGCACUCACUCACCGAAUUGUGGAUGGCACUCAAUUUCUUUUGCUCUCCUUCCUCUCUACUCACUGCAACAAUUUCAGAUUUCUUUUGUAAAUGUUCAGCCAAGAUUUGUUGGGGUGUCAUAGGCUUGAGAACAAACUUCUUCCCCGUUAGAUUGAUAGUAAACUGAUUUGUUCUCCCACAAUGUUGGCUAUAUCGAUCAUAUUGUCAUGGCCUUCCAAGCAGCAAGUGACACAUCGACAUAGGUGCCACAUCACUCUCCACUGUGUCAACAUAUUCACCAAUCUUGAAUAGAACUUUCACUUUAUAUCCAAUCUUGAUAUCUUCUGAAUCAUUCAGCCACUGUACAUUAUAUGGAUGAGGGUGUGGUAGCAGCUUCAAGUCAAGUUUAUCACCCAUCUCACGACUAGAAAGAUUAUGGUAGCUCCCUCCAUCAAUAAUCACCUUCACCUCUUUAUCAUGCACCUUUGGUCUAGUUUGAAAUAAUUUGUGUUGCUGCCCAUUUUCAGCUUCAUUUGCCUGAACACUCAAUACUUGAGUCAUCUCCAGAGCAGCUCUUUGCUCAAACUCACAGCUAGUAAGGUCCUCAUCUCUAUGGGCUUCCUCCUCAAUUCCCUCUUCACUAGCUGAUUCAAAUUCUUCUUCAUCAUUCACAAUGAUCACGUGAGUAUUGGGGCACUCCUUACUUAUAUGCCCAAGGCCUCCACACUUGAAGCUCUGAAUUCUACUACUCCUAGAAGUAGAACCCACUGAAGUAGCGGUUGAUGCUGCUGGUUUUGAACUUGGGACAGCAGCGUUCUUUCCACUAAAAGUACCCUGAAAAUUAGAUCGAGAGCCUCCACUUGAGCUUUUCACCGUGGACGGUUCAGCAGCAAACUUAGUGAUUGAUUUGCUUCCUCUAGAGAAAUUCCUCAUAGAUGGUUCAGCAGCAAAUUUUGGCAUGGUAAAUUUCAGUUUGCCAAAUCUUUCUUCAUGGUUGCCUCUUCUAUGACAUCGACAACCAAAACUAAGUUGGAAGCGGUUGUCAUCAGCCUCAUCUUCAGAUUCAUCAUCAUUUAUUCCACUAUGUCUUCUUCCUUUACCCUGUGCAGCCCUCUGGUUCCUCUGACCUCAUAUUCUCCCAUCACUAUCUUCUCUAUCUCCACUAUGGUUGCUUGCACCAUCAUGAGCUGGACGAUGCCUUCUGAUUUCAGUCAUAAGAUUCUAAAGAUCCUGUGUCAACCUAUCUUGCUUUUCUUCCAUGCUUUGUCGGAGUUUGUUAAAUUGUGCAAUGGUAACACAAUCUUUGAUGUCCACUCGACCCAUCUUCCUGUAAGGUUAGCUGAAUACAAAUAAUUUGUAUUUGUGGAAUAUGAAAAUUUGGUGUCUCUCACAACUCACCUCUCUAACCACCAAGGCUCUUAUGAAUUCCUCUGCUGCAGAUUACUAGGAAAACAAAUGUGUGGUGGCAACUGAAAGUGAUGGUGAGGCGAAUACAAGAACAGAGAGUACUGAUUACGAUGGUUUUUAUGUGGAGCUUGGUGGGGAGUAAUACACAAGGAAUGCAAUCUGAAUUCUAGUUGUUGUAAAGUUAAGUAACGAUCCAAACUAGAAGUUCUCUGCCUAGUGCUGAUCAAAACAUUCGAAGUGUAUAAAUAGAUCACACACACGCAAAGAAAUUUCAGAAUUGAUGCAAACAAGGAGUAUGAUUGGGAUGCAAGUGUUGCAAUCAGACCCAACCAAAGUUUUGCACCAAACAAAGAUAGCAAACUGGUUGUAGAACUUGAUAUGAAACUUUCAGCACUUGUGCACAUAAACCAACUAAUCUUUCAGACUUUCUCUCUGAACCUUUCUCAACUUUUCUUUUUUUCACUUCACUUUUUUUUUGCACUUUCUUUUCUUUUCUUUUUGACACGCUUUUUUUCUUUUUAUAUAGAACUAAAAACAGGGACCAGAUUAUGACACUUGCACAACUAAAGACAACCAGUAGCUAGAUAGGAUCAAAGUUAACAGAAAGGAUGAUAUAGGCUAUAGAGAUUUUUUUGUGGGGAUUUUUAGAUAUAAAAGAGGCACAAAGAACACGCGACGGAUAAAUGAUCAGCAACUAAAACAAAGACUCUAAUGGACUGCGACUUAACAGAACUCACUAAAAUAACAGAUUGAAAGAAAGGUCUAAGCAAUAUAUAUUUCUGGCUUUUUAGUGUAUAGGACAAACCAAAAAUAUAUAUGUAGCUAGGGAUAGAAUUCCUACCGUGGUAACGAAAGCUUUGAUACCAGAUGAUGCGUCACGUUGUCCCGAUCUUCACGACGUAGGAUGAACAUCGAUAACUAGCUAAAGAACAGCUGGAUAACUUGCUGCAAGCAGCGAUAACUAGUGCAACCUGGCAAAUAAAACUCGACGCCAACCACCGUCUUUAACCGGUAACCUGAAUCGAGGAUUCGCCCAACCACACUCUCAAGGAACCAACCAACACAGCCUACAAUCAAUCAAGGAAUACCUUGAAGGGAGUAGGAGCACCAAUUGGGAGCGGAUGAAGCCACCGCCUAUGUAAUCCCGCGAGGAAAUCAAAAGAGCAAAGGAGCAGAGAUCACUCUCUGGAUUUGUUAGCACGCAGCUAAACAAAGGGGUUCUAUAUUUCAAUUAUCAAAAGUCUUUCGAUUACAAUGAGUCUUAGGGGGUAUUUAUACUAGCAACAGUCCUUCUAGAUAGGUAUGAAAACGAAAUAUAGUUUCUGAGGGAAGGCAAUGUGAAAGGUCCCCUCGAAAUGGAUUGCCGAAGUGUCUUCGCGUGACUGUUGGCCUCCAGAGCAGUUUCUAAUAAACUGACCAUAGCAUUUUAUUGGGAAGUCCAAAUGAUGAACUAUUUCUUGGGUGUGAAACUAGACUCCAAGUGCUUUCCAGCAAUGUAUGCCAUGCACCACGAAACGCUGUAGUUUGGUACAAUUUUACUUGGCAAGUUGUACCAAUAUUCUGUCACGACAGACUGUUGACCUUCUGAGGAGUCUGUACUAAUUCUGGUCUGCAGGCAAUAUGGAGCAUCCAAACUGGUCGCCACUAGAUUCAUUGGAAAGUAGACUCGUCAUGCUUUCCAACAAGUACUCAUGAACCUUCAUAGCGUUUGUGAGUAAAAAGUUAUGAAGAUUCUUUGCACUGGCCCGUUUUUGACUUCCACUGGUCCGUUUUUGACUUCUUCUGGAACUUGCACUGGUCCGAUCUUCAUGGUCCGAUUCUUCCUUCUCUUCUUCCAUAUACCUGAGUACAAUCAAGGUACAACACAAUCUUCAUGGUCUGAUUCUUCCUUCUCUUCUUCCAUAUACUUGAGUACAAUCAAGGUACAACACUUAGGUAGUAUAUAAUUCUCAUUAAUGUUAAAAUGAAUCUCACAAAGUAGCGCGUGGACCUCUUGUGGUAGUGUCUUUGCACGACUACGUGUAAUCGGUCUAUCGAUGACUUGAGCUGGUGUCGGUGUAGGUGAAACUUGAGUGGGUGUAGCUUGACUUGGAGCUUAUGACAUCUUGUUUGGUGGCGUGGUCAUAUCAACAGGGGGCAGGACAUCGCGCAACACUACCCUCAUACGCAGUAGAACUUUCACCUUACUCCAUACCACACUUUUAUUCACCCCUGUACAAGCACUUAGGUGCAGAAUAAUACAAACUCUCUCCCCCCGCUGGACGUAGGGCCUUCUCUUGCCCGAACCAGGAUAAAUCUUUGUGUGUCUUUUUGCAUCACCAUCUGGGAAAGGGAGCACGCAUACAAAUUCGCUCGUUGGUGUGACCCCCCGUGGGGAAAACGCCGAUAGUUGGCGCGCCAGGUAGGGGUCCUGCGUGUUUUUCAUCGAUUUCCCAUUCUUUUCAAGAUGGCCACUCUUUCUUCACCGAUUCCGCGCUCCACGGUGAUUUGGUUUGGGAUCCUCGAGUUCAUGUCUACUGGCUCCGGCUAUGACAUGAUCUUGCUCUCGAUCAAAGGACCGGGAGGAGCCCGCGUUGCGCCAACCCAUAUGGGGGCCCCGAGACGUCCUCACCACCACGCCUCCCCACCCAAGAACAGGCGUGGACAGCACCACCAUCGCCCUUCUGCCUCGCCACGACCAGCAGUCCGUGCCAGGCAGGAGACGGCACGAGAGCCGAUAGCCCCACGCACCACGGGCAUGACGGCUCAGUGCCGCGAGGACCGCACGACGACAGGAGGUGACGCGCCCCGCGCACUCUCCCCCACCACCAGGCUACUUCCACACAGGUUGUUUGCCUCAAGAGGAGCCUUGCCGUUCGGCCUGGACAAUGCCGCAGCGUCACUUGCCAGGGCGAUAUGCCCAAACGCCCAGACGUACGUGGAGAGACCGAUGGUCCUCCCACGUGACCCUGAAGCACGGCCGCGGGCAUCCGAGCAACCAGACUUCUCGCAGGUACGAGGCCUCCAUCGCCUGGGCCCUGGACGGUACAUGAUCACCUCCCUCAGGCAGAGGCUGCUGGAGGAAGGACGCGGAUGUUUCUACGCCGACGAGCCGGACUCCGGCUCGGAAUCCGACAGCCACGACCCUACUAGGGAGUGCUUCCAUGUCGACGGAGCGGUGGAAACCAUCGACGAGACACAAGACGCCAUUGCAGGCGGGCGAGCCCCUACAGCAAGGGAAGACCCCAGGACACCUGGAAAUGACAGUCAGGCCGACCCCCCACUGCAAGAAGACAGAGCCGCGCAAAUUGCGCAGCUACGAGAGCUCAAGGCAAAGCUUGACGAGGACCGCGAGCGCCUUGUCCUACUUGAGCAGAUCCUCGAGCAGGACCUGCCUUACCCGCCUGGCGGAAGUGUCCGCAGACGAGCUCGAGAGGUACACCGGCAUAUCGUCGGAGACGCAGAGCCAGAGCAGCCCGUCAGCCGUUUCCCUCGAGCAGGCCAGAACGUUGUGGCAGCAACAAUGCUACUGCAAAACAUGCCGGAACCGUCGAACUCCCAAGCUCGACACAUCCGCGACGAGGUGCAGACUUUGCUCCAGGUGGUGGCAGUUCAGCAAGCCGAAAGCUCGGCCUCUCGACGUCGAGGAGCUGCCACCAAAAAGCGCGACGAGCCAGCCCAAAACGAAAAGGAGGUGUCAGUCCAUCAGCAGCCACCCCUUCGAGGGAAAAAGACCACGCUCGUUCUCCCCAUCGACAAUCAGCGUCGACACGACGCGCGACGCGACAUUGAAGAGAAUCGACGCCGUCGGUACGGGGACGCGGAAGAGCGCGGUUACAGCGCCCAUCGCUUCGGGAGGUACGACAGCGAUGAGGACCGGAUGGCUCCAGAGCCACCAGGCCCACGGGUAUUCAGCAGGGCAAUCCGCAGCACGCCGCUGCCCAGCCCAUUCCGACCCCUGACCAGCAUCGCAAAGUACAACGGAGAGACCAAACCAGAGCUGUGGCUGGCAGACUUCAGGCUGGCCUGUCAGCUGGGUGGUGUUCGAGGAGACGAUCGAGCCAUCAUCAGACAGCUGCCGCUCUUCCUCUCCGACACCGCCCGCAGGUGGCUCGAGGAGCUUCCAGCCGAUCAGAUCCACGACUGGAUCGAUCUGGUUAGAGUUUUCGAGGGUAAUUUCAAAGGGACCUACAUACGGCCUAGGAACUCGUGGGACCUCAGCAAGUGCAAGUAGAAGUCAGGAGAAACUCUUCGAGAGUAUGCUCGACACUUCUCAAAGCAAAGCACCGAGCUGCUGCACAUCCCCGACCACGACGUCAUCCUGGCCUUUGUCUCUAGUACCACCAGUCGAGACUUGGUGCGAGAAUUAGGCCGGAAUCGCCCACAGACCGUCGAUGAAUUGAUGGAUGUGGUGGCCAACUACGCGGCAGGAGAAGAAGCAGUCGGCGCUUUCUUCACCUGUGAAGGAAGGAAAGGCAAGCAGCCCACCGACGAUGACGAGAGCCCAAGUCGAGGACCCAAGAAGAACAAGAAGAAGAAGAAGACCCGGCCGUUCCAACGGGAAGACCUCGACGACGAUCUCGUCGCCACCAUGGAACGCAAAAAGCCUCGAGGCCCCCAGAUGGGGGCAUCUUCGAUAAGAUGCUAGAAGAGCCGUGCCCUUACCAUAAGGGAGGAGCCAACCACAAGCUCAAGGACUGUCGUAUGCUGAGAAAGGAUUUCGAUGGUCUGGGGUUCAGGAAGGACGCGCACGAUGACCCAAAGAAAGAGAAGGGCGGCGAUGGCGAGGAGAUUCAAAAGCUUUUGACGGCCGGAUUCAUCAAGGAGGUUCACCAUCCCGACUGGUUAGCAAAUCCUAUAAUAGUUAAGAAAAAGAAUGGGAAAAUGAGGAUGUGUGUCGAUUACACGAGUUUAAAUAAAGCAUGUCCGAAAGUUCCUUUUCCAUUACCACGUAUUGACCAAACUGUUGAUUCUACUGCGGGAUGUGAAACCCUUUCUUUCCUUGAUGCAUAUUCUGGUUAUCAUCAAAUAAAAAUGAAAGAGUCCGACCAGCUCGCGACAUCUUUCAUUACACCUUUUGGGAUGUAUUGUUAUAUAACCAUGCCGUUCGGGCUUCGAAACGUGGGAGCCACAUACCAGCGAUGCAUGCUCCACGUGUUCGGCAAGCACAUAGGGUCGACGGUCGAGGCCUAUGUCGACGACAUCGUUGUCAAGUCAAAGCAACGGGGAGACCUAAUCCAGGACCUCAAGAUCGCUUUCAGCUGCUUGCGUGCCAACCAGAUCAAGCUCAGCCCCAAGAAGUGCAUUUUCGGCGUACCUCGAGGCAUGCUCCUAGGUUACAUCGUUUCCCAGUGCGGCAUCGAGGCCAACCCCGCGAAAGUCUCGGCCAUCACGAGAAUGGGGCCGAUCCGGGACGUCAAGGGCGUACAGAGAGUCACGGGAUGCCUAGCGGUGCUAAGUCGUUUUAUUUCGAGACUGGGAGAAAAGGCGUUGCCUCUGUAUCGACUUCGAAAGAAAGUUGAGCGUUUCUCUUGGACCCGCGAGGCCGAGGAAGCCCUCGAAAACCUAAAGAAAACGCUGACCUCAGCACCAGUCCUGGUCCCACCUCAACCUGCAGAACCGCUGCUCCUUUAUGUUGCCUCGACGACCCAGGUCGUCAGUGCAGCUGUGGUGGUCGAGAGGCAGGAGGAGGGGCAUGCAUUGCCCAUCCAGAGGCCGGUCUAUUUCACCAGUGAGGUGCUCUCAGAAACCAAGAUACGUUACCCCCAAAUCCAGAAGCAGAUCUACGCUGUAAUCCUCGCCCGACGCAAGCUGCAACAUUACUUCCUCGGCCACCCUAUCACGGUGGUCUCGUCCUUCCCCCUAGGCAAGAUCGUCCAAAAUCGGGAAGCCACGGGAAGAAUCGCCAAGUGGUCGGUCGAGCUCAUGAGCGAGACUCUCACUUAUGCGCCCCGUAAGGCUAUGAAGUCGCAAGCCCUGGUGGAUUUUGUCACGGAAUGGACAGACUCUCAGCUUCCCGCGGCCCAGGUUCAGUCAGAGCUGGACGAUGUACUUUGAUGGUUCCCUCAUGAAGAUAGGAGCUGGGGCUGGCCUGCUGUUCAUCUCGCCCCUAGGCGUUCAUAUGAGGUAUGUCAUCAGGAUUCACUUCGCCGUGUCCAACAACAUUGCAGAAUACGAGGCCCUUGUCAACGGUCUGAAGAUCGCCAUCGAGUUAGGAGCCCGACGCCUCGACGUUCGAGGCGACUCCUAGCUCGUCAUUGACCAAGUGAUGAAGGCCUCAAAUUGCCACGACCCGAAAAUGGAGGCGUAUUGCAGGGAAGUCCGUUGACUCGAGGACAAGUUCUAUGGUCUCGAGCUCAUCCACGUCGCCCGACGCUACAACGAGGCGGCCGACGAACUCGCCAAAAUCGCGUCGACUCGAGGCACGGUACCACCUGACGCGUUGUCAAGGGAUCUUCACAAGCCAUCCGUCGACUUGGGCUCGGGGCUGGCAUCGAAACCGCUCCUGCCCAGCAAACUGACGCCGUCGACGCGCUACUGAUGGCAGUUGAGGCAACAGAGGUGGAACAGCGUCCCGGUCGACCGUUCGACUGGCACACGCCAUUCCUCGACUACCUGAUCCGCUGUGAGUUACCAGAAGAUCGAUCUGAGGCCCGCCGUAUCGCUCGACGGGCCAAAUCGUAUGUGAUCUACGGCGAGGACAAAGAGCUGUAUAGGUGAAGCCCGACGGGGGUCUUGCAGCGUUGCAUCACCAUAGAAGAAGGCAGAAAACUCCUCGAGGACUUACACUCGGGGGCUUGUGGCCAUCACGCUGCUCCGCGGACCCUCGUAGGGAAUGCCUUCCGACAAGGCUUCUACUGGCCAACGGCCGUAGCUGAUGCCAUCGAGCUCGUACGCUCAUGCCACGGAUGCCAAUUCUACGCCAAGCAGACGCACCUGCCUGCCCACGCUCUCGAGAUGAUCCCGAUCACGUGGCCGUUCGCGGUAUGGGGGCUCGACUUAGUAGGGCCUCUACAAAAGGCGAAAGGGGGGUACACCCACUUGCUGGUGGCCAUCGAAAAGUUCUCCAAUUAGAUCGAGGCUCGACCCAUCACCAAUAUCCGUUCCGAGCAAGCCAUCCUUUUCUUCACCGACAUCAUCCACCGGUUUGGGAUUCCCAACAUCAUCAUCACUGACAACGGCACUCAGUUCACCGGCAAGAAGUUCUUGGACUUCUGCGAUCAGCAUCACAUCCGUGUGAACUGGUCUGUGGUAGCCCACCCUCGAACUAACGGCCAGGUCGAGCGUGCCAACGGCAUGAUUUUGCAGGGGCUCAAACCAAGGAUCUACAAUCGCUUGAAGAAAUUCGGCAAGAAAUGGGUCGAGGAGCUUUCCUCGGUCCUAUGGAGCCUAAGGACGACGCCGAGCAGGGCCACAAAUUACACCCCAUUCUUCAUGGUCUAUGGCUCUGAGGCUUUGCUCCCAACGGACCUCGAGUAUGGAUCCCCUCGACUCAAGGCAUACAACGAACAAACAAAUAAAGAGACCCAAGAGAACACGGUCGACCAACUCGAGGAAGCUAGAGACAUGGCCCUCCUCAACUCUGCCAGAUACCAGCAGAAACUUCGACGCUACCACGACAAGCACGUGCGCAAGAGGGACUUGUACGUGGGCGACCUCGUCUUACAACGACGGCAAAGCAAUCAAGGAUGCCACAAGCUGACUCCACCUUGGGAGGGUCCAUACGUGGUGGCCGAGGUCUUGAAGCCGGGGACAUAUAAGCUCGCGGACAAAAAAGGGGCGAUCUUCACCAACGCAUGGAACAUCGAACAACUACGUUGAUUCUACCCCUAGAAUUUCAAAGCUUUAUAUGCCCAUGUACUUUCUGUACCAAGGCCUUGUAAAUGAACGCAUGAAUAAAUAAGGUCUUCCCCUCGAGCAAUUCACUUUCUCACAAGUCCAAAUCUCGACGUUAGAAGGGAGUACCAACUAUGACCCAUCAUAGUCGAUACCCCCUCGGGGGCUAGUAAGGGGGAACCCCCCCCCCCCCCCCCCGCAAACGUCGAAAAAACCCAAAUAACUCUUUCAUUCCUAUCAAGUAAUCUCGUAUGGUCGAAUAGUAGAGGCACCUCGAGCCCUGUAAGGAUCGAGAGACGACGAGCCUGAGAACUCCUAUGCCCCCAGGCUACGGAAACUCUACUCGCUCCCUCACCCCUAAGGCAAUCGAGAUCGCCUUAAACAAAAAACCAAAUGAAGAAUACAAACAUAGACGCAAAGGGAAAUAGAGGAGCCUCGAGCGGAGAGACAGAUAAACAUUUGACAAACCACUUAAAGACAUUUCAUUACUUAAAGACAAGUUAAUAGAGUACUAUACAAGGGGCCCCAGGCACCCAAAGCAGGCUCGCAGGCCUUAGUUCACAUCACGGUCCUCACCACCCUCGCCUGCGCCUGAGCUAGUCUCAGGGGAAAGUACCUCGGGCUCAAAUAGCUUGGCCAGCCUCUCCCCAGGGACCUCCGCGUCAUCGAUCAAGGCGUGGAGCCUCUCCUCGUUUUCUGCGUCAGUCUUGGAGAUGUCGGUAACGAAGCCAUGAGACACCACCUCCAUAUCGUAGGAAAAGCCCGAGCAGACAACUACCAUUGCCCGCUUUACCCCGAUAUGGAGAGCGUCCCGCACCCGAUCCCUCAGCGUCGCGCCUAAGUAGCACAGCUGAUCGACCAGCGCGUCGCCUCGAGCUUCCUCCUUCGACUCAUCCAUGGGCUCGACCUCCCAAGAGAUCGAGAGAUCGCUUAUCACCGUCCGCAGUCGACAGUUCAAAGCAACCUCCCCCUCGAGCUGGGCCUUGGCGUUGCGAGCCUCGACUUGGGCGGCCAAGAGCUCGUCCUUAAGCCCUGUGAAUGCCAACGCAAAAAACUUUAGAUAAAACCAAGCACACCUUCAAAAGAAAAUCCGACAAUAGAAACAUACCACGGACACUCUCCUCCAGAGCUGUGUUCUCGCCAACUAAUUUGGUGUUGGCCCUCUCGAUCUCUUCUUUGGAGCGUGACAGCUCAGUGUUGGCAACACGCAGAUCCUCGAUCACCUUGCCAGCCUGAGCAAUGGCUCCAUUCUUCUCCAGCAGCUCCCCCUUCAGACAAUCGAUGUCGUUGGAGAGGCUGCGGGAUCGAGCCCGCUCCACCUCGAGGUCUUCGAGGGCCUUCUUCUUUGCUUCCUCCGCGGCGCCCCUGGCAAUCCCGCUGUUAACACACUCCACCUUCAUCCUUUGGAAGGAUUCUCGGAUGAAGUCUAAGUCGGUCUUAAGGAGACCCUUCUCCUUGUCUAGGUCAGCAAUGGCAUUCUUGUAGGACAGGGCCUCCUCCCGGGCUUUAGACGCGGCCUCCUCGACUGCCAGAGUCCGCUCCCUCAGCAGCACGGCCUCCUCCACAGCCUUCCUUGAGGCCUCUCGAGCCUCGGUCAUGGCAGCCUCCCUCUCCUUCUUCUCCUCCUCGAGCACCAAGAGCUCCUUAUAAGCCUUGAGGAGUUUCUCCUGUGACUCCAGAAGUUGGUCUUUGAGGAGGGGGAGCUGCUCCCAGCCGCCUCUCGUGGCGUGGAUGAAGCUUGACUUGAUACGGGAGGUCUCUUUCAGAUCCUGCGAGCCGGUAGUCAAGCAGUUGGCACACAAAACCAAAUGCUCUAUAAGGAUUAGGGGCUAAAAGACACUUACAAAGUAAGCUGGCGCGAGCCCGUUGUUAACCACAUCAGAUAGGAGCCCCACCGUGUGCUUCAUCCAUAGGCGGAGCUCCUCGACGUGCUCCCAUUUCUCCGCCUCCUUCUGGUCGUCCAAAAAGAUGUUGGGCUCGGACGGGUCGGUAGAAGCCCGGAUGCGGAUCCGGUCGGGACACCAGUUCUCCAUCUCCUGGUCGGCGCGCACCUUGACACCACGGAUGAGCUCCUCGACGAUUUCGAGAGACCCCCCGUGGCGUAGGAACAGGUCGACAAGAGAGGGGAACCGCCCAUCAUCGUCCACCGUUUUCCACGUCCCGGUCUUGCUCCCACCACCGCCUUCCGAUGUCCCGAUCUCGUCUUCCUUGGAGGGGAUGCGCUCCUCCCACGAUCGAUGCACCCGGAGGAACCCCGGCGCGAUCCCGUCCAUACCGUAGAUCGUCCUCCUCAUCUCAGAAUCAGGGUAGGCGGGAGUGCGCAUCAUGCAGGCGAGCGCCACUACGUCGUCCACCCGCCCUGAUUCUGCAGGGAUCGCUGCCGGCGCCCCUGGACGGAGCCACGCUGGGGUCGGAGGUCCAAAAGCAGGCAGGCCCUGCCUUUGGUUUCCAGGCUCCUGUGGCACUUCCAGCUCCGGUUGGGGCAAAUCAAGCGGCUCCACCAGCCGCUGGCCCCCCUGCUGCUGCUGCUGCUCUUGGAGCUCCAGCGGCUCCGGUGGACGUUCCUGCUCCUACAGUUGCCACCGUGCCUCUUGCUCCCGCUCCUCCUCCUCCUUCUUCCUCUGCUCCUCGAUGGAGCGAAGACCGGUAGGUCAGGGCGUCCGUCCCUUGACAAGAGAGGUCGGGGCCUCCUCGUCCAUAGGACGGGCAUCCCUCGAGGUCCCGUCACCACCAGACCCAUCACUUAUGGUAUUAGGAUCCCCCUCGACCCCCGAUCGGGGAGGCUCGGGGGCUCCCUCCUGCCCUUGGGGCCGAGGCGCCUCGGCUUGUUUUGGCGACGACAGGGCAGGCUCACCCGCCAGGGGACGGGGUGGGGCGCUCUCGGUGUCGGUCGGUGGUUGAGGGUCGGAGGAGCCUAUCAAACGCAAUACAAAGGUCAGCCAUUAUGGUGACCGACAUAAGAACAACACAAAUCCCAUGGAUAAGCUGCUAACCUGAGUCCUUAGAGGCCGCUCCCACCUUGAGCCUUUUCACCAUUGAAGGCUGGGCCUGCUCAAGUGUCCGCUUCAAUCUGAAGAAAGAGGAACGGGCAUAAAGAAGACCGUUAUACAAGGAAAUGCAAAGAAUCAGGAGAAUAAGAAUCACAGCGUCGAAGAACUUACCCCACAGAGAGAACGGCUCGCCUGCAGGUACCUCGACCGGUGGGCCUCGAGCCACCCCGCGUCAAGGCCCCAGGCCCCUCGAGGGCAGGCGCUGGUCUUGGCCCAACGUCUCCCGCUGGGCGAGCACCGGGACUGGCGCUCCUGCGGCCGGACUCUCCCUUCUCGGAGGCCACGGCGCGACCGUGGGUUAACGGCCCCGUCACCUGGGGCUUGGCCCGGACGCCCGCCUUUGGUACAGGGGGAGGUUGGGGGCGCGGGGUGGCCCGACUUGUCGCAGACGCAGGAGGGCUGUCAGCACGGGGGCAGAGAGAUCCGCCUAUCCCCUCCUUUGGCGCUCCCAUCCGCGGGGCAUCAACGUCGCCUCGAGGCGAACCCUCGAGAAUCCGAUCGAGGCGAGACGCCAUCCCCUCUGAACUGUCGCUGUCGUUAUCGCCGUCCCCACCAUCAUCCUCACUGGGGGAUUCUUCUUCAGGCUCCCCCCUCUGCCUGGAUUUAGCUCGGCGCGCCUCAAGCGCUUGGCAGUCGAGGUUGUUCUUCCUUUUCCCCUUCUUCUCAGAGUCCUUGGUGGACUUUUGUUUCUCGGCGGACCGACGCCGUUUGUCACGGUCGACCUCGUCCUCCUUUACUGGAGGCCUCGAGGACCGGACAUCGAUUUGUCCCUACCAGAACAGAGGCAAGUUUAAAGAGGGAUCGAAAGAAAUCAAGAAUCAGAGCCAUGUACAAGAAAGGAACAUACCAGGUCAAUCGAGCCCGCAUCGGGCCUCAUGGGGAAGCCGUUGACGUGCUCCGGCUUGAACUCGCCGGCAACGGCCACCCUAACCCGGGCCGCAGCUUCAUCGUCCGCCAGAGCCUCGUUAGACAUUCGGCACGCCUCGAGGUCCCUGGACGAAACACCGGGCCUCAUCUCAUCCAUCCUCAGCGGCCGAGACAUCAGCGGGAGAACUCGCCGAUGAUGAACGGCCGAGAGGACAAGAGCGGCACAUAGGCCCUCCAAGCGCAAUUUCUUCAGGGCUUCGAGGAGAGGGUCGAGCCACGACUGGUGGACUUGGACGACACCGUAUGUCCAGUUCUCCAGACGCUCCGUGAUUUGGCGGCCGGUGUAGGCAGGAAGAAGGCCGUCGUCGUUCCGCAGAUAGAACCACUGAGAGUCCCAUCCGGCGUGGUUCGUCGACAAUCCCACCGGGAUGUACUCGCGCGGCCUCUCCGUCUUCCCCGUCUUCAGCACGAGGUUGAGGCAUCUCGCCCGCAUAGGCUUCCUCACGCUAGUGGUGCCAGUGGGGGCGUUGAAGAGCUCGCCCCUGUAGAGGUGGAGCCACAGCUCCCAGUGGGGCAUCAUCCCCAAAUAGCCCUCACACACCGCGGCAAAGACCGUCAUGACGGUGAUGGCGUUUGGGGAGAAGUGCUAAAGCUCCACCCCGUAAUGGUGGCAGAGCGCCCGCAUGAAGCGGCUCGGAGGAGCGCCCAGGCCGUGGCGGUGGAACUUGGCGAACGAGACCACGUAGCCCUUGGGCGGCCUGGGCUCCCGGUGGUCCGCCACCGGUGCGAUCCACUCCGGCGAUGACAGCGAUGUGCGGUGGCGCAGGAGCCCCUCCCUCUCGAGCUCCAACAACCGGCGCUCCGUCAUCGACGACGGGCGCCAGUCGUCGGCGGCGAUGAGUCUCACAGGCAUCUUGGGUGAACGGAAGGCGGAUUCGCUGCUACUCGAGGGUGCGCGCGCGUGAGAUGACGAGGGACUAAGUCGAGGGAGCAAAGGCAAAGAUGGAGGCAGAAGGUGGAAGGGAGAACGCUAGCAAGGCCGCGGGACAUUUAUAGGCAACAACCGACCAACGGACAGAUCCGAUAAAUGAGGUAACCCCCCCAUAAAUGUGCCGCCAAGACCUCUUUUCCCUCCUCACAGACGGGGCGCUUCGAAUUCUGCGCCAGUAUCGUGUCGCAACGGCUCCCGCCUGAAAAGGCGCGCCCAACGGGCAAAAAGGCGAACCGCCACGGCCUAUUCCUUCCCUUGUACGCCAAGGAACGCACCCAUGAAAGCCUCGAGAGGUAGCAGGCUGACCCGCCGAAAGGGUUCGACAGCCGAUCUCGAGCACCAGAGUCAGGGAUCCUCAGCGAGUGGUCGAAAAUCGAGGCCCGCCUCGAAGACUCGCUGGAGAUGUCCAAGGUGGGGUCGAGACAGUCGAGAGAAAUCCCCCCGACGGGAGGCAUCGAGCCACUGGACUCUAUCGAACGAGACCAGCAUCCCAGACCACGUCGACCCCGCUUUAUGAGAACGCCUCCGGGCUACAGCUGACCCCCUCGAAAGGGGCACAGGUUCUCACUUGGACUACCCGUUAGGAGCUCAAUCUGGGGUGGAUGACGCUCGCUCUAUCGAGAGUACGCCAAAACCGCCACGCAAAGCGAGCCAAUCAGAACCUUCCACCACUGGUGUCGACAGCGUUUCUACAAAUUAGGCAUCGUAACCCUCGAAGAAGUCAAAACUCCUCAUAGGGCUCGGGGGCUACCCCCGCGGGGUCGCUCGCGUGCCCCCACGGAAAUUCGACCGUAAAAUAAAGCCUCCACUCGAGCGCCAGCGCUCAAAUGGAGACUCGGGGGCUACUGUCGAGGAUAUCAGCAAGGGGUAUCCCAACUGAUGUACAUAACGAGACUGCCCGUACGUAGGUCGAGGCCCCCAACUCGACGCUCUAAUUAGUCACACACGCUGUCGUCGACAACCGCAGCCUCGAAGACGGAAAAAGCGUUGAGCGAAUCAAUCAGGGCUCGAGCGUCCACUACCGUCGAAUACGGAAACAGGCUCGAGCGAACCAGAAGGCGUCGAGCGUAAGGACGCCGCCCGCCGCCUGACGCGCGCACGGGAACCAGGGCAUUUAAUGCGUCUGUCGCGUUCCCACCUAACACGCCAGUCGCGGGAAGCGUGAUAGGAAGCAAGCACCCGUCCCAUCAUUCUUUUUGCAGCCUUCCCCACCAAACAACCCAGAGCGUGUCAGGGCACGGGAAGCAGGGAUGGAACGUCUAAUCAGGACCCCCUUGAGACAUCCAAGGUUAGCGCUCUAGAUACCAGGGCAUUACAAGGCGUCCGACCCUCGACCAGACGUGUUUCCUUCUUGGGGAAGGGUUGGGCGUCGACUGACAACUCUGCGACCACUCCGACAUAUCCGCCUCUAUACCGUACAAGCGUGCAACCGGUGAACCAGUCCAAGACGGCGCACAGAGCAGGAUACCGGGGCAUGCGUAAUCAUCAUCAAGCUACCAGGACGGGACGCUCGAGACCACGCCGGUACGGAGGCCUCGAGUAGGUCAGCACGCCAUGCCUCUAUCGACCCCUACUCUGACACCUAUACUUGUACCCUGGGCUUCUCCUUGGAACUAUAAAAGGGGAGGCCCGGGAGCGAACACAGGGGGCAGGACAUCAUGCAACACUACCCUCAUACGCAGUAGAACUUUCACCUUACUCCUUACCACGCUUGUAUUCACCCCUGUACAAGCACUUAGGUGCAGAAUAAUACAAACUCUCUCCCCCCGCUGGACGUAGGGCCUUCUCUUGCCCGAACAAGGAUAAAUCUUUGUGUGUCUUUUUGCAUCACCAUCUAGGAAAGGGAGCACGCAUACAAAUUCACUCGUUGGUGUGACCCCCCGUGGGGAAAACGCCGACAAUUAUACUCUAGCCUUUGGCACAUUGAAUGAGAUAAAGUUGAUGUUUAUGAGUUUUUCUCAAUCUAAACAUGGGUGAUAGGAACAAAUGAUUAUCAAGCUUGUAGCAUUAAAACACUUGGCAGAUCAGAUUACUCAACACUAUGGAAGGAUGGUCUAUCUAUAAAUAUAACUUCAUGAUUAUGACUAUCAUCUUCUAAAGAUAAGAUGUGCAAUAUUUCAGAUCAUUCAAUUAAAAGCUACAAGAUCGAACAAGCAGAAGACCUAAACAUGUUGAGCUAAUUAGAUUGGAUCAAAUGAAGUUGUAACUCAAAGCAUGUUUGGCUCUCUACUUAUGUGCUUGCCAGAAUCAAGGAGGAUAUUUUAGAAGUAAUGAUCACUUACCAAGAGAUGUUACCUUUAGCAUUGAAACAUGUUGAAGCCUCUUAUGGAAGCUUUCCAUGCUUGGCUAUCUUGUCUCCUUUGUUGUACUCCUUUCUUACCUUAUGCCAUUAUUUGUUCUCUGUCUAAUUUGUGCUUGGACCUUUGGCUCUUCUUGUUAUUUUAUCCCUGCAAAUCAUUAGUGGACAACACAUACCCGAAGGAAUAUACUAGUAAUGACAAGGGCAUUGUUGUAACACAGCUAAGGGUCACUUUCUAUGCUAUAAAAGAAGUUGUUUUAAUAUACUUAGCAUAGAUCAUUUAUUAUUCACAAUUACUUAUUUCUAAAGGAUUGAUUUUAUUUUUCUAUCUUAUGUCUUGAUUCAUAAAUAUUAUGAAUCAACUCAAACUCAUAGAAAUAAAGCAAAAGUGAAUUUAGAGAUUGCAAACCAGCGUAUGGAGCGAUGAGGUAGAACUUGGUUGGAUCAUCUGGAGUUAGCCUUUCUUAUUUAUGUCUCAGCUUCUCGACCUCAGAGGUUAGAGUGUAGAAUGUUACUUACUUUUCUCUUGUCAAUCUUUUAUUGUUUCCUGAUAAUUAGUGGUUGAUAAUAGAAUGCAACUCCAUGGAGUGAGUGCUUUGAUCAUGGAUCAUGUUUUGUGGCACCCUUCUUUCUUCUUGGCUACAAGCGAGUUGUGUAUCUUGGGCAAAAUUAUUGUGUCUCUCUUGAUCUCCAGUGUGACUUCAUCUCAGGACUUUCCCAAUUUGUAUUUGAGAUUUUCCUGCAGGGGUUAGUCCAACAAAAUAUCCAAUAUCCACUAUAGCAUACUAUCGGCUCAAAAAUCAACCUAGACACCACGUCUAAUUUGAUUUAAGAGGGCAUUCUUAAGCUAAGCACCAUGCUUAAUUUAAAAGGCCUUUGAAUGUAAGAUCACCACUCCUAAACUAUGCACCAUGCUUCAUUUAACAGAUGUAUGAAAUUACUCCAUACCUAAACAUAUACUAUAGUAAACAAAGGUAGCAUGAGGUAUAAGAGAGAUUUAUUCAAAAAGGGAUGAAGAAUAUCAUCGUUGUGAGGAAUACUAUUAUAUAUAUUAUAUUUUUUAGAUGCAGAUGACAUGAAUGCAUGCAAGGAACUGAGCAUGAUGUGGAUUUGAUAUGAGAAAAUGUAAACUAAAUUGAGUGGAUGCAUGGAUGUUUCAAAGUAAACAUGUAGUGGUAUGCAAGAAAUCAAAAAUAUAACUACUCAUAAGGUUAAAGUUCAUGAGCAAAACUAUCUCACCUUGAUCACACUUACCAUGACACACAACUAGGAUGAGUAGCAUAGCGUAAAUAUCUGUCACAUGGGAUGGGAGUUGAAUUCUUGUGACGACAACCUUUUCUUCAAUCUACGCAUGGUUAGAAUAAAUAAUAUAUGUGUAUACACAAACCUGUGAGAUGACAGGGUUCCAAUUUUAAUGAUGGAUCCUGAAUGUUCAAGCACCCUGUGUUCUUUAAUCUUGUGGAAACUUGUCUCGAGGUUGAAAUGGCAUCUGAUGUCCUGUCUAUUCCACAAUCAACAGAACAAAGGGGUAAUCCUACUAAAGCUAGUGGUACACUAAAUUAGCAGACAUCAAGAUCAUUAUCAAAAUCUUUACGCCAAUUGCUUUCCCAGCAACGGUGCCAAAAAUGCUUGUUGACAUUCGUUAGUGCAAAAAGAAAUAUGAAAGAUUCCACAAGUGCACAGAACAUCAUCGUAGUAUUUUACUAGGAGUAUUCCAGGUAUCGUUAUUUAUAUUUUACCACAAGGAAGCUAGGGUUCAAAAUCUGAUAAUUCACUAUCAUACAUCUACUAACUUAGAGUAUCAACUAAACUAAAGGAGGGGUAAAUGAUAUACUAUAUGAUAAUUCAAUUAAGUGCAAAUAAGAUAACUCAAUAAAUGUAUAGAUUGUCAUAGCGGGAGGACAACGGGAAAGAUCAAUAUUCCUUUGUACUUCUCUAUUACUUAGGUUCUAAGGCAACAGAAGAUAAAAAGAUAUAGCAGUCACACAAUGAUACUUUGGAGCAGCAGGUCCUUUCCAACUCUUGAAUAAGACUAGGAAGAAAGUAGUCAGGGGAAGGCUGCCAAAAGCUCUAUGACACACCAACUCGAACAUGGUGGAAUACAAAGGCCUAAUAGGGUUGUCACCCCUGGGGCUACCACAACUAUUCGUGGGAUCGGGCACAAACUCAGGUAAACUAUAGCCUAGCCACCAUGUCUACACUAGCGUUUACUACUCUAAUUACCUUACAUAACUAGAGCACUCAAUACGAGCGGAGAUCCUAUGCCAAGAUAUAACAACUAUACUAAUCAUAAAUAUAAAUUCAUAAAGUAAAUAGAGAAGAUAAUAUAUUAAAGCAUAAGUCUUACAAAGAAUAAAUAUGAAGACAUAUCAAAACUCUAACAAAGACUCCUCUAGAACCGGAGCGUAGCUCCGCUAUCCCUAACUCCCGACUAAAAUUAAUCUACUACAUUGGAAUGUCUAGCCCUAAUUCUCUAGAGAAGAGAGGUCAUCCAUUCAAGGGACGCCUCUACAGCUCAUAAUGAUGAUUCUCCCUGGGGGUCAGGCUUGUAUUUAUAGCUCUCUAGGAAGCACCACAGCCCUCGGAUCAAAUUGACCUUGAUAGACAUCCAGAUUACUACUCAAAGGUGGUAGAGGCAGGAUCCACGAAGUUGAAGCUAAUUGGUCCACGUGGCCAGGCGGCUGCCCAAGCCCUAGGGGAAGGUGCCCCUUGCUAGCUGCCAAAUUGGCCCCACUUCACAGGGUUGAUAGAUCUUUUUGUUAGCUUUCAUGAAGUCUUAGAUCACUAAAAACGUAGUUCGGAAUAGGGAGAUAUGCCCAAUUUACUCUGGACUGCUCUAGAAGCCCAUUUGCAAUCUUCCAGAAGGCAUAACUUUGUCGUGUGGACUCUGAUUUGGGUGAAUCAAAACUCUAUUUCAUGUCUCGACGAGCUCUUCGUAAUGGUGUACUCCAAUUCAUCAACUGAAAUACUUCUAUUUGGUGAUUCUGGUACUUUUCUAGUUUAUCCCCUGUAAAAUAUAGAUUCACCAAAACUCAUGGAACUUGUUAGUUUCAAACCUUAUAUCUACUAGUUGUUUGCAUAUAGGUCCAUUUUUUAUGUUUAGUUGAUGGUUAAAAUUAAGAGUUAUCUACCGUCAAUAGUCAUCCUUUUCCUCUAUGAAAAACUGGGCAUCAUCUUCUAGAUUGGAAUCUAUAAAGGACUCAAAAGAUGCUACCUUAACCUCCUCCAUUGGGUCUAGCUCUAGAAAGGAUUUAUUUUCCGUAUUUAGGGAGUAAGAUAUGGAUAAAGGAAGGGUAAAGUUCUUCCCUAGACAUACGUCUAGUUUUCCUAUCUGUUUGAGCUUUAUCGUCUAUUUUAGCUUUAUAGGCUUUAAAGGAUCAAGGAGAGUUAACAAGCAGAAGGAUGUCCUGUCCCCUAUCGAAGUGCUGUCCACUUCAGUUAAGUACCCACUACACUCCAGGAGGAUCAGAACGCCUUCACUGCCCAUCAGCAACCCCAGCAGACCAUGUCAACAUCUAGCUUAGGGGAGAGCACCCCCGUAUACCAAGCUAAGUAUUCCUCACUUGCCUAUUUAUUCCUAGUGUGUUAUGAUAAGAUAAAACUAAAAAGAUGAAUAGCCUUAUAAACCCAAUAAAAACUUCCUUAUUUAUCUUUCAUAAUCAAUUUUGCUAGCUAAGGAGAGCUCUUAAUGAAUCUAUUGCUAAAAUGAACCUCUAGAACAAACUCUUAUAUGGAAAUGAUGAAUAGUUGCUCUGCCAUAAUUUCUUAUAAGUACCUAGUUUUCAACCUUGUACUCUCUCGAGUUUUGGAUACAACUGCUUAGAUUUAAAAUUUGCUCUGAACCUGAAACUUUUGGGUAGCGAAUGGUUGAUCUAAAUCUAGGUAGUUGACGGAUAUGAUAAGAGAAGGUUUUGAACUGUUAUCAAUCUUGUUCGUAGAGAUGUUAGAGUUCUAGAGAAUUUAAUUUGAAAAUCUUAAAUUGCUUCAUGAUGAGUUCCUUUAUGACUAGAGUUCAAAACUCCUACCACAGCCAAAUACUCAUGCUUACUAGAUUAGGAAAGCAUCCCACUUAUAUAUCAUCUUAUAAGCAUUGAGGGUAGUUAAGCUGUGUUGACCCUAAUGAACUAGUCAUAUAGUUAAAGUCAAUACUAUGUGCUCUUCAUCUAUUGAUCUUAGCUACUUCUGUCCUCAGACGUAUUGUUGACACUUGCUAACACCACUUGAAUACUAGGUUGUCAUCCCCAGCAUGGCACUAGAGUGUACUAUGGUAUUUAUACGCACACAGAUAAUCCGCAAGCGCACGGAUACCGUUGAAGCUUUUACCCGGUUAAAGGUUUUAUCGUAUCCACAGGGAAACAGGAGAACUGAUCUAUGCUCUAACUUAACCAAGGUAAGUAAAUAGGUGUAAAUAGGAAAGAUGGUAGAAUCGAAUAAGAACAAUAUUAAAGGUAAGAUAAUAGUGAGUGAUAAUAUGGGAAUAGAGAAUAGAGCAAUUCUAGUAUAUGGGCGAUGGUAGGAGAAUAGAGAGGAUAACUAUGGUUUCUCUACUUCAAAGGGGUAUGUCUAUGUCUGGGACGAACCACGUGAUAAGAGUACACCACAAAGGAUGCUUAUCCUUAGGCCGAUAAACCCUACCCGUCCUGCUAACGAGAGGUGGACUACAGAGGACCAACAUAACUGUCACCUACGCAGCCUACCACACGAUCCAGCUAGACAGGGGAUAUCCACAAGAAAUCUAGGUCUAAGCACCACUCUUACACCUAUACUACAACUCUAACCUAUAGCGUCCUAUAGAUUAGAAGUACUCAAAAGAGUUGUGAACCAGAACAUACAUAAUUAGUAAUUGCAUAAUGAAUUAGAAGUAGAUUACCAGAGUCAUCCCAUGAGCAAGCUUGAUUAGAGCUUGAUCAUGACGAAGUACAACCGGAGGAAGAACCGACAGGCGGGCCUCUCCUCUAAUCCUCCUUCGCUCUCCAUCUUGCUACUAUCUAGAUCUACUCUAGUUUAGAGAGGAGAGGAGAGCUCUCAUCUCUAAACCCUAGCUUUUGCUCUGUCUAUGAAUAAUGAAUAAUGAUCAAGGGGUGCCUCCUCCAGGGGCUAGGGGGUCUGGUUAUAUAGUCCCCUCAAGUGAACCUGGGCCGUCGGAUCAAAUCGACAUUGAUUGAACGGUUAUUCUUGAUCCUUUAGGUCAGUGGAGAUUAGUCCUGAAAGAGAGUCCUGAUCCAACUCUGUAGCUGGGCGGGCGCCCAAGGGGGGAGGGCGGGCGCCCUACCCCCGAGCCCGCUCGGCCUCCCGUUCGUUCCCGUGGCUUCUAGAGUCUUCUAGAUGAUAGAAAAUUACGCGGCACAUUAAUAUCUCUAUGUAAACCUGACGUGUGGGCCUUUCUUCCUUAUUUCCUGAUAACCCCCUGCAAAAAUAGACAAACACCAAAACUCGUGGAAUUCUGUCAGAUAAAACCCUAAGUUUAGAUGUUGGUUGUAUUUGGAUCCUUUUCUUUGUUUAUUUGCUUAUUGUAUUUGGUACUUAAGGACCGUCAACACGUAUGCAACCAAUUACAUCCACUGCAUAUUCAAUUUGUGCUACUUCUGUUCCUAGAAGUACCACCCACAUAUUACGUACUAUGUUGUUCCUAUCCUAGAGACAUGCACCUAUGCUACUCCUAUUCUGGGAGUACGCAUUUAUCUAUCCACACAUACACAUUCCUUAUCCACUUAGAAAAUGUUCUACUCCUACACUAGGAGAGGCCACCCAAAAAUAUUCAUUAUGUCUUUAUUCUACUUCUCCAAUAAAGCUCCAGUUAUUCCAAUUGAUACUCCCUACUACUAUUAGUGCAUUAAAAGGAUUCACUAUUAAAAAAAGAGAGAAAAGAAAAGAAAGAGGACAAAAGUCCCAAAAGAAAAGAAAGACAACCAAGUCCUUGUUUUCGAAAUUAGGGAAGUAUUUUAUCCCCAAGGAACAAUUGUAGAAUUAGAUAUUCACCAUCAAUCAUCACCCCUUAUUUUCACUAUCAUUCUUAUCAUUCACUUCAUUCAUUGCACUCACAUGCAUAUAUGACUUGAUUGUAUAACUAGUUUCUUUGGAUCCACAAUUUAACUAUGCAAUACAUGCAAGUAGGUUUAAAUUGUCUCCUCCACCUAUAAGCUCCACAUAAAGCCUAUUAGAAGUAGGGUGAGGGAAGGCAAUUAUGCCUUAGUCAUAUGAAUACCAUAUUCUUAUCUAGAUUGGUGUUGUAGGACCAUAGUCAGAGCUUCAUAGCCCUCAUCUUAUUCCUUUUUGUGGUUAGUGUUCUGAUGUCCCAAAAUAAGUAACUUUAGAGUAAAUCUUGAUUUCUAGAUCAACCUAUAGAACUCUUAAGAAAAUUCCUCUCUACCCUACAAAAUUAUAUAUAGUUAUCCUUGGGUGAUCUAAACCUCAACUAGUACACUUCACGUUCCCUGUGGAAAAUCGAUACCUUGGAAUACUCCCGGGUGAAAAGCUACGUCGGUAUCCGUGCACUUGUAGAUUUUCUAUAUACGUUUAAAAUACCCAACACCAGCCCAGCCAGCCCUUCAAGGGUUAGCGACUGGGUGCCCAUGGCUAGCAUGUCCGAGACCAAGGGCGGAAAAGACGCCGACAGCACGGUGGUGGAGGCCGAUGGAGGAAUGGUGGUGGAGGUUGGAGGACUAGACAUCUCUGAUACCAAGCUGGUAGGAAUCCUAGCCCUACCGGAUGAUGAACGGAGAUUGUAUGAGUGUGAGGGAGGUUGUCUAGGUCUGAGCAAAUGAGGGAGACGAUGCAGCGAUGUUGUCGCUGCAAGAAGGAAGGAGCUGGCGCAAGAGAGGUGGGCGGCUAGGGUCUACUCGCGGAGCUACAGUACCCGCAGGUAUUGUUUAUGCGGGUGCUGUGGUGGCGGCUAGGGUUUCUCCCAACUUUGUGAGAAAGCCAGAAACAAUAAUAUGUUUCUGCUUAAACCUAUCUCAAUAGUCUUUACAAGUAUUUAUAUCCCUCUCUCACAAAUAAUAAUUAGCACCCUCUAAAAUUAUAUAAUAAAGAUAACUAUGGGCUUAUAGCCCUUGAUCGCCCACAACACCCCUCCUUCAGCCGCUGCUGGGCUUGCGGCGGGUAUAGAGAAUUCCGGUCAUAACAUUUACAUAGAGAGAAGACCACGUCGGUAAUCAAAGAAUAAUCUAGAAGACUCAAGAGGGCAACCCUACAAAGUGGGGCCCAUCUGGCAGUUGGCUAGGGGUGCCCGCCCAUAGGGUAGGGGUGCCCACUCGGGAACCUCAGCCAAUGAGGUGCAACCUCGAUGAUCCUGCGUCCACCGCCUUUGAGGAGUAAACUUGGCCAUCUAUUAAGGUUGGUUUGAUCCGAGGGUUGUGGUACUUCCUAGGGGGCUAUAUAUUCAAGGCCUGACCCCCCUAAGGGAGGAAUUCAUUAUUCUCUCCAUUGAGAAUUAGAGGUAGCCAUUAGCAGAGCUAGGGAUUAGAGAUAUCUCCAGCAAAGAAUUAGAAUAGCUACUCCAAAUCUUCAACUUCUACAUAGGUUUAGACUAGAUAGAGGAAGAGUCGGGCGCUUGUGCUCGGAUUUCCGGAUCUUCAUCGUCAAGGAUUGGUAUUAUCUUGUAUCUUGCUUGUGACUUUAUUCUAAAUAUCAUUAUGCUUCUAUUUAUUAUGUUUCUAGUUUAUUCUAGUUUUACAUUUGAUAUGGUUAUGAUUGAUAAUGAGUUUAUGUAUAUGUUUCCAAAGCGCUUAGCUCUCUUCACGGGAGGGUUAGGUGAUAGAUGUCAUGUAAACAUGGUGCUUAGAUGUCGUUUAUCUGCAAAUACACCCUAUUGGUCGUGUCAUGUGCUAGACCAUGGAAGUGACAGUUCUGUUGAGACCUUCGUCUUCCAUCCCCCAUUGGUAGGACAGGUAGAACUAGAGUUGCAUAGGAAGUCCAACUAUGUCUUGACUUUUUUAGCAAUGUUCCUUAUACAUAGAUGAAGAGUCUUUUGUGCUAUAUAUGGUAGUGUAGUAUUAUAGUAGAUAAAUGACUUAGUAAAUUAUAACUACUGAGGAUUUUCUAUCUCUUGAACUAAUCAGGCGUUGACCUACUAUUAAGCUGAGUAGUCUAUGUCUAAUCUCUAUGUGAUUUAUUCCCUGAGCUUUUAUACUUCAUAUUAUUUAUCUAUCAUGGUUUACCCCUCUGCCAAGUAUGUGGCUAUGUAACCCAUCACUCAUAAGUAAUCAUGUUUUGCAAGUUUAUCUCAUUGUUUAAGUCCUUAGUUCUUUCCCUUAAGCUAAAUAUAAAUAAAGAUACCUGGAAUACUUCCUCGUGAAGUGCUGCAAUGGUACUUAAAUCUAUACGCUUGCGGAUCCUAUAUUUAUUUUAUUAGUGGAACAAUUUUUAUACCAACACUUCUGGCGUCAUGCUAGGAAUGAUAACUUAGCUUAAGUGAUGUUAGAAGUGUUAACUUGCUCCACUAGGGGUUGAGACCUAGAGGCUACUUUUCAUGGAGUUGAGGGGCCUACUUGUGUUCGAGGUGACUUAGAACCAAGGAUGCAGGGUGCUACUAGAUCAACUAUUUUUGGACUAUUAUUUGGAAUAGGUAGAAGCCACCAUUGAUGUUGGCAAUUUUGUGUAUAUAUAUAUGUAUAACCUCUAUGCAGUGAAAACAUUUUACGUAAAGUUGUGUCCAUAGUCAAGGACGAUUCGGUGUUACUGUUACACCAACACAAAGAGUUGUUUGCUUUUCUUCUUUGGGGUUAUUAAUCGUCUGGUCUAUUAUAUGCCACCUAAAAAAGUAGGGAGGUUCCUCAUCACCUAGAGUGAUGAGAGUUUUGAGUUGAGAAUUGGAAGAGAUUAGAGGAUGUGAUCUCACUAGGUUGAAACAAGGAUGCUACCGAGAGAUUGUUGAUGAAUAUUUGGGAUAUAUAUACAUAUACAUAUAUUUGUUCUAAUGCAUUUGGCAAAUGGGACUGAAUAAAGAGUGCAUGUUGCUAGAGAUGGGUGCAUGACUCAGAUCCUAGCCGUUAUUGCUUCUUGCGUGCGACGGAUAGGUAGAUGACGACAGUAAAAAAGAUGAGAAUGUGCCUUUAUAUCUGAUAACAAAAGUUGGUUACUUUUAACCCAACUAUAAGAAAGUAUGAAAUAGAAGGCUAUUGUUGGUACUCCUUAUCUUAUAAUUAUAAACAUCAUUUUAAUAAAUAAAAUAAAUAGAGGGUCGGGCUUUGAACUAACCUUUCCACAAGUUUUGUUGUAAAUAUCAAUUUCAGGCAUGUCACGUGGAAAGGCGCAAAAGACACGAGAAAGCGCACGUCAAGAAAGCGUAGUCACAAAAGGCGCAAAUCAAAGAUAAAUGGAAAAGCCCACCAAAACACCGAACUGGAUCCACUGGAUCCAUCCGUAAUCACGGGAAGGAUCAGAGCCCAGAGACGAACCGACCACGCGAAGGCGGUGGCCAGGGGGACCACCAGUGGUGCGGGCGCACCCCCCGUGGCUGCUACUCGGUCCCACCUUUUUCACCUCCUACCAAAUUUAGAUCACCAUGAACCGUCCUUGUUGGGCUAUAAAUAGAUGGCUCCACACCAUUCAACACACACCAUCAUUUGGAGCAAUACACCUCACAUUUCUACACAUGUUCUUUAGUUUAGAUUCAGUAGUAGAGCAAGGCAAAGCUAGCAAGGAGAGCUUGUCUCCUUGGAGGAUCUUAGAGCUUCUUGGUAUGAAUACAAUUCAGUUCUCCUCCAUAAGCAAGUUCCUAUCUUAUUUAUAUGAUUAUGCAAUUGAAUUAGAGUAUAGUUGUCUUCAUACCUUCAUUGACCUCUGUGAGGCGUUUGUUGGUAUUGAGCCAUAUUUUGAUAUUUUCUGUUAUCUGUUCUGUUUGAGGAAGAAAGGAGUGGUCGGAGGCUCAAAGAUUGCAGGUGGAGUAUACCUCAAUCUUCGUGAUGGCAUGAAGAACCGGUACCUCAGCUGUCCAUGGAACACCUCCCUCACCGAGUGGUACAAGAAAUGGUUCUACAUUAGGGAGGAGCCGGGUAGCGCGACGUUCUGCGACAUCGACUACAUCCCUGAGAUGAGGGGCAGCUGGAUAGAUCGGCCAGAGUAUACUAGUCAGGUGUCGGAGUUAAUGACCCUGAUCGACUGGUCGCGACUGGACGGGCCAGGAGUGGUCGGGAACUUCCUCAGCCGCCAAGUCAUGCCUUGCUAGAGGAGGGUGCACUCGGCGUGUGAGUACCAAGGUAGUCAAGACUCGACAAGGAUGCACCGGGACAACCUGGAGAAGCUUGAGAUCCAGCAGAGGAUCAAUGAAUUGUUCAACCUGGCUAACAACAGCUUCGUUCGAAGCGACAACCGGAUGCACGCCUACAAGCUAGGUCGACGAGCCCCCAAGGUAGUUGAAGUUUUUCUGCAGUGUUCUGAAAGUAUCACACUCUUGUGCUAAUAGCUUGUCGUACUUUUGUUGUAGAUCGGAGACGUUGACCGGGCGACAGUAUGUGUCGCUGGCGCCCGGUGUGGAGCAUCCGGCCGGAAUGGAUCCCUCAGCGGACGACGCUGCUCGGUGUGACUGAUACACUAGCAGCGAUGAAGGGGAGAACCGGCCGGCGCCGACCAUCGAUGACAGGGUGGCCGAUAAGAGGUCGAUGGCAGUGGAGCCAUCUCUAGCGGAAGCGGCACCUACAGGAGCAGUUGCAGGUCCUAUGAUGGGCCAGUGGUCGACCUCAGAGAGCAAAGUGCCCAAGCGCCGCCGGCUUGUUAGAAUUGUCGAUGACGAUGAUGAAGAGGAAGAGGUGGCCCCGACCUUGGUCCGCAGACCCCGCAGCCGCCCCGACGUCGCCCCAGGAGACAGUGGUCGGGUUGCUGAGGAUCCGCCUGCCACGCACAUCGAGUAGGCACGACUAGGAGGAACAGAGGCGGCGGCGGCGUCUGGGCGAGCCAGGAGAAGGGUCUUCACUGCGGCGCACGGAAGUUCCAAUCUGUAAGUUUAUCAAGAAAAGUUUCCUUUUUCGUGGAGUUUGAAUUUGGUGUAGUAAUUUUGGAUUGGAUUUUCUUUGUAGUACUGCCUCGGAUGUUGAUCCUGCAGUGUUUUGGGCUCGAGGACAACCGAGCCAGUGGCUGCCGAUCAGAACGUCGUAGGGCAAACUGCCACAGAACGGCCCAUGGCACAGCCCGCUGCUGUCCCUGCGACAGGGAUGGCCGAUGAGGACCCGACCCAAGAUAGGGCCGAAGCAAGUACCCCAACAAGGGUGAUGAGACCGCGGGGACUCCUCCCCCGAGCGGUGUGGCGGAGGAUGAGAACAAGGCUCCAUCCCCUACUCCAGUUGAAGAGGGCAGGGCUCUGUCUCCGUCUCCAGCUCUAGUGGAGGCUCCCAUGUAGGAGGGCACUCCUGACCGAGGUAAGGGUCCCAUGAUACCUGUUACCAUGGUUGGGGGUAGUGAAGGAGGCGAGGAAGCUCAGGCGGCCUCCGAUGACGAAGUGGAGGAGAUCCAGGGGCGUCCCCGCGAUGGUCACCAACACGUCUACGUAUAGCACCAGCGUGGGGACCACUGGCCGGCCACGAGGAGAUCGCUGAGGUCGAGGAGGCGGAGAGGGUAGAGCGUGCUGCCAAGUGCCUCGUCAGUGAAGUUAAGGUAGGUGGUCUUGCAUUUUAUUGAAGUAUAUAUAAACCUUGGAGUGUUCACUGUGUAGCGUGCCUGAAAUUCGCAGGACUCUAUGAAAACGGCGAAGUACCGAAAAAGGUGCUUUGACCAAAUUGAGGGCGUGGUCGCUGAGAAUAAGGCCCUGACCGUGGAGGUGGACCGCCUUCGAUCAGAGGUCGAGAAGGAGGUGAAGGAGAGGGUAGCUCAGGAAGAGCGUGUGCCCGAUCUGACUCGGCGACUAGCCGAUAAGGACAGCGAGAAAAGGAGUAAGUCAAAUUUCUGAGUAGUUGUUGCUAACUACGUGAUCUAUUUUUAUGGAAAACAAUUGUCGCUUCAGGUCUCGAGGAGGAAAUUGAGCGCCUCCAAAAGGAGAGAGACCAGCUCGACUAGGAGCGUGCGCGUGCGCUAGAAAGCGAGCACAAGGCUGGCGAGGAGCUAAAGACCAGGAACCGAGAGCUGGCUGGUAAGAUCCAUUUCAACUUUGCUAACCACGGAUUGUGUAUUGGCGUAGUGUGCUAUUCACUGUCUUCCUCCGUUUGUCCUUUGAAACUUGUCAUAGUGCUCAAGGCUAAUGCUAAAAAGCAUGUCGAGGACCUGGUCAAAGACCGGGACUCCCGGAAGACGAAUUCCAUAAUGAUCUGGAAGGGAGUCCUGCUGGUGGAGGAUCUGAUCAGCCUCGAGCUCCCCGAGGACCAGCCCCGCGCACCGAGGCUGACCCCGGUCGAAAAGGCGCAACAAGCAUGCGGAUGGCUUCAGCAGUUCGUGAAGGACGCUGGGGAGUUCACCGAAGCCCAUGUCCUCAGCAUGGUGCGUGCUCACUACCCCCUGGUCGACCUGUCCCGGCUGGAGAGGGGAUACCCAAAGGAGGUUGGUCCGAAGGAGGCGGAUGACCUUCACGUCGGGAUGUCUACUCCCCUCGAUCAGCCAAGGAAUUGAGUCUCCCAAUCGGGGAGCAACGACGAUUCGAAUCGCUUAGCAAUCCAGCUGGAGUUCCUAACCACCCGACAUAUGUUGAACCAAAUCUUGCAUAUGUCAACCCAAAGCAAGCUCUCCCCAAAUUUGACCAGGUUCGCGGCACUCGAGAGCAUAGUACUCCACCAUCCUACAGCCGAUCUAGAUAUUUCCCAGUCAUCUCAGAUCCGUAAAGUGGGUACACACUACUCUCGCCAUCGCUCCACGCCCAGUGCGCGAGUAGCUGUUCGCGUCGAGGGAUUACAAGAUCGGGCUUAUCGAGGGCAAGUGGCUAGUACUAUAAAUUCUCAACCCAGUAGGCCAUCAACGGACUGGUCCUUAACCGACACAGUUGGAGACACUACUUUAAGACUCCAUUCUUAAAGCAAGUCCACCGACCGGUCUCAAGUUGAAACAUCAUUGAUCAUAAGUGUAUUCCACAGCAACCCUUCAAACUUUCUUGUUUGAAAACCUAUCUAGUAGUAGGGCUAAGCAUCACUACGCAGUUUUUAAAAUAAAACAGGUGCCAAGGACAAGAUAACAAAUAUCAAGGUAGUAAAUGCAGCAAGUAGGUUAACCCAAUUCUCGACUACCAAAUGCAGCAUUUUCAAUUCAUAAGUGAUAAAAGAUUUAAAACAUUCAAGGAGGGGUUAAUGCAUCCAGGGCUUGCCUUGGUUGCAGGGCAGAGAGGGACCCUCGGAGACUUCCCAAGUCUCGGAUCCUACUUCCUCGAACGGAGCACCGACCUCGGGGUUCGGUUCAACGGUCGCUCCUUCGGUCACGGGCACUAUACGCAAAAUAAUGUAUGCUCAUGAUAUGCGUACGAUAAAUAUGCAAGAAGGACCAAGUCGAGUACAACUUGCCUUCUCGGUGCAACAUAGACUAAACAAUAAUUAAAGUUGUUUACCAUCUUAGAGUCUUUACCCAAGAGGUUGCAUCUGCAAAUUAGGACUUCUCCUAAUUCAUAAUUAUCCUAAAUUAACUAAUUAUUAAUCCUUUUAUCUUAAGUAAUUCUUAAUUAAAUAUUAAUGACAGCAAUUAAGCAUUAAUGCCAAACAACAAUUAAAUGCCAAAGGUCAUUAAGGUUAAUGACCUCAGGUCAUCACACAAUCCCAAAAUCACUCAAAACCUAAUUUUGAGAAUUUAAUUAAUUAUCAUCUAAUUAUUCUAGAAUGAUUAUUUAAUUAUUAAUUAAGGGUUCAAUAAUAUUUUGUUCCAACAUUAUCCAAAUGCCACCAAAUUUUGUGUGGAGCCAGGGAAUAAUAUUCAGAGGCAUCCCACAAAUUUUGGUGAUUUUUGGACAUAUAAAUAAAUUAUUAAAAUUCCUAGAAGUUGUAUUUACUAAUUAAAAGAGGAAAUUUUUAUACACAUGCAAACUACCCGAAAAUAAAACUUAACAUUUUUCCUGUGUUCUACUUGUUCUAUGGAACCUAUACAAAAAGUUUCGUAAUUUUUGGAUCAGCACAUGAUUUAUUACACAAAAUCAAACAUAACUCAAAAACUGCACAAAAAGAAAAAGAAAAACAGUACUAUGCAGCGAGUGGCCGGGAAAUCGGCCCGCAGGCCGGCCCAUUCCCGUUCGGCCCACGCGCGCGCCGCGCGCGCUGCCCCCCUCCUCUCUCUGCGGGUCACUGACGGGUGGGUCCCGCUCGUUAGACCCCCCUCUCCCCUCUCUCUGCGGGACGCUGACGGGGACGCCCCACCCAUCAGCUUCGUCUCUACCGCGCACGGCGGCUCGGCCACGGCUCCGGCCGCCGUUAGCGAGGUCCACGGCCCCCGCACGCAUGCGCAUCGGCCUCGCCUCGCCUUCGCGACCCUGUUGACACCCUCCACUCACGCUCUACUCUCUCCCUUCCACCUCGGCCACGCGAAAGGCGGGCGGCCGCCAUAGCCGACCGCGGACCGGCCAUUAGGGCUUGGUAGAGUGUAAAUUAAUGCGCUAGGGAGCUUCCAUGGAGGGUAAGGGACAUGGUGCUCACAUCACCACGGCGGGAGAAGCAGGAGAAGAGCUUGGCGACGGUGGCCGUGCGGUCGGGCGGGUGCUCCGGCUCCGGCAAAGUUGUUCCGGCGAUCCUGUUCGCGUCUAGGGAAGAAGAGGAAGCGCAUGAGCUUCUGGGGAUAAAGAGGAACCGGAAACAUCCACUAGUUCGGUAUUUUGCUCACUGGAAUAGCGCGGCCACGGAGAGAGCUCACGGCGGCGGUCUCGGCCGAUGUUGGGGAAGAACAGAGAAGUUCUGGCAACUGGGUGGAUUAGAGAAAGAGCUAGGGGGUGCGCUGAGCUCGCAAGGAGGUGGCGAAUGCUCUGGGUUGCUCAAUUUGGCUCAAGAGUGAUCGGGUGCGGUGAGUUUGAGAGAAAGAGCCGGGUCAUCGGCGUCGGGCAGAAAAGGACAAGCGAGGCCGCCGUGCAGUGGAAGCAACAGGGGAGUGGAUGAGCAUGCUGGGGCUCGUCCACAUCACGGCGGGCGCGUGCAGCCAAGCAGCUGCGUGGCCAGGCGUGUGGCGGUGCUAGGCGCGGCGGCUCGGCCCCGGCGGCAGAGCAACCCCCCCUGCUCGGCACUGUAGCGAGCCCUAUCCACCCAGUUUGUAGUUUUGAAAAAUUCACCAAAAUUUUGAACUGAAGACAAAAUUUCACCAAAAUGAAAGUUGUACAGAAUUUUGUGAGCUACAAAACAUGUUUUGGUGACCAAAGCAAAUUCUGGAUGGAAAUUGGUGAAUUUGUCAAAACAGUUUGCAAUUCAAAUCUCAAUUCAGAGAAAUUCAAAUUUUUUGAAUUAGGGCAGAUUAGAAUUUCCAAAAUUACUUUUGAUUUUCCUAAACAACUUGAAACACUCCCAACAUGAAAGUUGUUAAACUUUUUGAGCUCUACAACUUUCAUGUUGGUCACUUUUCAAAAUUCCAAAUAGAUUUUGAAUUGGAGGUUCAAAUUGGAAAAGGGGACACUUUCUGGAAAUCUGUAUUUUCAAAAUUACUUUGAAUUUUGUAUUAAAACUUCAAAAACUCAAAACACCAAAGUUGUACAUCUUAACAAGAUCUACAACUUUGCUUUUGAACUCAACCUCAAAUUUUGCUUGGUUUUUAAAUUGUGAAAAAAAGGGCAAAUCUAGGGUUCAAAAAUCAGGGUUCCCCCCUAAUCUUUCGGAAAUCUUUCACCCUAGGGUUUUAGCAACCAACUCAAGCAUCCAAACACAAUAUAAACACACUUUAGUUUCCUAAGCACAUUCAACCAAAUUAAACUUAUUUUAAGUUAAUGCAUCAGGGUGUGCUCAACAAAUAUGCUGUGCAAUGCUGAUGAUGUCAUGCUUCAAUUUUUUUUGUAACCGUAACAUCGGGGAUGUUACAGGAGUUGGGCAGGCUUGUUCCGUCUGGGUAAGCCAGCCUAUAAGAGGUAGGACGUGUGACUUCGGCGACCACAAAAGGUCCAUCCCAUGGCCUAGAUACCUUAUGCAUUCCUUCCUAGUUUGUUUUCCAUUUGAGUACCAGAUCACCAACCACGAAGGAGCGAUCCUUGACGUUCUUGUUGUAGUAUCGUCUCAUGGCCUCGAGGUAGUUUGUUGUUCGAAGGCAGGAGGCCAACCAUUUAUCUUCUGUGCAAUUGAUUUCAAGUUCUCUGGCGUGGUCUGCUGAAGACUGGUCAAAGUGCUCGACUCUUGGUGAUCCGAAAGCUACGUCAGAAGGAAGCACUGCCUCAGUCCCAUAAACCAUGAAAUAUGGGGAUACACCCGUGUUCCGACUAGGCUGUGUUCGGAGACCCCAGACCACCGCUGGCAAUUCUUUCAUCCACCACCCUGGUGCCCUAUCAUUUUCCGUUUACAACCUCUUCUUUAGAGCAUCUAUAAUCAUCCCGUUGGCUCGCUCCACUUGACCGUUGCCUCGGGGAUGGGCUACCGACACGUAUUUUACGACUAUGCUUCUGUCAUCACAGAAAUCCCAGAAUGUGGUGCCAGUCAACUGAGUGCCCAGGUCAGUGAUUAUACUGUUAGGAACUCCGAAUCUAUGUAUGAUUUGAUUGAGGAACUCUACAGCCUUCUCUAAAGUUGCUUUGACCAGUGGCAUGUACUCGAUCCACUUGGAGAACUUGUCGAUCAGCACGAAUAUGAAUUUGAAAUUGCCGGGAGCGGGUUUGAAUGGCCCAAUCAUGUCUAGGGCCCAGCAAGCGAAUGGCCAAGAUGAUGGUAUCGUCUGGAUCUCAUGAGCAGGUACAUGAGUCCUUUUGGCGAAGAACUGACACCCCUCGCAACGCCGGACCAGCUUCUCAGCGUCAGCUACUACAGUGGGCCAGUAAAAACCGGUUCGGAAAGCUUUUCCGACCAGUGUUCUAGAAGCGGCGUGGUUACCACAAGAUCAAGCGUGUAUGUCAUCUAGCAGCUUGAUGCCAUCGUCUUGAGUUAUGCAUUUCAACAAGACUUCUGAGUUUGCGUUUUUCGCAUGAGUCGGCCGUCAACCAUUAUAUAGUUUUUGGAUCGUCGAAUGAGACGUUCGUUUUCCGUCUUGUCUUGAAAUCCUGAACCGUCUGAGAGGUACUUAACGAAAGGUGUGCGCCAGUCGUUGCCGCUGGUUGUCGGGGUUGUGUCCUAGACGAGUAGUGUCUCGUUGUGUGGCUUGCCGACCAGGUCUAUUCUGACACUCGGUGUGUCAAUGUCUUGGACAAAAACACCUUGCGGAACCUGAGCCCGGGAUGAUCCUAUCUUUGAUAGCGCAUCUGCUGCUCGAUUCUUGUCCCGGACCACAUGUAUGUAUUCUAUUCCAUAAAAAUUUGAUUCCCACCUCCGGAUUUCUUUGUAGUACAGAUCCAUUUUCUCAUGAGUCGUGUCCCACUCCUUAUUUAACUGGUUAAUGACCAGGGCGGAGUCGUCGUAGACGUAAAGGCGCUUGACUCCCAAUUCGACGGCCAAUCGGAUAUCAUGCAAGCAUGCUUCGUACUCGGUGACAUUGUUGGAUGCUGGGAAGAGGAUCCUAAGGACGUAGCGUAGUUUGUCCUUGUUUGGUGAAAUGAAAAGGAUUCUGGCACCAGCACCGUUGAUGUUUAGAGACCUAUCGAAGAACAUUGACCAGUGAUCGGAGAUAUCUGGAGAGGGCGGUGCGUUGAGAUCUAUCCAUUCUGCGAUGAAGUCGACCAGGGCUUGAGACUUGACGGUUGUAGGACUAUGGAAAUCCAACGAAAAUGGGCAUAAUUCCAUGGCCCACUUUAUAAUCUUGCCAUUGGUGUCCUUGUUGCGCAAGAUGUCCCCCAACGGAAAACUUGUAGUAACUAGAACGCGAUGACCAUCGAAGUAGUGUUUCAACUUCCUUGAAGUGAUUUGGAUGGCGUAGAUUAGUUUUUGUAUCUAGGGGUACCUGGUCUUGGAUUCAUUUAGGACUUUGCUUAUGAAGUAUACUGGUCUCUGGACUUUGUAGACGUGGCCUAGUUCAUCCUGCUCUACCACGAGCACCGUAGAGACGACCCGAUCAGUUGCUGCUGUAUAGAGGAGCAUUUCCUCGUUAGGUUGAGGCGCGGUGAGAACGGGUGGCGAUGUGAGGAAAGUUUUGAGCUGCGCGAAUGCGAUGUCGGCUUCUUCUAUCCAGGGGAAUUUUUUCGAUGCUUUCAGUAGCCUAAAGAAAGGAAGCCCUUUUUCCCCUAGCCUAGAAAUAAACCGGCUAAAAGCAGCCAUGCAUCCCGUGAGCUUUUGAACGUCUUUUACGUUUCUAGGUGGUCGCAUAUCGAGCACCGCCUUGACCUUUGAAGGGUUUGGCCGUAUGUCGUCGUGACUGAUGACGUUGCCGAGCAGUAUACCAGAGGGAACCCCAAAGAUACAUUUUUUGGGUUUAAGCUUAGACUUGUAUUUGUUUAGCGCUUUAAAUGUGCAGUCUAAGUUGUCGAUCAGAGUGCUAGCGUCCCUGGUUUUGAUGACAACGUCGUCGACGUAAGCCUCGACAAGGUCGUCACAUAUCUCGUCAUGGAGGCACUGCUAAAUAGUGCGCUGAUAGGUGGCUCCGGCAUUUUUUAGUCCGAAGGACUUGGUGGUGUAGCAAUAUGCACCGAAGGGAGUGAUGAAGGAGGUAACCAGAGUAACAAUCAAGAAAAGAGAGUAGUUCGCAUCCGGCCAUUGAAUCGACCACCUCGUCUAUGCAGGAAGACCAAAAGGAUCUUUAGGACAGUGUUUAUUGAGAUCGGUGUAAUCAACGCACAUUCUCCAUUCAUUAUUCUUUUUUCUUACAAGGACUGGAUUGGCGAGCCAAUCGGGGUGAUACACUUCUUUAAUAAACCUGGCUGCUAAAAGCCAUGUAAUCUCUGUCCUAAUAGCCUCCUUUUUGUCACGAGCGAACCGUCGUAGCUUCUGCUUGAUAGAUCUUGUAGUCUUUGAGACGUUUAAGGAGUGCUCGAUCAGGUUUCGUGGGAUGCCGGGCAUGUCCGCGGGUUUCCAUGCGAAAACGCCCACGUUGUCCCUUAAAAACCUGACGAGCGCGUCUUCCUAUUUGGCAUCCAGAUUGGCUCCGAUGAGAGCCGUUUUCUCUGGGCUAUCAUCGACCAGUUGGACUUCCUUGUGCUCCUUGGACUUGGUGUUUUUUCUUGGAGUCUCCUGUUCGGGUAGUUUGAGCUGGUUGGGAGAGACUUUUGUUGCUUGUUUCACCAUUUCGGCCUUGCGAAUCGAGAGGUCGAUUGCCUCGGUGAUCUUGAAGCUUUCCUCCCCGUAGGUGUAUGCCGUGUAGACGUUUCCUUUGAUGGUCAGGACGCCCUUCUCGGUUGGCAUCUUGAGGACCAAGUAUGAAUAGUGUGGGACUGCCAUGAACUUGGUGAGAGAAGGAUGACCCAGAAUGGCGUGGUAGGUCCCAUCAAAGUCGACGACCACGAAGUUGACGAAUUUUGUGCGAAAGUGGUCUGGUGUUCCGAACUGGACAGGCAGCGUUAUCUGGCCAAGGGGUACUAAGAUUUGUCCUGGUAGGACGCCCCAGAACUGAGCUUCAUACGGUUUCAACUACGCCGGUGUGAGCUUGUGAGCAGGCAAGCUGUUACAAAACAAGAUGUUGAUAGAGCUACCACCGUCCACGAGGACAAGCUCGAACCUGACGCUGUUGAUGCAUGGGUCCAGGAUCAACGGGAAGCGUCCUGGUUCUAGGAUGGCAGCCCAUUGGUCGUGCCUGUUGAAAGAGAUCUCUCGGUGCGACCAGGGAGGGAAUUUAGGGUCGGUGAUCGAACCGUCGGAGCUAUCCCCAUUAAGGCAAGCCCUUUUUAGGAGUUUUCUUUCUCAUUUUGAUUCGAUCGAGACCUUCUCUCCAAAGAUGGAGUGCACUACGUCGGUUGGGUUGACGUAUUGAUGCUGUGGGUACCUAUCCUGGUCGUCGUCUUCGUCUUCAUGACUACGUCUGUCAUGUUUCCUAGUUUUCUUGGCGGCAUCUCCCUGAGCGGCCCGCUGUGUGUAGAUGCUUUUGAGGACACAGCAUUCUUCCAUAGUAUGGUUGGACUUGGGAUGGAGUUAGCACAGUCCUUUCAGUGUCUUGUUGUAGUCUUCCUGGUAGUCCCGCCGUCCAAUGGGACGCUUGACUGUGUUUACCUCGUGAUCGCUGUCAUGAGGUUGCUUGCCUUUGAAGUCGUCACGAUUGUCACGGCGCCUAUCCCACCCUUCUCGGUGGUCGCGGUUGUCGACACUGCGAGGAUUCUAGAUGUCGAAGCGUCCACGGCUAUCGUUUCAUCAGGGAGGCUGCUCGGCUCCUCGUAUGUCUUCUCAGAUGAGCUUCUCUGCGUCGUCAGCAUCGGCAUAAUUCUUGGCCGUGGCGAGAACUUCGGCGACCGUGGUCGGCCUCUUGCAUAGUAGCUUGCUUCUUAACGCUUCGUGGAAAUGUAGGCCUUUGAUGAAAGCCGAUAUGGCCUCGUCAUGGGAAAUUUUUGGAAUCGUCGGCAUAGAGCGUAUUUGUUUCCAGGUGCAUAUCCGAGAAGCGUCGGAUGUAGUCGCAUAGGGGCUCAUUCUUCCUGUCCCUUAUCCUCUCAAGGUCGUAUUUGUUUCCAGGCUGCUCGUAGAUAGCAAUGAAGUUAUUGAUGAAUGCCUGGUGCAAUUCCUCCUAACAAUCAAAAGAGUCCUCGGGUAAACCGAGAAGCCAUUGGUGGCCAGCUUGGUCAAGUACAACUGGGAAAUAGUUUGCCAUGACAUGUUCGUCUCCUGCUGUUGAUCGGACUACGAUCUCAUACAGGGUGAUCCAGUUUUCGGGGUUCUCCUUAUCGUCAUACUUUUUAAGCUUCUUGAGCUUGAAAUUGCGGGGCCAUACGACUUGUCGAAGGUGUGAGGAGAACUGUUUUAGGCUGGGGGGUCGUGGCUGCAUCGUACUCGAUGCGUCGCAUGUUUUCGUGUACUGCUCUAUCGGUAAUGCGCCUGUUGAUGCGCUCGCGGGCAUCCCUAUAGGGGAGGUUUUGUCAUAGGUCCUGGUCUGGGUUCACCGCCUAACCACGUCCAUGUCUCUGUUCGUGGUAAUUGCCAGCGUCCCGACCACAGUUGUCGCGAUGGGUGUCCUUCCUACGAUCGUUGAUGGGCGAACGGCUAUGACGAAGUCCGCCAGGUCGCGGUGAGGUUCGGCUGCGAUGAGUCUGGUCGGAGGUGGCCUCCAUAUAGGAGAUGACUUGGACCCUUAUGAGCAGAGUAGCGGUCUGUCCCGUCGUGGUGAUCAGGUGUGCCCGUAUGUUGGACCGGACGUCCUGAUAUUCUGGAGUAUCUGGAAGUCGAUCGAGGUUUGCCAUGGCGAUGGCUACAUUAGCGCUUGGUUUCUUGAACACUUGCUGGUUACCGACUAUGUCGAAAGCAUCAUCAAGGUUGUUUGGGAUAAGAUGCUGCUCCUCGUCUGCUCGUCGCUGAGCACCAUCAGUGUUGCACUGUUCACGCUUCUGUCUUUGUUCGUCGGUUUCACCGUCAACAAUUGGUUCAACAUUGCUGACGUUGAAAACCAGAUCUCCUCAUCGAGGUGGAAAGACCAGAAAGCGGGAAAAACUCGGGGGGUAAGGCAGGAGAUCCAAGUAGUAGUCUUCGUCCUCGGGGUGUAAAACCUCGGUAGGGACAGAGCGUGUGCUAGAAUUUGUAUUGUUGGUCUUGUCUUCUGGCAGAGUGCGGAUGGAGAACAUAUUGACGAAGUGACGGGCUGUUCGCCUGGUUUGCCGCGGUGACAAGCCCAUCUUCCUGAAUAGGGAUUAAGUAUGUCGUGAGACCUCAUCAGCUGCGUUGCUCAGUCCAUGAGGAAAAUUCUUGUCUGGCGAGGCUAUCUUGAGCUUGACAGUUUGUCCCUUUGGGGUCGAUGUUACCGUUAAGGACGUCCCUAGUCGUUCGUGCGUGGUGGCACGAGUUGGUCGAUGGGAGUCGAAAAAAUUCGAUACCGGUGUUUGAUCAGGCUGGCAUGAAACGGAAUCCAUCAGGUUGGAGGCUUCAAGAAGCUUGUGGUCAGCAUGAUCGAUGGCUUCAAUAAGAUCCGAAUUGUCGACUCGUUUCCCCUUGUAGCGAGGGAGUGGAGGUCGAGCCCUCGAAGUCAUAGUGGUCGUGGUCGAUGUGAUCGGGAGCAUCACCUCUGCUGUUCCAGAUUGGAUCUGAGUUUCCUCUAGAGUUGUGCUUGUAAGGCCGCCAACCUGAGUCGUCCAAGUGAUCUGGCCGACGGAGAACGUGAGACCUUCGGCCACGGCAACGGAAGCUAGGAUGAUGACCAUCUUGUUCGUCUGGGAAGCUGUACGCACACCCCCUACCUGGCACGCCGCUGUCGACGAAAGCUAGUCGGCAGUCUACUAUGGGGUAUACCCACGGUAGUACUUUAUCGGCAGACAGGUGCGCAAGCUACGAACUUGAUGGUGACGCAAGACACAGAUAAGGAUUUUAUCUAGGUUCGGCCGCUGUGUGGGCGUAAUACCAACGUCCUGCGUCUGAUUGUAUUGUUGUGGAUCGAAUUGUGUUGAGUUGAGUUGUCCUCAGGGAGGUCCCUUGCCUCUCUUUAUAUAGUCUAGAGGGCAGGGUUACAGAUCUGGAAACUAAUCUUAGUCGGUUACAAUUGCCAUAGAUAACAUGAUAUCAAUUCCUAUUCUAACCGACUAGAAUCCUACUUGAUCUCGACGUCUUGAUUCCUUGUGCGAAACUCCAAGCAGUUGGAUCAAGCCUCGAACUGUAUCAUGAUGGGCCAAAUCUCCCGGCCCAUGUCCAGCCGUAAGGUUAUAGGGGUUUAUACCCCCACAAUGAAGUAGUUCUUAGUUCUUGUGCUAUGUUCUUGAUGUGUUCAUCCUUGUUCUUCAUCGUUCAUCGAAUUAGUAUGAAUAGACAAAGGAUUAAGAUUAGGGUAACGGUUCGUUGGGCUGUGAUGGCCACUCUUAGCCGAGCCUGUCAAUCCGAAGGGUUGGGGUCCCGGGAGGCAAGGAGGCGUUUCCAAUUACACAGGAGAGGUGCUCAGGUAUGCGAAGAUUAGCGGAUGCGUGGGUAUCUUUCGGGUAGAGGGGUAGGUGGCAGGGUAGUGACAACCCUGUCAUCCCUGGUAUUCCCCCGCAAUCAGGUAUUCCGGUAGGAGUUCUGUAAAGUCCCUAUCGGCUGGAUGUCCAACUGCGGGGAUCUCCCGAUAGCCUCAGACUUAGUUCUAACUCUAGUUAUAUUGAUUAGAUAUUCUACUAACAAUUCUUUGCAUAGUUAUAUAAGAUCAAUGCUGGCUCAAGUAGUUGUUCUUUAUUUCUUUUAUUUCCUUAUUUUCUCUUUAUUCCUUGAGGUUGCCCCGAUGAGUGUGUCCACUAUCCAUAUUUUAAGAGCCUGCCAUGACCCCUGAUUAGACUAUGUCUACCUAUGCAUCUCAAUAAGUGAUCAUGCUACAAACCAAGCUAGAUGCAUUUGUUAUGCCCUCCUAUGGGAUUAAAUACGAUAACCCUUGAAUACUCACGGGUUGAAAUGCUAGAAUGAUAGUUCUGUUCGCUUGCAAUUUUAUUGUUUAUAUUCAUAAACUAUUGAUUAGCGUACCUAAGUACCGUUACUUAAGAUUGUAAACUCUGUGCAUUUAUCUAGCGCCAUGCUACAGCUUUGCAUAUCGUAAGUAAGGAUGGUUAGGAUGGCCAAACCGGCUUCCUAAUUAUUGUUACCAGACUGCACUGCUAAGGCCGGCGUCGUUAAAGGCCUUGGGUUAUCUCUCUGACGUAACGAUAGUUAUGGUAUACCAACACCCGACAUUUUUGGUGCCACUGCUAAUGAUGGAUUUAUAGUCUAUCUUUAGUAGUGAUGCUAAGAAAUGCCAACAAGCAUUUCUGGCGCCAUUGCCGGGGAGGGCAAACAACAAUGUAAACAUCUAGCUUUGGCAUUUAGCAUUGAUUACAAAAUAAGCAUUGGUAACCAUAGUUUAAGCAGGCUAAUCUUUGUUGUUUUCUUUCUCUUUUUAUUUGAAUGAGAACAGGAUAGUGUAUGAGCGGUUUCAACUUAUCGUCAAACUUCAAACAGCAAUCUAGAGGCACUCCUAAGGAAGAAAAGGACUCGUGCCGUUUCUUCCUCUACCACGCCACCGACAGUCGAACCAAUCCCCCCGCACCAUCCAUUUCAACCACCAUGGCCAGGUCACUCCACGACUAUUCCACCGCCGCAGUUGCCAACGUGCCCGUUGAGCCCGCAGUCAACACUGGGAAUGGAAACUUCGAGCUUCGCACUGGCCUACUCACGAUGGUACAGGCAAACCAAUUCUAUGGUUUGCCAAGUGAGGAUGCAAACGCGCAUCUACAGAACUUCCUUGAGCUAUGAGAAACCAUCAUCAUCAAGGAUGUCGCACCUGAAAGCGUCAAGCUCCGCUUGUUUCCCUUCUCCCUCUCGGGGAAGGCAAAGCAAUUGUUCUACCAGAGCAAGGAAGCUGUCAACACGUGGGACAAAUGUUCUGUGGCGUUCCUCGUGAAAUUUUUCCCCAUGAGCAAAAUAAAUGCUCUGAGGGGAAAGAUAUCAAACUUCCCGCAGACUUCACUCAUAUCCAUUCCUGAGGCUUGGGAAAGGCUCUAGGAGUACAUCCGGGCCUGCCCCCACCACGGGAUGGAAGAUUGGCUCGUGCUUCUGAAUUUCUACAAAGUGCUCACGCCCAUGUCUAAGGGGCAUGUCGAUGCCGCUGCUGGAGGCGCGUUCCUCUCCCUGACCAUCAAGAAUGUGUUGACACCGUUUUGGACACAUAUCUUUGGACACGUAUCUAGGAGUUAAUGAGGCGUGGAUCGGCAGGCAAAUAAAGUGGUGACUGGUUGACAGAAGAGUUGCCGAUGAGGGUAGAUAUCGAUGAUGAAACAAUAGAAUAUGGCCAAGUCUAGUAGUGGUGAUGGAUCUAUGCCGAUGAUUGAUGCUGAUAGUUGCCGAUAGGAAAUUCACCGAUGGUCACAAAGAGAGACGCAGGAAUUGUCGAUCGAGUAGUGAUGGUGUACCGAUUGGUUGUGGAAGAUAAAUUAAUGUUUUCCAUAGUAAUUAGAGUUUGUUUUGUAUACGGAUUCCGUUCAAUUUGGAAUUUGAGUCCUAGUCGUGUCUGAUUGUAACCCUUUUGGGUAGGGUAUAAAUAUAAGACCCCGUAGCGAUGUAAGAAGAAUACACAAUCAAUCAAACACAAGUUUUUACACAUAUUCUAGCAUCUACUUUUUCGACGACUUUGUCACCCUGCAUAUUUUCCUUUUACUACGAGUUCUUAGGAAUUCCUCGAGUCAACCUCGGUGAGUUCUCGAGUUCCACGUGAAUACCUCUUGGUCGUGACAUCCGGGCGCAUCGCUGUUGCCGAGACCAAAGUAUUCGAGUUAUCACCUUUGUCGAUUGUAAGUUCAAAUCGGCUGGCAUGCCUUAACAUUGAAUCGGGUAUUAGCCCUUUGUGUUUGCAGAUCUACUUUUGCACCAACACAUCUUUUGGCACGCCCGGUGGGACCGAGAUUCAAUAUCAAGAUCAACAUGUCGAACACCGAUUUCGACUUGGAGAACGUCAUCCCCGUGACGGAAGCCAAUCUCAGAGAUGAACAGAAGCAAGCUAUGGCAAAAGCUAUGGAGGACUACAAGCAGUUAUGCUUGAAACCUUCAGUAUCAACAGGAGUGGCGAGGUGAUCCAAAAGGAAGCAUUGCCGAUGCCUCGGCAAAUCACUUUUGAAGCCAAUCCUGGUAAACUACAAGAGAUGGUUGACAAUGCUAUUAAUCGUGCUCUAAUCAAUCCAUCUAGUGUGUUGUCCAAUACAGUUUUCAAAGUUGUGGCUAGAACUUUCAAAGAAGGACAAGUACCACCAUCUUAUGUGGGCCUAGCUUAUCAUCAGCCAGGAGCAUCCUCGGUUACGGCUCCAUCGGCUACUACGGCCGUUGCGGGUACGGAAGUCACUUCUCCUCCCAGCACAUUAGGGAUGACUAAUGCGCAAUCUACACCGAUGACAACUAAUCCAUCAACAUCAGAGGGACAAGUUAAACUCGCUACAGAUUUAUUGGCAUCGGCAAUGUCAGGAUCUGUGUUUAAAGGCUCUCAAGUUCCUCCUAAUUGGUGGGGAUAUGGUAUGCCCCCAAAGUUUAUAACAAAUAGCUCUGGGACGUCUCAAGUGGCUCACAUGACAGGCAAGGCUCCUAUGGCAUUGGCACCCUCAAUAUCGCCGAUGACUCAGAAUACCCAAUAUUCUACAACUACUACUGCAAGACCUUUUACUGGGAAUUCUUAGAUACCAACAUUCUAGAUGCCUAACGCAUCGGCAGAUCCAAUGCCGACGCAACAAAGGUUUAUGACACAACCAGGGUAUGUCAAUUCAAUGAUGAUGCCCAAUUAUCAGCCAUCGGCAGAGCCUACGCCGAUGAAUGUUAAUAAUGGAUGGAUAGGGUAGUUCCUCUUUCAGCAGAUGCCUUAGCAGAGUCAUCACGCUAUGGGAUUUAAUGCAACCUGGAUUUCAGAAUUAAGGGUUGAUCAACCAGCCGAUGAAUCUUGGUCAGCAAGUUGGUGGUCAACAGGCAGUAGCUAAUCCUAUGUUCCCUGGAGAUUGUGCACGGCAGAGACACGUGGAAGCUUAUCAGCAAGUGCUAGAUCCACAGCCAGUUCAUCGGCAAGAUGCCGAUGCUUAUUGGGCCGGUAAGAUAGCUGAGGUGAUGAGAGAUCAAUUUGGGAUAAAACCAGUCAUCGGUUUGGCAGAGUGGGUAAAGAAUAAGAAGCCAAUGUCUUGCCCUUUUGGGCAUAAAGAACCAGAAAUGUUUGCAUUUGAUACCACUAAAGCCGAUAGGAUAUUUGACUUUCUGCUUUAGGAGGGGCAAAUUAAGUUGUCACCCAACCAUGUGAGUCCAUCGGCAGAAGAGUUAAAGAAGAUCAAGUAUUGCAAGUGGCUUAAUGCAACAUCUCAUAGCACAAAUGAAUGCAAAGUAUUUAGGCAUCAACUGCAAUCGGCCAUAGAGUCUGGGAGAAUUAAGUUUGAUAGCUCCAAAGCUUAGAAGCCGAUGAAGAUUGACCAGCAUCCUUUCCCCACAAAUGUGUUGGAUGCUUGCGGAAAGACUAAAGUAUUGACAUCAGAGGCGGCUAAAAGAAGAGCAUUGGUAGAUCCUCAACAUCAGAUUACUGCCGAUGACGCCAAGGGUAAGGGCUUGAUCCAGGAGGGAACCAGCUCGGGAAGGCCUCCUCGAUCUGGCAUUGUAAUCACUCAUAGAAGGCAUCAGGAAACCUGGCAGCAGCGUGAAGAUCGGUAUCGGCGCCAACAGGAAGAUCGUCGUCGGGAAGAAGAAAGACACCGACAAGAGUGGAAUCGGCAUAAAGAUCAUUGGAAUUGCCCAUUCUUCAUCCACUGUUGGGAGCAAAACAUCAAGCUACCAACUGUUAGAGACUACCCUAAGUGCAGUGGCUAUAAUCGGUAUGAUAGACCAAAUCGGUAGUACCAGAACGAUGAUCGGCGUUUUAAUGGGCCAAUUAGAGGAAGGGCCUCAGUUCAUGAUCAGCUGGGGGGCAGACUCAGUGUGCAUGACAGGCUUGGUGAGCGUGUCGGGUAUUUUCCAAGAAACCAAGAGGAGCUCGAGGAGAUGGCGGAUGCGCGAGUUCCCGAUGAGUUCAUAUUUUGUAGAGAUGCUAAUACUUAUCGUGUGGAAUCAAGGGAAAAUCGUCGCCAGUCAGUGAGACAGCCACAACUUCCCCCAUGGUGUCCAGAGGGGUUGACAAGGACACAGAAAAGAAGGCUGCAGCGGGAGCAAUGAGAAGAACUGAGUAGAGGAGAGAAUUCUGCUAAGUCUGGAGAUCGGCAGCAGUCAGAUCCUAAAGGAAAAGGUCCAUCGGCAGACGUUAAUAUGGUGUUUAUGUUGCCGAUGGAAUUCCUUGCGCCCUUUAGUGAUGAUCAGGGGGUAGAUUUUCCCGAUCAGAUAGCUCAGUUGUCUCUAGAUCCGAUGAUGGCUAUUUUUGAAAAGCCCGCCGAUAAUAAGAGACAACAUCUUAAAGCUCUGUUCGUCAAAGGCAGGGUUGAUGGACAGCCGAUGACCAAGAUACUUGUUGAUGGUGGGGCUACUAUUAAUAUCAUGCCAUAUGCAGUCUAUUGGAAGCUUGGCAAAGGAUAUCAAGAUUUGACCAAGACCGAUAUGAUAUAAAAGGAUUUUGAAGGAAAUGUGUCUCUAGUCAAGGGAGCUAUAUGUGUUGAGUUGACCAUCGGCAGUAAAACCUUGCCGAUAACUUUCUUCGUCAUCAGUGGAAAGGGUGCUUAUAAUUUGCUGUUGGGCAGAGAUUGGAUUCAUUUCAAUUGUUGCAUCCCAUCUACAACGCACCAAUGCUUGGUUCAGUGGGUAGGUGACAACAUUGAAAUUAUCCUAGGGGAUUCUUCAUAUGUCAUUGCAUCGGUAGAAGCAGAUACUUAUGAAAAGACCAGAUGCAUUUCAGGAGAGGUUUGGGAGAAGGAUUUUCUCAAAGUUGCUGAUUAUGAAAUUCCACCGAUCCAAGCAGUCAGUUCUGAUGAAGAGUUUUAAUAGAUAGGUUCGCCGAUGAUGGAAAAUUAGGCCAGGGGUUUACAUCGGCCGAUGAUCUAGUAGAAGUAGAUAUAGGUAAUGGUGAUAGGUCAAGGCCUACUUUUAUUAGUGCUAAGUAAGAUUCUGAGUGUAAGCAAUAUUUAACCGAUUUGUUAAAGGAAUAUAAAGAUUGCUUUGCUUGGGAUUAUACUGAGAUGCCCGGUUUAGACCGAUCGAUUGUUGAACAUCGGUUACCUAUCAAAUCUGGAUUCCGGCCACAUCAGCAGCCAGCUCGCCGAUGCAAUCCUAAUAUUCUUCCUGAUAUUAAGGCCGAGAUAACUAAAUUCAUUGAAGCUAAAUUUAUUCGGCAAUGUCGGUAUGCCGAGUGGAUUUCUAAUGCCGUUCCAGUUUACAAGAAGAAUGGGAAGCUUCGUGUCUGUAUUGAUUUUAGAAAUCUUAACAAGGCUACACCGAUGGAUGGUUAUCCAAUGUCAGUUGCCGAUUUGCUAGUUGAUGCUGCAGCUAGACAUCAGAUCAUUAUCUUUAUGGAUGGCAAUGCAGGAUAUAAUUAAAUAUUCAUGGCUGAAGAAGAUAUUCCAAAGACUGCAUUUAGAUGUCCUGGUCAUGUUGGGUUGUUCGAGUGGAUAGUCAUGACCUUUGGCUUGAAAAAUGCUAGUGCUACUUAUUAGAGGGCUAUGAUUUUAUCUUUCAUGAGUUCAUUGGCAAGUUGGUUGAAAUCUAUAUUGAUGAUGUGGUGGUUAAGUCUGGAGAUUUCACAAAGCAUCUUGCCGAUCUACGAAAGGUGUUGGAGUGCACAAGGAAACAUGGUUUCAAGAUGAAUCCUAAUAAGUGUGCAUUUGGUGUAUGUUGACGGUUCUUAAGUAUCAAUUUUAAUUAUCAAAUAAACAAGAGAAAGGACCAAUAUGCAACCAUCACCUAGAAUUAGGGUUUGAUCUGACAGAAUUCCACGAGUUUUGUUGUUUAUCUAUUUCUGCAGGGGGUUAUCAGGAAAUAAGGAAGAAAGGCCCACAUGUCGGGAUUACAUAGAGAUAUCAACGCACCGCGUAAUUUUACAUCAUCUAGAAGACUCCAGAAGCCACGAGACCGAAGCGGAGGCAAAACUGGGCCAGGCCCAGGGCGCCCGCCCUGGUAGCCUGGGCGCCCGCCCCCCUGCUGGAGCCAAAUCAGGACUCCUUCGCUCGGGAUAUUCCACCGACCUAUUGGAUCAAGAAAAACAUAGUACCACCUCGGCUAUCGACCCAAAAACGCAUAGAAGGGGAGGACUAUAUAAGCGAGGCCCCCCUGGCCCCUGGAGAAGACAUGAAGAAAUUAUCAUAGAGACUGAGGGGUGCCCUCGAAGGAAAACCUCUUCUCUAAUUAAUAUUUCUUUUUAGGCUUAGCAAUCAAUGUAAGGUAGAAAUAGAUCUUCUAGUUUCUACUAGAUUGAGAGAGAUAGAGUGGAGGUGUAGAGUGGAGGAAGCCCGGCCUGUCGGUGUCUACUCCAAGCUUGUACCUACGGGAUCAAGUUCUCCUAACCCAAAGCUUGCUCCUAGGAUUCUUCAGUAAUUCGACUUCUAAAUUCUAGUAAGUUCUUGUUUUAUUGUUCUUAUGGUUUAUGAGUUUACUUUAAUCUCUUCGCAUAGAGUUUAGAGUAAUCAUUGCUGGCAUAAACGUGGUGUUUAGGCUGGGGUACUCAUAGAUAUUCCCUGACUAGGUGGACCGUGGUAGUAGUGAGGAACGUGACAAUUCCGAGCUACCUUUGUAGAUCACAUCUCGUUAGCAGGAAGGAUAGGGUUUAUAGGUGCGGGUCGAACAUCCUUUGUGGUGUCUAGAUUCCGUUAGCCUCCCCAUUAGAACAGUAGAUCAUCCUUACCAAGGUUAGAAGGAGACUACGGUUGCAGUCUUCUCUAUUUAUCACUCACAUCGAAAGACAUUCUUUGUGCCUAAAGGGAUAGUAGCAAUAGACCGGUUAGUCAGAUGCACUCUUUCUCCUAGUGGUAAAAAUAUAAAUACGAUACUCUAGAAAACCUCCCGGGUGAAAUGCUCACCGAUAUCCGUGCGCUUGCGGAUCAUUUCCUUAUUGCGUUACCAAAUAUCAACAAGCAUUUCUGGCGCCGUUGCGGGGGAGAAAGACGGUUUGCUGAGAUAACUUUGAGUCUUGCUAUUAUCUUGUAUUAUACUUUUAUACUUUUAUUCUUUUAUCUCUUUAUUUUUAUCUUUAUGGAUAACUCAAAUUCCAUACCUAUUAUUAAGUUCUUUGCACCUUCGGAGACCAGCCAUAGACCAUGGGAGUCAACACGUCCUGCCCCUAAUUAUGAUCUGUGUCCGGAGUUGAUUACAAUAGGUCAAAACCAACCCUUUUCUAUAGCUGAGGUCCUAUCUUUUAAUCAAAAAGAUAAUGCACUUUUAGCUACACCUAGGGAAUCUUUUAAUUUUUCUAUAAAUUCUGGUUUAGACCUAGCACUACAAGACCAUGUUUUUCCUAGAUAUUUUCACAUUGGUCUUAAUCAUAUAACCUUUGGUAGAGUCUUUCUUUCUUUAUCUAUUAGUAAAGGAAGGUAUGUCUUCAUUAGUAGACAUCCUUCUUGCACUAGUCUUCAUAGAAAAAUCUUAGAGAUAGAGAAGGAAUCAUCUCCCAGACGAGGAAAGGAAGUUUCAAUAGCCGAUUUCCAAACAUUUCAAUCCCAUAAUUUGGCUAUCCAACCCAUCCUUGAGCAUAAUAAUUUCUACUAUGUUUUUUCUCUUGAACCUCCCGACAAUCCUAUGAAUCUCUCUAGACAUCCCAUGCAUAAGAAGGAGGAUCGAGAAGAGCAACAUCAAUGGCUAGAGGGCAUUAAAAAUCCAUGUGCUAUCACCAUUGAAUGGAUAGAUAAAACAAACUUGAGAGACAAUCCGAGAGGAAUUCUAAGCAUUCAUGAAAAAUCAUCCUUGGAGUUUGAGAAUGAGAGAAACAAUAGUGAGCAUGGAAGUUAUUUCAUAAAUACCUCACCAAGUCCUUGCUCAUAUAAAACAUCUCCCCAAUCAAUUGGUCUCUCCAACCUUACCACAUUUGAGAUUUGCAACCCCCUCUUUCUUUAUAUUUACAAAAUGUUUAAAAGAACGGUUGUCGAUGCAUAUGUCUAUAAUAAAUAUUGCAGAUCUCGUCGAGUUAAUUGAUAGUUUCCCAAGGACAAGCUUAGUGUCCUAAAACAAGCACUUAUCAGAUCGUAACAUGAACUUCUAAUUACUUGCAACAUUACCUUGUGUAUUGAGCAUAUAAGAUAAUUGUAGAAAUAUUCUUUCGGGAAUUCUUGUCACUAACCUUUCUAGGAUUGGAGCAAGAAGACCGGAUAAAUGACAAGCGCAAGGUAUGCCCAACCAAUCAACAUGCAACAUUGAAUUAAAUUCAUCCAAUCUUGAAUUUUGCAAAAUUCAAGCUUAGGGGAGUACUUCACAUAAAAACAUCCUUUGCCAUGUUGCUAUGUUGGUUGUCCUUACCUUUGAGACAUGCUCAAUUUGUUAAUACUAAUCACACUACUUCAUCUCCACUUAAGUAGAUCUCUAUAAAUGCCAUCACGCUACCUUUGUUUAUCCUAGUAAGUGUUAGUUUGGAAGUACUGCACAUACUUCUAUUGGCUUUUAAAUUAAGCAUGGUGCUUAGGUUAAACAGCCUUCCUUAAUCUGAUUAGACAUGGAGUCUAGUUCGGUUAUCGAACUAAAAAUUGCUUGUGUAGACAUUGGUAUAUUUUGUGGGACUAACCCCUGCAGGAAAACUUUCAAUAUCAACCUGGGAAGUCCUGAGAUAAACUCACAUUGGAGAUGAAGAAAGUGACACAUGAAAGUUUAACAAUUUGCACAAGAAAGACGUAGCUCAUAAGAGAUGAUCCAUGGAGGGAGCCACAAACACGAUGCACAACCGCUAGAAAGGAAAGCUUCUACAAGGUGAUACUGUACCAUCACUCUUCAAAGGUAACAUCUUAAUGUACUUGACUAUCCUUUUAUAAGUUUCUCCUUGGUUCUAGCAUUCACAUAAAUAAAGAGACAAACAUGUAUGAUUUAUAACUCUAAAUUAACCAACCUAACUGAUUCAACAUGUUUAGUCCCUUAAUCUUUGUUCUUAGUACUACCUUCGUAAUCCCACGCUCCUAAACAUAUAAGCUAAUAUGUUGCACAUUCAAUCUUUGGAAGAUAAAAACAAAACAUAAAUAUAGAUAGAUUAUCUUUCCAUUAGGUUGAACCAUCUGAUCUAACAAAUGUUUUAAAUGCUACACUCAUGAUCCAUCAACUUUGUCUUGCUCACUAUGCUUAAGGUUAGAAAAGAACAAAUACACUUUUGGUUCUGUUGGUGUUUUCCACCAACAGAGCCCAUGCACUUGGUCUCUGCCUUGUCUCUAUGAGCAGGACACAUUUUGAGAAACGUGAAGGCGUUUUACAACUCCCAGAUUUCAUUAAGUGAAGAACCGGGAUCUACGAGCACACACACAAUGGAGAUCAAACACUUAGUUUCCCAAAGGAAAUAUUAAAGAACCUCUGUAUCCAAGUUGGUACCUUGUACGCUCCAGCAAACUUCGUGGUGGUAGAGACUGGUACUGAGGAGAGGGCACCCAUCAUCUUAGGGAGGCCAUUCCUAAACACCAGAGCUGUCAUCUACACUAAUGCUGCCAAGAUCAGUCUCUACAUCAAGGGGAAGAAGGAGACUUUCCUUUAAGAACAAGACUACACAAACUUCAGAGCAACCCCGACAUCAACCAAGGAAGAGGACCAACAGGAAGAACAGGAACAAGCAAAGGUGGACCGAGUCAGCUAAGAUGGUCACUGCAGUUCAAGGAGGUCAAGAUCGUCGACUCAAGUCACCUUUCUUGAUCAAGAAGGACGACCCUAGUGUUCUAAGCAUUGAGUGCACAAUCAACAGAUACUCUUUUCAGAAGACACUCUACGACACCGGAUCUGACGUCAACAUAAUGGCCGUAGUCACUUAUCAGCUCCUGCAUGAAAUCAUGCCCCUACAACCAAUAUACAUUCAGCUAUAGAUGACUUUCAAGUUAUUGACAUGGAAGAAGAUGAAUAUGAUCCACCCACCAUCCUUGGAAGACAGUUCCUCAGCACUAUCAAAGCCAUCAUCUAUAUUGGAACCGGAGCACUUCUCCUCUGAGAAGGUAUGCCGCUGUUUUACUGACCCUAACUAUAUAAUUGAAGACUCUAAGCAGGUCAGGACAAGAAGAAGACAUCGCAACCGCAACCAGAGGAGGCAAAUCAUCAAGGACGGAUGGGUAGACUACGAAGGAGAAGUGAUAAGGACUGAAGACAUACCACUUGAACAUAACUGUCCUGAGGAGACCAUAGCACCGAGUCAGGUGUGGAGAGAGAAUAUAGUUACACACGAAGAGGAGGCGCCACCAGAAUCACCGACUACGUCAUCCAGCGAAUCCCAGGACGAUUAAGAAAAUGGAGAGUCCCGCUCGGAGGACUUAAAAACACCGAACGCCUUGCCAAGAGGUAAACUUGGUAGUUAUCCUUUCCCUUUUAAUUAUUUCAAAUAAUUUACUUAGUUAAUCAUGUUCGUAUUAUCCUAAAAAGAAAAUAAAAAUGUGAAAAAAAACUGUAAGCCCCAUGUGAGUAGACGAGUGGCAUAAAACCCAUCAGUACAUUCACUGUGGUGGCAUAAAAAUAAAAUAAAAAUAUUUUUCUGCUUUAUAAAAUAAAAAUAUAAAACAGGGAGUAAUAAUUAUUAAGGAGUCUCAACAUGAUAAAGGCUAGAUAUUUAUGCUAACACUUAAUUAGUUCCACAAGCUUUGUUGUCUAUUUGAGCUCCACAGAAUCUAAGAAUCAAGAAGACUAGCAGACGGAGGACAUUCUAAUCGCUGUCAAAAUACUGGUGACUUUCAAACACACCUCUGCCACCUGCUACCUACAUCAAGAGAAAUUACGUCAAAAUUCAGCUUGGAGGAGAGCACCCCCAUUUAUCUCGAUAAGUAUUUCUAUCUAUCUUUAUACUUAUAUUAUUUUAGAAUAUAAAUAUACAUAACUAUGAAAAACCAAAUAAAGAUUUUAUGCUUAUAUAUAUAUAUGUCUUUUGCUUAGUGUGUUUAAUAAAUAAAUAAAGUGGCUAUGCUAAUCUGUAUCUAAAUAAAACUCAAGCAUGGAAAUGAUGAAUAGUUGCUCUGCCUAAAUUGCACAUUUUAAGUUCUCUCUCAAGUUUAGACAUAACUGUUAUAAUUUAAAGCUUUCUCUAGACCUAAACUUGUGGGAUGAAAACUUAUCUAAGUUGUUAACGGAUACGAUAUGGGAAGGUUGAGCUGCUGUUUAUCUGUUUCUAGAGAUGCUAGAAUUCUGGAGAAUUUUAUCUUUGAAAAUCUUUAAAAUGUUGCAUGAUGAGUUCCUGUAUGAUGAGAGUUUAAAUUCCUACCACAGCCAUAUAUACAUGCUUGCUAGACUUCGAGCCACACAUUUACUUUUUACUGCUUAUGAGCAUUGAGUGUGGUCAAGCUGUGUAGACCCUUAGGAGCUUGUCAUGUGGUUAAAUCAAGAUUCACUUGCACGUUCACUCACACAUGCUACUUCUACUCUGGAAGUGCCAUCCACAUAUAUCCAUACAUUUCCAUCUUCAGAAUCACCCAAAAAUAUUCUACUCCUAAUCCGGGAGAGAAUAGCCAAAAAUAAUUUUGUUAUUCCUUGUGUAAUAAAUGCCUCAAGAUCAAUAAAGAGUAUUAUUAUUAUGUCUUGUGUGUCUCUACUUUAUUUUUGUGCAAGAAAGCAGAAAACAAGUAUGGGGGAGAUCCCUCGACAUGCUAAACACACUCCGACUACACCACUCCACGAUUCAGGUACACACUCCGCACACUUUACUUUACACAUAUAUAUAUUUUAGAUUAUGCAGAAUAUUGUUCCCGACAUGAUAAAAUAAAAAGAUUAAAAUAGUUCUAAUCAUGAUUAAUCUCAAUCUGUGAUAUUUCCUGAAAACUUGCAAAUUAUUAUAAAAUCAUUUUAAAACCCUGUGUUACUUAAGUCAAUAUGGAAUAUGUGAUGGUAGAGUAUGAGUUUCUUAUUCUUGAUAUCAUUGUUGCUUGGAGAAUUUAUUUCAAAAUAUCCAAAUUAUAGCUACCAUCCUCAGUGUUUUAUAUGCCUGAUAAGACUGAAAAUAUUAAUUAUGAUUAUAAAAGCUAUCUGCUCUGUAUUGAGUUUGUUCAAAAUGAGUUAGACCCUUGUUGAUAGAUUUAUCAUGCUCCCAAGAUCAAGACACUAUUUCAGUAAGAUUCACUCUUCCGAAGUAUUAUUGCAUUAGAGGCAUGGGCUAUGCAAAAAUAGAAGAUAUUUCGAGGAAAUAAAAAGGAGCAAGUGCUCGACAACCUCGCAGAAAAAAUGGACAAGUGUCCGGCAGUAGAAUUAGGGGUACCUCGGUAUCCACUUAAAAAAAAGAGAGAGAGGAAAAAGAGAAAAAAAAAUGAUAGCCCAUGGUCCCUCUAAUAAGCAAUAUGCCAGCAAGAGAUGACAAGUUUUUAAUUUCCAAAGUCUUUGAUCUAAGAGUAUGACAUUCCCCUCCUUGGAUCCCGUUUUGAUCAGGCAAUAAAUGCAAAGUAAGUAUGCUUGAGAAUUUUUGCAAAAUAAAACAGCCUCAGUGAGAUAUAUAUAAAAGAUAAUGAGUGAUCUGAGAGAACCUAUGAGGAUCAAAAAGGUAUGCUAACUUUCUUUCAAAAAUAUACAAAAACUCCAAGUGACAGGAUUGAGAAGAAAGGAUCUUUACUCUUAACCAUAUACUUCCAUGACUAUGGUACACAGUGGAAUUUUUGACACCCUGCAAUUAUAAAGAGAAUGUUUUAAAUGUUUACCCCAGAUAUUAUUCUCAACCAUCCUUUUCUCGAGGACGAGUAAAAGCCUAAGUAUGGGGGUAUUUGUUGACGGUUCUUAAGUAUCAAUUUUAAUUAUCAAAUAAACAAGAGAAAGGACCAAUAUGCAACCAUCACCUAGAAUUAGGGUUUGAUCUGACAGAAUUCCACGAGUUUUGUUGUUUAUCUAUUUCUGCAGGGGGUUAUCAGGAAAUAAGGAAGAAAGGCCCACAUGUCGGGAUUACAUAGAGAUAUCAACGCACCGCGUAAUUUUACAUCAUCUAGAAGACUCCAGAAGCCACGAGACCGAAGCGGAGGCAAAACUGGGCCAGGCCCAGGGCGCCCACCCUGGUAGCCUGGGCGCCCGCCCCCCUGCUGGAGCCAAAUCAGGACUCCUUCGCUCGGGAUAUUCCACCGACCUAUUGGAUCAAGAAAAACAUAGUACCACCUCGGCUAUCGACCCAAAAACGCAUAGAAGGGGAGGACUAUAUAAGCGAGGCCCCCCUGGCCCCUGGAGAAGACAUGAAGAAAUUAUCAUAGAGACUGAGGGGUGCCCUCGAAGGAAAACCUCUUCUCUAAUUAAUAUUUCUUUUUAGGCUUAGCAAUCAAUGUAAGGUAGAAAUAGAUCUUCUAGUUUCUACUAGAUUGAGAGAGAUAGAGUGGAGGUGUAGAGUGGAGGAAGCCCGGCCUGUCGGUGUCUACUCCAAGCUUGUACCUGCGGGAUCAAGUUCUCCUAACCCGAAGCUUGCUCCUAGGAUUCUUCAGUAAUUCGACUUCUAAAUUCUAGUAAGUUCUUGUUUUAUUGUUCUUAUGGUUUAUGAGUUUACUUUAAUCUCUUCGCGUAGAGUUUAGACUAAUCAUUGCUGGCAUAAACGUGAUGUUUAGGCUGGGGUACUCAUAGAUAUUCCCUGACUAGCUGGACCGUGGUAGUAGUGAGGAACGUGACAAUUCCGAGCUACCUUUGUAGAUCACAUCUCGUUAGCAGGAAGGAUAGGGUUUAUAGGUGCGGGUCGAACAUCCUUUGUGGUGUCUAAAUUCCGUUAGCCUCCCCAUUAGAACAGUAGAUCAUCCUUACCAAGGUUAGAAGGAGACUACGGUUGCAGUCUUCUCUAUUUAUCACUCACAUCGAAAGACAUUCUUUGUGCCUAAAGGGAUAGUAGCAAUAGACCGGUUAGUCAGAUGCACUCUUUCUCCUAGUGGUAAAAAUAUAAAUACGAUACUCUGGAAAACCUCCCGGGUGAAAUGCUCACCGAUAUCCGUGCGCUUGCGGAUCAUUUCCUUAUUGCGUUACCAAAUAUCAACAGUAUAUCGGCAGGACAAUUUCUUGGUUUCAUGGUGCAUCAAAGAGGAAUUGAAAUUAGUAGGAGAUCAAUUGAUGCUAUCAACAAAGUAGUUGCUCCCACUAACAAGACUGAACUCCAAUCUCUGAUCGACAAGAUAAAUUUUAUCAGGCGAUUUAUAUAUAACUUGUCUGGUAAGAUUCGUGAUUUUAGCCCUUUACUUAAGUUGAAAGCCGAUCAAGAGUUUGUAUGGGGAAGAGAGAAAUAGUCAGCAUUGGACGAAAUCAAAAAUUAUUUGACAAAUCCGCCAGUUCUGAUUCCACCUCAGCAAGGAAAACCUUUCAAAUUGUAUUUGUCAACCGAUGGAAUGGUCAUCGGUUCGGCUCUAAUUCAAGAAUUUGAAGGGAAGGAACGUCUGAUUUAUUAUUUUAGUAGAAGAUUGGUUGAUGCUGAGACAAGGUAUUCAGCAAUUAAAAAAUUAUGUUUAUGCUUAUACUUUUCAUGUAUCAAGUGGAGACACUAUUUGCUAUCGGCCGAAUGCACUGUUUUGUGCAAAGAUGAUGUAGUCCGGUACAUGCUAUCUAUGUCGAUUAUGAGUGGUAGAAUUAGCAAAUGGAUAUUGGUGCUGUCGAAAUUUGAUUUGCGCUAUGAAUCGGCUAAGACAGUUAAAGGGCAGAUUAUGGCCGAUUUUGUGACUCAGCAUUGCGGUGUAGUAGGAACUUUGGAGAUCGUUCCUUGGACGCUCUUCUUUGAUGGAUCCACAUGUGACCGGGGGGUAGGAAUCGGUAUAAUACUAAUUUCUCCUCAGGGAAAGAAGUAUUAGUUCUCUUUGCCGAUUGUUGCCACGUCAACGAAUAAUCAAGCUGAAUACCAAGCUCUGAUCAAAGGGAUGGAAUUGUUAAAAGAGGUUCAUGCUGAUGUUGUUGAGAUCUUCGGCGAUUAUAUGCUUGUUAUAAAUCAAUUGGAUGAAACUUAUGAAUGCCGCAGUGAAGUUUUGGUAACUUAUUAUGAAAAGAGCAUACAACUGUUUAGAGAAUUCAAGGAUGUCCGAUUGGAGCAUGUUCCUCGAUUACAUAAUGAAGAGGCUAAUCGGUUGGCUCAGCAUGCCUCAGGAUAUCAACCUAUCUUAAAUAUGUUAUCGGCAAUUAGUGCUUAUGAUUGGAGAAAGGAAAUCAUUGAUUACUUAAAGGAUCCAUCUAAAAAGGUUGAGAGGCGUGUCAGGUUUCAAGCUACUAAGUAUGUACUCCUUGGAGAAGAGCUAUAUUAUCGAACGAUAGAUGGAGUUCUACUCAAGUGCUUGGGUGAUGAUGAGGCUAAAAGCUUGAUGGGUGAGAUCCAUGAAGGAGUGUGUGGAGCACAUUAGUCGACUUUUAAGAUGAAGUGGAUGAUUAGGAGAAAUGGGUAUUAUUGGCUGACUAUACUUGAGGAUUGCUUUAAAUAUUUUAAAGGAUGUCAAGGAUGUCAAAGAUUUGACAAUAUUCAAAGGGCACCCACAUCGGCCAUGAAUCCUAUUAUUAAACCUUGGCCGUUCUGGGGAUGGGCUAUUGAUCUAAUCGGCCAGAUUUAUCCGCCAUCAAGCAAGGGGCAUAAGUUCAUCCUAGUUGCCACUAACUAUUUUACUAAGUGGGUUGGAGCUAUUCCUUUGAAGAAAGUAACAUCGGCUAACAUGAUUGAUUUUGUGAAAUUGCACAUUGUUUACCGAUUUGGUAUUCCUCAAACAGUCACUACCGAUCAGGGUACUAUGUUCACAUCGGGAGAGUUUGAUGAAUUUGCAAUCGGUAUGGGGAUUAAAGUGUUGAAUUCUUCUCCUUAUUAUGCUCAAGCCAAUGGACAAGCCGAAGCAUCUAACAAAGGGAUUAUUAAGCUCAUCAAGCGAAAGAUUGAAGAAAAUCCUAGAAGGUGGCAUACAUUGUUGAAUAAAGCUUUGUGGUCAUAUCGGAUGGCAUGUCAUGGAUCGACCAAAGUUUCACCUUAUCAGUUGGAGUACGGACAUGAUGCGGUGCUACCAUGGGAAAUUAAGACUGGAUCUAGGCGGGUCUCUUUUCAAGAUCAAUUGGCUGCCGAUGACUAUGCUACUUUGAUGAAAGAUGAGUUGGAUGAUUUCGCAGAGCAUCGGUUGAGAGCUUUGAUAAGUGUAGAAGAAAAUAAAAAGAGAGUUGGUAGAUGAUAUGAUAAAAAGGUAAAAGCUAAGGAGUUUGCCGAUGGAGAUUUGGUAUGGAAAUUAAUUUUACCGAUUGGGACUAAAAGUUUGAAGUUUGGAAAAUGGUCUCCUAAUUGGGAAGGUCCUUAUCGGAUAAAUCGGUCUGCUCCUGGUAAUGCUUAAAUUUUGGAAACUCUCGAAGGAGUUGAAUUUCCUAGAGCUUUGAAUGGAAAAUAUCUAAAGAAGUAUUACCCAAGCAUCUGGGUUGAUGCAUAAAAGUUUAAGUGCCGAUAACACUCCUAUUGGCUGGAUGAAAUGUAUCUGGGGUCGUGAGUAACGUUUGUAAAAGUGCCGAUAACAAUCCUAUCGGCUAGACCAGAAUUAUCAAGUGUUUCUAAGGGCAAAAUGAAACAAGUUGUCGAUGAAGAGCUCACAAGUUCAGCAGAGCCUGGAUAGUGGAUAUAGCCCGCAGACGGAUCUGGUUGGCUUCUUCUAUCUCCCGGAUGUCCUCAUCGGCAGAACCCUCUAUUGGCUUCAACUUCUUUUUCAUCUGCAGUGCUUUACGGGCCUGAAUGUUUCAUUCUUACUGAAGAUUCUUGAGUGUCUCAGGCAGCUAGCUCUCUUCUUGCUGAGCUUGGGUCAGGGCUUCUUCUACUUGUUUGAGCUCAGCUAGCAGGGCUUCCCUUCUUGCUGAUAGGUCAGAAAUCUUUUGUUUCAGUAUAUCUCUUGAGGAUUGUAGAAUGUCGAUGCUUUUGUGCUUCUCAUCGGCAAUACGUUUUACUUGCAUUACUUCCUCUGAGAGUUGGGCGUAAGCGGCUCUAUCGGCAAGACGCUAGGUAGCCUUCUGGUACUGGAGCUGGUGCCUUUCCAAGUGUGCAGCUUGAAACAAGACUUCUUCUGCAUCGGCUGGGAUUUGGCUCCGAAGGGUCUUAAACAAAGCUUUGGUCGGGUCAGAAUCAUCGACCAGUUGAGCGGUAUCUUGAUGCAGCAGAACCAACAGGUCUUCCAGUUUAGCUUUGAUUUCUGCCGAUGAGAUCCCCACUGCUUGAGAGGAGCUUGCUUCUUCAGCCUCGUCAUCGGAGAUGUCGAUAGCAAAGGAGAAUAAGCUAUCUGGAGAGUCUUGUUCCUAAAAAAGGGAUAGAGAUGAGUUAUCUGAUGAUCAAAUGUUGAUAAUAAAGAGUGAAGAUCAGAAACUUACUUGCUUCAGAACGACUUUAUUUAUUUAUUAAGAGUGAAGAUCAGACACUUUAUUUAUUUAUUUAUUAAAUACACUAAGCAAAGGAUAUAUAUAUAAGCAUAAAGUCUUUAUUUAGUUUUCCAUAGUAAUGUAUAUCUAUAUAUUAUAAUAUAAGUAUAAAGAUAGAUAGAUAGAAAUACUUAUCGGGAUAAAUGAGGGUGCUCUCCCCCAAGCUGAAUUUUGACGUAAUUUCUCUUGAUGUAGCUAGCAGGUGGCAGAGGUGUAUUUGAAAGUCAGCAGCAUUCUGACAGCGAUUAGAAUGUCCUCCGUCUGCAAGUCUUCUUGAUUCUUAAAUUCUGUGGAGCUCAAAUAGACAACAAAGCUUGUGGAACUGAUUAAAUGUUAGCAUAAAUAUCUAGCCUUUAUCAUGUUGAGACUCCUUAAUAAUUAUUGUUCCCUAUUUUUAUAUUUUCAUUUUAUAAAGUAGAAAGGAAAUAUUUAUUUUAUUUUUAUGCCACCACAGUGAAUGAACUUAUGGGUUUUAUGCCACUCGUAUACUCACAUGGGGCUUACUGUUUUUCAUAUUUUUAUUUUCUUUUUAAGAUAUUACGAACAUGAUUAACUAAGCAAACUAUUUAAAAUAAUUGAAAGGAAAAGGAUAACUACCAAGUUUACCUCUUGGUAAGGCGUUCGGUGUUUUUAAGUCCUCCGAACGGGACUCUCCAUUUUCUUCAAUUGUCCUGGGAUUUGUUGGGUGGCAUAGUCGGUACUUCCGGCGGCGUCUCCUCUUCAUGUAUAGUUAUCUUCUCUUUUCAUACCUGACUCGGUGCUACGGUCUCCUCUGGAUAAUUCUGUUUAAACUCUACGUCUUCUGACCUUACCACUUCUCCUUCGUAGUCUGCCCAUCCGUCCUUGAUGAUCUGCCUCCUCUGGUUGCGGUUGCGUCUCUUUCUGACCUGCUUAGAUUCUUCAAAGAUAUAGUUAGGGUCAGUAAAAUAACGGCGUACCUUCUCUGAGGGAAGUGCAUAUGGACUUCUCCAGUUCCAAUGUAGAUAAUUGCUUUAACGGUGCUGAGGAACAGUCUUCCAAGAAUGAUGGGUGGAUCAUACUCGUCUUCUCCCAUGUCAAUAACCUGAAAGUCUGUGUAGACAAAAUGAUCAUCUAUUUUGACUAGGACAUCAGUUUCUGUUCCUUUAACUUCUCGAAACGUCUGAUCUGCCAUCUGGAGCUGAAUGUAUGUUGGUCUCAGGGGAAUGUUUCCGAACAAGAGCCGAUAGGUGACUGUGGCCAUUAUGUUGACGCCCGAUCCGGUGUCGCAAGUCAUCUUGUAGAAGUUAUAUCCAUUUAUGGAGCAAUAGAUGCUUGGCAUUCCUGGGUCGUCCUUCUUGGUCAAAAAUGGUGACUUAAGUUGAUGUUCUUGGUCUCCAUGAACUGCAGUGACCAUCUUAGCUGACUCGGUCCACACUUGCUUGUUCCUGUUCCUCCUGUUGGUCCUCUUCCUUGAUUCACGUCUGGAAUGAUCUGGUAUUUGUGUAGUCUUGUUCUUGAAGAAAAAUGUCUUCUUUCUCCCUUUGAUGUAGAAACUGAUCUUGGAAGCACUAGCAUAGAUGACAGCUCCCGAGGUGUUCAAGAAUGGCCUCCCUAAGAUGAUGGGUGCCCUCUCAUCAUUACCGGUCUCUAUCACUACGAAGUCUGCUAGGGCAUAUAAGGUACCAACUCGGACACAGAGGUUCUUCAAUAUUCCUUUUGGAAAACUUAAUGCCUGAUCUGCAAACUGCAAACACAUGGUUGUUUCUAAUAAAGGAUAUGUAAAGAAUUUUUCAUAGAGUACCCUGGGCAUAAUGUUGACGCUAGAGCCAAAGUCGCAGAGUGCUUCUAGGACGUCCACCAUGCCGAUGGAGAUCGGGAUGACGGGGCAUCCUGGAUCGCCUCUCUUGACCGGCAGAAGGUCAGUAGUGAAUUCAGUGACGGGGUUACUGAAAGGUCCUAAUAUGGCUAGAGGGGGGGGUGAAUAGCCUAUUUAAAAAUUCUACGAACUCACUAGAGUAAGAGGUUAGUAAAUAACAAAGCAAAGCUUUUUGCUCUAGCUCUAAUGGGGUGUUUGCAAGCCACCUAUCCAACAAUUCUAGUUGAUAUAAACACUAGGCACACAAGAGCUAUGACACUACUUACACUAGAAAGCUACCUAAAGUUUCUAUACAAGUAAGUAAGCUACUCUAGUUUGCGGGAAUGUAAAAGAGAUGGUUUGAACUUUAUACCGCCGCGUAGAGGGGAUGAACCAAUCAAUAAUAUGAAGUCCAAUCACCGGGAGAAAUCCAAUGAACAAUCACAAUGGAGACACACAAUUUUUCUCCUGAGGUUCACGUGCUUGCCGGCACGCUACGUCCCCGUUGUGUCGACCAACACUUGGUGGUUCGGUGGCUAAGAGGUGUAGCACGAACCUCGUCCUCACUAGGACACCACAAGAACCUACCCACAAGUGAGGUAGCUCAAUGACACGAGCAAUCCACUAAUGUUGCCUUUGGCACUCCGCUGAGGUAGGCACAAACCUCUCACAAUCACCAGGAGAUGGCCACAAACAAUCACCAACUCGUGCCAAAGCUCCUCCGCUGCUCCAAGCCGUCUAGGUGGCGGCAACCACCAAGAGUAACAAGAAAACCACAGCUAGAACGAUCCCCAAGUGCCACUAGAUGCAAUCACUCAAGCAAAUGCACUUGGAAUCACUCCCAAUCUCACAAAGAUGUAUAAUCUAUGAAGACGAUGAGUGGGAGGUGUUUGCUUAGGCUCACAGGGAUGUCAAGUAUGUUAGAAUGCCAAGAGAGUAAGCCCUAAGCCGGCCAAACACGUAUAUAUAGCCCCUCAAACAAAUAGAGCCGUUGGCUCUUUCACUAGGCAAACUGCGGGGUCACCGGACGCUCUUAAAGGGGCACCGGACGCUCAACACCAGCGUCCGGUGCUCCAACGUCAGCCGCGUGUCGCCUUUUGAACUUCUCGUGUUAGAGUCUAACGGUCACCUACAGUGCACCGGACGCUGAGCAAGUUAGCACCGGACGCGUCCGGUGCACACCGGACUCAUGCGCAGAGAGUUCCGCAAACCUGCGGGUCACCGGAUGCUAAGCACCGGUAGCGUCCGGUGCUCACCGGACCCAUGCGCAGAGAGGGUCGCAAAACGCCCGCACACCUGACGUUAACCACCGGACGCUCCAAGCUGCGUCCAGUGCCUAUCGUCCGGUGCCUAACCCUAACAGAGUCAGGCUGCCUACUCACCGGACGCACAGGAACAGCGUCCGGUGCUUCUGAGUCAGCGUCCGGUGAGUGUUCCUCAGCGAGAAACACUCCCGCGACUUCUCCAAAUUUUCCCACCGGCGCAAUAGAGAAUAUGCACUUCAUUUUCUCGAAAAGCAUCAAAUCCCGCCUCGCAAGCUCGGCGGGAGGGAGAGAGGAACCCAUCCUCUCUUUACUCUUCAAACUCCACCUCCUUCUCAAAGUGUGCCAACACCACAACGUGUGUACCAACAAGUGCACAUGUCUUAGCAUUUUCACAAUCAUUUUCUUCGAAGGAGUUAAGUUAGCUCACUAGGUUGUAAAUGCAUGCACAAGAACAAUGACACCUAGUGGCACUUGAUAACCGCUUAGCCAAAGAAUUCCCCUCUUUAUUGUACGGCUAUCUAUCCUAAAUGUGAUCACACCCUCUAUGGUGUCUUGAUCACCAAAACCAAAACCCUAAGCAAUACCUUUGCCUUGAUCUCCAUAGGGUUUUGUUUUUCUCUUUCUUCUUUUCCAAGUUGAGCACUUGAUCAUCUUGUGGUCAUCACCUUCAUCACCAUGAUCAUCACUUGCUCCAUCACUUGGCAUGUACCAACCUCAUUAAGUCUACACACACUUAGUAUAGGGGUUAGUACUAGGGUUUCAUCAAUUAUCCAAAACCAAACUAGGGCUUUCAGUUACUCCAAUUAUUACCUGCAUCAAACAUGUCUACAAGAUUUGCAGAUUCUAAUCCUUCCGAUUGUGAUGGUAUACCGGGGUUAGUAGCAGGAACAGCAGCAGCUAUUUGAUUUAACUGAGAUUCAAUCAUUUUAUUAAAGCUAAUUUGAUUCUUGACGGCAGUAGAGAAAUUAUCCAUUCUAUUAUUUAUAUUUUCUAGCAUUUUAACAUUAGAUGCCAAUUUCUUAGAUAGGUUAUCCAUUAGCUUUCCUUGAUUAGACACUAACUCUCUCAGAGGUAGAAAAUUAUUAUUAUUGUUGUAAGAAUUGUUACCUUGAUAAUUACCUGAGUAGUUAGGCCUCUGUUGAUUCCAACCUUGAUUUUGUUGAGGACGGUUGUAGUAGUAGUUGUUGUUAUUGUUGACGUAUUUCACAUCCUCAAGCAUCUCAGGGAAGUGAUUGCCUGAGUGUCCAGUAUCUCCACACUCCUCACAAGUAAUGUGAGAGUCGUAGAUGUGCAUAACUUCCUUCUUAUCUCCAACUCUAUCAUCGAGCUUCUUCAUGAGCAGGUCUAGCUUUGCAGACAACAUGUCUACCUCAUUGAGCUGAUGCAUACCUCCACCUCUCUUGUGUGUCUGGGUCCUCCCUUCAUUCCAGCCUUGAUUGGACGCCACCUUCUCCACAAGAGCUGUGGCUUGUGGUAUGGUAAGUGAUAGGAAUGCUCCUCCAGCUGCAGCAUCCAUGGUCUCUCGGGCACUAUUGCCGAGCCCAUGAUAAAACGUCUGCAUUAGUAGCCAGCUCUCCAUUCCAUGAUGGGGACAUUCUAGGAUGUAGUCUUGGAAGCGCUCCCAUGCUUCUGGAACGGAUUCAUCAUUUUGUUGCUGAAAACUUGUAAUCUUUCCACGAAGAGCAUUGGUCUUGCCCAUGGGAAAGAACUUAGCCAGGAAGUUUGUUGAGCAGAGUGCCCACAUAGUAUUCUUCUUCUUUGUAGUAUAGAACCACUGCUUCGCUCUUCCUAACAGUAAGAAUGGGAAGAGGCAAAGUAGUAUAGCAUCUCUGGAAACUCCUGAUAUGGUAAAUGUGCUGCAUAUCUCCAGAAAGUGUUGGAGAUGAGCACUAGCAUCUUCGUGUGCCUUCCCACAGAACUGGUUGGAUUGCACCAUGUUGAUAAGUCCAGGCUUGAGCUCAAAGUUGCCAUCGAUCUCUGCAGCAGGUCUAGUGCGGAUGUUGUCUGUAGUGGGAGCUGAGAACUCGCGGAUUGAUUUGUUCGCCAUGGCUUCGAACUCUGAAGACAAGUUCCGGUGAUCUUCUUGAUUGGAUGAAGCUUCUUGCUCAAGUGUUGAUGAUCUCUUCUUGAGUUUGGCUCUAGUUCUUCUGAAUAACGCUUCGGGAUUGUCAACAAAAUUUCCUGGAAGAUGUCUUCUAUUCAUAAAUUCCCCUGCAUAAGAUAAAAUAGAAAAAUAUCGGGGUAAAACUGUAUGAGAGAAUAGAUAAGCUCAAUCAUAUUAGUGAUGUGAAUGAUAACUCAAAAUCCUUUAUUCAUUCCUGAUUAGUAAUCAACCUUCCCCGGCAACAGCGCCAAAAAUGUUUGUUGGGUAUUCUUAACAUCAUUACCAAAAGUAAACUUAGUUUUCUAAAUCUAGUAACGGUGCCAAAAAUGCCAAACCUAUCCCUCACACCACUUAAGCCAAGUUGUCAUCCACAGCAUGAUAUAAGAGACGCGGUAUUGAAAUAUGCAAUUGCUCUUCUAAAUAAAUAAUGAAUGGGAUCUGCAAGCGCACAGAUUAAUACCGAUGUAGCAUUUUAACCGAGAAGUAUUCCAGGUAUCGUUAUUUAUAUUUUUACCACUAGGAAGGGAUUAACAAUCAUCAAUAUUGAUUACAGAAUAGAAUAUGAGAUUGAGCAUCUAUCAUUGCAUGUAUAAUUGAGAACAUUAUAUCUAACUCUUCAUACAGGGAUAAGUGUCACAUAAAAGAUAUAUGAAAUAAUGAAUAGUGACAAGGAUAACUAAUCUGAUCUAGCCACAUAAUAAAUAUGAUAAGCACCUCAAUUAGAUACUCUAGAAAGUCAUUAGCAUGGUAUUAGAACGAACUACAAGAAUAUUCCCUAAGUUAUUCUCAACUAUAUAGUCUAGCAUAUCAUAGUUAGUGCAAGCAUACUUAGCAAUCAUUGCGAGACAAGACUACGCCCAUGCAUAGUGAUAUUAGCAAGGAAUAUGAGAAACAUAGCAAUCACACCCUGUAAUAAUGUUGCUCUGCCAGCCCAAUACACGAGAGGGGGACUAUAUAAGAAUCAAUGAAGCUGUCACUAUCACGAACUACCCCACGAUCUGGCAUAUUGGGUACAAUCGCAGAUAAAUACGGUAUAAGUACCACGCCUACACAAUAUCUAUCAUUUACCCAUGGAUCCGAUGGAUAAACGCUAUACGAUCCUAAGCAUGUAUAUAGAUCCAAUCUAACUAAGCCAAGUACAUAACUAUGAUAAACUAAGAACAAUAUAAUGUUGAAUAUAAACAAGUAGAGCAAAGUCAUAAGCAAUAUAUUGAAGGAGAACAAAGUAAUAUUCAUAAUAUUGAAGAACAAAGAUAAUUAGAAGAACAAUUAGAAGCACAAUUAGAGAAUUACCAAGAAUCCUCUUGACAGAUCCGGAAACCAAUCGAAGAUUGACUCCUUCUAGUUCUAAUCCUAUGUAGCUAUGCUAAUCUAGAUGUCUAAUUGAUGUGGUGGCUCUAAUCUUGAUCAGAGGCUUCUUCUCCCUUGAAGAAUAAUGAAUUAGGGUUGAGAGGCUCUCUCCUCCUGGGGCCAGGGGGUCUGGUUUUAUAGUCCCUUCAAGUGAAUAUGGGCCGUUGGAUCAAACCGACAUAGAUUGAACGGUUAUCCUUGAUCCUUUAGGUCGGUGGAGAUCUUUCCCGAGAGAGUCCUGAUUGGGCUCGGCAGGAGGGCGGGCGCCCAGGGCAACUGGGCGGGCGCCCAGUCCCUGGCCCCGUUCAGCCUACGCUUCCUUCCCGUGGCUUCUGGAGUCUUCUAGAUGUAAGAUAAUUGCACGGCACGUUAAUAUCUCUAUGUAAUCCCGACGUGUGGGCCUUUCUUCCGUAUUUCCUGAUAACCCCCUGCAGAAAUAGACUAACACCAAAACUCAUGGAAUUCUGUCAGAUAAAACCCUAAGUCUAGAUGUUGAUUUCAUUUAGAUCCUUUUCUUUGUUUAUUUGAUAAUUAAAUUUGAUACUUAAGGACCGUCAACAUCGAGCACAUUGGCUGGUGCUUCUUGUGGUUGAGAUGCUGGUUGAGGAGGAGACGGUACUUGCUGUGUCUGGAUUUCUGGUGAAGAGGGGGAUGAUUCCACAUGUAUCGGUGACACUGGACGAGGAGGAGAAGAUGGUUCUGUCCUCUGGCGCUUUGGUUGCGACUUGGUGCUUUUAGGACCUUUUCUCUUGACCUGGCUAGGCUGGGGGGCAUCAGCACUUGUUUGGGCGCUUCUAGUCUUUGCUGAUUUGCUAGUUUGCUGUUACAACAACCAAGAUGUCAUCAGAAGGGAUAUGAAAGAAUGUUGAUGAAAUUUUGUUAAAAAAUAAAAGUUACCAAUGAAGUUCCCAUAGCAGCCGAUGUAUCCUAAAAAGAUUAUAUGAGUAUGGAACAGAAUCGAUAUAAGCAAAGGAAAUCUAAAGUCUACCUUGAAAGCCUGUGCCAAGGUAGCAGCGGCAACCGUUGGGGAUGUCUUUGACCGCUUGGUGGUUAUCUUCUUAAAAUGCACAUUCUGAUGCAUUAAAGCUGCCAGACUUCGUGCGUUGUUACCGAUCAGAGAGAUUGGACCUGACGGGAGGAGUUCAAUCGGUCUUCCACUUCUGCUGACUGUCGGUGGCGGGUUGUCGACCUGUUUAAAAAGGAGAGGGUGAGUUACCAAUGACGAUAAAAGCAACAAAAGAACUGAGGUAUCGGUUGAAGACUUACAAUGUUAUUGGGGAUCUUAUGUUGUGGUCGAUCAUGCCGCAGUAUGUCAGAGCCGAUGUGCAGAACAGGUGUUCUUUCCACUCUUCCCAAUACUGCUUGUACAUCUGAGUGAUGAAAAGGGCUGGAAUCCAUGCCGAUAAAUCAAUAUCUGACGUAAUGGCAUUUGGCUGAAGGUGAGCUAUUCUUAUCCACUCAAGUCCACUGGUUAUAGUCUCCCUUGGCUUCACCACAUCGGCAUAGCAGAGUCCAAUCGGCAGCCGCCCAAAAGCCAGUUGACGAGCCAGUGCCGAUGGGUUAUAAAAUUCAUAAGUGCGGUUGGAGUUCUUCCCACUGCCAAAAAUAUUCACUGGUAUGGCCCUUGGAGUGAUAAUUGCCAUCAUCAGGUCAUGGUCCUUGUUGAGAGCGUCAUAAAAAGGGUGAAAAGUGAGCGGGAAUCUAGUUUUUGGAUCUUCAUAAGGCAUCCAUGCCCGCUGAUCUUUGGAAAGACCCUCAUAAAGGGUUUGGAAGAAUCGGCUGACCUGGUCUUCAUUGCCACCAGUACCAGGUAGGACUAUAGCAGCCUCACCAUAGUUCAGGGGUGGGCGAGUUGCCGAUUCUUCAUCAGCCAGUUCAUGUUCUUCGGUGAUAUCUGUGGGAAAGCGCUGUGCAAACAGGUCGAAUCCAAGGUGUUUGUGCAUGUGAACACUGAGCCACAUAUUGAUGAACCACCAAGGGCCUCCUAAGUUGCCGAUGGGUUGGCCUAACAAAAGCUUCUCGGCUACUUGAUGAAGGAGAUGAUAAACAGAGCCUAACAAGUAUCGACCAAGGGGGAAGCGACCACCGCCGGCUAGUUUCUCUGCUGCCAAUAGAUACACAGAAGUUGGUCCUACCGAUCGGCCGCAAAAUACAAAUUUAUCUAGCCACUUGUUCAGAAAGAUGGCAUGUUCCCUUUGCCCAACUAGUCCUGUUUUCCGGUACUUCUGAAUGUACCCUGACGAGCCACCGAUGUUGCGAGUUUCCACUUUACGUUCAGGCUUACUGUCGAACAGGUGGCUAUCAUCGGUAGUUGCUAUUUCUAGACCAGUGAGCAUAAGUACAUCGGCAAGGGUAGGAGAAGCAGGGCCAUGGCCGAACAUGAAAGCAUUGAGGGUGUCUGACUAGAAAUACGAAGCUACUAUCAAUAGUGAUUCGUUCCUCUCCAUAUCGGCAAUAGAUAGCCUAAUGCACUGGUCGCUCACCCCAUUGGACUUCAUUUGAGUUACCGAUUCUCAGGAACCAAUCUCUCCACCCCUUGGUAGAACUGGGCCAGGAUCGAAAGGUGUCUGUCCACAGAUCUAAUGAGAAGUUCUCAGCUCUAAAGGGGGUCCUAUUUGUUUCUGCAUUUAUCAAAUCGGUAGGAUCUGGGUUUCCCAAUGGACCAAGGCAUUGAAAGUGGGGUUGAUCGGUGGGAAUAACAAUUUUCUUGGCCAAUUCCUAAAGGUUUGAAGGUUGAAAAAAUAGGGAAAAGAAAGAGAGAAAAUACCAAGUAAAUAAUUGUGCGAAAGAUCAAAAAUACGGUGAAAAGAAGAAAGGGGAUGCUGAAUUGACCUUAGGGACGACGAAGUUGAUGGUCAUUUCUUGCCAAGAGGAGGAAGAGAUCGAAGACUCGGAAGAUCGUUGGAGGAGAUCCUUGCCGGAGUUCUUGAGUUUCUCGAACAGUGCCGCCGCCAGGAAGGUGGGUUUGAUGAUGCCGGAUGACAACAUGGAGGAAGAGUACCGGAGAAAGAAGUAUUUAUAGGACAAAGAAGGCAGGGGCAAUUCUGACUUAUCUCUUCACCGUAUGCGUAAAAUCCAAGGGUGUUCAGGUGGAUAUGGUAACUGUUCACACGGUAAUCAAGGGAUUGUGCAAGUGAUUUGACAGCAAGCGGUCAUGAUUUUGGAGAUAUUUUACUGUGCAAGAUCUCCUGGUCGGCUCAUCGGCAGUCUUCUCUAACAGAAAUGUUGCCGAUGAACGUAUAUUUGGGAGAUUCGGUUCGAGAAGUUGAGAGAUUCGAGCAGCAUGUUGGAGAACCGAGACAAGGUUGUUUGGAUUUGGUAAUGAAUAACUGACAUGAAGGAGUAAUUGCGGAAAGGCAUCAUUACUGAAGAGAAUUUUGGAGCAUUAAUGAUUUUAUACUCCGAAAUUAGGGGGCAUGUGUUGACACCAUUUUUGGACACGUACCUUUGGACACAUAUCUGGGAGUUAAUGAGGCGUGGAUCGGCAAGCAAAUGAAGUGGUGACUGGUUGACAGAAGAGUUGCCGAUGAGGGUUGAUACCGAUGAUGAAACAACAGAAUAUGGCCAAGUCCAGGAGUGGUGAUGGAUCUAUGCCGAUGAUUGAUGCUGAUAGUUGCCGAUAGGUAAUUCACCGAUGGUCACAAAGAGAGACGUAGGAAUUGUCGAUCGAGUAGUGAUGGUGUUCCGAUCGGUUGUGGAAGAUAAAUUAAUGUUUUCCAUAGUAAUUAGAGUUUGUUUUGUAUACAGAUUCCAUUCAAUUUGGAAUUCGAGUCCUAGUUGUGUCUGAUUGUAACCCUUUUGGGCAGGGUAUAAAUAUAAGACCUCGUAGCGAUGUAAGAAGAAUACACAAUCAAUCAAACACAAGUUUUUACACAUAUUCUAGCAUCUACUUUUUUGACGACUUCGUCACCCUGCUUAUUUUCCUUUUACUAUGAGUUCUUAGGAAUUCCUCGAGUCAACCACGGUGAGUUCUCGAGUUCCACGUGAAUACCUCUUGGUCGUGACAUCUAGGUGCAUCGCUGUUGUCGGGACCAAAGUAUUCGAGUUAUCACCUUUGUCGAUUGUAAGGUCAAAUCGGCUGGCACGCCUUAACAUUGAAUCGGGUAUUAGCCCUUUGUUUUUGCAGAUCUACUUUUGCAACAACAGAAUGCUACGACAUUAAUUGAGAAGAUGGUAGCCAACCAGAGUUGUGGAGAGGGACGCAAAACACAAAAAGGCAUGCAUACCGUGAAGGAGACGGAUCUGCUUGCCACAAAAAUAGACCUACUAAUGAAGAGAUUGGACGAAUAGGUCAUUGAUCCUACCACCAGCACUGUCCAAGCCAUCGACUCACGCAUGACAUGUGAGGAAUGUAUGAAUGUUGGCCACAUGGAGAUCAAUUGCCCUGGAACCCAGGAGGAUGCAUCAUUCAUCAACAACAGGUUCCGCGAACAACAGCAAGGUAAUGAGUGGAACAACCAGAACUGUCCCUAAGGUAAUUUCUCCAAUUUUAAUUCCUCCCAGCCUUCGCUGAAAGAUCUUGUGCUAAGUCAGGCCAAAAUCAAUGAAAUCUUGUUAAAAAGCUUUCUGAAAAUGAUCAAAUGUUUGUCAACAUAAAUACAAAGCUUGAUGGCCUGACCCUUUCUGUUAGAGAUCAGCUAGCUUUUAAUAAGAAGAUCGAGUUAAAAGUAGCUCAGCUUGCUUCUACCGCUAAAACUAUUGUUUCUCCGGAUUCUGUGGAAAAUGUAAAUGCGGUGACCACGAGAGGGGGUAAGACCACUCGUGAUCCCCCUUAUCCUAACCAUAAGACAGGAAGGGCGCCACGGCAACAGGAGGAAACACAGGCAGAAGGACCGGCUCAACCAUUAGAAGAAUCCAGGGAAGACGAGCCGACCCCAAACAACUAUGGGCACACCACGAUGCUACCCUUUCCCACAAGAGAAAGGAGGAAGAGGAAGGACGAAAAUGAACAAUUCCUCUACUUCGUGGAAAUGGUUGAAAAGAUGCACGUCAGUGUACCGUUGAUGGAUGUCUUGCAUAUUUCGUCCUACUCCAAGUUCAUCAAGGACAUCAUCAACAAGAAGCGACCAUUGCCGUCCACUGAAGUUGUCAAGCUGACAGAGGAAUGUAGCGCAGCUAUACUCAAUGAGCUGCCCUAGAAGAAGCAGGAUCCUAGGUGCCCCACAAUCUCUUUCUCAAUUGGGGCCCAGCAAUUCGACCACGCCCUAUGUGAUUUAUGUAACACCCUAGGUGUUAAGCAUGCACUUAGUCUUACCAAAGCAUUCAUAAGCCUUCUCAUCAAGCAUAGCAUCACAUAAGCAUGUCAUCCAUCUAAAAUAUGAUUUUAUGUACUUUAUUCCAUAUGAUUUAAAUGUGUUAAAAAUAUGUUGCUUGCUUCUAAAAUUGUAAAAUGUUCAAACUAGGUUGAAUGGUGUGUAAGAAGAUUUAAGAAUAUUUUUGUGCAAUUUUUGGAGCCAUAGAAUUUGAGAAAUGGAGUUUAUACAAAAAUCCCCAAAAUAAAUUUAUUAGAAAACCUAGAACAAGUUCUAAUCUGUAAGUCAAAUUCUAUUUGGAAUCUGGUCUUGCUUAUUAAAACAAAGUUGUAGGGUUUUUGUUUUGGAACAACUUUGCUGUUGGGGGAAAAGGGUGAAAAGGAUUUUUAAAUAGUCCAAAUGAAUUUAGAAAGAAUUUGAGAAAAGAAUUUCAAAAAAAAGGGGACAGGCGCUGCUGGGCCAACCUCGCCUCCCUUUCGGCCCAGCCAGCAGCCCGGCCUGCCUCCCCCUCACCUCUCUCUCCCGCGCACGGCGCCUGCCUCACCCCAUCCAGAGACGGCCACGUGGCGGCCGUACGCCGGCGUUGGGCGCGCCGCGGCCGGCCACCUCCACCCCCUGGUCGGGACCCCGACCCGCGCCCCCAGAGCCCUCCCUCCAUUCUGUCGCCCGCGCCUCUUCCUCCUCCAUCCGCUCGCGCAGCAGUAGUAGCAGUAGCAGUUCCGCCGCACGCGAUUGCCGGAGCAAGCCCCGCCGCUCGCCGCCGGCCGCACCAGAGCUUCAAGCUCGACGCCAAGAGCACCAGCGCACUCGUCGUCGUCGCGGUAAGCCCCUGCGUGCGCUCUACCGAGGUGAGAAGCAGCCGUGCGCCGUGAAUCGCUCGCCGGAGUUGCUCCAACCUCGCCGGAGUGCUCCGCCGCGACGGAUCUUGCUGUAUCCUGCUUCUUUUCGCUCGUUCUUUGGUGCGCUAGGUCGGUAGUGAGGUGAGGAAGCUCGGAGAGUCGUUUGCGCGCGCUCUACCGCACCGGAGCGGCCUGGCCACGGCGAGCAGCGCCGCCGUGCCGCCAUGCACGCUCGUCGGAGGUGUUCCGGUCAUCCUCCCGCCAAUCCGAGGGUACCCCUGGAUGCGCCUCGCUGCGGGGAGCACGCUGGUGCUCACUCCGUGGCCGGAGACCUUGCCGUCGGCGAAAGCCGGCCGGCCGAAGCUCGGCCAGUGCGUUGCACGGCUGACCCGUGGGGUCACGGCCCCGGAUCCCACCUGUCAGUGCCUCUGCGGGUGUGGAUCUGGGUGAGUUUAGCUUUUUGCGUCGGUUUUCUUAAAUAAAUGAUUUCCAGAAAUUGAUUUAAAACUUGUAAAAUCCAUAUCUUGAGUUCUACAGCUCCAAAUCUGGUGAAAUAAAUUUUGGUGUGCUCUCCAUUCCCAGAUCUACAGUUUGAUGUAAUUGCAUGUCAUGUUUGAAUAACUUUUCUGUAUAAAUAUAUUUAAUCCAUGUUUUUGCUGGAUUUGGAAAAUGCAUAGUAAUUAAAAUAUGACUCAGAAAAAUGUGAAACUUGUUUUGUUGGCUCUGCAUGUAUGUUUAAUCACAGGAAAAAUGUUGCUACACAUUAUUUGGUGUAUAAAUGAAUUUGUAGUGAUUUAAAUGCUUGCAUGGCAGUGGUUUAUAAUUUUUAAUAAAUGAUUGGAUCAUGCAAUUAAUCUGGUAAUUUUUGUGGGUGUUUCUGAUGAUAUUAGGCAAACUACAAAAAUAUGAAAUCUGCUGUUUGACACUUAUACCACAGUAGGGUAAUUUUAUUUGCCGUUAGGAAUUAAUCUUGUGAUUUUUGUAGCUCGAAUAAGUGUCCAAAAAUUAUGAAAAAUUUAUGAUGGACUUUAUGUUUGACUGGUAGUCUCCUGUAAUUUUUGUGGAAUUUAUUGAUAAACAGAAAUGCAUGCUAAUUUUGAUGGGCCUAAGAAUGAAUAAAGAAAUUAUGAAUUGUUAUAUAUGGGUCAAAUAGAAUAAAAGGGGUUUGGUGUAUCUUUGAAGCAUCUUGUGAGUUGCUGGUUACACUUGAAGACAAUUUGUAGAAGAGAAUGCAAUAGAUGUUUAAUUCAAUUGCAUGUUCUUGGAUGAUGUUGACUACCUUGUAAAUGAUCACAUAAAUCAUCCAUACAUCAUGUCAUAGUCAUCUGGUAUUCUCUCGCAUGAGCAUUUCACCCCGGGCAUCUCGCACUCCACUCAUGAGCACACAUGCAUCAUACAGGCUCGCAGGAGAACGAGGUGGGACCCGAGGAGCCAGAGGAGACCCAGGAGCAGGAUCCUCUGGGAGCACCGGAACCCGGAGAAGAGCUGCAGGAGUGUCCGGAGCAUUCUAAGUCUCCCUAUUCUCGCUAGACCCAGCACGUUUGAGAAAGGCAAGCCCCGGAGCAUUUUAAGUCUCCCUAUUCUCGCUAACUUACAGGAUAUAUUAUGCUUGUUCUACUAUAUUGCAUUUAAGUGAUAGGAAUUGGUUGAUACCGUUGAUGCAUAUGUACUCCUUGAUAUCAACAUCCGUUUAUCUACCUUGUCCUAUGUAGAUAGGUACGGAGUCUAUGCUUAGCCUGCUUAGCCGGUAGAAGUCGGGUGAUUUCCUGUCACCUACGAGAUAUAGGUGGAUACCUGCUUGAUUAAGCGGUGAUUGCUUUGGGAAAAGAAUAACCAAGUAUGGAAUGGAAAUUUGAGACCGGGUAGGGUCUUAUGGUGGGUUGACUGUAGUGCCCCUGCCUGUGUCGAUUAAGGACCGAUCGUUGACGGCCCUCUUGUCAUGUUGAACACAUGCCCCACAUUUAGCUGGAAGGAUAAGUCGUUCCGACCGCGAAGCCUGAGCACUAUCCGGGCCGGGAAUCGGCCUGAUGUACGCGCUGUAUUGGUGAUGGUUGAGGAGAACGAAGAGGGCGCGGCGCGCAACCUUGGUAUACCUUGGAUACCUCGGUCGCCGGAACGGUCCUCGGGUACGGGCGGUGCCUGUCGAACCCGCGAAUUGGUCCCGGAUAGUGCAAUACGGUGAUCUGUAGCUCACUUGAUCAGUGAGUGUGGUUUGUGUGGGGAAAUAAACUCGCCAGCUGGUUAGAAAUCGAUUCGAAUCACCAUCACUCCUGGAUAGUGAGCACUUGACAUGAGCCCUGUCCUCGUAGUAAGGACUAUAGAACAUUUGGGUUAUAAUGAUGAAUGGUUGCAUGAAUGCUAUGAUGAGGUACCAUCAUAUUACUAUACUUGCUUGUAAUAGUGCAGGUGCAAACCUAGACAAUAGGUAAUAAUACCUUCAACUUGAGCAAAUUAAAAGAACAAAGAUUUAUGUAGGUUAUGUUAAUCGAAUCUUGCGGUUAUGCAAAAAGGUUGUCAGCUACCCCACUAUAUAGCCUUCAUGAUCCUUGAAGAGUCUUUAUUUUAAGUUUAUGUCGGGUAAGUCUAGCUGAGUACAUUCUCGUACUCAGGGUUCUAUUCCCAUGUUGUUUUGCAGAUGGUUAAAUGUACUAUGGUUAUUGCAUCCUCUGCCUGUACCCAGCUAUGGGUGAUGACUAGACCAAGGGCGAUGGUCACUCCGUCUCUUCUUUUGCUUUUGUGGGAAUGACCAAAACUAUGGCACUGUAUCAGACUAAGUAUGUGUGUGUUAUUUUCGAACUAAGAAGCUUCCGCUAUCUGUGAACUUGGCUUGUAAUAACUUUAAGCACUCCAUGUAUCGUAUGAAUGGUUUCGAACUGGAUGUAACUGUGAAUGGUGACCGCUGAACUUAUUACGAUCUUGGCUGUGUGUACAAUAUGUGGUUUGAAAUCCUUCGAGAUUUCACGGACUACCGGGAUUAUAUGGGCUUAAGCUCGAUGGUUUGACUAUGCAAAUGGUCGCUAUUAGGCUUAAUCUCUUAUAAUUUGGGCAGUUCUGUUACAGCUGGUAUCGGAGCAAGGUUUAGCGAGUUACUGUUCAUAAGUACGUUCUGAACUAAAUCUAAAACUGGUUUAAUAAGAGAUUUUUAUUAAUGAUAAUCAAGGUGUCAACUAAGUUUUUGGAAAAACUAUCUGGUGUGCCAUGGUCAUAUCCUUUAUGCCUACUUAAGGACUCUAAGGUGGCUAGUUAAGUACUGACUUGGGGGUUAAUGCAUCAUAUUUCUAUUCGUCGCUCAUAUGGCGUGCAAUAGUAUGAGUACCAUUCAUUUGAGUGGUAAUGUAUGGAUCAAUUUUUCCUCUACGCCCCGGUAAGUGGGAGUUGUGAGAGCAUGAUCGGAUACACUGCCGGUCUAGAGGAGUGUUGUUAGGUGUUGUGUCAUGCACCCAUGGUUGGUGUGCUUGGGAACAGUACCGCAUGUUGGGAAUUCCGUCCUGAGAGGCGAUGCCGUCAUUAGGGCGAUGAUGUGGGUAGUAACACGUCAUAUGCAUGGACGGGUGUCUGUGUAUGUGGGGUGUAUAGUUUUAAAUUCUUGUUCUGCAUAAGCAUACUGUGGUUAGGCUGAAAUGAGUUUUCUGCAGGUACACUAAUCACGUUCUCGCUUAGAACGCUAGUUACGUUAUGAGAGAACGUUGUGUGCCACCGCAUAUACGGCUUAGUGUUAACUUUUGUCUCUAAGUUUGUGAGAUCGUAAGCCCGUGCAUGCAUCAUGUUCAUUUCAUAUCAUUGCUAACUUUCCCCCUUAAUUUAAUCUGUCCCAAUUCUAAAUAAAAUAAUUAAAGAUAAUCCUCCAUCUUACCCAAGGUAUUCCCUUUGCAGCAGAUGGCACGCACUAGGCUCACCGCUCGUAAGUCCACUGGUGGGCGGGCCCCUCGCUAUCCGUUGGCCGCCAGGAGCUCGCGUCAUAAGAGCAAGUUCCUGGGGGAGUUUGGGAUGCCCACCUUGUUAUGGAGGGUGCUCAGUUCGAUGGGGUGUCCCGAAGGAAGGGAACCUCGCUACUAUUGGGACAAGGAGCAGCUUGGUGAUGGGACCCUGGUAGGAAUUGAGGCAGUGGUCCCUACCAGUGGAGGUGACCCCGCCUGGGGCGGUUGGGUGUACGAGUCCCGAGGUACCACACCUUUUCACGGUGCCAGCAGGGCAGCUUUUGCAGUUCUGAGGGACCUCAUGGAGAGGUUUCCACAGGAGCUGGCCCACACCUUCGCUGGGGUGUUUCCCCGGGGUGACCCUACACUUCGGUGUGGGAUCAGUCCGAGGUGAAUGCUCUAGAGAGGAGUGCGGAUGAGGACCAGCACAGUGACAGCACAGCUAUGAGUGCUAUGUACGCUUUGAUGAAGACCUAUGGAGGCCUGGAGCGUUGUUUGGGGCGCUUGUCCGGGUCUCUUCUCACUGUCCAGGAUGAGAAGCGUCAGCUGCAGCGUGAGUUCGACAAUGAGGUUGAGAGGCUGCAGGCAGAGUUGGCCCACGUGACCCAAGAGAGGGACCAGGCGGUCUAGAAAAACAGUGAGCUGAGCCAGGACUUUCCUGCAGUGCGAGAGCAGAGAGACAGGGUUACUACUGCUCACAGGAACUGCGAGCGCAUGCUAGUCCAUGUGCUUGGUCAGAGGAAUGAAGCCUGGCACGAGAAGGACACUUUGAGGGCCCGACAGCUAGAGCUCGAGCAGCAGCUAGCUAAUGCCGAGGAGUACAAUGAGAACUUGCAUGAGGAGAUCCACCAGCUGCAUAAUCAGCUCCACCCUCACUCUCUGCCUGGGGCAGCUGAGCUAGACUCUGAGGACGAGAUGGACGCGGAUCCCGAGAUAGGAGCAGCUGCUAGUGGAGAUGAGGACAAGGAGGGCUCCGGCAUGGACAGUGACCAUAGCGAGUAGAUGCUAGGGCCCUAGAGCUACUCCUUCUUUUGUUGUUGUUGUUGCAUGGCAUGUCUUGUACUUUUGGAUCUGGGCUAUGUAAAACUUUAUGAGAUGACGCUGAAAGUCCAGUGUAUGUAUGCUGGCAAGUUUGGAUGUUUGCGAACAUUGUUGCUGGAAUGUUAAGUAAUCUGUUAGUGAUGUUGUAUGUGGAUGAUGAAUUGUUGUGGCUCUGUUUAUUGUGCGAAUUUAUUUCCUCAGUAAAUUUAGUGUGGCAUAAUUCUACAUAUGUCUACCGUUAACGGCAACUCCUAACGAAUGCUUAUCGUUGACGCAUGCAGAUGGUGCAAACACGUGGCAGGGGUAACAGUAACCCCGGUCUUGGAGCAGGUGCCUCCGGAGGUGGGGCUCAACGGAACGAGGAAAGAGCACCAUCACCGCCACCACCACUGCCUCCUCCGUAUACUGCGGAUGUGUUUUUCGCACAGUUUCUGGGGAGCCAAUGCAACAUAGAACAAAUGCAGCGCAAUAUGGAAGAAGCCCUGCGUAACAUAGCUGACAACACCCGCCGUGGGGAUAACCAGGGCGGUCGUGAAGUCAAUCAGUACAGCUCUUUCAAGGACUUCAUGGAUACCAAGCCACCAGUCUUCAAGGAGGCGUUGGAACCACUCGAGGCAGAUGAGUGGAUCAACACUAUGGAGCAGAAGUUUCGUCUUCUUCGGAUGACAGAAGAACUCAAGGCUGAGUAUGCAGCGCAUCAGUUGCAAGGACCUGCUGGGAUUUGGUGGUCCCAUCACCAUACUACCUACCCAGAGGGGACCCCAAUCACUUGGAACCACUUCACCACCGCUUUCCGAGGAAAUUACAUUCCUCCGAGUGUGGUUGAAAUGAAGGUUGGGGAAUUCAUGCGGUUGUCUCAGGGGACGAAGUCUAUAAAGGAGUAUCUACACGCUUUUAACAAUCUUGCUCGCUACGCCCCUGAGUUUGUGAACACGGAGGCCAAGAAGAUUGCUAGUUUCCAGAGAGGCUUGAAACCAAAGAUGCUGAAGACCAUGGGUACAGGAGCCAGGGCUACCUUCAAUGCUUAUAUCAGCGACUGUCUGACCCAGGAGAACAAUAACAACAACUAUAGUGCAUCCAAGUCUCGUAAGAGAGCUUUUGAGGUUGGGUCAUCCCAGUUCAGGGCACCAGUGGCAGGGCGACAGCAGUAUCGUCCUCCUACCCCGGGUGCUAGGUUCCGGCCGCCGCAGAGAAGGAACACCGGACAUCCAACGCAGCACAAGCCAUACAAGGUGGCGAUAGCUCCUGCCAAGCCAAAGGCAAUUCAAGUUGCGGCACCUGCCGCCAACAAUGCGCCCAAGGGUCCGUGCUACAACUACCACAAGAUGGGGCACUUUGCCAAGGAGUGUCCCUACCCCAAGAGACAACAGCCAACCUAUCCAGCUCGUGUGCACCAUACCUCGAUCGAGGAGAUCUCGAAAGGAGAACCGUUAACAGCUGGUAUGUUUCCUGUCAACCAACAUCUUGCAGUUGUUUUGUUUGAUUCUGGAUCAUCGCAUUCAUUCAUGAGCCAAGCAUUUGCGCAAAAGCAUGACCAGCCAGUUACUGAGUUGGGUUAUGGCUAUCGCAUCAGCUCAGCCGGGGCUGAUGUGUUGACUAACAAAACAGUAACAGGAGUUACCUUGGAUAUUAGUGGCCGAAGGUUUCGUGUAAACCUUGUGGUCAUGCCAGGGCUGGUUUUGGAUGUCAUCAUUGGAAUGAAUAAGAUGACUGACUAGGGUGCUGUUAUAGAUGCCGGGAAUAGAACUCUUUCCCUCAAAGACCCGCGGGGGGGAGGUGUGCUUCAGAUCAAGCUACCCCAACGGUUAGACUUCGCUAGUCUUUCAUGUGCAGUACAGGUGGUUCCACUAGAACACAUACCCGUGGUAUGUGAGUUCCCUGAUGUUUUUCCCGAGGAAUUGCCGGGACUUCCUCUAGAUAGGGAAGUAGAGUUUGCAAUCGAGUUGAUACCAGGUACAGCACCAAUAUCUAGAAGGCCGUACCAGAUGCCACCAAACAAACUCGCUAAGUUGAAGAAUCAACUAAAGGAAUUACUGGAUAAAGGGUUCAUCCAGCCAAGUUCGUCAGAAUGGGGUUGUCCGGCGUUGUUUGUGAAAAAGAAGGAUCAAUCAUUGCGCAUGUGCGUGGACUACCGUCCACUCAAUGCAGUGACAAUCAAGAAUAAGUAUCCUUUGCCAAGGAUUGAUAUCUUAUUUGAUCAGUUGUCCAAGGCAAAAGUGUUUUCCAAGAUAGAUUUGAGAUCUGGGUGUCACCAAAUCAAGAUUCGCCCGCAAGAUAUCCCGAAGACUGCUUUUUCCACCAGAUAUGGGUUGUAUGAGUAUCUGGUCAUGUCCUUUGGGUUAACGAAUGCUCCUGCAUACUUCAUGUAUCUGAUGAAUUCAGUCUUUAUGCCAGAGUUAGAUAAGUUUGUUGUAGUGUUUAUCGAUGAUAUCCUGAUUUAUUCAGAAAAUGAGCAAGAUCUCGCCGAGCAUCUGAGAAUCGUGCUAACACGAUUACGAGAGCAUCAGUUGUAUGCAAAAUUCAGCAAGUGUGAGUUCUGGUUGAAGAAGGUUCCUUUUCUAGGGCACAUUUUAUCUGAAGAAGGGAUCGCCGUGGAUCCGUCGAAAGUGCAGGAAGUCAUGGACUGGAAGGCACCAACUUCUGUCUCGGAAGUUAGAAGUUUUCCUGGUCUGGCCGGGUAUUAUCGUCGUUUCAUACCCGACUUUUCCAAAAUUGCUAAGCCGAUGACUAGUUUGCUACAAAAAGAUCAUAAGUUUGUCUGGACGGAGGGGUGUGAGCUAGCCUUCCGCACCUUGCGAAAGUUGCUAACCACUGCUCCAAUUCUGGCGCAGCCCAAUAUCGAGAAGCCUUUUGAUGUGUUUUGCGACGCGUCGAAAAGUGGCUUGGGUUGUGUGUUGAUGCAAGAUGGCAGAGUGAUAGCUUACGCUUCACGACAGUUGAGAAAGCAUGAAGGCAACUACCCAACUCACGAUCUCGAGUUAGCAGCAGUAGUGCAUGCUUUGAAGAUUUGGAGACACUAUCUGCUGGGAAAUAAGUGUCAUAUCUAUACCGAUCAUAAGAGUUUGAAGUAUAUCUUCACUCAGUCCGAGCUGAAUAUGAGGCAACGACGGUGGUUAGAGUUAAUCAAGGACUAUGAUCUGGAAGUUCACUAUCAUCCAGGCAAAGCUAAUGUAGUAGCAGACGCUUUGAGUCAUAAACCGCACUAUCAAGUGGUUCAACCGUUGUUUGAAGAUGGUUUCAAUCUCAUGCAUCCUGAAGUCUUGUGUCACAUACAACUCAGUUGUUCCCUCGAGAGUCAAGUCAUUGAAGGUCAGAAGACAGACAAGGGUAUUUUCCACAUCAAAGAGAAGAUCAAGGAUGCCCCAAAAACUCAAUUUCGAGUUGAUGAGAAAGGGGUAUUGUGGUUUCAACAUCGGUUAGUAGUCCCGAAAGAUCGUGAAUUGAAGAAUCGCAUCAUCGAUGAAGCCCAUCUCUCUAAGCUUUCUAUUCAUCCUGGCAGUAGUAAAAUGUAUCAAGACCUAAGACCCCACUUUUGGUGGACCAAAAUGAAGAAAGAAAUAGCCGCAUAUGUGGCCCGUUGUGACACGUGUUGCAGAGUUAAGGCCAUCCAUAUGAAACCUGCAGGUCUAUUGCAACCGUUAUCAGUUCCAGAGUGGAAAUGGGAAGAGGUCAGUAUGGACUUCAUCACAGGUUUACCAGUGAUGAGGAAGGGGAAUGACUCGAUUUGGGUAAUCAUAGAUCGAUUGACUAAGUCGGCUCAUUUCAUUCCUGUGAAAAAUCGUUACCGACCUCCUGAGUAUGCUGAUAUUUAUAUCGCAGAGAUCGUCAAGUUACAUGGCAUUCCCAAAACCAUCAUAUCGGAUAGAGGACCACAGUUCACCGCUCACUUUUGGGAGCGAAUGCAUAAGAGUUUGGGGACCAGUCUAAUAAGAAGCACUGUAACACCCUAGGUGUUAAGCAUGCACUUAGUCUCACCAAAGCCCUGCAUAAGCAUUCCAUCAAGCAUAAGCAUCAUGAGCAUGACACUCUUGAGCAAAUUAUGAUUUUAUGUGCUUUAUUUCAUGUGUUUUAAACAUGUUAAAAAUAUGAUACUUGCUCCUAAAAUUGUGAAAAAUUCAAAUUAGGUUGAUUUAUGUGUGAGAAGCAUUUAGAAUAUUUUUGUGCAAUUUUUGGAGCUAUGGAAUCUGAGAAAUGGAAUUUAUACAAAAAUAACCAAAAAGGAUUUAAUUAAAACCUAGAACUGAGUUUUAACUUGUAAAUUCAAAUUCUGUUUGGAAUUUGGUCUUGCUUGUUAAAGCAAAGUUGUAGAGUUUUUAUUUUGGAACAAUUUUGUUUUUGGGAGCAAGAGGUGAAAAUGCUUUUUGGCUGGUCCAAAUAAUUUUAGAAAGGAAUUUGGAAAAAGAAUUUCAAAAAAAAAAGAAAGGGGGAGCUGUUCACUGGCGGGCCGGCGCCAACCAACCGGCCCAGCCAGCGAAGCCAGCCCAGGCCGGCCGCGCCGCGUCCACCCCCCCUCCCCGCGCGCGCUCGGACACGGCCGCGCCGCGCGCGCCCGACCGCGUCAGGCCGACGGCGCCGCGUGGACGGCAUGCGCUGCUCGCCGGCGCCACGACCCCCCCCCUCCGCUGCGGACAACGCCACCUCCCUCGCCAUUCUCUCCUCCACCCGGUGCGCACCCCCUCGCUCCCUCUCGCGCUCUCCUGCCUCCUCUCCGCGCGCACCGUGCCGCCGCUCGCCAUUGGAGCUCCCCGAGCUCCGCUCACCGUGUUCUCGGCACUCCGUCGCCUCUCAGCGCCUCCUUCCACCUCUCCGAGCUCCGCAUUCGUCUCCGCGUGCUCGGACGUAGUUUCUUCGCGCAGGUAAGCGGUUCUAGCGAGCCGAAUCGCUCGCCGGAGAGUCCGCGGCCUCGCCGGAGCUCUCCGCGGCGUCGGCAUCGCUGGUUUUCCCCCUUCCGAACCUCUCUUGCCUCGCUAGCGCGCGCAUUAUGGUCGUCGUGGCUCCCUGAGUCGCGAGAAGCCGCACUCGAGCGCUCUACCGGAGCGUGGUGGCCGGCACCGCUGCGGCAGCGCCGCCGGUCCGCCAUUGCCGGUGGCCAACUCGCUGUGCGGGGUUUCAGGGCGAGUAAAGGGGUGGGAUCGAGUCGCAAGAAGGAGGCGAACGUGUUGGUGCCGUUGGUUCCGGCCGAGAGGCAUCACCGGCGGCGAGCCGUCGUCGGGGAUCCUCUCCCCUCUCGGUGUCCUGGCCAGCGGGCCCGGCUGGCAGGCGGGUCCGCUCGUCAGCGGCCGCGGGUGCACUGCACCGGGUGCACCUAGCGGGGUCACGGGGUGGAUGACAGGUGGGGUCCUCUGACUCGCGUGUCCCGCCUGUCAGUGACUCCGAGGGAAUGGAUCCGGGUGCGUUUAGUGUUUUAGGUGGUUUUCCGUUUUAAAAGUUUUUCCAGAAAAUGAUUUAAGUGUUCAAAAAUCCAUAUCUUGAUGAAUAUAGCUCCAAAAAUGGUGAAAUAAAUUUUGGUGUGUUCCUUAUUUCCAGAUCUAUAUCCUGGUAUGAUUGCAUGUCAUGUUUGAAUAACUUUUCUGUGUAAGUAUAAUUAAUCCAUGUUUUUGUUAAACUUGGAAAAUGCAUAGUAAAUAGAAUAUGGCUCAGAAAAAUGUGAAACUUGUUUUGCUGGCUCUGCAUGUGUGUUUACUCACUGAGAAAAUAUUGUUACAUAUUAUUUGGUGUAUAAAUGAAAUUAUGGUAAUUUAAAUGCUUGCAUGGCAGUGGUUUAUGAUUUUUAAUAAUUAAUUGGAUCAUGCAAUAAAUCUGGAAAAUUUUGUGGGUGUUUCUUAUGAUAUUAGAAAAAUUGUAAAAAUAUGAAAUCUGUUGUUUGACACUUAUAUCACAGUAGGGUGAUUAUACUUGCUUUAUUACUUAAUCUUGUGAUUUUUGUGGCUCAAAAUAAGUAACCAAAAAUUAUGAAAAAAUUUUCAGUAAACUUUAUGCUUAGCUGGAAGUCUCCUGUAAUUUUUGUGGAAUUUAUUGAUGAAUAGAAUUGCAUGUCAUUUUUAAUGGGCUUAGAAAUGAAUAAAAAAAAACUAUGAAUGGUUGUAUAUAUAGGUUGAAUGGAAUAAGUUGGGUUUGGUGUAUCUUUGAAGCAUCAUGUAGGUUGCUGAUGUCAUUUGAAAAAUAAUUAUAGAAGAGAAUGUAAUAGAUGUUUGAUUCAAUUGUUUAUUCUUGGAUGAUGUUGACUACCUUGUAAUAAGCAUGACCAAGUGCAUUACCUAUGCAUCAUAACAUGACUCCUUUGGUACUCUCUCAUAUAAGCAUCCACUCGGACAUCUCGCACUCCACUCAUGAGCAUAUAUGCAUCAUACAGGCUCGCAGGAGAACGGAGUGGGACCCGAGGAACCCGAGGAGCUUCAGGAGCAGGAACCUCCGGAAGCACAAGAGCCCGGAGAGGAACUGCAAGAGUGCCCGGAUCACCGACCCAGCACGUUUGAGAAAGGCAAGCCCCGGAGCAUUCUAAGUCUCCCUAUUCUCGCUAACUUAUAUGAAGUGCUAUACUUAUUCUACUAUAUUGCAUAUUACGUGAUAGGAGUUGCCUGAUACCGUUGCUGCAUAUGUACUCCUUGUUAUCCCUACUCGUUAUCUACCUUGUCCUAUGUAGAUAGGCGCGGAGUCUAUGCUUAGCUUGCUUAGUCCGGUAAAAGUCGGGUGAUGUCCUGUCACCUGCGAGAUAUAGGUGGAUACCUGCUUGAUUAAGCAGCGGUUGCUUGGGGAAAGAAAUAACCAAGUGGGGAAUGUAAUUGGAGACCGGGCAGGGUCUUAUGGUGGGUUGCCCAUAGUGCCCCUGCCUAUGUCGAUUAAGGACCGAUCGUUGACGGCCCUCUUGUCAUGUUGAACGCAUGCCCCACACUUAGCUGGAAGGAUAAGUCGUUCCGACCGCGAAGCCUGAACACUAUCCGGGCCGGGAAUCGAGCCGCCAUGCGCUGUAUUGGUGGUGGUUGAGGAGAACGACGAGGGCGCGGCGCGCAACCUUGGUAUACCUUGGAUACCUCGGUCGCCGGAACGGUCCUCGGGUACUGGCGGUGCCUGCCGAACCCGCGAAUUGGUCCUGGAUAGUGUCAUACGGUGAUCUGUAGCUCACUUGAUCAGUGAGUGUGGUUUGUGUGGGGAAUACCUCGCCAGCUGGUUAGAAAUCGAUUCGAAUCGCCAUCGCUCCUGGAUAGUGAGCACUUGACAUGAGCCCUGUCCUCGUAGUAAGGACUAUGGAACACUUGGGUUAAAAUGAAGUGGGUUUAUGACUGCUGUGAUGAGGUACUAUCAUAGUCUCAUACUUGCUUGUAAUAGCACAGGAGCAAAUCUAGAUAAUAGAUAAUGAUACUUUCAACUUGAGCAGAUUAAAAGAAGAAAAGAUUUAUGUAGGUUCGGGUAAUAAAAUCUUGCGGUCUUUGCAAAAUGGUUGUCAGCUACCCCACUAAAUAGCCUUCAUGAUCCUUGAUGAGUCUUUAUUUUAAGUUUAUGACGGGUAAGUCUAGCUGAGUACCUUCUCAUACUCAGGGUUCUAUUCCCAUGUUGUUUUGCAGAUGGUCAAAUGUACUAUGGUUAUUGCAUCCUCUGUCUGUACCCAGCUAUGGGUGAUGACUAGACCAAGGGCGAUGGUCACUCCGUCUCUUCUUUUGCUUUUGUGGGAAUGACCGAACUAUGGCACUGUAUCAGACUUAUCGUGUGUGUUGUAUUUUUGAACUAUGAAGCUUCCGCUACUUGAAGGACUUGGUUUGUAAUAACUUUAAGCACUCCGAUGUAUUUAUGAAUGUUGUAAUCUGGAUGUGAUUGUGGAUGGCGACCGCUAAACUUAUUACGAUCUUGGCUGUAUAUGCGAUGUGUGGUUUGAAAUCCUUCGAGAUUUCACGGACUACCGGGGUUAUAUGGGCUUAAGCGUGAUAGUUCGACUAUGCAAAUGGUCACUAUUAGGCUUAAUCUCUUAUAAUUUGGUCGGUUCUGUUACAAGCACCGCGUACCAUCCCCAGACCUCAGGUCAAACUGAGAGGCUGAAUCAAGUGUUAGAAGAUAUGCUGAGGGCCUGUGUACUAUCGUCCAAGGGAUCAUGGGAGUCAUGGUUACCUCUGGCUGAAUUCUCAUACAAUAACAGCUAUCAAGAGAGUAUCAAGAUGGCUCCAUUCGAAGCGUUGUAUGGUCGGAGAUGUAGAACUCCGUUAAAUUGGGUUGAACCUGGUGGAAGAAGAUACUAUGGUAUUGACUUCGUGAACGAAGCGGAGAAAAAGGUGCAAAUCAUACAACAGCAUAUGCAAGCGGCACAAUCACGACAAAAGAGUUAUGCUGAUAAAAGAAGAAGGCCACUUGAAUUCGUUAUAGGUGACUAUGUGUACCUCAAGGUUACGCCAAUGAAGAAAGUCCAACGUUUCCGAGUUCGAAGUAAACUUGCACCUAGAUAUGUGGGACCAUAUCAGAUACUAGAGAGAAAAGGCCCUGUGGCCUAUAAGAUUCAGUUACCUGAAGAGUUGAGUUCGAUCUUUCCAGUUUUCCAUGUGUCCCAGCUUCGGAAAUGUUUGAAAGUACCUGAGCAGAGGAUUGAACCUCGAGGGAUCAAAAUAAAAGCAGACUUAGAGUAUAAAGAGCAACCAGUGGGUAUCGUAGAUACUAAGGAACGAGUAACCCGAAACAAAGUUGUCAAAACAUACAAGGUGGUAUGGAGUCAUUAUGACGAUAGGGAUGCCACCUGGAAAACCGAGGAUUAUCUAAAAACAGUUUAUCCAAAGUUUCAUAAGAAAUGGUUAGUAACCCAAAUCUCGGGAUGAGAUUUCCCUAAGGGGGGAAGGGCUGUAACACCCUAGGUGUUAAGCAUGCACUUAGUCUUACCAAAGCAUUCAUAAGCCUUCUCAUCAAGCAUAGCAUCACAUAAGCAUGUCAUCCAUCUAAAAUAUGAUUUUAUGUACUUUAUUCCAUGUGAUUUAAAUGUGUUAAAAAUAUGUUGCUUGCUUCUAAAAUUGUGAAAUAUUCAAACUAGGUUGAAUGGUGUGUAAAAAGAUUUAAGAAUAUUUUUGUGCAAUUUUUGGAGCCAUAGAAUUUGAGAAAUGGAAUUUAUACAAAAAUCCCCAAAAUGAAUUUAUUUGAAAACCUAGAACUAGUUUUAAUCUGUAAGUCAAAUUCUAUUUGGAAUUUGGUCUUGCUUAUUAAAACAAAGUUGUAGGGUUUUUGUUUUGGAACAACUUUACUGUUUGGGGAAAAGGGUGAAAAGGAUUUUUAAAUAGUCCAAAUGAAUUUAGAAAGAAUUUGAGAAAAGAAUUUCAAAAAAAAAAGGACAGGCGCUGCUGGGCCAACCCCGCCUCCCUUUCGGCCCAGCCAGCAGCCCGGCCUGCCUCCCCCUCCUCUCUCUCUCCCGCGCGCGGCGCCCGCCUCGCCCCAUCCAGCGACGGCCACGUGGCGGCCGUACGCCGGCGUUGGGCGCGCCGCGGCCGGCCACCUCCACCCCCUGGUCGGGACGCUGACCCGCGCCCCCAGAGCCGUCCCUCCAUUCUGUCGCCCGCGCCUCUUCCUCCUCCCUCCGCUCGCGUAGCAGUAGCAGCAGCAGCAGUUCCGCCGCAUGCCAUUGCUAGAGCAAGCCUCGCUGCUCGCCGCCGGCCGCACCAGAGCUUCAAGCUCGACGCCAAGAGCACCAGCGCACUCGCCGUCGUCGCGGUAAGCCCCUGCGUGCGCUCUACCGAGGUGAGAAGCAGCCGUGCGCCAUGAAUCGCUCGCCGAAGUUGCUCCGACCUCGCCGGAGUGCUCCGCCGCGACGGAUCUUGCUGUAUCCUGCUUCUUUUCGCUCGUUCUUUGGUGCGCUAGGUUGGUAGUGAGGUGAGGAAGCUCGGAGAGUCGUUUGCGCGCGCUCUACCGCACCGGAGCGGCCUGGCCACGGCGAGCAGCGCCGCCGUGCAGCCAUGCACGCUCGUCGGAGGUGUUCCGGUCAUCCUCCGGCCAAUCCAAGGGUACCCCUGGAUGCGCCUCGCUGCGGGGAGCACGCUGGUGCUCACCCCGUGGCCGGAGACCUCGCCGUCGGCGAAAGCCGGCCGGCCGAAGCUCGGCCAGUGCGUUGCACGGCUGACCCGUGGGGUCACGGCCCCGGAUCCCACCUGUCAGUGCCUCUGCGGGUGUGGAUCUGGCUGAGUUUAGCUUUUUGCGUCGGUUUUCUUAAAUAAAUAAUUUCUAGAAAUUGAUUUAAAACUUGUAAAAUCCAUAUCUUGAGUUCUACAGCUCCAAAUCUGGUGAAAUAAAUUUUGGUGUGCUCUCCAUUCCCAGAUCUACAGUUUGAUGUAAUUGCAUGUCAUGUUUGAAUAACUUUUCUGUAUAAAUAUAUUUAAUCCAUGUUUUUGCUGGAUUUGGAAAAUGCAUAGUAAUUAAAAUAUGACUCAGAAAAAUGUGAAACUUGUUUUGUUGGCUCUGCAUGUAUGUUUAAUCACUGGGAAAAUGUUGCUACACAUUAUUUGGUGUAUAAAUGAAUUUUUAGUGAUUUAAAUGCUUGCGUGGUAGUGGUUUAUGAUUUUUAAUAAAUGAUUGGAUCAUGCAAUUAAUCUGGUAAUUUUUGUGAGUGUUUCUGAUGAUAUUAGGCAAACUACAAAAAUAUGAAAUCUGCUGUUUGACACUUAUACCACAGUAGGGUAAUUUUAUUUGCCUUUAGGAAUUAAUCUUGUGAUUUUUGUAGCUCAAACUAAGUGUCUAAAAAUUAUAAAAAAUUUAUGGUGGACUUUAUGUUUGACUGGUAGUCUCCUGUAAUUUUUGUGGAAUUUAUUGAUAAACAGAAAUGCAUGCUAAUUUUGAUGGGCCUAAGAAUGAAUAAAGAAAUUAUAAAUUGUUAUAUAUGGGUCAAAUAGAAUAAAAGGGGUUUGGUGUAUCUUUGAAGCAUCUGGUGAGUUGCUGGUUACACUUGAAGACAAUUUGUAGAAGAGAAUGCAAUAGAUGUUUAAUUCAAUUGCAUGUUCUUGGAUGAUGUUGACUACCUUGUAAAUGAUCACAUAAAUCAUCCAUACAUCAUGUCAUAGUCAUAUGGUAUUCUCUUGCAUGAGCAUUUCACCCCGGGCAUCUCGCACUCCACUCAUGAGCACACAUGCAUCAUACAGGCUCGCAGGAGAACGAGGUGGGACCCGAGAAGCCAGAGGAGACCCAGGAGCAGGAACCUCUGGGAGCACCGGAACCCAAAGAAGAGCUGCUGGAGUGUCCGGAUCACAGACCCAGCACGUUUGAGAAAGGCAAGCCCAGGAGCAUUCUAAGUCUCCCUAUUCUCGCUAACUUACAGGAUAUAUUAUGCUUGUUCUACUAUAUUGCAUUUAAGUGAUAGGAAUUGGUUGAUACCAUUGAUGCAUAUGUACUCCUUGAUAUCACCAUCCGUUUAUCUAUCUUGUCCUAUGUAGAUAGGUACGGAGUCUAUGCUUAGCCUGCUUAGCCGGUAGAAGUAGGGUGAUUUCCUGUCACCUGCGAGAUAUAGGUGGAUACCUGCUUGAUUAAGCGGUGAUUACUUUGGGAAAAGAAUAACCAAGUAUAGAAUGGAAAUUUGAGACCGGGCAGGGUCUUAUGGUGGGUUGACUGUAGUGCCCCUGCCUGUGUCGAUUAAGGACCGAUCGUUGAUGGCCCUCUUGUCAUGUUGAACGCAUGCCCCACAUUUAGCUGGAAGGAUAAGUCGUUUCGACCGCGAAGCCUGAGCACUAUCCGGGCCGGGAAUCGGCCCGAUGUACGCGCUGUAUUGGUGAUGGUUGAGGAGAACGAUGAGGGCGCGGCGUGCAACCUUGGUAUACCUUAGAUACCUCGGUCGCCGGAACGGUCCUCGGGUACGGGCGGUGCCUGUCGAACCCGCGAAUUGGUCCUGGAUAGUGCAAUACAGUGAUCUGUAGCUCACUUGAUCAGUGAGUGUGGUUUGUGUAGGGAAAUAAACUCGCCAGCUGGUUAGGAAUCGAUUCGAAUCGCCAUCGCACCUAGAUAGUGUGCACUUGACAUGAGCCCUGUUCUCGUAGUAAGAACUAUGGAACAUUUGGGUUAUAAUGAUGAAUCGUUGCAUGAAUGCUAUGAUGAGGUACCAUCAUAUUACUAUACUUGCUUGUAAUAGUGCAGGUGCAAACCUAGACAAUAGGUAAUGAUACCUUCAACUUGAGCAAAUUAAAAGAAGAAAGAUUUAUGUAGGUGAUGUUAAUCGAAUCUUGCGGUUAUGCAAAAAUGUUGUCAGCUACCCCACUAUAUAGCCUUCAUGAUCCUUGAAGAGUCUUUAUUUUUGAGUUUAUGACGGGUAAGUCUAGCUGAGUACAUUCUCAUACUCAGUGUUCUAUUCCCAUGUUGUUUUGCAGAUGGUCAAAUGUACUAUGGUUAUUGCAUCCUCUGCCUGUACCCAGCUAUGGGUGAUGACUAGACCAAGGGCGAUGGUCACUCCGUCUCUUCUUUUGCUUUUUUGGGAAUGACCAAAACUAUGGCACUGUAUCGACUAAGUAUGUGUGUGUUAUUUUCGAACUAAGAAGCUUCCGCUAUCUGUGAACUUGGCUUGUAAUAACUUUAAGCACUCCAUGUAUCGUAUGAAUGGUUUCGAACUGGAUGUAACUGUGAAUGGUGACCGCUGAACUUAUUACUAUCUUGGCUGUAUGUACGAUAUGUGGUUUGAAAUCCUUCGAGAUUUCACGGACUACCGGGAUUAUAUGGGCUUAAGCUCGAUGGUUUGACUAUGCAAAUGGUCGCUAUUAGGCUUAAUCUCUUAUAAUUUGGGCGGUUCUGUUACAAUUUAGGGGCGUGUGUGAGCGUCAUGCCGAAAUCAGUCUUUGAUAGGCUGAACUUCACCAACUUGGAGCCAACCACCAUGACACUCCAGUUGGCAGACUCGUCAGUCCGGUACCCAGCAGGGAUUGCUCAAGACAUCCCUGUCAAGAUCAGAGGAUACUAUGUCCUAGUGGAUUUUGUGGUGCUCAACAUGGAGCUCACUAAAGAAACACCACUAAUCCUGGGAAGACCAUUCUUGAGUACGGCUAGAGCACAGAUUGUUGUUGGGGCUGGAGAAAUCCGCUUCAACAUUAAUGGCCAAGAAGAGAAGUUCAAGUUCAGGCCACGCCGUCAACAAGAGUGCAACAUGAUACGCAUCCUCUAUGAGCCAAACCCCCAAGGCAUCAGGCAGGCUGAGAUCCAGCCUCAACUUAUUAAAAAUACAAAAAUAUCUAAGAAAAAGCUGGAGCCAAACGAAAAGGCGACUCCUAAGAAAAAUAAUAAGGAGCAAAAAAAGAAAAUAGCUCCUAAAAAGAAUGAAAAGAGGGACGAAGUCCCCAAGCCUUCACAACCGAAGCAGGUGUGGAAACCAAAGCAGAAGGUUGAACAAACUUCCACACCUCCAAAGGUGAUACUGCUAAAGUGGAGGCCCAAGCAGGUGCAACCGUCUACUCCUCCCAAGACAGAUGUGCCAUCAUCAAGCAAGAAGUAAUGGGAGAAGAGUCCCGCUCAACCGACUAUAAAGAUGAGCCCUUGCCGAAGGUAAAUCGGUAAGUUAUCCCUAGGUAAGUUUUUACUUAUAAAAAAUAUAAAUAUAUAUUUUCUUUUGACUUAUUUAUUUAUUUUGAAUAAAUUAUUUCUAUUUAUGUUUUGAAUAAAUGGUGCAUUUCUUGUAUUUAUGAGUAGUCCAUAUUGCCUCAAUGAUCUUUUCUUCACUUUCGAAUCUUUGUGAUCAUGGGUAUCAAUCACUCAUAAAUGCAUGAUAGUGUGAUAGCUUUUAGAAAGUUUUCAAAAUUCAAAACUCUAUCGCACACACUAUCACUCUGAUUCCACUGCGCAUCACGAUUAAUCGUAACUAGGAUCACGAAAUACUCAGAGAGGGAAAGAAAUACCCGAAAAACUGAGGCCGACUGGUGGACCCAGUGGUGCGGCCGCACCUUGGUGCGGCCGCACCCCCAGGUCCGCCAAUCAGCCCCAAUCUUUUUCCCUUCCUCUUUUGCACUUAUUAGCAUCACAUCCAUGGUUACGAUCAAGUUGUUUCCAGUUCAAAGACUAUGUUAGCACCUAUAAAAUCCUCCAUAGGCAUCUUCUCUUCUCACACCAACCAUUUCUCAUCUCCCUCUUGUGAAGAUUGCUACGCUCUCCCAUUCUUCGGUAGUGACCAUGUCUUGCUAUACCCUCUCGCUGAUCAAUGCUCCCAAGACCAUAGCCAAUCUAGACAUAGCACCUUACCAAGAGAGUUCUAGCAAGGAGGUCCAUGUUGAGAAGAGAAGCCGUUAGCGUUGUUACCAGCAAACCACAAAGCGCCCACCAAUAGCGCCGCCAACAUACCCGCUACUGCCCGUUCGUCCACUAGCAACAUAGGACUUAAGAGAAAAGCCCCUAGUGGUGAUAGGCAAGGCAAUCAUGCUGGUAGCAAGAUGGGUGGCAAGACCAAGAAGAUGGAAUCAUCCAGUACUCUCCAUAGGAUCAGGAGGCACUUGCCACAGCCGUCAAUCAAGCGUCGUGCAGGACAGUAUGAGAGCAGCGAUGAAGAAGAUGAUCCCAAUAUCAUAGCCGAGCUUUUAGCUAAGCAGGCUAGCCUACGUGUUGAGUUACGGGUUUUAGAAGACGACCUAGAGGAAAAGAACACUGAGAUUAGGAACCUCAGUGAUGAUGUUAAUAGGUUUCGCUUCAAGUUUAAUACUAAACUUAGAAAGGUCGCUGAAGCCUUAGGUGUUGGUCGCUUUGUUGAAGAUCUUUAGACCACACCUCCUGCACAAAUCUUUGUUUAGGCACAUUUUUUCUUUUUACAAUAUUUAUGUUUCAAAUAUUUUUUCCCUUCCAAUGUAAUGUGCCUGUUCAAAGUUAUCAAAAAAAUAAAAAAAGGGUUUGUUUAUCUUUUGCACUUGUUUUCUAUAUAUAUUGUGACUAACCAUGAUAGCAAAGAAAACAAGUGUGGGGGAAGGACUAUUCAAUCAAAAAUCUCAGUUUGUGCAAACUCUUUUCCCCCAUAAAGAUUUUCAAAUGAAAUGUUUAAAAUGAUGUUACCUUUGUACUCCAUCAAACAUGUCUCCUAUGUUCAAAUAUGUUUUUGCAUACUUUUUAUUCUUAGCUAAUAUCCCUAGAGAUUUAUGAACACUUGUUAUAGGGACCCCAUUUUAUCUAAGUAAUUGACGUAUGUGAUAUAGUAGGAUGACAUGAUGCUUGCUGGUUCUUGCAAAUUACUUGGGUUUUCUUUUAUAAAAAGCAAAAUUCAAUGGCAAGUUUUUUGAAUGAUCAAGCAUUAUUCCAACCAUGGCCAAAUAUUUGUUCAUGAUUAAACCUUCUACAUAUGCUGCUUGCUCUGUGUUGAGUUUGGUCAAAUUUUUGGACCGCUGUCGAGAGAGGUUUCAUGCCUCUAAGAUCAGAAUUCACUUGCACCCACCAUAUAAAAGCUGACUCUCACACUGAGAAGUCGCGCACAACAUGCUUUCUCCAUCCACCUAAAAUUUCGCCAACUCUUACACUGAGGGUUGCGCACAUAUAUCCACCAAAUAAAAAUGCCAAUAUCUCACCCUAAGAAUUGUGCAUUCCUUGCAUUUGUUAUCAUAAAGCUCUCUUUCGUUUUCAUCAGAAUCAUAGGAAUGGGCUAUAUAUAUAUAUAAUAUAAUUAUUAUGAGAAAAAGCCAAAGGGGCAAAACGGGGAAAGAUUCAUACCCGUCCAAAAAAAUUGUGUUAUAGCACAUAUCCUCUCAAGUUUUUUAUCUCAUUUCAAAAAAGAGUCUUGAUGCAAGGAAUGUUGCAAUAAAAGUAGUGAUAGGAUUCCACCAAAAAUUCCACACACUUGCACAUUCUGAUCUAAGGGUAUGGCGCACUCCCUCCGGUAUGGUCCUGGGUUUGACUCGACAACAUAUGCAGGGUAAGUAAGUUCCACCAUCAUGCCUACCACUCCAGAUAAGCCUUUUAGAAGUAGGAUGAUCAAAAAGAUGGCAUCAACUCUUUAUGCCUUGGUGAGGAACCACUCACAUAUUAGGAGGGACUUGAGAGCAUCAUUCAAGAAACAUAUGCUAUCUUUAUUUUUCAAAAUCUUGCAAAACCCCAAGUUUCUGCGCAUAGACUAUGUAAGAGGAUUUGAAUCCAGGUUGUUCCAUGUUUCAAUUACCCAAGAUAGCUUGGUAGACACUUUGAAGUUCAUAAAUCUAGGUGAAGCUGGGAAUAACCUGUAUGCAGAUUCUUUUGACAAGAAAGAUGAACCCAUUUGGUCUUUAGUGCCUUCACUCGAGGACGAGCAAAGGACCAAGUGUGGGGGAGUUGUUGGUACCCCUUAUCUUAUAAUUAUAAACAUCAUUUUAAUAAAUAAAAUAAAUAGAGGGUAGGGCUUUGAACUAACCUUUCCACAAGUUUUGUUGCAAAUAUCAAUUUUAGGUAUGACACGUGAAAAGGCGCAAAAGACACGAGAAAGCGCACUUCAAGAAAGCGUAGUCAGAAAAGGUGCAAAUCAAAAAUAAAUGGAAAAGCCCACCAAAACACCGAACUGGAUCCAUCCGUAACCACAGGAAGGAUCAGGGCCCAGAGACGAACCAACCACGCGAAGGCGGUGGCCAGGGGGGCCCACCAGUGGUGCGGGCGCACCCUAGUGCGGGCCCCCCGUGGCGGCUACUCGGUCCCACCUUUUUCACGCGGUUGCAUGGCGGCAUGCAUAGGAUGGUUUCACCUCCUACCAAAUUUAGAUCGCCAUGAACCGUCCUUGUUGGGCUAUAAAUAGAUGGCUCCACACCAUUCAACACACACACCAUCAUUUGGAGCAAUACACCUCACAUUUCUACACUUGUUCUUUAGUUUAGAUUCAGUAGUAGAGCAAGGCAAAGCUAGCAAGGAGAGCCUGUCUCCUUGGAGGAUCUUAGAGCUUCUUGGUAUGAAUACAAUUCAGUUCUCCUACAUGAGCAAGUUCUUAUCUUAUUUAUAUGAUUAUGCAAUUGAAUUAGAGUAUAGUUGUGUUCAUAUCUUGUUCAUAGUAUAUGAACUAGUUCAUAGUUCUUGUGUUAUGUUCUUGAUGUGUACAUCCUUGUUCUUCAUCAUUCAUCGAAUUAGUAUGAAUAGACAAAUGAUUAAGAUUGAGGUAACGGUUCGUUGGGCUGUGAUGGCCACUCUUAGCCGAACCUGUCAAUCCAAAGGGUUGGGGUCCCGGGAGGCUAGGAGGCGUUUCCAAUUACACGGGCAGGUGCUCGGGUAUGCGGAGAUCAGUGGAUGCGCGGGUAUCUUUCGGGUAGAGGGGUAGGUGGCAGGGUAGUGACAGCCCUGUCAUCCCUGGUAUUCCCCCACGAUCAGGUAUUCUAGUAGGAGUUCUGUAAAGUCCCUAUCGGCUGGAUGUCCAGCUGCGGGGAUCUCCCCAGAGCCUCAGACUUAGUUCUAACUCUAGUUAUAUUGAUUAGAUGUUCUACUAACAAUUCUUUGCAUAGUUAUAUAAGAUCAAUGUCGGCUCAAGUAGUUGUUCUUUAUUUCUUUUAUUUCCUUAUUUUCUCUUUAUUCCUUGAGGUUGCCCCGAUGAGUGUGUCCACUAUCUAUAUUUUAAGAGAAUGUCGUGACCCUUGAUUAGACUAUGUCUACCUAUGCAUCUCAAUAAGUGAUCAUGCUCCAAACCAGCUAAAUGCAUUUGUUACACCCUCCUAUGGGAUUAAAUACGAUAACCCUUGAAUACUCACGGGUUGAAAUGCUAUAAUGAUAGUUCUGUUCGCUUGCAGUUUUAUUUUUUAUAUUCAUGAACUAUUGAUUGGCGUACCUAAGUACCGUUACUUAAGAUUGUAAACUCUGUGUAUUUAUCUGGCGCCGUGCUACAGCUUUGCAUAUCGUAAGUAAGGAUGGUUAGGAUGGCCAAACCAGCAUUCCUAAUUAUUGUUACCAGACUACACUGCUAAGGCCGGCGCCGUUAAAGGCCUUGGGUUAUCUCUCUGACGUAACGAUAGUUAUGGUAUGUAACACCCUAGGUGUUAAGCAUGCACUUAGCCUUCCCAAAGCAAUGCAUAAGCAUUCUCAUCAAGCAUAAGCAUCAUGAGCAUGUCAUUCAUCCCAAACCAUGAUUUUAUGUGCUUUAUUUCAUGUGUUCUAAAUAUGCUAAAAAUAUGAUGCUUGCUUCUAAAAAUGUGAGAUAUUCAAACUAGGUUGAUUUAUGUGUAAGAAGAAUUAAGAAUAUUUUUGUGCAAUUUUUGGAGCCAUGGAAUUUGAGAAAUGGAAUUUAUACAAGAUUUCCAAAAUGAAUUUAUUUUAAAACCUAGGACUAGUUUUAAUUUGUAAUUCAAAUUCUGUUGGGAAUUUGGUCUUGCUUAUUAAAACAAAGUUGUAGGGUUUUUGUUUUGGAGCAACUUUGUUUUUGGGAGCAAGAGGUGAAAAUGAUUUUAAAUUGGUCCAAAAGAAUUUGAGAAAAGAAAUUCAAAAAAAAAUAGAAAAGGGGAAGGCGCUGCUGGGCCAACCCCGCCUCCCUUUCGGCCCAGCAAGCGGCCCGGCCUGCCUCCCCCUCCCCCUCUCUCCCGCGCGCGGACGCCCGCCUCGUCCCAGCCAGCGUCGGCCACGUGGCGGCCGUACGCCGGCGAUGGGCGCGCCGCGGCCGACCGGCUUCACCUGGUCGGGACGCCGGCCCGGGCUCCCAGGCCGUCCCAUUCGCUUUGUCGCCCGCGCCCUUCUCCUUCCUCCCUCCACUCGCGAGCGCAACCGAGCCGUAGAACUCCGCCGCAGCGCCAUCGCCGGAGCAGCUCCGCUGCUCACCGCCGGCCACUUCAGCGACCAAACCUCGACACCGAAGCCACCAGCGCCUUCACCAUCAUUAGGGUAAGCUGAUGCGAGCGUUCUACCGAGGUGAGAAUCCGUCGAGCGCCGUGAAUCGCUCGCCGGAGUACUCCGCCGCAACGGAUCUUGCCUUUUCCUGCAUCUUUUCGCUGGUUCUUGGUUACGCUAGGUCGGUAGGGUGGUGAGGAAGCUCGGAGAGCCGUUUGCGCGUGCUCUACCGCGCCGGAGCGGCCUGGCCACGGCGAGCAGCGCCGCUGUGCCGCCAUGCAUGCUCGUCGGAGGUGCUCCGGCCAUCCUCCGGUCAAUCCAAGGGUACCGCUGGGUGCGCCUCGCUGCGGGGAGCACGAUGGUGCUCACCCCGUGGCCGGGGACCUCACCGCCGGCGAGAUCUGCUCGUCGGAGGUGUGCUCCCUCUCGGUCUCGCUGACCAGUGGGGUCAGAGGCCCACUGUCAGUCGCAUGGGGAACCCCGGUGGGUGUAGAUCCGGGUGUGUUUAGCCUUUUGCGUCGGUUUUCUUAAAUAAAUGUUUUCCAGAAAUUGAUUCAAAACUUGUAAAAUUCAUAUCUUGAGUUCUACAGCUCCAAAUUUGAUGAAAUAAAUUUUGGUGUACUCUAUAUUUUCAGAUCUGCAGUUUGAUGUAUUUGCAUGUCAUGUUUGAGUAACUUUUCUGUAUGAAUAUAUUUAAUCUAUAUUUUUGCUAAACUUGGAAAAUGCAUAGUAAUUAAAAUAUGGUUUAGAAAAAUGUGAAACUUGAUUUGUUGGCUCUGCAUGUAUGUUAACUCACUGGGAAAAUAUUGCUACACAAUAUUUGGUGUAUAAAUGAAUUUAUGGUGAUUUAAAUGCUUGCAUGGCAGUGGUUUAUGAUUUUUAAUAAUUAAUUGGAUCAUGCAAUCAGUCUGUAAAUUUUUGUGGAUGUUUCUUAGGAUAUUAGACAAAUUGUAAAAAUAUGAAAUCUGCUGUUUGACACUUCUACCACAGUAGAGUAAUUGUACUUGUCCUUAUUAAUUAAUCUUAUGAUUUUUUUAUAGCUCAAAAUAAGUAUUUAAAAAUUAUGAAAAAUUUACAGUAGACGUUAUGCUUGACUGGUAGCCUCUUGUAAUUUUUGUAGGAUUUAUUGAUAAACGGAACUGCAUGCAAAUUUUGAUAGGCCUAGAAAUGAAUAAAUAAUUUAUGAUUGUUGUAUAUAGGUUGAAUAAAAUAAGAAUGGGGUUGGUGUAUCUUGGAGCAACUUGUGGGUUGCUAGUUACACUUGAAAAAUAAUUGUAGAAGAGAAUGCAAUAGAUGUUAAUUCAAUUGCCUACUCUGGGAUGUUGUUGACUGCCUUGUAAAGAGCAUGACCUGUUAAAUCGCCUAUGCAUCAUGUCAUGAUCCUUUGGUACCUUCUCAUACAAGCAUCCACUCGGGCAUCUCGCACUCCACUCAUGAGCACACAUGCAUCAUACAGGCUCGCAGGAGAACGAGGUGGGACCCGAGGAGCCAGAGGAGAUUCAGGAGCAGGAACCUCCGGAAGCAGGAGUCGGGAGAGGAACUACAGGAGUGUCCGGAUCACCGACCCAACACGUUUGAGAAAGGCAAGCCCCGGAGCAUUCUAAGUCUCCCUAUUCUCGCUAACUUACAGGAUAUACUAUGCUUGAUCUACUAUAUUGCAUUUAAGUGAUAGGAGUUGGUUGAUACCGUUGAUGCAUUGGUACUCCUUGAUAUCACCCCUCAUUUAUCUACCUUGUCCUAUGUAGAUAGGUGCGAAGUCUAUGCUUAGUUGCUUAGCCCCGGUAGAAGUCGGGUGAUUUCCUGUCACCUGCGAGAUAUAGGAGGAUACCUACUUAUUUAAGCAGCGAUUGUUUUGGGAAAAGAGUAACCAAGUUUGGAAUGGAAUUGGAGACCGGGCAGGGUCUUAUGGUGGGUUGACUAUAGUGCCCCUGCCUGUGUCGAUUAAGGACCGAUCGUUGACGGCCCUCUUGUCAUGUUGAACGCAUGCCCCACACUUAGCUGGAAGGAUAAGUCGUUCUGACCGCGAAGCCUGAACACUAUCCGGGCCGAGAAUCGAGCCGCCAUGCGCUGUAUUGGUGAUGGUUGAGGAGAACGACGAGGGCGCGGCGCGCAACCUUGGUAUACCUUGGAUACCUCGGUCGCCGGAACGGUCCUCGGGUACUGGCGGUGCCUGCCGAACCCGCGAAUUGGUCCUGGAUAGUGUAAUACGGUGAUCUGUAGCUCACUUGAUCAGUGAGUGUGGUUUGUGUGGGGAAUAAACUCGCCAGCUGGUUAGAAAUCGAUUCGAAUCGCCAUCGCUCCUGGAUAGUGAGCACUUGACAUGAGCCCUGUCCUCGUAGUAAGGACUAUGGAACACUUGGGUUAUAAUGAUGAAUGGUUUUAAGAAAUGCUAUGUUGAGGUACUAUCAUAACACUAUACUUGCUUGUGAUAGUGCAGGUGCAAACCUAGAUAUUAGGUAAUGAUACUUUCAACUUGAGCAAGUUAAAAAAAAGAAAGACUUAUGUAGGUUAUGAUAAUAGAAUUCUGCGGUUUUGCAAAAUGGUCGUCAGCUACCCCACUAUAUAGCCUUCAUGAUCCUUGAAGAGUCUUUAUUUUAAUUUUAUGUCGGGUAAGUCUAGCUGAGUACAUUCUCGUACUCAGGGUUCUACUCCCAUGUUGUUUUGCAGAUGGUCAAAUGUACUAUGGUUAUUGCAUCCUCUGUCUGUACCCAGCCAUGGGUGAUGACUAGACCAAGGGCGAUGGUCACUCCGUCUUCUAUUUUGCUUUUGUGGGAAUGACUGAACUAUGGCACUGUAUCAGACUAAGUGUGUGUGUUGUAUUUCGAACUAUGAAGCUUCCGCUACCUGUGAACUUGGUUUGUAAUAACUUUAAGUACUCCGAUGUAUUUUAUGAAUAUUGUAAUCUGGAUGUAUUUGUGGAUGGCGACCGCUAAACUUAUUACGAUCUUGGCUGUUGUACGAUGUGUUGUUUGAAAUCCUUCGAGAUUUCACGGACUACCGGGAUUAUAUGGGCUUAAGCCUGACGAUUUGACUAUGCAAAUGGUCUCUGUUAGGCUUAAUCUCUUAUAAUUUGGUCGGUUCUGUUACAGCUGGUAUCGGAGCAAGGUUUAGCGAGUUACUGUUCAUAAGUACGUUCUAAACAAAAAUCUAAACCGGUUUAAGGAAAGAUUUUAUUAAUUAAUCAAUAAUGAUCAAGGUGUUAAACCAAGUUUUGGGAAAAACUAUCCAGUGUGCCAUGGUCAUAUCUUUUAUGCCCAGUUAAGGACUUUAAGGUGGCUAGUUAAGUACUGACUUGGGGGUUAAUGCAUCAUAUUUUUAUUUUCGUCGCUCAUACGGCGUGCAAUAGUAUGAGUGCCAUUCAAUUGAGUGGUAAUGUAUGGAUCCAUUUUUCCUCUACGCCACGGUAAGUGGGAGCUGUGAGAGCAUGAUCGGAUACACUGCCGGUCUAGGGGAGUGUUGUUAGGUACUGUGUCAUGCACACAUGUUUUGGUGUGUCUUGGGAACAGUACCGCAUGUUGGGUAUUCCGUCCUGAGAGGCGAUGCCGUCAUUAGGGCGAUGAUGUGGGUAGCAACACGUCAUAUGCAUGGACGGGUGUCUGUGUACGUGGAGUGCAUAGUUUUAAAUUCUUGUUCUGCAUGAGCAUACUGUGGGUGGGCUGAAAUGAGUUUUCUGCAGGUACACUAACCACGUUCUCGCUUAGAACGUUAGUUACGUUAUGAGAGAACGUUGUGUGCCACCGCAUAUACCGCUUAGUGUUAACCUUUGUUUCUAAGUUUGUGAGAUCGUAAGUCCGUGCAUGCAUCAUGUUCAUCUCAUAUCAUUGCUUACUUUCCCCCUUAAUUUAAUCUAUCCCAAUUCUAAAUAAAGUAAUUAAAGGUAAUCCUCGCUCUUACCCAAGGUAUUCCCUUUGCAGCAGAUGGCACGCACUAGGCUCACCGCUCGCAAGUCCACUGGUGGGCGGGCCCCUCGCCAUCCGUUGGCAGCCAGGAGCUCGCGACAUAGGAGCAAGUUCCAAGAGGAGUUUGGGAUGCCCACUUUGCUUUGGAGAGUGCUCAGCUCGAUGGGGUAUCCUGAAGGAAGGGAGCCUCGUUACUAUUGGGAUAAGGAGCUGCUUGGUGACGGGACCCUGGUGGGGAUUGAGGCAGUUGUUCCUACCAGUGGAGGAGACCCUGCUUGGGGCGGCUGGGUGUAUGAGUCCCGAGGUAUCAUGCCUUUCCACGGUGCCAGCAGGGCAGCUUUUGCAGUUUUGAGGGACCUCAUGGAGAGGUUUCCACAGGAGCUGGCCCACGCCUUCGCUGGGGUGUUUCCCCGGGGUGACCCCUACUCUUCAGUGUGGGAUCAGUCCGAGGUGAGCGCUCUAGAGAGGAGUGCGGAUGAGGACCAGCACAGUGACAGUGCAGCUAUGAGUGCUAUGUACGCCUUGAUGAAGACCUAUGGAGGCCUGGAGUGUUGUUUGGGUCGCUUGUCCGGGUCUCUUCUCACCGUCCAGGAUGAGAAGCGCCAGUUGCAGCGUGAGUUCGACUCUGAGGUUGAGAGGUUACAGGCAGAGUUAGCCCGUGUGACCAGGGAGAGAGAUCAGGCAGUCCAAAAGAACAGUGAGCUGAGUCAGGACCUGCUUGCAGUGCGAGAGCAGAGGGAUAGGGUGACUACUGCUCAUAGGAACUGCGAGCGCAUGCUAGUCCAUGUGCUUGGACAGAGGAAUGAAGCCUGGCACGAGGAGGACACUUUGAGGCCCCGACAGCUAGAGCUAGAGCAGCAGCUAGCCAAUGCCGAGGAGUACAAUGAGAACUUACAUGAGGAGAUCCACCAGCUGCAUAACCAGCUCCACCCUCACCACCUGCCUGGAGCAGCUGAGCUAGACUCUGAGGACGAGAUGGACGCGGAUCCCGCGAUAGGAGCAGCUGCUAGUGGAGAUGAGGAUGAGGAGGGCUCCGGCAUGGACAGUGAUCAUAGCGAAUAGAUGCUAGGGCUUUAGAGCUAGUCCUCCUUCUUCUGUGUUGUAUGUUGCAUGGCAUGUCGUGUACUUUUGGAUCUGGGCUAUGUAAGACUUAUGAGUUAAUGCUGAAAGUCCAGUGUAUGUAUGCUGGCAAGUUGGAUGUACGCGAACCUUGUUGCGUGAAUGUUAAGUAAUCUGUUAGUGAUGUUGUGCGUAGAUGAUGAAUUGUUGUACCUCUAUUUAUUGUGCGAAUUUAUUCCCUCAGUAAAUUCAGUACGGCAUGAUUCUAUACACUUCUACCCUUGAUGGCAACUCCUAACGAUUGCUUAUCAUUGACGUAUGCAGAUGGUGCAAACACGUGGCGGGGGUAACAGCAACCCGGGCCUUGGAGCAGGUAUGUCUGGAGGUGGGGCUCAACGGAAUGAGGACAGACCACCGACACCGCCACCACCGCCGCCUCCUCCGUACACUGCGGACGUGUUUUUCGCGCAGUUUCUGGGGAGCCAACGCAACAUGGAACAGAUGCAAUGCAACAUGGAAGAGACUCUGCGCAACAUAGCUGACAACACCCGUCGUGGGGAUAACCAGGGCGGCCGUGAAGUCAAUCAGUAUAGUUUGUUCAAGGACUUCAUGGAUACCAAGCCACCAAUCUUCAAAGAGGCUUUGGAACCGCUCGAGGCAGACGAGUGGAUCAAUACCAUGGAGCAGAAGUUUCGUCUUCUCCGGAUGACAGAAGAACUUAAGGCUGAGUAUGCGGCACACCAGUUGCAAGGACCCGCUAGAAUUUGGUGGUCCCAUCACCGUACCACCUACCCAGAGGGGACCCCAAUUACCUGGAACCGCUUCACCACCGCUUUCUAGGGAAAUUACAUUCCUCCGGGUGUGGUUGUAAUGAAGGUUGGGGAGUUCAUGAGGCUGUCCCAGGGGACGAAAUCUGUGAAGGAGUAUCUACACGCUUUCAAUAAUCUCGCUCGCUAUGCCCCCGAGUUUGUGAACACGGAGGCCAAGAAGAUUGCUAGUUUCCAGAGAGGCUUAAAUCCAAAGAUGCUAAAGACCAUGGGCACAGGAGCCAGGGCUACCUUCAAUGCUUACAUCAGUGACUGUCUCACCCAGGAGAACAACAACAACUACUACAGUGCAUCCAAGUCACGUAAGAGGGCUUUUAAAGCCGGAUCCUCGCAGUCCAGGGCACCCGUGAUAGGGUGACAGCAGUAUCGUCCCCCUGCCCCAGGUGCUAGGUUCCGACCGCCGCAGAGAAGGAACACCGGACAUCCAACGCAGCAGAAGCCGUACAAGGUGGCGAUAGCCCCUGCCAAGCCAAAGGCAAUUCAAGCUGCAGCACCUGCCGCCAACAAUGCGCCCAAGGGUCCGUGCUACAACUGCCACAAGAUGGGGCACUUUGCUAAGGAAUGUCCCUACCCCAAGAGGCAGCAGCCAACUUAUCCAGCUCGUGUGCAUCAUACCUCGAUUGAGGAAAUCCUGGAAGGAGAACCGGUAACAGCUGGUAUGUUUCCUGUCAACCAACAUCUUGCAGUUGUUUUGUUUGAUUCUGGAUCAUCGCAUUCAUUCAUGAGUCAAGCAUUUGCACAAAAGCAUAGUCAACCAGUUACAGAUCUGGGUUAUGGCUACCGCAUCAGCUCAACAGGGGCAGAUGUGUUGACCAAUAGAGUGGUUCAAGGGGCAACCCUGGAUAUAAGUGGCCGAGUUUUUCGAGUAAAUCUAGUGGUCAUGCCUGGGUUAGUUUUGGAUGUUAUCAUGGGCAUGAACUGGAUGAGAGAAUGGGAUGUCGUCAUAGAUACCGGGAAGAGGAUGUUAUCUCUCAGAGAACCGCAGGGCAAUAGCUCUUUUCAAGUACCUCUGCCCCGUCGUCUUGACUUUGCUAGCAUCUCUUGUGCUACGCACGUGGUUCCAUUACCACAGAUCCCAGUAGUCUGCGAGUUUCCUGAUGUUUUUCCUGAGGAAUUACCAGGACUUCCCCCAGACAGGGAGGUAGAGUUCGCAAUAGAGUUAAUACCAGGUACAGCACCAAUAUCUCGAAGGCCGUACCGGAUGCCACCAAACGAACUCACUGAGUUAAAAAAUCAACUAAAGGAGUUGCUGGAUAAAGGAUUCAUCCGGCCAAGUUCGUCGGAAUGGGGUUGUCCGGCGUUGUUUGUGAAAAAGAAGGAUCAGUCGUUGCGCAUGUGCGUGGACUAUCGUUCACUCAAUGCCGUGACAAUCAAGAAUAAGUAUCCCUUGCCGAGGAUCGAUAUCUUAUUUGAUCAGUUGUCCAAGGCAAAGGUGUUUUCCAAGAUAGAUUUGAGGUCCGGGUAUCACCAAAUCAAGAUUCGUCCGCAAGAUAUCCCGAAGACUGCUUUUUCCACCAGAUAUGGGUUGUAUGAGUACCUUGUCAUGUCCUUUGGGUUGACAAAUGCUCCUGCAUACUUCAUGUAUCUGAUGAAUUCAGUCUUUAUGCCAGAAUUGGGUAAGUUUGUUGUGGUGUUUAUCGAUGAUAUUCUGGUUUAUUCAGAAAAUGAGCAAGACCACGCCGAGCAUCUGAGAAUCGUGUUAACACGAUUACGAGAGCAUCAGUUAUAUGCCAAGUUCAGCAAGUGUGAGUUCUGGUUGAAGAAAGUUCCUUUCCUAGGGCACAUUCUGUCUGAAGAAGGGAUUGUUGUGGAUCCGUCAAAAGUGCAAGAGGUCAUGGACUGGAAGGCACCGACUUCUGUCUCGGAAGUUAGAAGUUUUCUUGGUCUGGCCGGGUAUUAUCGUCGGUUCAUACCUGACUUCUCCAAAAUUGCUAAGCCAAUGACAAGUUUGCUACAAAAGGAUCAUAAGUUCGUCUGGACGGAGGGGUGUGAGUUAGCCUUCCGCACCUUGCGAAAGUUGCUAACCAUUGCUCCCGUUCUGGCGCAACCUAAUAUCGAAAAGCCUUUUGAUGUGUUUUGCGAUGCGUCAAAAAGUGGCUUGGGGUGUGUGUUGAUGCAAGAUGGCAGAGUGAUAGCAUUUGCUUCACGAUAGUUGAGAAAGCACGAAGUCAACUACCCAACUCACGACCUCGAGUUAGCAACAGUAGUGCACGCUUUGAAGAUUUGGAGACAUUAUCUGCUAGGAAAUAAGUGUCACAUCUAUACCGAUCAUAAGAGUUUGAAGUACAUCUUCACUCAAUCUGAGCUGAAUAUGAGGCAACGACGGUGGUUAGAGCUAAUUAAGGACUAUGAUCUGGAAGUUCACUAUCAUCCAGGCAAAGCUAAUGUAGUAGCAGAUGCGUUGAGUCGUAAACCGCACUAUCAAGUGGUUCAACCGUUGUUUGAAGAUGGGUUCAAUCUUAUGCAUCCUGAGGUCUUAUGUCACAUACAACUCAGUUGUUCACUCGAGAGUCAAGUCAUCGAAGGUCAGAAAACAGACAAGGGUAUUUUCCACAUCAAGGAGAAGAUCAAAGAUGACCCAAAGACUCGAUUUCGAGUUGAUGAAAAAGGGGUACUGUGGUUUCAAGAUCGGUUAGUAGUUCCAAAAGAUCGUGAUUUGAAGAAUCGUAUCAUGGAUGAAGCUCAUCUCUCUAAGCUUUCUAUUCAUCCUGGCAGUAGUAAAAUGUACCAAGACUUGAGACCCCACUUUUGGUGGACAAGAUGAAGAAAGAAAUAGCCGCAUAUGUAGCCCGUUGUGACACGUGAUGCAGAGUUAAGGCCAUCCACCUGAAGCCUGCAGGUCUGUUGCAACCGUUAUCAGUUCCAGAAUGGAAAUGGGAAGAGGUCAGUAUGGACUUUAUCACGUGUUUACCAACGACAAGGAAGGGGAAUGACUCGAUUUUGGUAAUCAUUGAUCGAUUGACCAAAUCGGCCCAUUUCAUUCAUAUGAAGACUCGCUACCGACCUCCUAAGUAUGCCGAUAUAUAUAUGGCUGAGAUUGUCAAGUUGCAUGGUAUUCCCAAAACCAUCGUAUCAGAUAGAGGACCACAGUUCACCGCUCACUUUUGGGAGCGAAUGCAUAAGAGUUUGGGGACCAGUCUGAUAAGAAGCACGGCGUAUCAUCCCCAGACUUCAGGCCAAACUGAGAGGCUAAAUCAAGUGUUAGAAGAUAUGCUGAGGGCCUGUGUGCUAUCAUCCAAGGGAUCAUGGGAAUCAUGGUUGCCUUUGGCUGAAUUCUCAUACAAUAAUAGUUAUCAAGAAAGUAUCAAGAUGGCCCCGUUCGAAGCUUUGUAUGGUCGAAGAUGUAGAACUCCGUUAAACUGGGUUGAACCUGGUGAAAGAAGAUACUAUGGUAUCGACUUCGUGAAUGAAGCUGAGAAAAAGGUGCAGAUCAUACAGCAGCAUAUGCAAGCGGCACAAUCACGACAAAAGAGUUAUGCUGAUAAGAGAAGAAGGCCACUUGAAUUCAAUGUAGGUGACUAUGUGUACCUCAAGGUUACGCCAAUGAAGAAAGUUCAACGUUUCCAAGUUCAAAGCAAGCUUGCACCCAGAUAUGUGGGACCGUAUCAAGUACUAGAGAGGAAAGGCCCAGUGGCCUACAAGAUUCAGUUACCUGAGGAGUUGAGCUCGAUCUUUCCGGUCUUCCAUGUGUCGUAGCUACGGAAAUGUUUGAAAGUGCCUGAACAAAGGAUUGAACCUCGAGGGAUCAAAAUAAAAGCAGACUUAGAGUAUAAGGAGCAGCCGAUGGGAAUUGUGGAUACCAAGGAACGAGUAACUCGAAACAGAGUUGUCCGAACAUACAAGGUGGUGUGGAGUCAUCAUGACGAUAGGGAUGCCACCUGGGAAAUAGAGGAUUACUUAAAAAUAGUUUAUCCAAAAUUUCAUAAGAAAUGGUUAGUAACCCAAAAUCUCGGGACGAGAUUUCCCUAAGGGGGGGAAGGGCUGUAACACCCUAGGUGUUAAGCAUGCACUUAGCCUUCCCAAAGCAAUGCAUAAGCAUUCUCAUCAAGCAUAAGCAUCAUGAGCAUGUCAUUCAUCCCAAACCAUGAUUUUAUGUGCUUUAUUUCAUGUGUUCUAAAUAUGCUAAAAAUAUGAUGCUUGCUUCUAAAAAUGUGAGAUAUUCAAACUAGGUUGAUUUAUGUGUAAGAAGAAUUAAGAAUAUUUUUGUGCAAUUUUUGGAGCCAUGGAAUUUGAGAAAUGGAAUUUAUACAAGAUUUCCAAAAUGAAUUUAUUUAAAAAACUAGGACUAGUUUUAAUUUGUAAUUCAAAUUCUGUUGGGAAUUUGGUCUUGCUUAUUAAAACAGAGUUGUAGGGUUUUUGUUUUGGAGCAACUUUGUUUUUGGGAGCAAGAGGUGAAAAUGAAUUUAAAUUGGUCCAAAAGAAUUUAGAAAAGAAUUUGAGAAAAGAAAUUCAAAAAAAAAUAGAAAAGGGGCAGGCGUUGCUGGGCCAACCCCGCCUCCCUUUCGGCCCCGCAAGCGGCCCGACCUGCCUCCCCCUCCCCCUCUCUCCCGCGCGCGGACGCCCACCUCGUCCCAGCCAGCGUCGGCCACGUGGCGGCCGUACGCCGGCGAUGGGCGCGCCGCGGCCGACCGGCUUCACCUGGUCGGGACGCCGGCCCGGGCUCCCAGGCCGUCCCAUUCGCUUUGUCGCCCGCGCCCUUCUCCUUCCUGCCUCCGCUCGCGAGCGCAACCGAGCCGUAGAACUCCGCCGCAGCGCCAUCGCCGGAGCAGCUCCGCUGCUCACCGCCGGCCACUUCAGUGACCAAACCUCGACACCGAAGCCACCAGCGCCUUCACCAUCUUUAGGGUAAGCUGAUGUGAGCGUUCUACCGAGGUGAGAGUCCGUCGAGCACCGUGAAUCGCUCGCCGGAGUUACCCCGAGCUCGCCGGAGUACUCCGCCGCGACGGAUCUUGCCUUUCCCUACCUCUUUUCGCUGGUUCUUGGUUGCGCUAGGUCGGUAGGGUGGUGAGGAAGCUCAGAGAGCCGUUUGCGCGCGCUCUACCGCGCCGGAGCGGCCUGGCCACGGCGAGCAGCGCCGCCGUGCCGCCAUGCAUGCUCGUCGGAGGUGCUCCGGCCAUCCUCCGGUCAAUCCGAGGGUACCGCUGGGUGCGCCUCGCUGCGGGGAGCAAGAUGGUGCUCACCCCGUGGCCGGGGACCUCACCGCCGGCGAGAUCUGCUCGUCGGAGGUGUGCUCCCUCUCGGUCUCGCUGAGCAGUGGGGUCAGAGGCCCACUGUCAGUCGCAGGGGAACCCCGGUGGGUGUAGAUGCAGGUGUGUUUAGCCUUUUGCGUCGGUUUUCUUAAAUAAAUGUUUUCCAGAAAUUGAUUCAAAACUUGUAAAAUUCAUAUCUUGAGUUCUACAGCUCCAAAUUUGAUGAAAUAAAUUUUGGUGUACUCUAUAUUUUCAGAUCUGCAUUUUGAUGUAUUUGCAUGUCAUGUUUGAGUAACUUUUCUGUAUGAAUAUAUUUAAUCUAUAUUUUUGCUAAACUUGGAAAAUGCAUAGUAAUUAAAAUAUGGUUCAGAAAAAUGUGAAACUUUAUUUGUUGGCUCUGCAUGUAUGUUAACUCACUGGGGAAAUAUUGCUACACAAUAUUUGGUGUAUAAAUGAAUUUAUGGUGAUUUAAAUGCUUGUAUGGCAUUGGUUUAUGAUUUUUAAUAAUUAAUUGGAUCAUGCAAUCAGUCUGUAAAUUUUUGUGGAUGUUUCUUAGGAUAUUAGACAAAUUGUAAAAAUAUGAAAUCUGCUGUUUGACACUUCUACCACAGUAGAGUAAUUGUACUUGUCCUUAUUAAUUAAUCUUGUGAUUUUUUUAGCUCAAAAUAAGUAUUUAAAAAUUAUGAAAAAUUUACAGUAGACCUUAUGCUUGACUGGUAGCCUCCUGUAAUUUUUGUAGGAUUUAUUGAUAAACGGAACUGCAUGCAAAUUUUGAUGGGCCUAGAAAUGAAUAAAUAAUUUAUGAUUGUUGUAUAUAGGUUGAAUAAAAUAAGAAUGGGAUUGGUGUAUCUUGGAGCAACUUGUGGGUUGCUAUUUACACUUGAAAAAUAAUUGUAGAAGAGAAUGCAAUAGAUGUUAAUUCAAUUGCCUACUCUGGGAUGUUGUUGACUGCCUUGUAAAGAGCAUGACCUGUUAAAUCGCCUAUUCAUCAUGUCAUGAUCCUUUGGUACCUUCUCAUACAUGCAUCCACUCGGGCAUCUCGCACUCCACUCAUGAGCACACAUGCAUCAUACAGGCUCGCAGAAGAACGAGGUGGGACCCGAGGAGCCAGAGGAGAUUCAGGAGCAGGAACCUCCGGAAGCACAGGAGUCCGGAGAGGAACUACAGGAGUGUCCGGAUCACCGACCCAGCACGUUUGAGAAAGGCAAGCCCCGGAGCAUUCUAAGUCUUCCUAUUCUAGCUAACUUACAGGAUAUACUAUGCUUGAUCUACUAUAUUGCAUUUAAGUGAUAGGAGUUGGUUGAUACCGUUGAUGCAUUGGUACUCCUUGAUAUCACCCCUCAUUUAUCUACCUUGUCCUAUGUAGAUAGGUGCGAAGUCUAUGCUUAGUUGCUUAGCCCCGGUAGAAGUCGGGUGAUUUCCUGUCACCUGCGAGAUAUAGGUGGAUACCUACUUAUUUAAGCAGUGAUUGUUUUGGGAAAAGAGUAACCAAGUGUGGAAUGGAAUUGGAGACCGGGCAGGGUCUUAUGGUGGGUUGACUAUAGUGCCCCUGCCUGUGUCGAUUAAGGACCGAUCAUUGACGGCCCUCUUGUCAUGUUGAACGCAUGCCCCACACUUAGCUGGAAGGAUAAGUCGUUCCGACCGCGAAGCCUGAACACUAUCCGGGCCGGGAAUCGAGCCGCCAUGCGCUGUAUUGGUGAUGGUUGAGGAGAACGACGAGGGCGCGGCGCGCAACCUUGGUAUACCUUGGAUACCUCGGUCGCCAGAACGGUCCUCGGGUACUGGCGGUGCCUGCCGAACCCCCGAAUUGGUCCUGGAUAGUGUAAUACGGUGAUCUGUAGCUCACUUGAUCAGUGAGUGUGGUUUGUGUGGGGAAUAAACUCGCGAGCUGGUUAGAAAUCGAUUCGAAUCGCCAUCGCUCCUGGAUAGUGAGCACUUGACAUGAGCCCUGUCCUCGUAGUAAGGACUAUGGAAUACUUGGGUUAUAAUGAUGAAUGGUUUUAAGAAAUGCUAUGUUGAGGUACUUUCAUAACACUAUACUUGCUUGUGAUAGUGCAGGUGCAAACCUAGAUAUUAGGUAAUGAUACUUUCAACUUGAGCAAGUUAAAAAAAGAAAGACUUAUGUAGGUUAUGAUAAUAAAAUUCUGCGGUUUUGCAAAAUGGUCGUCAGCUACCCCACUAUAUAGCCUUCAUGAUCCUUGAAGAGUCUUUAUUUUAAGUUUAUGUCGGGUAAGUCUAGCUGAGUACAUUCUCGUACUCAGGGUUCUACUCCCAUGUUGUUUUGCAGAUGGUCAAAUGUACUAUGGUUAUUGCAUCCUCUGUCUGUACCCAGCCAUGGGUGAUGACUAGACCAAGGGCGAUUGUCACUCCGUCUUCUCUUUUGCUUUUGUGGGAAUGACUGAACUAUGGCACUGUAUCAGACUAAGUGUGUGUGUUGUAUUUUCGAACUAUGAAGCUUCCGCUACCUGUGAACUUGGUUUGUAAUAACUUUAAGUACUCCGAUGUAUUUUAUGAAUAUUGUAAUCUGGAUGUAUUUGUGGAUGGCGACCGCUAAACUUAUUACGAUCUUGGCUGUUGUACGAUGUGUGGUUUGAAAUCCUUCAAGAUUUCACGGACUACCGGGAUUAUAUGGGCUUAAGCCUGACGAUUUGACUAUGCAAAUGGUCUCUGUUAGGCUUAAUCUCUUAUAAUUUGGUCGGUUCUGUUACAUGGUAUACCAACACCCGACAUUUCUGGUGCCAUUGCUAAUGAUGGAUUUAUAGUCUAACUUUAGUAGUGAUGCUAAGAAAUGCCAACAACUAUCCACUACCUCAUCGUCUGCAUCACCACCGCCACCUACUACCCCACAACUCCACCGCCAUGGUCCUCCAGACAAAUGGUACGUUUUUCUCUAAAUCCUAAACUUUAAAAGCUUGCCAGAGCUAGAGAAAGAAGGGAAAGGUGGAAAGUAGGAGAUUUUGGUCAUUGAGAGGAAAAUUUUGCUUAGUAUCUGUGAUAUAGAAUUUUGUGCAUUCUGUUGAUGCAAAACUGAUCUGCAAACACAAAGGGCUAAUACCCAAUUCAAACGUUAAGACGUGCCAGCCGAUUUGACCUUACCAUCGGCAAUGGUGAUAACUCGAAUACUUUGGUCCCGACAACAGCGAUGCGCCUGGAUGUCACGGCCAAGAGGUAUUCACGCGGAACUCGAGAAUACGCCGAGCUUAAGUCGACGAAUUCCUAAGAACUCGUAGUAAAAAGGAAAAUAUGACGAAGUCAUCGGAAAAGUAGGUACUGGAAUAUGAUAUGAGUAAAAACUUAUGUUUGAUUGAUUGAUUAGAUCUUCAUUACAAGGCCCUAGGGUCUACAUUUAUAACCUGCUCAAAGAGCUACAAUCAGACACGACUAAGACUCAAAUUCCAAAUUAAACAGAAUCCGUAUACAAAACAAAUUUAAAUAACUACGGAAAACAUAAAACUACCCCCUUGUAACCGACCGGGACACCGCCACAGAUCAAUCGGCAACCUCCACGCUUUCCUUCAGAGUCACCGGCAGACUUCCUGUUAUGGCCAUCGGCAAACACUGAUAUUGAUCAUCGGUAAGAACACGUUACCACCUCUUGACUUAGCCACAUCCAAUCGUCUCUUCAUCGGCAACUACCCUCAUUGACAACUUUUUUGCAGACUAGUUACCGUUGCUCCACCUGUCGAUCUAUACUUUACUGGUCCCUAGGUAUGUGUCCAAAAACGGUGUCAACACAUGCCCCCCAAUUUCGGAGUAUAAAAUCAUUAAUGCUCCGAAAUUCUCUGCAGUAAUGAUGCCUUUCGCAAUUAAUUCUCCCAAUUUGGUUACCGACCGUUAAAUCUGAACAACCUUGGCCCGAUUCUCCUGCAGAUUCCUCGAAUUUCUCAACCUCCGAAACCGGAUCUUUCCACGUUAUGCGCCCAUCGGCAAUAUUACCGUUAGAGAGAACUGCCGAUGGACCGACCAAGAGAUCCUGCACAGUGAAAUAUCUCCAAAAUCGUGACCGCUUGCUGUCAAAUCACCAGCACAAUCCCUUGAUUACUGCGCAAACAGUUACCAUAUCUACCUGAACACCCUCGGAUUUCACGGAUACGGCAAAGAGAUAAGUCAAAUUUGCCCCUGCCCGUUUUGUCUUAUAAAUACUUCCUUCUCGGGUACUCCUUCUCCAUCUUGUCAUUCUACAGCCCAAAAUCCACUUUCGCAGCGGCUGCACCACCCGAGGACUCCAAGAACUUCAACGAAGGCCUUCUUCACCAAUCUCCCAAGUCUUCGAUCUUCUUCUCGCAAGAAAAUGGCCAUCAACUUCACCGUGCCUGAGGUCAGUUCACUACCCUUCUUUUUCGCGCCUCUACUGUAUUUCUGUUCAUCCGCAAUUCCUUUUACUGAAUACUUCUCUUUCUUUCUGUUCUUUCUUUUACCCUCGAAAAUUUCUAGGAUUUGGCCGAUAAAAUUGUUAUUCCUACCGAUCAACCCCACCUCCAAUGUCUUGGUCCACUAGGAAACCCGGAUCUCACCGAUCUGAUAAAUGCAGAGACAAACAGAGUUCCCUUUAGAGCCGAAAACUUCUCCCUAGAUCUAUGGAAAGAUGCCUUCCGUUCCUAGCCCAGUCCUACCAAGGGAUGGAAGGAUUGGUUUUUGAGAGUCAGUCAUUCAAACGAGGUUCAAUGGGGCGAGCGGAAGUUAGAUCAGUGCAUUAGAUUGUCUCUUGCCGAUAUGGAGAGAAAUGAGUCACUGCUGAUCGCUACUUCAUACUUUUGGUCAGAAACACUCAAUGCUUUUGUGUUUGGCCAUGGCCCUGCUUCUACACUUGUCGAUGUACUUAUGCUCACCGGCUUAGAUAUAUCUACUGCCGAUAACAGCCACCUGUUCGACACCAGACCCAGUGCUAAGGUAGAAACUCGUGCUAUCGGCGGUUGGUCCGGGUACAUUCAGAAGUACCGAAGAACAGGUCCUGUCAAUGCAAAGGAACAGACCACUUUUCUGAAUAUGUGGCUGGAUAAAUUUGUAUUUUGUGGCCGAUCGGCAGGACCAACUUCUGUUUACUUAUCGGCAGCAGAGAGACUAGCCGAUGGCGGCCGAUUUCCUCUUGGCCGAUACUUGCUCGGCUCGGCUUAUCACCUCCUCCACCAAGUAGCCAAGAAAGUUCUGCUCGGCCAACCCAUCGGUAACUUAGGGGGUCCUUGGUGGUUCAUCAACAUGUGGCUUAAUCUCCACAUGCACAAGCGCCUUGAAUUCGACCUCUUUGCACAGUGCUUCCCCAGGGACAUAGCCGAAGAUUAUAAAUUGGAUGAAGAAGAAUCAGCAACUCGCUCUCCCUUGAACUUUGGCGAAGCGGCCAUAGUCUUACCUGGCACUGGUGGCAACGAAGACUAGGUUAGCCGAUUCUUUCAAACACUGUACGAGGGCCUGACCAGAGAACAGCGGGCAUGGAUGCCCUAUGAAGAUCCAGACACCAGAUUCCCCUUGACUUUCCACCCUUUCAAUGAUACUCUCAACAAGGACCGUGAUGUGAUGAUGGCAAUUAUCACCCCAAGAGCCAUACCAGUGAACUUCUUUAGUAGUGGGAAAGCCUCCAAUCUGACCUACGAGUUUUAUAACCCAUCGGCACUAGCUCGCCAACUGGCUUUCGGCCAACUGCCAAUUGCACUCUGCUACGCCGAUGUGAUAAAGCCGAGGGAGACCAUCACCAGCAAUCUAGAAUGGAUCAAGGUAGCUCAACUUCCACCAAACGCCGAUAUAGAUGUCGAUCUAUCGGCUUGGAUCCCAGCUCUCUUCAUCACUCAGACAUACAAACAGUGGUGGGAAGAGUGGAAAGAGCACUUAUUCUACAGAUUAGCUCUCGCAUACCGUGGCAUGAUCGACCCCAAAUACAAAGUCCCUGAUAAUAUUGUAAGUACUUUAAACUGAUGUUUCGAUCCUUUCACUUUCAUUCUCCAUCGGUAACUUACUUUCUUUGUUGUAUACAGGCCGAUGAUAUGCCACCAUUAGUCAGCAGGAGUGGUAGGCCGAUUGAACUCCUUCCAUCGGGCCCGAUCUCUCUAAUCGGCAACAAGGCCCCAACCUUGGCUGCUAUAAUGCAUCGGGGUGUCCGUCUUAAGAAAGUCACCACCAAGCGGACGAAGACAUCCCCAUCAGUAGCCGCCACUGCUUUAGCACAAGCCUUCAAGGUAAAUUUUUUUGAAUUCUUCAACUUAUACCGAUUCCAUCCUUAUACCUGUUGCACUUGUACUCAUAAACUUUUCAUUGUUGUAUCAGUAUACCGGUACAUCGGCAAAGACCAGAAGUAUGACUGCCGAUGCCCCCCAGUCCAGUCAAUCGAAGAGAAAAGGUUCCAAGAGUACCAGAUCACAAGUGAAGCGCCAGAGAACAGUAAUGCCUCCUCCUCCCCCAAGGUCUCCGAUCCUAGUAGAAUCAUCUCCUUCGUCUCCAGAAGCCCAGACACAAGAAGUACCAUCUCCUCCUCAGCCACAAGAAGAACCCCAAACGGAAGAAUUCCAGCCAGAAGAACCUCAGCUAGAAGAAACAUUGGCUAAUGUACACGAGCAGACCACCGAUCCAGCAAGUCUAAUCAUAGCAUCGGUAGUCUCCUCGAUUCAGACAAGUACUGCACCCCCUCAAGGUAACAUACUUUCCAUUUAUUGCCGAUGAACCUAUCUUUUCACUUUAUUAAUCACUUCUAUCAAUCUUUCAACUGACAUAGCUUUGUCGGCAACUCCAGCCGAUCAGCCUGUGGUUCCAUCGGCCUCGUCUAGUCAGAGGUGAGAAAUAGCUCUGAAACAAGUAAGUUACCCGAUCUCUAUUUUUAUUGUUAUCAGUACUUGAUCAUAGAAUAACUUAUUUUGUCUUCCUUUUUCAGGAACAGGACUCUCCUGACAGCUUUUUCUCCUUUGCCAUCGACAUCUCUGAGGAUGAAGGCGAGGAAGCAAGUUCUUCUCGAGCGGUUGGAAUCUCAUCGGAAGAGAUUAGAGCAAAGUUGGAAGAUUUGUCGGCUCUCCUUCAUCAAGAUAUGGCCCAAUUGAUUGAUGACUUCGAUCCAGCUAAGGCCUUGUUCAAUGCUCUUAGAGGCCAAAUUCCUGCCGAUGCUGAGGAGAUCCUCUUCAAGGCUGCUCACUUGGAGAGUCGGCAGCUUCAGUAUCAGAAAGCCGCUCAGCGCCUUGCCGAUAGAGCUACUUACGCCCAGCUCUCAGAAGAGAUGAUGAAAGUAAAGCUCCUUGCCGAUGAAAAGCACAAGAGCAUCGGCAUUUUGAAGUCCUCAGGAAACGUAUUGAAGCAAAAGAUCUCUGAUAUAUCGGCACAGAGAGAAGCCCUGUUGGCAGAACUCAAACAAGUAGAAGAAGCUAUGUCCCAAGCUCAACAGGAAGAAAACCAGCUGCCUGAAGCAAUCAAGACUCUUGAAGAGGAGCGAAACAUCCAGGCUCGCAAGGCACUGCAGAUGAAGAAGAAACUGAAGCCAGUGGAGGGUUCUACCGAUGAUGACAUGAAAGAGAUAGAAGAAGCCGAUCAGAUUCAUCUGCGCGCCAUAUCAACGAUCCAAGCUUUGUUAAACAUGUAAACUCUUCAUCGGCGGCAUAUUUUGCUCUUCUCUUUUAAACACUCCUGAUAUUUUGAUCUAGCCGAUAGGACUGUUAUCGGCAUCUCUUAAAACAUCGUACUUAGUCCUAGGCAUAUUUCAAUCCAGCCGAUAGGAGUGUUAUCGACACUAAAACUUUUAUGCAUCGACCCAUACACUUGGGUAAUAUUUCUUUAGAUAUUUGUCAUUCAAUGCUCUAGGGAAUUCAACUCCUUCGAGAGUUUCUAAGAUAUAGGCAUUGCCAGGAGGAGAUCGAUUUAUCCGAUAGGGACCUUCCCAGUUAGGAGACCACUUCCCAAAUUUUGAACUUUUAGUCUCGAUCGGUAAAAUUAGUUUCCAUACUAAGUCUCCAUCGGCAAACUCCUUAGCCUUUACCUUCUUAUCAUACCAUCUGGCAACUCUCUUCUUAUUCUCUUCUAUACUUACUAAAGCCCUUAGUCGAUGCCCUGCUAAAUCAUCCAACUUGUCUGUCAUCAAAGUAGCAUAAUCAUCGGUAGCCAAUUGAUCUUGAAAAGAUAGUCGCCUAGACCCAGUCUUAAUUUCCCAAGGUGACACUGCAUCACGUCCAUACACCAACUGAUAAGGUGAAACUUUGGUCGACCCAUGACAAGCCAUCCGAUAUGACCAUAAAGCUUCAUUCAACAAUGUAUGCCACCUUCUAGGAUUUUCCUCAAUCUUCCGUUUAAUAAGUUUGAUAAUUCCUUUGUUAGAUGCCUCGGCCUGCCCAUUAGCUUGAGCAUAAUAAGGAGAAGAAUUCAACACCUUAAUUCUCAUACCGAUUGCAAACUCAUCAAACUCCUCCGAUGUAAACAUAGUACCCUGAUCGGUAGUAAUUGUUUGAGGAAUACCAAAUCGGUAAAUAAUAUGCUCUUUCACAAAAUCAAUCAUGUUGGCCGAUGUGACAUUCUUCAAAGGAAUAGCUUCAACCCACUUGGUGAAAUAAUCGGUGGCAACCAAGAUAAACUUAUGCCCUUUGCUAGAUGGUGGAUAAAUCUGGCUGAUUAAGUCAAUAGCCCAUCCCCGGAAUGGCCAGGGUUUGAUAAUAGGAUUCAUGGCCGAUGCGGGUGCUCUUUGAACAUUGCCAAAUUUCUGACAUCCUUGACACCCUUUGAAAUACUUAAAACAAUCCUCAAGUAUAGCCGGCCAAUAAUACCCAUUUCUCCUGAUCAUCCACUUCAUCUUAAAUGCCGACUGAUGUGCCCCACAUACUCCUUCAUGGAUUUCUCCCAUUAAACUUUUAGCUUCAUCAUCACCUAAGCAUUUGAGAAGAACUCCAUCAAUUGUUCGAUAAUAUAAUUCAUCUUCGAGGAGCACAUACUUGGUGGCUUGAAACCGAACACGUCUCUCAACUUUCUUGGAUGGAUCCUUCAAAUAAUCAACGAUUUCUUUUCUCCAAUCAUCGGCACUGAUUGCCGAUAACAUGUUAACCAUAGGUUGAUAUCCUGAAGCAUGCUGAGCCAACCGAUUAGCUUCUUCAUUAUGCAACCGAGAAACAUGCUCUAAUCAGAAAUCUUUGAAUUCCUUUAACAGUCGCAUACUCUUUUCAUAAUAAGCUAUCAAGACUUCGCUUCGGCACUCAUAGCUUCCAGCCAAUUGAUUUAUAACCAGCAUAGAAUCCCCGAAGACUUCAACAGCAUCAGCACAGACUUCUCUUAACAAUUCCAACCCCUUGAUUAAAGCUUGAUACUCGGCUUGAUUAUUCGUUGACGUGGCAACAAUCGGCAAGGAGAACUCGUACUUCCUUCCUCGAGGGGAAAUUAACACUAUGCCGAUUCGUGCCCCCCGGUCACACGUGGAUCCAUCAAAGAAGAGCGUCCAAGGUACAAUCUCCAAAGCUUCCACUGCACCACGAUGUUAAGUCACAAAAUCGGCCAUAAUCUGUCCUUUAACCGCUUUAGCCGAUUCGUAAUGCAGAUCGAACUCUGACAGUGCCAAAAUCCACUUACCGAUCCUGCCACUCAUGAUCGGCAUAGAUAGCAUAUACCGGACCACAUCAUCUUUGCAUAUAACAGUGCAUUCGGCCAAUAGUAAAUAGUGCCUCAACUUAAUGCAGGAGAAAUAUAGACACAAACAUAAUUUUUCAAUAGCCGAAUACCUGGUCUCAGCAUCAACCAAUCUUCUACUUAAAUAAUAAAUUACACGAUCCUUCCCUUCAAAUUCUUGCAUUAAAGCUGAACCGAUGACCAUCUCAUCGGUAUAUAAAUAUAAUCUGAAGGGCUUUCCUUGCUGAGGUGGAACCAGAACCGGAGGAUUUAUCAAAUAAUUCUUGAUUUCAUCUAAAGCCAACUGUUGCUCUUUCCCCCAUAUGAAUUCUUGAUCGGCUUUCAACUUAAGUAAAGGACUAAAAGCACGAAUUUUACCAGAUAAAUUGGUGAUAAACCGCCUGAUAAAAUUUACUUUGCCGAUCAGAGAUUGGAGCUCAGUUUUGUUGGUAGGAGCAACUAUUUUGUUGAUAGCAUCAAUGGAUCACCUACUAAUUUCAAUCCCCCUUUGAUGCACCAUGAAACCAAGGAAUUGUCCUGCCGAUACACCAAAUGCACACUUGCUAGGGUUCAUCUUUAAACCAUGCUUCCUUGUGCAUUCCAAAACCUUUCGCAAAUUGGCAAGAUGCUUUGUGAAAUCUCCAGACUUAACAACCACAUCAUCAAUAUAAAUUUUCACCAGUUUGCCGAUGAACUCAUGAAAGAUAAAAUUCAUGGCCCUCUGAUAAGUAGCACCAGCAUUUUUUAAGCCAAAGGUCAUGACUAUCCAUUCAAACAACCCAACAUGACCAGGACAUCUAAAUACAGUCUUUGGAAUAUCCUCUUCAGCCAUGAAUAUUUGAUUAUACCCUGCAUUGCCAUCCAUAAAGCUUAUGAUCCGAUGCCCAGCCGCAGCAUCAACCAGUAGAUCGGCAACUGGCAUUGGGUAACCAUCCAUCAACGUAGCUUUAUUAAGAUUCCUGAAAUCAAUGCAAACCCGAAGCUUCCCAUUUUUCUUGUAAACUGGAACAACAUUAGAAAUCCAUUCGGCAUACCGACACUGCCGAAUAAAUUUAGCUUCGAUAAGUUUGGUUAUUUCGGCCUUACUAUCAGGAAGAAUAUUAGGAUUACAUCGGCGAGCUGGCUGUUGAUGUGGCCGAAAUCCAGACUUGAUGGGUAACCGAUGUUCAACAAUCGAUCGGUCUAAACCAGGCAUCUCAGUAUAAUCCCAAGCAAAGCAAUCUUUAUAUUCCUUUAACAAAUCGGUUAAAUGCUACUUACACUCAGAAUCUAACACUAAUAAAAGUGGUCUAGGCUUAUCACCACUACCUAUAUCUACCUCUACAAAAUCAUCAGCCGAUGUGAAUCCUUGACCUAAUUUUCCAUCAUCGGCGAAUCUAUCCAUUAAAACUCCUCAUCAGUACCGACUACUUGGAUCGGUGGAAUUUCAUAAUCGGCAACUUUGAGGAAAUCCUUCUCCUAAAUUUCUCCCGAGAUACACCUAGUCCUCUCAUAGGUAUCCUCCUCUACCGAUGCGAUGACAUAGGAAGAAUCUCCCGGGACAAUCUCAAUCUUGUCACCUACCCACUGAACCAAGCACUGGUGCAUUGUAGAUGGGAUGCAACAAUUGACAUGAAUCCAGUCUCUCCCUAGUAGCAAAUUAUAAGCACCUUUUCCACUGAUCAUAAAGAAGGUGGUCGGCAAGAUUUUGCUGCCGAUGGUCAACUCGACACAGAUUGCCCCCUUAACCGGAGACACAUUUCCUUCAAAGUCUUUUAGCAUCAUAUCGGUCUUGGUCAGAUCUUGAUCUCCUUUUCCAAGCUUCCGAUAGACUGCAUACGGCAUGAUGUUCAUAGCAGCCCCACCAUCAAUUAAUAUCUUGGUCAUUGGCUGACCAUCAACUUUUCCUUUGACAAACAGAACUUUAAGAUGGUGCCUUUCAUUGUCGCCAGGCUUUUCAAAGAUAGCUGUCAUCGGAUCCAGAGCCAACUAAGCUAUCUGGUCGGAAAACUCCAACUCCUUAUCAUCACUGGAUGGUGCAAGGAACUCCAUCGGCAACAUAAAUACCAUGUUAACAUCUGCCGAUGGCCCUUCCCCCUUAGAUCCGGUUGUUGCUGAUCCCCAAACUGGCCAGAGUUCUCGCCCUUGCUUAGCUCUUCUCGUCUUUCGUGCUGUAGCCUCCUCUUCUGUGUCCUAGUCAACCCCUCUGGACACCAUGGGGGAAGUUGUGACUGCCUUGCCGAUGGGCGACAACUUUCCCUUGACUCCAUCCGAUAAAUAUUAGCGUCUCUACAAAAUAUGAACUCAUCGGGAACUCGUGCAUUGGCCAUUUCUUCAAGUUCAUCCUGGUUCCUGGGAAAAUAUUCAACACGAUCACCAAGCCUAUCGUGUACACUGAGUCUGCCCCCAGCCGAUCAUGAACUGACGCUCUCUCCCUAAUCGGCCCAUUAAAUCACCGAUCAUCAUUGUGAUAGCACCGAUCGGAUCUGUCACAUCGAUCAUAACCAUUGCAUUCACGGCAAUCUCUAACAAUGGGUAAUUUAAUGUUCUGCUCCCAGCAAUAGAUAAAGAACGGGCAGUUCCAGUGAUCCUUGUGCCGAUUCCACUCCUGUCGGCGCCUUUCUCCUUCCCGACGAUAAUCUUCUUGCUGGCGCCGAUACCGAUCUUCAUGUUGCUGCCAAGUCUCCCGAGGCCUUCUAUGAGUUAUCACAAUACCGGAUCGAGGAGGCCUCCCUGAGCUAUUUCCUUCCUGGAUCAAACCCUUUCCUUUAGCAUCGGCAGCAGUAAUUUGAUGCUGAGGAUCUACCGAUGCACUCCUUUCAACUGCUUCCGACGUCAAAACCUUGGUCUUUCCCUUAGCAUCCAACAUAUUUGUUGGGAAAGGAGGUUGAUCAAUCUUCAUCGGCUUCUGCGCUUUAGAACCAUCAAACUUGAUUCUCCCAGAUUCUAUAGCCGAUUGCAGCUGUUGUCUGAAAACCUUGCACUCAUUGGUGCUGUGAGAAGUUGCGUUGUGCCACUUGCAAUAUUUCAUCUUCUUUAAUUCCUCAGCCGAUGGAAUCACAUGAUUGAGUGACAAUUUGAUUUGCCCUUCCUGAAAUAGAAAGUCAAAUAUCCUAUCGGCCUUAGUAAUGUCGAAUGCAAACUUCUCUGGCUCCUUAUGCACAAAAGGGCAAGACAUCGGCUUUUUAUUUUUCACCCACUCUGCUAAUCCGAUGACUGGCUCCUCAUCAGAAUCCGAGCUUGCUGCUUCAUCGACAAAGGACACCUUUUUGUUCCAUGCUCUCUUGGGUUCAAAGGGUUUGAUAUCCUGGUCGGAAAUCCUCUGCACCAAGUGACUUAAGCUCUCGAACUCUUGAGAAGCAUACUUGUCUCUGAUAUGUGGCAACAAACCCUGGAAAGCCAAAUCGGCCAGCUGCCGAUCAUCCAGAACCAGGCUAUAACAUUUAUUCUUGACUUCCCGCAACCUCUGCACAAAGCUUUCAACCGAUUCAUCAUUGCGCUGUUUCAACCUGACUAAAUCGGUAAUCUUCUUCUCAUGGACUCCAGAAAAGAAGUAUUUGUGGAAUUGCUUCUCCAGAUCGGCCCAAGUUAUCACUGAGUUAGGAGGUAACCAUAUAAACCAAGUGAAUGCCGAUCCAGACAACGAUGACGAGAACAAUCGAACCCUUAAUUUGUCUCUGUUAGCAGCUUCCCCACAUUGAAUGAUGAACCUGUUGACAUGCUCCAUGGUCGAUGUAUCAUCCUGUCCAGAAAACUUAGUGAAAUCCGGUACCUUGUACCGAUUUGGAAGCGGGAUUAAAUCAUAUGCAGGAGGAUACAGUGUCCGAUAAGAGUAAGUGUUGACUGUGGGUUUUAUCCCAAAUUGUUCCCUCAUUACUUCAGCAAUCUUAUCGGCCCAAUAAGCAUCGGUAUCUUGCUGAUGAGGUGGUUGCGGAUCUGGCACUUGUUGAUAUGCUUCCACGUGUCUCUGAUGUGCAUGAUUCGCAUGGAACAUGGGGUUGAUCAUCUGACCACCAGCCUGUUGACCAAGAUUCAUCGGCUGGUUAACCAAUCCUUGAUUUUGAAAACCAGGUUGAACUUGUCCUUGUUGGAACCCUACAGCCUGAUGAUUCUACUGAGGCAUUUGUGGAAAGACUAAUUGCCCCGUCCAUCCACUGUUAGCAUUCAUCGGCAUGAACCCUGCCGAUGGCUGAAGAUUGGGCAUCAUCAUUGGAUUGACAUACCCUGGCUGUGUCAUAAACCUCUGCUGCGUCGGCAUUGAGUCUGCCGAUGCGUUAGGCAUCUGGAAUGUUGGAGCUUGAGAAUUCCCAGUGUAAGGUCUUGCAGUAGUAGUUGUAGUAUACUGGGGACUCUGAUUCAUCGACAAAUUUGGAGGUGCCGAUGCCAUAGGAGCCUUGCCUCUCGUGUCAGCCGUCUGAGAUGUUCCAGGAGUCUUCAACAUCAUCUCUAGGGGCAUACCAUAACCCCACCAGUUGGGAGGAAUGGACCCCGACAUUGCCGAUGCCAAUAGAUUUAUGGCAAGCUUGAUUUGCUCAUCUGAAGUUGAUGGAUUGGUCGUCAUCGGCGUAGAUUGCACAUUAGUGAGUCCUAGUGUGCUUGGAGGAGCAGUAGCUUCUGUGCCCGCAGCGGCCGUAGUAGCCGAUGGAGCUGUGACAACUGGUGAUCCUAGCAGAUGAUAGACAGGGCCCAUAUAGUUUGGUGGCAAUUGUCCCUCUUUGAAAGUUCUAGCCACGGUAUUGAAAACCGUAUUGGACAGCACACCAGCUUGAUUGAUCAAGGCACGAUUAAUAGUACUAUCAACCAUGUCUUGAAGUUUACCGGGAUUGGCUUCAAAAGUAACCUGCCGAGGCGCCGGUAGUGCCUCCUUCUGGAUCACCUCGCCACUCUUGUUGAUACUAAAGGAUUUCAAACAUUGUUGCUUGUAAUCCUCCAUGGCUUUUACAAUAGCUUGCUUCUGCUCAUCUCUAAGAUUGGCUUCCGUCACGGGGAUGACGUUCUCCAAGUCGAAAUCGGUGUUCGACAUGUUGAUCUUGAUCUUGAAUCUUGUCCCACUGGCGUUCCAAAAGAUGUGUUGAUGCAAACUGAUCUGCAAACACAAAUGGCUAAUACCCAAUUCAAACGUUAAGGCAUGCCAGCCGAUUUGACCUUACUAUCGGCAAAGAUGAUAACUCGAAUACUUUGGUCCCGACAACAGCGAUGCGUCCGGAUGUCACGGCCAAGAGGUAUUCACGUGAAACUCGAGAAUACGCCGAGCUUAAGUCGACGAAUUUCUAAGAACUCGUAGUAAAAAGGAAAAUAUGACGAAGUCGUCGGAAAAGUAGGUACUGAAAUAUGAUAUGAGUAAAAACUUGUGUUUGAUUGAUUGAUUAGAUCUUCAUUACAAGGCCCUAGGGUCUACAUUUAUACCCUGCUCAAAGAGCUACAAUCAGACACGACUAAGACUCAAAUUCCAAAUUAAACAGAAUCCGUAUACAAAACGAAUUUAAAUAACUAAAGAAAACAUAAAACUAUCCCCUUUAACCGACCGAGACACCGCCACAGAUCAAUCGGCAACCUCCACGCUUUCCUUUCGAGUCACUGGCAGACUUCCUGUUAUGGCCAUCGGCAAACACUGAUAUUGAUCAUCGGUAAGAACACGUUACCACCUCUGGACUUAGCCACAUCCAAUCGUCACUUCAUCGGCAACUACCCUCAUCGACAACUUUUCUGCAGACUAGUUACCGUUGCUCCACCUGCCGAUCUAUACUUUACUGAUCCCUGGGUAUGUGUCUAAAAACGGUGUCAACACAUUCUCUCAUCUAAGAUUGCACUUUCACUCUAUUUAUAUAGUCACUCAAUUUAUAUGAGUUUAUUUAUAGUAUGAGCUUAUAAAGAAUGCAAAAUCUAUCCCGCGAACCGUCGCAUCAUAGUGCAAUGACGCGCUCUUGCUCCCAUGCUCUCCCUCUCUUCUUCUCCAACUCCGAUAGGCUUAGAAGGGGCUCAGGGGAGACAGGCUGGCCCGAUGAUAGUGACGAGAGAGAUGUUGACGAGGCAAAGGCGGUUGGGAAGAGUAAGGGUGGGGCAACCUUAGCCAUAGCGGCAACACAAGAAGGGGGAAAGAAAGAGAGCAGCGGGUGCGAUAGGGUCGCACUAGAGCUCCAUAGAUGCAACUAUGCCUCUGGAGCUCCGACGAAAUUCUACCGUGCUGCGGCGGGGCAGCAGGUGGAGACGGUGAUGGGGUGGCACGCCUACUCUUUGUGUGACCCAUGGCGCCUUGUGUGCCCCCAUAGAGAAGCUAGAGGACGAGGGAGAGCACUGGGGAGGAAAGGAACAGGAAUUCCUUUGAGGAAAUCACACGCGGCUAGCCGGUCCGAAAUAGCUGAAUCCCUGUGUUGAUCAGGGGUAGAGAAGGAAAGAAGAAAAACAAGCGCCGGAGUCUGCACACAACCAGACAUCCUCUCCUCACUCCGGCCAGGAAGAGCAGGAAACCUCGCAGAUCCGCGCCCCGUCCGCUCACAGGUUCACCGCAUCCCCGCCACUACCGUUUCCACUGCCGGCUCCAUUCGCUCCACCAAUCCCUGCUCAAGCCGCUCCAGCUGAGAGACGGAGAGCCCUGCGGGAAGGCGAGACGAGGGGGAGGUCCAAACCCUAGCCGUAGAUUGCGGGCUCCUCCUCCUCCUCGCCGCCGCCGGCGGGGAUGGAGAUGGUGGUGGCGGCGCCGGAGCUCCCCGCCGAGGUGGAGAGGGCUCUCAUCCGGGACAUAACCGUCGCGGCUGAUGCCCACGCUAAGGAGGGCGACACCUUCUUCCUCAUCACCACCAGGUCCACUAUCAUGCCUCUCCGUUCGCCGUUUCCCUGCUUCCCAUCCCUGUCGAUCUACUCCCUGAUUCAAUCACCGUUCGCGCUGCCACGCUUGGAAUGGUCCUGCGUGGCGCAAGGUCUUUUUUUCCCCUUCUUGCUGGUGUUGUUCGUCGGUGGAGGAACAUGCUUCGGCGCCGCCGGCGAGGUGUCGCGGCGAGGUUGCGCCUCGGCGUUGGCAUCGGAGGUGGGUUUAAUGCGUGCCGGUUUAUGUGUUCCUCUCUGCUUAAGGAUUUGCCGGCCUUUCCUCUUCUGAAGCGCUGUAGUCUUACCUGUUGAGUGCGCUCCUCUUGACGCCGAUGGCAUGUGCUCCUCUGCUUUGCAAACAGGAUUGGACAGCCAUGGUGUGUGGCACAAGAGAUUUUUUUUUUCAGCUGUGUAAGUUCUAGAGACUGUUAUGUCAGGCAUUUUGGACCAGUUGUGAUUUAGGACCUUUGAGGUUUGAGCAUUCUACUGCUCCUAUAUUCGGUCUUUGAGAUGCUUUGAACAUUUUAGGACAUUUAAGGGCCCCUUUGGUAGCCCUCUUCCUCCGCUCCUGCCGCUCCGCUCCACGCUUCCCUCUGCUCCAGCUCUGCCCGCUCCCACUUGAAAAAGGUACCGUUUGGCAGCACUUUGUUGUUGUCUCCGGCUUCAGCUCCGGCGCAGACGGAGAGGCAUGGCGCGAAGGAGCGGUGGUUUUUUUUUUUUUCUUUUUUUUGGGGGGGGGGGGGGGGGGGCAUAAAAGGACCCCAACGGGCCCCGCGGUGACUUGGCCUCCUUCACCAAUGGCGGAGAGCAGUGGUGAAGCAUGGCCCAUGAAUUAGAGGGGGCUAAAUUGCUUCCUUCAGCAUCAAAUCAUGGUGAGAUGUUAAAUAGACAUGUAGUUUAGACUUCGAGGGAUUUAUGAGUCAUUGAAUUUCUGUCAAGCACGGGGGGGGGGGCAGUUUAGCCUCCACUACCCUCCGCCCCUGGCGGAGAGGGUGCGACGGGGAGAAGGGCAGCGCAGAGGAGAGGGCCGGCUGGAGAAGGUCUGCGGAUGGUGCGUCGGCAGCGCGGGCGAAGAUGAAGACACGGUCACACAAGUGGAGGAGUGUGUGGACGGCUAGAUUGGCGCAGUUGCGUGGACUCCCCACCUGCAGUGCAAAAGGGAGGGAGCCGGAGGAGCGCUUCCUUGAGGAAGCAGUGCGGUGCGGUGGCCUUUGGCAGCGCUCCCCGGAUUCUCGCGUGGAGCGGAGCGGGAGAAGCGCUGCCAAAGGGGCCCUAAAAGUAUUCCCUGUUUCCCUCUGGUAAUUUAAAGAAGACGUUUAAGGCUGCCUAAUUAGCCCACAUGCAAUUCAAUUUGGUUGUCCUUAAAGUUAUUCUUUGAUGAGAAGGAUGACAGAAGGGAGUAAUUUCACAAGAUCUGUAUUAAAUUAAGUUUUUUGGUAUGAUCGUGCAUACUCAUGGAUCGUUGCAGUAUGUAGGCUGUGGAUUCAACUUGAAAGUAUCACCAUUUUUGUCGUGUUAUGAUCAUAAUAAUAUUCGAAUGACGUUGUAAGAUAAGGUAUCACACCUAGUAGGAUAUGCCUAAUAUGAGAUAUAAGAUGUAUUAAAGCUUCUGGUAUUUUUAAUUUGGACCUGGAAUGUUUUUCUCUUUUCUAUUGAAUUGCAUGUUUUACAGGUCCGCAUAUGGUGCUGAUGAGCAUCAUGGAAAUGUCUGUUUUAGAAGGUUUCUUCAGAAAUACAUAUUCGUACUAUGUUAUUUUAUUCUUCUCUGUCAGUUUCUUCAGUUGUUUACUCUCAGUUCGGAUUAUAAAUGCAAAUCUUCUUUUUUUGGCUCAAUAGGUGGUGGCAAAGUUGGAUUGAUUACCUCAUUCAAGAUUUGACUGGUGCAACAAGUAAUGGUUAUCAUCAUCAUGACUUUGGUUCAAAGACUCCUAGAAGGCCAGGAGCUAUUGACAAUACCGAUUUAAUUGAUGAUGCGUCAUUUGAAGUCUCCAAUACGGAGAUUGAGAUACAUGAUAACUUGGUUGAGGGUCGGGAUUACAUACUGGUUCCUCAGCAAGUUUGGGAAAAGUUGCAUGGUUGGUAAGUCAUCUCUAUACUGUGCAAUAUGAUCAUCAAAAGAAUAAUCCUCUCUGGAUCUAUCACUUUUCAAAUGCCUCUAUGCACCUAAGUGCAGUGGCUUCUUGUCUUUGAUAGUUUCUACAUAGCUUAAUCAUUCUACUUAUGCUGACCUGUCUACCUUAUGAUUCCUUGCCGUUUCUGUGGAAUAUGGAUAACUGUCUUUCAAGGCGGUUCUAGUUCACAUACUCUAUUACUGUAAAUUGAUAUAUUCACUUUCCUGAACAUACUGAAUAAAACAUCAAUCCUAGCCAAUUUUAUUAAAUAUUCUUUACAGUUUGCGUUGGUAUUUGCCAAAUACAUCACUUCUUCAAAUGAUUAUAUAUGAAGAAAGUAGCACAAAAAAUCAGUAGCCUUUGGUCUUAAAAUGAACUAAGGCACAAACUGUGGUGUUGUUUAAUCCCCAGAUGCUUUGCCUUGACUUUCAAGUAAAACCCCAAAAUUAAUACAUGGAAGAAAGUUGAUGCUACUAUGUUAUGAAUUCAAGUUAAGAAGCUGAGAGACUUUUCACAAACAUGGUUCACUUAUUUGUGUUCCGUAUGUGAGAAGCUGUGACAUCGUCCAUCAACAAGAAACAACCACACAGCUUUUGAUUUGGUGUUUGGAAUCUUAUUCUCAUUAUUACACAAAAUGCGUUAACAGGUAUGGUGGAGGACCAACAUUACCAAGAAAGGCAAUCAAUACUGGCUUUUCUCAAACUGAUUUGGCCAUAGAAGUUUAUCCUCUACGACUGCAGUUAAUUCUAAUGUCAAGAGAAGAGCGAACCUUUAUAAGGAUAAGCAAGAAGGUAUGCUCUCAUCUCUUUAGCCAUUGUUGAGCACAUUGUCCUUUCUUUUAGUUUGUAUUUCAAUAAAUUGAAUAGAUUGGACAGAAUUAUGUAAACCUAUGAUGCCACUUUGUGAGUAUAACCUUCUGUUGAAGUCUUUUAAUGUCUCUAAUAGCUUCAAUAAAGUUGGAAUAACUGAAAAGUUAAAAAUCAUCAUGAACCUUUUUCAGGAUACAGUUGGCCAACUCCAUAAAAGGGCUUGUAAGGUUUUUGACUUGGUACCAGCUGAGGUAGUUGUUUAUUUUGAUGUUACAUUGUUACUUGCAAGGAUUUUUUUCAUAGUUAUUGUGGCCAUCAUUGGCAGGUAUGCAUUUGGGACUAUUAUGGUCGAACAAAGCAUUCAUUGAUGGAUAGCCUGGACAAAACCCUUGAUGAUUCCAACAUUCAGAUGGAUCAAGACGUGAGUCAAAUCUUCUAUAAUAAUUGAGAAGCAUUCCCCCACUGCCACCCCCACCCCAGUAUCAAACUAUAUUUGUAGAACAGAUGCACUACUAGUUAAUGGCUGUUGUCAAGUAAAUGAUAUGACUGUAUACUUUUAUAUUGUUUUCACAGAUUCUAGUUGAGGUUACCACUGAUGCCAAUGGUAGUCUGGAUGGUUUGGUUAAAAGAAACAAUUUUUUUGAGAGAGAGUCGACUUCUCUGAUUACUGAUGCUCUGAAAUCAGGAUUGCCAAAUGAGAAUUUUGCAGCCAACAGCUAUGCUUCUAGAAGCUAUAACUCUAGUCUGACACCAAGCCUCUACCUGCGAUCAACCAAUGGUGAUCUGGAUAAUGUGCAUGGUUCUAGUGGCAUGAGCACGAGGGGAUCACCCUUAGGUCUUACAGGGCUACUUAAUCUUGGAAAUACAUGCUAUAUGAACAGUGCCAUACAGUGUCUUGUGCACACGCCACAGUUUACUAGAUAUUUUUGUGAAGAUUAUCAUCGUGAAAUAAAUCGGCAAAAUCCGCUGGGUAAUGUGGUAAGUACUCUUUUGACUCACAUGUCCUGGAGGCCUUGAUGCUUCAAGAUAAAGUCAUUUUGGUAGAGAAUAUGAUGUUAUUCCAUUAUAUUCGUUUGGAUAACUUUUUUUUCAUCAUGAUAUUAUUCAUAGCAGCCAACCAAAUUUCAGUUUAGUUGUCUCCCAUUAUUCCUGACAUGCAACAAGUACUAAGAGAUGCCAGACCCUUCAUUUCCAAAAUCUGUAGCUUUUGGUUUUGGUAACAUUUUCCACAUGUACAAUAUCUUCUCUUAAGUGUAGUAUAUGUAUUCAAUUCUUGAUUAAGUUUCUAGUUCAGAUUUAUGAUCUUGCCAUUCUAAAGUCUUGUCAGUUUUUCUUUAGUUUGGUAAGAUAAGUAAAAAAUCUUAUGUUUGUUGACCUUGACAUACAAAGAAAUUUAUGUUGUUACUAUCACGUACUGGCAUGUGAUUAUUCCGAGCAUUUGUGUGGACAUUUUCUACAGCUAUAAUGUAUUUUAAUUUUAAUCAUGCAAAAACAAUUGAAAAAAACUGGUUGCCAUACUGCCCUUUUCUGGUUUCAUUUUCUCGAGCAUCCUGCAUGUUAAUUGUACUAAGUUCUGAUGGUAGUCAUGUAGGGUGAACUUGCACUAGCUUUUGGUGAGCUACUGAGAAAACUCUGGGCUCCUGGAGGACGUGCCCCAGUUUCGCCUAGACCAUUCAAAACGAAGCUUUCUCGGUUUGCAUCUCAGUUCAGUGGAUACAACCAGCAUGAUUCACAGGUUUGAUUGUCUCUUUAGAAUGAUGUUCUAUCAUAUGUUAUAUUUAUGCACAGUGGGUCCCUAAACUUUUUCCGCAUUCUCAUCUGGGUACAUGAACUCCCAAAGUGAUCAUGUGGGUCCUUCAACUUUUCGUGUGGUUGAUUCUAAGUUCAGUAAUCAUGGACCUAAAUUCACACAUCGAAUGGACCACUUGAAAAAGGAUGGAUGAUCACUUUGAGAGUUCUGCCUUCAUGGACCUAGAUGAGAAUGUGAGAAAAUUUGAAGGAUCCAUGGUGCAUUUCACUUUAUUGAGUUUUUUUUUUUAAUUUUUUUUCCUGAAUCUGUAUUUUGGUAAAAUACUGCAGGAGCUGUUGGCAUUCCUCUUGGAUGGACUCCAUGAGGAUUUGAAUCGCGUGAAGCAUAGACCUUACAUAAACUCGGGAGAUGCUGAUGGAAGAUCAGAUGAAGAAGUUGCAGAUGAAUAUUGGGCAAAUCAUAUUGCUAGAAACAAUUCAAUCAUUGUUGAUGUAUGCCAGGUUAGUUCUACACCUGUGAAUCAAUUCACUUACUGUUGUGAUGCUUUGGCUCUACAUAAAUGCUAAUAACCAUUGCGAUUUGGGACCAUCAUGUUCCUCUUGCUGGGUAUUGGAAUAAAAUGAUCCUUUGACAUCAUAGUUCUGAGUGUGCAUGUAAGCAAUGAUUUCAGGUCGACUGGUCGAAGCUGGUCGCUCUAGGACCGACCAGGCGAUUAAUCGAGAUUAAUCGUCGACCAGGGCGAUUAAUCGCCCUGGUCGACCCUGGUCGUCCACCUGGUCGUCCAGCUAUUUCAGGGCAUAUAUGCCUAUAUAUAUACCUCUAUAUAUACUAUAUAAUAUACACAAUCAAGCUAGCAUCAAGACUACAUUAGUGUUUAGAUAGUGAAUUACUUGUGGGAGUUGGUUUCUUCUCUUUUCUGCACUGUCCAGAGGUCCAUAUUGUUGUCCCAAACUCCCCCUGCAGCCCCUCUAUUCUAUCUAAACCCUAACAGGCCAAAAACUUAAAGCCCAUUAGCCCAGUCCCAGUUAGAAAAGGCCCAAAAAAACAGAAGCCUGGUCGUCCAUCUUACCUGGUCGUCCGAUUAAUCGCGAUUAAUCGACGAUUAAUCGGACGACCAGCUUUCUGGUCGAACUAAUCGAGUCGGACCUCCUAAUCGAAUCCUAGGAGCGACCUGGACGAUUAAUCGCGAUUAAUCGGAUGACCUGAAAUCAUUGCAUGUAAGCACCUCUAGCAGUUUCAGGUAUUUACUGUAUGUAAUGUAAAGACCUUUCUGUGACCUUCCUGUUGUGAUUAGAUGUGCAGAUGUGCUACCUCAUUACAUGUGGAGCUGGAUACAUGUUAUUUUUUUAUGCUGAAGGAUUAGCUUUGUUAGACUUACUCUCUCCUUCCCAAAUAGAUGACCUUAUAGCAUUCAAAUUUUGUCCCAAAAUACUUGACCUUCUCACUUUCCGUAGCACCUUUCUCUUUUCCCUAUACACAUUUCUCUUUUCCCAAUACAUCUCUAUCUCUGCUCCUUGAGGGGCAUUUUGGUCUUUUGGCUUCAGCGUUGGUUUCUGUGGGAGAUUCUAAAAUGUCUUCUAAUAUGGGGUGGAAGGAGUAUAUUCUAUCUGUAUAUGUACUCUCCAGUGUAGGGUGUUUCUUACGGUGUGUAUAAAGUCUUGCACAUCUUCCCUACAGAUACUGCGGUACAUUGGAGGCACAUACUUGUCACAAUACACAUAAUAAUGCUUGUUGCAUGCAUGACAUAUUUUUGGCUCAUGAUUUAAUUCUCUUCCUAAUUAUUCUAAGAAAGAUGUUGUACUAACAUUUCCUUUUAUUAUGUUUUUCCAGGGGCAGUACAAGUCCACUUUGGUUUGCCCAGUCUGUGGGAAGGUUUCAGUGACUUUCGACCCGUUCAUGUAUCUUUCCUUACCCUUACAAUUUGCCUCAACCCGGAGCGUGACCGCCGUGGUAUUUUCUUGUGAUGGUAGUGUUCCACCAACACCAUUCACUGUAAAUGUACCGAAGCAAGGUAGGUGCAGAGAUCUAUUACAAGCCCUUGGCACUGCAUGCUCACUUAAAAAUGGGGAGAAACUUCUAAUUGCUGAGGUUCGUCAUUAGUGCUCACUUGAAUUAAUGUACAGGUUGGCAGGUUUGAUGAUUGUGUCCCUAAAACAUUUUUGUUGAAUUUAUCUACAGAUACGGAAUCAUAAGAUCUACCGAUUUAUUGAUGAUCCAGUGCUUCAGCUGUCUACAAUAAGUGAUGAUGAUCAUCUGGCAGUUUAUAAGCUCCCAAAGUUGGAAAAGAGGGUGAAUUACAUUCAGUUUGUGCAUCGUCAUGAAGACUUGUAAGGAAAAAAAAAGCAACAGACACUGAUAUAUGGUUAUCUUCUUGCUAGAAUUACAGCUGUAGUGGUCAUCUUGGUUUGUAAUUGAAGUAAACCCAACAUGUGUCAUGUCAAUAUGCUAUUUACAUGAUUAACACAAAUACUUCUUGCACCAUCUUCUGAUAAUAUUAUCAUUUGCUAUUGGUAGGGACCAUGGAAACACUAACACCUUGACAUCUUGGAAACCCUAUGGUGUUCCUCUUCUUGCACAAAUAUCUCGCAAUGAAAUUGUCACGGGUUUGGAUAUCCAUGAGUUGGUCCAUAAAAUGCUUGUGCCCAUGCUAAGGAAUCAGGACUUUAUGCGUUUGGUUGUUCAAAGUUCUGUUUCCACGAGAACUCACAGUUAUCAUACUGACAGCAGCAAAUUUCAGCUUCAGUUGAUUGAUGAUAGCAACACAGUCAUUGAAAAAUCAAAUGAUGCUAUCAGGGUCCCACAAUCUUCACUCGCAACUGUAUUUUUUAUCAAUUGGCUCAAGGAAGAUCUGAAAAAGAUUGACACUCAUCAUUUAGAGUACCUCCCAGAGGUGUUUAUGUAUGGUCCUCCUGCUAAGAGAACCCGUGGUGAAGCUCUCUCACUCUAUGCAUGCUUGGAUGCUUUUUUGAGAGAAGAACCUCUUGUACCUGAAGACAUGUGGUUAGUUUUCAUUUCCGCAUUCUAAGAUACAUUUGCACUUGCAAAAAAUGAUAAUUACUUAAUUGGUGCAUACUUUCCAUUUUGGUCGGUACACUGGUACUUGACGCUUGCUUAGACACUUUGAGUGGUUAUAAGGAUGAAACUGGAUUGGAUAUUAUGGAUACCAAAUAUGGGUAGCUGUAUCUUUUUUGGGAUUCGGAGUCGGAUUCAGAUAGUGUCAGAUGCAUCAAAUAUUAAUGUCUAUUCCAUAUAUAUAUAUUGGAAAUCCAACUUUGACUAUUCAGUUUCGGAUAUGGUACGGAUAUUAAAUGUCUGGAUUCUUAUAUGGAUUGCCCAUGUGGUCUUUAAAUCCUUUCGGGACAGAUGGAAAUCUGGAAUAUCCAUCCUGUUUUCAUCCCUAGUGGUUACUCUGUUGGUUGCACUGGCACUUUAGUUAUAACUACAUAAACAUACCUUAUGAGUUUGUUUUGUUAUAUUUUCAAAAUUUGUGGAUCCUUUUAGUAGCUGUAACAAUUGAGGCCCAUAAAAAUAUAUUUGUUGAUGGGGUUCUCUCUCUCUCUCUCUCUCUCUCUCAAAUUUUAUUGGACAGUCCCCUGUGGAUCAUCUGGUCCAUUUUUGUGGGCAUAUCAACUUUUCAAUUUUUGAUCUGAAACAUGUACAAUGUGUAAUGCGCCCAUGAUUAUUUUGUUCGCUCAAAACAGUUGCAUGUGAUCACCCACAUUAACCAUCAUUUCUUAAUUUGCAACCAAAUAGAGCCUCUUUUGAAUCAUAUGGUUUCCCUUCCUUGGAUUUUGGUAAAAAUCAGUUUAAAAUUUGUAGGCACUUUAAUAAUGUUUCUUCCUUAUAUCUAUAGCCUUCAUUUCUAUGGUGUUUAGUGAUGAAGUUAUUAUGCUGUUCUUUUAGGUACUGUCCAAGGUGCAAAGAGCAAAGACAAGCUAGCAAAAAGUUGGAUUUGUGGAGACUUCCAGAAGUGCUAGUCAUACAUCUAAAGAGAUUUUCAUUUAGUAGGUCAACAAAACAAAAACUAGAAACUUUUGUUAAUUUUCCAAUACAUGACUUGGAUUUGACAAAUUACAUUGCCAACAAGAAGAGUUCAGAGCGCCAGAUCUAUGAGUUGUAUGCUGUGAGCAAUCAUUAUGGCAACAUGGCAAGUGGACAUUAUACUGCACACAUUAAGGUACAUUUCUUACCAAACUUAUUAUUACAGCUUCUCUGCUAAAAAAAAGAGUGAUUCUGAAGUCCUAUGGCUUUCUGUAGCCUUUUGGUUCUCUAUUCAGUUUUGCUGUUUUUGCAUGUUCUUAUGGCUUUUGUAAUUUUAUAUUGUAUCUUCUGCCCCACAAUUUCAUUGCAAUUCAGUCUGCAAUCUACCCUGCUUUGAGUACAAGGCUUGCCAAACAGUUAGGUUGCGAUUGGUGCUUGCAUUAGACUUUAUGCAGCACUCCCCAAGCCAGCGUAAUUGUAUGGUCUUCCUGUUUGGUUGUCCUGCACAGGCAAGCUGCAUUUGGUCAAAUUGUGUUUCAUUGUCUUGCAUGUAGUUACCUCCAUGUUCUAGUAGAGGUCUCAUGUUUCUAGUAGAGGUAGGGGAGGUCUUUUUUUUUUGGCUCCAUCGACCUAUGCACAUUGCCUAAUACAAUCCAAUUUGUUGUACUAGCUACUGCUGCAUUAGGUUUGCUUUGAACAAUGCGCAAUUCUGCAUAAGAGCCUCACAAGCCUGGAUACAGGCUAAUGUACCCAACCAAACAGCUGCAAUAGUUAUGUUUUCUUUGUGAAGUGUGUUGAUAAUUCCUUGAUUUGUGCAGUACCACUGUGCUUUUGAAUCCUCAUUGAUGCUUCCCUGUGUAGUAUAGAAUGCUGAUGGGAAUUUCUCUUUAUGCAGCUUGUCGAUGAAAAUCGGUGGUACAAUUUCGAUGAUAGCCAUGUUGCUUCCAUUGAUGAAGACGAGGUGAAGACUGCUGCAGCUUAUGUACUAUUCUAUAGAAGAGUCAGAGAACAAGAUAGAGCAAGGGGAACUAGUAAUGGAUCUCACUUAUAUGCAAAGAGAAGCCAUGGAUAUAGCCAUAGGUAGACUAAUUCAUUGCUGUGGUUUGGUGCAAGGGGAUUCCAGAAAUGACACCUGCAGGCCUUUAGUUACUGCCAGGAGUAUAUGGCUCGACUCUACUGCAGCUGGGAAAAUGCACCAUUCUCCAGUUGAGACAGAAGAUUAUUGCAUAGUUCAUCUGCAGUGCUGGUGCAAGAUGGGAAUUUUGUAUAAGGUGGAUUGAAGGAGUAAUUGACUCUUUUCUUAUGAUAAUUGGGUAGCUUCAACAGGAACACCAGGGAUUGGUGGCAUUUUGGUGAUCUGUUUUCUUCUAGAAGAGAGACAAGGGGAAGCAAGCAAACAUUUAGGAACACCUUUUCUUUAAUUUAAUUAUUUCCAUUUCAGGUUUUUAAAAAAAUCCAUUAACGUUUUUAGAUUAGCUAGCCUGUACACAACUGUUGUUGGAAAUGGGUCAGCUGGUGUUGGUCGAUGCUUGUGGUGGCCAACAAUACCAUACCCAACUAUACCAGAGACUGCAGUGGCGAAUGCACCUUUGACAAUGUCGGUGCACAUUAUAAUGCUGUGUUGUUGCGGGAAGAAUUGUAGCUCAUGUUGUACUUAUAUUAGUGGCAAAAGGCCUCACAAAUGUAAAAAUGUAUCGUUGUGCUGACAUGUUAAACCUUAUUUUGGAUUCUUGCUUUUUUCCUAUUGACGAAGGCGUGCGCCAUUUAAUAGUCAACCGCAACCCACUUGAGAGUGGGGGUAGAAUUGUUUCUGUUUGUAUAAAUGUGGUGUUAAAUAUUUUUUUCUUGUGUUAGUAAGCUUACCGGAUCCUAGAUAUGAAAUUGCAAAUGGAUUUAUCAGACCUGCCCGCAAAGGGCACACCAUCUGUGCAUACUUCUCGGCCUUGUAAUCCUGUCUUGAUUUUGGGAGAAACCCAAGGUUGUGUUAGGCCUUGUUUAGUUUCAAAAAAAUUUGCAAAAAAUUUUAGAUUCUUCAUCACAUCGAAUCUUGUGGUGCAUGUAUAGAGCAUUAAAUAUAGAUAAAAAUAAUAACUAAUUGCACAGUUUACCUGUAAUUCGCGAGGCGAAUCUUUUAAGCUUAGUCCAUGAUUGUAUAAUAUUUGUCAAAUACAAAUAAAAGUGUUAUAGUAUCCAUUUUGUAAAAUUUCUUGGAACUAAACAAGGCCAUACUAUUUCUGUUCCAAUUAUAAGUCGCUUUGACUUUUUUGGUAUAUUUAUUUUACUAUGCAUCUAGAUAUAAUAAUAUGUCUAUACACAUAGCAAAUUGGAUGACAAAAAAGUUAGCAACUUAUAAUCUAGAAUGGAGGGAGUAUUUAACAGUGUAGGCACUAGGAACCAGUGCCUAUCACCACUCAAAAACCAUGGUUAUUGAGGUGCUUUUGCCACACUUAUCCAGUGAUGCUUGUUUUACAUUGAUUUUCCUAGUUGAUGCUAGAUGUCUGUUCUUCAAAUUCAAAUUACCCUAAUGGGUUGUUUGCAUUCCUUGAAUUUGGGAUGAAUUGAUAUUUCUUUCUUGGAUCGGCCUGUUUGGACGAGCCUUGAAUUGGAAAUCAACAUUCCACCCUAGAUUCCUGGCUGAAAGAGGAGAAAUUGAUUGACUUCCGACUCUCGAGCAACGCCAUUCCCUCGCCGCUUGCGUCUCACAGUUCGCCCGGGCGCCGAUGUUUCCUAGCUGCUCUUAUCUCGCACCACGGCUCAAGGGUUAGAGGAAGUCUACUGGCGUGCUGGGUUUCCCAAACGUAUAGAUGGUCAUGCAGCACGUAGUAUGUUGGGCGCUGUACUAGGCACGAUAGCAACAUAAGACUGCCCACAACUUUGGUUUUGAGCAAUGCUGAAAUCAGAGAGAGAGCAUCUAGGCAUGAGAUAGCAAUGUUGCAUGGAGCGAUACCGACUGAAAAAGGUCUACUCUUGUCAUGUAGGUUUCUCGAUACAUAAAAAUAAAAAAUUCCAUCCCAACCGGCCUCCGUACAUGCUCAGUAGGCAUCAGGCUCCAUGUUGUGCAAACAGAUGAAAUCUUGGCACCAGUACAGUCUAACUAGCUAAAAUAUCUACAUAGCUAACACUUGCUUUAGGCUUCCGAGCUCAUUGGGCUAGGCUAGUAGAAAAAAGGCACGAUGUGUUAUGCCUGGACCCAAGACUAGGCUUGUGGCCCUAAUUAGCCUAGCCUGGUGGCAUGUUGUGUGUGGCCUAGUAUCUAUGGGUCGUACUUUCAUUGGGCCCGUGCCAUGGCGGGCCGAGCGGCCAAUUUGACCAUGUAUACCGAAGUACUAGGGUCUUUGCAUUUGCGCAUGCGUAGAUUUCCAGGGAGAAGCGUGUUUGGUCCCAUGUGCUGUGCGAGACUUGCUCCGCCGAUGCAAAUUGCAAAGUAUCACCACGUCCUAUAUCCGCUCGUGUGACCAAAUCAGCCACGGCGCUACCCAAAGAAAAAUCUUGAAGUAGCCUGAUGUCUUAAAAGCGAACCCUACUAGUUGUUUUAGAGAUCCAAGGCUUAACGUUUAAAUUUUGUCUUAAAUUAAAUUUUCUAAAACUUUAUAUAGAAACACUAAUAUUUAUACUGCCGAAUAAUUAUAGUUAUAUUUAUUUUAUACUCUCCUUUUCAAAUUAUAAUAUGUUUUGGCUUUUCUAGAUUCAUAACUUUUGCUACGGCUCAUCUAAAUAUAUAUUAUGUUUAGAUACAUAGUAGAAGCUAUGAAACUAGAAAUGACAAAACAUCUUAAGAAUGAAUGAAGUAGUAUAUAACUUAUUGAUAUCGUAAACAUUGAUUUUUUUAUAAUUUAAUUAAAUUUAAGAUAGUUUGACUUCCAACGAAACUAAAACAAGUUAUCUUUUUGGACGGAGGUGUACCUACUAGGACCAGGACCUUGCAACAGACAGCUGUGCCCCAAGUGUCACGUGUUUGAGAUUCUAAACCUUUGAUGGGAAGACAAAAAACAAAUAGAGGAUAACUGAAACAACAAACAAGACUAGGCUUUAUAGUAGGAGGUAAAUACAAUAUGAACUUAUCUUUUUCAGUCACAAUUAUGGCCUUACACUACAAAAAAAUUGUUAAUCCGUGACAGAUUUUCGAUGACGGAUUUACAAAUCGUUACUGAUAGAUGCAAAACCGUGUUACUGAUAGAUGCAAAACCGUGAUGAUUGUAACAGAACCGUCCAAUUUAUAAGAAUUCAAGUGAAUUAGCGGCCACGAGAGCAGUCAAGCCAAUGGACUUGAACCCAUAUAAACCCGGUAGUCCGACGAAACCUCAAAAGAUCUCGAUUCAACCAACAUACAACCAAGAUCGUACAUGAUCAAGCAUCGUCAUCACAGAUUACAACCAUUCAUCUCAGAACAUAGUUUUACAACACAUCGGAGUUCAAAUAAAGUUAUUACAAACCAGUUCAGUAGCGGAAACAAAGUAGUUUUAAAACCACACACACUCACAACUGAAGGUACGAGAGGUGAUCUUGGCCGAGAUCUACUCAUCAUCCGCAGCCGGAUGGUGACAGUUAGCACAAUAGCCGUGAUAAACGACAUCAUCUGCAACAGGGGUAAAUAAAACCCUGAGUACGAGAAUGUACUCAGCUAGACUUACCCGUCGUAAACCAGAAAUAAAGUGACACCAAGUAGUAUGCAAGGCUAAUAUUUGUGGACUGGUUUGACUCACAUUUUGCAUAAAAGGCUUUAGUUGUAAGUAACACAUUUAUACAUUUUCAGCAGCAAGUUAAUUACUUAGAUCAGCUAUCCACUACUGUUCUAAGCACACACUUGAGUAUUAAGCAUCACAAUAAUAACCAUAUCCGGAUUAUCACAUAGCCAUCAUUACUCUCAUCAUAACCAUCAAGUUUAUUUAGUCAGGUCUACGUUGCCGCUGCUCGAGUCAAGUUCUCACUAUCCGGGAGAGACAGCGAUUCGAAUCGAUUCCUAUCCAGCUGGAGGGGUAUUCCUAGCACUCGCCCAAGCAUAGCUCAUGAGGGUAGCUCGGAUCACCUUUAGCACAACUCCGGACCAAUUCUCGGGUCCGUACAGCGCCACACCCCUAGGGACCGCCAAUCUGCCAGGGUCAGGACUCUAACGUGACACCUCGGUCUUACGCCAUUGACUCCCCGCACAUCCUUGCUACCGACCGGGGUGCGCACUUAAACCGAACGGGGUAUCCGGCCGGAGAUGCACUCGUAGGCUUUGCGGUCGGAACGACUUAUCCGGCCAACUAAGUGUUAGGCAUGCGUUCAACAUGACACGAGGACGUACAGCGAAUCGGUCCUUAAACGACACAGACGGGGAUAGAUUCACAUCCAAGACCUCCAUGCCUUGUUGCUGCACUAUCGUCAUCCCGCCCGGUCUCAAAUUCAUUAUUAGCACAUGGUUAUCUCCACGAUAGCAAUAUAGCCAACCGUGAUUCAGCAUCCACCUAUCUCUCGCAGGUGAUAGGAAAUGACCCGGCUUCUACCGAGCUAAGCAUGGCUAAGCAUCAUUUCGAUCCUAGACCUACUUAGGUAAGGUAUAAGGUGGACAAGGUAGUUUAUUAUGCAGCAAGGGUGUCAUAUCAACGCCUAACACUUAAUGCAACAAUACAUAACCAUAGUUAAUUGACAGCUGGACAUGAUAACAAAAUAGUAGGAGUCUUAUAAUGCUCCGGGGCUUGCCUUCAACGUAGGUGGACGGGCGGUGGUCGGGACACUCCGGUAGAUCCUCCUCCUCCUCCUCAGCUCCUUGAGGUGGCUCCCUCUGCUGCUCCUCCGGCUCGGGUAGAUCGAACUACAAGACCGUCACUCCUUUGGGUACACCUAUGUAUGCAUAGCAAGGUGAUAAACAUAGGGAAUGCAUAUAAGAUGCAAUAUGUCACGAUACUGAGCCAAGAAACACAUAGUAAGGUACAAACAUGAGAACAAGCUCCUAAAAUUAAGUGAGUCAUAGAUUGACAAGUAAGUGCAUACUUCUUCUCUGGUAGAGAGACCAACUAGAUAAGCAAUCAACCUUAGUUAUUCAUGCACAACAACUGGGGUCAUGCACAGAUUAACUAGUCAAAAGUUCUGGCUAUAACUUAAACAUCAGUUGGCCAAAUUAAGCAAGUAAGCACUUUCUGGAAAGAUUAACAAAUUGUCUACACUUCACGUUUAGACAUCCCAGAAGGAUUCCCAACCGAAAUAUGCUGAAACAGACAAAGUUGGCUGGCUGUCCUGGAAAAACCAGAGAACAAGCAUUUCGUAGCAGCUACUUGCAACAGUCAUAACUUUUAAGCUACUCAGCCAAAUGUUAUGAAAUUUGGACACAAGGUAGAUAAGUAAGUUAGCUACAAGUUUGUUAUAGACAAGUUUUCCAUAAAACUUCAUCUUCAAGCAGUUCUUAAACAAUUGCUAUCAGCUACACACAAUAUGCUCUAGACAAGGCAAAAUUAGCAAAAUAAUAUUUUAACACAUAUUGAGAAUGUAACAUUGGUUCAAACCAAAUGCACCAGUAGUUAGAACAUGUCUAAGAAACAUCAUAAAACAUCAUGGCAAGGUUUAAACUCAUUUCUAUCAUCACCUUUUCUAUUUAUUUAAUUAUUAAGAUGAUUUAAUGGGCAUGCAACACAAGUGCUCCAAAAAUUACCACAAAAUUACAGAAAGCUAUCUAGGCUACCACAAGGUUACUGUAAAAUUUUCAUGGCUCUUGCACAUGCAGAUUGUGAGAUACAAAAAAGACAAGCUAACAAUGGCAUUAAAGGCAUAAAUGUGAAACCUUAUCAAAAAGUGUCAAACAACAGAUUUCAGAUUUUUCUUCGCUUUGUUUACACAUGAUUUCAUCCAUCAGCAAGUUUCAUCAUAAAAGGAGCUAUAAUCUAUUUACUAAAAAUACCACAAGAAAACUCCUAUUUAAACAAGAAAUAAUUAUAACUUCACCAACAGUCAUCCAAAAACGAUGAUAAAAUUAUUAGCCUAUUCAUGUCAUAAGUAACAAUAUCCUAAAUUUGCAUGGCCAUAAGACUCAGAGAUCUCAAGAUAUAAUUACCUCCUAUUUAACCAAGAUUAAAUCAUAUCUAUUUAUUUCUGCAAAAACAUGGCAUGUUUUAUAUUUUUAAUAAAACUAGACUAACACAAGAACCUAGCAAAAUUGGAAUCACUUCAUUUGGAUCUGCCUAGCCAAAGUUAUGAAUUUUUCAAAAACAACACAGGAUCUGCUAAACAGUGAACUAGAGGGGAGAGAGAGAUAGUGGCUGACAGGUGGGGUCCGUUGACAGACGGGACCCAUGCGACAGAGAGACAGAGAGCAGAGACAAGCUCGUCGCCGGCGAAUCUCGACGACGGCGGGGUCUUCGGGGAAACCGGGGGCAUCUACGUGUUCCUCACUUCAAGACGAACCUACCGACCUACUUUGCUCACGCUCUACUAGACUCUAGGGUGCUCGCCGUCGCGAAUGGCGGAGCGGCGGCGGUACGCCGGGAACUGAGGCAAUGGCGACUCAGUAGAGGUUGCGGACGAGCAAGAGUGAAGCAAGGCGAAGCUAUAGGAAGAAGAAUCACGGCCAGUGGUGAACCAGAGAGGUCUGGCCAUGUUGCCGGUGAUCUCUGCAAACUCCGGCGAGGUGGAGCUCGCGACAGAGUUGACAAUGCGGCCUCACCAGUGCUUGGCUAAGGGAAAGAGAUGGACGUCGAGGUAGAGGACGUCGAGGCGGAGCUCUAGGCGGGCUGGCUUGGCUGGAGACGCGGUGGAGCGGCCGGAAAAGCUCGCCGAAGCACGGCGGAGCUCGCCGAGAAUGAAGGCGGGCGAAAUGUGGAGCGCUGGACGGGUGAAUGGCGCGUCUGAGGCGUCCACCCGGUGCGUGGCGACUUGUGGACGUCGUUGGGGCUGACAAGCGGGGUCGUCGACGGCGUACGGCCGACAGGUGGCCGGACACGCGGCGGCGGGUGAGCUCUGCCCAAACUGAAUCGGUUUCUGAAUCGCCCGAUCACGGUCACUGAAACUCCAACUUCGUCGACGUUUUACUCGAGAUCCACUCGGUGGUUUUGGCUCAGAUUUGUUCCAUCGGGUAGAGCUACACGAGAUCUACAAGUUUUCUUACAGGAUCAAAGUCUAACUCGGCCUGGAAUUCAAACUACAAAGCUUCCAAGUGCCCUAUGUCGAAACUGCAGAAUCCAGACUUAGCCAAAUUCGGCUGUGUGGAAACAGCCCUGAUUUUUGCCUUGUGAGCUAAUUUUGAGUGUGUUCCAAGCAUUUUCAUAAAAAGUCAUCAACACAACUUUUGUAGCAUAUGAAAUUUACUACAACUUUUCUUUAGAUGUCAUUUACAUGCAAGGUCUCUAACAUUGGUUUCAUAAAAGGUCUUUGAAAGGAGGUUUAGGGGGUCAACUAGGUCAACCUAGGGCUAACCAUGACUUAGGGGCAUUUUUGGGUGAAACUUCCAACACAAACUUUGUUAAAAAUGAUAUUCUAAGCAUGAUUAAAGUAUUUGGGAAGACAAUGUGCACUCAUAUGCAUUGGUCACACAUUACUAUCACACAUAGCAAGUCACACAAGCAAUUCAAUCACAUAAUGUAUACCCAAAUGACAUGUGAUCAUGGUAUGAUGCUCAUGAGUGAUCAUGAUGAUGCUUAUGUUGAUGCAAUGCUCAUGGUUAACAUGCAAGAUAACACUAGGAGUGUUACAGACCUCCCCCCUUACAAAAAAUCUCGUCCCGAGAUUUGAAAGACAUACCAUUUUUCGUAGAAUGAGGGGUAAGUUACUUGUAAAUAGUCUUCUCUUUCCCAAGUGGCAUCUCUUUCACUUUGGCGGUUCCACAAAACCCUAAAAAGUUUAAUCACUCUCCCUCGAGUAACCCUUUCCUUGACAUCAAGAACUUGCACAGGCUUCUCUUCAUAAGAUAAAUCUGAUUGUAAUUUAAGACCUCCUGUUUCAACUCUCUCUUCGGGCACGCGAAGGCACUUCUUGAGUUGAGACACAUGGAAUACAGGGAAGAUAGCUCUCAUUUCCGGAGGUAGUUGUACCUUGUAAGCUACUUUGCCACUCUUCUCAAUGAUUUGGUAGGGACCCACAUACCUAGGGGCAAGCUUUCUCUUUACGCCGAAGCGAUUCACUCCCUUCAUGGGUGAUACCUUUAGGUACACAAAGUCACCUACUUCGAACUCGAGUGGUCUUCUUCUUCGGUCAGCAUAGCUUUUCUGCCUAGCUUGGGCGGCUUCCAUGUGUUCCUGGAUAACAAGAACUUGUUGUUCAGCUUCCUUGACGAAGUCAAUUCCGUAGUACCUCCUUUCACCAGGUUCGACCCAGUUUAGGGGAGUUCUACAUUUGCGGCCAUACAAAGCUUCAAAAGGAGCCAUUUGAAUACUCUCUUGAUAGCUAUUAUUGUAGGAGAAUUCAGCUAAGGGUAGCCACUUCUCCCAUGCGCCCUUGGAAGAGAUGACACAUGCCCUCAACAUAUCCUCCAGGAUUUGAUUCACGCGCUCAGUGUGACCGGAGGUUUGAGGAUGGUAGGCUGAACUGCAAACCAACUUUGUACCAAGGAGUCAAUGCAAAUGUUCCCAAAAGCGGGCAGUGAACUGAGGACCUCUAUCAGAAAUAAUAGUGCGUGGCACUCCGUGCAAUCUCACGAUCUGAGAGAAGUACAAUUCAGCAUAGUCGGAGGGUCGGUAUGUAAAAUGUACGGGAAUGAAAUGAGCUGACUUGGUCAAGCGAUCAACAAUAACCCAAAUAGAGCUGUGUCCCUUUAGAGUAGGGGGAAGUCCAACAAUGAAAUCCAUGCUGAAUGUUGGGUAUUCUUAACGUCACUACCAAAAGUAGACUUAGUUUUCUAAUUCUGAUAACGGCGCCAAAAAUGCCAAACCUAUCCCUCAUGCCACUUAAGCCAAGUUGUCAUCCCCAGCAUGACAUGAGAGACGCGGUAUUGAAAUAUGCAAUUGCUCUUCAUAAUAAGUAAUAAAUAAGAUCUGCAAGCGCACAGAUUAAUACCGAUGUAGCAUUUUAACCGGGAAGUAUUCCAGGUAUCGUUAUUUAUAUUUUUACCACUAGAAAGGGAUUGCUAAACACCAAUGUUGAUUAUAGAAUGGAAUAUAGGAUUGAGUAUCUAUCAUUGCAUGUAUAAUUGAGAACAUUUAUCUAUCUCUUUCAUACAGGGAUAAGUGUCACAUAAAAGUUAUAUAAAGUAAGAAUGGUGACAAAGAUAAUUAAUCUGAUCAGCAUAACUUAGCCACAUAUAAAUAUGAUAAGCACCUCAAUAGAUAUUCUAGCAAGUCAUUAGCAUGGAAUUAGGACAAACUACAAGAAUAUUUCCUAAGUUAUUCUUAACUAUAAAGUCUAACAUAUCAUAGUCAGUGCAAUUAUACUUGGCAAUCAUUGCGAGACAGGACUACGUCCAUGCAUAGUGAUAUUAUCAAGGAAUAUGAGAAACAUAGCAAUCACUCCCCUAUAAUAAUGUUGCUCUGCCAGCCCUAUACACGAGAGGGGGACUAUAUAAGAAUCAAUGGAGCUGUCACUACCACAAACUACCCCGCGAUCUGGCAUAUAGGAUACAAUCGCAGAUAAAUACGGUAUAGGCACCACACCUACACAAUACUUAUCAUUUACCCACUGUACACAUGGAUAAACGCAAUACAAUCCUAAACAUGUAUAUAAUUCCAAUCUAACUAAGCCAAGCAUAUAACUAUGAUAAACUAAGAACAAUAUAAUUGCAAAUAGAAACAAGUAGAGCAAAGUCAUAAUCAAUAUAUUGAAGUAGAACAAAGUCAUAUUCAUAAUAUUGAAGAACAAAGAUGAACAAUUGAAGAACAAUAGAGAAUUACCAAGAAUCCUCUUGACAGAUUCGGAAACCAAUCGAAGAUUGACUCCUUCUAGUUCUAAUCCUAUGUAGCUAUGCUAAACUAGAGAUCUAAUUGAUGUGGUGGCUCUAGGGCUUGAUCAGAGGCUUCUUCUCCCAAGAUGAAUAAUGAAUUAGGGUUCUGAGGUCCUCUCCUCUAGGGGCUAGGGGUCUACUUAUAUAGUCCUUCCAAGUGAAUGUGGGCCGUUGGAUCAAACCGACAUUGAUCGCACAGUUUUCCUUGAUCCUUUAGGUCGGUGGAGCAUGAUCCGCGAGAUUGGUUGUGAUUGGCCCCGAGGCCAGGGCGGGCGCCCAAGGGGGGAGGGCGGGCGCCCUGCCCCCGGGCAUGUCCGGUCUCCCGUUCGUUCCCAUGGCUUCUGGACUCUUCUAGAUGUAAGAUAAUUGCACGACACAUUAAUAUCUCUAUGUAAAUCCGACGUGUGGGCCUUUCUUCCAUAAUUCCUGAUAACCCCCUGCAGAAAUAGACAAACACCAAAACUCGUGGAAUUCUGUCAGAUAAAACCCUAAGUCUGGAUGUCGGUUGCAUUUGGAUCCUUUUCUUUGUUUAUUUGUUGAUUAUAUUUGAUACUUAAGGACCGUCAACAAACUCCCCCAAGCUUACCUCUUGCUCAUCCCUGAGCAAGGAUAACCUCAGUGAUGAAUCAGAAGUUGCUGUAAUGCCUUAAAAAGUUGACGGUACACAUGCUUUUAAAUAAGGUCUCAUCUCUGAGUUAGAGUAAACUAUCAAGACUUAAAACUUACUUAUUUACCUUUCACUAUGGAACUUGUAACCGUCACUUCUGUCUUGAGUAGUUAAAAGAUAGAACGGUCUAGUCAAGCACCAUGUCUCUUAUUCUUGAUCAGCUAUAGCUCUGGAGUUUUUGCAGAUUUUGAAAUAAAACUUAGAGAUUCCUUGUAUGACUCUCUCAGAUCUCUCUUUUGUGGUAUUUCUGGAUCCUUACCAAGGCAGUGAUGGUACAUGCCUUUUCUCAAAGUAUGUGGUAUUUGUGGUAUAAGGCAUAGUGACAUUGCCUUGUCUCUCAUCCUACUCUAAUAAGGCUUUUGAUAUCUGGAGCUCAUAUGUGGGAGAUAGCGUAUACAUACUUACAAGACAUUUAUUGCAUAGUCAAACCAUGGAUUCAGAGAAACAAGUCAAUAAGUCAAAUCAAGAUGUGCAUGUGUGGCGAAUGAAUGGUGUAUGGUGAUGAUGAUGAUAACAAUGGUGAAAGUCUAAUUCUACUUGUGCUCUUUUGAGGGGAUGCAUACCUUUCUUGCUCUUUGAAACUUUUUGAGGAGAAUGAGAUGCUCUAUAUUUUCUUUUUCUUUUCUCUCAGGUGGGUAUUUUUACCUCUCGUCUCACUUUUUUCUUUUCUUUCGAGGUUGCGGGCACUUGCCCCUUUUUAUUUCCUCGUAUCUUUCUCUCUUUUUCUCUUUUUUUAAGCACUCAUCUCCUAAAAUAAUGUAGCAAGUGGUAGUAACCAAGAUAACUGGAGCAUUUAUUUCACAUGAAAAAACAGAAAUAUUUUUGGCUAUUCUCUCCCGGAUUAGGAGUAGAAUAUUUUUGGGUGGCUUUGGAGAUGAAAAUGGGUGGAUAUAUGUGGAUGCGUACUUCCGGAAUAGAAGCAGCAUGUGUGAGUGAACGUGCAAGUGAAUAUUGAUUUUACCACAUGACAAGCUCCUAAGGGUCUACACAGCUUGACCCCACUCAAUGCUCAUAAACAGUAAAAAGUAAAUGUGUGGCUCAAAAUCUAGCAAGCAUGUAUAUAUGGCUGUGGUAGGAAAUUAAACUCUCAUCAUAGAGAAACUCAUCAAGUGAUAUUUUAAAGAUUUUCAAAGAUAAAAUUCUCUAGAAUUCUAGCAUCUCUAGGAACAGAUAAACAGCAGCUCAACCUUACCAUAUCAUAUCCGUUAACAACUUAGACUUCAGAUCAACUUUCCACAAGUUCAGGUUUAGAGCAAGCUUUAAAUUAUAACAGUUAUGUCUAAACUUGAGAGAGAACUCAAAUUUGAAAAUUAGACAGAGCAACUAUUCAUCAUAUCCGUGCUAGAGUUUUAUUAUUAAGAUUUAGUUUAGCAUAGCCACUUUAUUUAUUUAUUUAUUAAACACACUAAGCAAAAGAUAUUUAUAUAAGCACAAAAUCUUUAUUUGGUUUUUCAUGGUUAUGUAUAUUUAUAUUUUAAUAUAGUAUAAGUAUGAAUGUAGAUAGAAAUACUUAGCGAGAUAAAUGGGGGUGCUCUCCCCCAAGCUGAAUUUUGACGUAAUUUCUUCUCAUGUAGCUAGCAGGUGGCUGAGGUGUAUUUGAAAGUCGGCAGCACCCUGACAGCGAUUAGAAUGUCCUCUAUCUGCUAGUCUUCUUGAUCCUUGAAUUCUGUGGAGCUCAGAUAGACAACAAUGCUUUGUGGAACUGAUUAGGUGUUAGCAUAAAUAUCUAGCCUUUAUCAUGUUGAGCCUCCUUAAUAAAUGUUUCAUUUUAUAGAGCAGAAAAUUUUUUAUUUAAUUUUAUUUUUAUGCCACCACAGUGAAUGCACUUAUGGUUUUAUGCCACUCGUAUACUCACAUGGGGCUUACUGUUUUAACAUUUUUAUUUUCUUUUUCGGAUAGUAUGAACAUGAUUAACUAAACAAACUAUUUUAAAUAAUUGAAAGGAGAAAGAUAACUACCAAGUUUACCUCUUGGCAAGGCGUUCGGUGUUUUUAAGUCCUCCGAACGGGACUCUCCGUUUUCUCAGUUGUCCUGGGAUUCGCUGGAUGGCGUAGUCGGUGGUUCCGGCAGCGCCUCCUCUUCGUGUAUAACUAUCUUCUCUUUCCACACCUGACUUGGUGCUACGAUCUCCUCAUGAUAGUUCUGUUCAAGCUGUAUGUCUUCAGACCUUACAACUUCUCCUUCAUAGUUUGCCCAUCCGUCCUAGAUGAUUUGCCUCCUUUGGUUGUGGUUGCGUUGUCUUCUUCUUGUCCUGACCUGCUUAGAGUCUUCAACUAUAUAAUUAGGGUCAGUAAAAUAACGACGUACCUUCUCUGAUGGGAAGUGCAUAUAGACUUCUCCGGUUCCAAUGUAGAUGAUUGCUUUAACGGUGCUGAGGAACGGUCUCCCAAGGAUGAUGGAUGGAUCGUACUCGUCUUCUCCCAUGUCAAUAACCUGAAAGUCUGUAUGGACAAAAUGAUCGUCUAUUUUGAUAGGGACAUCAGUUGCUAUACCUUCAACCUUUCAGAAUGUCUGAUCUGCCAUCUGGAGCUGAAUGUAUGUUGGUUUUAGGGGCAUGGUCCUGAACAAGAGCCGAUAGGUGACUGCGGCCAUUAUGUUGACGCCCGAUCCGGUGUCGCACAGUGUCUUGUAGAUGUUGUACCCAUUAAUGGAGCAAUAGAUGCUUGGCAUACCUAGGUCGUCCUUCUUGGUCAGAAACGGUGACUUGAGUCGACGAUCUUAACCUCCAUGAACUGCAGUGACCAUCUUAGCUGACUCGGUCCACACUUGCUUGUUCCUAUUCCUCCUGUUGGUCCUCUUCCUUGGUUCUUGUCGGGAUUGCACUGGAAUUUGUGUAGUUUUGUUCUUGAAGAAAAACGUCUCCUUCCUCCCCUUGAUGUAGAAACUGAUCUUGGCAGCACUAGCGUAGAUGACAGCUCCCGAGGUGUUCAGGAAUGGCCUCCCUAAGAUGACAGGUGCCUGUUGACGGUCCUUAAGUAUUAAAUUUUACCAUCAACUAAACAUGGAAAAGGAUCAAUAUGCACCAAACAUCUAGAAUUAGGGUUUUAUCUGACAGAAUUCCACGAGCUUUGGUGUUUAUCUAUUUCUGCAGGGGGUUAUCAGAAAAUAUGGAGAGAAGGCCCACAUGUCAUGUUUACAACGAGAUAAUUAUGUGACGCACAAUUUUCCUUAAUCUAGAAGAGUCCAGAAGCCACGGGAACAAAUGGGAGACCGGACGGGCUCGGGGGCAGGGCGCCCGCCCUAGCCUCGGGGCCAAUCAGAACCAAACUCUUGGAUUAUGCUCCACCGACCUAAAGGAUCAAGGAAAACCAUGCGAUCAAUGUUGGUUUGAUCCGACGGCCCAAAUUCACUUGAAAGGACUAUAUAAUCAAGGCCUCUCCACCCUAGGGCGAGAGAGGAGAAAUCAUUAUCAGAGGUAGCCAUCAAAGUUAGGGUUUAGAACAUCUCUCCCACAGAGAAUUAGAAUUAGCAACUCCCUAACAUCUUCGGUAAUAAAGAUUGGUAUUAUUUCAUAUCUUUCUCUAAUACUUUAUUCUAAUUGCAUUAUGUCUCUAUUCAUUAUGCUCUUAGUUUGCUCUAGUUCUAUAUUUGAUAUAGUUAUGAUUGAUAAUGAGUUUAUGUAUAACUUUGCAAAGCGCUUAGCUCUUGACACGUGGGAGUUAAGUGGUAGAUCACAUGUGGGCGUGGUGCUUAGAUGUUAUUUACCUGCAAAUGUAUCCUAUUGGCCGGGUUGUGUGGUAGUUCAUGAUAGUGACAGCUUCGUUGAUUCUUAUAUAGUCCACCCUCCGUUGAUAGGACAGGCAGAAUUUGUAUUGCGGAGUAAGUCUUGCGAUGCUGUGAUUUACUUUAGCAAUGUCCCUUAUACAUGAAUGAAGAGUCUUUUAUGCUAUAUUUGAUCUUGUAGAUAACUAGAGUAGAUUGUGACUUAGUAGAUAGUAGAUAACUUAGAAUCCAUUCUCUAACUAAUCCGACGUCACCUUACAUAUAUGAGGAGUAGUCUAUUUUCUAAUCGCUGUGUUAUUUACCCAUGAGCUUAUAUUUCAUUAUCAUUAUUAUUAUGGCUUACCCCCUUGCCAAAGUAAGUGACUGUGUGACGAGUUCCUCAUUAGUAAUCAUGUUCUUGCAAGUUUAUCUCUAGUCUAUGCCUCGAUAGAUUUUAUCCUUAUCUUCAUAUAAUCAUUUUCUCCUGAGCAAAAUUAUAAAUAACGAUACCUGGAAUACUUACCUGGUGAAAUGCUACAAUGAGGUGUUUUAUCUGUGCGCUUGCGGAUAGAAUAAAUUAUUUUCUAGAGAGCCUCCAUAUUUAUAAAUACCUUUGUACACUCUGGCACCAUGCUGGGGAUGACGACCUAGUAUCUAAGUGGUGUUAGUCAGUGUCAACAAGCAUUUCUGGCGCCGUUGUCGGGGAAACAAAAGGAAAACACAUAGGAUCGGUAAGGAAAGUCAGGAAGUCAGUCAAGGUUAUUCAUAUAAAAUAUUAGACUAGACUAUAGAGAAAUAAUUGCAUAAAACAGCUACUAAGUGAGAAAUCAUAACAAGGCACCUCUGCUUUGGCAGGUUCACCCUGUUGUUUUUCUAUGUUUAUAUUUUUAUAUAGGGUGUAUCAGGAUUGACUUUGGUACAUUCAACUCUUCAUCAUCAGAGCCAAAGCAAUCAAGAAAGAAAGAAGAAGCUAGCUACCAAUUGCUGAAGCUAUGACACAGAAGACCCUACGAGAAUUCUCUGCUCCAAGCCUUGAGAACAUUCCAACUGGUCCAAGAUUUGCAGUAGAAGAAGGAGCACCUGAGUUCGAGCUCAAGUCAAGCCUCAUCAAUUUGGUACAAGCUACACAAUUCAGUGGAAAGGCACAUGAGGAUGCUAGUGCACACUUGCAGAAUUUCUUAGAGAUUGCAAGCACAAUCCACAUCAACGGAGUUGACAAAGACAUCAUACUGCUUCGCCUUUUUCCAUUCUCACUAGAAGGGAAAGCGAGGAAGUGGUUCUACAUUCAUCAAGAUAACAUCAACAACUGGAUGAACUUGUUAGAUGCCUUUCUAUCAAAGUUUUUCCCAAUGGGCAAGACAGCUGCCUUAAGAGGAAAUAUUGUCAGUUUCCAACAGCAGAAGACAGAAACCAUUUCAGAAGCAUGGGAGCAUUUUCAAGGAUACAUAUCAGAUUGCCCUCACCAUGGAAUGGCCACAUGGUUACUUAUGCAGACCUUCUACCAUUGAUUAACCCAGAAGGCUCGUGAGUGUCUAGAUGCAUCUACUAAAGGAUCAUUCUUGGAGCUUACAAUUGGUAAAGCAGAGACACUUUUGGAUAAGAUAGCAGAAAACCAAAGCUGGUUCCAAGAUAAAGCUCAACAAUGUCAUCAAACUGAAGAAGUACCAGAAGAAGUAAAUGCAUUAUCAACCAAGAUGGAAAAUUUGCUCCAUUGGAUUGACCAGAGGGCUAAGUUCAAAGAAGAUCAAAGGGCCAUUGAGACAGCAUACAAAUAUCAACCCACUUCGAGUCAACCCAAUAGCAAAGGUAUGAAUUCAGGUAAUACUUUCAAGCAACUUUCAUUAAAAUAGAUAAUUGCUCAACAAACAAAAACUAAUGAUGAAGUUAAAAAAGGCUAGAUACAAAUGAAUCAUCUCUAAAAGAUAUACACAAUAAAAUGGAUUUUCUAUUAACUGCCUUUGAUGAGCAAAACAUUCUUAAUAAAAGGGUAGAGCUUAAAUUAAUAAAGCUAGCUGCUGCACUGCCUCUUGUCACUAACAUUGAGCAGGUAAAGAAUAUAACUACAAGAGGAGGCAAAGCUACCAGGGAUCCCCCAUACCCAAAAGAAAAACAAAGAACAUCAGCACUAGUGCAACCAGCAGUGAUAGAAGAAGAAAGCCCAGUUGAAGCAGAAGAUCUACUACAACCACCAAGAACUGGAGAAAUGAGGAAAGAUUUUUACGACACCAACUAUUUGCCAUUUCCCAGAAGAAACAGAGGACUGCAGUCGGAUGAGCGGUUUGGUAAGUUUAUAGAGGUCAUUCAGAAAUUAUAUGUCAACAUACCUCUACUUGAUGCCAUACAGGUACCCACAUAUGCAAAGUACAUCAGAGAUAUUCUUAACAAGAAGAGACCACUCCCAACCACUGAGGUUAUCAAGCUGACAGAGGAGUGUAGUGCGGCCAUCCUCAACGAACCACCAAGGAAAAAGAAUGAUCCUGGAUGUCCCACUAUUGAUUGCUCGAUCGGAAACCAACACUUCAACAAUGCACUUUGUGAUCUCAGAGCAAGUGUCAGUGUGAUGCCAGCAUCAGUCUACGAGAAGCUUGAGCAUGCGACCCUAGAACCAACAUCAAUGUGCCUGAAACUAGCAGAUCAAUCAGUUCGACCCCCGUUGGGCAUCGCUGAAAACAUUCCAGUCAAGAUUAGAGAUUUCCUUGUGCCAGUAGACUUCAUGGUAUUGGACAUGAGUCCUGACUCAAAAGUGUCCAUUAUCCUUGGAAGGCCAUUUCUGAGCACUGCCAAUGCCCACAUUGAUGUUGGGAAGGGAGAAAUCAAGUUCAACAUAAACGGAAAAGAAGAACACUUCACAUUUUAGCCUAGACCAGAGAGAGACUCUACAGGAAGGUAAUUCAGAAGAUUAAAAGAUUUGGAGGUGCAGCUUGGAGGACCUAAAAAUCCCAAACCCUCACCGGGAGGUAAAUCGGUAUUUAUCCGCAUCAUUAAUUCUCGCAUAUUUAAUUCUUGCAUUAGUCAUAUUUAUUCAUAGCAUUAUUAUAACAAUCAAAAGCCCCAUAUAAAUAAUAUUUAUGGUGUGUAACAACCCAUAUUUAUUAAUUAUUGUGGAGGCACAAAAAUAUUUUCCAUUAUCAUUUCACUAAGUUUCAAUUCUCAUAGAUUUUCUUGCAUUAUAUUUAAUUAUAGCAACCUCCUAGAAGCAUGACCCACACUCCUUGGGUCCCACAUGUCAUACACCACACCUCACACACAUCCCAUCACAUUAUUUGAUCCACCAACAUAUCUUCACUCACCAGCACUUUUCCACUGACCAACAACCACCAUUGAACUAUUAUUCUGCGUAAGAGCCAAGCAAAGGAGGGAGUGAAGAAAAGGCAGCCAGGAUGGCCACUAAAGGUGGGCGCCCGCCCACCUAUAGAGGGUGCACACCCUGUCCCCCUUUCCUCCUAUAAAUUGCCACUUCCUGCCUCCAACUUCUUCACACAAGCAUUCCAGAAAACCACGCAAGUUUCAGUUUCCAAAGGAGCUUUUGUAGUGAAGUAAGAAGAGAGUAGAGAGGAAGAGAAGAGUGGAAGAGAGGUUGGUAGUCUCUGAGUGAGAGAGUGAGGUUCAUCUAGUUAGUAGUGAUCCCGCUGUCCAAAGCGGAAGUAAAAGUUGUUUAGGGGGAGGUGCUGCCAAACUAAAAACUUGUCUUGAACGACUAACCCCUGGACUACUGACAUUUCGAACAGCUGACCACUAACAUUUUUCCCUCACAUUUUCCACUAGUUGUGUGUGUGUGUCAACUUUUGUCUACAGGAUGUUCAAGAAGGUAAAGAACGCAGGGAAGGCCCUCAAGAACAUAGGUACAAGGAGUUCAUCCCGACACUCCUCGCACCCAUCAGAGAUGAGCGUCGACCCGACACCCACACAAGCUCCGUCAUCUUCAUCUGAGCAACAAGUCAAGGUCCUCCUCAAGAUAGGAGACCUUGGACUGAAGACCUGCAGGGAAAAGGAAGUUUACCAGCAGCUAAAGAAUAAGGCUUUCAUUCACACCCCCACUCUUGAUCCUAUCUUGCUACAAGAAACAGGUAUGGAUACUGAAUUCGAUUUGAUUUUCCAGAUGGUGGGAUGGACAAAUUUUUGGAACAUAACUGAGCUGGGUUCCCGUCUUCUCACCCUUGAAUUUCUUUGCACUUUACAAUAUUAUGAGGGGGGAAUUGCUUUUCGGAUGUUUAAACAGGACAUUAUGUUGUCUUGGAGAGAACUGAGCGACCAUCUCGGUUUCUCUUCAAGAUGCAUCUUGAACAUUGACUCCGACUUACCCAAUUUUGAGAGACACCAGUUUUGGAAAGAGAUAUCUAGAGAUGAGUUUUAUAGUCAAGCCCGAACCAGUGACAUGGAACACCCCACUCUUAGGAUGUUCCACAAAUGGCUCGGGUACAAUCUUUUCUAUCGUGAUGAUAUUAGAAAAGUAAGAGUAGGAGAUCUACAAUUGCUAUAUGCUGCUAUAAAUAAAGUACCCACUUCACCUGUUACACUUUUGGUUUCUCAUUGGCUUAGUAUACCUAGCCUUGAGGGACCUGUAGGAUGUACUUCACUCAUCACUCGUCUAGCCUCUAAUCUUCAUUUGCUAGAAAACUCGUCAUUGGAAUUUAUUGACGAGUUACGAAUUUAUCAUGGCUAUGACACAUUUAGACAUGCUCGGAUGUUGAAAAAAGAGGGGAACAUAAUGUAUAUGUUGUACGAUAAUAAAGGCAAGAUUCGGUUACCUAACCCGAACCUUGGCCUCUAUGUUGUUCAAAGUUACUUGAUUGAGAUUGCAGUGACACCGUUAAACCAGAGAGCUCCACAACGAGUGGCAUCUGAAAGGAUGACCACCCAUCGAGAACGCACCUGGUAUGGAGCUGAUCCCGGGCCGGAAGAAGCAGCGCACCUGCAUUAUUGUGACUACAACCCCCGAGUCCUUCGAGACCCAUGGGUUCGACAUGCUCAACCACAAGAGCCAACACAGGAGACAUGGCCGGAGAGCCAAGAUCACCAGUGGACAAACCCGCCUUUCCAUACGGGCAGGUACUCCACUGAUCCAUAUGGAGCUUUAGGAUCCAGGCCUCCGCCCCAAUUCGAUGCAGGAUGGUACUCCGACGCCUCUUAUGCUUUCACGAACGACUACUACCAAGAGGCCGGCACUUUCUUCACCCGUACCGACAACACCCUCCUCGACAUCCAGAAUACGCAAGCGGAACAUGGAAGACUCCUGGAACAGCAACAAAAAUGGAACCAGGACCACGCCACUGCAGUGCAAGAACUGAGACAAGACACCACGACAAUGAACGACAACAUCACCACCAUGAUGCGAUUCUGGAACAAUGGGUAAGACCGACAACAACAUCCAGCUUGGGGAGUUCCUCCCCGUUUUAUCAAGUAAGUUUUUAUUUGCUUUUCUUAUUUAUUCUUUUCUAUUUUAGUAUUUUAUUUUAAAGAGAAAACUUAGAAAACCCAAUAAAUAUUUUCUUGCUUUAAUUUGCUGCAUUCUAUAAACAUGAAAACAAAAUACAAAGAGUGUGUAGAUAAGUGUGCUUUAUUUUUCUGCCAAGUGUUAAUCUCUAAAAAAAAGACCAAAAAUAUGCAUGAUGGAAAUGAUGAAUAGUUGCUCUGUUUGCUUACUUUCAAGUACCUAGCUUUUAUAUUAGAGUUCUUCCACGAAUUACUAAAACUGAAAUUGCUAUUUAUGGGAAGCAUAAAACUAAAGUCUAGGUAAGAGAAGGACAUGAUAUAAAGUUUGAGCUACUGUUUAUCUUGUUCCUACUACACUAAGUUCUGGAGAUUUAUUUUGAAAACUUACAAAUCACAUGAUGAGUUCCUAGCAUAACAAAAUUCCUACCACAACGAUACUUGCUAUAACAUCUUGCUACUUAUACUCACAUUGAGUUUGAUCGAGCUGUGUAGACCCUUAGGAGCUUUUCAUUUUAUUAAAUUAAGAUAUUCACUUGCACACAUCCACUACACCAUUCACCACCAUUCAUUAAAAUUGCUAAAAAUAUUAUCACUCACUGUCCCAAGUAUUGUUAUUUUCUCUCUCUAAAAAUAUUCAAUGCAGAAGAGGCAUGGGUUAUGCAAAAAUAUGCGAGGAAAUAAAAAGGGGCAAGUCCCUGAAUUCUCGGAAAAGAAAGAAAAAGAGUGAGACGAGAGGUAAAAAUGGACAAGUGCUCGGAGUAGAAUUAGGGGUACAAAGAUGCCCACUUGAGCGGAAAAAAUGGACAAGUGUCCGACAGUAGAAUUAGGGGUAUCUACUACCCACCUGAAAAAAAAGAGAGAAAAGAUAGCCCUUGUUCUCCCAAAGCAAAGAUCAAAGAAGAGGAGAGAUAGCAAUAUGAGGAGCAAUGAGAAAUAAGUUUUAUUAUCACUUAUAUAUUUUCAUCAUCACUAUCAUUUACUCCACCAAACAUGCACAUCAUGAUUUAAUUAUAUGCUGAGUUCCUUUGGAUCCAUGGCUCGAUUAGACAACAUAUGUAUGAGCUGUUUUUCACUCCUAUGAGCUCCACUUAAAUAUUCCAUUAGCUAUAGGUAAGUGAAAUUUUGGUAAGGAUCCACAAAUACCACAUAUAGAGAGACUUGAGAGAAUCAUUGCUGGGAACUCUAAGCUUUAUUUUUGAAAACUUAUGAAAAACUCUAUCUUCCUGUGCUGGAGGGUCGACCUGCCCGUCGUUCCCAGGUGUCCUGGGAUCUUCUCUGGCUAUCGGGGCUCGGCCACCGGCAACAGCAUCUUGUAUGUCAUCGGUGGUUGCUACUUCCCCAUCGAUGUUGAAGCACUCCCUCGUAGGGUCGUAGCUGUCGGACUCGGAGUCGGGGUCUGGUUCCACGGCGUAAAAACACCCACGCCCCUCCUCCACCAUUCGAUGUCUGAGCGAGGUGAUGGUGUAUCGCCCGGGUCCUAAACUUUGGAGGCUCCGUACACGGGAAAAAUCCAGCGGCCCAGUUCCUUGUUGUUGUGCCCUGGCAUCGCUCGGGAGGACCAUUGGUUGUUCCACGUUCGUCUGGGCUUCUGGGCAUAUGGUCCUGGCGAGCGAUGCUGCGGCAUUGUCCAGGCCGAACGGGUGUGUUCUUCGAGAGGCGAACAACCCGUGCGGUAGCAGCGUCGUCGAGGGCGAGAGCACGCGAGUCACGGUAUCUCCCAAUGUCAUUGUGGAGUCGUCUUGACGCCGAGCCAUCGCAUCCGUAGCCUCGGUGGGCGGGGCUGCCGGCUCCUGCGCCGCCGCUUGCCUGGCGCGGGUUGAUGACUGCGAUGCAGCAUAAGGGCGGUGCCGGUGCUGUCCACGCCUCUUCUUGGGCGGGGAGGCAUGGUGGCGAGGCCAUCAUGGGGCCUUCGAUCGUGCUGGUGCAAUGCGAGUUCCUCCCGGUCCUUUGACCGAGAGCAGGAUCAUGUCGUAGCUGAAACCAGUGGAUAUGAACUCGAGGCUCCCGAACCAAAUUACCGUGGAGCACGGGAUCGGCGAAACGAGAGUGUCCAUCUAGGAGGAGACGGGUGGCUGAUGAAAAACACGCAGGACCCCUACCUGGAGCGCCAACUGUCGGUGUUUUGCCCUCGGGAGGUCACACCAACGAGUAAUCUUGUAUUCGUGUUCCCUCUCCCAGAUGGUGAUGCAAGGAAUUUAUCCUGGUUCGGGCAAGAGAAGGACCUACGUCCAGCGGGGGGGGGUGUUUUCUAUUGUCUUGCACCUAAGUGCUUGUACAGGGGUGAAUACAAGCCUGUGUCACUUGAAGAUUCUAAGUCCUAAACGGAUGCGGUGUAUGGUUGUUGUUCUACGUAUAUCUCCUGCGUGUUCCUUCCUCAGCCUCCCCUUUUAUAGUUCCAAGGGGAGGCCUAUGUUACAUGGCGUAGGUAAUAAAAUAGUGAUCGAUAGGGGCGUAGUGCGCUGACCUACUCGAGGCCUCCGUACUGGCGUGGCCUCGAGCUGUCUUGUUACUCGGUACUUUGGUGAUGAUUGCGCAUGCUUUCGAAUUCGGCUCCUGUGCGUCGCCUUGGAUUGGCUUAACCGUGGGCACGCCUGUACGUCAUGGCAGUAGUCACGUCCAGAGCGGUUGAGGUGCUGUCUUUCACCGUCUGACUCUUCUCUGGGAAGGAACGUAUUCGCUCGAGGGUCCGGUACCGCGCAUGGCCUUGCUUGAUCGAUGCGCUGACUUUGGAUGCCUCGAGGGGGGUCAUGAUGCGACGUCUCGACUGUCUCACUGUGCUUGGCCAUACUCUGGCUCAUCUGAAGGGAUAAAGCUGCAAAAAGGGGGAUUGGAUGAGUGCUCGCUCCCUAUCACGUCUCCUGUGACUGUCGGGUUAGGUGAGAACACGACAGGAGCAUCAAAUGCCCUGGUUCCCGUACCCGCGACAGGCGGUGAACGACGUCCUUGCACUCGAGUCCUGUCGAUUCGUAUGAGCCACUUCCGUAUUUGACGGUCACUGUCCAGUCGAGCCUCUAUCGAUUCGCACGACCCCUUUUCUGUGUUCGAGGCUAGGGUUGGCACCAUGCUUUGGUAGUCACGCGUGCGAGUGGGGGCGUCGAGUCAGGGGUCUCGAUUUGUUUACGGGUCCUCUCGUUACGAGCAUGGCUGGGGUACCCCUUAAUGACACCCUCGACAAUUAUUAUUUUAAAACAAUAAACAGAACCGAAAAAAUGAAACAAAAAAAGAACCCCUUUUAACACCGGUUGGUAAUACCAACCGGUGUUAAAGGGUCCUGCAACGUGGUUAAAGUGGGGGGCUUUAGCCCCGGUUCCCCGGACCGGGACUAAAGGGUGGGCCUAUAGUCCCGGAAGGGCAGCACCGGCUCGGGACCAGUGGUUGAUGCGGAUUGUGCUUCCAAUCUCUAAGAAAUUCUGCAAGUGUGUACUAGCAUCUUCAUGUGCCUUUCCACUAAAUUGUGUAGCUUGCACCAAGUUGAUAAGGCUUGACUUGAGCUCGAACUUGGGUGCUCCUUCCUCUACUUCAAAUCUUGGACCAGUUGGAAUGUUCUCAAGACAUGGAGUAGAGAAUUCUUGCAAGGUCUUCUGUGCCAUAGCUUCAGCAAUUGGUAGGUAGCUUCUUGUUUCUUUCUUGAUUGCUUUGGUUCUGAUGAUGAAGAGUUGAAUGUACCAAAGUCAAUCCUGAUAUACCGUGUAUAAAAAUAUAAACAUAGAAAAACAUCAGGGUGAACCUGCCAAAGCAGAGGUGCCUUGUUAUGAUUUCUCAUUUGCUAGUUAUUUAUGCAAUUAUUUCUCCAUAGUCUAGUCUAAUAGUUUACGUGAAUAACCUUGACUGACUUCCUAGCUUUCCUUACCGUUCUCUGGCAACGGUGCCAGAAAUGCUUGUUGACACUUGCUAACACCACUUGAAUACUAGGUUGUCAUCCCCAGCAUGGCACUAGAGUGUACUAAGGUAUUUAUGAAUAUGAAGGCUCUCUAGAAAAUAAUCUAUUCUAUCCGCAAGCACACAGAUAAAAUACCUCAUUGUAGCAUUUCACCAGGAAAAGUAUUCCGGGUAUCGUUAUUUAUAUUUUUGCUUAAUAGAAUGGCGAAAGUGAAAAUAGCGGUAAAAUCUAUCAGGGCAUAGACUAGAGAUAAACGUGCAAGAACAUGAUUACUAAUGAGAAACUCGUCACACAGUCACUUGCUUUAGCAGGGGGUAAGCCAUAAUAAUAAAGAUAAUAAAACGUAAGCUCAUGGGUAAAUAACACAGUGAUUAGAAAUAGACUACUCCACAUAAAUGUAAGGUGACGUCGGAUUAGCUAGAGAAUGGAUUUUGAGUAUCUACUAUCUACUAAGUCACAAUCUACUCUAGUUAUCUACAAAUCAUAUAUAGCACAAAAGACUCUUUAUUCAUGUAUAAGGAACAUUGCUAAAGUAAAUCAGAACAUAGCAAGACUUACUCCGCAAUACAAAUUCUGCCUGUCCUAUCAACGGAGGGUGGACUAUAUAAGAAUCAACAAAGCUGUCACCAUCGCGAACUACCACACGACCCAGCCAAUAGGAUACAUUUGCAGGUAAAUAAUAUCUAAGCACCAUGCCCACAUAUGAUCUACCACUUAGCUCCCUCGAGUCAAGAGCUAAGCGCUUUGCAAAUUUAUACAUGAACUCAUUGUCAAUCAUAACUAUAUCAAAUAUAGAACUAGAGCAAACUAAGAACAUAAUAAAUAGAGACAUAAUGCAAUAAAGUAGUAGAGAAAGAUAUGAAAUAAUACCAAUCUUUAUUGAUGAAGAUCCGAAAUCCAGAGCGCUAGGCUCUACUUCACUAAUUCUAUCUAAUCAAUCCUAUAGAACUUGAAGGAAUUGGAAGUAGCUAGUUCUAAUUCUCUGUGGGUGAGAAAUUCCUAAACCCUAACUUUGAUGGCUUCCUCUGAUAAUGAUUUCUCCUCUCCCCUUGGGGUGGAGAGGCCUUGCUUAUAUAGCCCCCUCAAAUGAAUGUGAGCCGUCGGAUCAAACCGACCUUAAUCGCACAGUUAUUCUUGAAGAUUAGAGGCGGUGGAGCACGAUCCAAGAGACCUACCCUGAUUGGUCACCAGGGCAGGGCAGGCGCCCAAGGGGGGAGAGCGGGCACCCUGCCCCCGGGCCGUCUCGGCCUCCCUUUCAUUCCCGUGGCUUCUGGACUCUUCUUGAUUGAGGAAAAUUGUGCGGCACGUAAUUAUCUCGUUGUAAACCUGACAUGUGGGCCUUCUCUCCAUAUUUUCUAAUAACCCCUGGAGAAAUAGACAAACACCAAAACUCGUGGAAUUCUAUCAGAUAAAACCCUAAUUCUAGAUGUUUGGUGCAUAUUGAUCCUUUUCCAUGUUUAGUUGACGGUUAAAUACUUAAGGACCGUCAACAAACUCCACCAAGCUUACCCUUUGCUCGUCCCUGAGCAAACAGCUAAAACUCAGAUGGAUCAGGAGUUGCUUCAAUGUUUUCUUUCCUUACAGGCACACAUGCUUUCAUAUAAAAUUCUCCUAGAUUAGAGUGAAGUGUCAUGGAGCUUAGUACCUGCACUUAAGUCUCGAGUAAUUGAAAGACAAAAUAAUUAAGUCAAGCACUAUUCCUCCUGUCUAUACUUCACCUUUGUUCUGGAGUUUUGCAUACGUUUUCAAAAAUAAAGCUCAGAGUUCCCAGCUAUGAUUCUCUCAAAUCUCUCUAUAUGUGGUAUUUGUGGAUCCUUACCAAAAAUGUCACUUACCUAUAACUAAGGGAAUGUUUACAUGGAGCUCAUAGGUUUGAAAAACAGCUCAUACAUAUGUUGUCUAAUCGAGCCAUGGAUGCGAAAAUACCACAUAUUUUCUGAUUACCCCUGCAGAAAUAGACAAACACCAAAACUCGUAGAAUUCUAUCAGAUAAAACACUAAUUCUAGAUGUUUGGUGCAUAUUGAUCCUUUUCCAUGUUUAGUUGACAGUUAAAUUUAGUACUUAUGGACCGUCAACACGCAACUUCUCAGUGUGAGAGUUGGCUUUAUUUGGUGGGUGCAAGUGAAUUCUGAUCUUGGAGGCAUGAAACAUCUCUCGACAGUGGUCUAAAAAUUUGACCAAACUUAACACAGAGUAAGCAGCAUAUGUAGAAGGUUCAUCGUAAAGAGAUAUAUUUGGCCAUUGGUAGAUAAAAGCUUAAUCAUUCAAGGAAUUUGCUAUAUGAAUUUUUUAACUUUGUAAAAUAAAAACCCAAGUACUUUGCAAAGACUAGCAAGCAUCAUGUCAUCCUACUAUAUCACAUCCGUCAAUUACUUAGAUAAAUGGGGUCCCUAACAAAGUGUUCAUAAAUUCACAGGAAUUUUAGUGAGAAAUAAAAGGGAUGCAAAACAUUUUGAACAAAGGAGACAAGUUGAUGGAGAAUGAAUGUACAAUAUUUUAAACUUUUAUUUAUAAAACUUUUUUUAAAUUUAAAAGAGGGGAGCGUUUAUACAAACCGAGUUUUUGUUGACGGUCCUUAAGUAUCAAAUUUAAUUAUCAAAUAAACAAAGAAAAGGAUCCAAAUGAAAUCAACAUCUAGACUUAGGGUUUUAUCUUACAGAAUUCCACGAGUUUUGGUGUUUGUCUAUUUCUGCAGGGGGUUAUCAGGAAAUAUGGAAGAAAGGGCCACACGUCGGGAUUACAUAGAGAUAUUAACAUGCCGCGCAAUUAUCUUACAUCUAGAAGACUCCAGAAGCCACGGGAAGGAAGCGGAGGCCGAACGGGGCCAGGGACUGGGCGCCCGCCCUCCUGCCGAGCCCAAUCAGGACUCUGUUUCGGGGAAGAUCUCCACCGACCUAAAGGAUCAAGGAUAACCGUUCAAUCUAUGUCGGUUUGAUCCAACGGCCCAUAUUCACUUGAAGGGACUAUAAAACCAUACCCCCUAGCCCCUAGAGGAGAGCCCCUCUCAACCCUAAUUCAUUAUUCCUUGAGGGAGAAGAAGCCUCUGAUCAAGAUUAGAGCCACCACAUCAAUUAGAUAUCUAGAUUAGCAUAGCUACAUAGGAUUAGAACUAGAAGGAGUCAAUCUUCGAUUGGUUUCCGGAUCUGUUAAGAGGAUUCUUGGUAAUUCUCUAAUUGUGCUUCUAAUUGUUCUUCUAAUUAUCUUUGUUCUUCAAUAUUAUGAAUAUGACUUUGUUCUACUUCAAUAUAUUGCUUAUGACUUUGCUCUACUUGCUUAUAUUCAAGAUUAUAUUGUUCUUAGUUUAUCGUAGUUAUGUACUGGCCUUAGUUAGAUUGGAUCUAUAUACAUGCUUAGGAUCGUAUAGCGUUUAUCCAUCGGAUCCAUGGGUAAAUGAUAGAUAUUGUGUAGGCAUGGUGCUUAUACCGUAUUUAUCUGCGAUUGUACCCAAUAUGCCAGAUCGUGGGGUAGUUCGUGAUAGUGACAGCUUCAUUGAUUCUUAUAUAGUCCCCCUCUCGUGUAUUGGGCUGGCAGAGCAAUAUUAUUACAGGGGAGUGAUUGCUAUGUUUCUCAUUUACCUUGCUAAUAUCACUAUGCAUGGGCGUAGUCUUGUCUCGCAAUGAUUGCUAAGUAUGGUUGCACUAAUUAUGAUAAUGCUAGACUAUAUAGUUGAGAAUAACUUAGGAAAUAUUCUUGUAGUUCGUUCUAAUACCAUUCUAUUGACUUUCUAGAGUAUCUAAUUGAGGUGCUUAUCAUAUUUAUUAUGUGGCUAAGUUAUGAUCAGAUUAAUUAUCUUUGUCACUAUUCAUUACUUCAUAUAUCUUUUAUGUGAUACUUACCCCUGUAUGAGAGAGUUAGAUAAAUGUUCUCAAUUAUACAUGCAAUGAUAGAUACUCAAUCUCAUAUUCUAUUCUGUAAUCAAUAUUGAUGAUUGCUAAUCCCUUCCCAGUGGUAAAAAUAUAAAUAACGAUAUCUGGAAUACUUCCGGGUUAAAUGCUACAUAGGUAUUAAUCUGUGCGCUUGCAGAUCCCAUUAAUUAUUUAUUUAGAAGAGCAAUUGCAUAUUUCAAUACCGUGUCUCUCAUGUCAUGCUGGGGAUGACAACUUGGCUUAAGUGGUAUGAGGGAUAGGUUUGGCAUUUUUGGCACUAUUACUAGAAUUAGAAAACUAAGUCUACUUUUGGUAGUGAUGUUAAGAAUACCCAACAAGCAUUUUUGGCGCCGUUGCUGGGGAAGGUUGAUUACUAAUCAAGAAUGAAUAAAGGAUUUUGAGUUAUCAUUCGCAUCACUAAUAUGAUUGAGCUUAUCUAUUCUCUCAUACAGUUUUACCCCGAUAUUUUCUAUUUUAUCUUAUGCAGGGGAAUGUAUGAAUAGAAGACAUCUUCCAGGAAAUUUUGUUGACAAUCAAAAGCAAGAGCCAAGCUCAAGAAUAGAUCAUCAACACUUCAGCAAGAAGCUUCAUCUAAUCAAGAAGAUCACUGGAACUUGUCUUCAGAGUUCGAAGCCAUGACGAACAAAUCAAUCCGCGAGUUCUCAGCUCCCACUACGGACAACAUCCGCACUGGACCUGCUGUAGAGAUUGACGGUAACUUUGAGCUCAAGCCUGGACUUAUCAACAUGGUGCAAUCCAACCAGUUAUGUGGGAAGGCACACGAAGAUGCUAGUGCUCAUCUCCAACACUUCCUGGAGAUUUGCAACACAUUUACCAUAUCAGGAGUCCCCAGAGAUGCUAUACUACUUCGCCGCUUCCCAUUCUCACUGUUAGGAAGAGCGAAGCAGUGGUUCUACGCUACAAAGGAGAAGAAUACUAUGUGGGCACUCUGCUCAACAAACUUUCUGGCUAAGUUCUUUCCCAUGGGCAAGACCAAUGCUCUUCGUGGGAAGAUUACAAGUUUUGAGCAACAAAAUGAUGAAUCUGUUCCAGAAGCAUGGGAGCGCUUUCAAGACUACAUCCUAGAAUGUCCCCAUCAUGGAAUGGAGAGUUGGCUACUAAUGCAGACGUUAUAUCAUGGGCUCGGCAACAGUGCCCGAGAGACCAUGGAUGCUGCAGCUGGAGGAGCAUUCUUAUCACUUACUAUUGACGGUGGAUAUAUUAUAGAAAUCCACAUACAAAACACCGUCAACAUGCCUCGGUUGCAAGGGGAAACGACAUGACAUGAACAUAUUUUAUCCAUAACUAGUUCCACUUGUACUCUUAGCUUGUUUAUGCAGGAACAACAAAUUCAAGACAUUAUUUGACAAAGCCAACAUCAGAAUCAUCAAGAGGAGAUCGAGGGGACAACAGGUGACACCCUGGGCCCACAGGGAGGGGGUCGCCCGACCCCUCUUUGGUGGGACCCAGGUGUGCCACCUAGUCCACCGACAUAAGGGACCCCUGUGGACACUGCUGGUGGGCCUAGAGGCCCAGAAGUGGGGUCGCCCGACCCCACAUCAAAGGCGGUUCCAGGGUCGGUGGCCUCCCACCGACCUUCCCCACAUGUCCCACAUGUUGAUUUGCCCCUGCCGUUGAUCAAAUGGCGGUUGUGAGGUCGGUUUGAUCCAAGGGUGGAGAGAAGAUGUCACGCGGAUCGAUGACGUGGCGAUGGAGUAACCCCUACUCCAUCUCCCUCUAUAAAAGGCAGCCUCCAUCCCUCAUUUCAAGUGUGCAAUUCCAAGGCCAAGUGCAUUACAAGUUCCAAGCAUACAAGUAGAGUAGUAGUUAGUCUAGAGUGGGAGUUAGAGUCGAGUCGAGCGAAGCUCGGGGUCUCCGGAGUCGUCUUCUGGAGAGUCUGGUAUAGCUCUUGUACCUUUCUACUUUUGUAAGACUUUCCUUUUAUUAAUAUAUUAUUCUUACUUUACUUUACUGAGUUCUUACUUAGUGCAAGUCUUUUAGUCUUGUUGUGCAUUUACUUUAGUAAUAUAGUUGUCUUAGUGAAGUUAGUGACCUGUAACCACUCCUGUGUGUGCAUCAUCGUCCUAUCUUGUAUAGGAGCUCUAGCAAGCUGCAACUAGUUAGCGUUGUAGGAUUAAGUGUGAGCGUGGUGCUCAUACUUAAGAUUACCUUUGAUUACCGCUGGCUUGAACGGAAAGUAGGAGCGCACUCCCUAGUAGGUGACAGAUCGUGGGCGGCAUUAGGUUCUCCUCACGUACAGGCUAGUUCUUAAAAGGUAAGGCGUCCAUAAGCCCAAUAGUCGCUUUCGGUAAGGGGUUAGGUGAAAAACCUUCUAAGCGUCUUACCAGCUCGGCUAUCCCUCGCACACAGUUAGUAAGGCUCUAGCGUAGUUAAGGCAAUUAUCUAUUAAAGUAAGUCACAGAAGUCAAGUUAGAUACAUAGGAGUCCUUUACUCACUCGUUGUCCUCCCACCUAGCUAACUCUACCAUUUACCUUUAGCAUAGGACCUUGGAUUCACCACUACCCUUCCUAUUCGUUAUUUACCACCCUUAUUCACUAGUUGAUACUAGAUAACUCAAGGAAUCUCAUUCCCCUUUUUGUUAAACACACUUAGCCGCUUUCCCUUGGGAAAAUAUAAAUUACGAUACCUUGGAAUACUCCUUGGUGAAGUGCUACAGCGGUACAUUCUGUGCGCUUGCGGAAUUAUCCAAUAGUAAAUAGAGUUACCCUACCAGGGCACUUCUGGCGCCGUCGCCGAUAUCCGGUGGUUGCGUUAAGAAGUGUCAACAAGCAUUUCUGGCGCCGUUGCCGGGGAGAGCGUCUGUCUAAGAGUUUUAACAAAAAGAGAAUCCAGAGUUUGCUAGUUAUCAAGUAGUGAUAGGGAUAACCCAUCACUUGUCUUGUCUUCCUUUAUUGUGAAGCCUGACAGUGUAUGAGCGGUUUCCAAUUGCCGUAAAACUUCGUUGAAGAUCCUGAGCAACUGUUGAGGAGAACUAGACGUCGUCAAGUUCCACCUCAAAGGUUCAUCUCGAACCUGAAUCCGUUAGAGGAAGGAGUAUCUGCACCGGUUAUCAAAGAAGCUAUGGCCCAGAAGACCAUCUCUGAGUACUCUGCGCCGUCGGCUGACAAUGUCGCCACGGGUCCGCAGCUUAACUUGGGGGAUGCGACUUUUGAGUUGAAGCCUGCGCUUAUCAAUAUGGUGCAAGCUAAUCCCUUCUGUGGAAAGCCACACGAGGAUGCCAAUGCCCAUCUCCAACACUUCUUGGAGGUGUGCGGCACCUUCACCAUCAAGAAUGUCGCCGCAGACGCCAUCCGUCUUCGCCUCUUCCCAUUCUCGUUAUUGGGGAAGGCGAAGCAAUGGUUCUACGCCAACAAGGGUGAAGUGACCACAUGGGAGAGGUGCGCCAAUGCAUUUCUCAAGAAGUUCUUUCCGAUGGGCAAGACCAGCGCCCUUCGUGGAAAGAUUUCCAGCUUCCAACAGCAAGCAGAUGAGACGAUUCCCGAAGCAUGGGAACGUCUGCAGGAGUACAUUCGCGCUUGUCCUCAUCAUGGGAUAGAGGAGUGGCUCCUAAUCCAAGGUUUCUACCAUGGCCUGACCGGUUUGGCCCGUAGUCACCUUGAUGCUGCCGCUGGAGGAGCAUUCUUGCAACACAAUGUCAAGGAUGCCAAGGACCUCAUUGAAAAGAUGGUUAUAAACCAAGGAUGGAAUGAGGAACGCCUCCAACCCAAGAGAAGAGGUGUCCAUGCCUUGAAUGAGGUGGACAUGCUCUCUGCUAAGAUGGACCUCUUAAUGAAGAAGAUGGAAGAAAGUUCCAAGCAAGAGACCAUUCAACCUUACGCCACUGCACGGGCCAUUGAAUCUGAUUCAUGGUGCGAAGUGUGCGGAGGAGAUGAUCAUUCGGGAAACAAUUGUCCCGAAGCAAAGGAGGAAGUGAGCUUCAUCAACAACAACAACAAUGGGUACCGGCCCCAACAGCAGCAAUGGAACUCGCGCCCCUUCUACCAAGGUAAUCAAGGUAAUGGUUACAAUCAAAAUUUCAAUAAUUCUUUUGGUAACCAACCUUCUCUUAGAGAUCUUGUCUUAGGCCAAUCUAAAAUCAAUGAUAGCAUUAACAAGAAAAUGAUGGCUAAUGAUAAGAUCCUUGAAAACUUAAGUGAAAAGUUGGAUAGCUUUAACUCUGCUAUGAAAAAUCAGUUGAGCUUUAACAAAAUGCUAGAAACACAAUUAGUUCAAUUAGCAGCAGCUGUCCCAUCCUUCGAGCAAGGUAAGAUCCUAGGGAAACCUGAGGACCCAAUUGAAGGAGUUAAACUAGUUACUACGAGGUUCGGUAAGCCUCCGGUACAAUCCAACUGGAGCUAUCUUCUGGAUUCGCCCUUCAUCACCAAGAAGGACGACCCAGGCCUGCCGACCAUCACCUGUGAGAUCGGACCGCAAAUCUUCCACAACGCCUUCUGCGACCUUGGAUCGGGUGUCAACAUCAUGGCCAAGGUAACUUAUGAUAAUUUGCUAGGGGGGCCUUUGCACCCCACAUUUGUUCGUUUGCAGAUGGCAGAUCAGACGAUCAGGUUCCCUGAGGGGUUGGCAAGGGACAUACUGGUAAAGGUCCAAGACGACUACGUCCCUGCCGACUUCAUCAUUUUGGAUAUGGGAUCCAAUAAUGAUGUCUCGAUCAUCUUGGGAAGGCCAUUCCUCAACACGGUCAAUGCAGUCAUCUAUGUGGGGUCCGGCCAGAUUCACCUCCAAUUCCCAGGAUGGAAGGUAAAAUGUCCAUUCAAUGGUUAUAAAGCUAACAUGCAGGUGAAGGACAAAGAACCUCCAACUAAGCCUCGCCACAUCCGACGCCGAAGGGACAAGAGAGGUAAGUCGGCCAAAAGGGCCGAAAAGAAAGAAGAGGAACCCGCUGAACCAAAAAUCAAUACCAAGCAAGUAUGGCGGGAGAAAGAGGUGCAAUCAAGGUCCACGUCUCCGGGACCAUCUGAUGCACCCGAAGGAUGAACAAGAUGGAGAGGUCCUGCUCUACGGACCUAAAACAUGGAGCCCUUGCUGAUAAGGUAAAUCAGUAGUUAUCCCAUAUUUAUUUUCUGCAUUUCAAUUUCUACUAUUCACUUUUCAAUUGCAUUCUUACUUUGAAUUUUGCAUAUCUUAUUUCGACAAAAUGUUUAGCCAUAAUAAAUAAAAUCUUGAGAAUAACUUGUCAUAAAAAUUUGAGCUGCUGGAGCUCCCAAAGGGGGGUUGCCCGACCCCACCUUGGGGCCCACUUCACCACAUUUCAACCUUGCUAGUCAUAGAGGUUCCAACCCAGCACUUGGAUGCUCUGGGAGCUCCAAUGUGGGGGUCGGCCGACCCCCAUAUUGGCCCCACUUGCCUCCUGCUGGCCGCCAUUUGAAUCACAAUGGAGUCCUAUGCUUGUAACACUAGCUUAAGUUUGAAAAAGAGUGGUCCCUUGAUCCUUUACUUUAGUCAUAAGAUGCUCCUUUCAUCUUUGAUUCUUUUGGGACCACUCCACUAGCUUAAAUUCUGCAAAGUGGUCACCUAGGCAUGCUUGAGUGCUCCCAUGGUCCAUAGGAAUCACUUUAGACAUGUCUCCACUUUUGCCAUUCAUCUUUUACCUUUCACAAAGCACUAAAACAGGGAAUCUCAGAAACAAUUUGAAAACUUUUGGUCCACACCUAGCCUUUACUUUUCUGGACAAUCAAUGACACAAUGUUUAAAGUGGAGGAGGGGCUAGGAUGGGGGUCAGCCGACCCCCAUUUUGGACCAUCUCUGCAAAAUCUUGAAAGCAUGCAGAAUGGUUCCCUAUAUAAAGCUAAACUCAAAUUCAAAGUGCUUCUAGGGGGGGUCGGCCGACCCCUAUAUUGUGGGUCAACUACUUGCCCUUCUCCCCCUAUAAAUACCACAGCAUUGUGAGCUCAACUCCACACCCAAAACCACCAGAACCAUUUCGAGCUCACAAUCCUUUCUCUUCUCUCUUUUUUACAAGCCAUUUCUCAAGUUUAGUUUAGAAUUAGUCAUCAAAACAAAAACCCAAAAAGAUUCCCCUUGCAUAGUAGUAGUAGUAGGAGCUUGGUUUGCCUCACUUGUGUAGGAGGAUGAAGAAGCAUAUCUUCGGCAAGUUCAAGAAAGCAAAGGGUGAGAGCUCUUCUCAAGGCUCUCACCAUGCUCAUGGAAGGGAGGAAGAAGAAGGUUACCAUGGGAUGGUACCCUACGAGCCUCCAUCAAGGAUGAGAGAGCCCGAGAGCGGCCUCAUGUUAAGCCAAGAAGAGUUGCAAAGGUACUACAUCAUCCGAGAGGGUCUCUUCCUACACACUAGCAUCAUCGAUCCGGACCUUUUGGCCCGCACAGGUAUGGAUGUUGAAUUCGAUAAGGUGUUUAGAGCAAUUGGUUGGAGUAGUUUUUGGCAAGUGCCUGAAUUUGGAAAAGAAUUGCUUGCUAAGGAAUUUCUAUGCACCCUAAAACUCACAAAUAAUGGAAUAUCUUUUCGCAUGUGUGAGCAAGAACAUCAAUUAAAUUGGAGUUUGCUAAACACUGCUUUAGGGUGUGAACAUGAAUGUGAACUUGAUCUAGAUCAUGCCACUAGAAUGUUCGAUAAAUUUAGAUUCUGGAAAGCAAUUUCUGGCUCUAAUGAUUGUUCAAAUCCUACUCCCAUUGAAAUCCAUAAUCCAACCUUGCGCUUUCUUCACUUCUGGAUCAUGUGCACUCUAUAUCCUGGCAUGGGAACUGAUACUUUAAUUGAUGAUGAACUUAAAUUCUCUAUGCCAUGGUUAGUAAAAUCAAGGUCUCCCCUGUGAAACUGCUAGUGAACUAUUGGCUUAACUCUAUUGAGUAUGGGAAGCCCAUCUAUUUCACAUCCUUUAUUACUCGAAUAGCCGAUACUUUUGGAUUACUUGAAUCACAUUAUUUUGAAGACAUUGGCUAUGUUAGAGGAGUGGUAGAUGAGAACUUCUUCAUCAAUGCUAACAUGCUCAUAAGAGAUCCAAAUGGUGAACUUAAAAUGAUUUAUCCGGGCUAUACAACCGAAAUUCCUCUCCCAUGUGCGAGGCGCCGGUUGUAUGGGGUCCGCACACUUACCAUUAGACUAGCCCGAGUGGCAAGUCCAGAUGUUGCAGGGACACGCAGGGUGACAAGAAGGAUGAUGCAAGCCGCCCAGAUGGAGCAAGGAGGAUCCUCGCACCAUGACGUUGAAGAGGGCGAUGAAGCGAUGUCAGUGGAUGCUUCAGACUCCAUGGGUCUACCUCCACAACGCACUCCACGCCCAAGGGACAGGGCUAGGCGUCACCAGCCCACAGGUAUGGACAGUCUCAUUAAUGACAUGGGCGAAUUGCAGAUUGGGCAAGAAGCAACAUUGCAACUGGCGUUACAAAACGGCCAACAUAUCCGACGUGUGCGAGAGGAAGACGCACAACGCUGGGCUGGAUGGUACCAGAAUUUCCCGCCACCACAGUGAGCGAAGAUCUAGCUUGGGGGAGAUCCUCUCCCCCACUAAGGUAAGUAUUCUAUCCUAUUUAUUUUCAUGCAUUUUAUCAUUCUUACUAAAAAAUAAAUAAAUAAAUAUUUAUUAGCAUUUCCCUUUAGCAUAUAUGCUUCAUGUAUGUUUAUAUCCCUCAUGGAAAUUAUGACUAGUUGCUUGUUAAUGUUUCUCUAGUGCCUAGUAUACAACUUAGUAUUUCUCUAAGUAUGGAUCACUUAGCUCACUUAAACUGCCAUGAACCUAAAAAAUUUGUGGGUUGCAAGUGCUAGAACUAAGUCUAAGUUGUUGUGGGACAUGAGAUAGUAAGACAAGAGCUACUAUAAUAUUUUUCUAAUCAUGCAUGAUUAUCAGAGAUUUAUUCUUAAAAUGAUCAAAACCUUAAUUGUUCCUCAAUGGUGAUGAAUUCCUACCACAGCCAUAUCUACUUUACAUAAUUGCAACCUUUCCACAUAAGCUAUUUGCUUUGUGUUGAGUGUCGUCAAGUCUUGUUGACCCUUGUUAAGAGACUUUUCAUGCUCCUAAGAUCAAGAUCACGUACACACCACAUAUAUAUAUGCUGCUUCUACACUGGAAGUACGCAACCACAUGUAUUUCGCAUCCACUAAAUAGGUUGCUCCAUACUCUAAAUGUUAGAACAUCUCUCUAAGCAUUAUUUGGUAAAUGAGACAUCAAAAGGCUAGGCAAAAUGAAAUAAAAAGAUGGAUAUGUGCAAGUCCACAGAAAAAGAAAAUUGAGCACAUGAAAGCUCAUAUAUAAAAAAAAAGAAGAAAAAAAAAUGCUAGCCAUGUCUCAAUACAUAGAGAAUCUAUCAAAUAAAGGAGCAACCUAGUCCACCAUAUAUCACACUUGCACAUCUUGAUCUGGGAGUAUGACACUUCUCUUCAAGGAUCCGAGCUUUGACUUCGCAAUACAUGCAAAGUAAGUAUGCUAUCUCCUUUCAUCCCUACCUUGAACUCCACAUAAGCCUUCUAGAAAUAGGAUGAAAUAGAGAAGGCAACUCUUACCAUAUGCCUUGGUGAGGAAUCAUACACCAUUUGAGUGACAUGAGAGAACCAUAAGAGGAACAUUUAAGCUUUCUUUUGAAAAUAUCACAAAACCUCUGAUAUGAAACUUGCUAAGAAUGAGAAAGUUAGUGCUCAAGUCAAACUGUUCUGUCUCUCAACCACCUAAGACAAAGGAAAAGCCAUAAGCCCCAUAAGGGACUAAGGUAAUAGGGGUAAGUAUACAUAGCUAAAUUUUUCAUGCAAAGAGAAGAACUUUGUUGUACACAUGGUACUCUUGAAAUGUGAACAUAGUAACAAUACCUGAUCCACCGAGGCUAAGUUUGAUUGUUUGCUCGGGACGAGCAAAGGUUAAGCUUGGGGGAUCUUGUUGACGGUGGAUAUACCAUAGAAAUCCACAUACAAAACACCGUCAACAUGCCUCAGUUGCAAGGGGAAACGACAUGACAUGAACAUAUUUUAUCCAUAACUAGUUCCACUUGUACUCUUAGCUUGUUUAUGCAGGAACAACAAAUUCAAGACAUUAUUUGACAAAGCCAACAUCAGAAUCAUCAAGAGGAGAUCGAGGGGACAACAGGUGACACCCUGGGCCCACAGGGAGGGGGUCGCCCGACCCCUCUUUGGUGGGACCCAGGUGUGCCACCUAGUCCACCGACAUAAGGGACCCCUGUGGACACUGCUGGUGGGCCCAGAGGCCCAGAAGUGGGGUCGCCCGACCCCACAUCAAAGGCGGUUCCAGGGUCGGUGGCCUCCCACCGACCUUCCCCACAUGUCCCACAUGUUGAUUUGCCCCUACCGUUGAUCAAAUGGCGGUUGUGAGGUCGGUUUGAUCCAAGGGUGGAGAGAAGAUGUCACGCGGAUCGAUGACGUGGCGAUGGAGUAACCCCUACUCCAUCUCCCUCUAUAAAAGGCAGCCUCCAUCCCUCAUUUCAAGUGUGCAAUUCCAAGGCCAAGUGCAUUACAAGUUCCAAGCAUACAAGUAGAGUAGUAGUUAGUCUAGAGUGGGAGUUAGAGUCGAGUCGAGCGAAGCUCGGGGUCUCCGGAGUCGUCUUCUGGAGAGUCUGGUAUAGCUCUUGUACCUUUCUACUUUUGUAAGACUUUCCUUUUAUUAAUAUAUUAUUCUUACUUUACUUUACUGAGUUCUUACUUAGUGCAAGUCUUUUAGUCUUGUUGUGCAUUUACUUUAGUAAUAUAGUUGUCUUAGUGAAGUUAGUGACCUGUAACCACUCCUGUGUGUGCAUCAUCGUCCUAUCUUGUAUAGGAGCUCUAGCUAGCUGCAACUAGUUAGCGUUGUAGGAUUAAGUGUGAGCGUGGUGCUCAUACUUAAGAUUACCUUUGAUUACCGCUGGCUUGAACGGAAAGUAGGAGCGCACUCCCUAGUAGGUGACAGAUCGUGGGCGGCAUUAGGUUCUCCUCACGUACAGGCUAGUUCUUAAAAGGUAAGGCGUCCAUAAGCCCAAUAGUCGCUUUCGGUAAGGGGUUAGGUGAAAAACGUUCUAAGCGUCUUACCAGCUCGGCUAUCCCUCGCACACAGUUAGUAAGGCUCUAGCAUAGUUAAGGCAAUUAUCUAUUAAAGUAAGUCACAGAAGUCAAGUUAGAUACAUAGGAGUCCUUUACUCACUCGUUGUCCUCCCACCUAGCUAACUCUACCAUUUACCUUUAGCAUAGGACCUUGGAUUCACCACUACCCUUCCUAUUCGUUAUUUACCACCCUUAUUCACUAGUUGAUACUAGAUAACUCAAGGAAUCUCAUUCCCCUUUUUGUUAAACACACUUAGCCGCUUUCCCUUGGGAAAAUAUAAAUUACGAUACCUUGGAAUACUCCUUGGUGAAGUGCUACAGCCGUACAUUCUGUGCGCUUGCGGAAUUAUCCAAUAGUAAAUAGAGUUACCCUACCAGGGCACUUCUGGCGCCGUCGCCGAUAUCCGGUGGUUGCGUUAAGAAGUGUCAACACUUGCCAUACCACAAGCCACAGCUCUUGUGGAGAAGAUGGCGUCCAAUCAAAGCUGGAAUGAAGAAAGGACCUAGACACGGAGGUAUGCAUCAGCUCAAGGAGGUAGACAUGUUGUCUGCAAAGCUAGACCUGCUCAUGAAGAAGCUCGACGAUAGAGCUGGAUAUAAGAAGGAAGUUAUGCACGUCUAUGACUCUCACAUGACUUGUGAGGAGUGUGGUGAUACUGGACACUCAGGCAAUCACUGCCCUGAGAUGCUUGAGGAUGUGAACUACAUCAACAACAACUACUACUACUACAACCGUCCUCAACAAAAUCAAGAUUGGAAUCAACAGAGGCCUAACUACUCAGGUAAUUAUCAAGGUAACAAUUCUUACAACAAUAAUAAUAAUUUUCCACCUCUGAGAGAGUUAGUGUCUAAUCAAGGAAAGCUAAUGGAUAAUCUAUCUAAGAAAUUGGCAUCUAAUGAUAAAAUGCUAGAAAAUAUAAAUAAUAGAAUGGAUAAUUUCUCUACUGCCAUCAAGAAUCAAAUUAGCUUUAAUAAAAUGAUUGAAUCUCAAUUAAAUCAAAUAGCUCCUGCUGUUCAUGCUACUAACCCUGGUAUACCAUCACAACCGGAAGGAUUAGAAUCUGCAAAUCUUGUAGACAUGUUUGAUGCAGGUAAUUGGAGUAACCCCAUCACUGAAUUCACUACUGACCUUCUGCCGGUCAAGAGAGGUGAUCCAGGACGCCCCGUCAUCCCGAUCUCCAUCGGCAUGGUGGACGUCCCAGAAGCACUCUACGACUUUGGCUCUAGCGUCAACAUUAUACCCAGGGUACUCUAUGAAAUUUUUUUUACAUAUCCUUUAUUAGAGACAACCAUGUGUUUGCAGUUUGCAGAUCAGACGAUAAGUUUUCCAAAAGGAAUAUUGAAGAACCUUUGUGUCCGAGUUGGUACCUUAUAUGCCCUAGCAGACUUCGUAAUGGUAGAGACCGGUAAUGAUGAGAGGGCACCCAUCAUCCUAGGGAGGCCAUUCUUAAACACCUCAGGAGCCGUCAUCUACGCUAGUGCUGCCAAGAUCAGUUUCUACAUCAAAGGUAGAAAGGGGACGUUUUCCUUCAAGAACAAGACUACACAAAUCCCAGAUCAAUCCAGAUAUGAAUCAAGGAAGAGGACCGACAGGAGGAACAGGAACAAGCAAGUGUGGACCGAGUCAGCUAAGAUGGUCAUUGCAGUUCAUGGAGGCCAAGAUCAUCAACUUAAGUCACCAUUUUUGACCAAGAAGGGCGACCCAGGAAUGUCAAGCAUCUAUUGCUCCAUAAAUAGAUACAACUUCUACAAGACGACUUGCGACACCGGAUCAGGCGUCAACAUAAUGGCCGCAGUCACCUAUCGGCUCUUGUUCGGAACCAUGCCCCUGAAACCAACAUACAUUCAGCUCCAGAUGGCAGAUCAAACGUUUCGAGAGGUUAAAGGAACAGUAACUGAUGUCCCAGUCAUAAUAGACGAUCAUUUUGUCUACACAGACUUUCAGGUUAUUGACAUGGGAGAAGACGAGUACGAUCCACCCAUCAUCCUUGGAAGACCGUUCCUCAGCACCAUUAAAGCAAUCAUCUACAUUGGAACCAGAGAAGUCCAUAUGCACUUCCCCUCAGAGAAGGUACGCCGUUAUUUUACUGACCCUAACUACAUCUUUGACGAAUCUAAGCAGGUCAGGAAAAGACGCAACCGCAACCAGAGGAGGCAGAUCAUCAAGGACGGAUGGACAGACUAUGAAGGAGAAGUGGUAAGGUCAGAAGACGUAGAGUUUAAACAGAAUUAUCCAGAGGAGACCGAAAUACCGAGUCAGGUAUGGAAAGAGAAGAUAACUAUACAUGAAGAGGAGGCGCCGCCGGAAGUACCGACUACGCCACCCAACGAAUCCCAGGACAAUUGAGAAAACGGAGAGUCCCGUUCGGAGGACUUCAAAAUACCGAACGCCUUGCCAAGAGGUAAACUUGGUAGUUAUCCUUUCCCUUUCAAUUAUUUAAAAUAGUUUACUUAAUUAGUUAUGUUCACACUAUCCUAAAAAGAAAUUAAAAAUGUUAAAAACAGUAAGCCCCAUGUGAGUAUACGAGUGGCAUGAAGCCCAUAAGUACAUUCACUGUGGUGGCAUAAAAAUGAAAUAAAUAUUUCUUUUCUGCUUUAUAAAAUAAAAAUAUAAAAAAUAAGGAGUAAUAUUUACUAAGGAGUCUCAACAUGAUAAAGGCUAGAUAUUUAUGCUAACACUUAAUCAGUUCCACAAGCUUUGUUGUCUAUUUGAGCUCCACAGAAUUUAAGAAUCAAGAAGACUAGCAGACGGAGGACAUUCUAAUCGCUGUCAGAAUGCUGCUGACUUUCAAAUAGACCUCUACCACCUGCUAGCUACAUCAAGAGAAAUUACGUCAAAAUUCAGCUUGGGGGAGAGCACCCCCAUUUAUCCAGCUAAGUGUUUCUACUCACGUUUAUACUUUACUCAAAUAAUAAAAAUAAGUAUUUCUAUCUAUCUAUCUUUAUACUUAUAUUAUAAUAUAUAGAUAUACAUUACUAUGGAAAACCAAAUAAAUAUUUUAUGCUUAUAUAUAUCUUUUGCUCAGUGUGUUUAAUAAAUAAAUAAAGUGGCUAUGCUAAUCUGUAUCUAAAUAAAACUCUAGCAUGGAUAUGAUGAAUAGUUGCUCUGCCUAAUUUGCACAUUUGAAGUUCUCUCACUAGUUCAGACAUAACUUUUAUAAUUUAAAGCUUGCUCUAGACCUAAACUUGUGGGAUGAAAACUUGAUCUAAAGUCUAAGUUGUUAACAGAUACGAUAUGGGAAGGUUGAGCUGCUAUUUAUCUGUUCCUAGAGAUGCUAGAAUUCUAGAUAAUUUUAUCUUUGAAAAUCUUUUAAAUAUUGCAUGAUGAGUUCCUGUAUGAUGAGAGUUUAAAUUCCUACCACAGCCAUAUAUACAUGUUUGCUAGACUUUGAGCCACACAUUUACUAUUUACUACUUAUGAGCAUUGAGUGUGGUCAAGUUGUGUAGACCCUUAGGAACUUGUCAUGUGGUUAAAUCAAGAUUUCACUUGCACGUUGACUCACACAUGCUACUUCUACUCUAGAAGUACCAUCCACAUAUAUCCAUCCAUUUCCAUCUCUACAAUCACCUAAAAAUAUUCUACAACUAAUCUAGGAGAGAAUAGCCAAAAAUAUUUCUGUUUUUCCCCUGUAAAUGCUCAAGUUAUCUUGUUACUACCACUUGCUAUAUUAUCUCAAGAGAUGAGUGCUCUAAAAAAAGAGAUACGAGGAAAUAAAAAGGGGCAAGUGCCCGGAACCACGAAAGAAAAGAAAAAGUGAGACGAGAGGUAAAAAUGGACAAGUGUCCGACAGUAGAAUUAGGGGUACAAGAUACCCACCGGAGAGAAAAGAAAAAUAUAGAGCAUCUCAUUCUCCUCAUAAAGUUUCAAAAAGCAAGGAAGGUAUGUAUCCCCUCAAAAGAGCAAAAGUAGAAUUAGACUUCCACCAUUGUCAUCACCAUACACCACUCAUUCGCCACACAUGCACAUCUUGAUUUGACUUAAUGAUUUGUUUCUUUGGAUCCAUAAUUUGACUAUGCAAUAAAUGUCUUGUGAGUAUGUAUAUUUUAUCUCCCACCUAUGAGCUCCAGAUAUUAAAGCCUUAUUAGAGUAGGGUGAGAGAGAAGGCAAUGUCAAUAUGCUUUAUACCACAAAUACCACAUAUAUUGAGAGAAGGCAUAUACCAUCACUGCCUUGGUAACGAUCCAGAAAUACCACAAAAGAGAGAUCUGAGAGAGUCAUACAAGGAAUCUCUGAGUUUUAUUUGAAAAUCUGCAAAAAACUCCAGAGCUAUAGCUGAUCAAGAAUAAGAGACAUGGCACUUGACUAGACUGUUCUAUCUUUUAACUACUCAAGACAGAAGUGACGGUUACAAGUCCCAUGGUAAAAGGUAAAGUAAGUAUGUUUUAAGUCUUGACAGUUUACUCUAACUCAGAGAUGAGAUCUUAUUUAAAAGCAUGUGUACCGUCAAUUUUUAAAGUAUUGCAACAACUUCUAAUCUAUCCUUGCUCAGGGACGAGCAAGAGGUAAGCUUGGGGGAGUUUGUUGACGGUCCUUAAGUAUCAAAUUUAAUUAUCAAAUAAACAAAAAAAAGGAUCCAAAUGAAAUCAACAUCUAGACUUAGGGUUUUAUCCGACAGAAUUCCAUAAGUUUUGGUGUUUGUCUAUUUCUGUAGGGGGUUAUCAGGAAAUACGGAAGAAAGGCCCAGACGUCGGGAUUACAUAGAGAUAUUAACGUGCCGCGCAAUUAUCUUACAUCUUGAAGACUCCAGAAGCCACGGGAAGGAAGCGAAGGCCGAACGGGGCUAGGGACUGGGCACCCGCCCAGUUGCCCUGGGCGCCCGCCCUCCUGCCGAGCCUAAUCAGGACUCUGUUUCGGGGAAGAUCUCCACCGACCAAAAGGAUCAAGGAUAACCGUUCAAUCUAUGUCGGUUUGAUCCAACGACCAAUAUUCACUUGAAGGGACUAUAAAACCAGACCCCCUGGCCCCUGGAGGAGAGAGCCUCUCAACCCUAAUUCAUUAUUCCUCAAGGGAGAAGAAGCCUCUGAUCAAGAUUAGAGCCACCACAUCAAUUAGAUAUCUAGAUUAGCAUAGCUACAUAGGAUUAGAACUAGAAGGAGUCAAUCUUCGAUUGGUUUCGGAUCUGUCAAGAGGAUUCUUGGUAAUUCUCUAAUUGUCCUUCUAAUUGUUCUUCUAAUUAUCUUUGUUCUUCAAUAUUAUGAAUAUGACUUUGUUCUACUUCAAUAUAUUGCUUAUGACUUUGCUCUACUUGCUUAUAUUCAAGAUUAUAUUGUUCUUAGUUUAUCAUAGUUAUGUACUUGGCUUAGUUAGAUUGGAUCUAUAUACAUGCUUAGGAUCGUAUAGCGUUUAUCCGUCGGAUCCAUGGGUAAAUGAUAGAUAUUGUGUAGGCGUGGUGCUUAUACCGUAUUUAUCUGUGAUUGUACCCAAUAUGUCAGAUCGUGGGGUAGUUCGUGAUAGUGACAGCUUCAUUGAUUCUUAUAUAGUCCCCCUGUCGUGUAUUGGGCUGGCAGAGCAAUAUUAUUACAAGGGAGGGAUUGCUAUGUUUCUCAUUUACCUUGCUAAUAUCACUAUGCAUGGGCGUAGUCUUGUCUCGCAAUGAUUGCUAAGUAUGCUUGCACUAAUUAUGAUAAUGCUAGACUAUAUAGUUGAGAAUAAAUUAGGAAAUAUUCUUGUAGUUCGUUCUAAUACCAUGCUAAUGACUUUCUAGAGUAUCUAAUUGAGGUGCUUAUCAUAUUUAUUAUGUGGCUAAGUUAUGAUCAGAUUAAUUAUCUUUGUCACUAUUCAUUACUUCAUAUAUCUUUUAUGUGACGCUUACCCCUGUAUGAAAGAGUUAGAUAAAUGUUCUCAAUUAUACAUGCAAUGAUAGAUACUCAAUCUCAUAUUCUAUUCUGUAAUCAAUAUUGAUGAUUGCUAAUCCCUUCCCAGUGGUAAAAAUUUAAAUAACGAUAACUGGAAUACUUCCCGGUUCAAAUGCUACAUCGGUAUUAAUCUGUGCGCUUGCAGAUCCCAUUCAUAAUUUAUUUAGAAGAGCAAUUGCAUAUUUCAAUACCGCGUCUCUCAUGUCAUGCUGGGGAUGACAACUUGGCUUAAGUGGUAUGAGGGAUAGGUUUGGCAUUUUUGGCACCGUUACUAGAAUUAGAAAACUAAGUCUACUUUUGGUAGUGAUGUUAAGAAUACCCAACAAUUUUCAUGAUGAUGUGCUUCUCCCCCACACUUGUUUUUUUUUCCUAUCUUUGAUUAGUCACAGAAAAACAUAUACUUUCCAGAAAACAAGUGCUCAAAAGAAAAGAUAUUUUCAUUCAUAACUUAAAUAGGCACAAUUACAUCAAAAGGGAAAAUGGUUGAAAAAGGGAAAGCGUGCCUAUUUUAUUUGUAUGAGGUUCUUAGAAACUUUUAAGAACAUGCUCCACCCCUGCUGCCUUAGCGAUCCUGUGCAGCUGAUUGCUAUAGCUGUGGCGCAUCUCAUCUAAUUCGUCCUUAAGUCCUUUGCCGCUAAGAUGAGCCUUGGCUAUGCGAUCAUGAACUCUCUCUACACUAGCGUGGGUGCUCCUAUUGCUUGCAUGGAGUGAGGUGAUGGUUGGCCCUUUGGGCAGCUGCUCAUCCUCACUAUCUCUAAAGAAACCUUUAGGCUGUCCCCUGAUGACAGUACUAACGAACUUGUGUUUAGCGCCUAAGGUUUCUGCUGAGGGCGCGGCUUUGCUAGCCGAAGCUUCAUCCUUACGGAAAAGUCCCUUCGCAUACCCUCCGUCGGGUUUGCGUAUCCCUCUAAAUAUAUAUGUGUGAUUAUCAUAAACAGGAGAUGACAGAGACAGCUCUUCGGAAGACGAAGGCAUGACAGUAGCUCCCUUGCUAAGUCCACCACCACCAAGAGUCUUCUUCUUCGGUCCUAGUGCGCCGGCGGUUGGACGAACAAUAGUGGGCUUCUUCUUCUGGGCGCCAUUCUUGAUGAUGCGGGAGCGGGCAGUCGACUUCAGGCUUGGGCUAAAGUCUUGGCUUGGUGGGAGAAAGGCUAGUGGUGCCUUGACUGCUGCUCGUGCUUCUUCCUCCACAAAGGAACUGUCUCUAAAGGGGACGAUGUCUAGGUUUGCGAAGGAGCCAGGGGCUUGGAUUAGGGAGAGGGCGUAGCUAGACAUUCUUGCCUUGGAUCUUGGGAGAGCUUAGCACACUUGGUGAGAGGAAGAAGAGAAAGGUUUGGUGUGAAGAAUUGAGAGGCCAAGGGGCUGCUUAUGUAGGUUCUUCUGCGCACCUAAAUAAGGAAUCAAACUUGAUCGUAGGCGGUAACAUGAUACUGGAGGGAUCAGAGGGAGGUACGAAAAAGAUUGGGGCCAAUUGGCUGGGACAGGAGUGUGGCCUCACCCAGGUGCGUCCGAACCCCCGGGGCCACCAGUCGGCCUCCGUUUUUUUGGCAACUCGCGUUAUUUGUUUCCCUAAUCGUGAUCCCACUUACGAUCAAUGUUGAUUCGCAGUGUAUUGGCGGGAUGGUAAAGAGAAUAAUUUUUGAAUUUUGAAUAAAACUUUCUAAAACUCAAGAGAUUGCACUAUCAUGCAUUUAUAUUGAGAAGAUGCUAUGAUCAAAACAGAUUUUAAACAAGAUAUACAAGAUCACAGGGGCAUUUUGGGUAAAACUUAAAUGCAUAAAUCAAGAGGCUUUAUUUAAAGUAAAAUAAAUACAACAACAAAAUAUAUAUUAUAUUAUUGUCUUUUUAACACAUUCCUUUGGUGUAUUCUUUAAAAGAAACUAAAUUUAUUUCAUCAAAUGAAUGGGGUUCGGGUUCGAGAAAUACCUUGAGACGUUGGCCGUUAACCUUAUGGAUGUUGCCACCGUCAUCCUUUAUUGUGACAGCUCCGUGCGGUGCCACCUCGAUCACUGUGUAAGGUCCGUCCCAUUUGCUCCUGAGCUUUCCUUUCCCGAACAAUUUGACUCUCGAGUUGAAGAGCAGGACUUUGUCGCCGAUCUUGAAUUCUUUAUGUAAGAUCUUUUUAUGGUGCCAUUUUUUUGUUCUUUCUUUCUAGAGGUUGGCACUGUAAUAGGCUUUUUCUCGCCAUUCUUCUAAUUCUGCGACUUGUCUUUGCCUGUUUCUUCCAGCGGCCUUGAUGUCCAUAUUCCAAGUCUUGAUUGCCCAGUGAGCUCUAUGUUCAAGCUCAAGAGGCAAAUGAUAGAUUUUGCCAUAGACCAAUUGAUAAGGUGACAUCCAAUGGGAGUUUUGUAAGCUAUCCUGUAUGCCCAGAGUGGAUCAGGGAGCUUAUCUUUCCAGCCUGUUCCCAUUUCGUUCACCGUUUUCUGGAGUAUGUUCUUGAUCUGCUUAUUGGAAGUUUAGGCCUGCCCGCUGGUUUGGGGAUGAUAAGGAGUAGCAACAUUGUGAUGGGUGCCCAAAUCUCACAAAAAUGUUCUGAAGGCUUUAUCAAUGAAGUGCGACCCUCCGUCACUUAUUACCAUUCUUGGUGUCCCAAAAUGAGGAAAGAUGAUCUCGUGAAACAUCUUUCUUGCAUGCCUGGCAUCUACUCCUCGACACGGUAAUGCUUCUACCCAUUUUGAUAUGUAGUCAACUGCUACAAGGAUGUGCUCGUAGUCGCCUAAUUUCUUGAAUGGCCCCAUAAAGUCAAUUCCCCAGACAUCAAAAAUUUUGACUUGGAGAUUGAAGUGAAGUGGCAUGGCGUUGCGUGCACUGAUGUUGCCUUGUAGCUGACACUGACGGCAUCUAUGGACGAACUUCUUCGUGUCUUGAUACAUUGUAGGCUAGUAGAAGCCGCACGUCCAGAUUUUGGACUGUGUGUGAAAUACUCCAUAGUGACCUCCGUAUGGUGAAGCGUGACACUUCUCAAUGAUGUGUGCACCCUCUGAGGUGGGCAGACAUCUUUGUAGCAGUCCGUCAGCAUAGACCCAGUAUAGGUAGGGGUCGUCCCAUAGGUGGCAGCGACUUUCAUAUUCAAGCUUCUUAUUUGAUUCGCCUAGGGGUACGUACCCUGAAACCAUAAAGUUAACAAUAUUUGCAUAUCAUGGGUUCGUGUCGUUGAUCAUCAGGAGCAUGUCGUCGCGUAGGAAGUCGUUAAUCUGCUGUUCCUGCAUGUUAGUGACUUGCAUACGCGAAAGAUGAUCUGCAACAGUAUUUUCUACUCCUUUCUUAUCUUUUAUCUCAAUUCAAACUCUUGUAACAACAACAUCCAUCGGAGCAGACGAGUUUUAGCAUCCAUUUUGGUGAGCAAAUAUUUGAGAGCAGCAUGAUCUGUAUAAACAAUUAUCUUUGCUCCCUCCAAAUAGGAUCUAAACUUAUCGAUAGCAAAGACUAUAGCGAGGAACUCUUUUUCAGUAGUGGCGUAGUUAAGCUAAGGUCCUGUCAAAGUCUUGCUAGCGUAAGCGAUCGCGUGAUGCUUUUUGUCCUUGGUUUGGCUGAGGACCGCCCCAACAGCAUAAUCGCUGGCAUCACACAUGAUCUCAAAGGGUAGCGACCAAUCCGGAGGUUGGAUAAUGGGAACUGAGAUGAGUGCCUCCUUAUGGUUUGAAAGCUCUUAAGCACUCAUCUGUGAACUCAAAGGGAACAUCUUUUGCUAAAAGGGCUGUCAGCGGCCGGGUGAAUUGUGAAAUUUUUUUGAUAAAUCGUCUAUAAAACCCGGCGUGGCCUAGAAAGCUGUGAAUUCCCUUGAUGUUCAUAGGGGGAGGUAGUUGUUCUAUGACUUAUAUUUUUGCUUUAUCUACCUCGAUUCCCUAUUCAGACACUAAGUGUCCCAAAACAAUGCCUUCUCGGACCAUAAAGUGGAAUUUUUCCCAAUUAAGUACUAGGUCCUUAUCUUGGCAUCUUUGCAAAACUUGGUCCAAAUUUUCAAGGCAACGAUCGAAAGUUUUUCCAUAGACCGAAAAGUUGUCCAUGAAAACUUCCAUGAUCUCCUCAAUCAUUUCCAAGAAAAUGGACAUCAUGCAUCUUUGGAAUGAGGCGGGUGCAUUGAACAACCCAAACGACAUUCUUCUCUAUGCAUACGUUCCAUAUGGGCAUGUGAACGUAGUUUUGCUUUGAUCAUCGGGAUGGAUGGGAAUUUGGUGAUAACCAGAAUACCCAUUGAGGAAACAGAAAUAGGAGUGUUUCGCCAAUCGUUUCAACAUCUCAUCGAUGAAGGGCAAUGGGAAAUGAUCCUUUUUCGUUGCCGCGUUAAGUUUUCUAUAAUCAAUACACAUUCUCCAUCCCAUGACAGUAUGCUGAGGGAUAAGCUCAUUCUGAGUGUUCUUAACUGCCGUCAUUCCUCCUUCUUUCGGAACCACUUGGACGGGACUAGCCCAGUCGCUAUGUGGUAUGGAUAAAUAAUCCCGACGUGAAAAAGUUUGAGGACUUCCUUUUCACGACUUCCCUCAUCGCAUUAUUGAGCCUGCGCUGUGGUUCAUGUGUGGGCGUGCUUGCAGGGUCAAUAGGUAUACGAUUGGUACAGAGUGUUGGGAUAACCCCCUUGAGGUCUUGCAGGAAUACCCAAAGAUCGACCUACGCUUUUCUUAAACAGCGAUGAGUCGAGAGGUUUCGUCAUCAGAAAGCUUAUCACUCAUGAUGACGGGCAUGUUUUUGUCACCGUGAAGAAAAGGAUAUCUUAAUCCUUUCGGUAGGGUUUUUCGCUCAACUGGAGGUGGAGUCGGCACUUCCUCCUUAGGAAGUUUGAGGAUUUCUCCUGUGUCGUCCUCUUCUUCUAUAAAGAAGUUAGAGUCAUUUUCUAAGGACGUCUCAGGAGUUUCGAAUGGCACUACCGACAUAUCCUCCUCGGGCAUAGAAGAACAGGGAGGUUCUGCUAUCGAGUUUCUAGCUCAAGAGAAUGAGAUUGAAAAUUUAUUCCUCCCUAUCUUUACAUCUAAUUCCCCUGUGUUGGAGGCAUCGUAAAAGAAUGUCUCCAGGGGGUGCCCGAUCAGCACAUCGAAGCCUAUGUCGUCAAAGAUAUGAAAAAUCUAGAGUCAAGACGACAUCUUCGUGCUGAAUGUUCACGUUGUAAACCACUCCUUGUCCCUUUUAAUGGACUAUGGUCCAUCUCUAAAAGACAAGUUGGUAGGAGCUAAAAUCUUAUCACCAAGAUGGGUGAGUGCAAAGCCUGAGGAGAAUAUGUUUGCUCCUACCGUGGGAUUAUACAACGUCUCUACCCAAUCAUCCUGGAUCUUGCAGUGAAUGGUUCAUGAAGGUGAGCAAAUCUGAAUUACUUCAUACGAAGACUCUCUUUCAUUCGUCCAUUCAUUGCUCAUGAUCGCUGUCAACUCCUUAAUGGAUUCUUUAAGGGAAUCACGAUCAGGUUCUAGAGUGAUACGAACAUGAUUGAUCUUCUUUUUAUUAUACUUCGAAUAAUUACCAAAAUCGUCAAUGAAAUUGUCAUUGAAGCAUGGAAGGGCAUAGGGUAGAAGGUUCUCUCUUAGCUCAUCUAGUUCGGGUGAGGAUGUCUCAGGUUGUGCAUUUGUUUCGGCCUCAGCCAAAGAGACUUUCUCAAAACACGGCUCUAGUUCUACGCGGAGGGGUUCUAAGGGGGGAGUAUUCUCUAGAAUGCGAUCUAGCAGAGCUUCUCCCUCCUCUGUAGUUUUGUGUGUGAAUGAUCCUCCCGCGGACGUGUCAAGCAUUAGGGCAGAUUCCUUGUUAAGCCCUAACCAAAAGUGCUGUAAUAGCACAUGGUUGGGGAUAGACAAGUCUAGGCCAGAUUUGGUCAAAGUUGUGAAUCUGUCCCAAGCUGCUCCUAGGGAUUCCUUCUCUUCUCGACGGAAGUUGAGAAUCUCUUGACAUAGGGCAGCAAUUCAGGAUAAGGGGUAGAAUGCUAGGCAGAUUUUUUUCGCAAUUCUUCCCAAUCGCCAACUACCUUCCCUACGUUCUGGGUGUACCAUUGCCUCGCCCUCUCAUUAAGAGAGAAGGGAAUUAAUUUCCACCGCAUUGUCUCGAGUGACAUGCCAGCAAUGGUGAGGCAUGCACAGAGCUGCUCAAAUCCCCUCGAGUGGUGAUAUGGGUUUUCGUAAUCUAAGCCUGAGAAGGAUUGUUCCCGAACCAUGGCUAUAAAAGCCGACCAGAGUUUGUAAAUCAAAGCUGUGAUGGGCUUCGCGGAUUGUGGAGGUGUGGCGAUCUCGGCCUUGGGAGGAGACAAAUCGAAGAUGAUAGGUUGCUCCAUCAGAACAAAGUAAGAAAAGAGUCGUAAAAACAAAAGAUACACAGGCAACUAGGUUCAGAGACUAAGACGACAACCGUUCCCCAGCAAUGGCGCCUGAAAUGCUUGUUGGCGCUUCUUAGCUACAUCAGAGAAAUCCGUAAGCACACGGAGUACCGUUGUAGCACUUCACCCGGAAGUAUUCAGGGUAUCGUAUUUAUCCACAGGGAACGGCAAAACGUCACUUAGACUCUAAACUAAUCACCCUAGAAGAUAGAAGGGAGCAGAACACGGCUGAGAGGAUACACUAAAGUGAUGAACCACUAAGUGGAAAGACCUUCCCACUACUUGCUUGCUUCAAGCCCACUAAGAGUCCUAGGUAACUAGGCGAUCCCAGUAUCAGACUACGCUACGACUGAUCGUGGGGGAUUACUACGGAUGCCAGAUGCUGUCACUACACUAACACCUACCCCUCUGCCCGAAAGCCGUACCACAUACGAAGGUAGCCCAUAACUUAGACACCAUGUCUACGAAGCUGACUACUGCUCUAGCAAUGCGUAGGAUUAUCCGUCUCUAUGAGGAGUCCUCUUACUAGAGCAUCGAUUCUAAGAACGAGCGACGAUCCCACAAUCAAAUAGCUUUAUGAAAGUAAUUCACUUAAUGAAUCAAAACUGAAAUGUGACACAAACCUCUUACUUCAAGUAGUAAGAACGAAUGUAGAGGUUCAAGAAGGAGCGAGAGCCGACAGGUCCGGCACUUCGUCCACCCUAGAGUAGAACUUGCUUCAACCCCGCUUCUAUACUUUAGCUAUUGCCUCUCUCUCAUAAGUCUAGAAUAACUGGAGCUAAACUAAUAAAGCACAACUCCUUCUUCUAUUUUCUUGUAUCUUGAUAUAUUUAAAUGGAGGAGUGGGGGUCUCAAUUUAUAGCUCCAUAAGACGGUUCGAGGCGAUUUAAAUUUGGUAGUAGGUGAAACCGUGCUAUGGAUGUCGCUAUGCAACUGCCUGAAAAAGGUGGGACCGAGUUGCCGCCAUGGGGGUGCGCCCAUGACAAGGAGCGGCCGCACCAUUGGUGGGCACCCCUGGACACUGCGUUCGCCUGGUCGGUUCGUCUCUGGGCCCUGAUCCUUCCCGUGGUUACGGAUUGAUCCCGUUCGGUGUUUUGGUGGGCUUUUCCAUUUAAUUUUGAUUUGCGCCUUUUCUGAAAAUGCUUUCUUGAAGUGUGCUUUUCUCGUGUCUUUUGCGCCUUUCCACGUGUCAUACCUGAAAUUAAUAUUUACAACAAAGCUUGUGGAAAGGUUAGAUAAAAGCCCUAUCAUCUAUUUAUUUUAUUUAUAAAAAUUAUGUUUAUUAUUAUAAGAUAAGAAGUGCCAACAAUAAGAUGCUCUAAGCUUCUCAAGUUCUUGUUCAAGGGUUUUCUUGUCUUAAGCAAGGCCUUGCAUUCCUUUCUAGUUUUACUAUAAUGUUGUGUGCAAUCUUAUAGCAUAGUGAAUAGAUCAUCUUUAGUGGGUUCAUCGCUAUCACUAUCACAAGCAAAUCGUCAAGCUCCGUUCGAGCUCCAAACGAUCCUCCGAGCUGGCUAGCGAGCUGCUGGGCCUACGUGCUACCGUCGCAUCCCAAUGAUGAUCGCCGCAAAGAACGACGCAAUGACAACGAUGACCAUCGUCAUGAUGACAUGUCAAAAAUCUUGAGGGCCAGAUAAUUUUAUCACCAACGACUAGACUUUCGUCUAAAGAUAAGUGCACUUCUAAUAUUUUAUUUAUUUUUGGCAUGAUAUUUUUAACAUUAUUAUUCUUCAAAGCAACUUUUUGGUUAGCUAACUAGUUUUUUCUCCUAUAUGAGUUUUCUAGAGUCGGCACUAUCUCCGACUCCUCCCCACACGUGCACGAGAUCUGCUCUCUACAUUCCGGGUGAUCGGCAGUAGUUCUCUAGCGAGGCUGGCAAUCCUACACGUGCCAAGGUUCUGCACCUCAUGCUCCAGAUUGUUGGCUAGACCACAGCUGAUACAAGCUCUAGGAUGAAUUAACUACUCGUGUUAACUUUAACUAUAACAUAAAAGCUAAAAUCUUAUACUAAUGCUGAUUUUUUAUCUAGAGUUUAUUUAUACAUCUUGUACUACCUAUUCUCCAUAUUUAUUUUUUAGGAUCUUGGCCUAGUCAACAAGCUAUGCUCGGGGACUCGUCGACCAUCCCCUAUGCUGUGCUCGGAGAAUGCUCCAACCACCAAGCACGUUCACGUUCCCAACCACGCUGGGGGACUUGUCGACUAGUCUCUAUACUGUGCUCGAAGACUGUGCCGACCACCGAGCACGUUUACGUUCCCAACCACACUCGGGGACUUGUCUACCAGUCCCUAUGCCAUGCUCGGGGACUGUACCGACCACCGAGUACGUUUAUAUUCCCAACUACGUUCGCGGACUCAUCAAUCACUCCCUACGCUGUGCUCGGGGUUUGCUUCGAUCACUCUCUGACCACAGCUUGGGGACCGCUCUUCUCAGGUACAUAUGAAUUGUACUCUUAUACAACUGAGGGGUGAUUUUAAUUUUUUAGACCUUGCUACAAGGCUCAUACUUCACCUUCCAGCAAGCUCGGGAACUACAUCAAUACAAUGCACCUGGCGAUGCAUCUCAGCAUCAAAAUUUCUAUGUGGAUUUUUCUUUUUAGACCAUGGCACCACGUGCCUACAUGACCUACUACGAGGCUCAGGUACUAAGUGGGCACACUUCACCUUACGUUGAAUAUGCUUAUUUUUUGAAAGACUAUACUUUGAGAAAAGUAAAGUGGGCAGACUUCAUCAAGAAAGAAAUAUUUUUUCUCAAGAGCACCAUGUAUUAUUCGGACAACUUGCUUCUUUAGUGUCAAUGGUGGUUGACUGUCUUCCAAAGUACUGUCACAACUAUUCGAGCGACUUUUCUUGCUGGUCGGAGACGUCAAGCCUCAUUGGUCGAAGAAGCUCAAGAUGUUAUGUCGCAUCACAAUACAUGGAGCUUGGUAUCUAGCUGUGGGGGUAUAAACUCCUAUACCCUCAUGGGUCGACAUGGGCCACACCAUUAGAGGUGGUCCGGCCCACAAGAAGACGUGCGGCGCAUGACGCUGGUCGGUGUGCACCGCAAGGCUACAAGAAGAUAUUAUACCAAAUAAGACACAUUACUUGUAACUCUGUCCCUUCAUGAUAUAUAAGGAGGGGCAGAGGUCUCUUAGACGGCAGAAGUCAGAGAUCAUAUUACAUCUCAUAUGAAUAUAAUUAGACACAAGACAUAGGUAUUACGCCCUCACGACGGCCGAACAUGGAUAAAAACCUUGUCUGUGUCUUGCAUCACCAUCUAGUUCAUAGCUUGUGCACCUGUCUACAAUAAUGUACUACUGAGGGUAUACCCCAAGGUAGACUGCUGACCAACUUUCAUCGACACUUACACUUGCCUUGGAGAGGAUCCAAAAAUACCACAUAUGUGACACUUGAAAGGGUCAUACACGGAAUCUCUGAGUUUUAUUUGAAAAUCCAAAACUCUGGAAUAGUAGUUGAUCAAAGAGUGAGUAACAUAGCGCUUGAUUUAACUGUUCUAUCUUUCAACUACUCAAGACAUAAGUGAUAGCUAUAAGUCCCAUGGUGAAAGGUAAUAUGGGUAAGUCUUGAGUUAGAAUAGUUCACUCUAAUCCGAAGGAGAGUCCUUGUUCAAAUGCAUGUGUACUUGUGAGGCAUGAAAUUAUUGUAGCAACUUUUGAUCCAUCAAUGAGAUUAUCUUUUCUCAGGGACGAGACAAAGGUAAGCUUGGGACAGUUUGUUGACGGUAGCAUGAGAAAGGACUAAAACCAGAAUACCAUCAAGCUAUAGGGGUUAUCACUAACAGAAUUCCACAAGUUUUUGAUGAUUAUCUGUUUCUACAAGGGGUUAUCGGAAUAAAAGAAAAAUGAGGUCCACAUGUUAGAUUUACAUAGAGAGAAUACCACGAACAUCAACUUAGGACACUCUAGAAGAAUCAGGAAGCCACACCCUGCAAGCUAGGGCCCACCUGCCAUAGGGCAGGGGCAGGCACCCAAGGGGGCAGGGGCGGCCACUCGACCACCUCCACCAAUGGGGUGUAACCUCAGAGAUCCUACCUCCACCACCUUUGAGGAGUAAUCUUGACCGUAUGUUUAAGUAGGUUUCAUUCGAGGGUUGUGGUGCUUCCUAGGGGGCUAUAAAUACAAGCCUAACCACCAUGAGGCAUCUUCUUCAUUUUAUUCAUUCGCUACAUCUAGAGUAGAAAUUAGGGUUUCAUCAAGUAGAAAAGAAGAGGUCCCUCUAGUUCAUCUAGUUCUAGUUCUAGUUCAUCUAGUUCUAGUUCUAGUUGUCUAGUUGUAUCUAGAUAAUAGAGAGAGAAGAGGAGAGCGUCGAGGAGGAGCCGAAUCUAUCAGAUUUGCAGUGUAUAUCUACAGCAGUCAAUUUGUCUUUGGUUAAUCUCUAGGUACUUUAAUUCUCUAAUUCCUGAGUUCUUAUUUAAUCUUCAUAUUUAUCUUCAAAUGCUCUAGUUCUUUGAUACGCUAGAGUAGUAAUUAAUAGGUUAAGCAUGGUCCUUAGUCUUGCAAUUACUUGGAAUUGCACCCAAUCAAGCGUAUUAUUGUGGUAGCCCGAGGAUCAUGACAGUCCGGACAGCCGACGUAUUCCGCCACGUUCGGAUUGGUGUUGCAGGAGUGUAGCCAGAGGUUUCUAGCCCCUAUCUCAUCCCUUUCUAUGGUUUGUGUUCUGAUGUCCCAAAAUAAGUAACUCUAGAGUAAAUCCUCAUUCCUAGAUCAACCUAUACUCAUGAAAAUUCCUCUCUACCCUACAUAUAUAUAUAGUUAUUCUAGGGUGAUCUAAACCUCAACUAGUACACAUCACGUUCCCCAUGGAAAAUCGAUACCUUGGAAUACUCCCAGGUGAAAGCUACAUUGGUAUCCAUGCGCUUGGGGAUUUUUUUGGUUGCAUUUAAAAUACCCAAUAUGGACACAUGAUCACAAAGAGAUGAAGCAUAAAGUGGAGAUCAUGGUGAUAGACAAGGAGUAAAGUGAUUAAGGCAAAGGUAUGAACAUAGGGUUUUGUUUUUGCCGGUCUAAGUUGAGUAGAGAAGUGAUUGACUAGAUUUAGGAUAGAUAGCUGACUAUCAAGAGGGGAAAUCACGGUCAUCUCUCGAAUCAAGUGCUACUUGGUCCAUAUCUUGAGCAUAUGCAUUAGGAUCUAGUAAAGUGCUAAUCUAACUCCUUUGAGAAAAUGUUUGUGAAAUGCUAACACACGUGCACAAUGGUGAUGGACACUUGGUGGUGUUUAGCACAUUUGGAAAGGAGGUGGAGUAAGCACAUUUGCAUAUCGCUUUUAGGAAAAUGGAACUCAUAUUGUCUAUUGUGCUGGUGGAAAGUUUGGAGAAGUCAUGGGAGUGUUUUUCACUGGAAAAACACUCACUGUACACUAGCCACGGAGGCACUAGACGCUGGCCCAACAUCUAGUGUACAGUGGCUGAGCAGUGCAGUGUUGAACUGUGUGUCGAAGCAUCAAAUGGUGAGCGUCGGAUGCGACUCUGACACUGUUCCCGUGACUGGAGAAGUAGUGAUGUUAGCGAUUGAGUAGCUUCUUCAAAGCACAUCGAAACCUAGGGAGCAUCGGGUGACUUGGAUGCAUCCGAUGCUCGUGCAUUUUGCAGAGCCCUCUGAGUAGCGUCCGAUGUUGAGACUCCACGUCUGGUGUGGAUCAUUGGAGCAUCUGGUGCUACUAUGUUUGGCACUCUUGUGAGUUAGCCAUUGGUGGCAAUGGAUGAGUUCAAAUAGCUAGUGACACAUCGCAGCAUGGAGGGGGUCAGAUGCUGGGGUAGCGCGUCCAACGCCUAGCGUUGGAGCAUCCGACGGCCCCGCGGAAAGCCCUAAUGGCUAGCUGUUGGGCUGACCUCUUUAAAUAGAAGGUGGCCAGCCUUAGCGGCUUUUCUCUUCCACCUUUGAACACUUGAGACAUACUUUGAGCUGGUGAACCCUCUCACCACUCAUCUCCUUGCUUGAUUGCUAAUCCUGGUGAGAUUGAGUGAGUUUCAAGUGCAUUGCUUAGUGAAUUGCAUCUAGUGGCACUUGAUCUUUGAGUUAGCUGUGGAUUUCUUAUUACUCUUGGGUAUUUCCCUACACCCUAGAUGGCGUGGAGCAGCGGAGGUGUAGAGCUCAUGAUUGGAGAUUGUUUCAAGCCUCACCAAGUGGAGAUUGUGAGGGGUUCUUGAGCCUUCCCCAUACGAGAUCGCAAUUGGCUACUCUAGUGGAUUGCUCAUGGCUUGAAGGAUCCCCAUCUUGUGAGUGGAUGUGCGGCACCCGCUAAGGGUUUGGCUUUGGUUUGCCAAUUACCUCGUGAUCCAUCAAGUGGGUGUAUCUCCACAAUGAGGACUAGCUUGACGAGAAGCAAGUGAACCUCGAUAAAAAAUCUUAUGUCAUCUCUUGCCGAGGAUUCUCUCUUGUAAUUGCGAUUGUGAGUGAUUGUUUGGAUAUAUCUCUACUCUAUAAUAUUAGUAUAAGAAUCACACUCCAAUCAUUUAAUUACUUGCAUAUGUUACUAGUUGUUUAGCUUGUGUAGCUUAGUCUUCUUGUUUAGGAGUGUUGCUAGCCCUUAGUUGUAGUUUGUGGUUGUGACUUAGUGUUUAGCCUUCUUGCUAGACUUAUGUAGGUGGCUUACAUAGCUUAGUUGUGCUAGUGCUAGAAUAGCUUCGCCAUUUAUUUUACUAACCAACUUGUCUAGUUGAGAUUGUAGAAAAUUUUAAAUAGGUUAUUCACUCCCCCUCUAGCCAUUUGGACCUUACAAUUGCUAUCAGAGUCGAGGCAUUAUUUAUUUGAGGCUUAACAACCUACGGUGAAUAAAUGGCUUUUAGUCUUCACAUAAACAACAUACCACAAACAAAUUUGUUUUUUCAUUUUAUGAUUUUUUUUUGUAAUUUAUUAUGAUUUUUCAAAUAUUUAGCGAAAAAAAAUAAAAAAGAAAAAGACAAAACCACUCUUCAAAACCGCUCGAGGGGGUAUUUGACUGGUUUUGAAAAUUCCAGGGAAUAGACUAUCCGAUUGUAUAGUUUGGAAGUAGGCUACACUGGAUAGUUGAGAGGUUAUGUAGACUUUUUUCUUCCUAUUUAUUUGUUUUUUUAUUUAUCCGGCAAAUAGAGAACGUUCAUGUGAAGCUACCUUGGAAAAAAUGCCUUUCAUAUUCCAAAACUUUUCUAACAAACAAUAGCCUACACAUAUAUUGUUGUGCAGGAGUUACAAAAACAAUUGAAACUCGAUUGACAUUUUAUAUCAUUUUUAAUGAAUUCCUGCAGACUUAUCAAAAGUUGAACUCAUAUGGAUACCUCCAAUAGGAGUAAAUACAAAGAACAAUCUAUCGCAUAUCACAGAGUUAUUCGAGAAAACAUUUGUCUGCUAAGGAUAAUUGAUCCUUCUGUUUCUAAUAAAUUAUUAUAAAAUAAUUGUAAUUGUAAUAAUUCUAAAUUUCAUUGGAUAAUUCUAUAUUUUUGCAUAGUAAUAUGUUUUUGUUCCAUAAUCUUUAUAUUAAAACUCAAAUGAUUUUAGCAAUUUGGAUUAAAUUUAAAUGUAACAUGCUAAUUUAAACUGAUUGUUGUGACACCCACUGUGAAAAAUAAAUCUUAAAAAUUCAAUCGGAUUAAAUUUAAACAUAUCUUUGCAGAUUAAAUAUUCUAAAAUUUUCUUCAAUUUUAUAAAAACAGAUACGUCAGUUUUGGAAAUUAGUGAGGAAAGUUCGAAUUGACGCCAUCGAAGAUCGCCAUCUAGCUAGAAAUUCGGUCUCGAUCCCAUCAAAUUCCAAAUUCUUGCGCGCUGGUCUGGCCAGACGGGCCCGCACAGUCGCCACUAGUCCAAAUCUAAAAUAUAAAUAAAAAAGGUUCAAAACCUUCUACUGGCUUUUAAAUUAAGCAUGGUGCUUAGGUUAAACAGCCUUUCUUAAUCUGAUUAGACAUGGAGUCUAGAUCGGUUAUUGAACUAAAAACUGCUUGUGUAGACAUUGGUAUAUUUUGUCGGACUAACCCCUGCAGAAAAACUUUCAAUAUCGAUCUGGGAAGUCCUGAGAUAAACUCACAUUGGAGAUGAAGAGAGAGACACAUGAAGUUUAACAAUUUGCGCAAGAGGGACAUAGCUCAUUCAUCAUAGAGAGAUGAUCCAUGGAAAGAGACAAAGUACAUAAACAAGAUACACAGCCACUACGAAUGGGAAGCUUCCACAAGGUGAGAUGGUACCAUCACUCUUCAAUUAAGGUAACAUCUUAAGAUAUGUGACUAUUACUUUUAUGAGCUCCUCCUUGGUUCUGACGUUCACAUAAAUAAAGAGACAAACAUGUAUGAUUUAUAACUCUAGAUUAACCAACCCAAUCGAUUCAACAUGUUUAGUCCUUCCACCUUUGUGAUCCCACAAUCCUAAUCAUAUGAGCUAAAAUGUUGCACACUCAAUCUUUGGAAGAUAUAUAAAAACAUAAAUAUAGAUAGAUUAUCUUUCCAUUAGGUAGAGCGAUCUGAUUUGACAAAUGUUUUAAAUGCUACACUCAUGAUCUUAUUAUCCAUCAACUUUGUCUUGCUCACUAUACUUAAGGUUAGCGAAGAACAAAUACACUUUUGGUUCUGUUGGUGUUUUCCACCAACAGGGCCCAUGCACUUGAUCUCUGCCCUGUCUCUAUGAGCAGUUACACUUCGAGCAAAACAUGAAGGAGUUUGACAACUUCCAGACUCUACCAAGUGAAGGACCUGGAUCUACGAGCAUAAACACACUAAGCAAGAUACUGCCGACGGCGCAUUUCGUGUCACAGAACCGACCAAAUUAUAAGAGUUCAAGUGUAGAAACGAUCGACAAGCAAUCAAGUUUCCAAAGUUGAGCCCAUAUAAUCCCGGUAGUCAACUGAAAUCACGAAGGAUUUCAAACCAACUCGCAACAAACCAAGAUCGUAAUAGUUCAACAUAAAUACAACGAAUGUUACAUAGUCAUUCAUUGCCGUCGAAGCGGCACCACAUCGGAGUCAUUAAGUUAUUACAACACAUGUUCGAAGUAGCGGAAGCAAAAUAAUUACACACACUUGUUCAAAGUUCAGUUCACAAGUUUUUGUUAUUGCCAGAGUCUACACCAUCCUUCCCAAAGCCACAGGUACGAGUUUGUUAGAGAAACAUGCCCAACGGUUAGUCCUCAUCCCCAGCGGGAUGGAGAUAGGUCUUGCAGAAGCCGUCAUAAAAGAUGUCAUCUGCAACAGGUGGGAAUAAACCCUGAGUACGAGAAUGUACUCAGCUAGACUUACCCGUCUAGUAAAACAUAAAAGACACCAAGGAUCAUGCAAGGCCAAUAUCAAUUAGGGCUAGUUGACUCAACAUUUGCCAAAAGCUUGCAUUAAAACUAACUUAUUGUGAAAGCAUCAUUUUUAUUCAUUAUCAGCCUUCCACUAGAUUUGCACCUGUACUAAACCACUUCACUUGAUUAUUACAAGCAAUAAUAACCAUAUCAAGUUCAUCAUAUGUUCUUCGUUGCUAUCAUCAUUAUCAUGAACCAAGUUCAUUAGUGAAUGCUACGUUUGCCGCUGCUUUGUCAAGUUCUCACUGACCGGGAGAGACGGUGAUUCGAAUCGAAUUCCUAUCCAGCUAGAGGGGUAUUCCUAGCACUCACCAAGCAUCCCCCAACGGGUCACCUUUGGUACGACUCAGGAAUCGCGGCUCCGAUCAGCGCCGCACUCCCAGGGCUACCACUCUGCCAGGGAGGUCAGGAAUUUUAACUCACCUGCCUCUGGGCUUACGCUAAUGGUCCCCCGCACACCGCACUUCCUCCGGUAGUGCGCACUUUAUACUUGCCGGUCUUCCGGCCUUAGUCAUACUACUCGGCUUCGCGGUCAGAACGAGUUAUCCGGCCAACUAAGUGUCAGGCAUGCGUUCAACAUGACAAGAGGACGUACAACGGUCGGUCCUUAGCUGCCACAGACGGAGUUACUACAACCUUGCAAAACUCCGCCCGGCUUAAGUCAAUUUAAUCAGGUUCCAUCCACGAUAGCACAUAUAGACCAUCGUGAUCCGACACAACCCUAUAUCGCGCAGGUGACAGGAAAUCACCCGACUUCUACCGAUUAAGCAUGGCUAAGCUGCUACUCGAUCCUAACUCUACAACUAGGGUAGGGUAAGUUAUCUGGACAAGGAUGGAGUAAAGUGCAGCAAAGGUUUCAUCACCACUCCUAUACUUAAUGCAUCAAUAGAUAUAGCAUAUUAAAUAAACUUUCAAAAGUAAAGGGAGGCUUAGAAUGCUCCGGGGCUUGCUUUUCAUGAACGAGGCUGGCUCGUGGUUCCGGUACUCAACUUCUUCUUCGGGCUCCUCGAGUCCGACUUGCUGGACCUCCACCUCCUGGCUGCCCUCCUGGCCUUCGGGGUUCGCUUGGAGCUCGAAGGAAGCGGUCACGUCCGAUGCACCUAUUGUAUGCUCAACUAAUAAGAAGACGUGCAUAAAAGAGGAUGAAUGCUGGAUACAUAAAUAAACUCACUAGACACUCAUUUACGGAGUAACUUCUAUGUGAACUUACAAGAAAUCCACAUGAAUUGAUCAAACUGGACAAGUCAACUUAUAAACAGCAAGCACCCAAAACAGGACAGCUCAGUAAUCAGACCAAAACUAGUACUAGACAGAUCCAACAAACAUGAGUGAGGACAUUAUGGAAAGCUUAUAAAAUUGCCUACAAUUCAUCUUUAAACUUCACAGCAAGAUUCAUAAGUUAAACCAGCCUUAAAAACAAAGUUCCAGGUUCUGUCCCAGAAAACAGAGAGCACCUAUUUCUGGAACCCAACUUGGAACAGCCAUAACUUUUAAACUGCUUGGCCAAUUGAUCCCAAAUUUAAACCACAGCUAAUUCAUAAAGUUUACUACAACUUUGAUUUAUACAAGUUUCCAGAAAACUCAGUUAUCAUUAAGCAAAAGGUAAAUUACUUCCUUGCUGUCCAGAACAGCUUUUAGCCCACCAAUUAAUUAUUUAAUGACAGAACCAAAACAUAAACAAUGCCAACCACAUGGCUUAUGAGCACAAGCACACCACAAGAUAACCAGAACAUCAUAUGAUGACCUCCAAAUAUUUAUUAACAAGGCAUUUAUUAAUUUAAUUCUAGAAAAGAGCAUAAUUACAAGAUACUGGUAAAAUUGCUCACAAAAAUCUACAAAAAUUACAGCAGUACAAGUAUAGCACCAAAGCAUUACCAUAAAAUUUUCAGAGCAAAUGCACAGACCAAAUUAAAGAUAUGCAUUUAACAUGUGACAAGGUGUUUAUUUCAUAAAUUCAGAAACAUGGCUUACAAAGUGUCAAACAGCAGAUUUCAGAUUCUUUACAGGUUAUCAAUACCAUAAACAAGUUUGUCCCAAAAGUAGAGCACCAAUUAUUUUAUAUGAUUUAAUUAAGGAAACAAGCCAAAUUUCAAACAUAAAUUACAUAUCAAAGCUGCAUUAAUCCAAAAAUCAUGACAUAUUUAUCAUAGCCUUCUAACACGACACAGACACUACCAUAAAAAGUUCAAAGCAAGAUAAGCAGUAUAACAAGAGAUAUGAAUUUAUUCAUGAAUAACAAGAUUAAAUCCUAAUAAUUAUUUUUCCCAGAAAACAUGUUUCAUUUUAUAUUUUUAUUAAAAACUAGCCAUCUCAAGGAAUACCACAAAAUUGGUUUCACAAUUUUUGGAUCUCAGAAACAGGAGAUAUGAUUUUUGUAAGAAAGCCAAAAAUCAGGAUUUGAAUAAAAGAAAAGGAGGGAAGUGAGGUGACACUCACAGUGGACCCCGCAUGUCAGGGUCAUCUUCCUCACCGCCGAGGCGACUCUCGCCGGCGAUUUCUCCGCGACGGCGAGGUCUCCGGCCAAACCAAGGGCACCAUUGUGAUCCCCAGACUCUAGCGACUCGAUUGAUCCUCUUUUUCCCACGGCGGAGCCACCGGAAAUGGCUCGCCGUCGAUCAUGGCGGCUCGGCGGAGGUGCUCGGCGUUACGCCGGAGCCCUCAAGCCGAUAGAGCGUGACCUAGGGUUUCCUACAGCACCAGUGGACUACGGCGAAGCUUCCUAGGUACGCGGCUUGGCUUGAAACAUCGUGGAACGCACUGGCCACGAGAGACCCAAUCUCCGGUGGAAACACGGCGGCGCUGCGCAUCGUGUCCGGCGACGGUGGGUUCGGUAGAGCGUCCACCAAGAGGUGCAACCGCUAGCUAAGAACCUAAGCUAUCUCUAGAACCUAACCAAAGGAGAUGGGAGGCUCCGAGGAGCUCAGCAUUGAGCUCGCCGGAAAAGAUGGUCACGGCGACCCGAUUUGGGGGAAGAAGGAAAUGGCGGCUCACCGGUGGGUUUCGCGGCGAGCUAGAGGGUGGAGAGUGGAGAGCGGCUCACGGCGGAGCUAUGGGCGGAGUUUGGUGUACUGCGACGCAGCGAGGAGCGCACACGAGCUCGCCGGAGUGAGCUCGCGACGGUGAGCUCGCUGCGGGCGCUCUUCUGGCGAGAGAGGCGAGGCAGAGAGGAAAUGGACGCGUCCACUCCGCUCGGGGCGUCUCUGUGGAUGACAUGCGCGCGCUGGGAGCUGAUGAGCGGGGCUAGGAGCGGCGUAUGGGCGCCAAAUGUUGACGGAGUUCUGUCGCCGGUCGGCCACGUCGCCGAGCUCGGCUCCGAUUCAGAGCAAACGCUGAUGGUCUGACAGAGCGACUUCGACGGUGAUUAUCUCCCAAACCAGAGCGAAUUAGGAGAUGAUGCAGUUGACAAAGUUGGAGUCUCCAAUCGAGUUCUACAACAUUGUCAACUAGAGCAAAAGCCAGAUCGGCCUGGAUUGAGAUAUAUAGAGUUUUCAAAACCGAUCGAGCAAACUGUUUUCAUUCCAGGACUUAGAAAAUUUCCUAAGUGUUGGAAACAGCCCCAAAUUUGCCUUGUGGGUCAAAUUUGAGCUAGAUGUGCUCAUUUUCAUGAGAUGGCCAUAAAACAACUUUUGUUCCUUAUAAAAUUUUCUACAACUUUGCUGUAGAAAGUUUUGACAUGCAAAUAUUUUAUGAAACACUUUUUAAAAGCCUAAGCAAAAGAGGUUUCUAGGGCCUAUUUGUAUAAGUAUGACUUAAGUGAUUAUUUUGGAGAAGUGAUCAACAUGAACAUUGUUCCCAAGGUUAAGUUAAGCAUAGAUAAACUAAUUACCAAGGCAUAAAGCACAAACACAAGCAUGGUUCACUCAAGCAUAGGCAAGGGAAGACUACUUAAACAAUUUAAAUCACAUAUUUGCAUGGAAUUACAUGGCUCAAGAUAGAUGAUGAUCAUGAUAUGCUUUGAGUAGAUGAUGAUGCUCAUGCUAUGCACAUGAUUAACGCAACCAUAACACUGGGGUGUUAGAACCCUCCCCCCUUACAAAAAUCUCGUCCCGACAUUUGAAAGCUUACUGAUUUUCGAAGAAUGUUUUGUAAACUUCUUUUAAAUAAUCCUCCGUCUCCCAAGUGGCAUCUUCUUCCCUGUGGUUACUCCACAACACUUUGUAGAACUUAACCACACGAUUACGAGUCACCCGUUCCUUGCGGUCAAGAACUGCUACAGGUUUUUCUUCAUAUACCAAGUCUGACUUCAACUUGAUAUCCCGAACUUCCACUCUUUUCUCCGGAACCCGAAGGCACUUCUUUAAUUGUGAUACGUGGAAGACAGGGAAAAUAGCUCGAAGCGCAACUGGAAGUUGAACUUUGUAUGCUACGUUUCCUUUCCUUUCGACAAUCCGAUAAGGUCCCACAUAACGAGGUGCAAGCUUUCGCUUGACUCCGAACCUUUGUACACCCUUCAUCGGAGACACCUUGAUAUACACAUGGUCACCAACUGAAAACUCAAUCGGCUUCCUCCUUUUGUCGGCAUAACUUUUCUGUCGAGCUUGAGCAGCUUCCAGAUGUUGCUGGAUGGUACGGACUUGCUGCUCUGCUUCGUUCACGAAAUUGAUGACAUAAUACCUUCGCUCUCUGGCUUCUACCCAAUUUAAUGGGGUUCGACACCUUCGACCAUACAGGGCUUCAAAUGGAGCCAUCUUGAUACUCUCCUGAUAACUGUUGUUAUAAGAGAACUCAGCUAAUGGCAACCACUUAACCCAAGAACCUUUUGAAGAGAGAGCACACGCCCUUAACAUAUCUUCUAGGAUCUGGUUAACACGUUCAGUUUGACCUGCUGUUUGGGGAUGAUAAGCAGAGCUACGGACUAAAUGAGUACCAAUCUACUCAUGCAGACAUUCCCAAAAACGAGCAGUGAACUGUGGUCCACGAUCUGAUACAAUAGUUCGAGGCACGCCAUACUGACGAACAAUGUGCUCGAAAUACAACUCUGCAUAUUGAUGUGGACGAUAGUCAGUUUGAACUGGAAUAAAUCGAGCAACCUUGGUCAAACGAUCUAUAAUCACCCAGAUGGAGUCGUAACCCUUAACAGAAGUUGGGAGUCCAAUGAUGAAAUCCAUGCUGACUUUUUCCCAUUUCCAAUCAGGAAUUGACAAGGGUUGAAGCAAACCAGCUUUCAUGUGAACAGCCUUCACACGACAACAAUUGUCACAACGAGCGACAAAAGCAGUGAUCUCCUUUUUCAUCUUUGUCCACCAAAACAAAGGUUUCAGAUACUGAUACAUCUUGCUACUACCAGGAUGGAUAGACAAUUUGGAUGAAUGAGCUUCAGAUAAGAUCUGAUUUCGUAGCCCACGGUCUUUUGGGACCACUAGUUGAUCCUUGAACCAAAGAAUUCCGUUCUCAUCGACCCUGAAAUGCUUUGUCUCUUCUUCCUUCAUUUUUCUCUUUAUAUGGUGGAUGCCUACAUUUGUUUGCUACAAUUCGAUGACUCGAUUGCGAAGGGUACUCUCUAGAGAAAUCUGGUUGAGCACAAGUGGAUGCAUAAGAUGUGACAACAACAGAUCUUCCACUUGGAUAGAGUGGCAGUGCGCUUUCCGACUCAAAGCAUCCGCAACCACGUUUGCCUUGCCCGGAUGAUAGUGCACUUGUAGAUUAUAAUCUUUAAUCAACUCAAGCCACCUUCGCUGCCGCAUGUUCAGUUCAGGUUGAGUGAAGAUAUACUUGAGGCUCUUAUGAUCGGUGUAGAUAUUACACAGAUUACCCAGCAAAUAAUGCCUCAAGAUUUUCAAAGCAUGAACAACUGCCACCAAUUCUAAGUCAUGAGUAGGGUAAUUGACCUCAUGCUUUCGGAGUUGGCACGAGGCAUACGCGAUAACGCGACCUUCCUGCAUUAACACACAGCCUAAACCAAUACCUGACGCGUCGCAGAAGACAUCGAAGGGUUUCUCGAUAUCAGGCUGAGCUAGAACAGGAGCUGACGUCAGCAAUGUCCUCAACUUGUGGAAUGCCUCUUCACACUCAGGCGUCCACACAAACUUCUCCUUUCUGAAGUAGACGGGUCAUAGGCUUGGAUAUUUUUGAAAAUUCUGGAAUGAAUCGACGGUAAUACCCAGCCAAACCGAGAAAACUCUGAACCUCGUGUACCGAAGUUGGAACUUUCCAAUCCAGCACUUCUUGCACCUUAGCCGGAUCCACCGAUAUGCCUUCUUCAGAUAAGACAUGGCCCAAGAAAGGUACUUUCUUUAGCCAAAACUCGCAUUUGCUGAAUUUCGCAUAAAGCUGAUGCUCACGCAGACGCGACAACACCACACGCAGAUGCUCUGCAUGCUCCUCUUCAUUGCAAGAAAAUACUAGGAUAUCGUCAACGAAGACCACCACAAACUUGUCCAAUUCGGGCAUGAAUACCGAAUUCAUGAGAUACAUGAAGUGAGCAGGUGCAUGUCACACCCUGGCUUUUAAAAUAAGACCAGAGUCGUCAUAUGUGUGCCCAGGAAGUCCACACAUACAACAAAGAAUAGAAAUAUCAAAAACAAUGUUAUAUAUAGCGGAAAACAUAUUUAUAUUAACACUUACAAACAUCAGAGUACGCGGAAACAGUAGCUAAACUUCUUAUGCUCCAAUCUUCUCAGGGACGGUUGACUGGGGGCUCCGUACGCCCAGCACUUCUCAUAAGCAUCUAGAAAACUCCAUAGCAUCUUUAUCCUUCUUCUGAGCAGCACUUUACUACACACUGGAGUGUGGGGGGAAAUAGCAAGGGUGAGUUCAUGUCGAACUCAACAAGUACAGGCGGAAAGUAUAAUGACAUGCAAGGCUUAAUCAAAGGAAAAACUGACACUGUUUGACUGCAGGUGAGCUUUUAAGUUGGUACACUUUUAUUACAAUUCUUUUAUUAAAACAACCUAUUCUAAAUAUGAGUGAAGCAUCCCAACCCUUAUUCAGAUGAAGGUUAAUUAACAAUAUUAUUAGUCAUCUUUAUAAUAAUUAUUAUUAUUAAGAUCACCGAGGUAGCAACCUCAGAUAAUAACUCAGGGUAGCAACCCCAUUAAGGUCAUGGGAUAGCUAUCCCAGUAAAGAACACAUGAUAGCAAUCCUGCCAACACGGAAUAGCCAUUCCGCCAAAGCAUGAGGUAGCAACCUCAACCAAGUUUCGCCUCCAAGUAUCCAGUGAAUCCAAUUUGCUCAUCAAGUGAGGGUCUGGGCCGCUCGUGACCGUGAGCACGGCUGAUAUAUCAGUUUUACACUCUGCAGAGGUGUGCACUUUCACUCCAGGUCGUGAUUCCCAUUCGCCCGGGGUCGUGACUCCCCAAAACACUACCGAGGUGAGCAGGCAGGGUUUCACUACGAGACCUUUCACAGGGUCCAACUAAUAGGAUGCCACUCGCAAGUUUUUGCCGGGGCGCUCGACAGUCGAUACCCAUAGCCAUGGCGUACCGAGCAGCCGCUAACUUAAUAUUCAUUACCCAAGCUACUUCCUCACGCCUACCCGGAAAGUAACACCCUACCAGCGGAGGUCCUGAUAAUUAGUCAAGCCAGAGCUAUAUAGCUUGGAGCUGCACUGUAUGUCCCAGGGGGCCGCUCCCUGACUAAGUCCUUACGGAGAGCAGAGACGGGUACGCCCGGCAAACCGGACCACCAACAGUACCCGCUCCCCUUUUCUCAACCAAACCAUGAUGCUCGCAAGCACCGCAACAUCUCCAUCACCGAAGUGACCAUUGUUCAUCAUUUAAACAUUAUUCAUCAUUGAAGAAUUCAUUGAUCAAGAUUAUUACUUUUAUUAUUAUAUAGAUUAGAUGAGUAGAGCAGCUAAGCAUAACUACUGUUCACUACUCUACCCAUGUAUAAACCCAGGAGUAUAAGGAAUAUAGUAGAGGGCUAGUCAUGUCCUUAGGGUUUGCAGUAUUAAGACACAUGCAGUGGAAAGUAAAUGUAUUUAAAGUUCAUAGGUACAAUAUGAUCAAAGGGUGUCUGCACUUGCCUUUAUUCCUAGUGUAUAUUGUUGACACUAGCUAACACCACUUAGAUACUAGGUUGUCAUCCCUAGCAUGGCGCCAGAGUGUACAAAGGUAUUUAUAAAUGUAAAGGCUCUUUAGAAAAUAAUCCAUUCUAUCCGCAAGCGCACAGAUAAAACACCUCAUUGUAGCAUUUCAUCAGGAUAAGUAUUCCAGGUAUCGUUAUUUAUAAUUUUGCUCUAGGGAUCUAAGGAGAUGGAAUUAAAUCAAGGGACAAAAUCUAUCAAGGCAUAGACUAGAGAUAAACUUGCAAGAACAUGAUUACUAUUAAGAAACUCGUCACACAGUCACAUACUUUAGCAGGGGGUAAACCAUAAAGAUAAUGAUAAUAAAGUAUAAGUUCAUGGGAUAAAGAGCACAGCGAUUAGAAAAUAGACUACUCCUCAUAUAUGUAGGUGAUGUCGGAUUAGCUAGAGAAUGGAUUCUAAGUUAUCUACUAACUACUAAGUCAUAAUCUACUCUAGUUAUCUACAAGAUCAUAUAUAGCAUAAAAGACUCUUCAUUCAUGUAUAAGGAACAUUGAUAAAGUAAAUCAGAACAUCGCAUGACUUACUCCACAAUACCGGUUCUGCCUGUCCUAUCAACGGAGGGUGGACUAUAUAAGAAUCAACGAAGCUGUCACUAUCGCGAACUACCACACGACUCGGCCAAUAGGAUACAUUUGCAGAUAAAUAACAUCUAAGCACCACGCUCACAUGUGAUCUAUCACCUAACUCCCUCGCGACAAGAGCUAAGCGCUUUGCAAACUUAUACAUAAACUCAUUAUCAAUUAGAACUAUAUCAAAUAUAGAACUAGAGCAAACUAAGAGCAUGAUAAUUAGAGAUAUAAUGCAAUUAAAACAAUAGAAUUAGAGAAAGAUAUGAACAAUACCAAUCUUUAUUACCGAAGAUCUGAAUCCAGAGCGUAGUGCUCUACUUCUCUAAUUGCUAUCUAAUCAAACCUCUAAACUUGAAGGAUUAGGGAGUAGCUAAUUCUAAUUCUCUGUGGGAGAGAAGCUCUAAACCCUAACUUUGAUGGCUACCUCUGAAUAAUGAUUUCUCCUCCUCUCCUCCAGGGGCCAGGGGGUCUGGUUUUAUAGUCCCCUCAAGUGAACGUGAGCCAGUGGAUCAAACCGACAUAGAUUGUAUGGUUUAGAUUGAUCCUUUAGGUCGGUGGAGGAUUGUCCCGAAGCAGAGUCCUGAUUGGACUCUCCACCUGGGCGGGCGCCCAAGGGGGGUGGGCGGCCGCCCAGCCCCCGAGCCCGAAUCCCCUCUCGUUCGUUCCCGUGGCUUCUGGAUCCUUCUAGAUUAAGGAAAAUUGCGCGGCACGUAAUUAUCUCGUUGUAAACAUGACAUGUGGGCCUUCUCUCCCUAUUUUCUGAUAAACCUCUGUAGAAAUAGAUAAACACCAAAGCUCGUGGAAUUCUGUCAGAUAAAACCUUAAUUCUAGAUGUUUGUUUCAUAUUGAUCCUUUUUCAUGUUUAUUUGAUUAUUAAUUUUAGUACUUAAGGACCGUCAACAAACUCCCCCAAGCUUACCCUUUGCUCGUCCCUGAGCAAAUAGCUAAAGUCAGACGGAUCAGGAGUUGCUUCGAUGUUUUCUUUCCUGACAGGCACACAUGCUUUUACAUAAAAAUUCUUCCAGAUUAAAGUGAAGUGUUAUGAAGUUUAGUACCUGCACUUAAAUCUUAAGUAAUCGAAAGACAAAAUAGUUAAGUCAAGCACUAUCCCUCCUGUUUAUACUUCACCUUUGUUCCAGAGUUUUUCAUAAGUUUUCAAAAUAAAAUUCAGAGUUCCCAGCAAUGAUUCUCUCAAGUCUCUCUAUAUGUGGUAUUUGUGGAUCCUUACCAUAAUGUCACUUACCUAUAGCUAAUGGAAAAAUUAAGUGGAGCUCAUAGGAGUGCAAACAGCUCAUACAUAUGUUGUCUAAUCGAGCCAUGGAUCCAAAGGAACUCAGCAUAUAAUUAAAUCAAGAUGUGCAUGUGUGAUGGAGUAAAUGAUAGUGAUGGUGAAAAUGCAUAAGUGAUAAUAAAAUUUACUUCUCAUUGCUCCUCAUAUUGCUAUCUCUCCUCCUCUUUGAUCUUUGCUUUGGGAGAACAUGGGCUAUUUUUCUCCUCUCUUGUUUUUUUUUCAGGUGGGUAGUGGAUACCCCUAAUUCUACUGUCGGACACUUGUCCAUUUUUUCCGCUCAAAUGGGCAUCUUUGUACCCCUAAUUCUACUUCGGACACUUGUCCAUUUUUACCUCUCGUCUCACUCUUUUUCUUUUAUCGAGGUUCCGGGCACUUGCCCCUUUUUAUUUCCUCGUAUAUAUUUUUUUGCAUAACCCAUGCCUCUUCUGCAUUGAAUCUUUUUAGAGAGAGAGAAUAACAAUAUUCGGGACAGUGAGUGAUAAUAUUUUUAGCAAUUUUAAUGAUUGAUAAUGAAUGCUGUGGUAGAUGCGUGCAAGUGAAUAUCUUAAUUUAACCACAUGAAAAGCUCCUAAGGGUCAACACAGCUCGAUCAAACUCAAUGUGAAUAUAGUAAAAGAUGUUAUAGCAAGUAUGGCUGUGGUAGGUAGUUUGUUAUGCUAGGAACUCAUCAUGUGAUUUGUAAGUUUUCAAAAAUAAAUCUCCAGAACUUAGUGUAGUAGGAACGAGAUAAACAGUAGCUCAACUUUAUAUCAUGCCUUUCUCUUACCUAGACUUUAGUUUAUGCUUUCCCAAAGAUAGUAAUUUUAGUUUUAGUAAUUCCUGGAAGAAUUCUAAUAUAAAAGCUAGGUACUUGUAAGUAAGCAAACAGAGCAACUGUUCAUCAUUUCCAUCAUGCAUAUUUUUGGUCUUUUUAUUUUUCUAGAGAUUAAACUUAGCAGGAAGAUAAAACACACUUAUCUACACACUCUUUUUAUUUUGUUUUUAUGUUUAUAAAGUGCAGUGAAUUAAAGCAAGAAAAUAUUUAUUUGGUUUUCUAAGUUUUUCUUUUUUAAGAUGAAUUAAAAUACUAAAAUAGAAAAGAAUAAAUAAGAAGAGCAAAUAAAAACUUACUUGAUAAAUUGAGGAGGAACUCCCCCAAGCUGGAUGUUGAUGUCAGUCUUACCCGAUGUUCCAGAACCGCAUCAUGGUUGUAAUGUUGUCGUUCAUUGUUGUUGUACCUUGUCUUAGCUCUUCUACUGCAGCGGCAUGGUCCUGGUUCCAUUUUUGUUGCUCUUCCAGGAGUCUUCCAUGUUCUGCUUGCGUGUUCUGGAUGUUGAGGAGGGUGUUGUCGGUACGAGUGAAGAAAGCACCGGCGUCUUGAUAGUAGUCGUUUGUGAAAGCGUAGGAGGCAUCGGAGUAUCGUCCUACAUCAAAUUGGGGUGGAGGUCUGGAUCCUGAAGCUCCAUAUGGAUCAGUGGAGUACCUGCCCGUAUGAAAAGGCGGGUUUGUCCACUGGUGAUCUUGGCUCUCCGGCCAUGUCUCCUCUGUUGGCUCUUGUGGUUGCGCAUGACGAGCCCAUGGGUCUCGAAGGACUCGUGGAUUGUAAUCGCAAUAAUGCAGGUGCGUUGCUUCUUCUGGUCCAGGGUCAGCUCCAUACCAAGUGCGUUCUCGGUGAGUGGUUAUUCUUUCAGAUGCCACUCGCUGUGGAGUUCUCUGGUUCACUGGUGUUGCUGCAAUCUCAAUCAAAAAGUUUUGCACAGAGUAGAGGCCAAGGUUCGGGUUAGGUAACCGAAUCUUGCCUUUAUCAUCAUAUAGCAUAUACAUUAUAUUCCCCUCUUUCUUUAACAUCCGAGCUUGUCUAAAUGUGUCAUAGCCAUGGUAAAUUCUUAAUUCUUCUAUGAAGUCCAAUGAUGAGUUUUCUAGUAAGUGAAGAUUAGUGGCUAGACGAGUGAUAAGUGAAGUACAUCCUACUGGUCCCUGAAGACUAGGUAUACUAAGCCAAUGUGAAACUAAUAAUGUAACAGGUGAAGUGGGUACUUUACUAAUAGCAGCAUAUAAAAGUUGUAAAUUUCCUACUCUUACUUUCCUAAUAUCAUCACGAUAGAAAAGAUUGUACCCAAGCCAUUUGUGAAACAUCCUAAGAGUGGGGUGUUCCAUGUCACUGGUUCGGGCUUGACUGUAAAAAUUAUCUCUAGAUAUUUCUCUCCAAAACUGGUGUCUCUCAAAGUUGGGUAAAUCGGAGUCAAUGUUCAGGAUGCAUCUUGAAGAGAAACCAAGAUGGUCGCUUAGCUCUCUCCAGGAUAACAUAAUUUCCUGUUUGAACAUCCGAAAAACAAUUCCCCCCUCAUAGUAUUGUAAAGUACAAAGAAAUUCGAGGGUGAGAAGACGAGAACCCAGCUCAGUUAUAUUCCAAAAAUUUGUCCAACCCAUCAUUUGAAAAAUUAAGUCAAAUUCAGUGUCCAUACCUGUUUCUCGUAGUAGGAUUGGAUCGAUAGUAGGGGUGUGAAUGAAAUCUUUGUUCUUCAGUUGCUGAUAGACUUCCUUCUCUCUUCGGGUCUUCAGUCCUAGGUCUCCUAUCUUGAGAAGGACCUUAACUUGAUGACCUGAUGAAGAUGACGGAGCUUGUGUGGGUGUCGGAUCGACACUCAUCUCUGAUGGCUGUGAGGAGUGUCGGGCGGAACACCUUGUACCAAUGUUGUUGAGAGCCUUCCCUGCAUUCUUCACCUUCUUAAACAUCCUGCAAACAAAAGUUGGCAAAAACACAACUAGUGGAAAAUGUGAGAUAAAAUGUUAGUGGUCAGCUGUCCGGAGUGUCAGUAGUCCAGGGAUUAAUUGUUCAAGAUAAGUUUCUAUUUUGGUAGAGCCUCCCCCUAAACAACUUUUACUUCCGCUUAGACAAUGGGAUCACUACUUGCUAGGUGAUAAACACUCUCUCAAAAGAACUCCAACUUUCUCGUCCACUCUCCUCUUUCUCUCUACUCUCUUCUCUUCACUACAAAAGCUCCUUCUCGGGAAACUGAGUUUUGUGUGGUUUUCUGAAGUGUUUGUGUGAAGAGAAGGAAAGCUGGAGGUGGCCUUUUAUAGGCUGAGCAGGGGAUAGGGCGGGCGCCCAAGGUAGGUGGGCGGGCGCCCACCCCUGGUGUCCAUCCUGGGUGUGCUUCCUCCACUUGCUUCCUUGCUUUGAUCUCACGCAGAAUAAUAUUGUGUUGGUAGUGGUUGGACGGUGGAAAGAUGUCAAGUGAGUGGAAAUAUAUUGGUGGAUGAAAUUAUGUGAUGGGAUGUAUGUGAGGUGAAGUGUAUGACAUGUGGGACCCAAAGAGUGUGGGUCAUGCUUCUAGAAGAUCAAUAUAAUGCAGGAAAAUCUAUGAGAAUUGAAACUUAAUGAAAAUGAUAAUGGAAAAUAUUUUUGUGCCUCCAUAAUAAUAAAUAUGGGUUGUUACACACCACAAAUAUUAUUUAUAUGGGGCUUUUUGAUUAUUAUAAUAAUGCUAUGACUAAUGCAAGAAUUAAUUAUGCAAGAAUGAGAAAAUUGAUAAUGCGGAUAAAUACCGAUUUACCUCCCGGUGAGGGUUUGGGAUUUUUAGGUCCCCCAAGCUGGACCUCCAAAUCUUUUAAUUUUCUGAGUUUCCUUCCUCCGGAGAUGGUGUCUCCAGUGAUUCUUCAUGAACUUCCUUCACUGUAGAGUCUCUCUCUGGUCUGGGUUUGAAUGUGAAGUGUUCUUCUUGACCGUUUAUGUUGAACUUGAUUUCUCCCUUCCCGACAUCAAUGUGGGCAUUGGCAGUGCUCAGAAAUGGCCUUCCAAGGAUGAUGGACACUUUCGAGUCAGGACUCAUGUCCAGUACUACGAAGUCUACUGGCACCAGGAAAUCUCUGAUCUUGACUGGAAUGUUCUCGGCGAUGCCCAACGGGUGUCGAACCGAUUGAUCCGCUAGUUGUAGGCAUAUUGAUGUUGGUUCUAAGGUUGCAUGAUCAAGCUUUUUGUAGACUGAUGCUGGCAUCACACUGACACUUGCUCCGAGAUCACAAAGUGCAUUGUUGAAGUGUUGGUUUCCGAUCGAGCAAUCAAUAGUGGGACAUCCGGGGUCUUCCUUCUUCUUUGGUGGUUUAUUGAGGAUGGCCGCACUACAUUCUUCUGUCAGCUUGAUAACCUCAGUGGUGGGCAGUGGUCUCUUCUUGUUAAGAAUAUCUCUGAUGUACUUUGCAUAUGUAGGUACCUGUAUGGCAUCGAGCAGAGGUAUGUUGACCUAUAAUUUCUGAAUGACCUCUACAAACUUACCAAACUGCUCAUCCGACUGCAGUGCUCUGUUUCUUCUGGGAAAUGGCAAAUAGUUGGUGUGGUAAAAAUCUUUCCUCAUUUCUCCAGUUUUUGGUGGUUGGAGCAGAUCUUCUGCUCCAACUGGGCUUUCUUCUUCUAUCACUGCUGGUUGCACUGGUGCUGAUGAUCUUUGUUUCUCUUUUGGGUAUGGUGGAUCUCUGGUAGCUUUGCCUCCUCUAGUAGUUAUAUUCUUUACCUGCUCAAUGUUAGUAGCAACAGGCAGUGCAGCAGCUAACUUUAUUAAUUUAAGCUCUACCCUUUUAUUAAGAGUGUUUUGCUCAUCAAAGGCGGUUAGUAGAAAAUCCAUUUUAUUGUAUAUAUCUUUUAGAGAUGAUUCAUUUGUAUCUAGCCUUUGUUUAACUUCAUCAUUAAUUUUGGUUUGUUGAGCAAUUAUCUCUUUUAAUGAAAGUUGCUUGAAAGUAUUACCUGAAUUCAUACCUUUGCUAUUGGGUUGACUCGAAGUUGGUUGAUAUUUGUAUGCUGUCUCAAUGGCCCUUUGAUCUUCUUUGAACUUGGCCCUCUGGUCAAUCCAAUGGAGCAAAUUUUCCAUCUUAGCUGAUAAUGCAUUUACUUCUUCUGUUAUUUCUUCAGUUCGAUGACAAUGUUGAGCUUUAUCUUGGAACCAAGUUUGGUUUUCUGCUAUCUUAUCCAAAAGUAUCUCUGCUUUUCCAGUUGUAAGCUCCAAGAAUGAUCCUUUAGCAGAUGCAUCUAGGCACUCACGAGCCUUCUGGGUUAAUCCAUGGUAGAAGGUCUGCAUAAGUAACCAUGUGGCCAUUCCAUGGUGAGGACAAUCUGAUAUGUAUCCUUGAAAACGCUCCCAUGCUUCUGAAAUGGCUUCUGUCUUCUGCUGUUGGAAACUGACAAUAUUUCCUCUUAAGGCAGUUGUUUUGCCUAUAGGGAAAAACUUUGAUAGAAAGGCAUCUGACAAGUUCGUCCAGUUGUUGAUGUUAUCUUGAUGAGUGUAGAACCACUUCCUCGCUUUUCCUUCUAAUGAGAAUGGAAAAAGGCGAAGUAGUAUGACGUCUUUGUCAACUCCGUUGAUGUGGAUUGUGCUUCCAAUCUCUAAGAAAUUCUGCAAGUGUGCACUAGCAUCCUCAUGUGCCUUUCCACUGAAUUGUGUAGCUUGUACCAAAUUGAUGAGGCUUGACUUGAGCUCGAACUCAGGUGCUCCUUCUUCUACUGCAAAUCUUGGACCAGUUGGAAUGUUCUCAAGGCUUGGAGCAGAGAAUUCUCGUAGGGUCUUCUGUGUCAUAGCUUCAGCAAUUGGUAGCUAGCUUCUUCUUUCUUUCUUGAUUGCUUUGGCUCUGAUGAUGAAGAGUUGAAUGUACCAAAGUCAAUCCUGAUAUACCCUAUAUAAAAAUAUAAACAUAGAAAAACAACAGGGUGAACCUGCCAAAGCAGAGGUGCCUUGUUAUGAUUUCUCACUUAGUAGCUGUUUUAUGCAAUUAUUUCUCUAUAGUCUAGUCUAAAAUUUUAUAUGAAUAACCUUGAUUGAUUUUCUGGCUUCCCUUAAUAUUACCCUUUUGUUCCCUUUUAUGACUUACUCCUGAGACUUAUAUAAUUCCUAUAAUUCCUAAUAUGUCCUAUAGAUCCUAUAAGUAUCCCCGGCAACGGCGCCAGAAAUGCUUGUUGACACUAGCUAACACCACUUAGAUACUAGGUUGUCAUCCCUAGCAUGGCGCCAGAGUGUACAAAGGUAUUUAUAAAUGUAAAGGCUCUCUAGAAAAUAAUCUAUUCUAUCCGCAAGCGCACAGAUAAAACACCUCAUUGUAGCAUUUCACCAGGAUAAGUAUUCCAGGUAUCGUUAUUUAUAAUUUUGCUUAGGGAUCUAAGGAAGAUGGAAUUUAAAAUAAAAGGGCAAAAUCUAUCAAGGCAUAGACUAGAGAUAAACUUGCAAGAACAUGAUUACUAAUAAGAAACUCGUCACACAGUCACUUACUUUAGCAGGGGGUAAACCAUAAAGAUAAUGAUAAUAAAGUAUAAGUUCAUGGGAUAAAGAGCACAGCGAUUAGAAAAUAGACUACUCCUCAUAUAUGUAGGUGAUGUCGGAUUAGCUAGAGAAUGGAUUCUAAGUCAUCUACUAACUACUAAGUCAUAAUCUACUCUAGUUAUCUACAAGAUCAUGUAUAGCAUAAAAGACUCUUCUUUCAUGUAUAAGGAACAUUGAUAAAGUAAAUCAGAACAUCGCAUGACUUACUCCACAAUACCGGUUCUGCCUGUCCUAUCAACGGAGGGUGGACUAUAUAAGAAUCAACGAAGCUGUCACUAUCGCGAACUACCACACGACUCGGCCAAUAGGAUACAUUUGCAGAUAAAUAACAUCUAAGCACCACGCUCACAUGUGAUCUAUCACCUAACUCCCUCGCGACAAGAGCUAAGCGCUUUGCAAACUUAUACAUAAACUCAUUAUCAAUUAGAACUAUAUCAAAUAUAGAACUAGAGCAAACUAAGAGCAAAAUAAUUAGAGACAUAAUGCAAUUAGAACAAUAGAAUUAGAGAAAGAUAUGAAUAAUACCAAUCUUUAUUACCAAAGAUCCAAAUCCAGAGCGUAGUGCUCUACUUCUCUAAUUGCUAUCUAAUCAAACCUCUAAACUUGAAGGAUUAGGGAGUAGCUAAUUCUAAUUCUCUGUGGGAGAGAAGCUCUAAACCCUAACUUUGAUGGCUACCUCUGAAUAAUGAUUUCUCCUCCUCUCCUCCAGGGGCCAGGGGGUCUGGUUUUAUAGUCCCCUCAAGUGAACGUGAGCCAUUGGAUCAAACCGACAUAGAUUGUAUGGUUUAGAUUGAUCCUUUAGGUCGGUGGAGGAUUGUCCCGAAGCAGAGUCCUGAUUGGACUCUCCACCUGGGCGGGCGCCCAAGGGGGGUGGGCGGCCGCCUAGCCCCCGAGCCCGAAUCCCCUCUCGUUCGUUCCCGUGGCUUCUGGAUCCUUCUAGAUCAAGGAAAAUUGCGCGGCACGUAAUUAUCUCGUUGUAAACAUGACAUGUGGGCCUUCUCUCCCUAUUUUCUGAUAAACCCCUGCAGAAAUAGAUAAACACCAAAGCUCGUGGAAUUCUGUCAGAUAAAACGUUAAUUCUAGAUGUUUGUUUCAUAUUGAUCCUUUUUCAUGUUUAUUUGAUUAUUAAAUUUGGUACUUAAGGACCGUCAACAUUCAUGUCGAACUCAACAAGUACAGGCGAAAAGUAUAAUGACAUGCAAGGCUUAAUCCAAGAAAAAACUGACACUGUUUGACUGCAGGUGAGCUUUUAAGUUGGUACACUUUUAUUACAAUUCUUUUAUUAAAACAAUCUAUUCUAAAUAUGAGUGAAGCAUCCCAACCCUUAUUUAGAUGAAGGUUAAUUAACAAUAUUAUUAGUCAUCUUUAUAAUAAUUAUUAUUAUUAAGAUCACCGAGGUAGCAACCUCGGAUAACUCAGGGUAGCAACCCCAUUAAGGUCAUGGGAUAGCUAUCCCAUUAAAGAAAACAGGAUAGCAAUCCUGCCAACACGGAAUAGCCAUUCCGCCAAAGCAUGAGGUAGCAACCUCAACCAAGUUUCGCCUCCAAGUAUCCAGUGAAUCCAAUUUGCUCAUCAUGUGAGGGUCUGGACCGCUCGUGACCGUGAGCACGGCUGAUAUAUCAGUUUUACACUCUGCAGAGGUGUGCACUUUCACUCCAAGUCGUGAUUCCCAUUCGCCCGGGGUCGCGACUCCCCAAAACACUACCGAGGUGAGCAGGCAGGCUUUCACUACGAGACCUUUCACAGGGUCCAACUAAUAGGAUGCCACUCGCAAGUUUUUGCCGGGGCGCUCGACAGUCGAUACCCAUAGCCAUGGCGUACCGAGCAGCCGCUAACUUAAUAUUCAUUACCCAAGCUACUUCCUCACGCCUACCCGGAAAGUAACACCCUACCAGUGGAGGUCCUGAUAAUUAGUCAAGCCAGAGCUAUAUAGCUUGGAGCUGCACUGUAUGUCCCAGGGGGCCGCUCCCUGACUAAGUCCUUACGGAGAGCAGAGACGGGUACGCCCGGCAAACCGGACCACCAACAGUACCCGCUCCCCCUUUUCUCAACCAAACCACGAUGCUCGCAAGCACCGCAACAUCUCCAUCACCGAAGUGACCAUUGUUCAUCAUUUAAACAUUAUUCAUCAUUGAAGAAUUCAUUGAUCAAGAUUAUUACUUUUAUUAUUAUAUAGAUUAGAUGAGUAGAGCAGCUAAGCAUAACUACUGUUCACUACUCUACCCAUGUAUAAACCCAGGAGUAUAAGGAAUAUAGUAGAGGGCUAGUCGUGUCCUUAGGGUUUGCAGUAUUAAGACACAUGCAGUGGAAAGUAAAUGUAUUUAAAGUUCAUAGGUACAAUAUGAUCAAAGGGUGUCUGCACUUGCCUUUAUUCCUAGUGUAUAUUGUUGACACUAGCUAACACCACUUAGAUACUAGGUUGUCAUCCCUAGCAUGGCGCCAGAGUCUACAAAGGUAUUUAUAAAUGUAAAGGCUCUCUAGAAAAUAAUCUAUUCUAUCCGCAAGCGCACAGAUAAAACACCUCAUUGUAGCAUUUCACCAGGAUAAGUAUUCCAGGUAUCGUUAUUUAUAAUUUUGCUUAGGGAUCUAAGGAAGAUGGAAUUUAAAAUAAAAGGGCAAAAUCUCUUAAGGCAUAGACUAGAGAUAAACUUGCAAGAACAUGAUUACUAAUAAGAAACUCGUCACACAGUCACUUACUUUAGCAGGGGGUAAACCAUAAAGAUAAUGAUAAUAAAGUAUAAGUUCAUGGGAUAAAGAGCACAACGAUUAGAAAAUAGACUACUCCUCAUAUAUGUAGGUGAUGUCGGAUUAGCUAGAGAAUGGAUUCUAAGUCAUCUACUAACUACUAAGUCAUAAUCUACUCUAGUUAUCUACAAGAUCAUAUAUAGCAUAAAAGACUCUUCAUUCAUGUAUAAGGAACAUUGAUAAAGUAAAUCAGAACAUCGCAUGACUUACUCCACAAUACCGGUUCUGCCUGUCCUAUCAACGGAGGGUGGACUAUAUAAGAAUCAACGAAGCUGUCACUAUCGCGAACUACCACACGACUCGGCCAAUAGGAUACAUUUGCAGAUAAAUAACAUCUAAGCACCACGCUCACAUGUGAUCUAUCACCUAACUCCCUCGCGUCAAGAGCUAAGCGCUUUGCAAACUUAUACAUAAACUCAUUAUCAAUUAGAACUAUAUCAAAUAUAGAACUAGAGCAAACUAAGAGCAUAAUAAUUAGAGACAUAAUGCAAUUAAAACAAUAGAAUUAGAGAAAGAUAUGAAUAAUACCAAUCUUUAUUACCGAAGAUCCGAAUCCAGAGCGUAGUGCUCUACUUCUCUAAUUACUAUCUAAUCAAACCUCUAAACUUGAAGGAUUAGGGAGUAGCUAAUUCUAAUUCUCUGCGGGAGAGAGAUCUAAACCCUAACUUUGAUGGCUACCUCUGAAUAAUGAUUUCUCCUCCUAUCCUCCAGGGGCCAGGGGGUCUGGUUUUAUAGUCCCCUCAAGUGAACGUGAGCCAUUUGAUCAAACCGACAUAGAUUGUAUGGUUUAGAUUGAUCCUUUAGGUCGGUGGAGUCUUGUCCCGAAGCAGAGUCCUGAUUGGCCUCUUGGCCAGGGCGGGCGCCCAAGGGGGGUGGGCGGCCGCCCAGCUCCCGAGCCCGAUUCGCUUCCCGUUCGUUCCCGUGGCUUCUCGAUCCUUCUAGAUUGAGGAAAAUUGCGCGGCACGUAAUUAUCUUGUUGUAAACAUGACAUGUGGCCUUCUCUCCAUAUUUUCUGAUAACUCCCUGCAGAAAUAGAUAAACACCAAAGCUCGUGGAAUUCUGUCAGAUAAAACCCUAAUUCUAGAUGUUUAUUUCAUAUUGAUCCUUUUUCAUGUUUAUUUGAUUAUUAAUUUUAGUACUUAAGGACCGUCAACAUAUAUCUGCUCAGAAUUUCUUGGCUUCUAUCUUCUGAUCUUUAGCUUCUACUGCAACUGUCGGCCCUCAGCUCCUGAUCUUCACUGUUGAUGAACCACGUUUCUUCUACUCAUAGCAAUCAAGCAACACAAACAGACAAACAAACAAUCACGACUAAGAACAAACGACAAUCAAAAGAAAAGCUUAGAAAGAGCGCACUAAACGAUACGGCUACGAUCGUGACAACGCAAGAACGAUUGAGAACGAAGCUAUCAUUAAGCGGACACGACUUUCGAGGUUGGAAGUGUAAUGGAGAAGACAAUUAUACGCUGGUCGUAAUUUAUUUAUAAAUAACUAUAUACCAUUGUAGCCAAUUAAGCAUUUAUAGUUUUUUUUUGAAAUAUAGCAUAUAUGAAAGCAACUAAUCAAGUGAUUAUAUAUCAUGUUUAAACUAAUCAAGUUAUAAUUAAUAAAGAAACAUUAAGGUUGAUAUUAAUAACAUGGGCAUUUAUUUAUUUACAAAAUAUUAAAUUAUAAACCUAAGUUGCUUUCAAUCAAAAAGUCAUUAAAUAAAUAUUAAACAACUUAAUUAUAUAAUUUAUGUUUAACUAAAAGAAUCAUAGUUAAUAAAUACUUAGGUUAAAAUUAACAAAGUUGAUAUUAGAUUAUAAAAGAAAAUACCAAAGUGUAAACCUAAAUUGUUCUUUGUAGAUUAAAAGAGCACUUAGUUAGACAUUAAUUAUUUUGUAUUUAUGGUGAAAAUCUAAAUGGUCAAACGAGGUAACUAUUACUCCUAAAGCGUAGUUUACGACUAUACGAAACUAACGUGACGAGAACGGGCUCAAUCGGAAUUAAAACGCGCAUUCUACGGCCAAAACUAGAUCGGUGGCAAAACUAUGAAUAAACUAAACUAAUUUUCGUAUUUUAAAUAAUUAAAACUAAUUUUUGAAAGCCUUUUGGACUUAAUCUACAAAAACCAAUGGAUCCCGGGGCUAAACUGCUAAAAACAGGACUUAAAUCUAAUUAUCUAUGAACUACUCAGGAUAGUGGGUUAAUUUCUAAAAAACACAAGGGCGUUUUUGCAAAAACGCCAGGGCAGCGCUGGUGUGGCCAGUUUGGUCGGCCACGUGUCGCGACGGGACUGGCCGGUCCACGGGGGCUGCGUGGACCGAGUCGCAGGGCGCUUGGUCCACCGGUCCACGGUGGACCGGGGAGGGGGCGCUGGAGGCGGCGCCAUGGCCGCUCUGGCCGAGCUCGCCACAGCGGCUCUAGAGGGCUCGGCGAGCCGCGCAAAGCGCACGGGCGGGCGGUGCGUGAGCAGGCGGACUCGGGGCGCUCGGUGGUCGUAGCGGGGCACGGCCGAGAUGCGCGGGCCACGCGGUGGCACGGCUCCGUGCCGACGGCGAUGCUCCGGUGAGCACGCGCGACGUGAUGGGAGGGAGAGGGCGCGUGAAAAGGAUACCGACGUGACCCAAGAGAACGUGCGGAGCUCGAGUAAACACUCACCGGCGGUGGACGACUGCGGAAGGACGAGCGAGAUGGCGGUCGGAGCUUCGAAUCGGCGGCAAUGGAGGCGGCGCGACUUCGGCUAGGGUUUCGGCGAGUCAGGAUGGCAGCUAGGGCUUCGUAGGGUUCGGCGGGUGUGCGGCGCACAGGGCUAAGGGCUUUUAUAGGCUCGGGUGAACCUCGGGAGGCGCGCGGGCCCACACCCGAGGCGGCGGCGGCGUUUCCAUCCGCCCGAAGCGGACGGAGGUUGGGGAAGACGGCUGACGCGUGGGGUCGGGGCGUCAGCGGCACGGUGCGAGCUGGCAGGCGGGUCCCAUGUGGCAGCGGCUCCGGCGAGGCGGGCUGGCGCUGCUGCGCUUGGCUGGGCUGGGCCGCGCGACCUGGGUCAGGCCCAAGGGCGAGCAGGGGUGCGGGCUUGGAGAGCAGGCCGGCUGUGGGCUACACGGCCAGCUGAAGCAGGCCGAAAAGAGAGAGGAAAAGAAAACCUUUUCUUUUUAUAAAACAUAAUUUCUAAGCUAUUUUGCUAAACAAAUUUUCAAACCAUUUUUGAAUAAAAAAAUCUGAUAUCAUUUUGGAACUUGUUUUUAGACUACUUUUGGAAAUAUAUUUUCUUAAACAUUUUUUUAAAGGUGUUUUCCCAUUUCAAAUCUAAAUUAGUUUUCAAGAAUGACUUUUUGGAGUUUUAUUUUUCCGAAAACCAACAGGACCUAAACGUGGCUUGCUGGAAAUUUUGAAAUUCAUUUUUCUAACACAAGCCAAACAAAACUAGGGCACAAAGCGCACAACAACAAAACAAAACACCCUUCACUUAAUUUUAUAAAAGUUUUAAAAUUUCAUAUUUUUCUCAUUUUGUAAUAACAGUAAUUAAUAAAAAUCUUGUAAUAUUUUAGAAAGAAAUUUAAAUCCUUAUUUAAUUUAGUGUUUUCUAAUAACAAUCCAAAAUUAAAAAUUUUGGAGUGUUAUAGAUCUACCCCACUUAACAUAAAUCUCGUCUCGAGAUUUGAAGAAACUAAAGAGAAAGAUAAAGUAGAUCAUCAAAGUUGUUUCGAGACUUUCAAGACAUGAUCAAAGGAUUAAAUAUAGAUAUAAAGGGCAAAAUGUAUGAUAAAAAUCGAUGACAUGGAAACAUAAGCAUAUGAGAUAGGAAUUGAUCUUCAGAUCUUGUAGUAUGAUAAGGUGCAAGGGCAAGAAGCUAGUAUUAACAAGAGAUGACUCAUAGGAGAUAAAGAUUAUAGUGCUCACAAUUUCCUUGAUUCUAGAUUUGUAUGAGAUAGUAGACGAAAGGAUAAAGAAAUGAUAAAAGUUGACAAAGAUUUAGAUAGUCUCACGCUUAAUUAUUUGUAGUCCUAUGAGAUGUAAGAUCCAAGAUCGCACGUUGACAAAAAUGAUAAGGGCUCAUCGCAAGAACGAUAAGGAUCAAUCUGUAGUUCUUCAUAUCUUUCUGAUUAGGGAUUUUUGAGAGUGAUGAUCGUAGCGGACGCUACCCCACUUAAACCAAGUGUUAGCUUAUCUUCCAAAAUCCUAUAUAAGAACACUCAUCUUGUCGGUAGAUAAUCUUCAAAGUUUUCCUUUGGAGGUUACUAGUUCGACAACACGCUGCACAGAUGGAGAUUCCGAGGAACAGGGAGAGAAUACAUCAUAGGAUGGGAAAGGAUAGAUUAAAAUGAUUUUAAUUUUUAUUAGUGCUGGUGUGAGACGUAAGUAGGAAGACGAGAAGUUUAUCCAGGUGAAAGUUCUUGAACACUUCCCAGGAAAACAACCCAAGGGGUCGGUGAAAUUGACCAUAUAUCGGUAUGGUUUUACAUCUGACUUUCAGGUUCUGCAUUUUGUCACAUGGUAAACCAUCAAAGAUUUCUAGGGUGGAAAUAUAUCUUAUCUUGGGACUUUCGUUUCAUAUGCCUUGCUUUAAUAGGUCAACAGGCAUCACACUUCCUAUGAUACUUGGUGCUUCCUUGUGGUCUCCAUAAAUGAAUCCUAGCAGAUUUAUCCUACUACUUGCAGUGUUGGGAGAAUAUUGUGCGGGUGGACUACACAAAGGGUGUCGACUCAUUCUGUAUGGAGUAUUUAAGAUCGCUUCACAGGUAAGCACUGCCACUCGAUGUUGGGACAGCACCAGGUGCUUUGCCUGAGAUUCCAUGGUUACCACAAAUAGACUAAACAUCUUGUCAAACAACUCGUAACUCAUAUCAGGAGAUUAAGAAUGAUAAGGUCCAAUGAACAAGACAUCUCAUUUUACAAAGAAGAUUACAAGUGACUUGAAUGCAAAAUCUUACAAGCUAAUAGGCAUAACUGACUUCAGAUUUCAUAGACCAUUAUUGACUAGCUCAAAUCCAUCUAGGUCCCUUAAUAUAACUUGCUUCACAUCAGAUGUUGAGAAUGCAUUGCCUCUGUAUAAGGUCCACAUUUUUUUUGAACUGCCUCGUUGUCGGUACAAUCCUUCCAUUAGUCCUUUAAUCCUUCGGGUGAGGUUGAGUGCCUUCAUACACGAACCUGUCUCCUGAUGGGGUGGUUAGGGAUACUGAGUGUUGGGUACAGUCAAUCUUUCCAUGAUAAGCAGUUAACCAUCCUCUUCCAAGAACGACAUCAAUAUCCAGCGAUUCCAAAGCUACAAGAUUCACCUCAAAAUCUGCACCUUUUAUGUCAAGCCUAACUUUUGGGCACAUGUGUGUUGCUUUCAUCUUCCCUCAUGGUGAUUUUACUAGUAUGGGUUUCUUCAUUUCCAACAUAAGCAUCUUAUGAUCGGCAACACAUUUACUCGAGAUAAAGGAAUGUGAAGAACUUGAGUCAAACAAAACAGUGGCCGGAGUUGAGUUUACUAGAAUUGAUCCAAACACCACAUUUUGUGCUUUACGAGCAGUACACAGAUCCACAUGGUUCAAUCUACCAUUAACGUAGUCAUGAACUGGGUACUUCUUUGGACAAUGCUUCUUGUGAUGUCCCUCUUCGUGACACUGGUAACAAGCAUUGCUAACAGUUUUAACAUUGGUGCUAUCCUGACAUUGAGCUCCUCGAAUUGAUGUGUCGGGAGUAACUAAAGUGCUACUAACUUGUUGGUUCUGAGGGUCCACCUUCAAUGAAGUCUCUUCAUUAUUUCACUUCUUAGCUUGAUUACUUUUUCGAGGAUGAAGUUCUGUGUAGGUGAUGGUCCAUCCAUCUAGGCAUAUCUCUGGCAUAGCAAGUGUAGCCGAAGGGGCAUCUAACUCUUCAAGAUAUGAAUGUGUCUGAUGCGAGUUUGGGACUAAAGGUAGCUGUGAUGUAAAACUCAAAUUUGGCUCACUUAAUAGUGGCUCUAGGGAGAUUGCCUUCCUUUUCUUGUUCCAUUCAGUUUGUUGAUCCUGGGGUACCUCAAUCUUGCCUUCACUUGACUUGUUCUGAAGACAUGGUAAACCAUAAUAUCUGCAGCAAUUACACGGCUCUUGAAUCCCAAGUGCCUCGUUAAUACCAUCUUUCUUAGCUUUCAUGUUCUUCCAGGCUUCUACGACUUGUCUCUUCAUUGCUCCUUCCUGAGUUUUGGUCAUGGUCUUCUUUAAAGGUAGCUAAGAAUCUUUUUGUGGUCCCACUCCACUUUGUACUUGAUCCUGUGUAGACAAGGGCUUCUCCUCGUUCAUUAGGGACAAGGGUAGCAUAGUUGGGUCUUCCUGACAUUUGAUGUAAGCUUCUUCAAUUUCACCUUGGAGAAGUAUAGCUUGUACCAUCAAAAGCUUCUGGAGUCUGGCCAUCUGAUCAGCUGCCAUCUCUAGGAUUUGAGCUUGCCAGGCUAUCACCUGUGCACUACUUAGUUGUGUUGUAGAAGGUAUUUGUUGACUCUGAUCACUGGUAUUAAUUCCUUUGACAUCAUCACUGGCGUCGACCAUCUGACAUUAGGCAAUAGAAGAAUGAGCUAGAGUAGUAUUGACAAAGAGCAGGAUAUGGAGUGAGAGAAAAUAGGUGGAGAGGAUCAUGAUUGACAAUAGAUGGAUAGGAUAAGAGAGAUCACUACCCCACUUAGCAAAGAUCGAGCUAACCCUCAAACAACUUCUUCUAGGCCUCCUUCAAAACACUAGAACAAAGACAACACACAAACAACAAACCAAGCAAAACAAGCACGCAUCACAUCAAUGAUACUACACAUGCUUCUUCAACAGUGGUGGUCAUCCUAAAAGGCAAGUCCGAGAUGAUAAAGGGCCAUCGAAUUUUGGAAUAAAAUAAGUUUUAAAAACUUGAGUAAAACAACUAAACAAAAGCCAAGGAGAUGAAUAGAAAUAGCUCAAAGGAAGCUAUUCAAGGAGGGGAUACAAAAUGACAAGGGGGAGGAAAUAGUCAGAAUCAAAAAGUCAAGGUAUAAGAAAAUAGUUUUAUAUCAAAAUAAGCUUUAGAAAUCGACCAGUGCUAUCUAGGCAUACGUCCUACAGUCAACAUUGCUCUGAUACCAUUCCUGUCAUACCCUGGCUUUUAAAAUAAGACCAGAGUCGUCAUAUGUGUGCCCAGGAAGUCCACACAUACAACAAAGAAUAGAAAUAUCAAAAACAAUGUUAUAUAUAGUGGAAAACAUAUUUAUAUUAACACUUACAAACAUCAGAGUACGCGGAAAUAGUAGCUAAACUUCUUAUGCUCCAAUCUUCUCAGGGACGGUUGACUGGGGGCUCCGUACGCCCAGCACUUCUCAUAAGCUUCUAGAAAACUCCAUAGCAUCUUUAUCCUUCUUCUGAGCAGCACUUUACUACACACUGGAGUGUGGGGGGAAAUAGCAAGGGUGAGUUCAUGUCGAACUCAACAAGUACAGGCGAAAAGUAUAAUGACAUGCAAGGCUUAAUCAAAGAAAAAACUGACACUGUUUGACUGCAGGUGAGCUUUUAAGUUGGUACACUUUUAUUACAAUUCUUUUAUUAAAACAACCUAUUCUAAAUAUGAGUGAAGCAUCCCAACCCUUAUUUAGAUGAAGGUUAAUUAACAAUAUUAUUAGUCAUCUUUAUAAUAAUUAUUAUUAUUAAGAUCACCGAGGUAGCAACCUCGGAUAAUAACUCAGGGUAGCAACCCCAUUAAGGUCAUGGGAUAGCUAUCCCAGUAAAGAAAACAGGAUAGCAAUCCUGCCAACACAGAAUAGCCAUUCCGCCAAAGCAUGAGGUAGCAACCUCAACCAAGUUUCGCCUCCAAGUAUCCAGUGAAUCCAAUUUGCUCAUCAAGUGAGGGUCUGGGCCGCUCGUGACCGUGAGCACGGCUGAUAUAUCAGUUUUACACUCUGCAGAGGUGUGCACUUUCACUCCAAGUCGUGAUUCCCAUUUGCCCGGGGUCGCGACUCCCCAAAACACUACCGAGGUGAGCAGGCAGGGUUUCACUACGAGACCUUUCACAGGGUCCAACUAAUAGGAUGCCACUCGCAAGUUUUCGUCGGGGCGCUCGACAGUCGAUACCGAUAGCCAUGGCGUACCGAGCAGCCGCUAACUUAAUAUUCAUUACCCAAGCUACUUCCUGACGCCUACCCGGAAAGUAACACCCUACCAGCAGAGGUCCUGAUAAUUAGUCAAGCCAGAGCUAUAUAGCUUGGAGCUGCACUGUAUGUCCUAGGGGGCCGCUCCCUGACUAAGUCCUUACGGAGAGCAGAGACGGGUACGCCCGGCAAACCGGACCACCAACAGUACCCGCUCCCCCUUUUCUCAACCAAACCACGAUGCUCGCAAGCACCGCAACAUCUCCAUCACCGAAGUGACCAUUGUUCAUCAUUUAAACAUUAUUCAUCAUUGAAGAAUUCAUUGAUCAAGAUUAUUACUUUUAUUACUAUAUAGAUUAGAUGAGUAGAGCAGCUAAGCAUAACUACUGUUCACUACUCUACCCAUGUAUAAACCCAGGAGUAUAAGGAAUAUAGUAGAGGGCUAGUCAUGUCCUUAGGGUUUGCAGUAUUAAGACACAUGCAGUGGAAAGUAAAUGUAUUUAAAGUUCAUAGUUACAAUAUGAUCAAAGGGUGUCUGCACUUGCCUUUAUUCCUAGUGUAUAUCUGCUCAGAAUUUCUUGGCUUCUAUCUUCUGAUCUUUAGCUUCUACUGCAGCUGUCGGCCCUCAGCUCCUGAUCUUCACUGUUGAUGAACCACGUUUCUUCUACUCAUAGCAAUCAAGCAACAUAAACAGACAAAGCUUAGAAAGAGCGCACUAAAUGAUAUGGCUACGAUCGUGACAACGCAAGAACGAUUCAGAACGAAGCUAUCGUUAAGCGAACACGACUUUCAAGGUUGGAAGUGUAAUGGAGAAGACAACUAUACGCUGGUCGUAAUUUAUUUAUAAAUAACUAUAUACCAUUGAAGCCAAUUAAGCAUUUAUAGUUUUUUUUUGAAAUAUAGCAUAUAUGAAAGCAACUAAUCAAGUGAUUAUAUAUCAUGUUUAAACUAAUCAAGUUAUAAUUAAUAAAGAAACAUUAAGGUUGAUAUUAAUAACAUGGGCAUUUAUUUAUUUACAAAAGAUCAAAUUAUAAACCUAAGUUGCUUUUAAUCAAAAAGUCAUUAAAUAAAUAUUAAACAAAUUAAUUAUAUAAUUUGUGUUUAACUAAAAGAAUCAUAGUUAAUAAAUACUUAGGUUAAAAUUAACAAAGUUGAUAUUAGAUUAUAAAAGAAAAUACCAAAGUGUAAACCUAAAUUGUUCUUUGUAGAUUAAAAGGGCAAUUAGUUAGACAUUAAUUAUUUUGUAUUUAUGGUGAAAAUCUAAAUGGUCAAACGAGGUAACUAUUUACUCCUAAAGCGUAGUUUACGACGAUACGAAACUAACGUGACGAGAACGGGCUCAAUCGGAAUUAAAACGCGCAUUCUAUGGCCAAAACUAGAUCGGUGGCAAAACUGUGAAUAAACUAAACUAAUUUUCGUAUUUUAAAUAAUUAAAACUGAUUUUUGAAAGCCUUUUGGACUUAAUCUACAAAAAGCAAUGCAUCCAGGGGCUAAACUGCUAAAAACAGGACUUAAAUCUAAUUAUCUAUGAACUACUCAGGACUGUGGGUUAAUUUCUAAAAAACGCAAGGGCGUUUUUGCAAAAACGCCAGGGCGGCGCUGGUGUGGCCAGUUUGGUCGGCCACGUGUCGCGACGGGACUGGCCGGUCCACGGGGGCUGCUUGGACCGAGGCGCAGGGCGCUUGGUCCACCGGUCCACGGUGGACCGGGGAGGGGGCGCUGGCGGCGGCGCAAUGGCCGCUCCGGCCGAGCUCGCCACGGCGGCUCCAGAGGGCUCGGCGAGCCGCGCAAAGCGCACGGGCGGGCGGUGCGCGAGCAGGCGGACUCGGGGCGCUCGGUGGUCACGGCGGGGCACCGCCGAGAUGCGCGGGCCACGCGGUGGCACGGCUCCGUGCCUGCGGCGAUGCUCCGGUGAGCACGCGCGACGUGAUGGGAGGGAGAGGGCGCGUGAAAAGGAUACCGACGUGACCCUAGAGAACAUGCGGAGCUCGGGUAAACACUUACCGGCGGUGGACGACUGCAGAAGGACGAGCGAGAUGGCGGUCGGAGCUUCGAAUCGGCGGCAAUGGAGGCGGCUCGACUUCGGCUAGGGAUUCGGUGAGUCGGGAUGGCGGCUAGGGCUUCGUAGAGUUCGGCGGGCGUGCGGCGCACAGGGCUAAGGGCUUUUAUAGGCUCGGGUGAACCUCGGGAGGCGCGCGGGCCCACACCCGAGGCGGCGGCGGCGUUUCCAUCCGCCCGAAGCGGACGGAGGUUGGGGAAGACGGCUGACGCGUGGGGUCGGGGCGUCAGCGGCACGGUGCGAGCUGGCAGGCGGGUCCCACGUGGCAGCGGCUCCGGCGAAGCGGGCUGGCGCUGCUGCGCUUGGCUGGGCGGGGCCACGCGACCUGGGUCAUGGCCCAAGGGCGAGCAGGGGUGCGUGCUUAGAGAGCAGGCCGGCUGUGGGCUACACGGCCAGCUGAAGCAGGCCGAAAAGAGAGAGGAAAAGAAAACCUUUUCUUUUUAUAAAACAUAAUUUCUAAGCUAUUUUGCUAAACAAAUUUUCAAACCAUUUUUGAAUUCAAAAGUCUGAUAUCAUUUUGGAACUUGUUUUUAGACUACUUUUGGAAAUAUAUUUUCUUAAAAACAUUUUUUUCAAGGUGUUUUCCCAUUUCAAAUCUAAAUUAGUUUUCAAUGACUUUUGGAGUUUUAUUUUUCCGAAAACCAAAAGGACCUAAACGUGGCUUGCUGGAAAUUUUGAAAUUCAUUUUUCUAACACAAGCCAAACAAAACUAGGGCACAAAGCACACAACAACAAAACAAAACACCCUUCACUUAAUUUUAUAAAAGUUUUAAAAUUUCAUAUUCUUCUCAUUUUGUAAUAACAGUAAUUAAUAAAAAUCUUGUAAUAUUUUAGAAAAAAAUUUAAAUCCUUAUUUAAUUUUGUGUUUUCUAAUAACAAUCCAAAAUUAAAAAUUUUAGAGUGUUAUAGUGCAUUUGUAAGACCGAAGGACAUGACGAGAUACUCAUACAACCCAUACCUCGUCGAGAAAGCUGUCUUAGGUACAUCUUCAGGACGGAUCUUGAUCUGAUGGUACCCAGAUCGCAAAUCAAUCUUGGAGAAUACCUUGGCUUUAGACAACUUAUCAAACAAAAUAUCAAUGCGAGGAAGAGGGUAUUUAUUCUUGAUGGUCACCGCAUUUAGGGGACGAUAGUCCACACACAUGUGCAAAGAUUGAUCCUUCUUCUUCACAAAGAUGGCCGGACAAACCCAUGGAGACGAACUAGGACAGAUAAGACCCUUCUUCAACAACUCAUUCAACUGGGUCUUAAGCUCAGCUAGCUCAUUGGGUGGCAUUCUAUAAGGUCUUGUAGAGAUAGGAGCGGUACCGGGAAUCAAUUCAAUUUUGAACUCCACAUGCCGAUCCGGAGGAAGCCCGGGCAAAUCAUCAGGAAAUACAUCCGGGAACUCACACACCACCGGAAUGUCCUGAAUAGCCUUAGAUGUAACUGCAUUCACAGUGCUACGGAUUUGAAUAUCACGAGGGAGUUGCACUAGAAAUGCCUCCUUGGUAUUCGGGUCUUUCAACAUCACUACACGAGUGGUGGUGUCGAUAAGAACUCCAUUGCCACUCAUCCACUUCAUCCCCAAAAUUACAUCUAUGCCCACACCGGGUAGAACAACCAAAUCAGCAAGAAACUGACGGCCUCCUAUUUCCGGAGUUGCCCCCAAAACCACUUGAUUGGUGGAAAUAACAUUUCCCGCAGCACUAAUACAAUAACUGCCCUUAUCAGGUGUAAAUGCCUUGAGAUUAUGCUUAGACACAAAUUCGGAACUCACAAAAGAAUGCGAUGCUCCUGAAUCAAAAAGCACAAGUGCGUCACAUUGGUUAACCAGAAACAUACCAGCCGUAACUACCUCACCAGCAGGGAUUGCUUCCACAGUGGUGUGGUGAACACGCCCCUGGCGGACGUUCCCCUGGUUGACCUUCUUUGGUGGGUAAGGACAGUUGCUCUACCAAUGCCCGGUCUGAUUGCAGUUCCAGCAUGGACGGUUGGCAGGUGGAGUCUUGGCAUAGUUGGGACCCGUGUUGCCCCUAGGAAGAGCAAUAGAGUACCCCUUGCGGAAACCCGUCUUUGCCUGAUUCUUCUUCAUAGGCGGGCGAUAACGCUGGUUAGGGGUUGGAGCACAGAUCGGUGGUCUAGCUGCCCCUGGAGCCUUGGACUGAGAUGCCCCUGCCCCGGCUUCAAAAGCCCUCUUGCGAGUCUUGGUCGCAAUGUACACAGUGUUAUAGUUCUCUUGAGUGAGAGCAUCACUGACAAACUCAUUGAAAGUUGCACACUUAGUGCGGCCCAUAGUCUUCAGCAACUUGGGGGCAAGACCCUGCUUGAAGUUAGCAAUCUUUUUCGCCUCAGUGUUCACAAACUCAGGAGCAUACCUAGACAAAUGAUUGAAAGCAUGCAAAUACUCCUUCAUAGUUUUGUUACCCUGAGUUAACUGCAUGAACUCAGUAUGCUUCAUCUCUAUGACACCAGGAGGAAUGAAAUGCCCCUUAAAAGCCUCACGGAAAAGAUUCCAGUCAAGCACAGUGUCGGCUGGAAGAGCUUCCCGAUACUGAUUCCACCAGAUGCCUGCUAGACCUUGCAGUUGAUGAGCUGCAUACUCUGCCUUCAAACCUUCAGUCAACCGAAGCAAGCGGAACUUUUGUUCCACCGUGUUCAGCCAUUCUUCAGCUUGAAGGGGUUCUUCAGCUUCUCUGAAAGGUGGGGGCUUCGUAUCCAUGAAGUCCUUGAAGCUACUGUACUGGUUAGGAGCUGGCCCUUCAUGUGCAUGACGACCACCCUGAUUCGCCAUCCGAUUGAUGGUCUCAGUGAGCAUCCUCUGAUUUUCCACCAUCAUUUGCAUCAGCUCAGCUGGAUUUGGUGGUGGAGGAGGAGGGGGUGGAUUCAUGUUUGCACGCUGUUCCGCACCUCGGGUGCCACGAGACAUCUGCAAAUACAUAGUCAGUGAGCAUUGAUGAUGACAAGAUUUGCCGCAGAAGAACUUAUAUUUAUGCCUGAAAGUAUUCGAGAGAAUAGCUUUACAGAAAGGCACAAUAAUUCAAUUCCACAAAACAACAUCACCAAUCCAACAUAUGACAGAGAUAUCCGCAAUAUGCACCACAACGGAAAACAUCGUCAUAACAAAACGAACAUGUUAAGAUUGCACAUUGGGUCCACAAAGUUAUUACACCAUCCCAGUACAUGCCAUGAGUCAAGGUCAAAGUUCCAGAUUACAACAUGGGUACAAAAGCAUCACCGCUAGCUGCCAGACUACAAAAGAUCCUCACAUGACACUAUCCACUACUCCCUACACUCGAGGCUCGUCGUCCGAGUCAGCGUCGAAGAUCGCCUCUCCAUCCUCGUCGCUAACUGGCUCAAGCUCCUCGUCCUCCACGUCCUCGUGCAAGGGUGGUGCAGCGGGUGCUGGUCCAUCGACCUCCAUACCAUCAUCAUCGGCCACAAUCACCUGAGGUCCCACCACCGGGUACACGGGAAUAGGGCGAGGAAUAGGGUGUAGCAAGUUGUUGAGACGGUGAAUCUCCACAAGACCAGCCUCAAUCUGAUCCUGUAGAUAGUUCUCCCACUAAAGCGACUGAAUCCGGUGCAUCUCCCAAGCCUGGCGCCUGUUCUCCGACACACUGAGUGCAGUGUCCCUCUCACGAGUAACCUGCACCAAGCGCUCCUGUAUUGUCUCCCUUUCUCGAGACAACUGGCUCAUCUGAUCCUGCUUAUGAUCUCUCUCUCUAAUGGCCUUCACCCACUGCUACCUACGGUACUCCGCAAUGCCUUCCCAGUCAUUGCGGUCCUUCUGAGCUUGCUCCAGAAGCCUAGCUUGCUUGCGAAACUUGCGAGCACACUUUUCAGCCUUCCGUUGCAUCUCCUGAGCCUGGCGAACAGCCACCAUCACCUGUGCAUAGGUGCCCUCUCGCUGACUGAUCAGCUUGAGCACAGCCAUCAUAGCACUCAUAGCAGGACUAGAACUCUCAGCUCUCUCUCCCCUGCCUCGAACCAAAGCACAACCAUUAGCCUGUUUCCAUUCCGCUGCUGCUGGGUCAGCACGGGGAAUGGAGGCCGCUGGUCCUCCUAUCAGCUCAUCACCAAACCUCUGACAAAUAUUGAGCAGCAUAGCCUGGGCUGCAACCUGAGCUGCUUCCUAAGGAGUCUGCCCAUCCGAGUUACAGGUCCACCCUGUCCAUGCAGGCCUGCCCCCGUGUGGAGGGACAACUCCCUGCAUAGCAAACCACUACAACUCCCCUGUCAUAUCCACCUCCCACCCAGAAUACUGAGGUGGCUCAGCGUACCCCACAGACUGUAGCACUCUCCAAAGCAAGGUAGGAGUGCCAAACUCGCUCAAGAAAGUGUCACUGGGGCGAGGUGAAGUGGGCACGUCCAUCUGUGGAAAGAAAUAGGAAAACCAUGGGUAAAACAUGAUUAGUUUAAGCAACAUUUAUUUAUUUAAUUAAAAGGGACGACAUUGUAAAGGAAGGAGUAGACAGAAUGUAUGUAUGAAUGCAACAUGAUGCAUGCACGAACUGUACGUCCUCCCAAACUUAGAAAAAUUAGUAUUCUAAUGGAUAUACGGUGGCAUACAUUCGUCUCUCGAUACGAUAACUAGCGAUUUACACGUGCGCUGUUAGAGUACCUGCAGAAAACUUCAUUUCAGCCCAACAGUUUCCAAUAUAUCACUCAAGAAAGCAGUAAACUAAGUGCACAUUGCUUGGACAUGCCCAACAUGCACAAACAAUGACACCACAGCUACCCAAGAAAUUAAAUGCUCCCCAAUUAAAUUUCUUUCGUGGUUCCACAGUUUUGACAUGUGACCACUCCAGAAAACCACCACGAACACUUCCCUAGACCGCCGUUUGGACGAUCAUGCUCUCACAGCUCACACUUACCAGAGCGUAGGUGCGACGUUGCAUAAUUUAAAUCUAGCAACAUAUGUGGCUAAUUCACAUAUGAAGGCUACCUCCACCAUUAGACCACAGGGUAGCAUAGUGCGGUCAUCACACAUCCAUACCUGAGUACUGCCUGAGAUGCAUAAAUAAAACCCCCCAAGUCAGUACUUAAAUAGCCACCUAUUGUCCUUAUAUGGUCAAGGAGGAUUCGACCUCUGGCAUAACUUAAGUGUUGAUUUACCAUUUUAUAUAAAAACUCUUUUGUUUUUAAAUACACAAACGCUGCAUUUAUAAUGCUGAACUUGCUCCGAUGCCAGCUGUCACAGAACCGACCAAAUUAUAAGAGUUCAAGUGUUGAAACGAUCGACAAGCAAUCAAGUUUCCAAACUUGAGCCCAUAUAAUCCCGGUAGUCAACUGAAAUCACGAAGGAUUUGUUGGGUAUUCUUAACAUCAUUACCAAAAGUAGACUUAGUUUUCUAAAUCUAGUAACGGUGCCAAAAAUGCCAAACCUAUCCCUCACACCACUUAAGCCAAGUUGUCAUCCCCAGCAUGAUAUACGAGACGCGGUAUUGAAAUAUGCAAUUGCUCUUCUAAAUAAAUAAUAAAUGGGAUCUGCAAGCGCACAGAUUAAUACCGAUGUAGCAUUUUAACCGGGAAGUAUUCCAGGUAUCGUUAUUUAUAUUUUUACCACUAGGAAGGGAUUAACAAUCAUCAAUAUUGAUUACAGAAUAGAAUAUGAGAUUGAGCAUCUAUCAUUGCAUGUAUAAUUGAGAACAUUAUAUCUAACUCUUCAUACAAGGAUAAGCGUCACAUAAAAGAUAUAUGAAAUAAUGAAUAGUGACAAGGAUAACUAAUCUGAUCUAGCCACAUAAUAAAUAUGAUAAGCACCUCAAUUAGAUACUCUAGAAAGUCAUUAGCAUGGUAUUAGAACGAACUACAAGAAUAUUCCCUAAGUUAUUCUCAACUAUAUAGUCUAGCAUAUCAUAGUUAGUGCAAGCAUACUUAGCAAUCAUUGCGAGACAAGACUACGCCCAUGCAUAGUGAUAUUAGCAAGGAAUAUGAGAAACAUAGCAAUCACUCCCCUGUAAUAAUGUUGCUCUGCCAGCCCAAUACACGAGAGGGGGACUAUAUAAGAAUCCAUGAAGCUGUCACUAUCAUGAACUACCCCACGAUCUGGCAUAUUGGGUACAAUCGCAGAUAAAUACGGUAUAAGCACCACGCCUACACAAUAUCUAUCAUUUACCCAUGGAUCCGAUGGAUAAAUGCUAUACGAUCCUAAGCAUGUAUAUAGAUCCAAUCUAACUAAGCCAAGUACAUAACUAUGAUAAACUAAGAAUAAUAUAAUCUUGAAUAUAAGCAAGUAGAGCAAAGUCAUAAGCAAUAUAUUGAAAUAGAACAAAGUCAUAUUCAUAAUAUUGAAGAACAAAGAUAAUUAGAAAGUAAUUAGAAGCACAAUUAGAGAAUUACCAAGAAUCCUCUUGACAGAUCUGGAAACCAAUCGAAGAUUGACUCCUUCUAGUUCUAAUCCUAUGUAGCUAUGCUAAUCUAGAUGUCUAAUUGAUGUGGUGGCUCUAAUCUUGAUCAGAGGCUUCUUCUCCCUUGAAGAAUAAUGAAUUAGGGUUGAGAGGCUCUCCCCUCCAGGGGCCAGGGGGUCUGGUUUUAUAGUCCCUUCAAGUGAAUAUGGGCCGUUGGAUCAAACCGACAUAGAUUGUAUGGUUUAGAUUCAUCCUUUAGGUCGGUGGAGAUCUCCCACGAAGCAGAGUUCUGAUUGGCCUCGGCAGGUGGCGGGCGCCCAGGGUCAGGCCCCGUUUCGCCUCCGCUUCAGUCUCGUGGAUUCUGGAGUUUUCUAGAUGUAAGAUAAUUGCGCGGCACGUUAAUAUCUCUAUGUAAUCCCGACGUGUGGGCCUUUCUUUCGUAUUUCCUGAUAACCCCCUGCAGAAAUAGACAAACACCAAAACUCGUGGAAUUCUAUCAGAUAAAACCCUAAGUCUAGAUGUUGAUUUCAUUUGGAUCCUUUUCUUUAUUUAUAUGAUAAUUAAAUUUGAUACUUAAGGACCGUCAACAAACUCCCCCAAGCUUACCUCUUGCUCGUCCCUGAGCAAGGAUAGACUCAGCUAUGGAUCAUAAGUUGUUGCAAUAUCUUUAAAAAUUGACGGUACACAUGCUUUUUAAAUAAGAUCUUAUCUCUGAGUUAGAGUAAACUGUCAAGACUUAAAACUUACUUACUUUACCUUUCACCAUGGGACUUGUAACCGUCACUUCUGUCUUGAGUGGUUAAAAGAUAGAACGGUCUAGCCAAGUGCCAUGUCUCUUAUUCUUGAUCAGCUAUAGUUCUGAUGUUUUUGCAGAUUUUCAAAUAAAACUCAGAGAUUCCUUGUAUGAUUCUCUCAAAUCUCUCUUUUGUGGUAUUUCUGGAUCCUUACCAAGGCAGUGAUGGUAUAUGCCUUCUCUCAAGAUAUGUAGUAUUUGUGGUAUAAAGCAUAGUGACAUUGUUUUCUCUCUCACCCUACUCUAAUAAGGCUUUAAUAUCUGGAGCUCAUAGGUGGGAGAUAAAGUAUACAUACUUACAAGACAUUUAUUGCAUAGUCAAACCAUGGAUCCAAAGAAACAAAUCAAUAAGUUUAAUCAAGAUGUGCAUGUGUGGCGAAUGAAUGGUGUAUGGUGAUGAUGGUGAUAACAAUGGUGAAAACAACGGUGAUGGAAGUCUAAUUCUACUUUUGCUCUUUGAGGGGAUACAUACCUUCCUUGCUUUUUGAAACUUUGUGAGGAGAAUGAGAUGCUCUAUAUUUUUUUCUUUUCUCUCAGGUGGGUAUCUUGUACCCCUAAUUCUACUGUCGGACACUUGUCCAUUUUUACCUCUCGUCUCACUUUUUCUUUUCUUUCGAGGUUCCGAGCACUUGCUCCUUUUUAUUUCCUCGUUUUUUCAGAGCACUCAUCUCUUGAGAUAAUAUAGCAAGUGGUAGUAACAAGAUAACUUGAGCAUUUAUUUCACAGGGAAAAUACAGAAAUAUAUUUUUGGCUAUUCUCUCCCGGAUUAGGAGUAGAAUAUUUUUUUUGGGUGAUUCUGGAGAUGGAAAUGGAUGGAUAUAUGUGGAUGGUACUUCCGAAGUAGAAGUAGCAUAUAUGAGUGAACGUGCAAGUGAAAUCUUGAUUUAACCACAUGACAAGCUCCUAAGGGUCUACACAGCUUGACCACACUAAAUGCUCAUAAGUAGUAAAUAGUAAAUGUGUGGCUCAAAGUCUAGCAAGCAUGUAUAUAUAUGGCUGUGGUAGGAAUUUAAACUCUCAUCAUACAGAAACUCAUCAUGCAACAUUUUAAAGAUUUUCAAAGAUAAAAUUCUCCAAAAUUCUAGCAUCUCUAGGAACAGAUAAACAGCAGCUCAACCUUCCCAUAUCAUAUCCGUUAACAACUUAGACUUCAGAUCAAGUUUUCAUCCCACAAGUUUAGGUCUAGAGCAAGCUUUAAAUUAUAACAGUUAUAUCUAAACUUGAGAGAGAACUUAAAAUUUGCAAAUUAGGUAGAGCAACUAUUCAUUAUAUCCAUGUUUGAAUUUUAUUUAGAUACAGAUUAGCAUAGCCACUUUAUUUAUUUAUUAAACACACUAAGCAAAAGAUAUGUAAGCAUAAAAUCUUUAUUUGGUUUUUCAUAGUUUAUGUAUUUUAAUAUUCUAAUAUAAUAUAAGUAUAAAGAUAGAAAUACUUAUCGAGAUAAAUGGGGGUGCUCUCCCCCAAGCUGAAUUUUGACAUAAUUUCUCUUGAUGUAGCUAGCAGGCGGCAGAGGUGUAUUUGAAAGUCAGCAGCAUUCUGACAGCGAUUAGAAUGUCCUCCGUCUGCUAGUCUUCUCGAUUCUUAAAUUCUGUGGAGCUCAAAUAGACAACAAAACUUGUGGAACUGAUUAAGUGUUAGCAUAAAUAUCUAGCCUUUAUCAUGUUGAGACUCCUUAAUAAUUAUUACUCCCUGUUUUUAUAUUUUCAUUUUAUAAAGCAGACAAGAAAUAUUUAUUUUAUUUUUAUGCCACCACGGUGAAUGUACUUAUGGGUUUUAUGCCACUCGUCUACUCACAUGGGGCUUACUGUUUUUCACAUUUUUAUUUUCUUUUUAGGAUAGUAUGAACAUAAUUAACUAAGUAAACUAGUUGAAAUAAUUGAAAGGGAAAGGAUAACUACCAAGUUUACCUUUUUGGCAAGGCGUUCGGUGUUUUUAAGUCCUCCGAACGUGACUCUCCGUUUUCUUCAAUUGUCCUGGGAUUCGUUGGGUGGCGGAGUCGGUACUUCCGGCAGCGCCUCCUCUUCAUGUAUAGUUAUCUUCUCUUUCCACACCUGACUCGGUGCUACGAUCUCCUCUGGAUAAUUCUGUUUAAACUCUACGUCUUCUGACUUUACAACUUCUCCUUCAUAGUCUACCCAUCCAUCCUUGAUGAUCUGCCUCCACUGGUUGCGGUUGCGUUGUUUUCUUACCUGCUUAGAUUCUUCAACGAUGUAGUUAGGGUCAGUAAAAUAAUGGCGUACCUUCUCUGAGGGGAAGUGCAUAUGGACUUCUCCGGUUCUAAUGUAGAUAAUUGCUUUAACGGUGCUGAGGAACGGUCUUCCAAGGAUGAUGGGUGGAUCAUACUCGUCUUCUCCCAUGUCAAUAACUUGAAAGUCUGUGUAGACAAAGUGAUCGUCUAUUUUGACUGGGACAUCAGUUACUAUUCCUUUAACUUCUCGAAAUGUCUAAUCUGCCAUCCGAAGUUGAAUGUAUGUUGGUCUUAGUGGCAUGGUUCCGAACAAGAGCCGAUAGGUGACUGCGGCCAUUAUGUUGACGCCCGAUCCGGUGUCACAAGUUGCCUUGUAGAAGUUGUAUCCAUUUAUGGAGCAGUAGAAGCUUGGCAUUCCUGGGUCGUCCUUCUUGGUAAAAAACGGUGACUUAAGUUGAUGAUCUUGGCCUCCAUGAAUUACAGUGACCAUCUUAGCUGACUCGGUCCACACUUGCUUGUUCCUAUUCCUCCUGUUGGUCCUCUUCCUUGAUUCACGUCUGGAUUGAUCUGGGAUUUGUGUAGUCUUGUUCUUGAAGAAAAAUGUCUCCUUCCUCCCUUUGAUGUAGAAACUGAUCUUGGCAGCACUAGCGUAGAUGAUAGCUCCCGCGGUGUUCAAGAAUGGCCUCCAUAAGAUGAUGGGUGCCCUCUCAUCAUUUCCGUUCUCUACCACUACGAAGUCUCCUUGGGCGUACAAGGUACCAACUCGGACACAAAGGUUCUUCAAUAUUCCUUUUGGAAAACUUAUCGUCUGAUCUGCAAACUGCAAACACAUGGUUGUUUCUAAUAAAGGAUACGUAAAGAAUUUUUUAUAGAGUACCCUGGGUAUAAUGUUGACACUAGAGCCAAAGUCGCAGAGUGCUUCUGGGACGUCCACCAUGCCGAUGGAGAUUGGGAUGACGGGGCGUCCUGGAUCGCCUUUCUUGACCGGCAGAAGGUCAGUAGUGAAUUCAGUGACGGGGUUACUCCAAUUAUUACCUGCAUCAAACAUGUCUACAAGAUUUGCAAAUUCUAAUCCUUCCGGUUGUGAUGGUAUACCGGGGCUAGUAACGGGAACAGCAGCAGCUAUUUGAUUUAACUGAGAUUCAAUCAUUUUAUUAAAGCUAAUUUGAUUCUUGAUGGCAGUAGAGAAAUUAUCCAUUCUAUUAUUUAUAUUUUCUAGCAUUUUAUCAUUAGAUGCCAAUUUCUUAGAUAGGUUAUCCAUUAGCUUUCCUUGAUUAGACACUAACUCUCUCAGAGGUGGAAAAUUGUUAUUAUUGUUGUAAGAAUUGUUACCUUGAUAAUUACCUGAGUAGUUAGGCCUCUGUUGAUUCCAACCUUGAUUUUGUUGAGGACAGUUGUAGUAGUUGUUGUUGUUGUUGAUGUAGUUCACAUCCUCAAGUAUCUCAGGGCAGUGAUUGCCUGAGUGUCCAGUAUCUCCACACUCCUCACAAGUCAUGUGAGAGUCGUAGAUGUGCAUAACUUCUUUCUUGUCUCCAGCUCUAUCGUCGAGCUUCUUCAUGAGCAGGUCUAGCUUUGCAGACAGCAUGUCUACCUCCUUCAGCUAAUGCAUACCUCCACCUCUCUUGUGUGUCUGGGUCCUCUCUUCAUUCCAGCUUUGGUUGGACACCAUCUUCUCCACAAGAGCUGUAGCUUGUGGUAUAGUAAGUGAUAAGAAUGCUCCUCCAGCUGCAGCAUCCAUUGUUUCUCAGGCACUGUUGCCAAGCCCAUGAUAAAACGUCUGCAUCAGUAGCCAACUCUCCAUUCCAUGAUGAGGACAUUCUAGGAUGUAGUCUUGAAAGCGCUCCCAUACUUCUGGAACAUAUUCAUCAUUUUGUUGCUGAAAACUUGUAAUCUUCCCACGGAGAGCAUUGGUCUUGCCCAUGGGAAAGAAUUAGCCAGGAAGUAUGUUGAGCAGAGUGCCCACGUAGUAUUCUUCUCCUUUGUAGCGUAGAACCACUGCUUCGCUCUUCCUAACAGUGAGAAUGGGAAGAGGCGAAGUAGUAUAGCAUCUUUGGAAACUCCUGAUAUGGUAAAUGUGUUGCAAAUCUCCAGGAAGUGUUGUAGAUGAGCACUAGCAUCUUCGUGUGCCUUCCCACAGAACUGGUUGGAUUGCACCAUGUUGAUAAGUCCAGGCUUGAGCUAAAAGUUGCCAUCGAUCUCUGCAGUAGGUCCAGUGCGGAUGUUGUCCGUAGUGGGAGCUGAGAACUCGCAGAUUGAUUUGUUCGCCAUGGCCUCGAACUCUGAAGACAAGUUCCGGUGAUCUUCUUGAUUGGAUGAAGCUUCUUGCUGAAGUGUUGAUGAUCUCUUCUUGAGCUUGGCUCUCGUCUUCUUGAAUAAUGCUUCGGGAUUGUCAACAAAAUUUCCUGGAAGAUGUCUUCUAUUCAUACAUUCCCCUGCAUAAGAUAAAAUAGAAAAAUAUCGGGGUAAAACUGUAUGAGAGAAUAGAUAAGCUCAAUCAUAUUAGUGAUGCAAAUGAUAACUCAAAAUCUUUUAUUCCAUUCUUGAUUAGUAAUCAACCUUCCCCAGCAACGGCGCCAAAAAUGCUUGUUGGGUAUUCUUAACAUCAUUACCAAAAGUAGACUUAGUUUUCUAAAUCUAGUAACGGUGCCAAAAAUGCCAAACCUAUCCCUCACACCACUUAAGCCAAGUUGUCAUCCCCAGCAUGAUAUAAGAGACGCGGUAUUGAAAUAUGCAAUUGCUCUUCUAAAUAAAUAAUGAAUGGGAUCUGCAAGCGCACAGAUUAAUACCAAUGUAGCAUUUUAACCGGGAAGUAUUCCAGGUAUCGUUAUUUAUAUUUUUACCACUGGGAAGGGAUUAACAAUCAUCAAUAUUGAUUACAGAAUAGAAUAUGAGAUUGAGCAUCUAUCAUUGCAUGUAUAAUUGAGAACAUUAUAUCUAACUCUUCAUACAGGGAUAAGUGUCACAUAAAAGAUAUAUGAAAUAAUGAAUAGUGACAAGGAUAACUAAUCUGAUCUAGCCACAUAAUAAAUAUGAUAAGCACCUCAAUUAGAUACUCUAGAAAGUCAUUAGCAUGGUAUUAGAACGAACUACAAGAAUAUUCCCUAAGUUAUUCUCAACUAUAUAGUCUAGCAUAUCAUAGUUAGUGCAAGCAUACUUAGCAAUCAUUGCGAGACAAGACUACGCCCAUGCAUAGUGAUAUUAGCAAGGAAUAUGAGAAACAUAGAAAUCACUCCCUUGUAAUAACGUUGCUCUGCCAGCCCAAUACACGAGAGGGGGACUAUAUAAGAAUCCAUGAAGCUGUCACUAUCACGAACUACCCCACGAUCUGGCAUAUUGGGUACAAUCGCAGAUAAAUACGGUAUAAGCACCACGCCUACACAAUAUAUAUCAUUUACCCAUGGAUCUGAUGGAUAAACGCUAUACGAUCCUAAGCAUGUAUAUAGAUCCAAUCUAACUAAGCCAAGUACAUAACUAUGAUAAACUAAGAACAAUAUAAUCUUGAAUAUAAGCAAGUACAACAAAGUCAUAAGCAAUAUAUUGAAAUAGAACAAAGUCAUAUUCAUAAUAUUGAAGAACAAAGAUAAUUAGAAAGCAAUUAGAAGCACAAUUAGAGAAUUACCAAGAAUCCUCUUGACAGAUCCGGAAACCAAUCGAAGAUCGACUCCUUCUAGUUCUAAUCCUAUGUAGCUAUGCUAAUCAAGAUGUCUAAUUGAUGUGGUGGCUCUAAUCUUGAUCAGAGGCUUCUUCUCCCUUAAAGAACAAUGAAUUAGGGUUGAGAGGCUCUCCCCUGCAGGGGCCAGGGGGUCUGGUUUUAUAGUCCCUUCAAGUGAAUAUGGGCCGUUGGAUCAAACCGACAUAGAUUGUAUGGUUUAGAUUCAUCCUUUAGGUCGGUGGAGAUCUCCCACGAAGCAGAGUUCCGAUUGGCCUCAGCAGGUGGGCGGGCGCCCUGAUCACCUGGGCGGGCGCCCAGGGUCAGGCCCCGUUUCGCCUCCGCUUCGGUCUCGUGGCUUCUGGAGUCUUCUAGAUGUAAGAUAAUUGCGUGGCACGUUAAUAUCUCUAUGUAAUCCCGACGUGUGGGCCUUUCUUUCGUAUUUCCCGAUAACCCCCUGCAGAAUUAGACAAACACCAAAACUUGUGGAAUUCUUUCAGAUAAAACCCUAAGUCUAGAUGUUGAUUUCAUUUGGAUCCUUUUCUUUAUUUAUUUGAUAAUUAAAUUUGAUACUUAAGGACCGUCAACAGGAUUUCAAACCAACUCGCGACAAACUAAGAUCGUAGUAGUUCAACAUAAAUACAACGAAUGUUACAUAGUCAUUCAUUGCCAUCGAAGCGGCACCACAUCGGAGUCAUUAAGUUAUUACAACACAUGUUCAAAGUAGCGAAAGCAAAAUAAUUACACACACUUGUUCAAAGUUCAGUUCACAAGUUUUUGUUAUUGCCAGAGUCUACACCAUCCUUCCAAAAGCAACAGGUACGAGUUUGUUAGAGAACCGUGCCCAACGGUUAGUCCUCAUCCCCAGCGGGAUGGAGACAGGUCUUGCAGAAGCCGUCAUAAAAGAUGUCAUCUGCAACAGGUGGGAAUAAACCCUGAGUACGAGAAUAUACUCAGCUAGACUUACCCGUCUAGUAAAACAUAAAAGACACCAAGGAUCAUGCAAGGCCAAUUUCAAUUAGGGCUAGUUGACUCAACAUUUGCCAAAAGCUUGCAUUAAAACUAACUUAUUGUGGAAGCAUCAUUUUUAUUCAUUAUUAGCCUACCACUAGAUUUGCACCUGUACUAAAGCACUUCACUUGAUUAUUACAAGCAAUAAUAACCAUAUCAAGUUCAUCGUAUGUUCUUCCUUGCUAUCAUCAUUAUCAUGAACCAAGUUCAUUAGUGAAUGCUACGUUUGCCGCUGCUCUGUCAAGUUCUCACUGACCGGGAGAGACGGCGAUUUGAAUCGAAUUCCUAUCCAGCUGGAGGGGUAUUCCUAGCACUCACCCAAGCAUCCCCCGUCGGAGAGCCAACGGGUCACCUUUGGUACGACUCAGGAAUCGCGGCUCCGAUCAGCGCCGCACUCCCAGGGCUACCACUCUGCCAGGGAGGUCAGGAAUUUUAACUCACCUGCCUUUGGGCUUACGCCAAUGGUCCCCCGCACACCGCACUUCCUCCGGUAGUGCGCACUUUAUACUUGCCGGUCUUCCGGCCUGAGUCAUACUACUCGGCUUCGUGGUCGGAACGAGUUAUCCGGCCAACUAAGUGUCAGGCAUGCGUUCAACAUGACAAGAGGACGUACAACGGUCGGUCCUUAGCUGCCACAGACGGAGUUACUACAACCUUUCAAAACUCCGCCCGGUUUAAGUCAAUUUAAUCAGGUUCCAUCCACGAUAGCACAUAUAGACCAUCGUGAUCCGACACAACCCUAUAUCGCGCAGGUGACAGGAAAUCACCCGACUUCUACCGAUUAAGCAUGGCUAAGCUGCUACUCGAUCCUAACUCUACAACCAGGGUAGGGUAAGUUAUCUGGACAAGGAUGGAGUAAAGUGCAGCAAAGGUUUCAUCACAACUCCUAUACUUAAUGCAUCAAUAGAUAUAACAUAUUAAAUAAACUUUUAAAAGUAAAGGUAGGCUUAGAAUGCUCCGGGGCUUGCCUUUCAUGAACGAGGCUGGCUUGUGGUUCGGGCACUCAACUUCUUCUUCGGGCUCCUCGAGUCCGACUUGCUGGACCUCCACCUCCUGGCUGUCGUCCUGGCCUUCGGGGUUCGCUUGGAGCUCGAAGGAAGCGGUCACGUCCGAUGCACCUAUUGCAUGCUCAACUAAUAAGAAGACGUGCAUAAAAGAGGAUGAAUGCUGGAUACAUAAAUAAACUCACUAGACACUCAUUUACGGAGUAACUUCUAAGUGAACUUACAAGAAAUCCACAUGAAUUGAUCAAACUAGACAAGUCAACUUAUAAACAGCAAGCACCCAAAACAGGACAGCUCAGUAGUCAGACCAAAACUAGUACUAGACAGAUCCAACAAACAUGAGUGAGGACAUUCUGGAAAGCUUAUAAAAUUGCCUACAAUUCAUCUUUAAACUUCAUAGCAAGAUUCAUAAGUUAAACCAGCCUUCAAAACAAAGUUCCAGGUUCUGUCCUAGGAAACAGAGAGCACCUAUUUCUGGAACCCAAAUUGGAACAACCAUAACUUUUAAACUGCAAGGCCAAUUAAUCCCAAAUUUAAACCACAGCUAGUUCAUAAAGUUUACAACAACUUUGAUUUAGACAAGUUUCCCAGAAAACUCAGUUAUCAUUAAGCAAAAGGUAAAUUACUUCCUUGCUGUCCAGAACAACUUUUAGCCCACCAAUUAAUUAUUUAAUGACAUAACCAAAACAUAAACAAUGCCAACCACAUGUCUUAUGAGCACAAGCACACCACAAGAUAACCAGAACAUCAUAUGAUGACCUCCAAAUAUUUAUUAACAAGGCAUUUAUUAAUUUAAUUCUAGAAAAGAGCAUAAUUACAAGAUACUGAUAAAAUUGCUCAGAAAACUCUACAAAUAUUACAGCAGUACAAGUACAGCACCAAAGCAUCACCAUAAAUUUUUCAGAGCAAAUUCACACCCCAAAUUAAAGAUAUGCAUUUAACAUGUGACAAGGUGUUUAUUUCAUAAAUUCAGAAACAUGGCUUACAAAGUGUCAAACAGCAGAUUUCAGAUUAUUUACAGGUUAUCAAUACCAUAAACAAGUUUGUCCCAAAAGUAGAGCACCAGCAUAAGCACCAAUUAUUUUAUAUGAUUUAAUUAAAGAAACAAGCCAAAUUUCAAACAUAAAUUACAUAUCAAAGCAGCAGUACUCCAAAAAUCAUGAAAUAUUUAUCAUAGCCUUCUAACACCACACAGAGACUACCAUAAUAAUUUCAUAGCAAGAUAAGCAGUAUAACAAGAGAUAUGAAUUUAUUCAUGAAUAACAAGAUUAAAUCCUAAUAAUUAUUUUUCCCAGAAAACAUGGUUCAUUUUAUAUUUUUAUUAAAAACUAGCCAUCUUAUGGAAUACCACAAAAUUGGUUUCACAAUUUUUGGAUCUCAGAAACAGGAGAUAUGAUUUUUGUAAGAAAGCCAAAAAUCAGGAUUUGAAUAAAAGAAAAGGAGGGAAGUGAGGUGACACUAACAGUGGACCUCGCAUGUCAGGGUCAUCUUCCUCACCACCGAGGCGACUCUCGCCGGCGAUUUCUCCGCAACGGCGAGGUCUCCGGCCAAACCAAGGGCACCAUUGUGAUCUCCAGAUUCUAGCGACUCGAUUGAUCCCCUUUUCCCCACGGCGGAGCCACCAGAAAUGGCUCGCCGUCGAUCAUGGCGGCUCGGCGGAGGUGCUCGGCGUUACGCCGGAGCCCUCAAGCCGGUAGAGCGUGACCUAGGGUUUCCUACAGCACCAGUGGACUACGGAGAAGCUUCCUAGGUACGCGGCUUGGCUUGAAACAUCAUGGAACGCGCUGGCCACGAGAGACCCAAUCUCCGGCGGAAACACGGCGGCGCUGCGCAUCGUGUCCGGCGACGGUGGGUUCGGUAGAGCGUCCACCAAGAGGUGCAACCACUAGCUAAGAACCUAAGCUAUCUCUAGAACCUAACCAAAGGAGAUGGGAGGCUCCGAGGAGCUCAGCAUUGAGCUCGCUGGAAAAGAUGGUCACGGCGACCCGAUUUGGGGGAAGAAGGAAAUGGCGGCUCACCGGUGGGUUUCGCGGCGAGCUAGAGGGUGGAGAGUGGAGAGUGGCUCACGGCGGAGCUAUGGGCGGAGUUUGGUGGACUGCGACGCAGCGAGGAGCGCACACGAGCUCGCCGGAGUGAGCUCGCGACGGUGAGCUCGCUGCGGGCGCUCUUCUGGCGAGAGAGGCGAGGCAGAGAGAAAAUGGACGUGUCCACUCCGUUCGGGGCGUCGCCGUGGAUGACAUGCGCACGCUGGGAGCUGACGAGCGGGGCCAGGAGCGGCGUACGGGCGCCAAAUGUCGACGGAGUUCUGUCGCCGGUCGGCCACGUCGACGAGCUCGGCUCCGAUUCAGAGCAAACGCUGAUGGUCUGACAGAGCGACUUCGACGGUGAUUAUCUCCCAAACCAGAGCGAAUUAGGAGAUGAUGCAGUUGACAAAGUUGGAGUUCCAAACGAGUUCUAUAACAUUGUCAACUAGAGCAAAAGCCAGAUCGGCCUGGAUUGAGAUAUAUAGAGUUUUCAAAACUGAUCGAGCAAACUGUUUUCAUUCCAGGACUUAGAAAAUUUCCUAAGUGUUGGAAACAGCCCCAAAUUUGCCUUGUGGGUCAAAUUUGAGCUAGAUGUGGUCAUUUUCAUGAGAUGGCCAUAAAACAACUUUCGUUCCUUAUAAAAUUUUCUACAACUUUUCUGUAGAAAGUUUGGACAUGCAAACAUUUUAUGAAACACUUUUUAAAAGCCUAAGCAAAAGAGGUUUCUAGGGCCUAUUUGUAUAAGUAUGACUUAAGUGAUUAUUUUGGAGAAGUGAUCAACAUGAACAUUGUUCCCAAGGUUAAGUUAAGCAUAGAUAAACUAAUUACCAAGGCAUAAAGCACAAACACAAGCAUGGUUCACUCAAGCAAAGGCAAGGGAAGACUACUUAAACAAUUUAAAUCACAUAUUUGCAUGGAAUGACAUGGCUCAAGAUAGAUGAUGAUCAUGAUAUGCUUUGAGUAGAUGAUGAUGCUCAUGCUAUGCACAUGAUUAAUGCAACCAUAACACUAGGGUGUUACACUUCGAACUAUUGGGAAAAUGAAGAACAUGGGUGACACCGUAUCAAGAGGUGCAGACGUCAAGGUCCACACCUGAAUCAAAUGACGCACCUAAAGAAUGAACACGGUAAGAAGUCUUGUUCAGAAGACUUAAAACAUUGAACCCUCGCCGAAAGGUAAAAUCGGUAGUUAUCCAUAUUUAUCCUUUCUGCAUUCUCUUUUCUCUUAAAUUAUUGACUUUCCUUAAUAGCUUGUAAGUUAAUCAUGCUAUCUUGAAAAGAAAUUAAAAAUGUUAAAAACAGUAAGCCCCAUGUGACUAUGCUCGUGGCAUAAAACCCAUAAGUACAUUCACUGUGGUGGCGUAAUAAUAAAAAUAUUCCUGCCAUAUAAAAAUGAAAAUAUAGAAAUAAAUUUAUGAUCUUACCAAAGAGAGUAAUAUUUAUUGAGGAGGCUCAACAUGAUAAAGGAUAGAUAUUUAUGCUAACACAUAACUAGUUCCACAAAGCUUUGUUGUCUAUUUGAGCUCCACAGAAUUCAAGGAUCAAAGAAGACUAGCAGACAGAGGACAUCCUAAUCGCUGUCAGGGUGCUGCCGACAUUCAAAUAUACCUCCGCCACCUACUAGCAACAUCAGAAAAAAUUACGUCAAAAUCUAGCUUGGGGGAGAGCAUCCCCAUUUAUCUAGCUAAGUGUUUCUACUCGCGUUUAUACUUUACUCAAAUAAUAAAAAGAUGCAUAAUCAUAAAAACCCAAAUAAAGAUUUUAUGCUUAUAUAUAUCUUUGCUUAGUUUGCUAAAUAAAUAAAUAAAUAAAGUUUGCUAUGAACCCUCAUGAUAAGCUCUCACAUGGAAAUGAUGAAUAGUUUCUCUACCAUGACUAUUUCUCAAAAUUGAAUUCUCUCUCAAGUUUAGGCAUGACUGUUAUGAAUUAAGAUUUGCUCUAAACCGGAACUUGUGGGAAGAGUACUUGAUCUAAAGUCUAAGUCGUUAACGGAUAUGAUAUGGGAAUGUUGAGCUGCUAUUUAUCUGUUCCUAGAGAUGCUAGAAUUCUAGAGAAUUUUAUCUUUGAAAAUCUUUAAAAUGUUGCAUGAUGAGUUCCUGUAUGAUGAGAGUUUAAAAUCCUACCACAGCCACAUAUACAUGCUUAUUAGACUAUGAACCAUACAUUUACUUUUUACUGCUUAUGAGCAUUGAGUGUGGUCAAGCUGUGUAGACCCUUAGGAGCUUGUCAUGCGGUUAAAAUCAAGAUUCACUUGCACUUUCACUCAUACAUGCUGCUUCUACUCCAGAAGUAUGCAUCCACAUACAUCCACUAAUUUCCAUCUCCAGAUUUACCCAAAAUUAUUCUACUCCUAUCUAGGAGAGAAUAGCCAAAAACAUUAUCCUAUCCCUGUUAUUCCCCGUGAAAUAAAUGCUCGAGAUAUUUUGGUUACUACCACUUGCUACAUUAUUCCAGGAGGGUGAGUGCUCUAAAAAAAAAGAGAGAGAGAGAGAAGAAGAAAAAAGAAAAAUACAAGGAAAUAAAAAGGAGCAAGUGCCCGGAACCUCGAAGAAAAGAAAAAGUAAGAUGAGAGGUAAAAAUGACAGGUGUCCGACAGUAGAAUUAGGGGUACAAGAUACCCAUCUGAGAGAAAAGAAAAAGAAAAUAUAGAGCAUCUCAUUCUCCUCAAAAAGCUUCAAAGUGCAAGAAAGGUAUGUAUCCCUCAAAAGAGCAAGAGUAGAAUUAGACUUUCACCAUUGUUUUCACCAUCAUCACCAUACACCAUUCAUUCGCCACACAUGCACAUCUUGAUUGGACUUAUUGACUUGUUUCUCUGGAUCUAUGGUUGGACUAUGCAAUAAAUGUCUUGUAAGUAUGUAUUAGCUAUCUCCCACCUAUGAGCUCCAGAUAUCAAACCCUUAUUAGAGUAGGGUGAGAGAGAAGGCAAUGUCACUAUGCCUCAUACCAAAAAUACUACAUACUUUGAGAGAAGGCAUAUAUCAUCACUACCUUGGUGAGGAUCCAGAAAUACCACAAAAGAGAGAUUUGAGAGAGUCAUACAACGGAAUCUCUGACUUUUAUUUUGAAAAUCUACAAAAACUCUAGAGCUAUAGUUGAUCAAGAACAAGAGACAUGGCGCUUGACUUGACCAUUCUAUCUUUUAACUGCUCAAGACACAAGUGAUGGUUGCAUGCCCCAUGGUGGAAGGUAAUAUGAGUAAGUUUAAAUCUUAAUAGUUUACCCUAACCCAGAGAUAAGAUCUUGUUUGAACGCAUGUGUACCUUUAAGGCAUGAAACCACUACAGAAACUCUUGAGUCCAUCCUUGCUUAGGGAUGAGCAAGAGGUAAGCUUGGGAGAGUUGUUGACGGUCCUUCAGUAUCAAAUUUAAUCAUAAAAUAAAUAAAGAAAAGGAUCCAAAUGCAACCAACACCCAGACUUAGGGUUUUAUCUGACAGAAUUCCACAAGUUUUGGUGUUUGUCUAUUUCUACAGGGGGUUAUCAGGAAAUAUGGAGGAAAGGCCCACACGUCGGGUUUACAUAGAGAUAUUAACGUGCCACGCAAUUUUCUAUCAUCUAGAAGACUCCAGAAGCCACACGAACGAACAGCAAGCCGAGCGGGCCCAGGGACAGGGCGCCUGCCCUCCCCCCUUGGGUGCCCGCCCUGUCAUCUGGACCAAUCAGGCUCCGCCUCGUGGAUUAUGCUCCACCGCCUUUGAGGAUCAAGGAAAACCAUGCGAUUAAGGUCGGUUUGAUCCGACGGCCCACAUUCAUGUGGAAGGGCUAUAUAAGCAGGACCCUGGCCCCUAGAGCAGGCACCUCUGAAUCCUUAUUCAUUAUUCAUAGACAGAGCAAAAGCUAGGGUUUGGAGAUGAGAGCUCUCCUCUCUUCUCUAAACUAGAGUAGAUCUAGAUAG
rnacentral:lncRNA from 1 species